CAAGAGUGCUGAGGCUGUUGAUCUUGCGACCAAAGAACUAGGGGGCAAGAUUUUGCGGCAGCCAGGGCCACUGCCGGGGAUCAACACAAAGAUCACCUCUUUUGUUGACCCAGAUGGCUGGAAAGUGGUAUGCCUUCUAUUGUGCUUUACUGUUAACCAGUAAAUGACCUACUGCUUUCUUCAAGUCUAUAUUGGCAGUAAAUUUUUGGCAGAAAAAAUAGUCCAACUUGUGCUUUCAAAGCUUAAAUCUGAUGCAUGUGUGAAGCCAAGCCAUUACUUAUGAAACAGAAUCCUGUUUCAUGGGUAUACCUUGGGAGACUAAUAAAGCAAAAGAAUAGGCAUCUUUGGCAAAAUGCGGCAGAAUCUUAAAUGCAAAAUUGAUGCCAUUCCUAUAGUCAUGAUGGCAGUCAUUAUCUCAUCAAUUUUUUCAUGCAUUCUGAUUAAUUUUUAGUGGUUCUUUUAUGGUGCUCCUCUUACCUCUUGAGAGGUAGGACAUAAUUUCAAUCUAAACGGUUGCUUGGGAAAAGGCAAUUUUGACCAAAUGAAACGCCAUUAGUAAGCAAAUGAACAGUCAAAUCAAUUUAUGCAUGUAAAGUGAUAAACAAUUGUUUAAAAGGAUGUACGAUGUUCAAACGAUACAUGACCAUAUCAUAACUAUUCAGAUAAUUGUAUCUGGAUUAUGCACAGAUUGGUUCAACUAUAUCCCAAAAGAAAUGCUUGUGACACAUACUCCCCCCACCCUCUCUCUCUCUCUUUUGUUGAGUUUGAGCAAUGUGUUCUGUAUUAAUUUCUAAAAUUUUAUUUUGAAAGAAAGUAGUUGUCCGGAAAAUGUGACAUUUUAUCCUUGACAUUAUAGGUUCUGGUUGACAACGCCGACCUCCUCAAGGAACUCCAGUGAAGACCAGACGCCCAGGUGCCAUGCUAGAUGCAAUGCUCAUCCGUGAUGUAAUAAAAUGGCAGUUGGUGGUUGGGUUUGUAAUGGCAGUUGGUGGUUGGGUUUGUUCCUGCCCCGAUGAACCAAAAAUAAAACUGCUGCAGAGUUGUGUUUUUGCUAGUGAGGAUUGGGGUUGGCUAUGUGGUUGUGCCUGUUACUAGUAUGCAAUUGCUACCUGUAGCAACCUGCCUAUUACACUGGAUAAGUUCGCGUGGUUGAAUGGUGUUGGUUCACUUUGAUAUGUUCUGGUUGCCUGCUGAUGUUUUGUCAUGGAUUUGCUUUCAUAGGUGCCAGGAUACGCUGUUGCUGAUCUUGCGCUUAUUGGUAGGUAAGAAUGCAUCAGGUCCUAAAUGAAUCUUCAGUGGUAAUUGAUGCAGCUUUGCGUGUGCCAUCUGAUCGUGUUAAUUUUUUGAUGCCGCUCUCAUUGUAUUAAUUUUUCGAUGUCGCCUGAUUUUGCCUGAUGAAUCCCAUUUUAUUGGAGGCGGUGAACAUGUCUACAUCACCAGCUUAUAUAUACUGAACAAGGUGAUUUCAAAGCUCUGAAUGCAAAUUCGGAUAUCAUGAAGGGUUAUUUGGGUACUCGUCUGAUUGGAAGCUAAGGGUGUAGGUGUUUAAUGCACUCAUUCAGAUAUCACGAACUGGCUCAACACUGUAAUUUGGUAGCUAUGGGAUUGCCAAUGGACAUGGGGGGAAAACGGUUCUGAACUUCAUGCUAGACUGCUACAUUCACAUUUACAUACAGAACCAAAAGAAAGAAAGAAAGAAGAAAGAAAGGAAGGAAGGAAGAAAGCUCCUAGCCGCUGCAAUUUUGGAUGGCACUCCAUUGGUGAUUCUCUCUGCUGGAUCUCACGGUGAGCCUCUCAUUUUUCCCUUUGGCCUCAAUCGUUGUUCUUAAACAUGAUCUGAUCCGCAAAUACAAAUGGCACCAUCUGAUCCACAGGCCAAAAUCGUCUCGAUGCAUUGUGGUAAUUUUUUUCAUUUCAAGAUUAUUCCCUGAUGACGCUCCCAAAAUGACUCGUCCAAUCCUUGAACCUGACACAUUUACCUUGUAUUAGUUCCCUGCAUAUUGUUCCCCACUGAUGGAUGAAUCAUGUGCUCAUUCACAUGGCGGUAAUGUAGCUCUGGUUGAACUGCCUAGCCAAAUUGAGAUUCCUGGAAAUUGCCUGACAAAUCCGUUAGGUUAUAGAAGAUGGUGUGGCUAUUCAACACCAUUUCUUUCAACCAAACAAUAUGCGACAUCUUCAGAUGGGUAGCAAGUGUGUCAUUUGGCUGCUUUUCUGUUGAAAGCUGCCCUAAACAAUUUUCAUUGAUUUAUGGGUGAUGCAGAAAAAAAAACCAAACCAACGAGUCAGUUGAUGAAUUUGUUACCUAGGAUAUAGUGGACAUGGGGGUAGGGUGCUGUUCCCAAAUAGUUGUGGGGGAAAAAAAUACAGCCGGCAACGGCAUCAGUAAGCCAGACGUUCAAACAUGCUUACAGGAUAAAGGAAACUAAGCCCAAACCUACAUAGCUUUCGAUGGUGUAUCCUUUGGUGAUUCUUAUGGUUGAUCAAACCUCCAUUCUGUUUUCAAUUUGCCACCGUAUGUGUUCGUGGAUUAUUGUUAAAUUAUCUGAUCUGUUGAAAUCUCCUCUCAAUAUGUUAUAAUUAAUUAAUAGACACAAAUCUUAUGACAUAAAUGAUAUGUCCCUGAAAGCCAGUACUGAAAAUGCAUUCCUUGGCUUAACAGCUGGAUCUGAGUUGCAUGGCCAAGACCAGGAGCUUAACAUGGUUUCACUUUCACUACUGCUGACAUGUGACAUGCUGUAACCCUUAAAAAAAACGCCUCUUUAUUUACACAUGGAUGCAAUCAUGCAAGCUCUUCUGGUGUAACAUACAGUAAAUAUGCUCCAAAAUAUCACCUGACCUUUGAUGAGCGUUGCUGUUUCCAAACACUUCUCACUGGUGGUUAAUGGGACAGACAAGUAUGUCAUCAGCAAAAGGUUAAGUAACUCCUUCACUAGAAUUAUGCUUUUGGAAAAAAAGUGAUUUGAUAUAGGUAAUAAUCAUGUUAAAAGUUUAACACUGAAUGUCUGAAUUUGAAGGCAUAGGAACAUAAAGCUACUAGUUACCAUAACUGCUGGCAGGAUUUACUUUUGCAUGAAGAUUGGAGAGCACUUUCUGUAAAAGCAGCUGCACACGGCAAAUUUUCAGACUAACCUGAUGCAGCCCAGCUCACGCUUGCCCCUCACACCGCAGGUUCUGUUGGAUCACGUUGAUUCCCUGGCAAAAGCCGAGGUGACGAUUGACGACAACGCCUCAGCAUCCCUAUCAGCCAGUAUCUGGCACCUUGUCCAGUUCAUGCACAAAGUUGGAUGCUGAUGCUGCCGUCCCAGUUGGCGCGUUGCUGUUCGUCGUCGGAGCCAACAGCUCGAUCCCCGACCCUCAGAACGCGUUGUCGGAUGCCUGACGACCAUAAGAAGUCUUAUCAUUCAGGCCUGAUUGAACUGAUACAGAGGAAUUUCACAAGCAGCUUGAUUCUCUCUUCAGGCUGUGUGGUUUCUCAUACCUGAUGCAGAAUUGCCGAAGGGCUCCUUUGCACAUGACCUCUCAUGUUAUGGAUGCCCACUGUGGGUUCUUCAGAAGGAACAGUUGCACGAUAGCGUUGUCGGUAAUGUUGAUAGCCCUCCAAGUGAGUGAUCUCUGAAAGGCUGGAAUGGAAACAAGAGAGGUGUUACUGCUGUGCAAGCGCUUUUAAUCAUGUUGUUAACUGUUAAGCUGUUGUUUGCUUUUGUUUGGCUGCAGUUUUUCCUGCAAGAUUCUGCAUCAUUCCAUGGUCACCAAGGGCCAGUGGGCCUGUACUUUUCUGACAGAUACUCUUGACCACGGCAUCUCCCAUGGUGCCCCAAAAGGAAAUAUUCACACAGGGAGGGUGCAGUAAAAAUUGUACCGAGACAUUUGAGUGAUGUAAGUGCUUCAUUAACCAAGGAUUGCAUUGGGCACCAUUGCGAAAAAAGAAAAAAAAGAAAAGAAAGAAAGAAUGUAGCUGGAUCUUGCAUAGUGCUACAUUUUUUCAGAAAUCAGGGUCAGGAAAGAAGAAUAGUUCAUUCCAAUUGUCCAAUAAAAAUAAACGACACAGGCACAUGCACAAUGUGCAAAUAAACAGCAUCUACAAUUUUACUUCAAGAUAGUUAUAAAAAAAAAUUACUGCAAGAUGACUCGGCGCGGAGGCGUAGCAAUCAUGGAUCAGGACUUUGCAUUGAUCAUUAUUACAAUGAAAUAGGGAUGGAGAUCAGGGAAAAGGAGGGACAUCCACGAAGGCUUAUCACAAUUUGUCCUUUUGGAUGCUCUCUCUGUGAGUAGCUCCAAUUGCACACACACAAGAGGCUCUGCAAUCGCCCCCGCACGAACGCAUAUAAUCAGUUUUUUUUUCUUUGCCAGUUUCCAGACAUUGCAUCGUGGCCAUUCAUUUGUUCGUACAAAAAAGUCCCCUGAUUUGAUCUGGUGCGCUGCAUGUAUAGAGUGGUUCAUCACGAGCUAUCUUCUGUAGCGGGGAGAAGGUUGAUGACUUGAUUCCUUUGAGGCAUGCAUUCUCUUGACUCUCCUUGGGACUGUCGUUCAUAUAUGUGGGACUGUCGUUCAUACAUAUAUGGACCUAUCAGAAAAUUUGGAUAGUUUUAAAUAUAGGAUUGGAUACCGAGACGCAUCUGAUAUGGAGACCAUAGCGCAGGACGGCGUAGUCUACAUAGAAAGACAGGAACUAGUCGAGGAUUAGGAAAGUACUCGUUGUAAUAAGAGUAGAACUUCUCUAGUUGUAUCCGUCUAGUAUUCUGAUAACCAACCGACUUGUAACCUGCCCCCGGCAAUAUAAGGUGAGAUAGGGGCCCUCCAAAGCAAUUCAAUCCAACCAACAUACAUGACGUAGGGUAUUACGCAACUUUAGCGGCUCGAACCUGUCUAAAUCGUGUAUCCGCAUUUACCUUCGAGUUCCUAAUCUCGACGAGCCCCACUAAUCAAAACACUACCUCGGGCACUCCCCUCGGUUGGUUGCCGGGUUUAAACACCGACAGCUAACACGCCAGGUAGGGGAUCUCGCCAAGAAUCCACUAGCAAACUCGAUGACUCAAGUCAUCAUUAACCCAAUCGUCGCGUUCGAAGCAGGCACGACGUUCGUCUUUGGCUUCUGGGUUUGCAUUGCAGACGGCGUUGAAAAUUUUCACCGCCAAAUCAUGUCGACUCCGGAGAAGAAGCAGCAAACCAUGAAGCUCCAGCGCCAAGCUCUGGAGAACCUUGUCGAGAGUUUCGGCGAAUUUUCAAUUUUUGACCUAGUCAGAGGCUUGGGGAACGAGUCUAAGUUCAACUCGAUUUCUGCCGUUAGUCAGAUCUACUUUCACGAGCUGGCACAUAAGCCAUCGUACGAGUCGGACUACCACCUGAGUCGAUUCCCGUUCGAACUCCACAGCACGACUACUAUUUAUUAGGCUGCCCUGUCUAGAUCACAAUUCGAUACGGGUACGAUCAAGGACCUUGACUACUACUCGGAUCUGGACGAGGAGACUCCUUUAUCAGGUCCACAGUAGGACCUGGUAAUUAAAUCAACUCCCCAAGGCAAAUUCGUCUACUGGCCCAACAUGAAGCCACCCGCUCUUGCCAAAGACGAUGAUUCACACCUCAUCGCCUACACGACAUUCUCCUAUACCAGGAGGGAGCUCUUCUAUCGCCCAUCUACGAGGAAGGCAAUACCACGGAGGUCAUCACUUCAAGCUCAGGAAGCCACUCUCCAGAGUGAGAACUCUUUGCCGUCAUUACUGGACAAGAGGACGAAGAAGAAGAGUAAUGGAACAGAAACUCGCGACAUGAGCGUCACCCGGAUGACAUCUCACAGGAUGAACUCACCACCAACGUUGUCGAAGAAGAAACCGAGGCUCAAAAAACUCGACGACGAGCAAAAAACACCAUAAGAGCAGAGCAUCGCCGCCUUGCAACGGACUUACCAAUUCAUAACUUGGAUAACACCUUUAAAACAGUUCAAACAUAUCACCAUCGUACUCCCCUGGCUAUCGUCGCGUCUAUUGAUUUCAUCACCCACGCGAUGCCUUAGAACAAGUACACAAGAGAAUUGGCACAACUUAAUCAGCAGAAUCCGAUACAGUCAGUCUAACAUUGCCCAUCCCAGCGAAGUCAACAUGGCAGCAGCCAUAGAGACCCUCCGUCCAGACCAAGUUAACUCGGAGGCGCCAAACCAAGCUAAGCUGGAGCUGAAAGUAGUCGGGCAGGACCCUUAGAAGGCUGUGGCCACUGUAGGGCUAACCUAGAGGUUGAAUGCCCAAUAGAAGACCUCUACAACAAGUUCAACGCUAGCCGCGAUGCCCAUACCAUCAUCGACGGACGACGCUGCGAGCUCAAGCAAGAAGUCGAACACCCAGGAGAUGAUACUGACGGGUUCCCCCCACCUUCUCAAGACAUGUGAGGAGGACAACUCUACCUGAAAAGUUCAAACCCCCGGGUAUCACCAAGUACGAUGACAAACAGGACCCAGUCCAAUGGCUCCGGUGCAACUCACUGUCAGUGCAGGCUGCUGGAGGAAACGACGACAACAAAGUCAUCUACUUCCCCAUCUACAUGGAGGCGACGCCACUCACAUGGCUCGAAUGGUUGGAUAAUAACUCCAUCGACUCGUGGAAGGACCCCAAUGUAGAGUUCACCAACAACUACGCAGGGGCAAUGUAGUAUCCUAGCAACAGGAUCGACUUGUCUCAAGUUAAACAACAAGAAGGCAAGACCCUGCGGAGCUACUUACGUCGCUUUUUCGACAAGAAGGCCACAAUCGUGGAUAUCACGAAGCGCGGUGUUAUAGACUGCUCCAGAAUGAUCUUCACGACCGCCGGAUAUUCUGGGACUUCGGCAGAAGAUGCCCCGCUGAUGUCAAAUCUCUCAAGAUCAUGGUACAGACGUGGGCAGAUGAAGAAGAUAAGAAGAUCAAAAGGUUCGAGUCCAAUUGCAACAAGGGCCAGAACAACAACAAUUAAAAUAAUAGCCAACGCAACGACAAGAACCGCAACGAUCGUCCCGACAAUGACAACCGAAAUAAAUACUCGGGAAGUCACAACCGCAAACGAAAGCCAGACAAUACUAUCGCGGCAAUUUCGCAGUCGUCCAAGAAAGGUGGUGGCAACAAUCAAAAUAGAUCCUCGUUCAACGAGCUCCUGAAGAAACAGUGCCCAUAGCACCCAUACCACAAGUACUCUACGAUAGAUUGUUUUAGUCUACGAAGAGUUAUGAAGGAUCUACUAGAGCCAUCUGGCACCAAAGAUAAGGGUAAGGCCAAGGGAAGACGAAGACGAUGGUGACAAUGGCAAGUUCCAGAUCCCAUCCAACACCGUCAACGUCAUCUUCGACGGAACCCUAGGUACUGCUACUAAGCGGUUCCAGAAGCUUACUCUUCGAGAGAUAAUGUCCAUUCAACCUGCGACGCCAACGUUUCUCAAAUGAUCCGAGGUGCAAAUUGCCUUCUCCAGGAAGAACCAAUGGACUAGUUUCUCAGACCCAGGACCGUAUCCCCUCAUCAUGGAUCUGGUUGUCACUGGCUCCAGACUUACUAAAGUACUCAUCGAUGGUGAUAGCGGUCUCAACGUCCUGUUCGCCAAGACACUGAAGAAAAUGGGUCUCGACGUCACCGAUAUGCUCACCCCAACGAACUCUCCAUCCUAUGGGAUCAUCCCGGGGAACCAUCAAAACUCAAAAUUCUAAAAAAGAAGUCGGGGGCAACCAAGGUCAAGCUGUCAAGUGAAGUAGACAUCAAAUCCAUUAACCUUGAGACUGGUGAUAGCUCCAAAACAGCCCUGAUCGGCACAGGGCUGAAUCCUAAAUAGGAAAGCGCACUCGUCAAUUUCCUUCGGGCCAACCGAGAUAUCUUUGCGUGAAAACCAGCGAACAUGCCAGGGGUGCCUAGGGAGUUGAUCGAGCACUCACUCAAAGUGAAUCCAAAAGCUACAUAAAAAGGCAACGCCUACGACGAUUCACCCAAGACAGAAGGGAAGCCAUCAAGAAAGAGCUGGUCAAACUACUCGUGGCGGGCUUCAUAAAAGAAGUCUAUCAUCCAGAGUGGCUCGCCAAUCCCAUCCUAUCAAAGCCACCGGUCCUCACGGCACCAAACCCUAAUGAAGAAUUGUUGUUCUACCUCGUUGCAACUACUCACGUUGUCAACAUGUCGAUUGUGGUUGAAAGAACGGAACCAAGCCAUGUAUUCAACGUAUAGAGGCCUGUCUACUUCGUAAGUGAGGUACUGUUAGAUUCCAAGACUAGAUAUCCAUCGGUCCAGAAGCUACUGUACAUGAUACCGCUUACCUCGUGCAAGUUACGACAUUAUUUCCAGGAGCACAAGAUCUUCGUUGUCACCGACUUCCCCUAGGAGAAAUUCUCCACAAUCGAGAUACAAUAGAAAGAAUAUCUAAGUGGAAUUCAAAAUCAAGAAACUGCAAUCAAAGCCCAGGCCCUAGUCGAUUUCAUGGCAGAGUGGUGGGAGAAUCAACUACCAACGCCAUCAGAGUAUCCAGAGCACUAGGUCAUGUAUUUUGAUGGAUCACUCAAGCUCGAGGGCGUCGGUGCAGGCGUACUCUUGAUAUCUCCUGUGGGCGAAUAACUCAAGUACAUCCUACAAAUUUUCUAGGAAGUGUCCAACAACAAAGUUGAAUACGAGGCGCUUCCUGGCAGUCUCGCUAGGAAUAAAAUGAUUGCUGAUCUACGGUGACUCAUUGGUGGUGAUCAAUCAAGUCAAUGAUGAGUGGAACCGUCAUAAGGAAAACAUGGAUGUGUAUUGCCUAAAAGUACGCAGGCUAGAGAACAAAUUCUCUGGUUUGGAGUUCCACUAUGUAGUUCGCGACAACAACGUUACCGCAGACGUCCUAUCCAAGCUUGGAUCUACUCGUGCUCAAGAUCUAGCUGGGGUUUUCGUCCAUGAGCUACACAAGCUAUCCAUAACAAAGCUGGCACUGUCAACAACCACUGAUUGAGGUCCUACCACACCGGGAGGUCAUGAUGAUCGAUGUAGACUGGAGAGUCCUUUCAUCAACUACAUCAAAGAGCACAAGUUUCCAUCAAACACGACAGAAACAGAGCAAACCUUACGACGCAGCAAGAACUAUGUUCUAGUCGGAGAUAAGUUUUACAGAAGAGGCGCAUCAUCAGGAGUACUCAUGAAGUGCGUCUUACAGCAAGACGGCAAGAACAUACUAGAGGAGAUCCACAAAGGCAUUUGCGGCAACCUUAUGUCCUCGCGAACAAUCGUGGGUAAAACUUUCAGAUCAAGGUUCUAUUAGCCUACAACUCUCGCGACGUCGAGGAACUAGUCCGCCGAUACCAAGGGUGCCGGCAGGGACUCCAUUGCACAUCUUGCAAGCAACCUUCAUAAUUGGAUGAACUAGGCAAGUGGCACAGCUAUUUUACCAUUAGAAUGCUCGAGUUACAACUUAGAUAAGUGACUAGGUAGCAUUCAUCUACUUAUAUUUAGUACAAAUAGCUAUUAUUGACAGCUACGUUUGUGAACCAUCAUAUAUAUAUUCAGAUUAAAAUAUAAUGAAGUGUACUAUUAAAGAAAACGUGUAUCAUGUGUUUUCUUGUUGAUCCUACAUUGUAACAGAGAAUUAGAAAAGGGUAAAACAAAGUUGGAAAGUAGCAGCCCAAAACUGGUGAAUUGUGGGCAGCGGUGCAGUUGUGAAACUACAUCAACAAUUGAAGAUAUAUAUGAUGCAAAAAUUGAAGAGCUAGCAGUGAGUGUUAGUCAUAAAUCUACCAAUAAUCAACGUACAAAAAGCAAAAUGCAACGACACGAGGAAUCAAUCAAUCAGUCCAUCCACACACCUGCAAACAAUCAAUCGAAGGCGACGUGAUAUUGGCACGGCUCAAUCAGAGAGCAGAGCCCCCCUGCCUCCGGAGGGGCGCAGGCUCUCGAAUUGAACCGCGCCAAUACCCCGUCGCCGCGCGCCCACCUCUCGAUCGCGCUGGGCAUGGCAUCCAUCAAUCAAUGGAGCAGCUGGCACUCCUCUGCAUGGCGUAGAAUGGAAGGAGGACGCAUCGAGCAGCAGGGACGAGGGAGCGAAGCAUGAGCUUUCUCUGACGCCGGCGUCAGGAGGAAGAAGAAGAAGAAGCAAGCGGCGAUGGGCGCAUUGAUUGAGGCAGGCAGCGACCGUAUGACGGGGAGGGUGCGGUAUUUAUUGGCAACAUUCAAUUCGAGGAGGAAGGAGAGAGGGGGAGAGAGCGCACGAGAUGCCGAGAGAGAGAUGCAUGCACUACAGUGAGUACAGGAGGAAUCCAUCGAGGAGGGUCCGCGGUGGUCGUGCAACAGUUCGUGUUGCACGACUCCAAGGGUGCGUUUGGUUACCUUUGCUUAUUUUUAGCACAUAUCAUAUCGAAUAUUUAGAUACUAAAGAAAUAUUAAACGUAGACUAUUUACAAAACCCAUUACAUAAGUGGAGGUUAAAUGGCAAGACGAAUCUAUUAAUCCUAAUUAAUCCAUCAUUAGCAAAUGUUUACUGUAGCAACACAUUGUCAAAUCAUGGAGUAAUUAAGCUUAAUAGAUUCGUCUCGCCGUUUAGCCUCCACUUAUGUAAUGGGUUUUGUAAAUAGUCUACGUUUAAUACUCUUAAUUAGUAUCUAAACAUUCGAUGUGAUGGGUGCUAAAAAUAAGCAAGAGUAACCAAACCAGGCCUAAUUUAGUCUAUCAAAUUUAAUUUUAAAGAUUAACUUAAAUACUGUGCAAUUUUAAGAAAGAUAGAUACGGUUCAGUUGGAUUGUGAAGAAAAUAUGAGACGAUGAUCCAUUACUACCUCUAAGGGUAGGCUUUGAGGUGUGGAUGCGGGCACGUCUGCAGCCGCUGCUGCGCCACACCGUGUGGGAUGUUUGCCGCUUCUCCGAAUGAAAUCUCCGUGGUGGUGGUUCAUCGGCAUCCAAAUCCUCUGCUGCUAACACCUGAAUCUGUUGCGAUAACUCGCCAUUUGCCACCUUAAUUACGGCACCAUCUGAGCCUGUAACAUGCGUGGCAGAGCGGCAACUACGAGAAAUAGAAUGGCCACGGUUGAUCGGAUGGUGUGUUACUAAGGUGGCCAGUGCAUUGCUACCAAGUGAUGGAAACGUACGUAACCAUAGAGAGGAUAGAACCGUCAAGCGACAUUUAUGGCUUCAAUGCAACAAAGAACAGUCUUGCCCUCAUUCGAUGGGCAAUGCAUAUGAUUUGGUUUCUUUCAGCGUGUAUACUGUUGCCGGCGGUGCGUAGGAUUUGGCAUUCCCAUUCUUGCCCUCAUUCGAUGCACCAUGCAUGCCACAGCACCCUGCUUGCUGUCUACUGCAGAGGGGAUUCACCCUGCCUGAAGAGCCCAGGUCCGCCGACCUGCGGUGCAGUUCCACGGCCGCCGCCGCCGGCAGCAUUAGGUUGUCGGCGUGCCGGUGCUCUUCGCCAGCCGUCAGUGUAGUCGGCACACGCCGGUGGUCUCGUCGGCAGCGUGGCCAGUCAGCCUACGAACAGACGCAACAGCAACAGGCUGAUAAAAACGGUGGAAUAACCAGAUACGCAUGUGGUAUACUUCGAGAGAGCAGCAACUAACAUCAGGGAGAAACACUUGAUAAUAAGAGUUUCUGAAGCAUAGGAGGCACCAGUGUAACCAAAGGGCUACAUAAAUGUGCUGAGCAUUUUACGCUUCAAAGUACUUUUCAACAGUUCAGUGGAACGCAGCUUACGAGCUGCAUGCGACAAAGGCGGACCAGAUUAUGUACACGGACAGGUUCUUGAGAUAUGCCUAUUUACAGGAGGCAGUCACGAUGAGGCAAUUCCAGGUGCUUAGAACAGCCCGAAGGUGUUCUCGCCGCUGUAGGUCAUGUAGAGGAAGCCGUCCGCGUCCUUGUUCUCCUCGUAGAUGGCAGACAUCAGAGCGGCUGGAAGACCAAAGUGACAAUUAUGUUUAGGGACAGGGCACAGUUGUUUUCUAACGAUGAUGGUGCGUGCGCAAAGGAAACAUUGGCGUGUACCUGUUGGUGGGAGGGUGUUCUUUACAAAGAUGAAGAUCGCCUUCUCAGCGCUGAGCUUGAUCCGCUUCCGUACAACAUAGACAAACUGUCCAACUGUGAGGUCAGCAGGAACAAGGUACCUGUAUGCAGUCGGGUAUCAGGAACCAUACACCUUGAUGAUACAAGAAAAGUACAUUACAGUUGGUCUUUGCUUGUACUGAUAAACUAGGCUUUAUUCUGAAUUAAUUAAUGUUGCAAGGUGAUACAAGCAAAGAAUAUGCUAAUGGAGUAAGCAAUCAAUUUAUUGAUGACAACAUGCAUAAGAAACAAAUACUUGAUUCAGACGUUUAGUCUGUGGAACUUAUUAGAGAUAAACAACUUUAAGGCAUGGUUGGCACAGGAGUAAUACCCACGGCAAAGGCAACCAACAGUUUUGCACUAUCAAGAGUUUGACAAAAUCAAUCACGAAAAUUGCUAUACUUUCAGAAGCACAGGAAAACGAGAACUCUAAUACCAGGAAAACUAUCCGGACAAUUAGAAAAGCAAUGGAAUUAUUCAAAAAUGGAUAAGAGCUGACUGACUUUUUCUUGUCAAUGUCUGGGAUGUCGCUUCUCUCGGCCUUCUCAACAAUGACCUGUAUCACAAGAAAGCCAGCUUGACUAAGAACAAGUUGAUCAUGAAAAAGCAGCAGAAUACAUGAAUAAGAACAGAUGCUUACAGGGAUUCUAUCAGGGUACUUCUCCCUGAUGCGGUUGGCCUCAGCCUGCCUCCUCUCUGUGACAAAUGGCAAAUGUACAAUGAGAAUUUAGUUAUUCUAAAUCAAAAGGAUACAGUUCUUUAUAGAGAAAAAAAAAAGAAAAUACUGAAGAGUCCACACAAUGACAGGCACACAGUAAAUAAGAAACAGACAAUGGUAAAGCAUAAUGUGCAACAAGCACACCCUACAGCAUCUGGCGAUGCCCCGUAGAAGUUAAUGGUGCAGCAAUGCUAUCUAACUAACUGCAACAAUUUUUAAUACAGGUAUAGGGCAAUACUAAAAAAACACAGGUAUAGGACAGGCAUAUAAACAGAGAUACAACCUAAACCUGAAAGAAUUGCAGAGCAAUAAAAACUGGAGACUAAGAACUCAGGAACACAUCCAGAAAGUUUUUAACAUGAAGACGACCAAUUGCACAGAAAGGCAAUUCACUAGUUACUGGAGCUGUGAUCAAUUCUGCUGCGGCCAAAAUGUCAGUCCAAGUUGCUAGAAGCCUCAGAUUUAAUUCAAGCGAACGGCAAACUGUGGCCAACUAUUUGGCUAGCAAUUUUACUAGGAACCACAAGCACCAUCAUCUUCCACUACUCUAGCCGCCUACAGACUAGUAGGGGAUCACAACGGCGAAGCUGCGGAUUCUAACCAACCGAUCCAUACGAGGCACACAACCAGCCCAUACUCGGGGUCCACGGAACCAACAAAAGGGAGCCAUUUCCCACAGUAGCACCGCGCAACCGCGACCCCGUCGCACAGACCAACCACCCCCGCCCCCCCCCCCCCCCCCCCCCCCCCCCCGCGACCACGAAGCUCCGCUUAAACUCAACGGAUCGAUCCGAUCGAUCGAUACCACGGCCGCGGCCGAGACUCUAGCGCCACGACGAGGACAACGAACCGAUUAGAGACGAGCGAGAGGGGUGAGUGGGCGGGGGAGGACGCACCGAGGGGGUGCUCCAGCUUGAACGAGCUCCUGGCCAUCGCCCGCCUUCCUCUUCCUCCUCAACCGCGCGCGACCGCAGGCAGCAGCAAACCUGGGUGAGAGACGAAUCGGGUCAGGAAUUACCCGCAGGUGAAGGGCCCCGGAUCGAAUCGACCUGCUGCGGCGGCGGGUACUCACCGGGACGGACGGACGGACGGACAGACGGGUGGGUGGACCGGGCGGCAGCGGAUUGGACGGGGAUCGGUCGGAGGCGGAGGGGGGAGAAAUUGGGGCGAGGACCGGGAGAGGUGGGGGAGGAGUGGGGAUAGGGGAGUUGCUCGGCUGGUUAAAUGCUACGCGCACGCAAGCGGUAGCGUGCGCCCGCCCCCGUUCCCACGGGGGAGAGAUGAGAGGGGAGGGUGGAAUUGGAAUGGAUAAGUCCGUCCCUCUCCUCCUCCUCCGGCCAUUGCUUUGCUUUUGCUUGCGUGUCCCGAAGAAGCAGUUCACCUCCGGGUCUUCCGUGUCGCCAUCGCUCGCCACUUGGGUGCUUGUGCUCGCAUUGGAUUCCACUUGUUGAAAUUUUCGAUUUGGUUUUUUGGUUUUUUAAAAUGGUGGUCCUAUGCAGGAGGCAGUUUUCUAGUGUAUUGACCAGGACUCCAGAACUGGGCUUUUUGAAUUUUUUUUUUCACGGAUAAUAUAUGCCAACUUAAGGUAUUUUUGGAGUAUGGAUUUAGUUGCAUACUAAUAGUUUUAAUGCUUUUUUGUCUGUUAAAUAUUAAAAUUUCCGUUAAAAUUCAUCUGUUUCGAAAACAAGUCACGUCCUAUGUUUUCAAUCAAUCAAACGGAGGUAUUUAUCACCAGAUUAAAAAGUAAUAGUAUUCAAGAAAGAAUAGAAAAAAACCGAACUGAUUCACCGGUUGAACCGGAAAAACUGUGAACCUAGAUUGGUUCGGUUCAAUCAAAAGAUCGGAUGCAAUUGGACCAGUGCAAACCGGCUGGUUUUGUAUUGAACUGGUGAACCAGUUUUUCAGUGAAACCAGCAUUGAACUGGUGAACCAGUUUUUCAGUGAACCAGUUUCGACGUUUGGACAUUGAUUUUGGAACUUUGGACAAUAAAUUAUUAUAUUAUUUCUAUGUAAUCCCUAUCAUGUCAUAUGUGAUAUGCUUUGGUAAUAAAACUUGCAUAUUACUUAUAUAAAUCAUGAGAAAUAAGUAUUAUAUUGAUAAAUGAUGAACCACUGGUUCAACCAGUGAACCAUUGGCUGGACCGGUAGUAAACCAUUGGCUGGACCUGUAAAUCAGUGAACCGGUAAAUCAGUGAACCAGUAGCUUGACUGGUUCCUGGUUCGAUCUGCGGUUCGACUUUUUUUUCUAUGCAAGAAAGUCUUGAAAUUUCAGACGGUGAGAUUAGGUAUAACGUGAGAAUGCAAUCCUGCCUAAGUUUAGCUAAAAUUACAGCGGUUUUACAAACCCAACUCCCCGUAUCCUAGAAGAACUCUAUGCCGGAAUCGUGUUGCUACCAAUGAAUCUCGACGGAACCCUACGGAAGAUGAUACCAGAGCAGCAGCGGCAUAUAGACAAGUUACAUGCCACUUCUUUCUCAAGUCUUUAUGGGUAGAAAGCGACCGAUUGCGACUUCCUACCAAACGGAGGGCCUUCCAGUUCCAGGAUAUCCCUUCCUCCAGAAGGGCGACGCGUGUUGCUCCGACUUGGAACACAGAGAAAAGGGCCCACCAUUUUGUCGGAUAACACUCGACAUUUGCAAACUUGGAUAGACAUUUUCAGAUCAUGCAAACAAUACCGCCUCAAUCAAUAUCGCUAGGCAACAGAAGAUUAACAGCGCAAAGCAAGGCAUAGAAGGGCACCAUCUUAGGUUCCCAGCAACCAUACUACUUCAAUCAGUACUUAUAAGGUCUCUGACAUCCAUCACCAUUUCAGAGUGUUCCAACACUUCCAGAUGAAGUCCAGAACACGGUUACAGCCUACACACAAGUUACCAUACCAUACGAACUACCAUGAGUCAGUCUCCCAGGCGACCUGUUACACUGAUUGCGGCACACAACCAACCACCUAGGAUGUCGUCCCCUUGCCCUCAGCGCGCUUCAUAUUGAACAACUGCAAAAAAUGAGAGCAACAUAUCGAUCAAGACAAGUAUGGAUCCAGAUUAAAUUGCAAAAAUAAUAUGAAUAACUAUUGGCAUCAAGUAGCAUGCAUGCUUUACAAAUUAGAGCGAAGGCCAAAAGAAGGGCGCAACUAAUCAGGACAAUGGAUGUCGCUUGAACUCAGUUAAAAGUUGUGAGAUCUUAUUUUUGGAUUUGGUUUGGCUACCAAAUUUCAGUGCCAAGUGGUUCCCGUGAUGUACACACAAAGGGACAAAGGGUGGGUUCUAUAUGCCCUGAACUGAGAUUGUCAAACAAUGAAGGAAACAAGAUGUCAAGCUGAUUGCCACUUUUUCUACCUCAACUUCAUCAGCAAACAUCACUCUACCUCACUCAAGCCCUAUGGUAGAACCUAAAGUUCUGCUCCUCAAUCACACCAUCACGUCAACCUCAACCACCUGCAAUGCCUACCACCUUCCUCCUCACCAUUAAAACAACAAUUUGCAUACCCUCCAAUCACCCCAUCCCUUCUCCUUUAAGGACAGGGCAAUCCAUCUUCCCAUUACAACAUAAUCCUCUUCAACACAAUGUCCAGUGGGAAAACCUUUAUUGCGGAAAAACAAGUGUUCCGAUUUAUGAACCAAAAAACUCAUUUGCAUCAGCAUCAAAGAACCACAACCUACAAUACCUUAUGGGAGAGUUAACCAGCCUCUAGGAAGGAAGCAUGUACCCUAAUAAUCUGAUUACCCAAAAUAAAGUACAUAUGUAAGAGCAUAUAAACCAGUCUAAUUGCCAGUCAAACACCUCCUGGAUGUACAAGCACCAUGAUGGACAGCUCAUGAAAAAAAAACAUAAUCAUAUAUUUAAGCAGGGCAUGGUAACUAACUACUCCAUGGCAAAUUCAAUAAAUGUAACCACAUCAAGAGACUUCCACCACUUGCCAAAAUAGAUCUAUGAGAGUAGGGGGCUAAAGGCCUAAGGGGUGUAACUUUUUAUCUUGGAUGACAAUGGCCCUGGGCCCUAAUCAUCAAGAAACUCAGAGCUCUAAACAUAAGAAUAGAUUUACCUCAAAGACCAAAUAAUUACUGAAAAUGGUCGAAAAAGGUAAUUUAAACUUGCAGGUUCCAUCUUUCCAUGGAAUGUCUACCCUGAGAAUUUAAAUUUAUAGAAACUUUGAAGAGUUUCAUGGUUAGGCUUUGGUUUAGUCAACAAAUAGACAGUGCAUAUAGCGAUACUACCAAAAGUAAUGGAAGAAACACUUUUAUCCACACAUAAUCUUCAGCAAAGCUAGGUACACCAUUUAGACAGGUUAAAAAAACAAAAUGGUCAAUUAAUUGUGGACUAGCAAACUGGCCAACUGGGUCUGCUUAAGAAUUAGAAACAAUGAUGAAACAAAAAAGGUAUUUUCUCAUUAUUUUAAGUUUUUUUUUUCCUAAAAGAAGCCAUUCCAGGUCAAAUAUGCUAUAUCUACGUUGUAUAAAAUAUAGAGAUACAGUGGGGGAAAAUAUAUACAGCAUCAGUUAGGAUGGGUAAGUGUGUAACCGCAGGACAACUCCAUGCUAAUGUGCUUGAACUACUUAAAAGUGGUCUGUAAAGGUUUAAUAACUUAAUGCCCAACCCUUCUUGAUAACAGGCUGUCAGGCCUGUAUGAGAUUUUCCAUGGCUCACUGGCUAUAUUUACCCAAGCUCAUGGUACACCGUACACAUUUAUGCUAUACUCAGGAAAGACCAUAACAACAGCACAAGCCUGUUAUCACUUAUCAGAAGCCAUAUAAGAUGUGUCCCGUUAUAUAUGUACCAAUCAGCAACUAUAAUUGAUUCUUAGCGGUCAUUGGUGAAAGCAUAAGCAAUCACUUCAGACACAGACAACCUUGGAAUUGUACAAACAAGUUCAUAUUUCCAUGGAAUGUCUCCCCUGAGAAUUUAUACAACCUUCAAAGAGUUCCAUGACAGUGCAUACAGUGAUACUACCAAAAGUAACAUAAGACACUUUUGAACACACAUAAUCUCCAGCAAAGCCAGCUACACCUUUUGUGCAGGUUUAAAAAAAGAAAUGGUCAAUUAAUUGUGGUGUAGCAAGCUGAGUCUGUUUAAAAAGUAAAAAAUAAUGAUACAAACAAGCAUUUUCUCAUCAUUUUAAGUAAAUUUUUGAAAAAAGUCAUUCCAGGUUAAACAUACUAUAUCUACAUUGUACAAAAUAUAGACACAUGGGGGAAAUAUCUAGCAACAGUUAGAUGGGUACUGGGCAACCGCAGAACUACUCCAUGACAAUGUGCUUGAACUACUUGAAAGUGGUCUGCAAAGGUAAAGUAACUUAAUGCCCACCCCUUCUGAAACAGGCUGUCAGGCAUAUAUGAGACUUUCGAUGGCUUACCGGCUAUAUUAUCACAAGCACAUGGUACACGUCUAUGAUAUACCCAGGAAAAAUGUAACAACAGCGCAAACAUGUUAUCAGAAGCCGUAAAGGACGUGUCCCGUUAUAUAUGUGCCGAUCAGCAACUAGAGUAGAAUCUAAGCAGACAUUUGUGAAAGCACAAGCAAUCACUUCAGAGUUCAGACACAGCCACAUGAGAUUUCAAGAGAGGAGUAAAAGUGGACAUACUUCGGUGGGUCCGCUUCUUGUAGAGGAUGCGGUAGCCGCAGUCGCGGCACUGGAUCACAUCUCCCGGCUUCAGCGUGUUCUCGGAUCCACAAUCUGAAACAAAAGCAAUCGAUGCUCUGUUUCAGAAAAUGAAAGAGGAAUUAAAUAAUUCACUAUCUGGCAAACAGCAAACUGUGGGGAAACUACUGGAGAUGAAACCAGACAUUCAUCGGUAAGCAUAAGUUGGGAGUCACUAAAACUUGUAAUUUCGAUCCGUGUUCAGCCACCAAAGCUUCUAAUUUUCCGGAUUGAUGAAUCACCCUUAGUUGGAGAAAGCUGCUAAUACAUCUCUACGGGUUCAAAAUUCCAGGACCAAUUUCGGUCCUCUUGUACGACAUCUACACGUGUAAUCUUACAGAACCCGAAAAAAAUAUUUUCCAGGUGAGAAACAAAGAAGCCAAAUCGCGUCCCUUCUCUUUUCCUACCCCUUGCUAAGCUACACGCACGAAAAUCAGUCGCGGUGAGCUGUCCCGGCAACGAACAAUUGACCCGGCCGAGAACCGGGGCGACAAAUCUAGACCGGGACGGAGAUAAGGAUGGAGGAGGGAGAGGGAUGAAGGAUCACCUCCGCAGAGGUAGCUGACGGGUUCCGGCUGCUGAGGGUCCAUCCGGUGAGCCGCGAGCUAGGGUUUCUCUCUCUCUCUCUCUGGGGGAGGAGGGAACUCGGAGCAGGGUUUUUUUUUUUUUGAGGGGGCGGGAACACGGAGCAGGUAGGGCCGUAGGGGAGCGAAGAUGGGCAGACCGGCAGAGAGAUUAGUGAGAGGGAGGAGAGUAGGCUUUGACUGGGCCUCUGGACCGUCGCUAUUUCUCCCUGCCGGAUGGGCCUAGAGCCUGUAUCGGGCCGCAGGCCCAACUUAUGCGGAGGUGGGGCUACCAAAGUGAUGAACAAGAUAGUGGGCCCAAUAAGUCUUUGCAUUUUCAGCACAGCUAGGGUGGGCAUUCGGUUAAUUCAGGAAAUUCGGGUCGGGUAAUAUAAAUUUGGGUUUUCAAAAUAGCUACCCGAACUUCACGGAGAAUACCUGAAUUUCUAGGUACCCGAAAAAAUCAGGUUCGGAUUUUCCCGAAUUACCCAAUAAAUUGCAUACGUUUGUUCCCCAACCGCCACUAUAUCAUGACCACAACUUUGAUAAUACAUGAGAUGAAACAAAAACGCAUUUCAACAUAACACAUACCAAUUACACACAAAAAACAAGUAAAUUGAUGGAUCAAACUAAUAAAUUCGCUACAUUUACAAUCUACUAGUGCAUAAUCCAAUGGCUUUUAGCAUAGUUCGGAUAAAUCAGAAAUUCGGGUACUGGAGUUGAAUACCCGAAUUUCCUGAAUUAAAUUCGGGUUUCUCAACUUCGUACUCAACUUUGUACCCGAAAUAGUGAUCGAGAAUAUCGGGUUCGGGUAUUUCGGGAUUGGAUUCGGGUAAUUUGGGUUCAGGGUUCGAGUUCGGAAAAUUCUGCCCACGCCUAAGGACAGUCGAGCAACACCGCAAACCUGAUUCCACCACCCUCGCACGUGAGGCGACGUAGUGAGCUGCGAGCAGCAGGAGGUGGGGCCACACACCCACAUGUGAUGGUGCUAGGGGAAAAUCACGAAACAGCACCAGUCUGGCACGUUGUUCACGAAACAGCACUGGAAUCUUGGGGUUUCAGAGAACGAUUUCAGAGAACAACACCGCAGUCAUCUCAUGGAUUCCCGUAGGGAAUUUUGUGUGUAGCACACUCUAAAAGGGUGGUUUUGUGAGAAACACACUUCAUUCUUCAAUUUAGUCAGCUGGAUACUAUGAUUUUGCAUUUUUGUUUCCACCACACUGCAGCACAUAAAAAGACCAUUUUGCCCUCAUAAGGUCGGGUCCACUUGUCAGCCCUCUGCCUCUUCUCCUUUUCCUUUCCCUUUCCCCCCUCUCUCCCUCCCAUGCCAAACUCGGGCACAUUGUUGAGCGGCGCACCGUUGGAGGUCGUCCGUGGGUGCGUGCCGCUAUUCACCACCCUCCGGUGCUCGCCCUCGCUGCCUCCUCCACGCGGGGAUGGAGGCCGGGAGCAUGCCGCUGAGGAGGCAGUGGGUGAUGUGCACCUCCCUGUGCGUGCUUGGCCAGCUGCAGGGAGGAGAUCGGGGGAGCUGCAGGGUGGCCACCGCAGCAACGCGAAGGGGAUUCAGCGUGGGAUGUGGCCCGUGGUAGCGCGGAGUUGGGGUGCGGUAGGUGGCCUGCGAUGGUGGAGGGGGAGGGGCACGGGAGGUGCCCUACGGUGGCUGAUGGGCGCACGGAGGGGGUGGGGUGCGGGAUGUGGCUUGCGCCGGUGCGGAGGGGUUGGGCCCAGGAUGUGGCCCACGACGGCACGGUAUGGUCGGGCACGAGAUGCGGACGACGUCGGCGGAGUGGUGACGCGGAGAGGAAAGGGAAGGAGGAGAGGGAGAGAGCUGACGGGUGGGCCCGGUCCUAGGAGGGCGAAACGGUCCUUUUAUGUGGUGGAGAUAAAAAUGUAAAAUGGUAUUGUCCAGCCAACUAAAUCGAUUAAUAGAGUGUGUCACACACAAAACCACCAUUUUAGGGUGUCCUACGUACAAAAUUCCCAUUCCCGAAACAGCACUCCUCCUUGGUUUCCCUCUAUUUUAUUUGUUUCCCUUUGUUUCAGGAAAAAAUCAAAAGACCAACUUGCCCCUUGUGUCUCGCACUCUCAUUCCCCUUCCCCGUAUGCUCAAACUCAUUCUUUCCUCGAGCGCUCUCGGAACGCCCAAAGCCUAAAAGGACGGCAUGGCUACUAGUAGCAGCGGCUAGCCACUUUGACCACUGUGAAAAAUUUGCGGCUCCUUUAUCAAAACUGGACGGAAGAGGCACAAAUGGAGGCCUAAAAACGCUGCACGGGGCAAAUUGGUCCAUUUGUAAGUGAAGAAAGGACCAAACCCAAAUAGAAGACUGAAAAAGGUAGCUGUAGUGUGUUUUAGCGACCCAUCUGCUAAAACCAGUGCCAUUCUCAGAAUUCACAUGUAUCAAGUGCUAUUUCUUGAACACCAUGUGAAACUAGUGCUAUUUUCUGAAUUCUCCCAAUGGCGUUGCUGCGGCCCCACGUGGAUUGCCAUGCUGCGCGCGCGAGCGUGUUUUUUUUUCUUUCUCAUUUUUUCCUAUUCAAUUAAUUUUUCCAUAUCAUUUUGUAUUCAAGUAAAUAUUGUUCGUGUAUAAGUUAUGUGCAUAAAUUGUUUAACAACAUUCUCGUAAGUUAUGACAAAUGUUAUGCGUAUAAGUUAUGUGUAUCAUGAAAAUUGUAUUACAAAAUUUAUCACGUAAGUUGUUGGCAGCAAAAAGUUAUGUAUAAAUCGUCUGUAUAAGUUAUAAAUUUGUAAAAAUAAGAAUUUGAACGUGUCCUUUAUAAAUUGUACAUAGAAAUUAUAUGCAUAAGUUCUGCAUGCCAUUAAAGUUAUGCUUCAAAAUUAUCUCAUAAGUUAUUAGUAUGAAAUUAUACGUCGAAGUUAUGUGUAUAAGUUCUAAUGUUUAAAAAAUGGAAAGUUAUGGGAAUUAAUAAUUUCUCGAAAUGGAAAGUUUGGGAGAGUCUUGUGGGCUAUGGGGAUUCUAUGGCUGAUAAUGCUCUUGGCGCGCGCCAGUUAGCAUGGCCCGAGCAACACUGGAAAUCCUAUAUAUCUUCCGGAAGUUAAAAGCUUAUGCAUCUACCGGUGUUUGAAGUUCGUGUUGCAAGUAUGGACGGAUCGGAUUCACAGACAAGCGCAGCAAAGCAUGCACCCAUGCAGCAAGACAAUGCAUAUACGCACAUGUGGCGGGCGACUGUUGGUUGCUAGAUGGGUGGUAGGUGGGCAAUGUUAUUUCAAGAUUCAAAAUUAUUAUCUCCUAAACUGCUUAUCAUUUUUUGAAUCCAUCGAAACCAUGAGAUUAUUUAGAAUUAAUGUAACAAAAUGAUAUCCUAUGUGCAUAUUUUUAUAAAAAUAAAUAUUCAACAUUUAGACUAACUGUUUCAACAUUUUUCUAUAUUACCUCAACAUUUCACUUUUUAUAUUGUUUCACAAUUUUUUCUAUAUUAUCUCAACAUUUAACUUUUUAUAUUGUUUCAACACUUUUUCUAUAUUACCUCAACAUUUACAUAAAAAUGUUGAAUUAGAUUUGAAUAUGAUAUUUUCCAACAUUUUUCAUAUAAAUGUUGAGGUAGUUUUUUUUAAAUUGUUGAACGGUUUUCGAGACUUGUUGAAUCUUGUUAUUCAAAAUGUUGAAAGCAUGAAAGUAUAAAAUAGUAACUUAUAAUCACAAAGAUUAAAAUAAAUAGGAUAAAAUGUUGUUGUAGUGGUCCGUUCGUACUUCGUAUUAGAUACAGUUUAAAAAAAUGAGGGCAUCAUAUUUAGUACUUGCUGUGCGCGUUCUCCUCGUGAUUAAAAAAAGCAGCAAGCUGGCAAGCUACUGCCUCCGGUGGUUCUCGCGCUAGUUUCCACGCGUAAAAGAAGUAGCAGGCCGCCGUUGGCCCAGAGUAUUGGGCCGCGAUGGGCCAUGCGACGGUUAGCUUAUCCACCUUCUGGAAUACAGAUAGGAGCGCCCGAGCAACAUUGCACUACUGGUGAGCUCAAGCCACCUCUUCUUCACUUGAGCUUCAAUGUAAUUUGUUUUACUUUCAGGAGUGCCUUCACAAGGGGCUUGAUGUAAAUUUCAUGUUAUCUUUUCAAUAAAAUUCAACCCGGUGCACUAAAAAAAAACUGGUGAGCACAAGUAAUAAGUUUCCUCUCAAAAAAGAAAAAGCUAUGUAGUACACCAAAGUAUAGGGGCCUAGGGGGGCUUGGCCCUCCUCAGCCCUCCUACUGCCACCCUGCCAGCAGCAGGCAACACAUGCAUGCUCAACGUCACAAAUGAGUUGCCAUCGUCCUUGUUCUGAGUUCUCACAAAAGCACUCCGAACGGAAGCUAAGCAUAUCUAGAGAAAACCCUCUACAAUGCUGGCCCUAACGGCCCAACCCACGUGUCACCGCCGACUGGAUCUCUGGUGGGGGCAAACGGAUCAAAGACCCAAAAAUUGUCUGAUAUAUGUGUAUCUUUUUAUUACUCACCUUGGUGGAGCGAUUAGGUGGCAAACGCUACGGCAAAGGUGACUACAACGUUGAUAACGACGGGUCUGUUUGGUAGAGCUCCAUUUGAUUCUGAUUCUUUAUAGGAGCUAAUUCUAUAAGAGAAGUGAUUCUAUGGUUGGAAGUGUUUCUCUUUGAUUCUCUAGCAUAAACUCUUAAAAUCAGGAUGGAAAAUCACUUCACAGAAUUAGGAGAAGCUACUUUUUUCAGCUCCGAGCCCCUUAGUUCAUUUUAGAGAAUCACUUCACAAAAUUAGCAGAGAAUCACUUCUCUCUGAACAACUAUUUAGCAGAGCUCCUGCUGGAUUCAGCGAAGAAUCAGCUCUGAGAACUCCGCCAAACGCAUCCAAAGGGAUGGUAUCUGCUUUUCUUUACCUCUAUAUACUUGUUUGCAUUUUUUCCCCUUAACCAAAUCCUAUAGGCUCACCUAAGAUGCCUCUUCCUCUGAGGUCUAGGGUGCUACUUUGCCGGUUCAUUUCUAUACACAACAAAAACUAAGGCCUGGUUUGGUUCCGGUUUCUUAUUUUUAGCACCCGUUACAUGAAUGUUUAGAUACUAAUUAGGAGUAUUAAACGUAGACUAUUUACAAAACCCAUUACAUAAGUGGAGGCUAAACGACGAGACGAAUUUAUUAAGCCUAAUUAGUCCAUAAUUUGAUAAUGUGCUGCUACAGUAAACAUUUGCUAAUGAUGGAUUAAUUAGGUUUAAUAGAUUCAUCUCGCUGUUUAGCCUCCACUUAUGUAAUGGGUUUUGUAAAUAGUCUAUGUUUAAUACUCUUAAUUAGUAUCUAAACAUUCGAUGUAACACGUGCUAAAAAUAAGCAAAGGGAACCAAACACCCCUAAAUGAGAUUCUCCUUUUGAUUGCGGUUGAAUUCGUACAAUAAACGACACAACUACAUAUAAAUCUUACUAAUUUGUCUCAUGCUCCCCUCUCGUGUACAAUGAUGAUGGUGUGCUGGCCGACAAAUAGGGCGAGGCAUGCAUAGAGAUGCAACGGAUACGCAAACUAUGUGCAGCCACCCUAGUUCAAUUGUCCUGCAUGCAAAUCCAAGGAAAAAAAAUGAUCUAGCAAUUAUGUGAAAUUAAUUUUGUUUUCAUAUGGGUGGAGUGAGAUUCAGAUGGAUGAGAAAGAAUAAACGUCAAGUCGAAAAUGGUUUAGACCGAGGGGUGUUUUUUUUUUCUUGGAAUGCAGGGUUUACAUACAAAAUCUCAAAGAAAAGGUUCAACUAGCCCAUGUAGGAAUUGAAAAAUAAAAUUCCUCAUACCUAGUGACCAUGGAAAUAUCUUUCUCCCUCUUAUCUCUUCAAAUACAAAGGGUGAGGAAAACUUGGGCGGUCACAUGUGUGCCUGUAACCGAAUGUAUAUAGUACUACAUACGGAGUAUGUGUGAUUCGAUCACAUGCAGUUGCGGAGGCAUGCAUUGCGAUGGAGUGCAGUACUAUCUAGACCUUUGAUGAACUGGGUUCUCCAUGAUUUGCUUUAGAGAAUUUUCUCAAAAUGGCUAAGGAUACAAUCGUUCACGUGGCAGUCCAAGAGAACGAAAGUUGGUGGUCUGAAUGGGCUAAAACCAACAAACAAGCACACCUGGGAUCUCCAGCUGCUCUCUACAUCACUACAUGCAUCGAAAGCUAUAAUGCUAGCUGAUGCUGCACUCCAACAACCUGUGUCCAAGGACGAAAUGGAAGCAAUAUCCAUACUGGGCAAGCUAUAGCAGUGUAGCUGCUUGCAUUGGCUGAAGAUUGGCCACACAGAAACCUCCUGGUCCUGUCCUGUACGGUGCCGAUUGAAAUAUCAAGGUGAUUAGGAUCAUGCCCGUACGUUGCUACAGGCAAAACAAAUUCUUUUGAUAACCAUUAAUUUUUAUUGUACAAUUUUUUAAUGACAUGUAUAAUAGAAGCAUACAAAUAUAAUACACUUAGCUGUUUUAAACAGAGUACAAAUCGUCGUCCAAAAAAUAGAAUGCCAACAGAUUUUUCCACUGCCGGUUUCAUGUAAUCUUCCUCUCGCCCAACUCUCACCCUACUUCCACCACUCAACAGCCUUGUUUCUAACACAAUCUUUAAGUGGCAAAAAUAGAAAAUGAUGCACCACCUGUCUCAAUAUCUCAAGAGCUAUAAGUUGUGCAAUACCUGUCCCAGCCUACGAGCACAAAUAUUGAUUUGGGAAGAAACAUGGCAAACAAACCACAUUAGAUUAGUUCAGAGUCUGCACAUACCAAUAUGUACUGCUGGGCUGGUGCAUGACAAUCGGACAAUUAAGGAAGCAUCCAAUCAUAGGUAACUAUUGUGAUCAGGUAGGAAAGAAAAGAGGCCAUAAUCAAAUGGACAUAGAUGUGCCAAAUCGACCAGCUGCUAGCCCUCCAAUUGAACUCCUCUCCAAACGUUGUCCUAAAAAUUUGAAAAAUUGCAGUUCUCUUAAUUGCAUAGCCAUUUUAAACAAAUCUACACUACAAGAAAACUGACCAUCGGUCCUAACCUUUAGUACCGGCUGGUUUUUGGACCCGAUACUAAUGUGAGCAUUAGUACCGAGUCUAAUGGCUAGUUCCCCAGGAGCUCCCCGUGACCUCCUUUACCGGUUGAGCUCCACCCGGUACUAAAGGUCACACAUUAGUACCAGAUGGAGUACCAGGUGGAGCCUCCACCUGGUACUAAUGUGCCUGAGCGGCUUUAGUACCGGGUGGAGGCUCCACCCGAUACUAAUGGGUAACGAUUGGAGCUCCCCCCUCCCAACCUUAUCCUCUCUCCGUCGCCCCCCUACCUUCCUCUCUCUCUCUCCCCCGCCUCCUUAAUUAUCCGCUCCCCCUCUCCUCCCUCUCCCCUCCCUUUCUUUCCCCCUCUCUCCCCCCCACCCCACCACCCCUGCCCCCACCCUCUCCCUCUCCCUCUCCCGCUGCCGCUGCCCCUCCCCUUCCCCUCCGCUCGCCCCUCACUAGUAGUGAGGAGCGGCAGCGGGGCGAGGUGCAGGGCGGUGCUUGGGAGGCAGGUUGAGGUUCGGGGCAUGUGGAGGUGCUCGCGCGACACGCAGGGGUGCAACGGCGUGCGGGGGAGCGGCGGCCAGCUGGAGGCGGUGGGGUGCAGGGGUGCGGCGGCGAGGCACAGGUAUUUUCUUUAUUUUUUUUGCUCCGGGCUGACGGUGGCAGGAGGUGGCGAGGCGGGAGGGUGACGGGGGCCAUGCAAAACAAGGGCCAUUGGUCAGCAGAACUGGCACUGCACGUGCGUCCGUCCACGAUGUUCACGGUGGACACCCGGUGAAGUCCUCCCUUCACAGUGCAUGGACGCCCCUAGUACCACACGUCAGCGUGCGGCGGCCAUAGCGGGGAAAUAAUUGAGUAACUCAAACGAAUUUUGUGCCCAAUCGGAAUAGCACAACCUAUUAGAUCGAAACACCUAAGGGUCCCUUUGGCACGGCUCAUUGAGCAGCUUCUCGAGCGGCUUUUGAUGAAGCCGUGCCAAACGGAUAAAACCAAAAUGGCUCACAAGAGGAAGCCGGCAAAAGCCCCUAAAAUCCCGCUCUCUACAUUUCUCCACCAGGGAGAAGCUAAAACUAGCGGCUCAUACCGGCUUCUCCUCAUCCCAACAUCUCAUUUUCCAUCUUUGUCCUGGGAGGAGGAGCAGUGGACGGCGCCGUUGCGGGGCCGCAGCUGUCGCAGACAGCGCGAUGCGGCGGCGGCCAUGGGGACAGGCACGGUCGGGGCAGAUGGCGGCCAUGGGGCCAGGCACGGUCGGGGCAGCUGGCGGUGCGGCGGCGCGCAGGCGCUGUCGGGGCAGCUGGCGGCACGCAGGCGCGGUCGGGGCAGCCGGACUCCCUGCUCCGCCCCGCCGGACUCCCUGCUCUGCCCCGCCAGCCUCUGGCUCCGCCCCGCCGGUAGCCUCCUGUGCCGCCCCGCCGGCUCUGCGGCUAGCCUCUUGCUCCGCCCGAGAGAGAGAGGGAGGGGAGAGGGGGGAGCGGGUGAGUGGAUAGGAGAGGAGCGGUCGAUCGGAUAAGGAGAGGGGAGGGAAAAAGAAAAGAAGGGGACAAGGAAAGAAAAGAAUAAAGGAAAGAAAAAGAAAAGAAAAAUGAAGAGAAAAGAGAAAAAGAAAAGAGAAAAAAAUAUAAGGGUAUUUUGGAUAUUUGACAUCUUCUUUACACUAGGAGAAGCCGUUUUGCCAAACGUUUUCGUACAAAAUAAGCUAGAGUUAGAAAAAGCUGCUUUUCCAUACGAGCUAGAGCCAGAGCUAUUUUUUCACGAGCCAGAGCUGUGCCAAACGGGACCUAAAUAUAACCACCCAGAUAUAUGUGCGUGCUGAAUGCAGCCGCAAGAAACAGUCAGGCUAUGUAGUAGGAUAAUAGCACACAAUCACACAGAGAGUCUAACGCAACAAAACAAAAGGGAUAGAGAUAUACCGACUGUGGCAGUGAUGGCAGAAGAGAUCAUGCAACAGAGGGUAAUGCCAAAUCCAGCGGCGGCCCGCUGCACCAGACCAAAUGAUGCUACAUGCUUGACGCCACAACACCAUGGGGUACCAGAGGGUGGAGCAGAUUUUUGGAUAAAGGAGAAAAUAUCGAGUUAGGGACAACUUGCAUCGUCCUGCAUAUGCGAUUCCAGGUCCACACGCAAGAAGAUUAGAACUAAAUCAUUCUAAGACAAUGUAAAAGAUAUUCUUCGUGAUGGCAACUAAAUAAAACAGUCACAUCAGCCAUCAUGAGCCCAAAAAUUUCUAGCGGACAUUGCGCAAGCAGGAUAUAGGAAUUUUGAAAUGAUAGUUGCGUUCAGUAGCCCUUACUGCACCUUUGAACAAACCAAUCAUUUUACUACGGCAUCUCUCUAUUACAAUACAAAGUCAUUUAUUCACUAUAUUAUACAAAGCCCAAAAGGCAAAUAUAAGAAGAAAUUAUAGAGCAGAGGCACUACAUCUCAUUAAUACAGUCGGAAUCAUUUAUUCACUAUACAAUACAAAGCCUAAAAGGCAAAUAUAAGAACAAAUUAUAGAGCACAGGCACUACAUCUCAGUAAUACAGUAAGAAAUUCAGAGUCAUACACAAAGAGGGGGGAAAUUGACAGCAAUGAAUUGAACUAAUGCAGGAACAAAGAGGGAUAAUAAUGCAGUGCAGGUUCUUACUCGAGUAAUCAACACGGAAUCCUUCAGGCCCUCCAAAUCUACACAUAAAAGGAAUGAAAUUUACUCGUAAAACAAUACAAUCUCUGAAGAACAUGCUAGUGCUUGUGAUAUGUUCUAAAAAAACGUGCUACAAAUGCUCCUUGCCUCUUCUUCUCCAGCAACCCAGCUCCUCUCAAGCAAAGACACAGUACCAGCCCUACUCCUUGUAGCCUCUCUUCUCUGAUUCUCUCCCUCUGCCUCCACCAAGCAAGCAAUCCCCAAAAGCUAGUUUCUUUCUUUUUCUUCCUCCAAAUCAGCAAGCAACAGUUCAAAUCAUGAAUACGCCUCUUCCUUUCUGCUGUUCUCUCCACCAAGACCGCAGCAGCAACUAGUGGCUCUCCCUUCUUUCCUACGAAAUUUUAGAUAAAUAAUCAUUUUUAAAUGGAGCCAAAGAUUAUUGCUCAACACUAAUAAAAAUUAAUAUGAUAUAUUCCUGCUCAUCCCCAAUUCAUAUCCACUGUGUUAUCAUUUGUCCUUCCAACGAAGAAAUUAAAUUACUGUCUUGCCAAUUACCAUUUUGUCAAUUAGAUGUGGCUAAAGAUGCAUUUAAAAACCAGAGACCAUCCAUAAGGACAUGCAUGAAACCAAUCAGUUAUGUAUACUGAAAAAUGCGAGACAAAAGCUGAACUAAACAAGCCAGAAACCAUGCAGUCCUAUCCAAACUUGAAAAAUGCCAGACUACAAGCCUACAAUCCUUCAGUAGUUCAGCACAAGAAGCUACAUUGGUACAAUUUUGAUCUCUGCAUUACAAGCUAGAGACCUAAAUCCCUUAUCCCUACCAUUGCAUGCCUAAUUGCCUACCAAUGGAAGGUAGCAAAUUUCAGUGCGAAUUAGUUAAAGGCCAGUUUGGUCGCCUUCUCUCUCUUUUAGCUAUAGAGAUGGGGACAUGCAAAAUAAUGCACCGCCUCAGAAAGAAGCACUAUACAAAAAUGAAUCCCGGCCCACGUUGCCAAGGACUUGCAAAGGAUAGCAACAACCAGCACAUAAAUUGGAACAGGCGAACAGCUAGUAGUACGUCCUAUAUGUGAUUGCUAUGUGUAGUUCGAGGAUCACUGACCGUCCGCAACUACUUUUGAUUCUACGCAUCCGAUUCCUGCUAUACGACAGUCAGUACGACAGCGUCUGCACUCAAAAGGAGCGGUUUAUGAUUGCCUUUUGGUAAGUAAUUAGUCUGCUUAUUUCCAAAACCAAAUAACUCGAGCCUCAAUGUGGCUUACUGCACACGUCUGAACGUUUUGAAUUUGUUCAAGGAUUCUACUGAAACUUUAGACGCAUAACGUGUGAUCGAAUCAAAGGAACGAUAUUCUUUGCCGUAUACUGCAUGGGACAGUAAAAAUCACAGAUACGCGUGUUGCUUCUCUCACUUGGACCACAUGUCAGUGACUUUUAAUGCUCUGCUGCUUCAAUUUUCAUGGAGAGUCAAAACAUCUCAAAUUUGAUCAAGUUUAUACAAUAAAAUACUAACAUCCAUGAUACCAAAUAAGUACCACUUAUUUCUUCAUUAAAUAUAUUUUCAUAGUAUAUCUAUUCGGUGCCAUAAAUCUUUCUGACCAUCUCUAUAAUUUUGGUCAAACAUAAAAUGGUUUGACUCUCCAAGAAAGUUGUAAUGACUUAUAAUUUGAAACGGAGGGAGUAGAAGAUAUCGGGUCUGACAACUUGUACUGGUGAUGAACACAUGGACGACGUACACUUUUCGGUCUGCCUCCCACUCCCAACAUUCUUCUUCUUUAAUUUCUUUGUUGUGCCAAAUAACCGGCGCAUCUCUUUCCAAUGCAAUAUAUACGAAGGACAAGAAUGCAAGGUCAUUAGAUACAUUUUCUUAAUCUUUGUGCAUAAUUUCUAGAACCACAUCCAUUUUGAAAUUCCAAGUCUGUAAAUUGGCAAAAGAUAACAUUUAUUUCAUCACACGUCCUAUCUAUUAUUAGUCAGCUGAAAUUCUUCAGUUGACAACGAGGUUUGGCCUUUGGCGGCGAUGGGCUUUGGUUAGGAGGGUUUUAUUUUAUCUGUAAGCUUAGAGGUCUUGUUUGAAUACUAGUAGACUGGAGUGGAAUGUGAGGAAUUGAAGAAGAAAUUAGUUUAUUUUAAACUCAAUCGCUUUCAUUCCUUUUCAAUCAUCUUCUAUCCAAAGAAGCUCAGAAUGAGUCUCGAAGACACAGGGGUGGCAGUGGUGAUGAGUCGCGAACUCGUGAUUGGGCUGUUGCCAAGGUGAGGGAGCUCUAAAAAAUAAAAUUGAGAGACUGAUGGAAGUAGAGGACGGUUGGAGAUGGAUCGAAGCCGUUCUUGAUGAACAUAUAUGAAAGCAGCUGACUGUAUGAUCUAGAUCCAACGGUCCAUAUUAUUCAAUGAUAGAAAAUAUAUUCAGAAAAUAAAACAAGCGUGGGCAGCUAUCAUCUUGCUCCCUUAUUUCAUCAUUUCCUUUAGCAUGGAAUGAUUUUUAGGCGCCUUCGGUCGGCCGAUCCGGUGCACACAUGACGUCUAGCUCCGGCGGUGUUGGUUCAGCGCUCCCUGAUCUCGAUCCUCGGCGGGCUGAUGAUCUUGAUUCCCGGGGUCCGCGGCACGAUGACGACGUUGACAGCGCCGUCCUCGUCACCGACCCCGAUGUCGGCCAGCACCUCGUCCAGCGGCAGGACGAACGGCACCACCACCGUCUCCCCGGGCUUCUUGCUCCCGCCGCGCGGCAGGGUGGCGAAACUCCCGGCGUACUCGCUGUGCCGCGGCCCCGCGCCGGCGGCCUGCUCCGGCGGCACGUUGAUCACCACGUCGAACUUGCCGCCCUUUCCGGGCUCGAACUCCACGCCGUCGAACACCAGGAUGGUGUCCGCCGGCUGCUUCCCGCCGCCGCCUGCCGCCGCCUUCUGCGCGCGCCGCGGCUUGGCUACGGACGGCACCUCCACGACCUGCCCCUCCGUCAGGGCCAGCGGGAACGCCGGCGUCGGCGCCGCCGCCCGCCGCAUGGUGGACCUUGAGGCGGCGGCGCCCUUGUUGGCAAGCAGCGGGGCCGGCCUGGCGCCCAUCCAGCGGAGCGGCUCCCGCUCGUCGUAGCUGUACCCGAGCGCCGCCGCGUCGAGGACGUCGCGGACCCGGAUGCGGACGGGCCGUGGCCUCUCGUCGUAGAAGACGAAGCUGGUGUCGAGCCACUCCGGGUCGUCGAAGUUGCGGCGGCCGAGCUUGGUGGACCAGAGGUGCCACAUGCGGUCCACGUUGGCGUGGUGGGAGUAGAAGACCGGGUCCCGCGCCGCCGUGGCGAGGAACCCCAUGUCGGCGAGGGAGUGCUUCUGGCCGUCGUGCCCCGUCGUGGAGCUUCCCGGGUCGCCGGUCCACACGUGGACGCUCGUGUGCGCCAUGCUCUCCAGCGAGCCGGAGGUGCCCGAUGACCUCGUCCCCGGGUAGGAGGAGCAGAACUUGCCGCCCAGGAAAUCCUGCGCCUUCUUGUUCCGCAUCAUCUGGUCAAGACGACAGACCAUCGUAAGAUACACACAUGCAUGCAUACAUACGUACGUACGUACGUACGUACAUACAUACAUACAUACAAAUCCCGAGGUCAUCAAGCACUGGGUUGUAGUUGUGUAGUCAUGUCGAUGACCAAAAAAAGUUUGUACCUGAACGUAAAGGGUGGCAAGGUUAUUCUGAACAACUUGGUUGUUCAGAUGAGCAGCUUGAGGGUCGAAAGGGAUGACGGUGGUGUCGCCGGCUUUGGCGAUGUGGAGGUUGAGGUAGGCGCCGAGGUUCGCCGGGUUGCGUUUGGCGUCGUACAGCGGCGAGCCGGCGUCCUUGAAGAUGUCCGGCAGCGCCAUCCCCGCCGGCGCGUCCCAGUUCCAGUACGGCAGCGCGAAGGUGUCGUCGCCGAUGAGGUCGCCGAGGAUGCGCUCAUAGAAGUAGAGGUACAUGCGGUGCCACGGCGCGAAGACCCACGAGAAGUGCACGUCGAACGGCGCGUCGCCGCCGCCGCCGCCAUACCGGUAGUGCCCGUCGCAGUAGGCCUCGUGGAUGGCCGCCUGCGCCGCGAAGCUGCGCGGGUCGGAGGCCGGGAGCGCCUUCAUCUUCGCCAGGGCCCACCGGUACUUCUCGACGGUCUCGGGGUCGGCCAGGUGCGCUGGCUGGCGGAGGCGCGUCGGGCCGGUCGGCGGCGUGAAAUCGACGGCGGCGACCGGCGACGUCGGCGGGCACGGUUUCUGGCCCGUCUCCUGGCACGUGAGGAGCGUGUCCGUGACCUUCUCGCCUCUGGGGCAGACGUCGGAGGCGUUCUCGGUGGCAGCGAGGCCCGGGCGCGUGGCGAGACCCCCGGCGGCGACGCCGGUUAGGCCGGCAAGGACGUCACGACGGUCGAAGCGAGGGGCGGCGGCCCUGCACGACAGGCUGCGGCGCCGCUGGGUUGGCUUCUUGGGGAGCAUGGAGGGGUAUGCAGGGGGCCGCGGCGAGGCGACGAGGGGAAGGCCGUUGGUCUUGGCGCUGGGAGUCGCCAUGCUCGGCUUGCCGUGCUAGCUACGAGAAGGAUAGGAGGCUAGUGAGGUUGGUUGGAAGGUGUAUGGGUGCCUACCGUCGUAUACAUAGUGGAUCAGUGGCAGCUGCUGGCUUGAUUCCAGGCAAAACUGGUGUCUCGAUCUUGCAGGGUUUUUUUUGAGUGGCAUCUCUUUCAGGUUUUCUGUGCGGCCAAAAAACUAUGACUUGAUAUUGUUGCUAAUGCGUGAUGCCAUACAGAAACCUAGCACAAAUUCAGAAACUGAGGAAAGUGCAAGCUGGAGGAGCAUAAAGGUCCUUAUUCAUACAAGAAAACAUUUUCAGGAAAAUCCUAAAAGAAAAUCAUAUUCUGAAGUUGCUGAAAUAUAAUGAGUAGUAUGGGAGGAAAAGAUAUACCAUUAAAUUCUUUCAUGAUGCUGCAAUAGAGAGAUGAAUACAAGAACAACGUGGCACCAUCUCCCAUGCUACAAUAUUUCCUGUAACUAAAGCACUUGCGAUCUCUUAUUUUAUUUUUCUUUUGCUCGACUAACGAUUAUUUUCACAUGUGCAACGUACAGAUUCUUGAUGAUUGCAAUUGCACCAUGAGAUAGGGCCUGGUAUCAGCCAAUCUGGAGCUAUUCAUGGGCCAACCUGGGCCAUGCCCCCUUGGCCCAGGAAAGUUUCUGCGGAGUUGGGCUUCCCGUGUGUCCUCCUUGCCAUUUGCCAAGGCUACGCCGGUUGUCCUGAGAACCCCGGGACGCCUCCCGGGAUGGACGUCCUCUUCGUCGGGGUCGAGGACACCCCUGAGAGGGCAGCAGGCUCCUUCCUGAAGCUUGGAGCAUGCCGUUCCAGGUUGUCCGACCAGUUCGCGUGACUCGCUGAUUGUUGCAAGCGGCUAGAUGACUGCCUGAGCAAUCCUCUUGCAAAGCAACUUCCCCUUACAACGCUUGACGACGGACCGAUGUUCGCACGCGUUGCUCGACCGGGCCAUGUGCAAAAGAAUUGUUACAAGCACGUGUGCGAGCUCGCAUGCCACAUCACGCUCGUACACACUGCCACACUGCUGCAUCUCGGUUGCUGCAGCUGUCAAGCUGGACGAGUGCUGCGCCGGAUGACUGGGCACAUCCCAGGGCUCCUCGAGCUCACGCGUGUGAAGCGGCUCCGGAGCUCGCCGGACAUAAAACUCCUGUCAUUUCUUCUGAAUAGGGAAUUCUCCACGGCGGGGCAGAGUGGAAUUCGGAGCACCGCCCACCUCAAGAAAAGAGUGGCCCCACACCUGACCUUCGGGUAAAUGGCCCGACAUGGGCCGGGGCUGCUGUCAGCGUUAAGAGAACGGGGUACCCCGCGCAGACGAUUCGCGGAGGCGCUCAUCCACCACGUUACCGGAGGGGUGGGCCACGCAAUGGGCCCUCCUAACUCCUAGGCCUUGAGAGCUUGGAAACUCCGGGGACACUGCUACGGAAGGAUCCCGGAAGGAAAGAGGGCUACCUUCGCUACGAAGGAAGAGCUCUGGUGGACAAUAAGGCAGACUGCAUUAAAUGUCUCCUGGAUGUCAGACUAUGGGAGCAUAAGAAAGCCUCUCCUGGAUGUCAGACUAUGGGAGGAUAAGAAAGCCUCUCACUUGCUAUUUUAUGCUCAUAUAUGGGUGCACAUGCCCCAAGAUGAAGACCACCGGUAACCAAUAUUAAAGAAGCAUGCAUGCAUGCAACCCUACGGUGGCCAAGAUGCACUUGCACAUUGAUGGCAUGCAGCGUGCAGGCAUGGACAAGACAAGACCAAAUUUACCUCUACGACACAAGAGUGAAGACUAGCAUAGCUCUUUUAUCUUGUUAGGCAAGUGGAGGGCCCUCUGUGUAUUAUAUAAGAAAGGUCCUUGAGUGGAAGAGGGGAGGCGCCCGAGCUCUAAGGAAGGAGCUCCUGUACUUCUUCCUCCUUGUAAUCCCCCAUUAAAACUAUAGCAAGAACAUACAGAUAAGUAGGACGUAGGGCUAUUAUCCUCCGAAAAGCCCGAACCUGGGUAAAAAUCUCUGUGCUCAUCACUCGUGUAGUUCAAGGAGGUCAACGUGUUCAGCCUCUAGCCGAAUCUCAAAAAGGGAGUCUCCUCGGACCCCCCCCCCCCCCCGCCUCCCGCUCCGACAUUUGCACACCAUCAACGGCAGAAAAGACGACGGCCAAGAUGGUAGACAAAACGCAAGACAUUCGAUGACAAGGAUAUUCCAAGCCCCACACUGACACAAAGUACAACUUGGUCGUUGAAGUCAACGACAUACCAGAUUUACCGGAUUGUCCUCAAAAAUUUGAGUAUGGUAAACCGUUACUACCCGACUAGGCAAUCGCCAAGAUUCCAAGUGAAAUGCAAAGGAUGCACAGUUGGUACACGAUAGCAUGUAGACUUGGGCUCAGAACCAUAUGGGCAUGAUACUCACCGAUGUGUUCGGACCUCCAUUCGAUAAGGAUUCUAGCAAAAUCUUCUUCAAUUUUUGAGAUAUCCAUGAUGUGUUCCGCCUCUCAGAGCUAGAGUUAUAGCUCAUCAGAUUGUGGUGCAUGUAAAUGCUUCAUCGAUGCUAAUAUCUUGUAUAUAUGCUAUGACCUAUACAUGUACUAUGCAUAACUAAUUAAUUACGAUGCAUUGUACAGGAUGUAAGAAAAUAACGUGCAUGUUGUAAAGGAGAAGGCUAGAUAUCUGGAUCCUUAUGCUAUUUGCGAAGUUAGGCACAAUUUUCUGAGCUAGUGGGGAGACAACCAUGACAAGCUAGCUAAGUACAAGACAAAGAAGGACAAAAGGGCGAAACGAGUACGACAACAUAAAAAGAUAGGAGCAAAGUUUCAGCCUACAUAGCGCAUAUGAUGAUUACGUGGCAAGAUAGCUAUUACAUAUGGGUGCCCUACAACUUCUAGUGAGUCUAAAUUUCUACCAUUUGUUAUAAUAUAUACACUUGCUCCUUUGUGCCUGAAAAAAUCUUAUAUAAUAUUUUUGCAGGGGUCACUGGAUUGCUUUUAUGAUACAGACAAAGAACGGAGUUGUGACCGUAUUUGACUCAUUGGAUUAUGACCAGAGCACCUACAAAGAAUUCAUAUUCAUCAUACAAAAGUUAGUGAAUUUCUUGUUGCUUACACUUACAUGUGCAAAUUGCCCCCCCCCCAAAGAUUACAUGUAAAGUAACUUCUUAUUUUUUUUCAAAACACGGCUUACCAACACUACAUUACCAAAGAAGGGAUUCAUAACCCCGAUAGAUAGACCGGUAGAAAUGGUUGUACGCACAAACUUUCCAUGCCAUUUUGUACACUGCGGGUAUUGCUUGUGCGAGUACAUCAGCGUGCUCGGGAGAUACACAACUGAUCCCGAACAUGUAAGGGGUUACCUUCCAUAUAUAGGGAUGUCUAUAUAUAUGUAUAUAUUGCAUUCUUUUCUACCUAUCUACUUGCUUAAUUUUUCCGUGGAUUUUAAUUGUAUAUUAGGCCUCUACUACACAGUGACCAUUUCCAUGAGCAACAACUAGUGCUGAUUUAUGUCGUUUCAUUUUGUGUGAAGUGGUAAAUCCGAGGGGUACCUAUUAUCACCCAAAACAUAAAUUAGCACAAGAAGAUAAAUACGUUAGCCUCCGUGAGUGGGAGAAUCUAGAAUACCACCAACGCUAGCCUUCGUGAGUGGCAGAAAAACAUGUUGUCAAUGUACACUCUAAUAAUAUAUAUGUAUGGUACUAUUUCCUUAUUAUUAUUUCGUAUGCUUAAAUUGAAUUUAUGUAACAUAUAUUCUAUGUCGAUGACUAUAGCUUCUUCAAUUUGGUCACACACUAGACUGUUAGAGUGAAAUCAGUAGGAAGAAAAAGUUUUAAAAACUGGCGGGAAAUAGUUUCAGCAAAUUCAAAUUUCAAACGCUGAAUUUUUUGACGGGAACAACAUUUCUAGGGGCGGGUGAUGGCGUCACCUGCCCCUGCAAAAUAGUUUGCAGGGACACUAUUACUAGGGGCGGGUGAUGGCGUCACCCGCCCCUGGAAAUGGCUUUACAGGGGUGGGCCUUUUACCCGCUCCUACAAACAGCUAAACAACUAUUUGUAGCUGCAAAAGUUAGGUGUGGGUGGCACGCCCACCCCUAAAUACCAUUUCAACCGCCCCUGGAAACCGCUUUUGUAGUAGUGUGUGUUUCUGUUCUUGUUUUUUCUAUACAAUAAAUGCACUUCGUUCUCAGCUGAGUUGAAAUGAGGUACAGGGCAAAAAUGUGAAGAUUGUUUAGCUACUCGCGGUAGUAACUAUCGGAUAUGCAGAGAUAUGCCUUUUAUAUGCAUCAUCUUAUUAUGAUUAUGCAGACCUUUUCAUAUUAUGCUAGCUCGCCGCAUGCCCUUUGAUUGUAUACCAUACUCAUCAUGUAUCACUGUUCCUUAUUUUUCACAUUAUCAUAAUUGUGCCAUUAUUGUAGCAUCCAAACAUAUGAGCUGCCAACAUAAAAUGUCUUCUUUCUAAUACUAUUUACUGUAUCUCUAAAGACAAUUAAUUUUGGAUUUUCCUUGGGCUUCGCUGGUCCAUUCCACUGUAAGAAACAUUCAAAACAAUUAUACCUAUGAAUAAGCUGAUUGUAAGUUUUGGUGGUUCAACAAUAGCACAUAUAUUCUCGCAAAAAAACAAUAGCACGUAUAUAUGAUCUGCAUGUUAACCAAUGUCGACAACAAAAAAUAUGUAACUACAUAAUUCUAUGCGUUCCUCCAGAUGUUUCAAUCACAAGCUCCCUAAUAAAAUAAGUUAGAACUACUCCCCUAUUUCAAAUUGUAGGUCGUUUUGACUUUUCUAAAUACAUAACUUUUCCUAUGUAUCUAGACACAUCGCAUAUCUAGGUGCAUAGCAAAAGCUAUGUCUACAGAAAGCCAAAACGAUAUACAAUUUGGUAUGAAGGGAAUAUUUUCUUACUCAUCUAAAGUCACCUGAAAAAGUAAACCCCAAACUUCAGCAGCAACGCGCAUGGAAUUCAACUAGCGCAUUGAAAAUUAAUCCGCUAGCAGAUCAUCAUGGAGUGGUUCUUCGAUCCAAGUGGGCUAGAGAUUAAUCUAAAUUUGGAAUUUCUAUCCCCAACCUUUCUCAGGCCGAUGAAGCUCUGCCUAAAGUCCAACAGUUAUUCGCCGAAGUUUUGAGUAGGUUGCCAAGCUGCACUGCGUAUUAUUAAGUUAAUAACAAAAUGGGCCCUGCACAUGUGAUACUGCAUAUAGCUUUUCUGUUUACCUCAAAAUGGCAAAAAAGGUCCAUUCCAUGCGGUUGUUUUUCGAUCCCCGGCCCAUUCUAAAUUCGGAGCUUGGAACUACUACAACUAUAUUUUGUUAGCUUCUUCCUAUGAAAUCCCGGUACUAGUUUUUUAAAAGCUGUGAUUGAGCCGAGUUUAUGCGGAUCCAAGCAGCUCAAAUGUGCAUCAGAGUCUUCAUUUGGAGCAGCUGAUCAAAAUGUUCACAAUCUAAUCUUCAAAGAGUUAUUUUGGCACAAAGAGAUUUUCUUAUUGCCAACAUUUAUCUAACAGGGAGAGACAAUUCUUGUUAUUCAGUGUGUAUGCCUUGGUCUGUCGGUGGCACAUCAGAGAACAAGCGUUAGAUAUGAAAGAAAGAACAUUGCGCAUAUUGAAAAUGUUUUCAACUUGUUAUCCUGGAGGUUAGAAAUACCAAUACAAAAUUUUGAACCGCCGACCAAACCCUACAUGCUGUCUUGUCCUCCGAGCCGGCCUUCCCAUUUCACGUACGUUCCCCUUCCCCAUCCAGUCAUUCACCGUCCGCGUACUCACCAAACCCUAGAGCACCAAAGGGGAUCCAACCCUCUCCCCCUUAGCAAACCGCCGCCGCCACGCCGAUUCUCCCUUGCGGCGGCGGCGGCGGCGGCGCGUGCACGGUGUGCCGCGCCGUGGCGUCGCCUGAGGUCUCGAGCUCCUCUGCUGCUUCACCUGCGGCACGCCCGUGGCAAUCCCCGUGCCUCGCGAUGCCCCCCGCGCCCUCGAUCGAUCGGACGCCGCGCGGCGGAGCUACCCCCGACUGCCCCGGCGAGUCCGAGGCGCCGCCGCCGCCCUGAUGGCUCCUGGGGAUCCGGAGUGCUUGUGGCGACGAUAAUGGCGUGGGGGGUGACGGCGACUUCCUCGCGGUCGUCGGCAAGACGUUCAGCUACGUCUUCGUCCUCAAGCUGCCGGCGGAGCGACCCGUCGCCGUGAGUCCCUCGUCAAUCUCCUCCACUUUCGAAUUCUCCUGCUCACCUCGAUCUCACGCCAUAUCCCCUGGAUUCGGUCAUGCGUUACGUUCGUGGUUGCUUCUUGCUCACCUCGAUCUUACUUUUGUUUCUCGUUCAGUUCAUUCAAGAUUACUUUAGUUCGAGGUUUUUCUGCUCGUGAUGCAUGAUUGCUCGGUUCAUCAAAUGGUACAGUGUGGUGACUAUAUCUACCAACGAGUCAUCUUCUGAAUUUCUUUUGCACGCUUUUUCCCUUAGAUCUCUUUGUUUCUGGAUGUCUAAAAAAUUGAGAUUACUCAACGCUGAGGUUUCUUGUAUGAUCUUGCUAUAUUUAUUUUUCUUAGCUACUUGUGGUAUGAUUUGUAAAUUGUAACUUACGAUGCCUUUAUAUAUAGAGAUGAGCUCUAGAUGUACUAAAUUCUUUAUUUUUUUUAGCUAUGUGGUAUGAUCAUAUCUAGAUUCUUUUUUUCCAAUUCUUUUUAUAUCUUGUAUCAGAGUUUGACAUUAUUCUUUCAAAGCUUGAUGACCGUGACAGAAAUACUAUUGGCAGUCUAGCUAGGGCUUUUUAUUUUUGUCAAUUCAAUCAUCUUAUUAGAUAUCCUUAUUAUGGACUUUUUGCUUCAAUUGUUUCAUUCAUUGUGUCUAUUCAAUUAUCUUUUAGAUUGAAUUUCUUUGAUUUUGUACAAUUAGUAACUUACUGUCUUUAUUUAUAGUUUCACAAUUCAAGAUUUUCCUCAAAUUCUGAGGCUUUCUACUUUCCUCAAGAUCAUCGUCCAUAUUAUGGGCCUUUUGCUUAAAUUACUCCAUCAUUGAUUCAUUGUGUCAUUCUACCUUGCUUGUAUUUUGCUUGUAAAUCCUUUUCUUUUUGAAACUAUAGCUACUCUCAGCAGUUUAUUAUCUGGGUACUCCUUAAACGAAAUGGCACGCUUUUUUAAUUAUGACGUGGAGAUAUCAUUUGUAUAUGCAUGACAAUGCAUUUUUUAAUAGUUGAUCCAGUCUUAUCUGUCCCUCCAGAUAUAUGCUAAUUUUGGUGGAUUUAUAUUCUAUUGAUAUUAUCCCAUUGUUUUUUUGAUAUUGUCAAAUAUACCAAAUAUAAAUUAUAGCCUGGUUUGCUGCUGGUGCAGCUAUUGUAAAAUAAUGGAUGGCCAAAGCAUCUGGGGUGUAGUGGCAAGGAUAUGUGUUAUUCCAUUAUUUUGAAAAAGAUUAUAGCCUGGUCCUUUUCCUUCUUGUAGAUCUUGCAAUAGAGUUUCAUGAUUGUGCUUUGAAUGCUUGAUGACUGGGAUUGAAAUAACAUUGUCAGUUUGGCUUUGGCACCAAAAACCUUAAUAAUAUUGUUUUCUAACUUUUUAAUAGUGGGGUUUCUACCCUUUUGCAGUUUGCAAAUUUGGAACUUGAAAAUGAGCGCAGUCUUUUAUCCACCAGAAAAGUCGUUAGAUAUUUGAAUCCAAAUCUAUUUCUUAAUAAUGUGUGUGUGUGUUUCUAAUAUGAAUUGUUACUGCCAGACAUGCCAAUUAAAGGGGAUAUUAAGUCAUCCUUUGUUGUUUCCAAUACAGUUGGAUAUACUAAAUUAAGAUCAUAAUGUGGGUCUGUUUCUGCUUCUUUUGUGUUUUGAGUUAGAGUUAUAAUUCUUGAUGACGAUGAAUGAAAAAAUAUUUGCGGUCUGGCACCACAGUGCUCAUUAUGGCGUUGCAGGUUUCCUAUCCUUUAAUUUUUCUAUUAUUGUGAGCAUGUAUGGUCCGUUGAAUUGUGAUGCUGUGACUUGCACUAUUUUUUUCCUUAAUACUGUUAGUGGCAAAUGUGAAGUUUCUAUUAAUACCAGCCAUGCCAAUUUUAGGGGAUAUAUCUACUCAUGUCAUCUUUUGUCAUUUUCAAUACCAUUGGAUAUACCAAAUUUGGACCAUAGUGUGCUUCACUUUUCUUGUUAUUUUGUAUCUCACGUUAGGGUUCUGUAAUUGUCCUCGCUCUGUGGGUGCUUGUUUGACUGGGACUGAAAAAUAUAGGCAGUCUGGCACUAUGCAUCAGUCUGCUCAUUAUUACCUUGUAGGCUGGCUUAAAUUCUUACCGUUCAUUUUGGCUGAGGUUGUUCUACGGCAAAUGAACACGUUUUUAUAAUGGUACCCAACAAAUCUAGAUGUUUGCAGUGUGUACUGGUCAAUUACACGUUAUCGCGGUGUCAUACAGGAAAUUUUGCCAAAAUACUACCGUGGACCUUCAGGUACGUAUCAAAAGUCCGUUAUAUUUCAAAUCCAAAGCCUAAGUUUGUUCUCAAAAACUCGGUUUGUUCUUAAUACUGUAAGCUGCAAACAUGACAUUUCUAUAAAUACAACAAUGCUGAUUUUAUGGAAUAUAUAUAUAUGUAUAUGUAUAUAUUGAAUUUUGUUUUGUCAUUAUAUUGGUACCAUAGGUUUUGAACUAAUGACUGUGCUAGAGAAUCUCUAAUGCAAUUCCUCUUAGGAUGCUUUGUACAAGAUAUACUGUGGAUGAUAGCAUGCUCUAUAUAGAUCAUAGCAGGGUGGACCAAACAUUUAAUAGAUUACCUUGCUUUUGUGUGCGUAGCAAAUGAACAGAUACAAUUUGUGUGUCAAACACAUUCCAAAAGGUUCCAACAAAUUAGGGUCACUGGUCCUUAUCCUUUUGCUUACUAUACAUGGGAAUAACAUGCAAAUUCAUGAGAGCAACAUGUAAUUUCUAGUAACAUGGUAGCUCGUAAUUGCUUACCUCGAACAUAUCUUCAUCGAGUAAAUUAGUAAUUGUCCUAAACCAAUAACAACCUUCAGUGAACCAAUCAACCAGAUCACCUACUUUCCAGGCUUCAUUAACAAUUGCUGUGCCAUCACUAUUUGGGAACUGCUCAGGAACUUCACGUCCAUAAUAUAUACCACUGAGGAAAAGGAGACCUUAUCAUGAGUUGAGUACUCUCUCUUGAAUUUUGGUCGGAACUUGUUGGGUUCUUUUCAAAGACCCUAACCCAUUCCUUCUCUGCAAAGGAAACGGCAAGGGGAGGGGAACAUAAGGUGCUUAUAACUAAUGACUAAUGUUAUUCAUAUUCUCUGUUCAGCAAUACAUGGGAAGGGGACUAGAUAAGAUCUUUUCAAUAGUAGAUGCUUAUAAUUUGUGUCCCAGACACAUUCAGAAAGGUUCCAACAAAUUAGGAUCACUAAUCCUAAUAUAUACUUUUGCUUACUAGUACAUCCAAAACCUCCGUUGUAGACUCUUCCAUUUUCUCCUUCACCAGUUCUCCAUGUCAUAUCCUUACACCUUCUUCGCGCUUGGACUGGUUGCCUUCACACGAGAGUACAAGGUUUUUCGAAUGUUCAACCAUCUUGGCUUUCUUCUCGGUACGUGGUUAGGACUUCUUUGAGUUACUUACCAUCAAAGCAGUACUGGCCAUUCAAGCUGGAGAGCAAAGCCCUAUGCCUAAUCUCUUUAUCGAGACGUGCACUGACAGGGUUUCUGGUCAUAUGGGAUCCAGUAAGCAACAAUUUUGCACAAGUGGAAACGAGACUUCUUGAUUAUGUUACCUCAAAAGAGGUAAUAUGUGAAAAUAGCCAUCUAGUCCCCAUUCAUUUUUUAGUACCAUGGCAAACUGUCUAAAGAACUUUCAUUUUGGCUCAACACACUAGCUAGUAGUGCCACUAAUCAAUACACUUUUGCUCACAACAUCCAACACCUCUCUAUUUUUUUUUUAGCAAAUCGACAUAUAUAAAUGUGCUUUGUGUCUGGAACACAUUCAGAUAGAUUCCAACACAUUAGGAUAUUAAUCAGUGUACACGGUAAAAAAAAACCCUGGAAGAUGUGGCCUUAUGCCAUUCUCUAGUAUUCAAGGUGAUGGUCUUGUAUUCAGACAACCAAUUAUAGAUCACUUAGAAGUCUGAUUUCUCCUUUCAAGAUGGUGCAAGGAAGGGCUUGGAUUCUAUUUUUGCACAUUACCAUUUGGGAAGUGGGUCUUCAGGGAUAUUGGGAUCUGGAAGUAUUAGUGACACGAGGAGGUGUUACUGUUGUUGCUGAACUGGAGGGGGCACAACCAUCGUGAGCGUCUUCAUGCACAAACUGCUGUGGGGGUUGCACCACUCCACAAAGGAACCGAUCCUACAUUCAGAAAGUUCAUAAAGGUCACAAACUGCUGUCGGACACAAACUGCUGUCAGACACAUUCAGAUGGGUUCCAACACAUUAGCAUCAUUAUUCAGUCUACAUUGUAAAAUGUCGAAAGAUGUUGCGGUGUUGCCUCAUGCCAUUCUCCUGCACCUGAGGAGAAGAAGUUGAUAAUCUUGUGCUGAGACAUCCAAUUGUAGAUCACCCAGAACUGCAAUAUCUUCUCAUCGCAAGUUGGUGUGAGAAAAGGCUUAGAUUCCAUUUGGCACUGGACCUCUUGGGCUCUAGUAGGAAUCUGAUGAAUGUCAGAUGGUGGAACCAGCUGCAAACAUAAAGUUUCUAUAAAUACAACUAUAUAUUAAUUUUAGGGGGUAUGUAUCGAUGCCAUCUUUUGUCAUUUUUUAUGCCAUAGGUUAAUUUUGAAGUAAUAAAUGGUCCUAGAGAAUCUCCAAUGCAAUGCCUCUUUGGAAGCUUUAUACUCUGGAUACACUAAACUUAGAUCGCAGCACAGCUUUAUAUUUUGUUGAUCAUAGCAGUGUGCUCCAAACAUUUUACAGUUUUCCCUGCCUUUUUUGUGCAUAGCAAAUUGACAUGUAUAAUUGUGUUUUGUGUCUGAAACACAUUUAGAUAGGUACCACCACAUUUCGGCAAUUAUACAAUCCACCUUCAGAGACUGAAGAGGACACGAACGUGUCGAUCUUGUAUACAGAAGCCAAAUUGUAGAUGACUUAGAACUGUGAUUUCUCCUCCUCACGAACUGGUGCGAGGAAGGUCUUGGAUUCCAUUUUGGCACUGAUCCGCUUGGGGGUAGGAUUUUGCGGAUGGGCAGGAUCUGGAUGCAUCAGUGGCACAAGGGGUCGCAGGUCACAAGGUCCAAGAAGGUGAUGGUGCAGUCGGUGUUGAGCUAGGAGAUGGCACAACCAUCGCGGCGAGUCGCAGAGACACACCAGCUACUAUCAAGGUUGCACCAAGCCACCAACUACCUUCAGCGUUGGGUUCUUUGGGAAGGAAGGAGAAGGCAAAGUCUGCUGCUUGCGGUGGGGGCAAACGGGUUGGUGCGGUAGAAUCCUACAUCUCUCAUGGACUAGAGAAAUCAGAGGACAGAUAGAGGGGGUGAACCAGCAGCAGCUGCUGAUGAUAUGGUGGUAAUGUGCAGGUGAUGGAGGCCCACACAAAGUCGCCCGAUCGCGCCGCGUCGAGGCGGAGGAAGAUGUCCUCCAUGAUCCCAUCGGGAUGACCGGCACUGCCUCUGUCGAGUCCAUUGCAUUGUUAGUGGCGCGGUUGUUAAGACUCACAAGUUGGUAGUGGAGUGGUAUAAAACGGUGGGUGUCAAAAGUAAAACCUAGGCGACCCUCAGUCCUACCGUUACCAAUGAUUGUUAAACAGGAUUGGCAAAACAUUCUCAAUAGUGCAGAGUUUUUUAUGCUUUUGUAGUUAAUUUUUGUUAUUUGUUCUAUGGGCAUUGUUUGUUUUCUUUUUCGUCGAACAAGGAAAUCUCUCUCGCGCAACUUUUUAGAAAAAAAUAUCCAUAGAAACUUUGGGUUGAAACAUUUUACAUGUCCCUGCCUUUUUGUGCAUUGCAAAUGGAUAGGUACAAAUGUGUUUUGUGUCUGAAACACAUUCAGAUAGGUUCCAACACAUGAGGGCCACUAAUAAGUCUACAUGGUAAUAAGAAGCUAAUAGAUGUUGCCUUGUGGCAUUCUCCUGCGUCCCAAGAGAAGAGGAAGGUGAUAUGAUGAUCUUGUAACUAUGAAAGUCAAUUGUAGAUCAUUCAUAACUACGAUUAACCAGUAGAUGCUGACACAGUGGUAGCUAGGAUUUGCAGGUGACGGAGGCCUUAACGAGUCGUCCGCUUGAGGCGGAGGAAGAUGGCGUUAGUGGCAUGGUUGUUAAGAGAGGCGAACCCUAUUCAUUCCAACUUUCCAAGUCGAUAGCGGAGUGGUAUAAAAUACAGUGUGUCAAAAGGCAAGGUCGUCUAGGCAGCUCUUUGUCGAACAGUUACACUUGCUGUUAGACGGGCUUGGCCACAUCUUCCCAAGACGGCAAUGUUUUAUAUUUUUUUAUGUAGAUCAUAUCAUGCUCUAUCUUUAUGUAGAUCAUAGCAGUGGUCCAAACAUUUUCAGUUCGCCAUGAUGUUUGUGGAUACCAAGUGGACAUGUAUGAAUGUGUUUCGUGUCUGAAUUUCUUGAGACUGGUACCAAGUGCAAUGAAAGCUGCUCACAAGCUUGCAAACAAAUAGAUUUUUCCUUUCCUCUGAUAGGCUCGCAUUUUUUAAAUAUUUGAAACAAUGCCAACUGAUGUAGCGGUGGGAGAGGUAAAGUGUGAACAAGAGAACAACCAAGAAACAAUCUUUUGAUCAGAAGUUUGAGAAGAUGAAUGCUGCUUUGCGUAUUAGUCGAUUAAGGGGUUCUCUCUUCAGGGUAGUGCGGAGUUUUUUUUUCAAUGUUUAGACUUUGAUUUGUUAAUUAGUUACGGUAGCCCCACAUGAUUUAUUGUAAUCCCAUACUACAUCAUGUAUGCGCACGUGCACAUGGCACGUGUGUGCACAUCACUUGGGAGGGUUUAUUACGGUUUUAGCUUCACUUAUUUUGCACAAGUCGAAGCACUAUAAGGGCUUUCGUGAAUUGAGAGAAACGAUUUCAUUAGUUUUGACUUCAUCAAUGAAGCCGUUUCAAGAGAAGCACUCCUAAAUGAUACCUUAACAAAUACUCCUAUGAUUGUGUCUGUUCCGUUCUUUUGGAUACGUGUGUUUGGGUCAUUCACCUCUUUUAUAACACAAAGAUAUGUGCGCAUUGUGUUUGGGCCGUUCUUCUCUCUUAUUAAUGCAAACAUACAUAUAUAACUCUGCAUGCUUGAGAAACAAAGUUCUUUAAUGGUAUAGAAAAAGGAAAAAAUAUCUUUUGCAAUUCUUGCACUUAAAGCUGCAAUGGCAUUUCUCAAAUCAAUGAUGGCGUAACCCAGAUCACUAUAAAAAAGAUUUUUAGGCGCGGACGACGGGACGAGGAGUUCCACCCGUCUAAAAAAGAUGGCGACACGCAGUCGGUCGACACUUGCAGCGGCUAAUGUUUUUGUCCACCUUAAGUAGUUCACCCCAUGAUCCGCACCUAGAAGGCCAUUUAUAGGUGUGGUUCACAGCCGUACUGCCCCUAAAAAAUUGUAUAAAACCCCGUCCUUAACUUCUUCCUCCCAAAGCCGACAUAGUACAGUGAAAAAAAGGGAGAGGUGCUACUGCAAUUCCCAAAAAUAUAAAAUUGAAGGAUGAUCUUUUUGCUCUUAAUUUCUUUGGAGUUGGUAGCUAUAAGAGGUAAGCCCAUGCAAAUGCUAUAUCUAUUAUGAUAUUUAUUCCAUAUAUUUAGGCUCCAUGCAUUAGGGUACUUUUCUACCAUAGCUAGAUCCACAGUGCGCUUAGCCAUUUGUAUCUCAAUAUUUGGUCCAGUCUUUUGGACGAAGUAAGGUUACUCGAGAAGGAGCAUAAGAGUCUCCGAUCAUUUUGGCUCAAUUUCAAGUUUUUAGCCUAAAUCAUGAAUGGAAAAUUUCCUAGAACCAUAGAGGAGAGAGAAGAAUAUUUGUUUUUUUCUCUCUAGAUCUACACGUGCAUGUUAAGUUUUUCUAUUUACAUAAUUUUUUUGUCACAAUUUUUCUAGUGGAGGGCAGUGUUUCGAUGCCUAGAUCCACACAUGUUAAUUUCUUUCCCUACAUCUACACAUGUCAACUUACAUAUAGUCUAUUUUCCCCCAACGUAACUUUUUGUCCCAAUUAUUUUGUUUUGAAAUAAUACUUUUUGUCCCAAUUAUUGAAGUGAAGGUUUUGAUGUAUUUAAAUUAUCUGUUGAGGUUACAAGAUGUGCACGAAGGACAAUAAUGUAGCCGUUUGUAUAUCAUUGCACCCAUGAGCUGGAGAUACGACUUUAGUGCUGCUCAACAAGAUUAAUGACGUUUGAUUCCAUUUCUCAUAUUAUGAAUUACUUCCUCCAUUUCAAAUUAUUUGAUCGUUUUGACUUUUCUAGAUGCAUGAUUUUUACUGUGCACUUAGAUCUAGGUUAUGUCUAGAUAUAUAACAAAAUCUAUAUAUCUAGAAAAAAUCAAAAUGACCUACAAUAUGGAAUGGAGGGAGUAUGAGAUAUUGAAAUUAUUUCCUAUUUCAAUAGUCUAGAGUAAUUUAAUGAUCCAGUAAUCCUGGAAAUGUUUCUCGCAACAUUCUCUUAAUAGGUCCCUCAAAGAAAAGCGUUCUUCGUAUGCUCCUUAAUCCGAUGUGAGGUCAAGUGUGAUGGAAUAUGCAAAAUUGAGAAAUUCUGGAGGAAGAUUAGUAUUUAGGUAAAAUUCAUUCUCACGUAUCUCGUUCAAAAUUGUGGUGCCUGGCACAGUGGCACAUAGGAACUUUUUCUAGGAAUUUUUCCUCCUAGAGUGACUUAAAGCUUGAUAUAUGUAUGAAAAGUGAGACAUAUUGGAGAUGAAGGAAGAUGAGCUAUGAUCAAUACCUUUUUUUAUUAUACCUAAUUUAUCUAUUUUUUUAAAAGGACGACAAAAACUUUACCGUGAUUUUUAUUAGGAGGAGAAAAUAAAGUUAAGGAUGGAUCCAGUUUUUAAGUGGAUCAGACCCAAAACCACAUAAAUUAGGACAAACCCCACAACUUCGAUACCACGCCUGACCAACUACAUCUUCCACACAACAACUCGCACCGCAACAAGCCAGCUUGGUCAAACGACCCAACUAAACAGCUCACUCUACCUAAUUUCCCUAUUCAAUAUCACAUUUUUUUUAUCAAAUGGAAUACUGGCUGCCCAUCUAGCACCUAGUGUUUAUUUCCUCUAUUUUUAAAUAUACGACAUCUAGCUUUUUUAGAAAAUGGAAAAAAAUAGCCAAUCUUUGCAACCGCACAUAGCCGAGUUCUUACAAAAUAUUUCUAGCUCAGCUGAUCCUAAAUAAAAAGGAAAAAUACACAUAGACAAAAGAAAAUAAUCAUAAACAAUGUUUAUUAUUGUUUUUUUGUCCAUUCUUAACGACAAUCUAAUUCUUUUGCUUGCCACAAACACGGCCUCAGGUCCCUUGUGUCCUCACACUACAACAGCGCAAAGUUGCAGCCAAUACGCUCUCCUGGAGGUAACCUCCAAAUUUAAGUGACGCCUACAUAACAUUGAAAAUGUUGCCACUGCCAUCCGGUAGAAACGAGACAAGCUAGUUUUUACUUGGAGGUACCAAUGGUCGUCACCACCAAGGAUCAGGAUUUCGUUUUUCAAAUUUUUUCAGUCCCGGCUAAAACACCGAAGUUCGCAAAAUUUUGACUAAAAUUUGGACUAAAAAGUGAAUCUUUUGACGAAGAGAAUGAAAUUUUGGGCAAACAAUAAUUUUGGUCACCAUCGAAAAGACCGAAAUUUUAUGAAAUACGCAAAAUUUCGGAUGAAAUUUUGAACACUGGUCACCACUAAGACGCCUCCAAGGAAUUUUCACUCAGUCAAGCAUUAGCUAAACAGAGUGUUAAUCUGACAAGCUACACUGCUAACUGAUAAGCUUGGCCACCGAUUCUGGGUUGGUUCCCAUCCAUGACAUGAAAAGUUUCUUUCUUGAAUUCUUGAUGCCAUGCAUAUAUAAGAAAUUAAACAUGACUGAGCCUAUGACGUCAUCAGCAGUUUCUGAGUUCACGAUUGGUUGAUGCCGAGUCCUGUACGUCUAUGUAUCACGGAUUAGUUCAGGUUUUGGUUCCUCUCGAACCUGGCCCACCUGUUAUUGUCCAAGACCCCCUGACAAUGACAUUUUUCACAAUUUAGCCAAUAUUUUACACUCAAGGAUACAAUGGCGGUACUUCAGCCGAGCCAGGCAAAGCCUAAGGCCCAGUUAUCGAACCUAGCUACAUGCAAGCAAAACUGUGGAACACAUACUGCUCAUGCCCAUGCAUACACCUACUCUUGCAGGUGUGGAAGCGACGGAGCGGUCCGCCCCUGCAAGGAUAUAAAAGUGGGUUAUGCAGGUUUGCGGACCAGCCCACCUGACCAACUUAUAUGUAACUGUAACAAGGAACAGCAUGCCUCUCUAUCAACCAUUAGAACACAAAACACAUUGAUCUACUUACAUAAUAUAAUAUGUACAUUUGAAAGGCACCAUUUGCAUACUAAUCCUCUAGAAUUCAUGCAGGAAUUACACCUUCCAUUGUUAUUUUUCAUAAAUACGCAGGAGAGCUGCGCACAUCUUUGUAUUAAGAAGGAAAAACGUUUAGAAAUAUUACAACGCGACAAAGAUUGUUACGAGACAUGCUUCUGACAGGCUGCCACGCAGGAGGCGUAGGAAGUGGAGUUGCCAUGACAAUCUAUGCUAAUUCGCUUGCGGCGGAACUGAAGACCAGAAUUCCACAACAUAGGAAACAAACAUACAUGCUCAAAGGAUCAUUAUUCUGAAACAAACUAUGCAUAACUGAACUUCGAAAAUGUCGGCCUCUCUUGGGUGGGUGGGGGUACUUGGGGUUGGUGGGGGCUGGGUUCUGUACAGCAAUGCCCAGUCCAGGAGCCUGCAAUAAACCUUAAUGGUGUUGCACCCGACAACAAGCGCCCAUUGGUUAUGUUAUCACAAUUUGGACGCUGAAUGGUAGAGCUCGAUGUAGUCCAGGGCAGGCCGGUUCCAGGACCAGUCCUGCUCCAUGACUCUCUUGCAGAGGGAGUGGAACCAGCUCCGAGCAUCGAACCAAGCAGAGAUCGCCCUGAAGAUGUAAUAUUGGGAGGCAAGAUGAGUGACAAUUUCGGAGUUCAGUGAACCAGGCUCUGUGAGAUUGUGCUUACCUGUUAAGGGCAUAGUCAACACCACGGCUGUCAGCUCCGUCAAAGCUGAACCCGUUCGGCUCAAGGCCUCGUGCCCAGGCCCGUUCCUUGUCACUAUCCACGUCAAAGACAGUGUCGUAUAGCCCUGAGAAACACGAAAGAUCAGGUCAUGUGUUCACUUCAAUACACUGCACAGUGCAGCGCAGUUUGAUCGCAACGGAGAAUUAACGUUUAAGAGGUUCGGCACAUAUACCUCCAGUUUUCCGAACAAUAGGGAUAGCUCCAUACCGCAUGGCGACCAGCUGAGUUAACCCACAAGGCUCAAAUAUAGAUGGAACCAAAAUGAAAUCAGAGCCAGCAUAUAUCUGUAGCCACGGAAAUUAUUAGACAUGAUUUGAAAGGUGCUCUGAUGAGCGGUUUUCAUGUGGGUUGUCAGCUCACCAGAUGUGAAAGAGGCUCAUCGUAGGUUAAACAGAGUCUCACUCGGCCAUAGUUUACGCCAUGGAGAGUAUUCGCAAAGUUGACAAAAUCACCUUGGAUUCGAGGGUCUGGGGCCGAACCGAGCAAAACUACCUGGAAAGCAAACGUGUCAUUUUCAAUUUUAAGAUGACAGGCAGAAACAAUUACAGAAAGAACUGUGUUACAGGAAAUGUUCUAAGGUUUAUCUGCAAUUCAAGGCAGGGACCUGUCCGUUCCAUUCAAGUGUUCGUUGAAUUGCAUGCUUGAUGAGGUGGAUUCCUUUCUGGGCUGUCAAGCGAGUGACGAUUCCAACAAUAGGCACAUCAUUUUGUUGUAACCCAAGCUUCUGCUGCAGGGCCUUCUUUGCAGCACUCUUGCCUUCAACGACAUUCUCAGAAGUGUAAUGGACCUGAAAUUGAUUGAAAUAAACAUUUAAACAGGAAAUUGUUUGCCACUGGUAUGCAUUAGUAUUUUUGAACAAUCGGUAACAGCCAAAGCAUGGAAAGAGAUGCAGAUUAAUAAGAAAAUUGUCACAUGGACAUUACUUUAAAUGAUUAUUCAACUUGAGAGUGUACAUAAGUGGCCAUAUAAGCGAAACUCGGUCAUUUGUAAAAUAAGCAAAUGUGUACUAACAGAGCUCUUGGUUUCAGUUUAUUACUAAGUUCAAGCAAUAGAGAUGGAAUAAAUAGUUUACAGUAAAUGCAAAAUGUGUACGGACAAAGUGUACCGGGAUAAAGUUGUCAUUGUACGGAUCCCAGAUAUCUGGAUCAAUCCCGUUGAGAAUGCCAUGGAAUUUUCCAAGAUGAGGAGCGAUGGCACCGUGACCUGACACUUCCCUUGAAUAUGUAUUAGAGACCUGCAAAGAAUAGAAACAUGUGAAUAGAUAAACAUCAACAGAAUAUAUUUAUACAGAAGCACAAGAUAAUUGACGUCAGUGACACAUGUAUGUAAAACCCAAAAUUAAAACGUACAAGUGUGUAUCACUCACGAGUUUAAAAAAAUACAUUUCAAAGAAGUGUAUCACUCACAGUUGUGGCUUUAUCACAAUAUCUCAUUGCUUUGCCAAUAUAAUGUGCUCCAAAUUCAAGAUUAUGGAUGGUAAAUACAACCCGUGCAUUUGUCAAACUGGAUUGUGCAUAGUGUUCCUUGUAUAGCCAGGCAACAGGAGCACUUGACCAAUCAUGGCAAUGUAGUAUAUGCUGUAAGAGGAAAUGUCAACAGCUUUAAUGAGAAGUUAAAAGAAGUAAACAAAUAAGGCAACUGCUUGAAAGUCAGGAUACAGAAAGGUAAAAGAUUUUAAAAUGAAAGGCCAAUGAAAGAGCAAACUAUACUGCCGGUCGCUUCAAAAAAAUAAAAAAGCAAACUAAGAUAGUGAAGGAACAGAAAACAGAGGGACAUAUACAAGUUUUUGAACGUAAUGAACUGCAGUGUGCCAAAUAGUUUCUUUUUUAAGAAAGGUGUGCCAAAUAGUAAGAAGGUACAAAAAUAACAAAGACAAAUAGUAGAAGGCAACACAUGAGGAAACAAUAUAGCCCUGCUGUUGUAAUUUGUAAAUAACACGUACCGGAGAAGAUCCACUCUGGAGGAGAAACUCAAGAGCAGAAUGACAGAAGAACCCAAAUCGAAGGUCAUCAUUCCUUCCGUACACACAUCCAACUCCAAAUAACCUGAAAAAAUAAAUGCCAAAUUAUUAUCUUUUGAAACCUCUCAUAAGAUAAUGUCACCAGACACUGAACCAAAUGAGACAAUAGAUCAUUAAACUGAUAUACACAUAAGACAAAAAUCACAGUAUUUAGAUUAUAGGACAAAAGUUAAAAUAUAGAAUAUAAAUUCAAACGUCUCAAAAAAGAUAAGGCGCCAGAGGAUUACUGAGUUUUGCUUCCAAACAUUAGAAGCAAAACUGAAAUUAAACAGAACUAUCUCAGUGACUUGAUCACCUCAAAUCGGACACUAAAUAUCACCAAAGAAAAAACAGAAAUGGAGUGGUACUAACUUCUGAAACUCUAACCAACAGACAAGUGAAGAACCUUCCCAGAUAUCCCAAUGCCUCUAACCUAUAAAUGCUUUUGAAUAACAGUAAUCACCUUAACAUUUUUUAAUUAUCGAAGCAUUUACAAUUUAGUAUACAAAGUGAUUGAGUCAUUGUUUGUUGUUUUUCAUUUCCUAAUUUUGCCGAAAAAUUGUCAACCCCAAAGGAGACUAUGGAACUGCCAAUUUCACAUAUACUUCCCUACAAUCAUUUAGCUGUGGCGACCAAUAAAAUUCCAACCAAGUAGCAUAUAUAUACUCUUUUUAAUGAUAUAAGUCGCAAAAAUUUACAAAAAUAGAUUUGUUAAUCAUUAGAAACUUUUCUACUCCAAAAGAGAUUACAUCACAUAUUAUUAUCGUAACGAUCUCACACACUGUUUAUUACUGCACUAGAAUUAAUUAUUAAACACAAAGUGUUUCAAAUCCCCAUGUUGAUGGUAAUUAAAGAACAGCUAAAUUUAAUGAAACAAGCUUAGAAAUUCUACAUUGCUUACAAACAAGAAUCAAUUAGGCUCCAGCACUAGAAUUGUUUGCUGCUUACAAACAAGAAUUAAUUAGGCUCCAGCACUGAGCUUUGUGAAAGAUUGUCACUAAGGUGUUUAUAACAGUAGCUGCUACAUACCCAUUUUGAGGUUCUAAGAAGUAAACACAGAGGUCUUCUACUAGUCCACACCAUACUUUUAUUUCAGAACCACCAAAAGAAAAACUUUGAUGCAUAUGUAAAUUCUUCACCUGCAUUGAAAUAGAUGCAUAUUAAUUGAUAAGAGAUAUAAAACUUAUCAUAUACCUGUUUCUGUCUUCUUAGUUUUUUCCUGUCACAUGGUAAGAUGUGUGAACUGUUUACCUCCAUCAUUCUUGCAUAUAACUCAAUACUAAACAAAGGAGUCAAAAUGUGUUUGCAGACUAAUACAAAUAAAACCAAGGAAUUCUACUUUACAUAUUAAGCUGUAAAUUGACAAUUCAAAGGCACUAUGCAUAAUUAACACAAGCUAGCCAACUAUACGAGGAAUGAGUGGCUGAACUAUGAGGAAGCACAUGCAUAUAGAGUAACACAGUAGACUUAGAUGCUUUUAGCAUAGAGAUGUCAAAUUCAGUUCUUGCUACAAAGCCACUACACAUGUCACAAGAGUAAAAAUGGCAACGGGUAAAACCCGCGCGGAUAUACAAACCACAAACCCGCACCCGCGACAGUAUAUCCGCGCCCGCGCCCGCGCCCGCCACCCGCCACGGGCAACACUAUGCGCCCGCGCCCGCUAUCCGCGGGCAUAUUUUGCCCGCGGGCAUGCCCGCAUACCUGGGGGGCUGGCGCCGAGCAGGGCGGGCGGCGUCCGGGCGGGCGGCGGCCGGCGGCCGAGAUCCGGGAGGGCGGGCGGCGGCCGGGACCCGGGAGGGCGGGCGGCGGCCGAGAUCCGGGAGGGCGGGCGGCGGCCGGGCGGGCGGCGGCCGGGACUCGGAGGGCGGGCGGCGGCCGGACGAGCGGCGGCCGGGAGUCGGGAGGGCGGGCGGCGGCCGGAACUCGACUCGGGCGACCUGCUCCUGGGCUCCUGGCGCCUGCGGCCGGCGGCGAGCGGGACAGCAGUAGCAGGUUGCCGCCGGUCGGGGCCUCGGGGCCUCGGGGGAUUGGAGUUUGGACUGGGGGCCUGGGACGGGUGGGGUGAACGUGGGGUCAGGAGGUGAGGAGGUCAGGAGGAUAAGGAAAGGAACCCUAGCAGCGGUCAGGCCCACAUGUCAUGCGGAUUUGCGGGUAUACGGGCACGGGUAGUGUAUUUUCAUACCCGCAAAUUUUUUACCCGCGGGUAUAAAAUAAAACCCGCACCCGUACCCGUGGAUACAAAAUGGUACCCAUAUCCUCACCCUAACGGGUUUUUACCCGCGGGCAUGCGGGUAAUCUGUGCCCGUUGCCAUCUUGACACAAGAGAGAAGCAGCAAGGGAUGCAGUAGCCAGUUUUAACUUACAUUGCUUAGAUUCAAGCAAUCAUGCUUUGGAAGAAUAACCUCAACAUUGUGUCCUAAAUCUUGGACAGCACGUGAAAGACUAGUAACAACAUCAGCAAGGCCUCCAACCUAUGAUAGCAUUGGUUAGACAGCACACUAUUAAUGGAACACAACAAUAAAAGCAAAAAAGGUGAUGCAUCUCAUGUGUUGCUAAUCACAGGAAUUUAACUUAGAAAUAUGGAUUACCUUUGCAAUGGGAGCCAUCUCAACAGCAAUGUGGACUAUAUGGAUAGGAGGUUCCUUUGCAGUCGAACCAAAAACAGGAAUAUGAUAGUCCAACCCAUUCCUGUUGUCAUAAAUUCCACCUUCUUCAAACUCCGAGAAAACAAAAUCCAUCAUAUAGGCAUCUCGUGGCACGUUAACUGGAGAAGAAGCACUCUACUUCAGAAAUAAGAAAAAUAAGGGGAAAAGAAAGAGCUCUAUGCAUCUCUGUGCUACAUUAAAUAAUUACAAGGGAGCUCAAGGAGCACUAAUAUCCCCCUGCAUGGAUAUGAAAACAAUGUUCCAAAAAUAUGAUACACAGAAGCAGACAGGAUUCAACAUGAAUUUGACCUAAUCUGGAAGAAAAGUUGCCACAUUUUUCGAAUUUUUGACUGUGUAGUGUCCUAGGGACAAGUAGCAGUUUGAACUCUUCUUUCCAUAAACUCAAGUAAAAAGCUUACAAGCCAUCCCUUAUGGCAUUAAAUCUCCUAGCUCUAAAAAAUUGAGUCAUGUCAUCGUUUUGUUCAGGAUUCAUAAGUAAACACAAUAUGCUAUCAAUACAUGAAACAGAAUCUACAGGACAAAUAUGCUACAAGUACUUAACCUACUUGACCAGUGCUCUAGUAGCUCUGAGCUAUACUAAUGGCAUAAAAAUGAACCACUGGAGCUCGAACCUGUUGCUUUUAAGUGUGCGCCAUUUUCUACUUUUACCAUCUUCUGAGGCGUCAACACACCACCUGGAUGCAUCCAACGGUUAAAGGAACAUCGAAACCAAACCUCCAGCUUUCCAGUUAGCACUGUAUUAGAAGGAUUGUAAAGCACAUCAACAGUGGUUCCAGCACGUAUUUCAAGUGGUUCAGUAUAAACAAUGUGUUUUUGAGAAAGCAGAAACAUUUUCGUAGUCUUUUUCUUCAUCUCAUCUUUCAUUUUUGCAGUUCUCUCAGCCUGUAUUAGAAAAAGGAAGCAAAAGUCAACUAAAAGACUCCUCACUAUAUCUGUCAUUAAAAUAUCAGGAAUUCAGUAUAUCGUGCAGAAAGGACUGCUCCUUUUCUUUGAUAACAUAAAGCACUACAAUCAAAGCUCUGAAGAAAUGCUAGUACUUGGUUGGGCCAUCACGAGUUACUGGUUAAACAGUUAGCAAUUAACUUGCAAGUUCCAAGUUAUGACUAUUCAAGUGUGAUUUCUUCAAAGACUGGUCAGUAAAGAUGAGUUUAUUAUACCAUAUAUGUGAAUGUGUAAAAAUAAAUAAAUAAAGCAGAGAUGAAAGCUGUUAUCUGCACAAAAUGACUGGUUAUGGGGCCCUCAAAAAAAAGACUAGUUAUGGUAGAGUUCGGUCAUUGAUGAAGUUGUAACACGAUUUUAGAUAUAGAAUUGGUCCAGCUACAGCAAGUGACCAGCAGGAACAUGUACUAAUCCGAACAUGAGAAGCACAAAGGUUAUGUUGCAACUGACCUUCCUUUUAAUACUAUCCUUCCUUUCUCUCCUCUCUUGUUGAAGCCUUCUAUAGAUCUGCUGUUCUUCUUCCACCCAAUAUUCUUCCUCGGUCAUGUUAUUUAAAAGGAUAGCAUGAAAAUCCUGCCAUGCAUUGUUGUCAUAAUUCCUUGCAUUCCCUGGUGGCCCAUCAGCAAAAACCCAGUCCAACACAUAUGUUCUUUCAGGUAAGACAACUGUACAUGAAACGACAGGUGUUAUUAUCUUUGUAGUUAAAUGAGUUAAAUAGAAAACUUAAAGAAUCUAAGAUAGGCCUUUCAUCUCAUCACUCAUGUACUUUAAGAAACCAACAUCAGUAAGUGACUGCAGAACUUAUGUGGUUUCAAGUUAGUAAACCAUUUUUUCAUUAAAUACAGCAAGCAAUGCUAUAUUUUUAAUAUUACCCUGCUAACAUUAGAGUAUGUUAAGAUGUUACAAAAUAUCAAGUUCAGAUAAGUGUGAAAUGCCAUACCAUCUGCAUACCACCAAUCACCAUCUUUGUCAUCAAGAUGAACAAGUCUUUCAGAAAAAGAGAGUCCAUCAAUCCAAUUGUUGUAGCCCCCAUGCAUCCAAAUCUCAGUACUGUGAACAAGUGGCCUCGAGCUUCUGUUAUAAUACAAUCUGACAGCAGCCCUUUGUCUAGUUACGACAGGCUCUAUGUACCACAAAUUAUCAAUAGAUGGUCGGGCUAAACCCAGUACAUUGUGCAAUUUUUUCUUCUUUAUCUCAACCUCAACCUUCGUUUGUACCUUGUCAGCUUCAUCUGCUUCCCUUUCUUCCUCCCUUCGCCACUGCUCUUCAGCUUGUCUCCUCCUUUCAGCUUCUUCAAUGGCCAAUCUCUCAAGUUCUCUUUUCUUAUCUUCAACCAAGAAAUCCUCAAACAAAUGUUCAUCCAUGGUGCUUUUUAUUUGUAUCAUAAAAUCCUUAUUUCCAUUAUUUUCAUAUACUGUGCGGCCGUUAAAGAACACAAAAUCUAAUCUAUAUGCCUGCUUGGGAAUGUACAGUUUGCAGCACCACCAGUCCCCUCCCUGUUCGCUCAUGUGCAAUUUUUCAGUGAAAAACCUCCACUUCCACCCAUUGAAUGCUCCUUUAAUGAGUAUGUCAUGCUCAUUGGCUAAAGUUGAUAAAUCACGAUUAAAAUAGAGAUCAAUAGUUGAAUCAGCUUUCAAUACCUCUGGAAAAACAAAAAGCUUGCUUCCCAGUGAAUAAUUUUUUAUGGUAAGUUCUUGAAGCAUCCUCUGUAGUGCUUGUUGGUCCACGUCAUGGUGAGGUAACUCCUGGAUAUCUUGUUCAGCAAACAUAGGUAUCUCAUCAACUUCAUACUGUUCUUCAUCCUCAGUUAUCUCCACUUCAUCUUCAACCCAUGAACUCUCUUUUUCACAAAGCAGAGGAAGAAAGUCAGCCUCGCUCAUUGAGAUCCCUUCUUCGGUAACAAUCCAUUCAUCCACUCUUAUGCCUUUCUUCUCUUCAAUCAUGUCAAGACGUUCCUCAUCAAUUCUCGUGCUAGUUGUCAUCUCAGCUGCUUCUUCAGUAAAACCUUCCUUAUAUUUCUGUAACAAGUUGUCAACAUCAAACUUUGCAUUAAGCGUAUCCCCAUCAGUUUUUUGAGAUGUGUAGUCUCCAUCCUUAGCUUCCACUUUCUUCGUUAGCAAUGAAUCAUGAGUCCGGACAACGGCCAGUUGCUUUGUUUGAGAUUCCAUGGAGCUGUCAACAAUUGACAAAUCUUGUAUAUGGAAACCAACUAUGGAUUGUUUUUGUUCAGGGAUAUGAACAAUUGAGUGGUGUUGUUUGGGAAAACCAACAAUAGAUCGAUCUGGUGUCCUGUGAGAAAUAACGGGUUGGGUUUGUUCGGGCACACCAACAAUUGGUUCAUCUUGUUUGUGAGGAACAACAACAUAUUCAUCUGAUUUAUAGUAGCCAACAAUGGAUUUGAAAUUCUCAGGCAAACCAACAGUGUAUUUAUCUUGUCUAUAGGAACCAACAAUAGAUUGAUCUGAUUUAUGGUAGCCAAAAAUGGAUCGGAUUUGCUCAGGCACACCGACAAUUGAUUCAUCUUGACUAUGAGAACCAUCAGCAGAUCGGUCUUGUUCAUGCGAACUAACAAUUGAUUGAUCUUGUUCAUAGGAGCCAACAAUUGCUUGUUUUUGCUCCAAUAAACCAACAUCCUGCUUGGGGGAACCAACAAUGGCAUGGUUUUGCUCAGAAAAUUGAACAAUACAUAGGUCUUGUUCAGGUAAUCCAGAAGUUAAUUGCUUUUGUUUAUCACCCAGCUGUUCAGCCACCUCAGCCACAUCCCCAUAUGUUCCACUGCUUGAAGCAUUGCCUGAUGAAUACACAACAAAUGUAUCCUGCAUAGCCUCAGCUUCAUCUAUCACUUCCCCUGCUGCAGCACAAUACGGUGCAACUCUUGACAAAUCUACUACAAAUGUGUCUUCUUUAGCCUUAGCUUCAUCCUUUGAAUCCAGUGCCCAAACUGCAGCACUGCUCAAUGCAAUUCCUGAGAAAUCCACCUCAAAUUUAUCCUCCUCGACCUCAGCUUCAUCCAGUGCUUCCACUUCAGCUAAUGAUAUAUUAAUCAAUGCAUUUCCUGGAAAUUCUGCCUUAAACAAGUCCAACCCAACUUCUUCUAUCACAUCCGUUUCCCUGAAUGCUGAACAGCUUGAAGCAUUAUGAGCCUGAUCCUCUUUGGCAUUUUCUGCAUCUCUACCAUUUGUUGACUCUGCCAAAUCAGUACUUAACUGUCCAUUGUAUGUACCAAUAGUUUCUUCAUUGCAAUCAUGGUGUUCGCUCUUCUCCAUGCUCGAUUGGAUGGUAACUUUUGGAGCAUAGCCUCUAAAAGCAUUGACUUUUAUCUUAGGAUACACCAGCCUCCUUGAUUUCCUAUUAGAGCAAUCUGCAUAUGCAGUACAAGAAAACAUGAGGUCGGUAAAACAUCCGACAGAAAAAUAAGCUUUCAACAAUAUAGUUCCCACACCUGAACUUGCUACUGUGCAUCGAAUAAUCCUGCUUCUGGUACAUCUACUUGUCCUCAACAAAGACUGAAAAUUCAAAACAACAGCGAAAAUAAGUUCUGCAGCUUAACAUGUUUCUCAAGAUAUAAAAGAAUCCUCUUUUCAGCUAACACUUAAGCAAGAUACAAAUGCAGUUACAAACAGAACAUUACGGCAACUUGUCAGAUUCCCUAUACAUACUAAAUAAGUUUAUCUCCACAAAUCAUACUGUGAUUCUUAAUUUCAUAAAUUCACAAUUGGGUUAUUUAUGCUGUUGGAUACUACAUACAUAUUUUCCCACAAAUCCAUUGUGCCGCUGCAUACUAUGUAUUCGCAUUUAACAAAUUCAGUUCAAGGAUUUAAGUAAUCUAAGUGCAGUCUUUCCUGAAUCAAACUAAUCCUAAAGACAAAAAUAAAUGAACCAGAAAAACAACAACAAAUGGAGCUUUUCUUAUUUCAUAAGCACUUUCGAAAAGGGGAAUAGUUUUUUUAUUGAACAAGCAUAAAAGCUGUGUAUCUUUGUAUUAAAAAGAAAGUAAAGGGGAAUAGUAAAUCAUAUUGCUUUCACACAGCAUUAAUAUGCAUUGUGUAGAGAGAUAGAAUUGGGGGAAACACCACACACCCAAUGGGGGGGGUGACCUCUUAUAUAUAUAGCCAAUGUGGCUUGGAGUACAAGAAACAUCCUAUACAAGGAAUACUAUAAUUAGCCUAGCUAUAUACGGCUGUACUAGACAUAUAUGUCUAACACCCGCCCGCAGUCGCAGCGGGAGAGUCUCGGACGCAAAGACUGGACUUAAACUCGUUGAAGAGCUGUACAGGCAAGCCUUUGGUCAUGAUAUCCGCGAAUUGGUGGGAAGAUGGGACAUGAAGCACGCGCACUUGUCCCAAGGCAACCUUCUCGCGGACGAAGUGAAUGUCGAUCUCGAUAUGCUUGGUGCGGCGGUGAUGAACAGGAUUGGCGGCCAUGUAGACAGCACUGACGUUGUCACAGUAGACGACCGUCGCAGAAGGAAUCGAGACAUGAAGUUCCUCAAGGAGCUGCCGCAACCAGCAACAUUCAGCAACGGCGUGGGCCACGGCCCGGUAUUCAGCCUCCGCGCUGGACCGAGAGACCGUGGUCUGUCUCUUGGAGGACCAAGAGAUGAGAUUGUCACCGAGGUAGACGCAGUAGCCCGAAGUGGAGCGCCGAGUCAGGACAUCCCGCCCAAUCCGCAUCCGAGUAUGCGGUUAGAGACUGAACAGGGCCGACGCCCAGGUGAAGACCGGAGGAAAGUGUGCCCUUCAAAUAGCGCAAGAUCCGCUUGAGCAAGGCCAGAUGGGGCUCGCGCGGGUCAUGCAUGAAGAGGCACACCUGCUGAACCGCGUAUGCCAGAUCGGGGCGGGUCAGCGUGAUGUACUGGAGAGCACCAGCGAUGCUCCGGUACAUGGAGGGGUCGGCGACUGGAGCACCAUCGGUCGCGGAGAUUUUGGCGUGAGUGUCAACAGGAGUCGACGUGGAGUGACACUCAGCCAUGCCUGCACGCUGAAGGAGCUCGAUGGCGUACUGGCGCUGAGAUAAGAAGAUCCCAGCGGAGGAGCGCUCAACAGAGAUGUUGAAGAAGUGGUGGAGAUCCCCAAGAUCCGUCAUAGCGAACUCGGAGUGGAGCCGGUCGAUGAUGCGCUGAAGAAAAACUGGCGAAGAGGCGGUGAGGAUGAUGUCGUCGACGUAUAGUAGCAAGUAGGCCAUGUCCCCACCAUCUUUGUACACAAAGAGUGAGACAUCUGAGACGGACGCAGUGAACCCGAGGCGGCGAAUAUACGUGGCGAACCGCUGGUACCAAGCACGCGGUGCCUGCUUCAGGCCGUAGAGAGAGCGCUGAAGGAGGCAAACAUGGUCAGGAGCCGCUGGAUCAACGAAGCCAGGCGGCUGCUGGCAGUAGACUGUCUCCUCAAGAUGACCGUGAAGAAAAGCGUUCUUCACGUCCAGCUGUCGAAUCGGCCAGGAACGGGAAGCGGCGAUGCUCAGAACGGCCCGAAUAGUCGGUGGUUUGACCACCGGGCUGAAGGUCUCGUCAUAGUCGAUGCCGUACUGCUGAGAGAAGCCGCGGACCACCCAGCGCGCCUUAUGGCGAGCAAGAGUACCAUCGGAGUGGUACUUGUGCUUGAAGAUCCACUUGCCGGAAACGACGUUGGCGCUAGGUGGCCGCGGGACAAGGCGCCAGGUGCCGUUGUCGAUCAGCGCCUUGUACUCGUCAGCCAUGGCCGCCCGCCAGUUGGGGUUUGCUAGCCCACUGCGGUAAUUCGCCGGAAUUGGCGAAGGAGUCGUAGCAGACAGGUUCCUGUAGGACACACGCUGGAUCGUCCCGGUCUGCGUGCGCGUCGCCGGACGGGAUGGUGCUGGAGCAGGGGCUGUAGCAGGUGCUAUUGAAGGUGAUGGCGCAGCAGGGGACUGGGGCACGCAAGUCGGCUGUCGCCUGCUGUAAACCCGAAGAGGCUGGACGGACCGGGAGGCGACCACUGGAUCAGGCGCCGGUGUCGGUGGCGCAGCCUCCGACCCAGAGCUGCUCGGAGCAGCAGUCCCGGCGUCGUCGAUCGAUCCUGACGGGGGCACAAGACCACACCCGCCCGGAGCAGUAGCAUCCGAAGCACUGGAUGGGGGUACGGAACCACACCCACCAGAGGAGAAGGUGCCGGGUAGAGGCACAGGGCCAAGACUACCAAGCGAGGAGACGUCGAGGCUUGGUGGGGGCACUGGACCACGCCCACCAAGGGAAGGUCGCGGGGGCUCACGUAGAGCAUCCGCGGGAGAGGAGCCACCAGCUGCAUGAUCAGUAAAACAAGGUGCAAUAUCCAAGUCGCGACCAAGAAGAAAAUCAAAGGAACUGGCGGGAGUAGGGGAGUCACGGGCGAAAGGAAAACUGAGCUCAUCAAAGACAACAUGACGAGAUAUAACAAUCCGGCGCGUGGAGAGGUCCAGGCAACGAUACCCCUUGUGAGCAGAAGGAUAUCCUAAGAAGACACAGGCGGUAGAACGGGGCGCAAGCUUAUGCGGAGACGUGGCCUGUAGGUUAGGAUAACAGAGACAUCCAAAGACGCGUAAGUGCUCAUAGGAUGGAGGGUUGUUGUACAAACGAGUGUACGGUACCUCAUUGCGGAUGGCGGAGGAGGGGCGUCGGUUAAGCAAGUAUGUGGCAAUGUCUAGGGCCUCAGCCCAGUACUUGGGCGGCAUGGACGCAUGAAGAAGCAAGGUACGCACUGAGUUGUUGAGGGUACGAAGGACACGUUCAGCCUUACCAUUUUGUGGUGAAGUGUAAGGACAGGAAAGAUGAAAGACGAUGCCGUGGGCAGUAAGGAGAUGAUCCAUGGCAUGGUUAACAAAUUCAGUCCCAUUAUCAGCCUGGAAACAUUUAAUAGUAGAACUGAACUGUGUGCGAACGUAGGGAAUAAAAUCAGCAAUGUGCUGACGAACCUCAGAUUUGUGCUUGAGGGGAAACGUCCAGCUAAAAUGAGUGAAGUCAUCUAGUAAGACCAAGUAAUAGGAAUAGCCAGAAAUACUAGUAACCGGGGAUGUCCAGACAUCACAAUGAACUAUCUCAAAAGGAGAAACAGUACGAGAAGUAGAUGAGCUAAAAGGUAGACGAGCAUGUUUACCGAGCUGACAGGCAUGACAAAGAGUGCGGUCUACUUUAUUACAGGAAAUCAACUUGUUCUUCUUGAGACUAGCUAAGGCUGCUGGACCGGGAUGACCAAGGCGACGAUGCCACACGGAGGACGAGGCUGCAAGGAGGGCGCUGGCAAUGGACUGGGCGGCUGGCGAGAGGGUGUAGAGAUCGCCCGAGCUAUUGCAGCGAAGAAUCACGCGCCCCGUCCCGUGUUCCUUAACAGAGAAACCAAAAGCGUCAAAUUCGAUUGAACCACCAUUAUCGCGGGUAAACUGACGAACAGAUAGUAAAUUACGAACUAUGGAGGGAGCGACAAGGAUGUUGUUCAAGAUGAAUUUAGCGGAAUUAGUAUCAAGAAUCGAGGAGCCGCGGGUCGUGACAGGGAUACGUGCACCAUUGCCUACUAUGAUCGAAGAAUUAGCAACUGGAAGGCGAGAGGUAAGUAUACCUUCAGAAGAGUGCAUAUGUGUAGAGGCACCAGUAUCCAUCACCCAGGUGUCGCCUUGCAGCGACAUUUGCUGCAGCGCCGCCAUGAGGCCCGCCGUGUCGAAGUAUUGGGGGCCGCCAGGCUGCUGGUCACUCACCGCGGUGUGGGCCUGCGGGGCGGACCCAAGGAGACCUGGAGCACCACGCUGCGGGCCACCCGCGCCACCGCGCCAUGCCGGUCCGCCUCCACCAGAGCUGCGGCUGCCGCCGGCCGGUCUAGGCUGCUGGCCCCACGGAUUGAUGCAUAUCCAGGGGCCAGUAGGGUUGGGCGCACGGGGCGGCUGCUGCUGCUGAUUGCCACCGCCGCCCUUGCGGAAGUAGGACUUCUUGCGCUUCUGCUGGCCACCGCCGCCCUGCUGCUUCCCCUGCUGUUGCUGGACAAAGAAUUGCUGAGGGGACGUCAUGCAGGAGGGGCAGGAGGAUGCACAGCCGGAGGACGACGAGGAGGAUGUGGAGGAGGCGUGGAGGGCAGUGGAAUUGGCCAACUUGGCCUCCUCAGCCAGCCUCAGUUCCUUGAGCGCGAGCAUAUCAAGGGCGCCGGCGAAGUCCAUGGAGGCGUCACCGGCGAUGAUGUCGCAGGUGUUGCUGAAGCGGGGAUUGGCGCCGCGAAGGAGGUUGAGCACCAUGGUGGGGUCGUCAACAGGCUUGCCGACAUCACGGAGGCGAUCGGCCGCCUUCUUCAUCUCUUGACCGUAGGCCUCGACGGACAGAUCGCCCUGAGACAGGGUCAUAAAGGCCUGACUCAGGAAGAUGGCGCGCGGCGCCUUGUUCGCCUCGAAGCGGGCGGUGAUGGCAGCCCAAUGCUUGCGUGCCGUCGGGUCGGGAGUCAUGAUGAAAUCGUGGACGGCGUCGGAGACGGUGCUGUAGAUCCAGGAACGGACACAGCAGUCCUCCUGCAGCCAAGCCGGCGUGAGGGGGUCGGGAGGCGCCGUCCCGUCGAUGUGGGACAGCAGGCCGAAGGUGCCACACAGGGCGUCGAAGCAGGCCUUCCACUUGGAGAAGUUGUCCGCGCGGAGGUCGAGCUUCAUAGGGACGUAGGACUGCACAGAGAUCGUAGCGUAAGGAAGCGCCAUGGGGAGAGCGAUCUGCGCAGCCGAGACGGCGUCGCCGAGGAGGGGAGAAAAUCCGCCGGAUGAAUCGGAGUCGCUGUCACCGGCGGAGGAGUCCACGUGGGUGACUGUGGACAUGCAAGGGUCCGGCGCGGCCGGAGGAGAGGCAGCGCAGGAUGGUGGUGCCGUGCCCUAGGUCAGGCGGCGGCGUGCCCUAGGUCAGGCGGCGGCGCGCCCUAGGUCAAGCGGCGGCGGGUGGUGGGUGGAGAGGCAGCGGAAGGGAAGGAACAGAAUUUAGAGAAACCCCGGACUCGUGAUACCAUGUAGAGAGAUAGAAUUGGGGGAAACACCACACACCCAAUGGGGGGGGUGACCUCUUAUAUAUAUAGCCAAUGUGGCUUGGAGUACAAGAAACAUCCUAUACAAGGAAUACUAUAAUUAGCCUAGCUAUAUACGGCUGUACUAGACAUAUAUGUCUAACACAUUGCUAGAAGGAGAAACAAUGCCCCAAAUGGAGCCAAUCAAACCCUUCCAUGAACCACGGGACCUGCCAUCAAACAACCCCAUGAUGCCAUAUCCACCUUGAUCCCAAAACCGAAUGGUCCCCAAAAUGAAAGAAUCAAAACUGGAAGCAAAUGCUACCAAAUCAGUAAACAGAGAUAUCAAGGAAUCAAAUAGCAAAACAGGCACACAAUCAUUUUUUUAACGUGCAUUAAAGCCAUACCUGAACAGGGCCGCCGCCUUCAAAGGCUGGCUGGAUAACGAGCGGUUCGUGGCUCCGGGAGCAAAGGAGGCUCUGGGGCCGGAGGGCAAUCUCCAUUGCUUAAAAGGAUCUCCAAAUCCCCACAAGAACCACUGCCCAGUGGCGUGCCUCUCUUGGCUUCUUAGUCUCUCUCCCCUCUCUCUCAAUCUCUAACACAGUAGGAACUGAAAAUGAUUUGGAAACUGCAGAUGAACACCACAACGCAGCUCUGAAGAGAACGCACCCUCACAUUUUUAUCGAACUGAAUUUGAUCCUUUCUUCUCACCUUGUAGCUGUGAAAUGUGGUUGUAUAUGAAACCAAAGAUGUCAUCUUGCGGGUCCAAAGGUUAGUAAGGUAAAUAAUUUGCAAAACAAAUCCACUUGGUAUAUAUAUCUCUCUCUGAGUGUCUUAAGUUUGUAAGAGAAAUUUUAGUAUACAGAUCCUUAAAUAUAUUUGUGCCAGUUUUCUUUACUGCAAGUUUACAAUGUAAAUCCUAAACUGACUUUUUGAACUAACUGAAUUAAGAUAUUCAUUGGAAUCAAGUUUCAAGUAAUUGAUAUUUUAUAUGUUUAAUUUCACCAUGCUUGAGUGCAGAAACCUAUUUGUUAACUUCUAAAAUUACUUUGGAUUCUGCAUUUGUUGGUAUCCGUGUCAUAGAGGUCCAAAUUAAUGGCCAAGGAUGCUACCUAAAGGCUCUGGUGAUGCACGACCGCCCCUAGCACUCCAUCCACCACUUCCCUCAGCACCCACUCUUUCUCCCGAUUCAGCAACCUCACGAUGGCGAUAAGGAGCUGUGAGCCCUCCUCUCUUUAGGUCUUCUAGUAGUUGUAGGUUUCGUCUAAAUAAAUCUUUAAGCUUUUGCCUAGGAGAAGGUAUCCUGAAGUAUGGUUUGACUCCACUUCUGUGGCUGUUGAUCCUAUUUGCACAAUAUCGUUGCAAUCCUUGGUGGUCCUCCCAUUGGCAACAUUCACCCCAUCAAGGGGGAUCGAUCUGCCCUUGGAGUUUCUCAUGCCAUGGCCUCUUCAGUCAUCAUGGCCACACCUAGAUAUACUUUGAGCAAUCUUUGGUAAGUUCCAAUAAAUUCCCUCUUCCAUAUAGGAGAUAUGCUCCUUCUGUUUGUGAAUGGAGGGGAGUUGUUGGUCAUCCCUGUUGGGGGUUUCAAUGCCGAGUUGUUUGCUUGGCUGCUUAUGGUAUUACCAGAUCUACUAAAUUGGGCGUUCCGAAGAAGGAGAUGCUGGAGUUGAUAUUUUUGUGCUGCAAUCAGCAAGGCAAAUGCCAAAGCUUCUUUUUUUACGACCGUGCCUUCGGAUGUUUUUCUUAGAGGAAGGUCAAUGCUCGAUUUUAUAAUGGAGUUCAAUUAUCUUGCACUGUUUCCAAAUUUUGGGGUUACUCGAUGGUUCUAGUAAGAGGAUUCUUGUGUGGCUGUGGCAUUCUGUGUUGUCCUAUCUACCGAGGUAACAUGUAUAGCAAUACAGGUCACCUAAGAUGAAAAAAUGCAUAUUUUGAGAAUUCUUUCCCAUGUGUUGGCAUUUAUUUUUAGGGCUCUUUUAAAGUACUCCCUCUUUUAAGGUAAGACCAACAAUAGAUCCUAACCUAUGAUUGAUAAUGGCAUUCCUAUUAUAAAAAAAAAAGCACUCGUUCAUUCCAGAUUUAUCCUUCAAAAAAAUAAGCAUGCACAUUCUAAAUAUUGGACGAGAGAACACAUGAAAAACCUAGGCCAUUAGUUUUAUUUCUUAAGGGGGAGAAUAAUGUUAAAGGUCAACAAAGUUCCAGGCUCUUCCCAGUUUUUUAUACAAGUAUUACAUUGUUGACACCCUUCGAAAACAUCAAGUUAAUUAAUACAUUUAUGACUUAAUUUUUGUUAUGUGUAUUGAGUUUUUAGUAGUGUGUUGCUGAUACACAUGUUAACGCUGCUCUCUCUUGUCAGUGACAGCAGUUUAAAGUGGAUAUCUGAAGCACAAAAGAAAAACCUAAUGUGUAUUGAGUUUUCGUCAUUACGAUUACGACCGGCCUUGGAAACAUUUGCCACUUGAUUUCGCUCAGGACACUGUACUCCAUCAGAUGUUUCAAGCAUUGAUUCAGAUACAGCUAAGCGACGGCAACCUGGCGUUGUUUUGGCAAGACAAUUGGCUUGGCCAGUCUUCACCUUGUUUCCUGGCACCGGAUCUUUGCAAGUUAAUCAGGUCACAUAUAAGGAAAACGAGAACUGUUGCCCAGGCGCUUCACCAGAAACAGUGGAUUCUUGAUUUUGCCGGACGGGCUACAGUCCCCACCCUCACCCAAUACGUCCUCCUGUGGCAUGCUAUCGCCAAUGUCCAAUUACAUCCUGGGGUAGAGGACAGGGUAUCAUGGAAAUGGAACACUUCAGGCAUUUACUCCGCAAGAUCGGCCUACCGUGCAUUCUUCUUCGGCGCCACAAAGUUUGCUUCAGCCAAGCUGAUAUGGCGUUCUUAGGCGCCACUGAAAGUCAAGUUCUUUAUGUGACUGGCAAUCAAGGAAAGAUUGUGGAUGACAGAGAGGAGGCACCGUCAUGGUUUGCAAGGGAACACGGAGUGCACUUUCUGUGAUCAGGAGCUAGAAACACCAGCUCAUUUGCUUGCAUUAUGCCCAUACGCACAGGAGGUUUGGCACAUCGUUACAUCAAUGUUGCACAUCCAGAAUGCUGUGCUCCAAAAUGAAACCUCCCUGAUGGAAUGCUGGCUGAACAAACGAUGAGCCUUGCCCGGAUCAAGGAGGAAAGGGAUGGAUUCAACGUUCCUGUUGAUCUCCUGGAGGCUAUGGAAGCAACGAAACGACAGAGUCUUUGCUAGAGCUCCUAGUAGAACUCCAGCGCAGCUAGCUGAAGACAUCAGAGACGAGGCUGUUGUUUGGUGUGCGGCAGGUGCCAAGUAUUUAGCUUUGCUUCAUUGGCCACAGCCGCAACUGGGCUCUCGGCAGCAGCAGCAGCAGCACCUCUAGUUUGCUGCCCACUAUCUUAGUUGGUUGUUUUAUGGUUGUUUUCGGUUGUUGUCUUACUGCCGCAGCCGCAACUGGGCUCUCGGCAGCAGCAGCAGCACCUCUAGUUUGCUGCCCACUAUCUUAGUCGGUUGUUUUAUGGUUGUUUUCUGGUUGUUGUCUUACUGUAAUGUAGUCCUCAAUUUGUUGAUAAAACCAUGUGCAUGCGCUCGGUAGACCCGUGUUGUAACUUUAUUAAUCUUCUUCAUAAUACAAAGGUGCGCAGCUCUCCUGCGUAUUCUUGAAAAAAGAUUACGACAUUACCAAAUGCCAAGUGCUUGUGUUAUUAACAGAGUGGUGAAGGACUCCAGAGGACACCCGUGGUUGGAGUGGCUUUGUCGUUUGAGCUUCAUGCACGGCAAGCAGAGGCAGAGCUAGGAUUAUUUGGGCAUCAGGAGCUAGGGGCAAGGUGUGGCAUUCCAUAUGCAAUCAUGGAUGCAACCUAGGCGCUAAGUGACAUCAUCAGUUAGACUUUAGAACGAUUUAUCCAACGUAGCUUGGAUAGUAGAUUUCAGGAUUAUCAUCCGCGCUCUUUCAUUUCCACAUGCCAUGUUUUCUGGAAAGAAAAAAGAAGAGUGAUGUGUGCCACGGAUCAAGGUUUCUAAUCAUGGCUUUCUCAGAGAUCACGAUCUUUCAUUAGUAUUUUGAUUAGAAGGUUUGCAAAUCCGUUGAAUUAUUGUUUGGAUUCUUAGCAUUACCUAAUUCAUUCAUUUUGGGUACGCGAUUAACCUCUACUGAAUCUGGAAACGAGAUAGGAUCUUUGGGAAAUAUACAUAUGUCAUCGUAAAAAAUCAAUCAACUACUUGCCACAACAUUUAAAUACUUGCAGCUAGAUGAGAUAUUAGGAUGAGAGAGACGAUUGAGUCCUGGGGGAUCGGAGUACCUUGAUCUGCUGGUCAUUCGUGGCUCCGCGGCCGCCGGCAGCACGCAGCUCGAGCAUCGCCGGCUCGCGCGGGAAUGGCAGUUACUGGCGUGCGGCGGCGCGCCGUCGAGGAAGAACGACGAGGCUAGACGAGGGACAAACUAAACGACGCAGGAUGCGGCCAACGUGUGGGCUGAUGGGCUCCCAUUGGCCUCAAACUAGCCCAGGUUAGAUUGGCAGCCCAACACUAACUUCCGAGCAAACUAACGGAUACGGCCCAGCUGUGUGUGGACGAUGGGUGAUUGUGUAUUUAGAUUGUGUUCUCUCCAAAAAAAAAAAAAAAAAAAAAAAAAAGAUGUGGUCCCCCACCCGACUGCCCCGCCCGAUGAUGGCGGGCGACCCCGCGGCGGCUGCGCGAGGAGGCGGGGGCGGCGGCGGAGGCGAGCCGGGCGCCGCCGCGGUGGUGCGCGUGUACGCGGAGGCGCUCCAGGAGCUCACCUUCAACUGCAAGCCGGUCAUCACCGAGCUCACCAUCAUCGCCGACGCCGUCUGCGCCCGCGUCUCCGAGGUGCCACCUGACCAGAUAUUACCAUCUUUGUAUCUGCUAAACUAGAUAGAUAGUAUUGUGAAGAGCAUUUUUCUGCAAGGUUGCAGAAGGUAUAUAUUUUUCGAUGCAUACUGUAGAGUUCAUCAUUCUUCUUCAGUAAUUUAGACAAGGCCAAAGUGCCUAUGUUUCUAAAAUCCCUGGAGAUGCAGAAACGGGGAAGAGUACCCUCUCAUUUGUUGUUUGGCACGACACAUGAGAAGGGUCAAUACUGAAAAAUACACCAAUAAGGAAGUUAACAUUGACAAGGUAGUAAGCUGCUAAGGAAUACUCCUGCAGUCGCAACAUUUAGUUUUUCACCGCACACAAUUGAACAUCAUUUCAAACCCACAAUUUGAAAAUUCAAAUUCAGACAUAAAUUAUGAUCGAAAUGCAUAAAACAUGGAGCAUCCCACACUACCACUGCCGCCCAUCCUUGACGCUAUAAUUUGCGCACGCAGUGGCUCCACAUACACUCUAUGUGUUCUUAUGACCAUGAUCAAGCAUUCUUGCUCCGUCUUCUUCGCUUGUGCUUCCUCUCCAAAGACUAUCAACUUCUCCUCUUCAAUCGCCACCUUGCGUUCCUUAUUUUCCACCUUGCGGUCGUCUAUUGCCUUGACCUCCACCCACCUUGAUUCCUUCUCGUGUUUCCUCUCAGCUACCAUCUCCUUCUUUGUUGCGAUCACAGAUUGGCCAUAAGGUUGGGUUCUCAGUUCUCACAGUUUGGAUGCCGAACGGUAGAGCUCAAUGUAGUCCAGGGCGGGCCGGUUCCAUGACCAGUCCUGCUCCAUGACCCUCUUGCAGAGGGAGUGGAACCAGUCCCGGGCGUCGAACCAAGAAGUGAUCGCCCUGAAAAUGGAACACCCGGAAGAAAGAGCGAUAGGUAAGAAUUUCCAGAGUUCACUGAAACUAGGCACUGCAGUGAGAUUGUGCUUGCCUGUUCAGGGCAUAGUCGACACCAUUGCUGUCAGCUCCGUCGAAGCUGAACCCGUUUGGCUCAAGGCCUCGAGCCCGGGCUCGGUCCUUGUCAUUGUCCACAUCAAAGACAGUGUCGUAGAGCCCUGAGAAACAAGAGAGAUCAGGUCUUGUGCUCACUUCAACCCACUGUGUGCAUGGUGCAGCGAAGUUUGAUGGCAAUGGGGAAUGGUUAAGAGUUGCAGAACAUACCUCCAGUUUUCCGGACAAUAGGGAUGGCUCCAUACCGCAUGGCGACCAGCUGAGUUAAGCCACAAGGCUCAAAUAUGGAUGGAACCAGAAUGAAGUCAGAGCCAGCGUAUAUCUGCAGAGCAUGACCAUGGAAUUAUCUUAGACAGGAUUUAAAAGAUGCUUUGAUGAGGCGUUUUCAUGUCGGCCGUCGCUCGUCGGCUCACCAGAUGUGAAAGAGGCUCGUCGUAGGUUAAACACAGCCUCGCUCGACCAUGGUUUUGGUUCUGGAGAUCAUGUGCCAAGUUGGUAAAAUCACCUUGGAUUCGAGGGUCUGGGGCUGAACCAAGCAAAACCACCUGGAAAGCAAUUGUAUCAUCAGUUUCAGUCCUAAGAGAUGACAGGCAGAAACAACUACAGAAACAAUUGUGUUGCAAGAAAUGUUCAAUCUGAUAUGCAAAGGGGCCAGGUGGACCUGUCCAUUCCGUUCAAGUGUUCGUUGAAUCGCAUGCUUGAUGAGGUGGAUUCCCUUCUGGGCUGUCAGGCGACUGAUGAUUCCAACAAUGGGCACAUCGUUUUGCUGUAACCCAAACUUCUGCUGCAAGGCCCUCUUUGCAGCGCGCUUGCCUUCAACAACAUUCUCGGAAGUGUAUUGGACCUGAAAUUGAUUGAAAUAAACAAUUAAGCAGGAAGCAUAUAUCCACCACACUGGUAUGUGUUAGCAUUUUUUUUAACAAUAAUCAAUAACAGCCAAAGCAUGGAACGGAUGCAGAUUAACAAAAGUUUUCACAUGCACAUUACUUAAAAUGCGAAUGAAUUAAGCUCUUUGUUUCAGUUUACUAAGUUCAAGAAGAAACGGAAUAAAUAGUUUACAAUAAAAAAAGUAAAAUGUAUAUGGAUUAAGUGUACCGGAAUAAAGCUGUCACUGUAUGGAUCCCAGAUAUCUUGAUCAAUUCCAUUGAGGAUGCCAUAGAAUUUUCCAAGAUGAGGAGCGAUGGCGCCAUGACCUGACACUUCCCUUGAAUAUGUAUUAGAGACCUGCAAAGAAUGGAAAAUGAGACUAGAUAAUCAUAUCAAAAGAACAUAAUUCUACAGUACACGAUAAGACAUUUUGUGUAGAGUUAAACACAAUAUUGAAAUCUGUAAGACUGUAUCACUCACAGUGGUGGCUUUAUCACAAUAUUUCAUUGCUUUGCCUAUAUGAUGUGCUCCAAAUUCAAGAUUGUGGAUCGUAAAUACAACCCGUGCAUUUGCCAAACUGGAUUGCACAUAGUUUUCCUUGUAUAGCCAGGCAGUAGGAGCACUUGACCAAUCAUGGCAAUGUAUUAUAUUCUGAAAGGAGAAUAAAAUGUCAGUGGUUUUACAUGAGAAAUUAAAAGAAAUAGAUAAAAAAAAGUCAGCUUCUCUGAAAGUCAGAAUAUACAGGAAGUUAAAGAUUUUAGAAGGGAAAUCUUUAUGAAACAAAUUAAGGAACAUAAAAUUGAAUGACUAUACAAACUUUUUGAACACAAUGAACUGCAAGUGUGCCUAAGUCAUGAAAAAACACUAUAACCCAAAAUGUGUAAAUAACACUUACUGGAGAAGAUCCCCUCUGGUGGAGAAAUUCAAGAGCAGAAUGACAGAAGAAGCCAAAUCGACGGUCAUCAUUCCUUCCAUAUACACAUCCGACUCCAAACAUCCUAAAAAGUAAGUGGCAAUUAUUGUAUUUUUAGCCUCUUACAAGAAAAUCCCGGCGAACAGCAAAGCAAAUGAGAUAAAUAAAUCAUUAAAGUGGUAUACACAUGUGACAAAAAUCACACUAUUUAGAUUAUAAAAAAAUAAAAAGAAGCUUGGAACACAACUUCAAACAUCUUAGAACAGGUAGCCCAGAAGAUUACUGAGUCUUGCUUCCAAACAUGAAAGAUCAUGGAACUGCCAAUUUAGUAUACAAAAUGAAUGAUCGAUUUUAUUCUUUUGUUUUUACUAGUUUACCGAUGAUUUUGUCUACCCCAAAAGAGAUCAUGGAACUCCAAUGUAACAUAAUCCCUCCAACUCAAGAAAAGUGCAAUUCUGGCUAUGAACCUAGACAAGUACAUAGCUAGAAUUGCAUUCUUCUUGCAAUGGAGGGAGUAUCACUGUUGCAACUAGCUCCCAACUAGCAUUUCCCUGUGAUGACCAAUGACUCCAAUUUCCAACUAAGUAGUCUAUCUACUCUUGCUGAAAUAAUAUAUAUUACAUAGUAAAAAAAAUGGAUUUGCUGAUCAAAACAUAGCAAAAGUUACUACUCCAAAAACAUAUUACAGAGCCACCAAUCUCACAUAUUAUUACCGUAACCAAAUCCCAGCCAAUCUACAGUAAAAAAAUAUGAUCCAUCACCUACUAGGAUUGAUGAUUUAACUGAAGUGUCUCGAUUCUCCAUGUUGUAAUUAUAUGAACAGCUAGAUUAGAUUUAUCAAAAGCACCUUACCAAUUCUACGUCACCAUUUACAAACCAGUAUAAGGCUCCAGCACACUGAGCUUUGUGGAAAAAAAAGUGACACUAAGGCUUUUAUCGCUGUGAAGAAUAAGCUGCUACAUACCCAUUUUGAGGUUCCAAGAAGUAAACACAGAGGUCUUCAACAAGUCCACGCCAUACUUUUAUUUCAGAACCAUCCCAAGAAAAAUUUUGAUGUAUAUGUAAAUUCUUCACCUGCGGGCAUUAAAAUAGAUGCAUGUCAAUUGUUAAGAGAACUUUAUGUAUGCCUGAUUUAUGUCUCUUAGGUUUUUCUUAUCACUAGGUAAGUUGUUUGCCUCCAUCAUUUUUUCAUAUAAUUCAGUAGUCUACCACGGAAUUAAAAUGGAUUUGCAAACUAACAAGGAAUUAUACUGAUUUAUUAAGCUGCAUACUGAUGAUUCCAAGGCACUCCGCAUAAAUAAAAGCGAGACAACAACACGAGGAAUGAGUGAUUGAACUACGAGUAAGCACAUACGUAUAGAAAAGCACAGUAGGCUUAGAUGUGCUUAACAUAGAGAUGCCAACUUCAGUUCUAGCUAUAAAGUCACUACACUUUUUUUUUAAUCGAACACGCAGGAGAGCUGCGCAUCUUUGUAUUAAGAGAGGAAAAAAUGACCCAAAUUACAAAGCAACAUCACCCCACUUUGGGCCAGGGCAGGGUUUAACCAGACACCCUACCCAUGUCUAACACUGAGAGCCCUUUGGCUCCAGCCAUCUGCCAUAGGUGGGACUCGUCCUUGAAGGCCUGCAGGGCUCCCUGGACAUUAGGAGCAGGUCCUUCAAACACACAAGCGUUGCGAUGUUUUCAUAGGGUCCAUGCACCCAAGAAAUCACUACACUUAUCACAACACAUAAGCAAUAAAGCACUUCUAACUUACAUUGCUUAGAUUCAAGCAAUCAUGCUUUGGAAGAAUAACCUCAACAUUGUGUCCUAAAUCUUGAACAGCACGUGAAAGACUCGUAACAACAUCACCAAGACCUCCAACCUACAAUAGCAUUGGUUAGACAGCAUACUGUUAAUGUAAUGCAACACUAAGAAGAGAAAAAGGAGAUGACAUCUCAUUUUCUGCUAAUCGUAGGAAUUUAACUUAAGAAAUAUGUAUUACCUUUGCAAUGGGAGCCAUCUCAACAGCAAUGUGGACAAUAUGCAUAGGAGGUUCCUUUGCAAUGGAACCAAAAACAGGAAUAUGAUAGUCCAACCCAUUCCUGUUGUCAAAAAUUCCACCUUCUUCUGACUCCGAGAAAACAAAGUCCAUUAUAUAGGCGUCGUGCGGAACGUUAACUGGAAAAGGAGCACUCUACUUCAGAAAUAAGAAAAGUAAGGGGCAAAGAAAGAGCUUUACGUAUCUAUGUGCUACAUUAAAUAAUUACAAGGGAACUCAAGGAGAAGUAAUAUCCCACUGCAUGAAUAUCAAAACAGUGUUAUAAAAACAGGAUACACAGCAGCAGACACGAGUCAACAUGAGUUUGACCUAGUCUAGUUGAAAGGUUGCCACAUUUUUCCAAGGCUUGACUAGCUGUCCUAUGGACAAGCAACGCUAACUCUUCUGGCUGCAUUCUCUAAGUUACAGCCUUUUUCAAAACCCCUGUAAAAAAAUUUAUAGCACAUCUUCUAAAAUAAUGGCAUAUCCGGAGUUGCCUAAUAUACUCUAACAACAAAUACAGUAGGAGUACUUGACCUACUUGACAAGUGCUCUAGCAGACUAGCAGUAGCUGACAAAACUAAUGGCAUAAAAAUUAACCACCGGAAGAGGUACUGAUGCUAGGAUCAAUUAUGUAGGAAGCUCGAACCUGUUGCUUUUAAGUGUGAACCAUGUUCCGCUUUUACCAUCUUUUGGGGUGGCAACACACCACCUGGAUGCAUCCAACGGUUAAAAGAACAUCGAAACCACACCUCUGGUUUUCCCUUUAACACUGUAUUAGAAGGAUUGUAAAGCACAUCAACAGUUGUUCCAGCACGUAUUUCAAGUGGUUCGGUAUAAACAAUGUGUUUUUGAGAAACCAGAAACAUUCUCAUAGUCUUUUCCCUCAUCUCAGCUUUCAUUUUUGCCCUUCUCUCAGCCUGUGCAAGUAAAAGGAAGCAAGAGUCAACUAAAUGAUUCAUCAGCAUAUAUGUCACGAAUAUCAGGAAUUCAGACUAUCAUGCAGAAAUAACUGCUCCUUUUUUAUAACAGUCAAAGCUCUGAAGAAAUGCUGCUACUUGGUUAGACAAUCGUGGGUUACUGGCUAAACCAGUUAACAACUACGUUAACUACAUUUCAAGUUCGAAAUGAUUAAUGUUCAAAUCCUCGGGUUAACUACGUUUUCUUCAAAAGACUAGUCACUAUGGAUGAAUUGUUUAAAAAACAUAAAUUAGCAUGUGAAAAACACUCAAGCAGAGAUGAAAGUUUUUAACUGCGCAAACAUGACUCGUUAUGGGAAAGUUCAGUCAUUGAUGAACCUGUAACUCGAUUUAAGAUUUAGAGUGGGUCAAGCUACAGCAAGUGACCAUCAGCAGGAAUAUCUAUUGGUUCAAACAGAAACACCAGAAGAGCAAAAGGUAUGUUGCAACUGACCUUCAUUUUAAUAGCCUCCUCCCUUUCUCUCCUCUCGCGUUGAAUCCUUGUAUAAAUCCUCUGUUCUUCUUCCACCCAAUAUCCUUCCUCAGUCAUGAUGCUAUUGGGAAGGAUAGCAUGAAAAUCUUGUCUGCCAUUGUUAUCAUAAUUCCUUGCAUUCCCUGGUGGCCCAUCAGCAAAAACGCAGUCCAACACGUAUGCUCUUUGAGGUAAGGCAACUGUACGAGAAAUACCAGGUGUUAUCUCUGUGGUUAAUGGAGUAUUUAAACAAUCUUAAAGAACCAACAUCAGUAAGUGACUGCAAAGCUUAUGUGGCUUCAAGUUGGUAGGCUUUUCUUUUUCUUCAUGGGACUAUUAAAAUACAGAAAGCCAUGUUUUAUUUAAAAGAGUAUCCUUCUAACAUUAGAGUGUGUUAAGAUGGUCUAAAAUACCAAGUUCAGAUAACUAUGAGAUGCCAUACCAUCUGCAUACCACCAAUCACCAUCUUUGUCAUCAAUAUGAACAAGUCUUUCAGAAAAAGAGAGUCCAUCAAUCCAAUUGUUGUAGCCCCCAUGCAUCCAAAUUUCAGUACUGUGAACAAGUGGUCUCGAGUGUCUGUUGUAAUACAAUCUGACAGUAGCCCCUUGCAUAGUUGUGAUAGGUUCUAUGUACCACAAAUUAUCAACAGAAGCUUUGGCUGAAUCCAAUACAUUCUGCAAUUUAAUCUUCUGUGUCUGUACCUCAGCCUUCGCUUGUGCCCUGUCAGCUUCAUUUGCAGCCCUUUCUUCCUCUAAUCGCUGCUGCUCUUCAGUCUGGCUCUUCCUUUGAGCUUCUCUCUCAAGUUCUCUUUGCUUUUCUUCAACCAAGAAAUCGGCAAACGAAUGUUCAUCCAUGGUGCUUUCUAUUGGUAUCACAAAAUCUUUUCUGCCAUUAUUUUCAUACAUUGUACGACCAUUAAAGAACACAAAAUCUAAUCUGUAUGCCUCCUUGGGAAUGUACAGUUUGCAGGACCACCAGUCCCCUCCCAGUUCGCUCUUGUGCAAUUUUUCAGUGAAAAACUUCCACCUCCACCCAUUGAAUGCUCCUUUGAUGAGUACGUCAGGCUCAUUGGCUAAAGAUGAUAGAUCACGAUUGAAAUAGAGAUCAAUAGUUGAAUCAGCUUUCAGUACCUCUGGAAAAACAAAAAGUUUGUUUCCCAGCGAAUAAUUUUUUUCAGCAAGUUCUUGAAGCAUCCUCUGUAGUGCUUGUGGAUCCAGGUAAUCCUGUGGUGAUUCUUGGGUAUCUUGUUCGGCAGACACAAAAGACGACUCCUCAACUUCAUACUGUUCUUCAUCCUCAGUUGUCUCCACUUCAUCUUCAGCCCAUGAACUCUCUUCUUCAGAAAGUUGAUGCAGAAACCUGUCCUCGCCCGUUUCCAUCUCAUCCUCAACCUCUGGAAUGCCUUCCUCAGUAACAAUGCAUUGUUCUUCCUCCAUGCUUGUAUUUAUCUGCUCUUCAAUGCUAGUUAUCGUCUCCGAUUCUUCUUCAGAGAAAUCCUCCUUGUGUUUCUGUAACAAGUCAUCAACAUCAGACUUUGCAUGAAGCAUAUCCCCAUCAGGUUUUUGAGGUGUGUAAUCUCCCUCCUUAGCUUCUACUCCCUCCGUACUAAAUGUCUGGUGACUCCCAGGAAAAUCAAGUUUCUUUGUUUGAGACUCUUUGGUGGUGCCAACAAUUGAUAGGUCCUGUUUAGGAAAGCCAACUACGGAUUGUUCUUCUUUAGGGAUAUGAACAACUGAUUGUUCUGCUUUACUGUAACCAACAAUGGAUUUGAUUUGAUCAGGCACGCCAACGAUAGAUUGAUCUGGUUUACUAUAACCAACAACGGAUUGUAUUUGCUCGGGCACAACAGCAAUCGAUUCAUCUUUUCUGUGAGAAGCAACAAUAGAUUGAUCUGGUUUUCUGUAAACAACAAUGGAUUGGAUUUGCUCAGGCACACCAACAAUUGAUUUGCCUUGUUCCUGGACCCUGACAAGUGGCAUGGACUGAGGCUUCAAACUUCCAUGUGUUUCAUUAUUGGCCUUGUCCUCUAUGGAUGUUGAUGGCAGUGCUGGAUAUUGCCAUUGCUCAUUCUCUACAUCAGAGGUUUCAUCUGAAGACUCCACUGCCAUAAAUAUGUCUUCUUUAGCUUUAGCUUCAUCCUUUGGAUCAAGUUCGCAAACUGCAGCAAUGCUCAAUUCAAUUCCUGAGAGAUCUACCGCAAAUUUAUCUUCUUCGACCGCAGCUUCAUCUACUGCUUCCACUUCCCCUAAUGACAUAUUAGUCAAUGCAUUUCUUGACAAUUCGACCUCAACCAUGUCCAGUGCAGCUUCUUCUGCCACAUCCACUUCCCCAUAUGCUGAACUGCUCGAAGCAUUUUCUGGCAAAUCCACUUCAGCAGUUUCUAAACCUUCUGUAUCAGUACUUAACAGCCUAUUGUAUAUACCAUCACCUUCAUCACUAUCAUGGCGUUCACUCUUCUUGGUGCUCGAUUCAGCAGGGAGUCUUGGAACAUACCCGCUAAAAGCAGUGAGUUUUACCUUAGGAUACACCAUCUUCCUUGAUUUCCUAUUAGGACAAUCUGCGUAAGGUAAUGUAAGAAAACAUGAUGUCAGCAGAACAACAAACAAACCAACCAAAUAAGAACUAUUCGCCAGACCUGAACUUGCUACUGUGCACCAAAUAAUCCUGCUUCUGGCAAAUCCGCUAGUCCUCAAGAAAGGCUGCAAAUACCAUAAGAGUGACAAAAAAUCAGCAUCAGAUUAUUUGUACCACUGCAUACCAAAUAUUUAGCGUUACGAAAGAUAGCACAUGGUAGUGAAAUUCCCCCACAAAACUCGCUUAAAAGUAGGCAGGUCUUUCCUCAAUAAAACUAGUAUGUGUCACGCCAUAUGCCCAAAGUAACAAACAUUUCCUUGGUCAUACGGUCCAAAACAAAUAAAUUCAGAAACAACAAAUAGACCAUUUUUCGUUUAUAAUCGUUCCUUACACUAAAUGAAAAUGGUAAAUCACAUCAUCUUCACACACAAACUUGAUUUAACAUCACCAAAAGGAGCAAAAUUUCCCAAACAGGACCAAUCCACCUUGAUUCCCGAAGCGUGUGACCCCAAAGCAACGAAAUCAAAACCCACAAGAAAUCCGGCCCAAUCAAUAAACAUAGAGAUCAAGGGAUCAAACAGCAAAACAGCAAUGCAUCACACAUGUAGAAUCAAGAGAUUUAGAUGGUGUAAGUGUGAAUCCAUACCUGAGCGGAGCCACCGUCCAAGGUGGUUCGCCGGACCACUGGCGCUGACCUUCCUCGAGAGCAGAGAGGGCUCCGGGGUAGGAGAGCCAUCUCCAUUACCGAAACAAAGCCUCCAAAACCCCGCAAGAACCACCACCAAGGGACGCGCCUCCCUCAACCCCCUCCUCUUCUCUCUCUCUCGUAUCUCUCUCUCACGGGGUAGCAACUAAAAUCAAUUUGUAGUCUCACCUUUUAAAUCAAACUGAAUUUGUUCCUUUCUUCUCACAUUGUUCUAGCUGUGGAAGCGCUGUCCUGCAUGAAAACUAGGGGCCGGUGUCAUCUUGUGGGUUUAAAGGUACGGUUUUGUUGCGCAGCUGUGGGCCACCUUGCUCGCCUAGUUCAUGACUCAUGAGACGUGCACACCGUCGUGUGUAGGGUGGGCCAUAGAGUACCAAUGUUGCUUUGUGGUCGGUAUAUUCCCGAAUAAUGGUCCACAUAUCAUAUGCCGUGCGGGCACGUUUUGCUUUGAUGUACUUGGGUUCGUUCCUCUCGUGGGCCUUUUGCCUGCCCUCAUUUGUUGCUUCGUCGAAAGAAAAAGGACUUUACUUACGUGUGACAUGCCGGCCGGCUCUUGAAGUGAUCAGGCAUGUUGUGCAGGCUACGUUGAUGGCAGCUUUCGAAACCACGUUGAACACGUUGGUGACCAGGCAUGCAGCUGGAACAAAAUUGAAUUGCUAUAGUAAGGUACGGCAAUGUGGCAAGAGUACCAGUGUUGCUUGUUUAUGCAGGUUGAUAUGUUCUACAAGGUUGACAUGUGCUUGCAUUGGGUUGGUUUCAUGCAUGACGAUCAUGUGUGACAUUUUACCUCUUGACGUGGCCUCUGGUGAGUUCAUGUCUGCCAGCUUGCCUCUUUGCCGUGUCCUGAUGAGUUCGUACAUCCUAGAUGACCCUCGCCAAAAAAACAAAUGAGGAAGUCGAGGAUUGGUGGAUGCGAAGUCUUUCGCCACUUUUGCAGCGUAAAAAAUGAGCGAAAGUGGCAUUAAUGAUGUAUACGACAUGGAAUAUUUGGAAGGAAAAAAAAACGUCAGGUUGAUUUUGGUGGGGAAGAAUCUGAAGCCAAUACAGGUUUUUAACUUCAUUGGAGAGGGGUUGAAUUUGCGUAGGGUGGCUAGUGGCACCCCAGCCCUGAAUUAAUGGGUUUGAGUUCAUGAUUGAGUGUUCUGUUUCAUGUAAUCAGAACAUGAUUAAUGUAAAUCUUUGUUGCUUUCUCCUUAAAUAAAUCAGCAGAGCUCCUGCAUUAUGUUAAAAAGGAAAAAUAGCUCCGUUGGCUCGCCAAGUUAAGUGGGCAUUAUAUGUUACAACGCCACUAUGAGUAACGUUGCCGUUGGGUAUCCUUACCCGUUUCCCAAAUCCACACCCGGUAGAAUGGAUCGGGGAUGGGCACGAAACAUUUCACCGGUUUGCAGGAGGGUAGGGUACGGAUAUACCUGUCAGAUACAGUCUACGGGGAGGAUAUCUCUGUCUCUGCCCAUUUGUCCAUCCCCUUCGACGCUCGUCGUUCCUGGGCGAGUGCUCACCCAUCUCCGUCACCUCUUCCGCGCUCGUCUGCAUCGUGCCGCCUUCCAUGCGCACACCUAGCCAGCACGCAAGACUCCGUAACAGCACAAACGUCAAGCAAGCUAGGUGCCUAGGUCGAUCGGCUCUAUAGGCAUGACUCUGCGCCGGCAAAACCCUAGGUUCGUUGGAAGAAGGAUGACAGAAGAAACCUGUAACACCCAAAAUUUCAAUAAUUCAAAUUAAUUAAAAUAUGCUCAAAUUAGGGUGUUAUUUAGAUUCUAGGCAUUUAAAUUCAUUUUCUUUAAUUCAAUUAAUUCAUCAUAGGAAUUAUUUGUGCAUUCAUGCUAGUGCAUUUAUUUUGAUUGCUUGAGUUUGAAUCAAAGUUUGAAUUUCCAAAUUUAAAUUCAAAUUCCAAAACCCUUUUCUUUUUCUUUCUUUUUCUUUCUCCUUUUUCUCCUCCUAGGCCGAAACCUUCUUCUCCUUCCCUUCCCCUUUCUUCUUUCGGCCCAGCCUUGCACCAGUGCGCCGGCCCGCUCCACCUUCUCUCGCUCGGCCCGCCCCUCCGUUUCCUCUCCUCGCCGGCCCAGCUCCGCUCGGCCUGCUCCGCUCGCCCGCUCGCCGUUUCCUCCGCGACCCGUUGACCGCGGCCUGCCGCUCACCCCCGCCUCGCGGCCCACGAGCGCGCGCGCGCCGGCCCGCGUAACCGCGCCAGCCCGCCUCCGCCCGCAACCGCCGCGCGCCGUCUCCGCCUCGAUCUCCACCUCCGCUCCGACUCCUUCGGGGGGAUUCAAACUCGGGGCCUCUAUCUCCAAGCCCCUAUAAAAGCCGCCGCCUCCUCCCGGUCUCCUCCGCCAAACGCCAGCGCCGCAGCUCACCCGAAACCCUAGCCGCCCGAGCUCCUAGCGCCGCCGCCGCUUCCCCGCCGUCGUUCGCCGCCUCCGGUGAGCCCCCGUCGUCAAGGACAUCCAAAAUGAGUUCACCGCGCCCUCCUCUUUCUUCUGGUGCCUUCCGCGCGCAAAACGGAUGCCCGUAGCGCCUUUUCGGUCGACUCCGGCGACCCGCCGCCGCUCGCCGUCGCGCGCCGCCGCUCGCCGUCGCCGGCCGUCUAUUCUUUCCGCCGCCGCCGAUGUCGUGGACGACCGUGGCCAUCCGAUCUCGAUCCGACGGUCAAUCGCGGGUCAAAUCAGACCCCGUACCGGUCAACUUCGCCGUGCCGCGCCGCUUUUGCACUUAAGCCCUCGCCUUUUCCGCAAAUCAACCCGCGGUCCAGAUCGCGUUGAAAAUAUUUACAGAUCUACCCUCGCAUUUUUCGGUUUAACCCUUGAGCUUUCCAGAAAUCAACCCGUCAUCCGGGUUUGAUGUUUUUACGCGUCAAACCCUCGGUUUAUACGCAUAAUUAUGUAUAAGCCCUCGGUUUUCGCGGAUAAGCCCUAAAAGUUUUGUUUUUCUCACAGAAAAGUCCCUGGACCUUGUUUUAAUCAUAUCUUUUGCAUCUUAACUCCGUUUUUCGCGUUCUUUAUAUCCACGUGUUCGUUUUAAAACGUAGAUCAUUGUUUCAAGCUUACUUUCUCUGUUUAACUAUGUUUGGUGUACUGUUUCUUACUUUUUGCCCAUAUUUGCUUGUAUGUGCUCGUGUGACGCGUGUAGACGCCCCGCAGUUCGAGGGAGUUGCAGAUCAAGCCUUCGAGGAGUACGAACAGCAGGAGCAAGGCCAAGAAGGCAAGUCGUGUCCUUGAUCACUACCUUUUUGUCCUAUACACCUUUACUUUCUCGUACUCAACAUUUAUGCUAUGCACAUGUUAAGAUUAAAUUGAUGGGUCCCAAUUAAGGUUCGCCUAGAUUGAUUUACCUUUGCCUUGACCAACCGGUUUACUUUAUGUUGGGUAGCUCAUGCUUAGUGCUUACUUGGUACAUGGUGGUUUAACUACACACAAUGCUUAAUCUUGCUUUACUUCUGUUAUACCUUUCAUUAAGACAAGACCAUUAUUGGUUAAUCGGAACAUGGAGAAUCACCCAGGAAAACAGUGCUACCACGAGACUAAAUGGCUCUAGUCUUGGCUGAUUAAUUAGAAACCUUAGUCUGGGGUGACCUUACUCGUGAUGAGGCAAGAGGGGGGACUGAGUCGUUGCAUUUUACCUGGGAUGGGUGGUGCACGCCAGACACCGAAACCUUAGCGGGUUACCACUGACUAAUGAAUCUUUGUAAAGGCCUCGUAGCGUCCCUAUGCAAUCACACCUCGGAAGUGUGGUAUGGUGCCUUGCAAACACCGCAUGGUUGGGUCCAAAGUUCUUUUGAACUUUUACGCGACUUGUGGGUAAAGAUGUGCCACCUCUGCAGAGUGUUAAACUGAUCGAUCAGCCGUGCUCACGGUUAAGAGCGGCCUGGACCCUCACAUGAUAAUAUUAUCGGAAGAUGGAUUUAACUUGUUAUCAUUUCAUGCAUAUGUUGUUUACUUUAUUUAUGAUCAUGUUUAAUUUCGGGUGGUAUGAACUUAUACUUAGUUAAUUGCUAAUAAAAUUUGACCAACUUAAUUAAAAGCGAAUUCUAAUUAUGCCUUAGCCAUACCUUGGAUUAGCCUUACACUACACUAUUUCCCACGACUUGUUGAGUACCAACCAUAAGUGUACUCACCCUUGCAAAACCGCUGUUCAGACCAAGUUAAUUGGGAAGAGGAGUAUCUACACGACUUCGAGGAGUUCUAGGCGUACGUUUCUUCAGUCAGCUGCCUGUGGAGUCGUCGUCGUCUUUGGAGUUCCGCUGCGUAAUAAUUAGACUUUGUGGUUUAUGUGAGACUUUCGGUCAUGUAAUAAUGGUUAAUACUCUCUUUAUUCGAUUUAGCACUGUCUUUGUUAUUCACUAUUGUCGUACAUGUGUGUAACUUGAUCCUGGCGCACAUGUAUUUAAUGCACUCGAUUUUGUCCUUAAAAUCGGGUGUGACAAAACCAACAAGAACCACUAGAGCAAUCAACCGGUGAUGGGCUCUCGAGAGGGGGGCUCUCGUUCGCGGCUACUCAGCAAUCGCAUCGAGCCAUCAACAUGGGCGGACCAAUGUUAUGCUGAGCCCUCACUUAAAAUUUUCGAUCUAAGAUAAAUAGCAAAAUUCCACCAUUUACAAACUUCACAAAUCUAACUUCUCUUGAGGCAUGGCCCACCUCAAUUCCUGGGCUGGGUCCGCCCCUGGCCAUCAAGGGGCUCUUCGAUUUGGUACUGAUCCGUCAGAUUCAAGGUUCUUCAAUUUUAUUUCCUUUUUUUCUUUUCUUUUUUUUCCCCAGGGGUGUCGUUCCUAUCUGUUUCCCAUUGGAUUGUGCCACCGUUCUUCUGAGUCCUCUUGAGCUGUGCAUAUUUGGCUCAUAAUCGAUCUCAGUCUCACUUCUUCUCCAAAUGAUUUGGCACAUCCUCUACGGCAAAUUCACAAAAGUGGAAGGAUGUGUUACGGUAGGCUUUAGUUUUACCCUAUCGAUUAUCCAUUAUCCAAUGGGUAUGAGUGAAUGGGCAUGGACAAAUUUGGAGAGGGUACAGAACGGGCAAUUGAAUCCUGGAUAUGGAUGUUGAUAAGUGCAGGUUUCCCGGUAACCCUCCCCAACGGCAACGUUAACAAUGAGCAGAUUGGAGGUGGAGCAACAGAGAACAUAUACCGAAUUACUAUUCGUUUUAACUUUUAUUGGUAUAUAGUUUUUGCUAUAUAUCUACAAUAACAUAUGUCUAAAUGUAGAACAAAGUCUAUGUAUGUAAAAAAUACAAAACGAAUAGAGUAUCUUACAUGCUGGAGAGGAAAGGGAUAUUGGGCUUCUAGUAACGAGAACGACGAGUAGAUCCGGCGUUUUUCUUGUUACGAACCGGUCCGGGAGAAUCACCUGCUGUUGGCUUUGUGGGAAUGCUGCUUUGGGCCGUGGAAGAGAGAGAGAGAGAGACCCUAAAUUUUGAGCCAGGAGGUACUUGGGUUAUAUUUUAUAGUUGGGCUUUGUUUUUUAUGCAUUUGCAGCCCAGAGAUUCGGCCCUUUGUUUUAUGCCGGCGUCUGGCGCCCAGUAACAACAAGAAAUGCAUGGCUACUUAACUUGAUUUUGUUGGCUAGCGAAGCCUGGCACGGUGGAAUGCUUAAACGGCAGCAAGAGUAUUAUCGUGCUGGGAAUUCUGUAGUGCGUCGAGAAAGAGGACUAAAAGACCUGUUUUUACGUGGUCCUUGAGGAUCCUACAAAUCCCAGAUUCCAGACCCAAAUAUGCAAAUCAACAACGCAUUGAUGAUUAAAAUAAAAGGAGAGAGGGCAUUUGUAUCAAUGUUUUUUCUUUCUUUCUUUUUUUUUUGGUGGCCCUUGGUUGCGGUACGGCAACAUAUGGAGGGCUCAGAGCGCACAUGCAUCUCUCUCUCACCCUUGCGUCGCAGGCUCUUGCGAGGUCAUCAUGUCGCGACUCCCCCUGACAUGUCCACACACCCAAGAGUUUGUUUGGCACGUAGAGGUGCGAUUGGUGGGAAAUCGAAAGAGAACCUGUAACUCCAAACGUUUUCGUAAGAAAAUAUCGCCCAAAUUUCUGUUGCCAGAGACGUUGGAGGGCACGCGCUCGGUGCGAGGGCCGGUUCUAUAUCUAAGGACCUACGAGCGAACUAGAUGUUACAGACCCUUUAAACUAAAUAUUUUUAACUUGUAAUAUGAUAAUAGGAGGUACUAGUACUAAUUAUAUAUAUUUAAUUCUUGAAGAACAAGGUUAAUAGUACAAAAUAAAAGAUCGACAAAAUAAAACUGGUUGCUGCUUUACAGGCCACGCGAGGAGUUGAGGAUGAAGUUGAUGAUUUGUGGCAUGUUCGGCUGAACUUAUAAACCGGCUGAAAAGCUGAAACGGCUGAUUUGUUGUGAGAGAAAAAUAUUAUUUGGUGGCUGAUAAGCUGAAACAAACAGAACCUUAUUUCCUCUUAUUUCCUGCAUCCAGAGUCCCGACGUCUCCUCGAUCGCCUCACGCUGCGGCGGCGGCGUCCUCCGUCCGAUGCACGCGCAGGACAGGACUGCAGCGUCUGUGGAGGCUUUCUGCAGAUAUCGGCUCCGUUGCACGGUCCGAAAGCCGGCCUCGCUGCGCUGAGGUACAAUGGACAGUGAAUAUCGGAAUAUCCGAUUAUCCGUCCAUCCCUGGGAUUACCAAAAACAGACGUCAGAAAGGUACCCCGGACCUCACCGACGUGACCUGGACCUUCCAGUGCGUAAAGGAGCAGAUGAUACCGUUGGCAAUUUGGCAUCGCGCACGUUCCCACUGCACCCGCACAGGCCGCCGAUAAAAAGGCGAGCCCAAGCCAACAACCGGAGGCAGCUGCCAAACGCCAAGCAGGCCGCAUCGCAGCUCACUCCCCACCCCACCUGCCGCCGCCGAUCCGCUCGCGCACGCACCUGCUGCUCCCUUUUCCGUUGGGCGCCCCCCACGCGGCCACGCCCGCGCCCACGCCCAGUCCGAGCCAUCCAGCCAGCGGGUUUCUUCCACGGCAGAACCGCCCCCGGCCGUCGCGUUGCGUCGCGCGCCCGCGUCACCGCAUGGGCAGGCCGCAGGCGGUAGCAGUGCGCCGCACCCGCACGGCUCCGGCUGUUGUUUUGUUCCGUUCCGACCCCCGCCCCGCCCGCGCGCGCCGCCGUCAAUCCGGGUUGCGGAUCAUGCGUCUAGAACCUACUGCCCCAUCAGCUAAGCGAUCGACCUUUAUCCGCAACGUGACGGUCGCGAUCCCGGUGCCCGACUCGAUCGAUCACACGCAGGAGGAGUCUACGUGGUGGCGUAACGGAACUGGGCGCGUGCGAACCUUCUUCUGGCCGUGCGCUGGCUUGUUGACAUGCCCUCCCGUCUUUAUCUCAAUCAAAAAAAGACAUGCCCGUGGCACUAGGUUUUAUAUUUUUAAAACGAAGCAGGAAUCAGGAGAGCUGCCAAUUAUGUUAAAAAAGAAAAUUAAGUUUAGAUUGGGCAAACAAAAAGAAACAACACCGGCCGGUUGUAUUGAGACAUCAACCCACGCCGUAGCACACCAACGCACAACUCACGGUACUAGGUUUUACGUGUAGCUCUUCUUCUGUUCUCUUGGCUCAAGUAAUAUAAGUAUUUAAAGUAGUAAUAUAAGUAUUCUCCAUCACCUCCAAUAACUAACUAGUGCCACUAAGCAGAGCUAGCAGCCGACGACCCGACGCGACAUGCUUCACAAACCUACCUAACCAUAGGGUUUGAUUGUUUGACACCGCUCAAUACAUCUUUCCUCUUUUCUUUUCCUCUGGCAAAAUGGAUUUGACCAAGUGUCCUACGCAUCAUUCAAAGUAUAUGCUUCCUUUCUCUAUCAACAUCUCCUUCUCUAUCAACAUCUCCCCUAAAUCCUUGCUUCCACCAUAUGUAUCUCUUCUACAUAUCCUCCUUAUCUGCACCAUCGUACAUUUCGCAAAAUUUCGCCACCCUUUCGAUGGCCUGCCAAAUCUUAUCCCACAUCGACCCACAAUGCUAUUUGAUUCAUCUGUGGCUCGCAUCCAAGCAAGUGCAGCAGUAGUUCCUUAUUACCACCCCGGUCCAUUUUGGAUUGCGGUGAGACCGAAUAUUUGCAAAUAAAAAAAGCAGGCUUUGUUUAGUUUUCACACCCUAGAUUAUAUAAUCUAGAUUUUUUGUGAAUCGCACCGUACAGAUGCUCACACGCUAAUUCUAGUCUUUUGGAGGUGCCCAUAGAGGUACGUUAUAAGUUAGAUUAUAAAUUUUAGUUCUUGCACCACCAAAUAUUAUGUUGCCACUUUCUUUAUCAUUGUUGCUCUUGCAAUGCCUACUGCCACAACCCCAUUGGUCCUUCCUUCUCCUCCUCCACCUCCUUGCAAAGCUCCUUGUGUGGUCUCUAUGUAUAUUGCACCUUAAGAUGCUCGGUAGCAAUUCAAAUUACUAGCCGCGCUACAAGCACCAUACUUAUCUUUUCCAUCCUCGAUAUCUUGAAUCAGUGAUGGAGACAGAUAUCCAGUAGGAGGUUGGUGGGGGGCCAUGGCCCCCUCAUGGCCUCCUUUUCCAAAAAGGUAUUUUAUAGUUGCCAAUUGCUAAAGGCUAAGAGUGAAACAUUUUAUGGAUUCUCUCUUUCUUCAUUUGCUUUGCACAUUGAUGAUGGAUUUGUGCACCAUCUAGUAUGUUGUCAUUUCCUCAGUGCAGUGUCCUAUCGUACUGGUACGAUCGAAUCCAUUAAUCUACUAUUUUACCUCGCCACAGAUCUCACGCGUGAUUUGCUAUGUUACUGCCUCGAGGUGCUCCCUGGCUAGUGGCUACUAAACGAAUUACUUCAAGACAACUGUUUUCCCAUUUCAUGCUUUUUACAAAUAAGUGAUUGUUUGGUUAAAUAAAUUGACAUUUUUUGCGAGUAGGCAUUGGUAAAAGAGUAAGUAUAAUUGAUUUCCACUAACAACUGAGCGAACACGUAAAUAAUUAAUUUUCUACCACAUUCCAACCGUAAAGAUGAAAGGGCAAAGCACUCAUGCCAAGUCGAAAAGAGAACUAACCAACUAAUGUGUGAGCUUGUGGACACAUACAAAAUCAUUCCAUAUCAACAAAAUAUAUCCCCUUCGUUUAGAUGCUCUUUGAUUCACACCAUGUGCCAGUGUCAUGUAGUAAGCAAUAACGCACACCACAGUAUUCAGGAUCAGCUCAAGGCGGUGCUGAGACCCUUGCACUUAAGCUAAGUUCAUGUUUUGUGUGAAAAGAACAGGAUUAAAAGUCUCAUCUUACGUGGACAUACAAGGGCUGAGGGGUGCUGCAGCACCCCCUGCAGCUCCGCCCAUGACAGUCGAGCUGGCCUUUCCAUCUCGGCACGGCCGGAGCCGGCGGCGGCGCCAACCCCCAACCGCGCGGCCGCAGCGCAGCGAAACCCCUGCCGGACCCACCUGCCAGCGACCCACCCCGCCGGCCGCGUGGCCGCCACGCCGCUCGCCCCCGGCGGCCGUGCGCCGCAACCCCAGAUUCAAAAUAACUAACCAGGGUUAUGCCUCCAACCGGACCCCGUGGUUAGUUCGUGUCCUGCGAUAUUCCCAGCCCAGACGGCACAAGAUAAUCCCGUCGCCUCCGGUCGCCACCCCCGACACCAACCCCCGCGCAGCUCGGGCUCCGCCUCCGGGUUUAUUGAUCUCACCUCACCUAGCCCACCACCCACUUGCGCCUCCAUGUAUAAAGCCGCCUCCGCCCGCCUCCUCCUCAGAUCCCUCUCCUCCUCCGCACCCGUGCCCGGCAAGUCCCGCCUCGCCGCCGCCCGCCUCGCCCUCCCGCGUCCCCGCGUCGCCGGGCCCGCGCGCAGCACCGCCGCCGCCGCCGCCGCCGCCUGGAGGUGGUCCGGGACCGGGGCGCGCUUCGCCGGCGCCAGGGCGCAGAUCGGGGCCGCCGUGCCCGCCGUCGAGCGGCUCCAGCGCAGGAUGGCCACCCAAGGUGCGUGGGGUCUCUGCCGUCUGGUUGCGGGUCGUGUGCUUGUCACGGGUGGGGUUGCGAUCUGGGUGACGCUGACGCGGCGCGGCCUUCCCUCGUGGCGCCCGCCGCUUACUUCUUGUUCCAUGUGUGCUCGCGCGUUUGAAAAGGGUUUUGGGCUGGAAUUUUUCGUCGAUCGAGGCUGCGUGUCACCCAGGAGCUCUGAAUUCGAGUUCGGAGAUGCGGUGCUCGCGUUUGGUCGGGGCUGAUGGAUGAUUCGCUCGGAGUUUCGAUGUCCAAUCGAGUGAAGCGAUGUGAUGGGUAGAUGCGUUGGAGGGAAUGGAUAGCGGAUCCGGUGGCCGCCAGCUGGCUCAUUUCCGCUGUUGCCGCGCGGAUUCGCUCGCUAUUUGUUUGCAGGUAGUUAUCCGAGAUGGACUCCGCAGAGAUCGUGUCGGGGUUGUUUCGGAGCGAAUAGACGCGUCCUGGAUUCGGGUUGUGGGCUAGGGGUUUAGGGACCGGGGGCGAAUAGAUUCUAGUACUUCGCUCCUUUCACUUUUGUUUCACUUAGAGAUUCGAGAUGGAUAUUAUGCUACUUUUUUUGUUGUUGUUUUCACUUGCUUUUUCUGUGCCAUAUCAUCUGACCGUCUGCACUCAGCUUAGAUUGCAUCUCUGUCAUACUGCAAAGCUGGAACAGAGCUCGAGCUCAGGGGGUGAUGGUUUGUAAUUCGUUAGUGUGAUUUUUCUGGGCUACAACUAGUUCGUUCGGUGGAUACUGAUUUAUGUCAUGCUUGUUUUGUUUCCCUUGUGGUUGUGGCUUGAUUGCUUCCUUCUGGAAGACCUUAUAUGAAUCAAUUGACACCUUCAGUGGUGUUUCCUAGGAUUGGUUGGUACUAUAAGGAUGGGAUAUCAUUCAUGUGACUGUCUGUUGGUUGGGAUUUGUAUAACAUGAUGGUCAUUUUUCUGAAUUGAUGUUAUUAUUGUAGUAGUCUGUUGUGGACUUUAGUAUAUGUCCAAUAGUUAAAAGUCUUGUUUGUGGAUGAUGAUCAUGUGCCUUUUAUUAUCUGGUUGCCCCUAGUCUCAUUUGCAUAUGUUAAGAAUGUCUAUAAAACUGCCUAAUAUUUAAUGAACCACCAACUUGAUGACUCAUUCAGUUGACUUUGAAUCUUUUUUUUAUACAUACUGUAUCUCACUUCACUGUUAAGUGCAUUAGGAGAAAUGCACUCUAGAGAAAUGCACUCUAGAGAAAUGCAACUUUAAUAAUUUAUGUCAUGAGUAAUUUAUCACGGAACAGGCAUUAUUAGCAAUUUGUUUAUGCACUAUUAAUCAUAUUUGUUUACUUUGCUUCAGCAACUGAGCAUGCCUUCAAGAAUAUUCUGACCAGCCUCCCUAAGCCUGGAGGUGGUGAAUAUGGAAAGUUCUACAGCCUUCCUGCGCUAAAUGAUCCAAGGAUUGGUAAUUUUUCUGCUUGCAUUCGAUACAUGUUCCUUCCCUUUGCUUUGGUCACUGCCAAUUUACCAUGUACAUGCUUAAUUGUGCUGUGUAUGUUGAGUGUGAUUUUAGCAUCCUAAACCGUGGAAAGGUAUAGUACAUGCUUAAUAUUACUUCAGUCCCUCACUUCCAGUCAACCUGAGGGUUUAUUUGUCAGUUUCUUUUUCUUUCAAUUACUCAAUGAUCCAGAUUAUUAGAAAUGAAAUAGCGACAUGAUUCUGUGCUACUCCUUGAGAAAAUUAUGUUUCCACAUUAAAUUUGAGCUUGCCAACAUUUUACAUGAGAACAAAUCAAAUUGGCGCCUCCCUAGUCAUAUCGUUUAUGUUUCUAUCAAUGCUGUGGUUUGAAACUGUACUAUUAUAUUCUAUAUAUCUUCUAUUGCUGUUAUUGAAUGCAUAUCAUGUCUUUUAUUUUUCUUUACUGAAUAAAAGUUCCUUUUGUGAUCUAUCAGAGAAACUGCCCUACUCCAUCCGUAUUCUUCUUGAGUCGGCUAUCCGCAACUGUGAUAACUUCCAAGUUACCACGAAUGAUGUUGAGAAAAUCAUUGAUUGGGAAAACACAUCUCCAAAGCUGGCUGAGAUACCAUUUAAGCCAGCACGUGUUCUUCUUCAGGUUUUCAUUGGCAACAUCACAAAUGAUCUCCUCUAUAUCUAACUGCCCUUUGCUCACCAUUCACAUAAUUUCCUUAGGACUUCACUGGAGUUCCAGCUGUUGUUGAUCUUGCAGCUAUGCGUGAUGCAAUGGCCAAGUUGGGAAGUGACGCCAACAAGAUCAACCCAUUGGUAUGUAAAUUUUCUCUCAUUGCUAUCUAAAAACUGAAUGACAUCAUCUUAACAUUGUAUUUUUCUGAUGUGGGCAUUUUCAUUUGGAAUGCAGGUCCCAGUGGAUCUUGUUAUUGAUCACUCAGUGCAGGUGGAUGUAGCAAGGUCGCCGAAUGCUGUGCAAUUAAACAUGGAACUGGAGUUUAGCCGCAACAAAGAAAGAUUCAGUUUCCUUAAAUGGGGCUCUACUGCUUUCCAAAAUAUGCUGGUUGUCCCCCCUGGUUCUGGUAUCGUGCACCAGGUAAAUGCUCUGGACUUGUGGAAAAUUUCUGCAUUGCUACUAUGUCUUCUGAGUAACUGCAACCUUUUUUAUUCGGAUGCAAAUAUCAGGUCAAUCUUGAGUACCUUGGCCGAGUUGUUUUCAACACAGAUGGCAUUCUCUAUCCUGACAGCGUAGUUGGUACUGAUUCACACACCACUAUGAUUGAUGGUUUGGGUGUUGCUGGAUGGGGGGUUGGGGGUAUUGAAGCUGAGGCUACAAUGCUUGGUCAGGUAAAUCUCAAGUGGGCCCUGUUCUCCUUUAAUGAUAGAUUGAUAAUUGUUAGCAUUUGUGCUUGAGGGGAAAAGGCCCUUUUGGCAUCUUUCCCCCUCACCCCAAAUUAUAUUGACAUUUCAUUAAAUCAGUUCACUUUGUAAGAUGCUCGUUCUGGAACUUAUCUUGGAAUGGUUUAAUUGCUUUUGUCCUUUUUUUGUAUGUUGAUUGUACUUGUGAUUAGUUAAGAAUCUGAAUCUCAUAAAUGUUGAGUAUAUAUUAUUUUAGUAGGUUUUGAUCUAACUCCAGUUGACCUGUUUGUUAUUUCCUGACACAGCCAAUGAGCAUGGUUUUGCCUGGUGUGGUUGGCUUCAAGUUGACUGGAAAGUUACGUAGUGGUGUCACGGCUACAGACCUUGUUCUUACAGUGACACAAAUGCUAAGGAAGCAUGGUGUUGUUGGCAAGUUUGUUGAAUUCUAUGGUAAGUACUUCAUGUUAUUAGAUGGAAUGUGCUGACCUGAUACAAUUUAAUUAUACAUUAUUGAUACAUUUUGCUUUCUCUUUUCUGUCCAGGUGAAGGUAUGGGAAAGCUAUCUUUAGCUGACAGGGCCACAAUUGCAAACAUGUCACCGGAAUAUGGAGCUACCAUGGGCUUCUUUCCUGUAGAUCACGUGACAUUGGAUUACCUUAAACUGACAGGCCGUAGCGAUGAAACUGUAUGUUCGCUAUCCACACACUCUUUUAUUUGUUACCUUCGCUUUGGUAUUUUAAUGUCAAAUAUAAUCAUGAACUAUUUGGCAAUGCAUAAGGCAUUUUCCUCAUUUGGCGUGGCAUAGUUUCUUUGUUAAUCCCCAUGGGGAUGUGGAUCCAAGCUUCUCUAGUUGGUUCUGUCAGUAGGAACUUUUCCAAUAAACUUCAACCGAUAGGCAGUUGCUUCCCCCAAAACAUUAUGUCAUGUUGCCAUCCAUACUAUCGUUUCUUUUCAGUGGCCUCUCAGUUUCGUUUGUAAAAAUUAUCGCUUUGCCUGAUGAAUUCUGCAUGCACUCCAUUUUGUAAUUUAAAUCUUCCAUGUUCAUGUAGGUGUCGAUGAUUGAAGCAUAUCUGCGAGCCAAUAAGAUGUUUGUGGACUACAAUGAGGUAGCCCUCUUUUCUCACAGCAACACUUGAGUCUCAGCUAUUAUUUGUUGUGCAAAAUAUAAACAUAUUUGCAUUAUGAUGGCAGCCUCAACCAGAACGAAUUUACUCGUCUUAUCUUGAGCUGGACCUUGAUGAGGUGGAGCCUAGCAUAUCUGGCCCAAAGAGGUAUGGUCUUGACUCUGUCCUGAUUGGACAACAGUACUGCAGCUCUGCUUGUUAGGAAGUAAUACUGGGUCUUACUGUAUUUAUCAACUUGUAGGCCUCAUGACCGUGUCCCGUUGAAGGAUAUGAAAUCAGAUUGGCAUGCUUGCCUAGACAACAAAGUUGGGUUCAAGGUAACUUCUUGGUUUUCUACCAUAUAUUAUGCAUAACAGUGCUUGAUCUGAAUUACUAAUCAAACAAAUAUACCUACAAAAUUCCAGGGUUUUGCAGUGCCUAAGGAGCAGCAGGGUAAAGUUGUCAAAUUUGACUUCCAUGGGCAGCCAGCGGAACUUAAGCAUGGUAGUGUUGUUAUAGCAGCAAUAACUAGCUGCACAAACACCUCAAAUCCUAGCGUUAUGCUUGGUGCUGGCCUUGUAGCUAAGAAAGCCUGCGAGUUGGGUCUCGAGGUUUGUUCUUUUGUAACCUAAUCACAUGCUGUUAUACUUGAUGCUUCGCUUCACUCUGCUGAUGUGAAAUGACUCUUUCUUAGGUGAAACCAUGGGUGAAGACUAGCCUUGCCCCUGGAUCAGGAGUUGUCACAAAGUACUUGCUUCAGAGGUAUCUUAUCAUCGUUUAAUAAAGAAUAGUGAAACAUAGAAUUUUGGUGCAUAUCAAAUUGCAUCUUUGAGUGGAAUCUUGUGAUUUCUUCUUACAGUGGUCUUCAAGAAUACUUGAACCAGCAAGGAUUCCAUAUCGUUGGUUAUGGAUGUACCACUUGCAUUGGAAACUCUGGUGAUCUUGAUGAGUCUGUAUCAGCUGCUAUUUCAGAAAAUGGUAAUUUAAAGUUUGUGAACAUUCCCUAUUUAGUUGCGGUGAAUUUCAGAGUGAUCUGUCUGAUUGACUUAUGCUUAUCUUUUUGGAUAGAUGUUGUCGCUGCUGCUGUUUUGUCGGGCAACCGGAACUUCGAGGGUCGUGUGCACCCUCUGACUCGGGCUAACUACCUUGCUUCGCCACCUCUUGUUGUUGCUUAUGCACUUGCUGGCACUGUAAGUCCUUGUUUUUUCCGUAUUAAUGGUUACCAUCACAUGACCUAUAUCUGUGCUUUUAGUUGCAGGGAAUUGAUUAACAUUGUAAGUUGUAUUUUUCAGGUUGACAUUGAUUUUGAGAAAGAGCCCAUUGGAAUUGGAAAAGAUGGCAAGGAGGUCUACUUCAGGGAUAUAUGGCCCUCAACUGAAGAAGUUGCACAGGUAUAUGCUGUACUGAAUUCAGAAUUUCAGAGUAGUUGGCUUUGGCUUCAGUUAUUUGUACAGAGUUGUUGCUAUUGUAUCUGUAGUUCUAUACUUAUGUUGGAGAUAUUUCUGACCACUUAUUUUGUGGCAAUAAUUGUUAUUAAAAUGAUACCCAACAGGUCGUCCAAUCCAGUGUGCUGCCUGACAUGUUCAAGGGCACCUACGAGGCUAUCACGAAAGGGAACCCAAUGUGGAACCAGCUUACUGUCCCAGAAGCAUCACUCUAUUCAUGGGAUCCGAAAUCCACUUACAUUCAUGAUCCCCCGUACUUUAAGGACAUGACCAUGUCCCCACCUGGUCCCCAUGCAGUGAAGGACGCCUACUGCUUACUGAACUUCGGGGACAGCAUUACAACAGAUCACAUUUCACCUGCCGGAAGCAUACACAAAGACAGUCCUGCUGCCAAGUAUUUGAUGGAGCGUGGUGUGGACAGGAAGGACUUCAACUCAUAUGGUAGCCGUCGUGGUAACGAUGAAGUAAUGGCGAGAGGAACAUUUGCAAACAUUAGGAUUGUGAACAAGUUUUUGAACGGAGAAGUUGGACCCAAGACCAUUCACGUUCCUACUGGGGAAAAGCUUUCUGUUUUUGAUGCAGCCAUGGUAUGUUAGAUGAAACUACUGUGAAGUCUAUCUCUUCAUUUCUCUCCAUAUUAUCUCCUGAUGCCCAUGGCCCCUUUUGCAGAGAUACAAAUCUGAGGGCCAUGCCACCAUAAUUCUUGCUGGCGCCGAGUACGGAAGUGGCAGUUCUCGUGAUUGGGCUGCCAAGGGACCGAUGCUCCUGGCAAGUUCCUCUACUCAGAUUUUUUUUGUCCUCAUUUGAAUUAUGUCUGGGAAACCAUAGUAUUGACAGAUCUGGUAUUUGUUUCAGGGAGUUAAAGCUGUGAUUUCCAAGAGCUUUGAGCGUAUCCACAGAAGCAAUUUGGUGGGGAUGGGAAUCAUUCCUCUCUGCUUCAAAGCUGGUGAGGAUGCUGAUUCUCUUGGGCUUACUGGACAUGAGCGGUACAGCAUCGACCUUCCUACCAACCUCAGCGAGAUCCGCCCUGGCCAGGACGUGACUGUCAGGACCGACAACGGGAAAUCCUUCACUUGCACCCUUCGCUUUGACACUGAGGUACAUGCAAUUCAGAAGAUAUCUUUUUAUCUUCCCAUCAGGCAUGCUAUUUUGUAUCGUGUCAUAGCUUAGCGCUUCUCAAUUGGUUUGCAUGGUACUCAAUCGCAUUCUUGGUCGUGUUGCAGGUGGAGCUGGCAUACUUCAACCAUGGAGGCAUCCUCCCCUACGUCAUCCGCAACUUGGCACAGAACUAAGGCAGAUCACACCGUUUCACCCGCGACAAUGGGCGGCAGGCUUGUCUUCCCCAGGGUGUACAGCCUAGCUCGAUGUAGAGAGUUUGCGAUGGAUCUCAGGGCCUUUGUCGAUUCAGUCAUACAAAUAAACUGUGAAAUAAAAUCCGCAGGGGGCGGGAACCACCAGCUGGUGUGAGCGCUGGUUGAGGAACAGUUUUGCCUGCUGUUUGGUUAUGAUGAAACGUGCUGUGGAAUAGACUGUUCUAAUAUUCGUGUUUCAUAGACGUGUAGGGCGCGGUGUAAAUGAUUUCGGUGCUAGUACUUCGGUUGCGCUACAUUGAUUAUGCUCUAUAGUCUAUACCGCAAAUGUUCCAUGGUUUCUUUGGAUCUUAUUUUUACUGUUGGUCCAGGUAGUCUUUUUGGACGAUUGCGGUUUCGUCUGGCUUGACGAGGGGGCUGAGAAUUUGAUUGGAUUCCGAGCCAGGACUACACUAACCAAGUCUACAGACGGACUCUGUCACCUCAAGCAGGUGCUCACACGUAUGCACUGCACUAAUCCUGUAUACAUGAACGAGAGACCGGAGUAGGCCAGAAUAAUGAGAUACAAGGCGUCAUGGUGGAUCUGUCUGACCAUCCGAGAUAUUGCUUGCUGCUUGUUUCCUCAUCUUGACUAUGUCAGACACAUUAGAUCCAAAUGCUCCUUGAACAGUUCCAUGCAGGUCAUCAUCUUCGUACUUUGAUUUAGCUUUCACUCACCUAUCCUAGCUUAUCACAAUAGUUUGCCGAGAUCGUGCCGAGCGAUGUGAAGGAAGAUACUAUCUCGGUCAAAGGCCAUACGCGUCUUGCGCUAUCCAUUUCAUUAUACUAGAGCCUGUGGCCCGCCUCCGGCUCCCCACUCCUCCGUUACAGUUUUGAGCAAAUAGACAUACUGAACUUUGAUCCUUUGUAGUAUUUCAUUGCAUGACAAUUAACUUUAAGUCACAAGGACCGAAGCUGAUUUCUAAAACUAGUCUCAAUGGGAGUUUCAUAGAGAGUUUCAUCAGUAUUAAUUUCUAUGCCACAUCAGCAAUUUUGCUCACUUGGUAAGGUGUUUACGAGGAGAGAGGGUGGAGUUUCAUGAAAUGAUGGAUGAGUUUCAUCCCCAUUAAACCUAGCAAGGCAUAGUUACAAGUUUACAGUCUUAAUAACAAUACAAUGAAACUGUGCAUUGAGACUGGCAUAAUCUCUAAACCUAGUGGCACAAAUAGCAAGAUGGAGUAUUAAAUAGUGAAACCUAAUGUACCUUCAAUUUAUUUUAGUAAAGCAAAAUCUUGUGAAAAGAAAAAAAAAACUCCAUAUAUUAUUUCACAGCUAAAAUGGGACUCACAGCAGUUAACAUUACCCACUUUAAGUUUCAAUCAUCUAAAAGCACACGGCCAUGAGUAUAAUUCAAAAUCAUUGGUAGUUUGAUGCAAAAACAAGAGUAAAUUUCCUUAUCCACUUCAAUCAAAUCGAUCUAACGUAAGGACUCCCUCCGUAAUACUCCAUCUUGUACAAGUUUUGUACUAGAAAAACCAAAAUGAAUAAUAAUUUGGGACGGAGGGAGUAUAAAAUUACUGAGACAAGCAAACAAAUGAAACUGUGGAUACAAUUGACCUACAAUUAAUGGCAACGAAGUCCAGAAUUAUGUUACCUAAGCAUCAGUGUAGUAACAGAGUUACAAUUAUUUUACCUAAAAAGGAACCAAUAAUAGAUAUUGUUGUGGACAACAAAAAAACAUGUCUAAAUUUACCAGAAUCCGUCUAAUCAUCUGAAUGUAUGGCUGUUUCUUUUUGACAAAUCAGCAAGCAAAUGCAUGUACAUAACAUCAUUGGUGUAAGAACCAAAUUACAUUCAUUAAUCUAAAAUGUAGUGCCAAUUUUAUGACAAUGACCAAAGCUUUGUCUCCACUAACAACAGCUGCCAAAGCCACUGGACAGGCAAUGCAUUUCUCACCGCAAGAUCAACACACCCAAAAGGCAGUUCACUCGACCUCUCUCCGUACAGCUUAAUGAAUGUCUUCUACAUUACCAUCAGCUACACAUUUCCAGCCAAGGGGUAAAAGAAUGUUUUGCGAAGGCUACGUGGAUCACGAGCACCUCUUUAAGGAUUACGUCAUGCGAGGGGCAUUUGAUCAGCAACUGGGUACGUGCAGGUUCAACAGCUCGGACAGCUCGGCGACAUCUGGGAUGUCAGUUUCUUCGAUGCUAAUCUACAUGCUCCUCAGCUCAGAACCCUGAUCGUCGUCUUCUUAUGUGCUAAACUUUAGUAGUAUCACAUCGGAUGUUUAGAUGCUAAUUAGGAGGACUAAACAUGAGCUAAUUAUAAAACCAAUUGCAGAACUCCUAUGCUAAUUCGCGAGACGAAUCUAUUAAGCUUAAUCAAUCCAUCAUUAGCAAAUGGUUACUGUAGCACCACAUUGUCAAAUCAUGGACUAAUUAGGUUUAAUAGAUUCGUCUCGCGAAUUAGACUCCAUCUGUGCAAUUAGUUUUGUAAUUAGUCUAUGUUUAAUACUCCUAAUUAGCAUCCAAACAUCCGAUGUCACCAACAUUUGGAAGGACAUAAAUGACAUGGUCUUUAAUGCCGCCCACACGUCACCAGCGCAGGUGUUACACUCCAUCGACAUAUGGGCAGAUCGCAUCCGCAAGCCAGUAGCUAGAACUUUUUCUCAUUCUUGGAGUGCAGGAAUACGGGAUGUAGCAUAUAGCUAGCUGUGUAUACUCUCCUCUCCACCCUAACCUCACAAUGCACUGAACGCUUUACCUGCGUUCUACAUCCGUUCAAUGAAAGUUCAGGCGAGCAAUUGCUUGUCGUAUAAAAACAGAAUGUUCAGCUGCAGCUCACUUGAACCAACAGCCAUUUAAGUGAAUGAGUUCAAAGCCUCAGAAAGCCGAAACACAACAAAUGAUCUAUUCGGUGUUCCUUUUUCUUUAUCAACGAAAGCAAUACCAUCAGCGAACAAUGAAGCAUAGCACACAAAAAAACAAAGUUUCAGAAACUCUGCAGUGUACGCGUGCCUAAUCAUAGCAGUCCAAGGCACGUCAUCUCGCCUCGGCAUUGCAUCAAACAGCAUACACAUGGUGCCCAUGUCGCCAACCCCGGCAUCCCUAACAGGGUGCCUUUUGUUCUUUACAACCAACUGACAGAAAAAAUUCUGCAUAUAUAGCUGAGACUCAGGGUUCUUUAAAACCUCAAUUUCCCUUCCAACAAUCACAUGCAUUAGUGUUGCAAAAGGGAUGGGAGUCUUGCAUCAGAAUGUGCAAAUAGACUCUUAAAAACUCCUGGAAUACCAGUAAAAUUGUUAAACGGAUAAAUUCUCCAGUUCACACGAUGGUGGAGCAAACAUAAAUAUAUAGUUGUAAUGCAGGGUAUCCCCAAAAAAUGAUUGGAGAAAUAUAAUUGCUCCGGUAGUAUUGACAACUAACUUACCACCUGGCCUCCAUCAUUUAUAGACAUAGCCUUGACACGGUAGUGACAACAACAAGAAGCUAGCAAUAUCAAAUCAACACAGUUCAAUUUUCAUAGGUGCUUGCUUUAGCAUGGACAUUAAGUGUAAAUAUAUUUCUAUAUGCUGUAUAUCAUAAACUAAAAGACAUGUUGUUACCUCCCUGACAGAGAAAGCCAGGCAUCAUAAGGUAUACCUCUACGGUAUGCCGUUGUAUUUCACGGUGUAGCUGAAAAUUGGUAUUCCCAUUGUGAGUUGUUUCUUUAGUAGUCACUAAAAUGAGGCCUGCAAAAAUGGAAGAUUGUUACUCGCCAGGGGAAGAUCAUAUUGGUUAGGACCUACGAAAAAUGUCUUCACAAAGAACAAAAGAUACUCCACAUAUAUGAAUCAUGGGCCUCCGUAACAUGUAUUGAAAUGUCACUUAAUUUGACAUCAAAGCUGCAUGCACUUCCAAAUUUUAGUUUGAAAUAGUUCUUGUGUACCUAAAGUCAGUUGAUUUGGGUCUCAUCCUUGUGAACCCAUGCAUCUUCCACUGUUCGAAGUUCUUGGUCAGGGUAUGUCACAUGCCGAAGAGCUUUUGGGCCUUCCUGUCAUCAUUAUUAUUCUUGGUACUCAUGAGGAUUCAGGAGACUGAGAUGGUAGAACAAAGGUAGGCAUAAUAACCUAGGUGUAGGAACUACUGCUAAAUUGUGAGCUUGGGCAUAAACAUUUUGCUAAAAUGCGAGUUAGACAUUGGACGAUUGCAUGACAUAAUCAUAAUGGUAUACUGAGUAUUUAACAUUAAAUAUUUUGCAAAUGUUUAGUAGUUGCUAGUUGCCACCAUACAUGCAUGAUUGAAUGGUUCACUACCACAUAAUUAUGGUAGCAAGUACAUACACUGCUUUCUAUCUAAUGAUCUCAGUUCUUAGAAGUAUCAUUCCUCAAUAUUUUCAAACUAAAAAUUGAUCCAUAGAGACUUCAAAUAGUGGUGCUAGCAGUUGUCCAGAAAAGCACAUUAUAUGAGCACUAAGGAACUAUAAGUAACCUGGGUAAGUGAGAGAACUCAUUGUGCCAUGUCUAAUUAAAAUUCCCAGUGGCGCCGAAAAGGUAAAUAAUUAUACUUAUACUAAACCAAGAAAAUAAUAUAAUUCUUGUGGGAGCAAUUGUUCUAUGUAGUUCGGUACCUCCCACUUAUUAUAUUGAAAAGGGCGAGUACAAAGCUAACUGAUUGAACAAAACAUUUACCAUACUUCUGGUUGAAAUUUGACCUGGGGAUCUCGGUCUGGAUGGAUCAAUCUCUGAAGAUUUUCUUCCUGCACAUUUACCAGCAAUUGAAAUAGAAUAACAACUGGUUUCAGUCUUGUUAAUCAACUUGUCGAUUAUACUUGUCAGAUUGAAUAUGUUGCCCCAAUAUGCAAUAUGGAUACAGAAACACCAAAGCACAUGCUCUGUGUAGUAAAAUUGUUGCCUAAACAAGGUAGUGUUAGCGCAUGCUUUGCUGAAUAGAACUGGGCAGGAAACAUCAACAUCAUUUAACCUUGAAUAACACAGCAAAAAUAAUACAAUCCCCUUUCAGACAUUUCAUUGAGCAUAUUGUGAGCAGCAGGCCAGCAGCCGUUGGAGGGAGAGAAUGCAGAACUUACAGCUUGCACAUGCCUUGGCAGCCUGGAGAUGAGAAAAGCAACAGCCAUGAUCUGUUGCCGUGGAAGGGGUGCAGCUUGCCGCUGCGCGACACACGCAGCAACGGAAGAAACGGAGCUGGGCUGGUCACCAGGCGAGAGUCGCACUGGGAUAAAGUGUUGGGUGGAGGUGGUGGUGCCCAGACGUCGAAGAGAAAGAGGUGAGCAUGUGGGGGACGGGCGGAAGCAGGGCGGCUGAGGCGCCCGAGGAUGCGCGGGGAGCCGGUGGGCGGCGCUCCUGUUCCGACGAGGGGAGCGGUCCCCGCUGUGGAAGCCGAUUCGGUCAGUUUUUGAGUUGGGCCCAAUUCACGCCAACAUUUUCAUAUGAAUUGGGCCCUAAGUGCAGGGCAGGAGGUGUUUUGUUGUUGUAUGUAGGCCGGCCGAGCCUCGUGUUUUGGGCCUGGCCCAAUAAGUCAGGGUUCCAGUUCGCCAGCCCGACGACCUUGGACCCGGCACAUCCGAGCGAGACCCACCGCCACCGCCUUCUCCUCUCUCUUUCUCCUACCUCUCGCCCCCGUCUCGCCCCCGAGUCCCAAGCGCAAGAACAGCCAAGGAAUCGGCGGCGGCGGCGGCGAUGGUGUGCGCCAAGUGUAAGAUCCCCCUCCCUCCUCGCGGACCUAGAUGUUUCUCCUACCGAAUUUGGCCGAUUCGUCUUUACCCUUGAGGUUCCGUGCUGGGAUCUGUUUUCUUUUUCCUCUGUUCUACCCUAAGAAGGGUUGGUGGGAUUUGGGUUGCAGGCGAGAAGAAGCUCGGGAAGGUGAUCGUGCCGGACAAGUGGAAGGAGGGCGCCAGCAAUACCAACGAGAGCGGCGGCCGCAAGAUCAACGAGAACAAGCUCCUCUCCAAGAAGAACAGGUCAACCUCCAUCCCUUCCUACCCCAAUCCCCCACCGAGCCAUCUCUCUACUACUAGUUCUUUGCGGUCAAGGUUGAGCUGAUGCUGUUUCCUGGGCUCCCAAUUUCGUUUAAUGGGGUAUCUCGAGCGGAUCAGGUAGGGCAGUGGUUUCGUUAAGAAAAGAGGCAAAUCACCAGAGUUAAUUGCUCCACUAGUCACAUCACAGGAGGAUAUACAGUAAUCAAUCAAUCAAACAAAUUGUUUGUUGGUUGGGCUUAAUGGACAUGCUGGUAGAAUUGAUUACUUGAGCUUUGAGGCACCUAACAGAUUUGAUUUUAGAAAAUUGGCGCACACCUCAUUUCCUCCUAAACUGAAUUAGACUGUAAAUUGAUGAUAUGUCAGCAGUACAAGCUAUUAUUAUUCACAGUUUGGGACAAGCGUCCUGCUGCAUGAUGAGCUAUUGACCUACAAUGUUGGUACCACAGUAGCCUAAUGCCCCCAAAAGUGCAUGCCUCUUAUUCUCUUCAUUGCAGGCCCUUAGUACAAGAUGGCCUUUCUUAACUGAAUAGAUAGUGAAGUAUUUGUUCAAAGUGUCACAGAUCUGGAUCACAACUUGAUACAUAUACCAUACAUAAUUCCAUAAAUGAUAAACUAUUUUAUUGGUUAUUUGGUGUUAUCAGAGAAACGGUUACACUGAGGGUUAUUUGGGUGAGCAUAGAAACAUGAAGACAUCAGCUGUCAAAUUAGUGAACCUUUCAUCACUAGUUGUGGGAAUUGACGGGGGAAGAGUAGAAAAGGCGAGGGGAAGGAAUAUGAGUUUUGAUUCUGUAAGGGACGAAAAGUUGAAAACAGUUGCUAAUUAUGGUUUCUCAUAUGGAUAUGGGACAGUAUGGCACCGAGAUUCAGGGGCGGAGGAAAGGGUAGGGCCACUAGGGCCAUGGCCCUAGGCGUCAGCCCAGUUUUUCCAUUAUGCAGUGCACUGUAGCCUGAAGGCCCAGCCCAGCAAGCGCAGUUGGCCCAUGGAGUGGCCCUAGGCGUUGAGCUUCACCCCUGCUGAGAUUUAAGAUUUUCAGUUUUUAUUUGGGCAUCUAUAACUCAAAAUUCAUGUUAUGGUUUGAUCCUUACCUUCAAGGAAGGUGCUAUUAAAUUUCCAUGGAAAUAUUCUAUGUCGCCAUUGGUUGGUCUAUAUUCUAUGUGUUUGCUCAGGAGUCAAGAUAUGUUGCUUCUAAAUCUGCAGCUUAAAGUCCUAACUGAGUUUUCUGUAUCCAUGGAUUCUUUAAUCUCUUUAGAUAGUUUUCUGAACAAGCCAUCUGUCUUUCUUGUCUCUAUUGAAAUUGCAUCAUGUUCUUUUUUCUAAGUUAUAAAUGUUCAAAUCAUAUCCGAUGAAGGUAUUGUUUUGUGAUUGUCGUCUAACUGUAUGAAUCACACAGGUGGACUCCCUAUGGAAACACCAAAUGUAUAAUAUGCAAGCAGCAGGUGCACCAGGAUGCAAAAUACUGCCACACCUGUGCUUAUUCGAAAGGUAAGAACUCCAUUAGAGUAUGACUUCACGAGAUGCUAUCUGAAAUAAGUUAAUUCCUGAUUCUGAUCAUAAUGCGGACUUUUCUUUCAGGAGUGUGUGCAAUGUGCGGGAAGCAAGUGCUGGACACGAAGCUCUACAAGCAAAGCAACGUGUGAUCCUAGAUGUACUAAACUGCUAAUAACUUGUAUGAAAUCUUGUACUUGCAAUCUAGCUGUUGAAAAAUAGUGAUGUGUGCUAUAACAGAAAAAAGUAUGUACUUGACUAACAAUUCUGGAACAUGAAACGUUUCCAAAAUUAAAGCUCCAGCAACUCGAGCUUGUGUCACCUUACAAGUCUGUUGUGGCUGGUUGCAAGCGAAAGCAAUCUGUGCUGUGGUUUUGGUUUCGCAAUUGGAACUAGCAUGCAUUUUUCCUUAUAUUAAAAUCUACAUGACUUCCAUGGCAGGAGUGUCUGCAAAGGUUUCCGUUCUCAAUAUCCUGCAUUUUAAAAUGAAAACGCAUUCUCAGAGGUGCUACAAUUUUUCACUGCCAAUGGUACAGUUUGUCUGAACAAUGCUUGUUUUCUGCUACAUUACUGGUACAGUUUGUCUGAACAAUGCUUCUUGUUUACCGCUACGGCGCUACAUUACGCAUAAAGACGACACUAUAACCUGUCAAAUGUACUGCCACAAUUAGACAGAUGCAUCAACUAUGGCCAGGUCAGCCUACAAGGCUACAGCUAGCUAUAUAGUUCUAUGAAAAAGAAGCACAGGAGACUAAGUUACAUUCUACAAUGCACAAAAUAAAUGAAGUAAAAAUCCAAUGCUUGGAAUUUUAUUUCUGGACUCAAACUGCGGUUCUAACUUAGGUUUUCUGGUUGAGCACAUGACGGAGCUGAAUCUUCUGGCUUUCCAUCCGGGCUUCUAGAAGCUUCGCCUUGAGGCUUUGUCUCUGAACCAGCUCCAUGCAACCUCUGAAAUCGCGGUUAAGCUGGCUGUUCAUCGAGUCUGGUGAGCUCCACUGCGCUGUACUUGGGGUGCUGUCUCCCAUAUCCAAAUUCAAGCCUUUGGCAGUUGAGAACACACCAUUGGGAAGACUUGCACUCGAUGAUCUCCCAUUUGUCAUCUCUGCAGCAUCUUUCGUGCGGAAUUCACAAUGUUUCAGAGGGGAUGACUUCCAGAGCUUCGAUAUGGCGGACUCUUUCUUCUUGGGCUGUUUCAUAUCCGUCAGGUACAUGUUGCUCAAGUCAUCACACAGCCUGUUGGUCUGCCCACCCUCGGAAUCGUUUCCACUCGUCCAUGAAAUUCUGUCAAAGAUCUUGUUGACUGAAGGUUCGCUUCCAUAUGGCGAGUGGCUUGAGCCCUGCAUCUCUUCAUGGCUCAUGGUCUCCCAGCUGCUGCCAUCUUCUGUCUCGCUCUCAUCAGAAUGGCUUCCAUCUGGGAACAAUUUGGCUCGAUUUUCCAGAAAUAUAUCAGCUGUCGGGGUAGCUUCUUGGAUUUCUGAUUCACAAAUAGCAAAGCUUUGCUUUGGGCAAGGUUCAGUCUCCUUUGUCUCUGUUUCGCCACUUGGGCGCAGCUCUUCAAAGAUGGACAAUAUAUCUUCUGAUGCUCGCGCUGGCUCAUAUGUGAAUUCAACCUCUUCGUUUCUCACUGCUCCAAUGGCCUGUACGAUAUUGCAUGCCGUUUCAACAACUGUGCUGUCUUCUUUGGAAGAGCUGAAAGUGGAAAUGAAAGCCUCUACAUCCUCUUGCAGUUUGCUCAACUGGUCGUAUUUGGCCUCCAGAGUGAGUUUGGCAUCGACAAGUUUCAUCUGCACUCGCUCCUCACGCCACACCUCAGCCAUCUGUAGCAAUUUCCUGUCCUCAUCCAGCUCACCCCGCAGUUUGACAGAAUCCUGCUUCAAGGCUUCAAUCUCUGACUUGUGUUCCUCUAUCUCCCUCACCAGCUUGUUGCACACCUCCUCUGUGAGUUCCCGUGUCUUCUGCUCGUUGUCAUACUCCUGCAGUAGCUGCUUCGCUGCCAUUUUGACCUCUUUCAACUCAUCAACAAGUUUGAAGUUAAUAGUCUCCAACUGCCUCCGGUUCUUUUUCUCAUGCUCAAGGUCUGCCUUCAUAUCUUCAAGAAUGGCUCGAACCUUCUUGUGCUCUCUGUUCCGCCAAGCUGCUUUCUCCUCAGCGAGUUUCUUGAACAAGUGAUCAAGUUGCUUCUUUGCUGAAACCCGCUCGGCUUCUAGCUUGCUCACCCUAUCCCUUGCCUGCUGAAGCUCCAUCUCAAGGUUAGCAACAUAACUUCCCCCGUGCUGUUCCUCAACGAGAUUUAGUUGGCUGGCAAUCACAUAAGCACCAUCUGGUUCAAUGCUCUUUAUGCUUAUAGGCUCCCAUUUAGUUGCAUCCUCCAUGCCAGAGGCAAGCCGAAGAUGUACCUGCACAGUUAAAUCCACUGAAUUAGCUCACAGCAUAGAGCGGAAACAGUAAUUUAGGUGCAAGUGAUUUCUAGCUUUACCUUGUGGAGCUCUCCACUAUGUGGCUCCAGAACCGAGUUGGGACUUGAAAUGUCAUCCUUAAGAUGACAGUGGUGACCGAGAGGAUCCUUCCUCAGAAGCUGAGCUUGUAGAUGUCUCGGUAUAUGCUGUCAUAAAAGUAAGUGAAACCAGCAAGUGAAUAAGUAAGAGCAACUGAUUGUCACAAAAGCAGAGGAAAAAUAAGCAUCGAUCAUUUCCAUCUCUUCCCAGCAGCAAGAAAUUACUAAAUGGCUAAAAAUUCAGACAGCUCCCCCAGAUUUAGCACCCAUUCUAGAAGUUACAGCCUAUAGUUACUUCUACAUAAUAACGAGGCAAAUAUCUGAAAGCCAAAGGGGAGAUGAAGAACGAAGAUGAAUCGUCUGCGUGAGUGCCUACAAAUCUGGGGCGACUCUGCUCAGUAGAUCAUUCAGAUCCCAUCACCAGAUAUGACAAAUGACAGUGAAGAGUUCAGUGAAAUAGCAUACCAUCCUCUGAAACCAGGAUUUAUUGCUCAUGGAAUGAACGACAGCCGCAUUUGAGGGCCUGUUUGGCAACCAUGUGUUAAAAUUUAACACCUGUCACAUCGGAUGUUUGGAUGCUAAUUAGAAGUAUUAAACAUAGGCUAAUUACAAAACUAAUUGCACAGAUGGAGUGUAAUUCACGAGACGAAUCUAUUAAGCCUAAUUAGUCCAUGAUUUGACAAUGUGGUGCUACAGUAACCAAUUGCUAAUGAUGGAUUAAUUAGGCUUAAUAGAUUCGUCUCGCGAAUUAGCACAGGGUUCUGCAAUUAGUUUUAUAAUUAGCUCAUGUUUAGUUCUCCUAAUUAGCAUCCGAACAUCCGAUGUGACACUGUUAAAGUUUAACACCUCGUAUCCAAACACCCCCUCAAUCAGCAAGGUUAACUCACUCAAGUGGAAACAAAACUGAACACCAAGUUUACACCGAGCAUUACUUGGUAAAUUUUCGCAGCAGUGCCUCCAGUAAAUAGCCACCCACACACCACAAGCAGGCAGAGGUAGCCGGAGGAGACAAGCUGGUUGCUCCGACAUCAAGAACCCUAGCAAGGUACAGCCGUGCUCUGCGUAAUUGCACGGCACGCCGACGAUUGAAUGAGCCCGGAGUAGAUCACAUGAGGAGGAUUGAGUUGUGGGUGCGUCACAAGGAACGCGCCCAUGGCCUGACCCAUAAAUGCCGCCUGGCGACACUGAAAUGGACGCGCUUGUUUUAUAUAAAAGAAAAGGGAACUCUGAGAGGGACGCCGCCAUUAAUGGGGAUCUGGGCUUCGAUCCGGCAUCGCCGUGCGACGCCGCAACGGCUAGUAACUGCUUGCCGCCACGAGCUGGAACGGGGGGCGGUAGAGGUGGUACGAAGGGUAGGCGAGUACGGCGGGGAGGGUGCCGCCGUCCGGCCGUCCUGGAUUCGCCUCCCCGUACGCUGAAUCCGGCAGCGUUCGAGCGGAAGCAGCUGAUUCGAGCUAAAAAUUCGAACUGAUUUUUUUUCCCCUUCAAACGGUGGAGCGCGGGUUGGGGCUGGGGAGGAUGUUUACCUCGAGUCCGACACGGGUGGCGGCGGCGUUGUCUCGCUGGCCGGCGGCGGGUGCCUCCUCGGGUGGCCGCAGCCGCCACACCGCGGCGGCGAGCCGCCUGACAGAGGAGGGCGGGUCCCCGCGGGGCUUCUCCCCGCCGGCAUUGCCCUCCCCGCCCCGCGCGGCCCACCGGUGCUGCGGGGUCGCGGGCCCGGCGCCGCGGCGGGCAGCGGCACCGGCGGAGGCGGGUUGCGUGGCCUUGAGCGGGCGGCGUCGGCGGAGGCGGCGGGGUGCGCGGGGCAGCGGGGGCGGAGCUGAGGGGGCGGCGGCGGGGCGGGAGGCGGGCGGCAUUGGCGGUGGUAGGGUUCCAGCGGCUGGAAGGGAGGGGCGGGGUGGAGGCCGGAGGGGAGGGGGCGGGGAGUGAAGAGACGUUGGAGCGGAGAGCAAGAAGAGGGGUUGGAAGCGACAAGGGGAGAGAAUUAAGGGGCGUGGAAGGAAAGAGUCGUUUUUUUAGGGGGCCUGUAAGGAAGUUGGCAUUAAUGAGCAGCACGUGUCGUGGUAAAUGAUGUUGAUUGCAAGUACAAAUGUUUGGAGUAACUGUUUCAACCAGGUUAAAAUAGGCCAAUUGUAGUAUUCUGAUAUGUGUUUAGAAAAUAUGCAUUAUGAGAUGAAAAGAAGUUAUCAAUUGGAUAGAAAAUAUGCAUUAUGAGAUGAAAAAAAGUUAUCAACUGGAUUAUAUCUCUCCUUCAUCUUCGGCUAUGGCUAUAACUCAUACACUUCUUAAGAAUCCAUACCGCUAGUGGGAUCCUCGUAUUACCCUAUUUCUCCUAUGUCACCCUAACCCAUUCAUCAGCUAGCACAUACAUACCUUUCCAAUGGCGUCGUUGCUGCCCCUCGACUCGCCACUACCAUCGGAGCUACCACCUCUCAUUGGUGAAGAUCUCCACCCAACCUAAGGCUGAAGCAAGCUAGCUCGUUGGAGUUGGGAGGGAAGAAUAGGUCGAUUAAUCGCGUGGGCAAUGAGCUCAGUGGCUUCAAAACACCUUACAUCACUAAGUGCAUCCCUAGGGGCGAAGCUAGCCCAGAAGAACACCCACCAGGGUCUUAUGUAGAAGAGGACGAUGUCAUUUUGAACAAUUAACUAGUAUAUACAGUUAUUUGCCACUGUUUUCUGCAAAAUUCGUCGAAGAUCAGCUUACCCCGGUAAGAAACCUGAGCUUUGCCCCAGUGCAUCCCCACUUUCCUUGAUUUAUGACGUGUCCUUUUAAGAGCUUUUUAAAACAUACCAAUUAGGAUUAGCCUUAGUCCACCACUGAUGAUAUGUCUGUAGGGUAUUGAAUUACAUGCCUCCUUGAAAGUUUUGCAGAUUCCUUUAAUUUACGAGUAAUACGAGUUAAUUAGCCUUAGACCUUUUUAAUUUCCAUCUCAGAUUAUAUAUUUCAACUUAUAAUCUAUAAUAUGGGGAAUGCCAGUUUAUUACCUUCAUAUAAUAAUCUGUUACGUAGAUUAUUAUGAUAUGAGGCCUAUUUGUUUCGGAUUUGUAAUCCGGAUUAUGUAAUUUGGAGAGGGAAACAAAAACGACCAUAAUUGUUGCAAAAUCACUAGAAGUCAGUUCAGCUGCACCAUCACGGCCACACACUAAUUUGUUGCUUAUUUGUACUCCCUUUUUAAACUUGGAAAGUAUCGCACGUACCGCCAUUGAUGUGUAUUAUUCCCGUACACCCAAGCCUCUUUUAACUUUUAACCCUCCGAUUGCUAGUUUUCACCACUUGAAAGCAUAGUUACAGCAGUAGUGGUCCCUUAAUAUUUUUGUUCGCGUGCACAAGUUGAUAUAUGAACUGAUAUAAAUUUGCACCACACAAAAUUGAUUUAUUCCCCUUUUGCUUGUUUACUACACAUGCAGAUAAGUAUUGAUAUUGACAGACCACAUCAAGCUUGAGGUUUUGAGCAUCUGAAAAACUUGAGAGAUCAGUUCAUAUGCACCUAGGGGUAUUACUGAACAAUUGGAACUUGGAACAUGCAGGAAUACACUGAAAGAUGCCAGUGGCUCAGGUGGUUGUUCAGACAUCAUUGCCAUCUACAGCCCAUCCAGGGAGGGCCAGGGACAUCCCAUGUUGCAAGAGGGAACAUUGGUCCAAAGAGUCUAACCCCUUGUUUACUUCAACCCCAACUCCCAACUUUGGCACUAUGUAAAAAGAAGAUUCCCCAUCACAUCAAACUUGCGGUACAUGCAUGGAGUACUAAAUGUAGAUAAAAUUAAAAACUAAUUGCACAGUUUUGUUGUACUUUGCGAGACGAAUCUUUUGAGCCUAAUUAGUCAAUGUUUGGACAAUAAUUCACAAAUACAAACGAAACGCUACAGUAUGCUACAGUGCCAGCACAGUAAUUUGGCACCUCCCAAUUUGGCCAACUAAAUAAGACCUAACUGUAGUUUCAUCCUUAUUUUGGGGCUCCAAUGUAAUUUUGGAAGCUUCUGCAGUAUAACUAUACCCCAUCAUGAUGUAAAGUAGGGGCUAGGCCCCUUCCAGGGCCAUAUUUCUUUGACACAAAGGCACUUGUGCAGAACAACUUGUGACUAGAAUGUCACUUCAUAUUAACAAAAAAAGAAUGCUACCUCCUUUCAAGAAGAUAAGAUUCAGCAUUCAGCAUUAUGUACCAGGAUGGAAUCUUGUUGAAGAUUACACACAGUAUACUAUGGCCCUGAUGUUCCUGAAUUAUUGAUCCAUUGUGGUUUUGCGCAUACAGCUCUGACUGGGGGUCUGGAGCACAUCUGGUCUGCAUAAAGAACAGCGUCAGCAGCUCAGGGCCUGCACCACUGAUCCUGAAGAUUCUAUAGAAUCGUGACUGGAGAGCAGAUAGCCAAGCACAUGGAGAUGAAAGCCUUGGAGACUAGCAGAAAUGUUUCGGGCAAUGGGUUCCUGAAAAGAAGGGGAGAGCUGUUACCAAGCAGACCUCGUAGUAUGGCGUGUCAUCUUGAAACGAAUUGCAACUGUGCGUUGUAUACGAAGUAGAAAUUCUUAAUCCAGAUGAUUGGAAAAUAAGGCGUGCAAGUGCAACCAUAAAGAUGGCUGUAAAAUUUUCCAAAAUACGUCUUGUGAAGAAUUAAAAAAAGACUUUGCACAAGGACCCUGAAUCAUUUUUUUUUGAAGGAACCGGUAGGGGAGGCCCUUACCCCUAGUUUUUUUUAUAUAUAAGAGGAAUAUAUUUACAUGAUACAAAGCCCAAGGCUCAAGGAGAAGAAGGAGAGAAAACUAAAAAAGACUACUCAACCAAAGAUUUAUCUUAUCCAAAGACUACUCAACCAAAGAUUUAUCUUAUCCCUACCGAUGGUUUUGUCCUAAGGACAACCAUCUUUAAUUCCUCCAAAAAGCAGGAUCUCCAUCUGGCAAAAGAGAGGAAUCCACCAUAAAAAAUAAUAAUGUUCCUAUGACACCACUAAGUCCAACACGCAACAAUAACAACUUCCCUAAAAAUGCAAGAACCAAAAUCUCCCAAGCUUGGAUGAUCAUAUCAAGCGAUUGGAGGCUAAGAUCCCAGUGAAUGUCCAAAUAGAUCCAGCAGGCCUAACUGAACGGACAGUCAAAUAACAAGUGAAGGAUCGUCUCUUCCACGUUUUCUACACAAAGAACACAAUUAUGGCUGUCAAGAUGCAUGUGUUUUCUUCUGAGCAAGUUCCUGGUAUUAAGUCUAUCCCUGAGCAACAACCAAAAGAAAAACUUAUGCUUAUUUUAAGCUCUUAAUUUCCACAUCCAUUUGAUGAGUGGAGAGGCUGGAAGGGAUCCUCUGAGGCAUUUGUAAGCAUUCUUGCUGGUGAUGUUACUCGAUCCCCAAAUAUGUUUAUCAUUCAGCAUUAUGUAACUGGAUGGAAUCUUGUUGAAGAUUACACACAGUAUUCUAUGGCCCUGAUGUUCCUGCAUUACUUAUCCAUUGUGGUUUUGCGCAUACAGCUCUGACUGGGGCACGUCUGGCCUGGAUAAAGAACAGCGUCAGCAGCCCAGGGCAGGGACUGCACCACUGAUCCUGAAGAUUCUACAGCCUUGGCGACAGACUGGUUUCGAGUGGUCAUUAAGAUCACAUUGCCUUUCCCUUGCUGGUAAGAUCCCAAUAGAGCUACAAAGCCUGCUCCAUUCGUUGCUGUCCAUGAUGUCCCAUGUAUCAUCUAAAACUAGCGAGACUCUGCAGCCCUUCAGCUCAUCUUUAAGCAUCUCCUGAAGAAGAGUCAUAUCUGCACUGCCUCCUUGGUCCAUUCCUGUUAUGUACUCUAAUAUCUGUCUGGUAAUUCUCACAAUAUCAUAUUUCAGGGAGACACAUACCCAUAUCAUAGUAUCAAAACAGGCCUUAACUCUGGGAUAGCUGUGCAUGUAUUGUGCCAGUGCAGUCUUUGUUUUUGUACCUGUAAACUGUGGGGGAGUUCCCCACAGCAUUUCAUUGCUUAAAUAAAAGAGAGUUUUUAUGUACAAGAGUAUUUACAAUUACUGAAAACUAUCUAGCCAUUGUCUAACUAUUGGUCGUAGGUCGUCCUUCACACGAUGCAGCUGCAGGACGAUCUGGUCUUUGAACCUCACGGUCCAGAGACGUUAGUUUUGUUGAAUAACUUGUUGCACACAUGCAUAUUUCCCUUUGGUUCAGUAGUGCAUUUUCACGUUGUUUAGGUGAAUUGCAUAAUUAGCUAGGUGUUUAGAGGUCACGAGUUAGCCUGAGGCGUGCUUGGUUCACGUCGUGGCCGAGUCUUCCUUUUCUUUCGGAUCGCCACAGCAUCUGCGGCAUGCACGUAGCGGGCGUCGCGGGCAACAACACGCGUCGCGCACCGUUGGUGGUGUGGCGUGGGAUUCGGUCGUUAAGGCCAUGUAAUCCGGUGCAUAAAAACAAGUUUGUUUGGCAUCGAGGCUGCAACGUUCUGCAGCGAAAUACUUCCUACUCUCUCUCACGUUGCGUUGGUGUUCAUCGUGUUCCUCGAGUUCUAGACGCGUUCGCGUUCCUGUGUGCGUGAUCCGAGCUGCAAACUGAGUUCAGCUCCAACAAGUUUACACUUUCCCCUUCAAAGAUCUUGCCAUUUCUAAGGUUCCAUAAUUCCCAUGCCGCUAUGAUAAAGAUCUCCAUGAAGUAGGGUACAUGUGCCUCGAAGGGAUUCCACUAGUCUCGAUCUACCGGGCAGCAUCCAACACGAGGCUGGUGUUUCUCAGCUUCUCCUCAAGUGUGGUGACAUAGGGCUUGAUUGUUUGAGCUCAAACGUACUUAACAAUCUAGGGGAACGUGUGAGGCGUGAAAUUUCAAUGGCGAGUAAAAGGAAGUAAUUAACUAGUAUUUGAUAGUAUAGGAGAAAUUACUGUAAGAAUAUCCUCUCUUGUGUGCCGUAUAAAUGUAUGAUAACUGCGACGCAACCUGGGUAAGGUUCUGAUGUUGUCUCCUUGAAAAUUCAAAAGGCCAAACAUUGCAUGUAGGUCAUCUUUUAUGUACCGUUUGUAUUUUUUUUUUACUUUGUACAAUAAUCUAUCAACGACAAGGAUGGACUAAUUCUAAACCUAACCGUGCUAACUACUCCCUCCAUUUCAAAUUAUAGGUCGUUUUGAUUUUUCUAGGUGUAUAGAUAUUAUUAUGCAUCUAGACUAUGCACUUAGAAAAGUCAAAACGACCUACAAUUUCGAACGGAGGGAGUAUUUGUCUAUUUAGCUACAUUAUCUCUUACAAAUGACCACCCCAACUUGAGCAAGAAUAAAGCACGCAUACGUAUAACUGAGAUUUGCAAAGCAUCAUUAUCUAGCAAAGAAAAUGACCCUUGAUUCCUUGGUAUCCGUACAAGUCUUACUGUUAUUUACAGAAGGCAUCUAAAUAUUGCAAAGAAAAAUUAAUACCUUUGCUUGCCUGUCAAACGGUAAUAGUGAUUGCCUGAGUGAGAUUUUACCCAGCCUUGCAGACAAAUUCGAAGGCUUUACUGCUUCUAAGUCUUACGAGGUCUUUAUAAAAAAUCACACUAUACUAUUGUGCUUACUUGCUUAUUGACUAAUUCAUGCCCUUCCCAUAUGUUUCGGGAAAUGUCCAAAUCACACAUGACCAUAAUCAUUGGAUAUUACUGUGAUUUGCAAACGCAUAUAUCUAAUUGAAAAAGAACCAUAUGUAAUUGCUCGCUGUUCGCCAAAUUAACGUGUGUAAUAACAAAGUUGCUUCUCACUGGAGAUCGAGGAGAUUACAAUCGAGAGGUAGAAGUGUAGAACGGAGGCCGCGACCUCCACAACGAUGACGAUGCUGAAGCCAGCCUACUCCACCCCUCACCCACUCGCCCUGUGAGAAGGUCCCGCUUGUGAGGAAAAUGGUCCUAAACCAUAAUAAUUUUGAUGAUUAAUGAUAACAUAAUCAUUAGGAGUAAUGUGUUUAUAAGAUAUACAUUUGUAUGUGUUUAUAUACGUUCCAAGGAUAAAUUACAAAAGUAUCAAAUGAGAAGAAAAAAAUACUUAGAAAAAUUCUAUGGCAUCCAAAUGAUAGUACAAAUCCAGAUAUAGUUUUAUUUUAAGGUUUACAAAUGAUGGUAACGAAGUCGGGACAAAGACACGUGAAGCCUUGAAGUGAAUCCUGCUGGAAAUGUGCACCGACACAUUCCACCGACUCAUUUGGUGGCAACAGUAACCAUUACCGAUUCAGUUGGUGACCAGAGGUAGGGCCAAGGUAGGCACGUGCAUUGCACUGUUACCACCGACUCAUUCGAUGGGAAUAGUAAUCAUCACCAAUUCAGUCGGUGAUCACAGGCAGGACCAAGGUAGGCGUGUGCACUGUUACCAUCGACUCAUUCGAUGGGAACAAUGGCCAUCACCGAAUCAGUCCGUGAUCGUCGGCUCGGCUCAGCAUCAGCUCAAAAUCGGCUUUGGAAGUUUUGGAGUAUAAUUUGAGCCCCAUGAUUCAUGCGGUGGUAACAGUGAUCAGGCAGCGUAUGAGUCAGUGAUACGCAGAAAGUUACAACGGAUAUGUAACAGCUAGUUUCUUAGUUUGAGGCUAUAAAUACCCCUUUGCCCGGCCACUUCAUGCGUAUUAGAACUUGGAGAAGCCAUAGACUUGGUUACACACAAGUGCUCUAUCCACCAAAAUACUAAAGAGAAGAUUAAGACAAUUAGCAAAAGGUUUAGGUUUUGAUUAGUGCUAGUUUAGAACUUUUUAGCUCAUUGCUUUAGGGAUUAGCCUAGAGUUAGGUGAGGUUUGCACACCUCCUUUGUAUCGGUACUUGCGUGCACCAAGAGUUGUAAAUUCAGGAUUUGUAAGUCUUGCGACACCAUCCAACCGUGUUUGUGGAGUGCUCGUCGGUGCUUGUGAUAGGGAGGAGAGAUCCUAGGUGUUUUGCCGAAGCUCUACCAAGUGAAGAGCGGUAAGGAGCAUCCGGGAGAGGCUAGGUGGCGACCCACUUGUGCGUGGGCAAGGCCUGUCAGGUAUCUUACGGAGUUACUUGACCGAGAAGUUUAUGCCUUUGCGCGAGCAUUUUCUUUGAGAGGGGCUCCAACAACGAGGACUAGUGGAAAGCUAUGCUUUUUUGUAUCUCUAUAAAAAUUGCCGUGUCACCAUGGCAGGAGUUUGCCUUUUCUUGCUCAUUUACCUUAACUUCUGCAUUUCUAUUCCACUUACAUUCCACAUUUACCUUUUCUAGAAUUGCAAUGUGUAGUUUAUAGGAUUGGAACCCAAUGCUCUUUUGUGGUAGAGGUUUAAAAAAAACUAUUUUAGGUAGAAAUAGCAACACAUUAAAAAAACCUAGUGCACAUCAAAAUAAAAAUUGAAAUAAGUUUUUAUAUAUGUUUGGAACCUUAGUAUCCCAAAACACCCAAUUCACCCUCCCUUCACCGCUGACUGUCUUCUUCACCGCUGACUGUCUUCGACCGCGCGGCCUUCGACACCUUCGUGCCCACCGUGCUCGCGUACCCGCGCCGGCGCCGCCCGACAACCAGCGCUCAAGGCGGGCCUCCUCAGGGCCGUCGCCGCGCCACCUCACCUCGCCGGCCGCCUGGCCAACGACCAGGGCCGGCUGUUCGUCCACGUCAACAAUGAAGGCGUCCUUGUGGUGGAGGCAGCUGUGUCCGGCGACAUGGCCGUCGUUCUCGCCGCCGGCGUGGCUGCUCACGACCACUUCAGCGAGCUGUACCCACCUAUCCCAGAGGUAAUUAACUGCUUGAUUAUUUUACAUGGUAUCCUAACCAUGUUCAUGCACGUAUGUGAUGUUGAUGUGCUAUACGUACUGCCACGUGGCCACAGGAGAAGAUUGGGGCGGCGGUGCUGCAAGUAAAGCUCAACCGCUUCAAGUGCGGCGGCUUCCUCAUCGGCAUCAUCUGCCACCACCACGUCGCCGACGGCCAAUCCAUGAGCGCCUUCCUGACCAUGUGGGUGGCGGCGGUACGAGCGGAUCACAACGGUGACGACUUUGCCGCCGCCCGUUCGCCAUUCCUCGACCGUGCGGCAACCGCCGUGCCCUGUAGCCCACCAAUGCCGGCAUACCGCUCCGUCGAGUUCAAGGGUGGCAGCGGCGCCUCCAGGUCCUACGCCGUCGUCAUAGGGACGAGAUCAAGAACCUAAAGGUAUCUUCACGUUCCAGUGCCUCCUCGCGCACGUGUGGAAGAGGAUCACGGCGGCGCGGGGCUUGAACCCGGAGACCUUCUCGCAGGUGAGGGUGGCGGUGAACUGCCGGGGCAGGGCCGACCCUCCAGUGCCGGCGGACUUCUUCGGCAACAUGGUGCUAUGGGCGUUCCCGAGGCUCCGGGUCGGGGACCUCCUGGGCUCGAGCUACGGCGGCGUGGUCGGCGCGAUCCGCGACGCCGUGGCGCGCGUCGACGGCGGGUACAUCCAGUCCUUCGUUGACUUCGGGGCGGCGGCGGACGCCGGCGGGGAGCGGGUCGCGGCGACGACGGCGCCGCCGGGGCACGAUGCUGUGCCCGGACCUGGAGGUGGACAGCUGGCUGGGGUUCCAGUUCCACCAGACGGACCUCGGCACCGGCCGCCGUGUGCGUUCGUGGCGCCGGACCUGCCCGUGGACGGGUUGAUGGUCUUCAUGCCGUCGGCCACGGCGAAGGGCGGCGUCGACCUGUUCAUCGGCCUCGUCGAGGGUCACGUCGAGGAGUUCCACAGAAUCUGCUACUCUGGAUUGAUCGGUGCAGGGCCCAAUCUUAUAUUCCGUUACUGGGCUGGUGUAUGUUUUUUAUUUAUAGCUUCCUUUUAUGUUGGUCGGUGCAUCUUAUAAUCAUCAUCCAAAUGUCCAUAUAUUGUUCUUUCUUCCUACCGUUCUUCCUGUUACGAAAAUCAAUUUGCAACCACUUGUAAAUCUUCUUUCAUUUUUUCAUUGUUUUCUUCUUUCUUCUUUCUCAAAAAUAGAGGUGGAAGUUCGUGCUCCAUUAUUCAUGGGGAGGUAGGAGGGUUUGAGGCCCUCGCACCAUCUUAUCCGCUAUUAGUUGUAAACCCCUUGACUCAAAAUUGGAGAGAGAUGUAUCAACACACCUCCAAAACUGUAAUUGUACUGAGCUUAGAAGUUGAUAUGGUACCUAAAUGCUAAACAAUUAGUCACCUACCGUUUAGCUCUUUAUUCGAACUAAAUAACCAAUUAAACGGGUUAAACGGACAUUAACAUGCUAAACAGGUGAUUAAAUGGACACGGCUAGGUACUGUGCAGCGUGUAAACAAGCUAAUAGUCAUGUAGGCGAACACCAGCACGAACUGUGCAUGCCCAACGGGCUGAACUACCUAGCUAUUCUACUCUAGCUAUCGCAUGCCCAACGGGCUGAACUGUGCAUGCAACCCUGGUGGGAUCCGGCGUCCUAAACUUCGGAACAUGUCACAUCGGAUGUUUAGAUAUUAAUUAGAAGUAUUAAAUAUAAUCUAAUUACAAAACUAAUUGUACAGAUGGAGUCUAAUUCACGAGACGAAUCUAUUAAGCCUAAUUAGUCCAUGAUUUGACAAUGCGGUGCUACAGUAACCAUUUGCUAAUGAUGGAUUAAUUAGAUUUAAUAGAUUCGUCUCGCGAAUUAGUAUAGAGGUUCUGCAGUUAGUUUUAUAAUUAGCUCAUGUUUAAUCCUCCUAAUUGGCGUCCGAACGAUAGUACCCUGUUGUGGCGGAUCCACUUCGGAUCUACUGGGUUAGACAUGCUUUAGUCGCCUGAUAUGCGACGCUCAUGCCUAAGCCGAGUAAACACGAAGUGCCGUCGGAUUUUCCUCCGAUUUAACCACUUUGAACAGGACCGGUUUAGCAAACUCACACGAAGGUGAGCGGUUCUAGAGAGUACAACAAGUUCACCAAGUUAACGAAUUAACAACUGAAUUAAUUAGUUUCGAAAAGAACAUCAGAGUUUUACGAGCUUUCUGAAAGCAACAGAAGGUGAAACACUAGCGGAAGCAAAGCGUCGGGGUCGGAUGUCCGGGUGAGGCCAACAGGGACAUCACUGAUCCCUCUCCUCGCCGUCCGAGGAGGGAUCCCACUCGACCGUCCAGCCUGGCGGAAGCUGGGGGGGCCAAGCGUCAGCAAGAGAGGGGUCGGGAGCAGCAGCUUCACCUGAAAAACAGGAGCCACAACAAGGCUGAGCUACUAAGCUCAACAAGACUUAACCGAUAGGAGUAAAACUACUCCACACUUCUAGACAUGCAGGGCUUUCUUGGCUGAGGGGUUUGGUUGCCAAAAGCACUAAGUAAAAACCCUAUUUUCAAGUUUUAGCUCCGGUUCUAAGUUCAUUUACCAGUCUAGGUUUUUCAACCUAUUCUAAGCAAUCAUGGAACCAAACAAGAUGUGUAGAUAAAUCAACAAACAUGUCAUCAUAAGAUUUCUUAUUUACUCAGGGUGACAUAGCGAUCAAGCAAUCUCAAACUGUGAGAGGUAGAUGAAUCGAUUCGAGUUCUUUAACCAUGCAUGGUGAACCUAGCCUCACGACAUCCGCGCACCCGGAGGUCGCUUCCUGUGUCGGCCUUCCCCAUCAAUCCCCUAACCCGUGUCGGGCCCAUUUCCUUUGGUGCAAGGUUCCACAAACCCGGCCUCUGCCGUUCUGUGACCACGCAUGCCACCACGUGCGACAUCCAGCAGCAGGGGAAACUCCGUUCCAAGAACAAUGGGGCGACCGCUCACGUCUAGGUUCAAUCCGGUACUAGGCUUCCUCAUCCCAUACUAAGUAUGAGGCUAGUACUUUCAAACACUUGAUCACGAACACCACCACUAUCGGGCCUUAGCAAGUUUUUCAUAGACAGACGGGGCAACCAUCCGACCACCAAAGAGUUACCAAAACCCUGCCCCGUCCAUCGUCCUUAUAGUUGUAACAGAAAGGUAGACAUGCAACUCCUACAACUCGCGAGUGACAGGGAAUCACUCGGCUUUUACCGCCUCCUAGUUAAGCGGUGCAACUACUCGAUCCAACAGCUAGUGCUCAGAUCAUGGGGAUAACUAAGUCAUGCAUCUAGGGUUUCAAACAACUCCUAUACGUAAAUGCACAAACAUGUUACAGAAGGCAUGCGCAAGUUUGGUAAAACACGCAGGGUUUUCAUGCAACCGGGGCUUGCCUUCGAGCAAGGAGGAAGAGAACUGCUCGACUUCGGGGGCAACUUCGGCUUCAGCGGGCAAGAACUCUGCUACAGCUUCGUCUUCUGGCGCCGGGUGUAGUUCGUAGAAGCCGUCGGCGAGGCGCAGCUCUACACGAAUGCAAUGCAAGAGUUAGCAUAGACGGUUAUAUCAAUAGCAACACUUGCUCGUCUGAGCCCAGAAACUCGCGACAAAGAGCAGGAGGGUGGGAAGAUUCGAGAGAGCUGGUGAAGAUCAAGAGGCAAGGGUCGGAAAGGAACUUAUGAUCUGAUCCUUGAACUAGAGGAUGUGGUAUAAUAGGGAUCCUCAGACGCAAGCGCUGAAGGGUUCCUAAGUUUUACACAUACACCCUCGGGUUGAAGAAAAAGAUCACAGCCGAGCCCUCGGGCGAGGCGGAUAAGGGUCGGCGGGACAGACAGGGUCGGGCGGGUAAGAGGGGUCGGGCGAAGCGGACUGGGGUCGGCAGCUUACCUUCUUCCUGAAAGGAAGGCUUGGGGUCGGGAAGAGGCAGACUUGGGCGGAGGGACUAAGGCUUUGAGCAACGGCUAAGACCGGAAAUGCUCCGGCGGCGGCGACGCUUCUUGCGGAUCACAAGUAAGCUUCUACGCAGCACGGAGGAGCAAGCGGCUGGGUGACUUGGGGAAAACUGAGGGGAGCUGAGGGAAGAGUUCCUCAAGAACUUGGCGUGUGGCGCUAGGAGCUCGAGCAGGGAGCAAGAGAAUGGCUGAAGGCAACAAUGGCGGAGGGAACUCCGGCGGGCUUGUGUACUCCUGUUUAUAGCUGCUGGAACGGGAAGGGAAGCGGCGCGGGAGAGAGAGAAGGGGAGCGGCGCGAAGGCCGGGGAGAAGCAAUGGAGUGCUCUGCCGGGGCGGCGAUUGAGCGACAAGGGCGGUGGUGCAGGACUCGGGGAUGACGCCAGCGGUCAUUGGGUUCUGCCGUCAGGGCGGCGCAGGAGCAGAUAUGCCGGUGGUUGAGAUUUGGCGGAGGCGGGCGUCGUCGUGUGGAAGAUUUGAUAGAAGCGACCGGUUUAACGGCGCUCGAAUCGAGGGCGCACAGGUGAGAAGAUAGGCAGGCUGCUGCUACGCGGGCGAGCGCGAAGCAACACUCUGUCGGGGCGGAAAAGGAGCUGUCGCUGCCAUGGUCGGGGUUGGCGGAGGAGGAAUCGUCGGGUAGCGAAGACCGGGCGGCGCGACUGUGUUCGAAGUGACGAAAAAGACGAGCGACAUCGGGCUCUGCGGCCGGGAUCUGGCGGUGUGAUGAUGGGCGCGGGAGGCGAGGCUCUGCAGAAAGGUGGCAGAGGGGCUUCCGACGCCAUUGGGGAAGGGGGCGCGAGGAUCCACUCGGUCGCGAGCCAGAGACAAAACUGAGCGGCGGCGUCGGAGAAGAUGAGCCACGCGGCGGGAAGGCUCUGAAGCGGGCAUGCAACUCGAGUGCACCUGUCGCGGAAGAUCUGGGGAAAAAGAUCUCGCGGGUCCACCGGCGGAUAGAACGGGCGUUUGAGGAAGACUUAGAGGGAUCCGACGGUGAGCUGAGUUCGCCGGGGUCGGGAUCGGAGCGAAGCGAGGAGGGGUCGGGUCUCAGGGGUCGGGACUGGUUGGAAGGUUGAACACUUAGGCCUGGACAACUUAAGACAGGGGAUCAGGGCUCCGAUUAAGAUUAACUUGGGAGAUUAGGGUUCGGUCGUCACACCUGUAUCCAAACAUCCCACAAGGUUAAAAAAAAUGUAGAUACAUCCAACAGUCCCCAGGUCGGCCCAGAUGCUUCCAGGCCAUGGCCAACCCCAUCACGGCACCACCUCCCACGGACCCACCGGUCAAUGGCGGGCGGGGACAAAAAUAUCUAGCCUGGCCCCACACGCAUAGACACGUCCCGAUCCAACCCACCACCUCCACCCCCUCCUUCCUCGUCCACCCCUCCCUCGCCUGUCGCCUCACCCUAGGAUUCGCCUGCCCAGCCACGCCGCCGCCAUGAUGCCGCAGCAGCAGCCCGGCGUCGCCCCUCCUCCCCCGCAGUCCGCCCCGGGCGCGCCGCCGCACUGGGGCGGCAUCCCGCCGCCGAUGCCCCCGCAGCACCAGUACGCGCCGCCGCCGCCGCCGCAGCAGGCCCCGCCCCCGCCGCAGAUGUGGGGCCAGGCGCCCCCGCCGCCGCAUCAGGCACCGUACGGCCAGGCGCCUCCCCCGCCGCACCAGGCCGCGUACGGCCAGGCGCCUCCCCCGCCGCAGGCCGGCUACUACGGGGCGCCACCCGCGCCGGCCCCCGUGGCGGCCGCGGCCGCCGGGCCCAACGAGGUCAGGACGCUCUGGAUCGGGGACCUGCAGUACUGGAUGGACGAGAACUACAUCUACGGGUGCUUCGCGGCCACGGGGGAGGUACGCGCUUCUCGGUCCCUGCGUCGGAAAUCGGAAUCUGCCGCGUGCCGCCCGUGGCUUGCUUCGAUUCGUUUGAUUUGGAACCCUUGAUACUUGUUUUUCCAUACUCCUAUUGGGUGCAGGUGCCAAUAGCUUUGCCUAUCGUUGUAGGAUUAUUAGAGUCUGAUGCAAUAUGAGAGGGAUUGUGAAUUCAGAUUUCAUGCUAUAUAACUGUGAAUUCUUAGGGUUUGAGUAUGAUGUUAUUGGUGUUUAUUGCGGAUUUGGAAUUUCUGCCCAUGUAUGUAUCUGACUGAUGGUAUAUGGCACUAACCGCGUGUAGCAUAAAAAAAAUCUGAAUUCACAGAAAUUGAAGAGAACUGUUUCCGUAGAAGCAUUGAUGCUUGUUUCCAUGGUUAGUUAAAACGAAACUGUACCGGUGCUGUGAUCAUCAUGUUUGCAAUUUUGCAUUGCAUUACUAUUUUAAUGGGAUGGUUGAUUGAUUCAAGAAUGUUUGUGUUACCACCAUACAAAGUGAUUAUCGGCUUAUUGUUGUAUUUUUCACACCGUUAUUUGGCUUCUGUCCAUAGGAGUAUGCUGAUCUUCUGUUUGUCUUGAAUUUAUAGGUACAAUCUGUGAAGCUUAUCCGUGACAAGCAUACUGGACAGCUUCAGGGCUAUGGUUUUGUUGAAUUCAUGACCCGUGCCACCGCUGAAAAAGUUCUUCAGACUUACAAUGGGACAAUGAUGCCCAAUGUUGAGUUGCCAUUCCGAUUGAAUUGGGCCAGUGCUGGUGAAAAACGUGAUGACUCCCCUGAUUACACAAUUUUUGUUGGUGACUUGGCUGCUGAUGUUACGGAUUACAUAUUACAAGAGACAUUCAGGGUGCAUUAUCCUUCGGUCAAGGGUGCAAAGGUUGUCACGGACAAACUAACUAUGCGUCCAAAGGGUUAUGGCUUUGUGAAAUUCGGUGAUCCUAAUGAGCAAGCUCGUGCAAUGACUGAAAUGAAUGGGAUGCUCUGUUCUUCAAGACCCAUGCGUAUUGGACCAGCUGCUAAUAAGAAAGCCACAGGAGUUCAAGAAAAAGGUAAGGAAUAAUACUAGUUGAAUUUAUCUUGUUGUAGCUGCAUUUUAUAUUUGCAUUGCACUUGCAUAAUCACAUUUGACCUAUAGCUUAUUUCAUGUAUCGAUUUUAUUACUGUGCUGUGUUUGCGGUUACUUGCUAUACUUCAAUUUCUGUGGUUGUUCCAAAUGUAUUGAAGCUUGGCUGCAGUCCUUGAACAAGUCAAUAGCUCCACAGCAUUUCGUUCCUGAAUUCGGAUCAUUUGAUACAUUAGGAUUCUGAUGAAAUACUCAUGAAACUCCUAUUGUCUGGAAGCAGGAUGCCACGAGGCUCUUCAUAUAGGAGCCUUGGAACUGACUUGAACUGCAAUGCAUGUCUUGUGUAAUGCGUGGCCUCUGUUAGGUCAGUGUUAAUCGUUUAUGUCCUAAAUUUGAUCUCGGUUCCUUCGAUAUCUACUUUAUGUCUUAGUUUUUUCCCUUCCUGCCACAGUCCAGUACUCCAGUUAUUUCUUUCUUUCUUUUACGAAAUCUGUUAUCUGUUACUCAAUUAAGAACGUUUGCUUUUUAUUUCCUUCCUGCCACAAUCCAUUUAAUUCCUUCUGUUCUUUUAUUAAAGCUAUUACUUAAGUACCGUACUACCCAAAUGUUCUAAGUUGAGAUGCUUCUGUAUAGUACUUAAGCGGAUGGGGAGCCUGCACUUACUUUCAUAUAUGGGUUCACGUUUUCUACAUUUUCCUUUCCGUAACAUUUUUCCGGCAUAUCCAUAAACAUCUUUUAGGGGAAGAUUUCACAUUGAACCCUUUGGUAAACUUCCAUUUGACGUUACCUUAUCAUUUCUUUUCAUAGAUCCAAUUUACUUCUAUGACUUCUCAGUAUCAAUAUCAUUAUCAUGUGUUCAACAAAUGUACCAUUUUUCAUGCUAUGCCUAUCCAUUGGCAAUGCUUCUUUGCAGAAGCUUUCAGGUUACUUUUGAAGGAAGGAGCUUUGAUGUGAGAUGUCAAUAGGUUAAACCUUUUCACAAUAUGUGUAGUUCCUGGACAUCCUAAGUAGUCCCAGGUUCCUUCUAAAUAAGCAUGCUGAGGCCCCAUCUGCUAGCUUCUGUUACAAAGUAGCUCAAGGGAGAUUCUAGAGUUCAGUAUGUACAAGUCCAGUGUGCACAUAUGAAUAGGAAAAAGAAAAGUUCUAGAAAACACUAAAAGCGCUGACAUUUUGUUUGCUAACCUUUAUUGCCUUACAUUCCUUUUGUCGUUUUUGUUAGCUCGUUGAUAGUAGUGAUUUUAUUGGUUUGUAAUCCUGAGAUUUGGGGGGUCACAUUCUGCAUGUGGAAGUCAGUUGCCUUAAUGACAGCCAUGUCAACUGGAACAAAUCAUGAUGAUUUGCUUGUUUGAAACAAUCCCAAUAUGUGCCUGUGGAUGUAUUUUGAAUCUUCCAAGAUGAUGAGUUUGGAUGAAAGUGGUUGCUUGCUGUGUCUACUAUCAACUUUUGUGAAAUAAAACUGUUACACUCUUAGACUUCUGAUUUCAGGCACACUGGAUACAAGGCUAGUUGAAUGAGUUUAUGCUGUAACAACGUCUAGGAAUGGAUUUUUUAUACAAAAUGCAUUUGCGCAUUAAUCGCUAGAAUUGACCUUUUAGCUAUAGAAGAAGUCUCAUAAUGCAAUGCAUUAUCUGAUAUUAUUCUUAGAAUUUGAGAUUGGAAAGUGAUAACCUAUAAUUGAUAAACCUUUUCCCCCAAAAUUUGACUUCUUUUACAGCGUUAAACUUAUUUGAUCAUCUUGUGAUUCUUUUGUGCUUGUUAUGUGGUUUAUAUCCUGUGAGCUAGUUAUUGUGAAUCUUAUUGUCUGAAACAUGCUCUUUUGCAGUUUUGCUAGUGCAAUAUGACAUGGAAUAUCUGCAUAUGAAUUUCUUAACUAAACAACAUCUGACAACUAUUGAAGCUCAUACUGUACAUGAUAAUCAUCCACAUCCACAAUUUAUUUUGUCAAUGUUUAGUAUGUCUUACUUUCUGUUUUAUCUGUGUUUUAUUUACAGUACCAAGCGCCCAGGGAGUUCAGUCUGACAGUGAUCCUAACAAUACCACUGUGCGUUCUUUGUGCUUCUUUCAUGUGUGCAAGUAAUUUUUUAACUAGCUGCUAAUAACCUAUCGCUGUUGUUGAGCACAGAUUUUUGUUGGUGGCCUUGACCCCAAUGUCACUGAAGAUGUGUUGAAACAAGUUUUCGCCCCUUAUGGGGAAGUGGUCCAUGUCAAGAUCCCUGUUGGCAAAAGAUGUGGUUUUGUUCAAUAUGCUAACAGGUUGACUGAAUUUAUGCUCUAUUUCUUCAGGUUUGUCAAUAUCCGCUUGAUUUUGUAUGUUGAAGUAAUCAGUUAUGUUGCUGUGCAUCCAGAUCUUCUGCCGAGGAGGCAUUGGUAAUUCUGCAAGGUACCUUGAUUGGAGGGCAGAAUGUGAGGCUCUCUUGGGGUCGCAGCCCUUCAAACAAACAAGUUCAGGUUGGCUAUCGCAUGUUAACUCUCCUUAUCCAUACCUAGUAAUUGAAGCUAAUCCGUUUGUGUUUCCAGCCUCAACAGGAUCCCAACCAGUGGGCUGCUGGGGCUAAUGCAGCAGGAUACUAUGGUUAUGGGCAAGGCUACGAGGCCUAUGGGUAUCCUCAAUCUCAGGACCCUAAUGCGUUUGGUUAUGGAGCUGGAGCAUAUGCUGGCUAUCCAAAUUACCAACAGCAACCAGUGGCGCAGCAGCCACAGCAGCAACAGGUGAGAUUUUUGUCACUUGUUGAUCUCAUCUGACAAAUACGAACUGGUAUCCCAUUUCCUUGUAUUCUGUUCACCACUCUUAGACACCACACCAGUUCUUUUAACUUAAGUAAUGCAAUCUCUCAUGCAACCCUUCAGAUUUGAAUAAAUUUGAUGGUACUUUAACAUUUUGCUAAUUGUAUCAGCCAUCACGUAAGGGAUGAUAUUUUUUGUAACGGAGAGACAUUAUAGUUACAUUCUCAGGUCCCUCUAUGUUUAGACAUUCUUCUUUUUGCUAAUAGAGAGGUUACUAUAGCUUGAAGUAACCAAUGUUGGACAUUGCUGAACAAAGCUUGAGUAGACAGUUAAACACUAUAUCAGUUGGAGAACCUGGAUUAAUUAAUUGAACUUUCACUUGCUUUGUAUUUUUUUCUUAAAUGCAUAAAGAUGUGCAACCCUUUAAAUGUUUGAUUGUGCUCUGUAGCUUCUCCUUAGGUGAAUGGACGAUAUCACCAUAUACAUGUUGACUUCUGUGUUUCUUUUUGAGACCUAAAUAAUUUGGAUCAUUGACCUUGCUCCUACUUGCUUCUUAUGCAUCUUUGACCUAUCUUCAUAGUUUUGAGGCAUGUUUGACCUUUUAAUUACACAAGAUCAUAGUUUGCGUGUUCUACAAAAAUCUGACAAAUCGUUGUUAUCCUGUGCAGUGAGAUCCAAUGGCUCUGCCUUACCAUUUCAGGUGCUGUGAUUGGUGCGAGGGGAUGUGCUGAGUUGUAAGAUAUAGAGCGUUUGAUGCAUGCCUUGGUUAAGGCCAUACGAACAUGAUUUGUAGCACUAGAGUUUUAGCACCUUGUAUGGUGCACUGCGGUUCUAUUCCAUGAUCGAGUAACUGGUAGGAAAAACAAUCUGUUGCGUGUCGCCGUAUGUUUUACUAUCGUUAAUUUACCUUUGCUAGCUCUUGUCAUCGCAUUAUUACUGUACUGUAAUCAAGAUUCGCACGGAUGCUUCUGGUUUUUAUGUUUGUUGCCAACUGUUGCCUUUGUCAUGUUGUGUUCUUAGCUAACGAAACAUGCAGAUUCCAUUUUUCUUGGCGAGGGAAAUAAUCUGCGAAUAUUCUUUCUAUUGGGAAUUCCCAUCCGUGCUCUCGCCUCUGGAUGGCUCUUCUUUUUUUUUGCUGUAAUGUUACGCUGCGGGGACGGUCAAAAAUCACCACGCCAGUACGCCACACAGUCGAAGGCGCUGGGCCCCUUGCAAAAGUAAUUUAACUUUGUCGAUAGAUUGCGGGCCUCCUCUUCAUGGUUUUUUUUAAUAUUUUUUUACGAUUUUGCAGAAAUAAAUAGUGGAGAAAAAAAUUAGCAAAUAAAAGUUACCCGUUUCAGCCGGCGGUAUCCGGGCCACGAAUAAAAAAAUUGCCACGAACACACGGUGGGCAGCAUGCGGAAUUCUAGCGGCCGCAGACUUAUUGUCGGAUGAAAUGGAAAUUACUGCCGGAUGGAGUGGCAGUAACAGCCUUCCGCCCUUUCAAAUGGCGGUAGUGGUAACAGCCUUCCGCCGUUUCAAAUGGCGGGAGCGGGAAGAUCUCGCCGGAUCAGUCGGCGGUAGGCAACCCUACCCUUUAAAACGCGAAGAACGGCUGGGGCCAGGUCAGAGGAGCGCGCCGGUUCAUUUGGGGAGAAGAGAAGAGAAAGCGAGAGAGGAGAGGAGAGGAGGGUGCAGAUUGAAGUGAAGCUCUGCCGGAUCUGUGCUUCGCUUCAGGUAUUAUUUGAAAUCUUGCAGUUUAUGUUAACUCGUCGUUAGUAGAGUAGUAGUCGAUAUGAUUUAUAAAUGGUGUAGUGUUAAGUAUUAAAUCAAAUCUAGGUGCAUAUAUGAAAUAUAGACAAAUAUUAGUUUGUCGGUACAGUGGAUUUAGCUUAGUUAUUUUGGUUAAAGUAAAUUUAGUUUGUUGAUUUAUUUAGAUAACUUUAAGAUUAAUAUUAUUGGCAAUGCAUGAGUUAUAAUUUUAUAUAGUUAUUCAGAAUGUAGGUGUUUUUGGGGUUAGUUCAAAUUAAUAAUAUUUAGUAAUAAUGUCUGUUCAUGUCGUGUAUAAUUUUAUAUAGUUUUCCGGAAUGUAGGUGUGAUUAGGGUUAGUUAAAUUUAUUAAUAUUUGGUAAUGAUCUCUCUUGAUGUCGUGUAUAUUGACACGGUAAAGUAAAAUUAAUUUGUUGAUAUAUUUUGAUAACUUUAAGAUUAAUAUUAUUAGCCAUGCACAAGUUAUAAUUUUAUAUAAUUAUUGAGAAUGUAGGUGUUUUUUGGGUUAGUUGAAAUUAAUAACAUUUAGUAAUAAUGUCUGAGUUAUAUAGUUUUUCGGAAUGUAGGUGUGAUUAGGGUUGUUUAAAUUUAGUAAUAUUUAGUAAUGCUCUCUCUUGAUGUUGUGUUUAUUGAUAGAGUAAAGUAAAAUUAAUUUGUUGAUAUAUUUAGAUAACUCUAAAAUUAAUAUUAUUGGCAAUGCACGAGUUAUAAUUUUAUAUAGUUUUUAAAUGUAGGUGUUGUUGGAGUUAGUUAAAAUUAAUAACAUUUAGUAAUAAUAUUUGUUCAUGUCGAACAAUUUAUUUUUCCAAGUGUUCUAUGGUCCGGGGGAGGUUAGAUAUGGUUCGGAAGGGGUAGAUUUGUCUAAAUUUAAGUCGUUAAACAAGUACCAAGAGCAAGAGAGAGGACUUGAGCAUCAAUGCAAGUAGCUAUUUAAGACUUUCAAGCUUGAUAGAGAUCAAGUUGAGCUGUCUGUUAGGAUUGUAGUGAGGUUUCAAACUGAUAUAAUAUUUUGGAAGUUGAUGACGCUUGAAGGAACCCAGAACUGGAGAGCCUAUGUAAAUGUUGCUACUGAGCGCGGUUUACCGCUGAUAUUGUGUGUUGAAGUGUUCCAAAAAAUUGGAUCUAGCAGUCAGUUGCAAGAUGAAGUCGGUGGUGGGGAAGUUAGAGGCGAGGAAGGUUUGAAGAUUACCGAUGGGUAAACUGAAGAAGAUACUGAACAUGGAGUAGAAGAAGGAGAUGUAGAGGAUGAAGAGGCAUCCCGUGAGCCAAAUGACGAGGCUGAUGAGGGGAACACAUCCCUAGAUUAGUUGAGCAGGUAGAGAGGGAAGGAGAUGAGCACCUUUGUGCCAUGGAUGAUGACUCGUCGGAUGAGGAUAAUGCUAAUCCUGUCCCGCAGAACUGGUCAAGUUAUGACCAUUCGAACCUAGCAGUCAAUGAAGAGGAAGAUGUCCCUUGGAGUACAGGGAGAAUGAGGUUUGUGUCGGUGCUUUGUACCAUAGUGGGGAUGAGGUGAAGACAACUAUAAAGCGAUGGUCGACUUUAUCUUUGCAACGACAGUUCAGGAUGGUGAAGAGCAACUCAACAAUAUAUGAUGUGUGUUGUGUUAAAAGCAAUUGCUCAUUUAGUGUGCACGCAUACAAGGGCAAGUGGAAGGAUUACUGGGAGGUGACUAGAUUGGUGGAGCACGAAUACGUGCUGGAUGAAUUGGAAGCACAACACUGCAACCUCACUGCUAAUUUUGUUGCUCAAUACAUGUAUCCUCAGAUAGUCGAGAAUCCUAGCUAUAAGCCCAAGUCGAUUAUUUGUGCCAUAUAGGAGAAGUUCAAGUACAAAAUUAACUACAACAAGACUUACCGAGCCAAGUAGAAUGAGUUAGAUAUGAAGUGGGGUACAUACAAAACAUCAUAUGAUAACCUCACUGCUCUAUUGCACACCAUAUGCUAGAGGAAUAUAGGAAGCUACUACGACCUGAAAGUCUAUCCCUAUGCUCAGAAUAUAGGAAAAUAGGUUCUGCAGUGGUCAUUCUUGGCAUUGGGUCCUUGCAUUGAGGCUUUUCAGUGAUGUUUCCCAGUCAUUGAUUGAUGUGGCACCCUACCGGGAGUUGGCUCUUGACCACAACAAUGUUGACAGACCCACGAUGGGGUCCAUGUGGUGCUUGAGAAAAGUACGAUACUAAAUGUACAAUUACUUUGUGUACUCAUUCAUAUAUUGCAUGCAUUGAUAUUACAACUACUAGUCCUGAUUGUGAAAUAUUUUUUUAGGGAUCGUGGGUUGGAGUUCAGAUGAAGAAGUUGUACCCAGAAUUUGUCGGGCAGUUUGACGCUUUUGUCGACACCGAUGUCAGGUGGACACCUUACAUUAGGGGACACCCAGGCUCGUGCCCCGCAAGGUCUGUCUUCGUUGUGCAUACGAGACCGGGAGUACUGGAUGAUGAAGAAGCCACUGGUGUACGAUGUCCAUGUCGAGGAGUACACGGUACACCAUGUGAUGAGGCAGUUUCACCAGUACCAGGACACACCAAUUCCAGUGACUCACAUCGUCCCAGCUCACGUGCACAGGUAAGCCGCAUGUAGUCAUUGUUUGUCUAAUAAAGAUUUUGCGUUAGUGUAACACGUUGCACGAUGGAUAUGUCAGGUGGACACAUCAGGGUGGUGGGUCAGUGACGCAGUGGGGUCCAAAGUUGGUUUCAUUCGUCGAGCUGUGGGCGGACGCUUUUGAUGACUUAGUGUAGGAGGACCGCAUACACUCCGACGAGGCUUUCAUAGCGUACCUACAGUGGUACUUACCGAGGACACGGACACGCAUCAUGCACGUUCCCAGGCAGCCACCGACGGAGACUACACCACUGACACAGACAUACCCACAUUCCAGGGACCAGAACUUCGACAUUGCGGUAUGCUUCUCCAGCAUUUGCUACUCAUACUGCAUUGGGUUAUGUUGCACUUUGUACGGAUUAUUUUGUGCCUAACUUGAACUAUGUAAUUGUCAUCGGUAUGACGUUAUUGCAGCAGUUGAGGUGACGGCAUGGACCAGCGUGGAGAACUACAUAUACAUGAACCCGCACGAGCACGAGUUGAUGUACAGGAGGAUCACGGCCUUGUGUGCUAGGUUUCGGCGGGCCGUCAGCUGCCGUGGUGGUGACGACGACGUUCUACUUUCACCACGGGCUGCCUACCCCAAUUCGUCUUCAGCACCACCUACGAAGCACCCUGGUCAUCUUCUGCUACACCCACACGGCCAGCGUACCACGCGUCGUCUUCUGCAGCACAAGCACAUGCAGCCUCCCCUGGGGCGUGUACUCCUCCACGUGCACCGCCUUGGACAGCAGCUCGACCAAGUCCUUCCACUCAUGCUCCAGGUUCACAGUCUUUCACUCCCACAAGUAUGUGUUCCUUACUUUCUCAUGUUCCAUUCACCAAUUCUACUCUAAUUGGUUGUACUAACUUAUAAUUUCAUGACACAGUGCCGCAGCACUUCAGAGGACUUAGUGCAGGAGGACCAUCUUCACGUGGAUUCCGUGUGAACAACAUAGGUGCGUCGUCAAUACAUGCAUUCUAUUGCAUUACUAAUACAGAUCGAAAUUGACAAUAACACUUGGUUCGAUCACAGCGUACACAGGCCACGGAGGGACCGAAGAUGAGUUCGUAGAGGAUGAUAUGCAGAGGACGAGUAUAAACUAGGUGGAGUCCUUUUUCAUCUACAACGCUGAGGAGAUAGAUCCUUCACAGUUGGGUGAAGCGCUAGUGCCUCUGACACAGGGCUCCACCUAGGAGUUCGCAACACUAGUUGCAUACGCACCAGAACGUCCGGCUCAUGAGGUUCCCCCUUAGGAGCCCUUUAUGUACGACCAGCUGCAAACCAAAGCAGUGCAGCAGGCCACGGGACAUGGUGCUGGUGCUAUGCGUCACAAGCGAGGACGCAUUUAGUCCAUAGUACCUUCUUUAUCUUUUGUAGGCUGGUGCAGGCUAUGAUGUGUACAAUGCUGUAGACUAUAAUGUGUGGUCCUUUGCAGACUAUAAUAUGUAGGCCGGUGCAGAGACUUUAAUAGGUAGGCUGGUGCAGACUAUGAUGUCCAUGCAUAUUCUUUUCCUUUACCAUGAUGAACAUGGUCCAGGGACCAUGUCACUAGCGUUCUAUAUAACAGACGUUCAGGCAAUGUUCAAACGCAUUACUACCAUGGUUGAACCCGAAUGCAACACUUGUAGUGAGGUUGCUUAUCCCUCUAAGAAAUGUCGUCAUGGAGGGAUGACCAAAAUGGGAUUCCACUAUGGAAUGAGCACCCCAAAUGCCACUGCGGCUUCCGUGCAUCGUUGCAAGUAUGGGAGGAUCGAUUACCUCGGGGAAAGAAGGGGUGUAGGUACUUCAAGUGUCCCGACAUUGAUUAUGAUUUCAAGGUUCGUCUACUUAUAAAUAUUUUAAAUAUGUUUUCUAUGUACCGAUACCUAGAACUAAUCACGAAUCAACAUGCAGGCUUGCACAUUUAUGGAAUGGAUCGACACUAGGCUUUUAAGGGAGGUGGGCAUAAUCCUAGUGGAGUUGGAGACCAAAGGCCAAUACCAUGCUAGGCAUACAGAGGCUCGAGAAACGGCAUGUCUUGCUCGGCUUGAGCAAGAGCGACGCAUCUGCCAACAACAAAUCCGUUUGAAGGGCAAGGAGGAUGAAUUGCAGAGGCAGCGCGAGCAGUUAGGUGCUCGAGAGGCAGCACUGAAACGGCAGGAGGAAGAAUUCGAAGCUCGUCAGGCGCAACUUCUCCACGAAGAUGAGCGACAGAAGAACAUGAAGAAGCAGGAUGGAGAAUGUUCCUCCAAAAAAGUGAGGAUGGGGAAACUUUCCCGGUUCACCCAGUAGAACAUUAGUUGUGGUCCACCAAUUUACAUUACCUAAGGUAUUUUAUCCUAGGCAAUGUGCUCUUUAGGUUUGUCAUGUUGGAGGCCUCACAUGCCAUUGUACUGUUCUUUGUACUGUGAUAACAUUUCAUCUCGAUGCUUCAAGUACUUAGAUUCCACCCUAUUGCCAUUAUACUACUCUACUGCCAGUACAGUACUCAAAUAGUGCUAAUCCACUAUUGACGUGAACCGUCACAGAAAAGCCCACACAAUAGACUGCAAGGACCCUAAACAUGAGCCUUCUCAGGCAGAUGGGACUCCACACUGAGCCCUACAUCCCUGCACCUACAAAGCCUAUAUCUAAGCUUUUUUAGGAUGAUUGAACACGAUGGGGUACUAAACAAAUGGGGGCACAAUGCAUCUCCAUCUCAACACUCCUUAUAUGGACCUCCCUCUCCCGUAUCCUUCCACACCACUGAGUAGGAGGAAGAACAAUAGCAUCCGCAAAAGGGAGAGGUCGUGGGAGGAGGGGAAGAGGAGGGGAUGCUUUUAUUCUCACCAUCACUUUGCAGGUUCUUUUGGCUCAACGGAGUAUGAGGAACCCUCGACGACUUCCCUCUGUUUGAUAGGGCUAACUACGCCCCUCCAAACUGCCUUAGGCCUUAUGACGACUGCCAUGAUGCGUGACCAAUGUGUCAUCAUGGCGUGGCUUGCGUCGUGCAGCUGUUUGAUGGCGACGGUGAUGGAAGUUGGCAUUUAUUUCGAUGUUCGUAUGGCUUGGUGAGUCUUGUUAUUACUUCCUUACUCUUGCUAAGCUUUUCGUGCUACAAACUAACAUCACGUUCAGUCUUAUCUCGAUGAAUCGAUGAAGGAAAUUGCCGCUAUAUGAAGUGGGUCGAUCCUCCACUUCCUGAGCCAACCCAAGAAUACAUCCACUACCUCAAGUGCAAGAUCUUUGACCUCGAGCAUAGGGUGGAGGAUCUUCAAGCCGAAGUUAAAAUAAAUUCUUGGGCGGUUAACAUCGCAGGACCUGACUCGAUUUGUACUGAUCCAUGGUGGAAGUGCCCCUACCACCACAACAAGGAUCGCCCACUAUUACCACCUUCCUCUGGGGGUGCUAGAUACUAUGAGUCUGGACCAUCCCAGCUCUCGCAAAGCCAGUUCUACUAGAAAGUAGAGAUGGCUCUAUCCGUGACUAUUUCAAUUACCUAAGGCGUGUUAGGUUUAGCAACGGCACAUGUUUAGGAUAGCCAUCUGUGCCGCACAUGCCACUACAAUCAAUUGUUUAGUCUAGAGUCAUGGCUGUUUGUAUGUUCUGCACGAAUUUCAUUUUCAUGUGUUGUAAUUUCGCUGGAAACAACUAUGUAUUGUAGGUCGGGAGGUAAUUAAAUUUCCAAUAUUUUCUCGAAGCACUCUCUCUCUCUCUAAAAUUUGGAAUUUCAUAUUCAAACUAAUAGUAACAUAUUCGAAUAUUUAGUGCUUCCAAUCUAACUUUAUAUAUUUUUAUAACUGAGGAAAAAUGUCACAGAAUAAAAAAAAUUACACGAUGUUAUAGCCGUUUGAAAUGGCUAUAGGCGUCUCCAUCUCCAAUAACUACUGACAGCUAGCCUCCAAGCUGUCGGCAUUGGCGGGCGCAGCUGUUGGCAUUGGUGGCGUGGCUGGCAAAGAAGUGGGGUGGGCACUUACCGCCGUUUCAAACGGCUAUAGCCGUUUCAACAGGCGGUAAGCUCUAGGCCCCCUACCACGUCACGUGACACGUAAGCUACCGCCGGUUCAAACGGCGGUAACAAUUUUAAUUAUUUUUUGGGUUAGUUACCGCGGUUUGAAUUUCAUAUGAGUCUAGAUCUGCCAUUUUUUGAUCCGACAUUCAUUUUUGCAAAAUCGUAAAAAAAAUAAAUAUAAAAAUUAAAAAAUUCCCUCUUCAUUCAAUUCUGGUGGGUCUCUUUGCCCAAAUUUGCAUAGGCCCAAAUUGGCAUGGGCUGCAGGCUGCUAUUCUCGCGCGCGCGUUUGGGGAAUAUACGUUAUUGCUGUUGGGCCUUGAAUGGUACCAGCAGUAUGGACGAUUAGUGAAUAGUUCUUUUCCAUACGCUCCAAUUCUUUUUUAUAGUCCUAUUUGAAUUGUCAUCUUGAGUAUAACAUGGAUGAUGUAAACAUUGAUAUUAAGGAGUCCGCACGGAAAAUCGUUUCUAGUAAUGAGGAGCAGGUAAUGAUGUGAUUAAUUGAAUGAGGUCAUUGUACGAAGAUAAUGAUGUGAUUAAUUGAAUGAGGUCAUUGUACGAAGGUGAAAUACAUCUUUUCAUAUGUUGGAGAUGGUGUGGAGUCCGAUCGGACCGGAUGUGGGCUUAGAUAGUUGGCGAUAUGUAUUUCUAUAAAGAAUUUUGAGGUAGUCAAUAAUUCACAAAAUAAAAUAAAAAAAGCCAUACUAAUAUAACACAAAAUAUUCAUGGUUUAUUAAAGUUAGCAGCAGAAGCAAAUUUAAAAGAUGGUUCACAUAUUACAGAUAUACAGCUAAGAAACCUCGGAAACAUAACACGGUUCGUGCCAGAGGAAAAAAAAACCUCACAACUAUCACAUAAGUGACAAUAGCAAAUUUAACCCUUCAAACUUUGAAGAUUAAUAAUACAAUUUGCAUCACAAGUGAUCUGUCAUCACAAAAUUUCUUUUAGAAUAACUAUAUGGUACUUAUCAUCUUAUUAAUGUAAAGGAAAACACACCAGUACAUCGCACAACAUUAAUUGUUUGUUACAUAUAUAUCUGGUAUAGAACUCUACACAUAACAUUUAUUUUAUUGUUUGUUACAUAGAUAUUACCCACGUGUACGUAUUGAAUAUUCAAGAUAUAUAAAUCUUCUCGUAUAGCCAACUUAUAACAUAGUUUAGUAGUGGUUGUUCUCCCAAAAUUGAGCCUGGAGCCAAUCAAUUGUCCCCUUCUGCACCUGGAAUGCCUUGGCCAAAACAUCAUCUGAGAUUGGAGGCUUUGAUCCAAAGACCGCAUUAGCAAUGGUAAUGACACCAGGGUUCUGGCUGCUUAGCGCAGCAAUAGCAACGGCUGGCUUGUCGUGGAUGGGGUUGAAUUGGAAGUGGAUGAGCCCUUUGGGGAAUACAAACACAUCACCCUUAUUGAGCACCUUCGCGAACAAUUUGUUUGGGUUGGAGGUGACAAAACCGACGUACAGGGUCCCCUCAAGCACGGUGAGGAUCUCAGUGGCACGUGGGUGGGUGUGCGGUGGGUUCUCACCCAUGGGUGCAUAAUCGAUGCGGGCUAGAGAGAUGCCAAGGGUGUUGAGUCCAGCGAUUUGCAUGACAUUGAUCAAAGUAACAUUGGACCCCACCUUGCUCUUCAUGGUAUCCCUAGGUUUGUCAAGAUUGGCUGCCUUGAAGAAGUCAUCUGCACUCACAGCCAGGGGAUCCUUGCAAACGAACCCAUUCACCUUCACUGUAUGAAUCAUAGAAGCAACAUAGAUGCACAAAUAUAAGAAAUUAGGCUGUGCAUAUAAAUACAAUGCUUGUAGAUGUACUCAAUUCUAAUGGAUGAUUUCCGUCUGAUCAGUGCUUUAGUAUAAGAACAUCAUAUCAGAAGCUGAUAUAUAUUAAGUGCAUACGUACCAGGAGAGUGCAUGUCAGCAACACAGAAAUCCUGGAGCGGGCUAGGAUCAGAAGCAAUGGCCUGAGAGGUCACCAGUGCUAGAAAAGCUGCGACAAGGAAGUAAGAGGAGGCGGUCAUUUUGUUUGAAUUUAGCUUUCUGCUCCCUUCUGUGUGUAUUAUUGGUGCUCUAUGUAGUAGCAGCCUUAGCACAGGUGCUUGUGUUUGUUUUGUGAUGAUUUGGCCUUGUGGGGAGAUGGAUGUGCUUUUAUAGGCAUAUAGCCACAGCACGCGGCAGUGCGAACUUGUGAGCAACUGAACAAGUCAAGUUGCCGACCAACAGUAGAAAUGGUCUGUGGGUGCUAGAGAACCUGCUGACGAAAUUACACAGUUAUCUUAUAUGAACUUUUCAAAGCUAUCUCAACUUUUAAUCAUUUUUACUCUACUAACUAUUUGACGUGGUCUCUUUGCUCUAGCUUUAUUAAGCGUAUACAUGUUUUUUUUCUUUAUGCUGUGUUGCAUAUAUAGAUUAAGAUGAGUAUACCCUUCUCACAUCGAAAUAUCAAUUUUUGAAAUGUUAGUGAAUAUACACAAAUCAAUUGUUCACUAAUUGUUAUUUUGCCAAUUAAUCCUAGGUGGCAUCCGCCACCUAUAUCUGCUUACAAUUUUUGCUAGUCACGCACCACUUGACUUACUUUAUACAUUUUAUUUGCUUCUUGAUGUGUACUUUUCUAGUAGACGUGGAUGAAAUGGUCUCUGUAUCAACUUUUCAAAGCUAGCUUUCUUUUGCCAACAACUUUGCACUCUACAAUCUAAUCUGACGUGGUCUCUGAUGUGCGCGCAUUUUGGGACACUCUGAGCUCAACCUUUUGCAAACCUUUACAGGAGUUUGCCAUUAUCUCUCAUAGUCGGAUUAAAACCUUCUUAUCACUCUGAUUAGAGGCAUUCUUAGAUGGUGACAUCCCUAGCGCGUCUUCAUGCAUGCAUAUGUCACUGGUGGAAAACGCGGCAUUAGUCCCGGUUGGUAGAGGUCAAAGAUCCCAAAAUUCCAUCCGGGAUUAAAUUUUCGAGCUGAAAGGACUAAAGACCCCCUUUAGUGUGUAGGAAUAAUAAAACUAACCGGUUUCUAGGAAUUUCAGAAGAAAAAGCCUUUCAAGACUCAGAUGUUGGCUUUAAAUUUACGGGGCAGUGCAUUAGAAAAGGGAGACUUUCAGCUACUGCUAGUAACCGAGAAUAACCCGGGCAUAAACUUCAUUAUCUUGGUAAAGGGAUAUAAUCUCUUGUUAAUUUUUUUAUUACCUAAGUGUGUAUUAGUAAAAAUUUGCAUUUUCCCUAGCAAAUCAUUUAGCUUGAUGACAAAAAUUGUAAAAUAUAUCAAAAGAAUUCAAAUUUGUGAACCGGCAGACAUAGUUAUACCGUACAGGACAUGUAGCUAGGUGGAUUUUGAUGGUGGAGUAGACGUUGAAGAUAUUGAGGUGCAUGCACCAGUUCCUUGCUUCUUGGAAUGCAUCAUGCAUUGCCUUACAUUCAUCGAAGUAACCGCUUGUAUGUUUUUGUAUCCACACCUUGUUUAGUACAAGUAUAUGUUUUUGUAUCCACACCUUGUCAGUCAUAGCAAGCUAUUGAAAACUAAAAUUAAUAUUCCAUCACUAGGUUAAUCCCCACCAUAGCUUGCUCUUCAUGGUAACUUUCUCAAUGGCAAGAUGGGGGUGUCUGUGUGGUGAUUCUCAUCUAAGGUUUCAUAGUCAAAUGUGGACCAAAGAGAUGCUCUUCAGGGUGUUGAGGCCAUUGAUCUGCAUGACGGACCCCACCUGGCUCUUCGUGGCAUCCCUAGGCAUGUCGAGGUUGGCCGCUUUGAAGAAGUCGCUGCGGUCGCAGUCAUCGGGUCUUUGCACACAGAUGCAUUCACCUUCACUACAUGCAGCAGCAGUGUGAACUCGUGGAGUCGUGGGUAGCAGAUCAAGUCAAGUAGAUCGAUCCUAUCAAUGGAUUUGUUGUGAAACACAUAAUUAGUAAUCAACUAUUAUAGUUAUUUAAUUAAUUAGUUAAUUACUGGAUAACUACCAAGUGGGGAACUGCCACCCCAAGGGGUGCCCCUUCAUGAACAGUCAUCUCGAAGGGGUCACUUCCAGUCUGUUGGCAGAGUAUAAAUAUGUACAGACUUCCUCUAUCAAUACAACCAUUUCAUUCAAUCCAUUCCACUUUUCAUUCUUUAACAGGAUUGACAUGGUCUGCCUCCUCGUCCCUGAUGUUAAGCAAUCAAGUUACAACAAUAGAUUUGCACUAUACAAACUAAUCUAGAAGAUCAGGUUCUUGUCAGCAGGUUCACGGAAGUGGUGACCUCAGUGCUCACCUUAGUUACUAUGUUUAGUUCAAUCUUCCAAGACAACUAAUGGUGGGUACUUCAGGGAUCCAUAAAUGCUCAUACGUAUGUAAAGAAGAAGAGCUCAAAAUUUCAAGGGAAACCACAAGCGCAGAUUGAUUCAUUAUUCCAUUUGCCACUAAUCAACUAGUGAACAAUGUGAUAUUGUCUUUGAUAACAUGAUUUAGCAACUAGAAACUGAGGGCUAAAACAUAAAUACGCAUAUAAACCGAAGAUUUAACGUGUAAAAGAGCGGUUCUAGGACGUCGGGCACUAUUUUGCAAAAGAACGGGGGCUAAAAUAGAAGAAAAAGGAUCCAGAUCUAAUUACUUUUGAACUGCGCUGGACCUCGGGUGCAAAAAAAAUACAAAACCUAGGGACUCUUUAGCAAAAAGAACGGUGCGACGCGGGGUUUACCGGUAUUGAUCGAUCAGAUCUGAUCUGGGCCGUUGGAUCGUGAUCGGGCAGCUGCGGUCAUCUGGAACACGGGCGGCGGCGCGCAAGUGGCGGUGGAUGGCGGCGAUGUGGUGGCGGAACAGGGGAAAGUCAUUGGGAUCGACUCGAUCUCGAGCAUCCGGCCACGGUUCUCAACGGGAUCUAGCCCUGGACGAAGCGGAGCGCACGGCGAACACAUCGAGUGUGUUGUCGUGGUGGUUGGAGUGGCAAUGGCAUGAGGCGACGUGGCGGAGCGGCACGGCGCGGCGGCGCGUGUCUCCGGCGAGCUCGUCCGUGCAAAGGAAGACACAGGAGAGCACGAGGACUUCACAGACAGCCUCCUCGCCUCCUCGCGGUGCUCCAAGCGGUGUCCUUGGCGUCGGGAAGGCGGUGAUGGAGGGGAUCAAUGGCAGCAGGUGUGCGUGGUGCUCGGGCUCGGGCGACGACAAUGCUGGAGAACUCGAGGUGGCAGCUUAGGUUUGGUGAGGCCCAGGGGUGGCGGCGGUGGUCUUUUAUAGCCCGGGGGUUGGCCUAGGCAUGCGGGUCCAAGGCCGUGGCGGACGCACGCGCGGGGGCGGCACGAGCUUGGACUCGAGUCCGGCUCGGGCGUGGCGUGGAGACGGCGGGAGGAAGGGUAUGACAUGUGGGCCCAGGGCGUCAGCGGGAGAGCGGAGGAGCGGCACGGGAGCUGGGCCGAGGUGGAGGCGGGCCGCUGCUAGCGCUGCGCUGCUACUGGCGAGCUGGGUCGGAAAAAGGAAACGGGCCGAAAGGGAAAGAAGAAUAGGAGGGAAAAAUAAAAAGAUUUUCUAUUGUUUAAAAGAUUCAAACAAAUAAAUUCAAACACAAAUUUGAAUUCAAGCAACCGAAAACAAUGCACCAGCAUGAAUGCAACAAUGAACUCCUAUGAUUCAUUAAUUUAUUUUGAAAAAGAUUUAAUUGCCUAAGAAAAUUUAAAUACAACCUUAAAAUCCUUAGACACAUGCAAUUAAAUUCUAAUAAAUUUUAUUAAAAUGCAAGAGUUGAAAAUUAGGGUGUUACAUACAUGCAGCAGCAGUGUGAACUCGUGGAGUCGUGGGUAGCAGAUCAAGUCAAGUAGAUCGAUCCUAUCAAAGCAUUGACAUGGUCUGCCUCCUCGAACCUGAUGCUAAGCAAUCAAGGUUACAAUAAUAGAUUUGCACUGUACAAACUAAUCUAGAAGACCAGGUUCUUGUCAGCAGGUUCACGGAAGUGGUGACCUCAGUGCUCACCUUAGUUGCUAUGUUUAGUCAGUCAAUCUCCCAAGUCAACUAAUGGUGGGUACUUCAGGGAUCCAUAAAUCCUCAUACGUAUGUAAAGAAGAAGAGCUCAAAAUUUCAAGGGAAACCACAAGCGCAGACUGAUUCAUUAUUCCAUUUUCGACUAAUCAACUAGUGAACAAUGUGAUAUUGUUUUUGAUAACAUGAUUUAGCAACUAGAAAUCGAGAGCUAAAACAUAAAUACGCAUAUAAACUGAAGGUUUAACGCGUAAAAGAACGGAUCUAGUACGGCGGGCACUAUUUAUGCUACUGGUGUAAACUACAAAGAAAUCAAGUUGCCUAAGUCAAUAAAAAAUCCAACGUCAUGAAGGACUUUUCAAACAGACCUUAUAAUAUCUUUGCUUUGUACUGUCAUCAAUGACCGCGCGCUUUAGUCAUAGAAGGUCAAUUUCUCCAACAUUACUUGCACGACUUAAUCCAAGGCAUCAACACCAAGAUAGGGAGGGUCUAUAUAUCAGUACUAGAUCAGGUCUCACGUGAUAAACUUGGCUACCAGUUCGUUGUCAGCACACGCACCCUUGCAUGAUAAACUACUAAGGCUUCUAUAUAUCAAUACUAGAUCAGGUCUCACGUGAUCGAUUUGCCUAGCUAGACAACUUCUUGACUUUUUCAACCAUAACUUACUUGCUCCUUCUGAGGCAAUAAUAAGCAGCUGCAUAUCAAAAGUGCUGUUUAGUUGGGCCAUGUGUGUGUGUUGUAUGACUCCUGUGGUUAAUCGAUCAUGUUCAACAAAUUAAAAUAACUAAUCUAUAUAGUACCAAUAAAUAAACUAUUUCCUCAAAAACUAAGUAACUUUCAAGAGAAUGUUUAAAAUAGAUGAUAUGGACAUACAGUUGUUCAUCAAAUUAAACACAUUAGUAGUGCCUACAUAAUUUCACCAAAUCAACCACAGAGGAGCAUCUCCUUCAACUACUGUCAGUGCGGAAUCUGGCCGAUAAGUAAAUAUUAGUAGUUUUGCCGUGCGUUAGAUCGGAUAUGGCCUAGCACUCAAUGACACAAGAUUUAUACUAGUUCGGGCAACGGGCCCUACGUCCAGUUCGGGUCAGUCGGUUGACUGUAUUCCUAAGCUCAGGUGCUUGAAGUUUGCAGUGGGGUACAAAUGAGUGAGGAAUAAGAAGGGGGUGUUCGAGACCCGAUCGUGCUCUGGUCCGAGUGGAAGAGAGUGAUGGGGGCUCGAACAUGCGCUAUGUGUCGGAAGAAAGUCAGAGGGUUUCUUCUAUGCCCAGAUAUGGAGGGCCCGUCCCCUUUUAUAGUUCAAGGGGACAGCCUUACAAGUUAGAGAGAGAGAAAGAGAAGGUGCACGGAUGCUGCCUAGUCUUGUCGAUGCCCACGUCGUCGGGUACGGGAUGGCUAUCGUACUUCAUCCCUGUUCAUGCUCUGUUGUGAUGGGCAGGUAGCACAGUGUCUGCCUGACAUGGCACGACGAUACUAUGCGGUGCGUUCGCAAGGCGUGGUGGGGUACGGUCUUCUGUACGGUAGUUGAUCUGAGCGUUUUCCCUUAUCUGUUUCAACUACUUCUCGAGCCCAUUCCGAGCGGGCGUCCCAGAUCGGUUGUCCCAGUCGGGAGGAGCUGUGUGCGUCGGUCCGGUAUGUCCCCGGUCAGGGGAACUCGGUCGGAGUCGAACUGUGGUCCCGGCCCUAAUCAGGUCUUCUGGUUGGGGCACCGACCAGGCCUCUUGGUCGGAGGUGCCGGUCAGUGGCCAAAUCAAGGUCUUGGCCUAGUGUUGCAUAUCUAGGCCAGCCCAGGCGUGCAUUGUUGCUACGCCUCUUGUUGGGCUGAGCGUUGCGAGAAGGUAGGCCCAUUGGGGACCCCAGGUCUAUGGACCCGUCAGUAGCCCCCGAGCCCCUUUGGGGCCUUUUGAAGCCAUGAAGGGGCUGUUGGAUUUUGACCGGCAGAUUUCCUGCCCCGUCAGGAUGGACAUACGGGAGCGCCGUUCAGCUUCGUUUUGAGCCGCAUGUGAACACUAGCUCUAGAUUCCUGACGAUAUGGAUAAGCUUCACGCGGAUACUGUACCAUCGCCUCGUGCCCAGGUACCUUUAUUACAUCGCCUUGUGCCCAGGUACCUUUAUUGUGCAGUCACGGGUGCGUACUGUAAUGCUCCUGGAUGGUAGCUGGCGGCCCGGCUAUCAAUAGGGCUGCUUCUACAUCUGGAGUCCUCAUGGCUCAAGUUAUAGCGCUAGUUGGCUUGAGGCUUUUGCUCUUCGCUAGGGGUAGCUUCAGCUAUACUUCAUGAUGCCAAAAGAUUUCUCAUAAUCGGUGCCCAGGUGCUCCUUUCCUUCACAGUCUCUUUGGGCAUGUCCGGGGGCCACGAUGCUAGAAGAAUUGUUGUAAGGAGAGGGCAUCGUGCAUCCUGACCGGGUCCUUCCCGGAUGCUUGAUGAGAGGAUGAGGGCACCGCUGUAGAGUGAGGAGAGAACUUUGAGCACAGCUUUCUUGUAUUGCGUGUGCUCUUUUUUCUUCUUCCGCUCCGAUGGUUCUUGCUCCGAGGUGUAGAGCAGUCCUGGGGCCAUUCACGCAUGCUUUGCGUGAUAUUGUAAAAGCCUGGGACUUCUAUUUUCGCACGCUUUGAUUGAUAUUGUAAAAACCUAGGGCUUUUGUUUUUGCACGCUUUGCGUGAUAUUGUAAAAGCCUUUUUUAGCUCAAUGAAAGCUUUCAUCGUUAUAUGUUUCCUGUGCCUAUCGUGCCGUGGAGGCGGGUUAUCGUUGGGACUUUGGCAUUUUCCCCCUUUGUUUGCUGUGCUGCGUACAGGGGCGGAUCGUCGGGGGGGGGGGGGGGGGGGCUAGGGGGGCUGCAGCCCCCCAAGAGCCUGAUUUUACCUGUAAAAUACUAUAGAUAAAGUCUCAAAUCACCAUUAAUUUCUAGCUCUAGCCCUUAAUCUCUACUAUUUAGCCCCCCGAGGUGUUCAUCCUGGUUCUGCCCCUGGCUGCGUAGAGUAGCCAAGUAGGAUCAGGCGCCUAGCCCCAAGUAGGAUUAUAUGACUGAGGCCUGGACAAUGCACUUAGGCGCCCUGAUGACUCAAUUCCCUUGAAGUCUCCUCAGAAAGCUCUCCCAUCGUGGAGGCCCGGGGGCUCAUCGACUGGAUGUAUAUAGGGCGCAUAGCGGCUCUAAAUAAGUAUAAUUAAAUCAUGUGUCUUACAUAGGGCGCUCAGCGGUGGUGGUGGUGGCGGCAGCCGGUGGUGCAGUGUGUGGUGGCGGUGGUGGUGGCGGCGGCUGGUGGUGCAGUGUGUGGUGGCGGUGGUGGUGGCGGCGGCCGGUGGUGCAGUGUGUGGUGGCGGUGGUAGUGGCGGCGGUUUGUGGUGCAGUGUGUGGUGGCGGUGGUGGUGGCUGGAUUUUUUUAAUUCUUUUUGAAAAAUUAGUUGCCGAGUGUUUUUUGGCCACUCGGCGAAGUGUUUGCCGAGUGCCCGACACAAAACACUCGGCGAAUCAGCGUUUGCCGAUAGAUUUUUUGCCGUGUGUCAUAUGCCGAGUGUUACACUCGGCAAACGCUUUGCCGAGUGUUUUUCAGGCUUCGCCGAGUGCCCCUGGCACUCGGCAAAGUCCCGGUGUCCGGUAGUGCAAGUCCAGAGCCAUUAACACACUCCCAUACUAAGUUUGGACCCCAAACAGGACUCCUAGAGACUAUGUCUAGGGCCUCAACUCCCAGAGACCAAGUCUGGGCCUGGAAUAUGACUCCUAGAGUCCAAGACUGGGCCCGGAACAGGAUUCCCAAGGACUAUGUCGAUCCAGGCCCAUAAGUGUGGGCCCCGAUGAGCAGGAGUCACAGAGAUUAUAUGACUGAGGCCUAGACAAUGCACUUAGGCGCCCUGAUGACUCAAUUCCCUUGAAGUCUCCUCAGAAAGCUCUCCCAUCGUGGAGGCCCGGGGGCUCGUCGACUGGAUGUAUAUAGGGCGCAUAGCGGCCCUAAAUAAGUAUAAUUAAAUCAUGUGUCUUACAUAGGGUGCUCAGCGCCCUGGUGAAGGUCCAACAAAUGGCCAGAAAUAGUGGUUACAUAUUACCAGCGCAAUAGUGGUUACAUAGAUUUUUUUGAGUCAGAAAAUGAAUUCCUACACAAUAGUGGUCCAUCAAACGAUGGGGUUGACAACGAGCGGGUAGUGAUCCUGUUGGGGAAUGUGGGAAGGAUGGUCCCUCUGAUCAAAUGUGAUCGGGGAGUCCGACCAGCGAAGGAAAGAGGGGAUGGCCAACUCGGCGGCACAUACCUCUCGAUAGUGCACCUUGCGCUGGCGCUUGCUGUGGUCGGCAUCAGCCCCCCCGAAGAUCAUGAGGGAUCCCUCAGGGUCGGGGAAGCCGUCUCCAUCCUUGCCCGCAGCACCUCCCCUUCUGGCCGUGUCCUCCUUGCCUUUCCCCUCCUUGGGUUUGGCGGCUUGCUGCAGGAAGUGCUUGAGGAGCUCGUAGUCCUUGUAGAGGUGCUUGACGGGGUAGGCGUGGUUGGUGCACGGGCUCUCCAUGAGCUUGUCGAAGUGGUCGGGCUGACCCUGUUGGGGCUACUUGCCUAGGCGCUCGGUCGCGGCGACCAGGGUUGGGUUAAUCAGGCGUCGCCAGUCCUUCUUGUUCUUCUUGCCCUUCUGUGCGGAGGGGCCCUCAUCCUGGACCUCACGCUUGGCCUUGCCCUUGUCCCGUCCGCCGCUGAAGACCAUCCCGACUACCUCCUCGCCGGAGGUGUGGUUCGUGGUGAUGUCGAGCAGGUUGCGGGUGGUUCGGGGCUUCACGCAGCCAAGCUUGUGGACCAAGGACUUGCAGGUCAUCCCGGAUAGGAAUGCGCUGACGAUGUUUGUGUCGACGACAUCAGGAAGGGAGUUGCACUGCCUAGAAAACCUGCAAAUGUAAUCCCACAGGGACUCGUUGGGCUCCUGCUUGCAACUCUUGAGGUCCUAGGAGUUCCUGGGAUGGACGUACGUCCCCUGGAAGUUCCCGACGAAGACCUUCUUAAGGUCUGCCCAGUCGUGGAUGCUGUUGGGUAGAAGAAAUUCGAGCCAUGCCCGAACAAACUCUCCUACGCAGAUGGGGAGGUACUGGAUAAUGAAGUAGUCAUCAUCCGCUCCGCCGGCUCGGCAGGUGAGCCGAAAGUCUUCGAGCCAUACACCAGGGUUCAUCUCCCAAGUGUACUUGGCGAUGUUGGUGGGCAGUCGGAAGCGCUGUGGGAAUGGCACUUUCUGGAUGCGGCGACCAAAGGCCCCAGGUCCCGGGCUGUCCGAGCUGGGGCUCCGGUCGCUGUACCGGUCGCUCGGUUGGCCGCCACACCUAGGGUGCACCUCCUCGACCGGUCGGCAAGGUGGAAGCAGAAGAAGAAGAAAACAAAGAAGAAGAAGAAACUUUGCUAUUUUAAAGCAGAUUCAAACAAAAUGAAUUCAAAUAUGAAAUUUGAACUCAGCAACCAAAAUCAAUGCAACAGCAUGGAUGCAACAAUGCAAACCUAAGAUUCAUUAAUUAAAUUUCAGAAAAACAUUUAAAUGCCUAAGAAAUUGAAUAAAACCUUAGAAAAGCCUUAAAUCCUUAAACAAGCUCAAACAAUUUCUAGAAAAUUCUAAUAAAUUUUUAUUCAGUUGCAAAAUUGAAAAUUUAGGGUGUUACAAGUCUUGUAUGUACAAAAAAUGUAAACAGGACAAAAAACAUGAGCAUAAUGGUGUGAAACUACCAGUUAUGCAUGAUCACAUAAAUUGUAUUAAACUAGUUUUACCAACAUUUACUUGGUUGCCAUUGUGUUGGAGUGGUUACUUGCAAGUUAAACAAGUAAUAUAAGUCCUGCAUCAAUACCAGAUCAAAAACUACGUGGUCUGUCUAGUCACCUUCUUGACUUUGUUCGUAUCACACAUACCCUCUUACGUGCUCCUCAGGCAAGACGCAAGCAGCUGCACAGAUGAGAAAUGGUAUUUAGUUAGGUGAAGCAUGUGGCUGCGUGCCACUGUGGUGUAUGUUUCUUGUGCCUAUCGCGCCGUGGAGGCGGGUUGUCGUUGGGACUUUGGUGUUUUCCCCCUUUGUUUGCUGUGUUGCGUAGAGUAGUCAAGUAGGAUCAGGCGCCUAGCCCCAAGUAGGAUUAUAUGACUGAGGCCUGGACAAUGCACUUAGGCGCCCUGAUGACUCAAUUCCCUUGAAGUCUCCUCAGAAAGCUCUCCCAUCGUGGAGGCCCGGGGGCUCGUCGACUGGAUGUAUAUAGGGCGCAUAGCGGCCCUAAAUAAGUAUAAUUAAAUCAUGUGUCUUACAUAGGGCGCCUAGCGCCCUGGUGAAGGCCCAUCAAAUGGCCAGAAAUAGUGGUUACAUAUUACCAGCGCAAUAGUGGUUACAUAGAUUUUUUUGAGUCAGAAAAUGAAUUCCUACACAAUAGUGGUUACAUAUUACCAGCGCAUUAAAAUGGCUAAUGUAGCAUUAAAAUUUGUGAAGAUAUAAAGACAUAAUCACACAUAUGGUAAAAGAUAAUGGCUAAUUGGUGGAUCGAUCGCAAAGGAAAUUGAGGCGCACCAUUCAAGCCAUGCGUGGACUCAUAUGUACGGAAGAGUUGACAGUGCCGAUAAUGACAUUAACAUUACACUGCACCUAACCCAAAGUAACAAACAUUCAAACACAUUAGUCACUAAACACAUAUAAUAUUAGUGCUCCCAAGUUGUCUCUCAUGCUUAAUUCGGUCUUACGCAUCGGAUGAUGCAAUUGGUCACCAACAGCAGGAAACCCACAGCAGCGUUAACUACUAUACCAUUAUUUCCUCACGGUCAUGAACUUCGAAGUGUAUGUGCCUGACGACAAGGGGAUGCUGGCCAGCGAUCAUGCGCUGUUCUUGAGCCCAGAGUUGUUGUCGUUCGUGGUGUGCCGGUCCCAGAUGGUCGGUUGCAAGAGCAACUACUACAUCUAUUCGUUGGUUGUUCACGCAUCGACGACGCCCAGAGAAGCUAGGGUGUGUACUGCAUGGAGGAAGGCCAGGGAGAUUCUACUUGACCAGGGCCUCAGACCUUUAGUGGGCCUGGAAAACGCUGCGCGGCACAUAUGCUUUGCUAUCCCUAGAGCUAGGGCAUGUACAAUAACUUGUUUCAUUCAAAAGUCAAAAGUUGCAGGUUCAUUAUAAACUCACAUGCUACAACAUUUAUUUUCAUAGAUAAAACCGGGUCCAUAAGUUAAUUUUAUAUAAGCUUCCCGUACAUGAAUAUAUGUAUCCCAAACAGGACAGUACAUCUCGUAGGCACACAGCAACAGUAGCAGUAUAUAAAUACUGCCAUUUAUUUUACAUAGUACUAUCAGAUUGUAGAAACUAGAAACAAGUAGUUGUUUGCAAAAUGCAUGUCAACCAAACUUUCCAUACAAAGAAACCCGUGCUUGAUUUAGUUUAGUAGUGGUUGUUCUCCCAGAACUGAGCCUGGAGCCAAUCAAUUGUCCCCUUUUCCACCUGGAAUGCCUUGGCCAACACAUCAUCCGAGAUUGGUGGCUUUGAUCCAAAGACCGCAUUAGCAAUGGUAAUAGCCCCAGGGUUUUGGCUGCUGAGCGCAGCGAGUGCAACCGCUGGCUUGUCGUGGAUGGGGUUGAAUUGGAAGUGGAUGAGCCCUUCGGGGAAUACAAACACAUCACCCUUGUUGAGGACCUUGGCAAACAAUGUGUUGUUUGGGUUGGAGGUGACAAACCCAACAUAGAGGGUCCCCUCAAGCACUGUUAGGAUCUCAGUGGCACGUGGGUGGGUGUGUGGUGGAUUCUCACCUAGGGGUGCAUAGUCAAUGCGAGCUAGAGAGAUGCCUAGAGUGUUGAGACCAGGGAGCUGCAAGGCACUGAUCAAUGUGACAUUAGAUCCCACCUUGCUAUGCGCGGUGUUCCUAGGCUCGUCAAGUUUAGCUGCCUUGAAGAAGUCAUCUGCAUUCACGGCCAUGGGGUCCUUGCAAGCAAACCCAUUCACCUUCACUGUACGCAUAGAAGAAGCCAAAUAGAUACACAUAGAUCAGAAACUAGGUAGCGCAGAAGAUUAGAAGUUCACUGUAUGCAAAGAACGAAGAAGGAAAAUAGAAACAGGAAGAUGUGCACUCUGACAGAAGAGCACUUGUUUUGAUUCGUGUUUACUACAUUAACAUCAAAACAUGCAUUAAACUAAGCCAGUGUUCAUGCAUAUACCAGGAGAGUGCUUGUCAGCUACACAGAAGUCCUGGAGUGGGCUAGGAUCGGAAGCAUUAGCCUGGCAAGCGACCAAUGCUAGAAAAACAGCAAGAAGGAAGUAGGAGGAGGGGGCCAUUUUUAUUUCUCCUCGUGCUUCUUUGUCGGUGCUUUUCGCAGUAGGCUAACCAGCUGCUUGUGUUUGUUUUCUUGAUGCUUUGGUGAGGAAGAAGGGGGAUGGAUGUGUUUAUAUAGCCACAGCACGGUAGCUAGCAUCGUGAACGUCUGAACAACUGAGUAAGUCACACGUUGAACCGGCCAACAGAAGAACUGGUCUCUGGUUGCUAGAACCUGCUGAUGGAACAGCACAGCUACAUCAACCUUUGAAAGCUAUAUCGCUUUCGAUAUUUUGACACGCUACUACCAAAUCUGAUCAGGUCUCUUUGCUCCUGGCCAAAUAUAGAAAAAGUAUACCCGUUCCUUUCUGUGUUGAAUGGCAUAAAUAAGAUGGUUACCCUGAGUGGCACACAUUUCAAUUUGAUCAAUCUCGGACAUCAAAAUUCUAGGGAGCUAAGGAACAAACAGAAAACAAAGGGAGAUGUGGUCGAUCUCGGUCGGAGGUUGGGGCCACCCGUCAGCGGUGGAGCGGAGGCAUGUGUGGGAGCGGGCUGGUGUUGACGGCAGUGAGCACGCCAAAUUGUGAACCGCAAGCGCACGGAUCAGUUAUAUCUUCUCCCUCAGACAUUCCCUCAAGGUUUAUCAAUCCACGAAACAAGGGAUUUGAACGCCUAACUAUACACUAAUUGAUGUAACCGAAAGGUCUUUAUAUAGGAUAUGAUUAUGCUAUCAAAAGAACUAAGCAAUCUAGAUUAAGAUGGAUAGAGAGUAAAGGUUGUGGACAAGAUAGAUUAAACGCUUGUCCUAGGGAUCUAGGAUCACUUGUAGAUGCAAUCGCCAUGAAUGAGCGAAUUAGAUCUAGGUGUUAUCGUGAGUGGUUGUGAACCAUGUCCAACACUUCCCCACCCGCAAUAAUAUUAUUGCACAGGGAUACUCAACUAUCGGAACAUAAGAACACCUCAAGAUGAUUAUUCUAGGUAAGCAAAUAAGCAACCCAAAGUAGUAUUGGCCAACCUUUACAUGAAAGAGUAUCAUCAAGAUAUGAUUGAUAACAAAACAAUGUCGGUGAAAAAACCCUAGAGAUCAUCGUAUACUAAACACUGAAGAAAUGGGAGGCCGACCGGACCAUGGAAUGGGCCAGGCUGAUCGGCCUGGGCCCUUCCUAGCCCUUAUAGUCCUCUCCUUCCUUGUGCUGUCUUCCCUCGAUGACGCAUGUCCAAAUAUCCAUUAAUAUCCUUAUAUAAACCCCCUUGAUUAUGUCGUAUUUCCUGCCAAAAUACAAUAUGCUCCAAAACACAACACAUGCAAUAAUAUGGUUAUUUGAGGUACCAAGUAGCGGGUUAGUAUAAGAAUAAGCAUGAAAACCCUAGUUCAAUAGCACUAAAAGUGUGUCAAUAAUGAGCGUCAACAGCUGGCGCGGAAGAAAAUGGUCCGAGGCAAGCUGGGCCAGCGGCCGGCAAGCUGGGCCAACAGAGGUGAGGCCAACGGCCUGCUGCUGCAGCAGCUGAAAGAGGGCCCAGGCCGAAGGAAGAUGAAGGCCAGGUGGAAGAAGAACAAGAAAACAAAGGAAAAGAAGAAACUUUGCUAUUUUCAAACAGAUUCCAACAAAAUGAAUUCAAAUAUGAAAUUUGAACUCAGCAACCCAGCAACGAAAAUCAAUGCAUUAGCAUGAAUGCAACAAUGCAAACCUAAGAUUCAUUAAUUAAAUUUCAGGGAAACAUUUUAAUGCCUAAGAAAUUGAAUAAAAUCUUAGAAAAGCCUUAAAUACUUAAACAAGCUCAAACAAAUUCAAGAAAAUUGUAAUAAAUUUUUAUUCAGUUGCAAAAUUAAAAAUUUAGGGUGUUACAAAUCUUGUAUGUACGGAAAAUGUAAACAAUACAAAAAACAUCAGUAUAAUGGUGUGAAACCACCAGUUAUGCAUGAUCUCAUAAAUUGUAUUAAACUAGUUUUACCAACAUUUACUUGGUCGCCAUUGUGUUGGAGUGGUUACUUGCAAGUUAAACAAGUAAUAUAAGUCCUCCAUCAAUACCAGAUCAAAAACUACGUGGUCUGCCUGGUCACCUUCUUGACUUUGUUCGUAUCACACAUACCCUCCGCUCCUCAGGCAAGAAGCAAGCAGCUGCACAGAUGAGAAAUGGUAUUUAGUUAGGCCAAGCAUGUGGCUGCGUGCCACUGUGGUGUAUGUAAAACGAUACACGUCAUGCAUGAUACACUCAACUAACAAAUUUGACGUCUUCUCUUUGCACUUAUCAAAAGAAAAGUAUGGCUUUCUUUUCUUUUUGCUAUUGGGAUGCAGGGUCCAAGAUGGUUACCUUUUGCAAAAAUAAAUUUUAAAUUAGGGAAUAGAGUAAAUUAGGGAGUUUCCCAGUAAUUAACAAAGUGCUCAAGAUUCUCAUGAAAAAUUUUAGAUCUAGUAAACGAUGCCUUGUGUCUAGUGCCUAGAAGAACUUCGAGUCCACAAUUUUUGGUUGAAUCUUGAAAUAGUAUUCCAAACGCCUUUUGGUUGCAUUGAGGGGUAUUCUACCAGAGAAUGUAUGAUUGACUCUCGUAAAGCUAUGCACGUUUCUCAAUGCAAUUUUGCAUAAGACAAUUGAUCCAACCAAGAUACUAAAGCUGCAGAAUGAUGUGGUACAAUAUCUUGUCAACUUUGAGUUGGUAUUUCCACCAUCCUUCUUCAAAAUUAUGACGCACCUCCCGGUUCACAUAGUUAAAAAGAUUACUAUUCUCGGUCUAGUAUUCCUGCACAAUAUGUGGUAUUUCGAGAGGUUCAUGUCAGUCUAAAAAACUAUGUUCUUAAUCAUGCCCGUCCAAAAUGAAGCAUCACCAACGGAUAUGGAAUAAAGAAGGUCAUUGAGUUUUAUGUUCAUUUUAUUGACUCAAUUAAUUUGAUUGGGGUUCUAGUAUCACGUCGCAAGGGGAGGCUACAGGGGAAGGGCACCCUUGGAAGAAAAUCAAGUUUGAACACUGAUAGUAAUUUGUUUCAAAAAGCACACUUCAUGAUUCUGCAACAAUCAACCUUGAGGGCCCCGUAUAUCCAGGAACAAGAUUCUAUUUUUCCCAUACCCGAUGAAAUCCGAUGCCUGGAUUAUACAUCAUCACAUGAUUACUUUUCUCUCUUGGUUGCGUCAACACCUUAUGGGUAACUCCAUGAUUCAUGAACAACUUGCUUGGUUAGCUAGGGGAUCUUCUAGCACAAUUGUGAAAUUCCAGGGUUACGAGAUAAAUGGCUAUAUAUUUUACACAAGAGCUCAAGACCAAAAAAGCACCAACUAAAAUAGUGGUGUCCGUAUAGAUGUCAUAGAUAGCAACGAGAGCAAGGACUUGUAUUAUGAUUUCAUAGAGGAGAUCUGGGAACUCGACAACUGACUGCUGAACAUCCCUCUAUUUCGUUGCCAAUGGGUAAAGCUGACUGGAGGUGGUGUACCGAAAGAUCAAUAUGGAAUGAUAAUAGUGGACCUGAGCAAGACUAGAUACAAAGAUGAACUAUUCGUCCUUGCUAAUGAUGUGCAUAAGGUUUUCUAUGCGAAGGACAUAUCUAGCAACCCAAAGUGCCACAUAGUUCUUCCAGGUAAAAGAGUAACCGUGGGAGUCAAGGACAAAACAGACCAGUCAGAUGAUUUUGAUAAGCUUGAUGGCAUGCCUCCAUUCGUUAUCGAAGUUGACCCAAGCAUCAUGAUAGCAAAAUAAGAGGCUCUGUACUUACGCCAUGAUCAUGACCAAGGAACUUUGGUCAAGAAGAAGCUUUUUAACGUUACAUUGUAAUGAUCUAUGGUCAACCUUUAUGUAAUGCCCUCUGGUCAUAUGUCAGAACCUUUCUGCUAUAUUUUAGUGAUAUUAAAAACUUAUUUAUGCAAUACACUAGAUAUGAUCAUCGAGUUUGUUGGUCAUCACAUUAUUAUUUGAUUAAAUUAUUAUGAGGUUGUGCGGGAAAUGUAAAGGGGAGGAAAUUGGGACUUCCAUCAAGAGCAAGUUCAAAAUUAUUAUGAGGUUCAAUACAAUUGAAUACACUUUAUCAUGAUCAAAUUAUUUAUUAUAAGAGUUUUUUAUCAAUAAAGUGUAGAAAAUUAUUUGAUAAUUUAAUAUAUUUUUGCAUGUUCAAAAUAUUGAAUAUUACCAUUUUUCUUGGAUGAUAGAAGUACAAAAUCAAUUUAGAAACAUAUGAAGAAAUCAACUUAAUUUAAUCGAACUGUUGGUAUAGCAUGGGAAGUGAAAAGGGAGAAUAUCGUUUAGUCUCAGUUGGUAGUAACGACAGAGACUUACUACCAACCGAGACUAAAGGGGGGCAUUUUUAUCUCCCGCGCGCCAGCCACCCUUUAGUCCCGGGUGGUAAUACCACCCGGGACUAAAGGGGGAUAUAAAUAUUUCAACCCCUUCUCCUUCCUCGGGACUUAGCCGUUUUCAUCGCCUGCCGCGUCCUUUCGUCAUCCUCGUCGUCUCCGAAGCUGCCGCAUCGUCGCCGUUAUCUCCACGGGCAUCCACGUUGAUGUCAUCGUCGCUCCACGGCCGCCGCAUUGCCACCAUAAUCUCUGUGCUCUGGCUCCCCGUUGUGACCCCCCUCCCCACCCCCCACGGAGCGCCGCUUCAGGUGGCCCGGCCCGACACCGCACGCCGCCAUGCCACCGACCUCGAUCUCCUUCGCCUCCGCGCCCUGCAGCUCCCCGGCGGCACCCUCCUCCUCCCCCAACAUCGCCCUCCUGGCUUGGCGCUAUGCACCCAGCUGCACCGCCACCGCCGACCGCCCCUUCUCCUCCGGCCAGCCCCCUCUGCGAUGCUCGUGUGGCCCUGACGUUGCCCCUCCUGCACCGCGAUCCACUGCGGCCCCCUGUGCCGCCGUCCUGAUGCCCCGACCUACCCCCGCUACCCGUCAGCCGGUAAGUACGGUGCCAAUCGGGUGGUGACGCAAGCCAAGAAGGAGUACCAUCAUCAUCUAGGGCAAGAUGGAACAAGACCUACUUGAUCAAGGUAUCGUAUCAACGACUAUUAACUAGCCUAAUCGAUCAAAGAAUUGGUAUUACGCUCCUGGAGCCACCCUUAGCCCUGAGGAUGGGACUUGUUUUCAACAAAACAAUAUGUGAGAAGGGCCUUAGGCUUAUCAAAAACUUUGAAGAUUCUAAAGUGAGAAAGUUCAAGCCUGAUAGAGAGAAUGAUGAGCUGACUUUGGCGCUCGGGAAUCCCAAACAUCCAGGACAUUGCCGAGGCUUCGGUGUGGUUCCGUGGAAGUAUGCUUUGCAUAGGGACAUUGACACGUACAGAAGCCAGAAGAGAAAAAAGGAACACCAAGAGGAGAGGUGGCUGUGCAUAUUAGAAGCUAAAGUGCAUGAACAAGAUGUUUGAAUGUCGGAAGAAAUUAAUUGGCGAGUGGCCCUAGCAGUUACUGAGAUGGCCCAAUUUGGAGUACUGCUGGAUCCCAACGUCAUCGUUAGCCCUUCUCAAUGCUAGAGCAUCUGUGUUUCCACAGGGGUCCCCGAUGAGAAUAUGCCAAUCUUACCCAUGGUUGUGCUGGACAACCAAUGGUACCUUGUGGAUGACAUCACUCAGCGCACCUCAUGUGAGCUAUAUAGACCAUUUGGCAACCUCCCUAUUAAGGUAUACAUAUAUAUAAUAUAUACAACUAUCUCAAUUGAUCCACGCCUCAAUCAGGAAUUUAAUAACUUCUUUAUUUCUCCUAUAUGUACAGGUGGUGUACAGAAGUGCUUUACCAAUACUGCUAGGGCAAACAAGCCAUGGCAUGGCGAUUCCACCCGGCUGCUCCAUUGUUGGGGAGGAGCAAAUUUUUGAUAGUAAAUAUGAAGGCCUAGAGCUCGACCUCCCGAGAGGUGACGGGGAAAGGACACUAGGAGAUGCACUUCACGGUAUCAUUCUAUGGCGCAAAUAUUACAUCAUCAUUCCCAGCCAGGAGGCAUCAUUUCUUAUAGAUCCCCUGCAGCCACCAUCUCCUCAGAACUCAAGACCGUCAUCUCUUGCAUAUCCAUCUCCAGGACCGUCGUCACCUCCGGGACCGUCGCAUCCUGCUCGGUCACUGUCUCCAACACCAUCGAAUCCUGUAGGUGGGAGCGACGAUGAACAAAACACCCCUCCUCAAUCACCAUCUGCAGUGCUAGGACUAAGGCCCUGUUUGGCAUGGCUCCAACUCUGGGUGGAGCUGCUCCACUCCAGAACUCCACAUGGAGCCAGCUCCGCUCCAAGACUCCAAAACAAAAAUGGGGUGUCUAGCUAGAUGGGUGCUCUCAGCUCCAAAAAAGAUCGAUUUCAGUGUGGAUUGCCAUUGUUGCCCUCCAAUUAAGGCCCCACUUGUCAUCCUCUCUAUCCCAUCUUCUUCUUCCCCUUUUUCCACUGCACUGUGUCGCACACGGGAGACCCUCCACUGGUGGCGGCGACGAGCGAUGGGGUGGGCGACGGGCGGCAAGGUGGGCGGCGAUGGGGGUGGCGCUGGGUGGCGAUGGGCAGCGGGGCUGGGCGGCGGGCGGCGGGGUGCGCGGCGACGGGUGGCGGGGCAGCUUGGGCGGCGACGGGCGCGGCGACGGGCAGCAGGGCUGGCUGGCCACGGGGGUGGCGACGGGCGGGGCUCUGGCGGCGAGUGGGGCUCUGGAGAAUAGAAGGGAGAAUAGAAUGAAAUGUUUUUUUGUAACCAGUGGCAUUGGUGGGUAAUUACCCACCAACUCCACGAGGAGGUUCAAAAGAGAGGUUUCUUGAGCAGCAAAAGAGGUGCUCCAAAACUCCACCUCCAUUUGCACUAAAGCUCCAUGGAAGCCAACUCCAUGGAGUUUUGAAGUUGGGGUGUUUGGCUGAAUUUUUUGAUCGAGUUGCUGAAGUUUAGGAGAGGAGCCGUGCCAAACAGGGCCUAAAGUCUAGUGUGAGCAAGGAACCAUUUGCAACACCUCUCAAGAAGUCGUGACCACCGCCUUCCAAGCCAGGGAAGGCAGCCAAAGGUGAAAGAACCGAGGAAGCAAACAAACAAGUCUGAACCUAUUAAGAAGCUAGCAGGAAAUAUGACUCCUGAGGAAUUGAAGCAGGCAUCGCAAGCACAUGUAAGGGAGAGGUUGGAAAAAACUGCUGCAGAAAGAAAAGCGAAGGAUAUGGAGCCUAAAACAGUAGAUCAAGCCAAAUUAAAGUUUUUUUGCCAUGAAAAAACAAGUCAAGAAGAUGUUACCAUCGAACUAUGAUCGUUCGUUAAUUAAGUCUUGGCAGAAGAAAAAAUAAGGAGAGUCAUCAUCCAGUCGUACUAUCCCCUAGCUCGAGGAGCAAGAUCAAUAAGCAGAUCAAGAAGCUCAAUAAAUAGCAGUUUUGCCUUUAGAACAAUAAAUCAAGGUCAUUAAGUUUAUGGAAGUGACAGGUCUCUCGCUUGCUGAAAUUCUAGGGCAAGACGAACCACCACCUCUAGAAAAGACUGUACCAAAAUGACCCUUUUAGUUAGGCAAGCCUCUAGUAAGCCUCUAGAUAGACCAUGUUCGCUCUUGUUGUUAAACCUAUUAAUUUUUUCGGUGAAGGUGAGAAACUGAUGCUGCUGGAAUUCAAGGAUAUUUAUGAAGUGUACCAUCAAGAUGCCCUUGAUGUCUCUCUUAUCAGCGCCUGGGUUCUGUAAGUGUGUGUUUAUUAGAUGUUAAUUUUAGCUCAGCUCAUUAUUAGGUGUGUGUCGUCCCACUAACUUUGUCUUUCAUUUAUGUAGGAUGCAAAUUCAGUGGUGCCGCCGAGAAUCCUACUUCAACAUUGGCUUCAUGGACCCAACACUUGUUAACAAAAAGCAGAUACGGAAUCAUCCAAAGUCUACAUUGGAUGCAUUAUACAAAUUCUUGUAGCAACAGAAUUACAAGCGAUACAUACUACUGCCUUACAAAUUUAACUACAUGUGGCUACCGUCUAUUUUCGUUUUCCUAUCCUUACCUAAUUAAUAUUAGUUAGUUCUAAUAUGGAUAUUUAUGUACACAGUUACCACUGGAUUCUAGUUAUAAUUAUGAUUGAUCAAAGCAACGUUAUUAUGUUUGAUUCGUUGAGGAAAGCAAAGAGCGAGUACCAAGACAUUCAAAACAUGCUUAACUCAUAAUAAUUAUGGAUCUUUAUCUCUAUGUAAAAGUUUGUUUCCUAAAGUUUGACCUAACACUGUAUCAUAUUUGUUAUUUUAAUUCACAGCGCAAGGAAACACUGGUACAAAACUCGCCUUUAGUCCCGGUUGGUAGGGGGCAAAUCUCCUAAAAAUCCAUUUAAUUGUUGGUGUAGCAUUCACAUAUUUUGAAGUAUAAUUGUUGGUGUAACAUUCACAUAUUUCCAAAUUACAAAUGUGACGGAUUAGCGAAGAACUCUUGGAGAAGGAUAGGCUUUUGGCAAUCCAAGAAGCUCUCAUAGGAUUUAUGGUGGACGAGGCGAUAAAUCCCAAAGGAUCCUAAGAAUUAAGAGGACAAAUUAUUGUAUAUAUAGUAAUUGUAUUAAUACUACUUUGAUGUGUAUUAUAUACUAAGAAUUGUAUAUAUAGUAGUUAUAAUUAAUAUUAUACAUAUACUAUCAUGAAAUAUAUAUAUAUAUAUAUAUAUAUAUAUAUAUAUAUAUAUAUAUAUAUAUAUAUAUAUAUAUAUAUAUAUAACAUGCAUAAAAUAUGAGCGUAUACGUCUAAGUAGUGUACGCUAAGGAUGUACAUGUAUAGGUAUGUGUAUAUAUAUAUAUAUAUAUAUAUAUAUAUAGAUAAGUGAAGCAACAAUUAGUGUAAUAUGGAAAAGAAUUCAUGGUAAAAAUAAAAAAGGUCUUUAGUCCCAGGUGAGUGACCCGGGACUAAAGAGGGGGACCUUUAGUCCUAAAAAAUUAGUUCCGGUUGGAUAUUCGAGAGAUAUGACUCUCUCCAACUGGGACUAAUGCUUACUUUUCCACCGAUGGUGGUUUAUUAAUUAUUGCAAUGCAAGGUGCUGCUGUUGAUAUGGUUCACAAAGAAAUUAAUAAGUUUCAUCAUCCAUUAUUUACCAAAUCACCUAAAAAAUGGUAUUAUGUAUAUGAUCCAAUUUUCCAAAACAAAAGGGACAGAGUCACGUACAACACAUCAGACCCUGCCAUGUGUGCAUAGCUGGUGCACUGUCAUAGAUCUGAAAACUAGAAGGAUAGACCAGUGCAUCGGUCAAUCUAUUGCGCUCACAUAGGAUGUAAGUGGGAGAACUUGUCAAGGUAGGUGUCGUGCACAUUUUACUUUUGGGCUCACAUAACUUGGCAUCAUUGGUGAUCACCUUAUGAGUAAUAGAAGAUUUAAUCCCAGCACAAUGCAUCCGUACCAAAAGGAGGGGGGGGCGGCUUGUACAAGGGUACCUCUCGCACACGCUUUACUUUUGGGUUAAUUUGGCAACGCUUCUUUGCGUACGUAUCAGAUCAAACGAAGAUAUACCUACACACACUCUUUGCUUGUGAGAUAAUCAGGUCCUACACAUAUAUAUUUUUAUUGCAAGACUAGUUUCAACUUAAAACAUGUUCAACUUUUUUUUAACUGAGUCUUUUGUUGAUUGGUAUUUUAUUAGCGUAUGGUGGGACUGGUUUUCUUUCUCAGCCUGCGUUCACCUUGGUUCAGAGAGGAUUCAAUCUUGUAAAUUAUCAGGCAUAUAUAGUCCCUUGGUAGGACAAGCAAGUGCGUAUAUAAUAAGCAAUUUAGUCAUGGAUGAUCGGAAUAAUAUCCUGAAAGGCUUACAAACAGAUCUUAUCAUAUCUUUGCUUUCUACCUAAUGUAGCUACUACACAAUGUCCAUAUUUUCAUCUAUGAUCACCUGAGUCACAGAAGGUUAGUGUGGAGCAGUUACUUGCACGACUUGAUCUAGUGCAUCCGUACCAAGAUGGGAACGGUAGCUAUCGCACAUGCUUUUGUGCUAAACAAGUAAGGCUUCUUUCAAUACCAAAGUAACCACGUGAUCAGCUGCCUAGUCAACUUGACUUGUUCAUAAAUCAUACCCAUACCAGCUCCUUCUGGCACACUUAGCAUGUGUUUAGUUUUGGGACCAAGUGGAACGGGUUAGCUCUGUUUUUUGUGGGUUGGGUCCAACCCAUCUCAUGUUUGGUUGAGAGGGAUGGGUUCGUUCCAAUCUAUUGUUUGGUUGGUAGUGUUACGAGGGAUGGGAUUUAUGCCAUUUUAACACCGUUAGCAACGGGUCCCACCUGUCAGAUGUGGAGCCCACAUGUCAUCCUCACUCACCAUAUCUUCUUCCUCUGGCCACCCUCCCUCUCCCCCGCGCCGCCGCUCCUCCCUCCCCCGCGCUCUCCCCACGCCAGCCGCCGGUCCCCACGCCACCGCUCCUCCCCCCCGCGCCGCCGCCGCCGCUCCUCCCCCGCGCCUGUUGCUGCCCCUUAGCCUACACCGCUCCCUCCCCACGCUGGUUGCCGCUCCCCUCACCGCGUCCUCCUCGUGAUGUGGGCGUAGGGUGUCGGCGGGAGGAGGCGGAGCCGAUGGGAGGGCAGAAGGGCCGGGCGAAGGACGUCGGGCAGGUGGCGGAGGGCGGCGGAGGGUGUCGGGCAGGCGGCGGGGGCGUCGGGCAUGCGGCACGUCGACCGAGGCUGAUGCGGGGUCGGGGAGGCACGCGCACGGGAGAGCACAGUGUAUGUGCGGGUCGAGUGCGUCCGCUCGUUUUGAGCGGACGCAUUCGACUCACAUCUACGGGGAAUAUUUUCUAUGGGGAACGAACCCAAUCCUCUACAUUUCCAACCAAACAGGGGUUAAUGGGGGUCGAACCCAUUCCAACCCACAUCGACCCCCAAACCAAACACAACCUAAGCAGCUGCAUAUGAAAAGUAGUGGGGCUCUGAUUAAUCAUGUUUAACAAAACAAUAAGCUAUAUAAUACUGAUCAAGUCAAUUUUAAAUAUAAAUCAUAUGAACAUAUAAGCAUGUCCAUCAAAUUAAACACAUUACUAGCACUACGGGAAACCUCAAAUUUGCCGAGUAUUUUAUCUUUGCCGAGUAUUUUUUUUUGACACUUGGCAAACAAGCUCUUUGCCGAGUGCCGAGCUAAAAACACUCGGCAAAGAAAAAAUAUUCGGCAAACAAGGGGCUUUGUCGAGUGUCAAAGAAAAACACUCGGCAACCAAGGGGCUUUGCCGAGUGUCAAAAAAAAACACUCGGCAAAAGAGGGGGUUUGCCGAGUGUUUUUUUCCCACUCGGCAAAACAAUUAGUUUUUUCUCUUCUUAUCGUGAAAUUUUUUCUACUCCCCACAUACAACAUGUGGUACUUCAUAUUAAAAUUUGGUAUAUUUUUGGAUUUGUUUGCUAUGUUUAAUUAAUUAAUUGCAUUUGAAGGGAAUUUUUGGUAUAAGUUAAAUUUGAACUGCAAGUGAUUCAAAUUAUAGAAUAAAAUGAGUAGAAAAAUGAUAUUUAUGUUAUUUAGCCCAGUUUGUGGCCUUACUCAUGAAAUGAAAAGAAAUUUCAAACAUCUUGUUUAGGAAACACAACCACGAACAUGUGACCGAAUGAUUUUAAAAUUGUAAAAAAAGCAAACAAAGUUGGAAAAUUAUGAGAUUUGUCAUGAUGUGAUGGUAUCAUACGUGGAGGUUGUGGUAAAAAAUUGAGAAAGUUUCGCACAUUUCAUCACAUACGAUAUUUACAAACCAAAGCAUCUUAGAAGAAGAAUCGUAGUGUUGAGAAGGAUUUGAUAAGAUUUGGAGUCAAAGUGAUGGUCAAAUUUUGAUUUGACUACAAAACUUUUUGUAUAGGCAAUAGAGAACAUAUAUUAUUUCAUGUGAAAUUUUGGUAAUUUUUUGGAACCGUUUGAUAAUUUUAAUGUAUUAAGUGCAAUUAUAGAAUUUCAAUUGAUAUAAAUUGAAUUUGAGCUAUAACUGCAUAAAAUAAUGAAAUAAUAUGAGUAGAAUAAUCAAAUACAUAUUGUUGAGUGAAUUUGAUAAGGUAUUGUUGAGUUUAUUAAAAUAAAGGGUAUUAAAAAAUUAAAAAAAUAAACCCCCGCCUGCACCUCACCGGCCCCACCCCCCUGCCAGCCCCCUCACGCCACCCGCCUCUGCCCGGCCCCGCCACCCUCCGCCCCACUUGCGCUGUUGGUCCCCGCCGCUCGCCUCCGCUGGUCCCGCCACCACUCCGGCCGCGGCCCGCCCGCCCCACCGCCCGCCCGCUCCGUCCUGCCUCCCGCCACCUGCCGUCCGCCCGCCUCCGCCCUGCUGCCGCCGCCACCCCGCCUUCGCCCCUCCCCUCCACCUCUGCCGCCACCUCCGCCCCACUGCUCCCUCCGCUGUCGCUGCAACUCCGCCCCUCCUGUGCUGCUGUUGCUCACGCCGCCGCCGGGUGAGGAGGAGGCAGAGGAGGAGGAAGCUAAGGAAGAGGAGGAGGCCGGGUGAGGAAGAGGAGAGAGAGAUAGAUAGAGGAUGGGGCAGGUGUGAAGACGGAAAAAAAGAAGCGCACGGAUCAGUUGGCAACGUCGGGUGAAGGGACACUAUGGUGAGUUCCGAGACGAAGCUUGCCUACCCUUUGAAACAGCAUAGGCCAGCUACUAUUCAUGUAACAUUCCACUAGUCUCUACUAAACAUUCUAUUCUACUUGAUGGGUCCAUAGACCCGGGGUCCCCAAUGGGCCCCUUUCCCACAACACCUGACCCAAGAAGAGGCGCAGUGAUACUGCACGCCUGGGCUGGCCUAGAUAUGAAAUGCUAGGUUGAGAUCAUGAUCCGGCCACCGACCGGCACCUCCGACCAGGAGGCCUAGUCGGCGCCUCGAGCAGAAGGCCUGGUCGGAGCCGGGACCACAGUCCGACUCCGACCAAGCUCCCCUGACCGGGGAUAUGCCGAACCGACUCACACUGCUCCCCCAACCGAUACGGUCAGGACCGACCGAGAUGACCGAUCGGGGACGCCCGCUCGGUUCGGGCCUGGGGAGUAGGUGAAAUGGAUCAAGUCAACUACCAUACAGAAGGCCGUACCCUGCCACACCCUGCGCACGCACCGCAUAGUGCCACCGUGCCGUGUCAGACGGACACUGUGCUACCUGCCCGUCACAACGGAGCAUGAACAGGGAUGAGGGUGAUGGCCAUACCGUACCUGGCGACGUGGGUAAUGACAAGACUAGGCAGCGCCCGCUCUCUUUCUCUCCUUCUCUCUGGCUUGUACGGUCGUCCCCUUGGACUAUAAAAGGGGGCGCGCUCUUUCUCUCUCGAUAGAUGACUCUGAGUUUCUUCAACACAUAGCGCAUAUUUGAGCCCCGGUCUCUCCCCUCCACUCGGACCAGUGCGUGACUAGGCCUCAGACACCCCCUUCUCAUCCCUCACUUGUUUGUACCCCCACUGCAAACUUCGAGCACCUGGGCUUAGGAAUACAAUCGACCGAUCAACCUCGAACUUGACGUAGGGCACGUUGCCCGAACCAGUAUAAAUCCUGUGUCAUUGUGUGGUAGGCCACAUCCGAUCUAACGCAUGACAAAACUACUUAUAUUUAUUAGUUGGCCAGAUUCUGCACCGACAUUGCUAAAUUAGCCACUAUUGGCAAAGAGCAAGUUUGUCCAACAAAACUAGAUAAGUUCAAACAAGCAAAGAGAUUGCCUAGGGCAAAAGCAAAUAAUCAAGAGAAGAAUCAAUAAGUGUUGAAAGCCUAAGCAAAAGAUAGAAUUCAGUAUUGCCCUAUGUACUAAAGCGAACUAGCGAAGAAAGGCGAGCCCCCACCCGGUACUAAAGGGGGUCAGGGGGGUACGUUGGGGACUAUCUGUUUGGCCCGGUACUAAUGCUUUCAUUAGUACCGGGCCAAAAUGCAACCGGUACUGAGCCUUGGGACGAAAGGUCAUUUCUCUAGUAGUAUUACUUCAGUUUUCCAGAGAGAGCAGGGUACAGAUCGCAGGCACAAAAUGUGCAAGUAAUAAGCACUCACCAUUUAUUUUAUUGAUCGUAGCAUAUAGAAACUCAAAACAUGUAGCAAUAUGCAAAACGCAUGCAAAGCAUACACUUAGUACAACAAAGCCAAAACACUAACUAUAUUUAGUUGUGGUUAUUCUCCCAGAAUUGAGCUUGGAGCCAAUCAAUUGUCCCCUUUUGCACCUGGAAUGCCUUGGCCAAGACAUCAUCUGAGAUCGGUGGCUUUGAUCCAAAAACCGCAUUUGCGAUGGUAAUAGCCCCAGGGUUCUGGCUACUUAGCGCGGCAAUAGCAACUGCUGGCUUGUCAUAGACAGGGUUGAAUUGGAAAUGGAUGAGCCCUUGUGGGAAUACAAACACAUCACCCUUGUUGAGCACCUUUGCAAACAGUUUGUUUGGGUUGGAGGUGACAAAUCCAACAUACAGGGUCCCCUCGAGCACGGUGAGGAUCUCUGUGGCACGUGGGUGGGUGUGUGGUGGAUUCUGACCCAACGGCGCAUAGUCAAUGCGGGCCAAUGAGAUGCCUAGUGUGUUGAGUCCAGGCAACUGCAUGACAUUGAUCAAAGUGACAUUGGAUCCAACCUUGCUCUUCUUGGUGUCCAUAGGCUUAUCAAGGUUGGCUGCUUUGAAGAAGUCAUCUGCGUUCACGGCCAUGGGGUCCUUGCAAACAAAUCCAUUGACCUUCACUGCAAAUAUAGAUGAAAGAAAAUUGGUAAACACAUAUUAGAAAUUAUUAGAGGCAGUAAAUAAAGAUGCUUUUUGCAUGUAGAUGUAUGUUAACAAAUGAUUUUUGUGUGAUCAUAUAUUUGAUUAAGAAACACAUAAUGAUUUGAAGCAACUGCGUUCGUACCAGGAGAGUGUAUGUCGGCAACACAAAAGUCCUGGAGCGGGCCAGGGUCGGAAGCAAUGGCUUGAGAAGUGACCAUCGCUAGAAAAGCUGCGAGCAGAAAGUAGGAGGCAGCCAUUUGAGAUUGUCUCAGCUUUUGUGUUUGAGCUCUGAAGUAGACUAUUCAGCUGCUUGCGAUUGUGUAUGUCUUGUUGCUGCUUUGGGCAUGAAGAUGGUGGGCUUAUAUAGGCUGCCACAGAAAGUGGCAACAUGAAGUUGACGACUGAACUAGUCUAGCUAUGUUGAACCUACCAAAACAGAAGAAACGGUCUCUGGCUGCUAGAAGCUGAUGAUGAAACAACGCAAUAAAAAUUUAAAGCCGGUAACUAAUUCCUUGAUGUGUAGUGGUUUAAUUAUUUGUUAAUUGUUACCACGCAAGGUACUGCUGCUGAUACGGUUCAGAAAGAAAGCGCCCUCGUCCAUUAUUUACUUAACUAACUGCCACAGAAAAGUUGAAAUAUGGAGGUGAUCAACUUUCUAAAGCAAACUGACAGGGUCACACGAUAUGAGCCCUGCAUAGGCGCGUAGUUGGUGCACUAUGAUAGUUGUGAAAACUAGAAAAAUGGUAUGGUGCAUCCCGGUCAAUAUGUGCUUGCACACACACAUACGUACAGAAAGAGUCGACAAUGCAAAGGUGUUUAUUUUUAGAUUAAUUCAAUUUGUAUACCUCAUACAAUAAUCAAUCUCCCUAUCGUCAUUCAUGAUCACGUCAUCUUUUUUUUUUUUGCGAAAAGCAUGAUCACCUCAUUAGGAAUAGAAGAUUUAGCCCAGUGCAAUGCAUCCGUACCAAAAAGGGGGAGCACUUGUACAAGGGUAGCUGUUGCACACGGUUUACUUGUACAAGGCUAUCGCUACUAGAUCAGAAACAGUUAUCUGUCUAUUCAACUCCUUGACUUGUUUAUAUCACACACAUAUCAUCACACCCGUAUAGGAAACUGCUGUUUAAUUCAGGCCAAGUAUUCGGGCGUUGCUAAGUGGUUUAUUUGCUAUGACUUAAGAACUACAGGAUCAGGUGAUAGUUAAUAAUGCUCUAGAAGCAUAUAUCAUUAUUUAAAAUACUGAUAAGUACUAGACAAUACAAAAAGUGUUUUGAAUUAAAUCUCAAAACCAUGAACAUAUGUCUAUCCACAUAAUAAUUAUUUCUCCGUUAAUCUUAAUAUACUGGUUUUAACUUAAAAAGAAAACAUGAUCACCAACUUUUUGUUUACUGAGUCUAUGCUUGAUACUUUAUUAGUGUAUGGCGGGACGGCUGCUGCUUAGUGAUUCAAGAUGGUCAGCAUUAAUUUUAAAAAAAUGUAGAAGUUUAGAUUAUGGAGUAAUGUUCAUAAAAGAGAUUUCCAUUAAUCACUACAGUGCUCGAGAUCCAAAUGAAAAAUGUUGAAGCUGGUAAAUGAUUCUUUUAUGCGUAGUGGUUUGUCAAUUGUUACCAUCCAAGGGGAUUUUAUUGAUUUGAUUCAUAAAGAAAGUGUCAUCCAUUAUUUAGUUAAUUAACUGAUAGAAAAUUGAAAUAUGAAGAUGAUUUAGUUUUCUAAAACAAAACAGAGUCACACAAAAAUUAUAAGGAUGGCAUAUGAGCAGCUUGUGGACUGUGAUAGUUGCAGAAACUAGAAAAAUGGUAUGGUGCAGUGCAAAGGUCAAACUAUGCUUGCGCUCACCUAAAUAAGAGUAAAAAGCGUGCAGAAAUCUAUUGUUACUUCCUAAUAUCUGCACAUUGUACCUCAUACAAAGAACAAUUUCCCUGUACUCAUGUUUACGUGAUACCAAGAAGGCAUGCAAGAACAACUUGUAGAGGGGCAGCUGCCACACACGAUUUACUUUUGAGUUAAUCAGGUAAGCUUCUAUGCAUGAGCUCGAGUGCCCACUUGGAGAUCUGUCCCGUGGCGUUGCGGUCACAGAUCUACCCCAGUGGGUACGAGGUGACGACCGUGACCUCGUGGUCGGUGAAGUAGUGCAGGAGCUUCCGGGUCGCCAUCAGCACGGCAUACAGAAGCUUCUGGACUUGGGGGUAGCAAACUUUGGCAUCGACGAGUACCUCACUAACGAAGUACACCGCUCGUUGGACCUUCAGCGUGUGUCCCGGCUCCUCCCUCUUGACGAUGAGGGCAGCGCUGACCAUGUGGUUGCUGGCCGCAAUGUAGAGGAGGAGAGGUUCUCCCCGUUUGGGAGCGACGAGGAUUGGGGCUGACAUCAGCGACACUUUGAGGCUUUCCAAAGCCUGUUGUGCCUCCUCCGUCCAAACGAAAGUGUCUGCUUUCUUGAGGAGUUUGUAGAGAGGCAUCCCCCGUUUGCCUAGCCGGGAGAUGAACCAGCUUAAGGUGGUCAAGCAACCAUUUAGCCUCUGUAUGCCCUUGACAUUGCGUAUGAGGCCCAUGUUGGUGAUGGCCGUGAUCUUUUCGGGGUUGGCUUCAAUGCUGCGCUCGGGCACGAUGUAUCCAACACCUUCCCCUUUGGAACCCUGAAAACGCAUUUCUCAGGAUUCAGUUUGACACUGAACCUUUGGAGGUUCGUGAAUGUUGUGGCUAAGUUCUCGAUCAGGUCUCUUGCUUGAGCCGUUUUUACUACUAUGUUGUCCACGUAGACGGCAAUAGUAGGUUUUGGCCGCUUGACUUGGUUGGGCUAGUCGGGUGGAUCGAUUUGAUCGGCGAAGCAUCGCUGCAUGCAUCAUUGAUAGGUGGCACCCGCGUUCUUCAAACUGAACGGCAUGGUCACGUAACAGUAUGAACCAUAUGGGGUGAUGAAGGAGGUUGCGACCUAGUCGGUCUCUUUCAUCGCGAUCUGGUGGUAGCCUGAGUAGGCAUCCAGAAAGGAGAGGAUUUCGCAUCCUGAGGUGGAGUCGACUAUCUGAUCUAUACGCAGUAACGGAAAAUGAUCCUUGGUUCACACCUUGUUAAGACCAGUAUAGUCAACACACAUUCUCCAUUUCCCAUUCUUCUUUUUUACAAGAACAGGAUUGGCGAGCUAGUCAAAGUGGUACACCUCCUUGAUGAAGCCCUGCUAGGAGUUUGGCGAUUUCCUCACCUAUGGCCCUUCGCCUCUCAUCAUCAAAACAAUGUAGGCGUUGCUUGAUGGGCUUUCAGCCCGGGGAGAUGCGUAGUGUGUGCUCGGCGACCUCCCUCAAUAUGCCAAACAUGUCAGAAGGUUUCCAUGCGAAGAUAUCCCGGUUUGCGCACAGGAAGUCGAUGAGCUCUCUUUCCUAUUUGGUCGGGAGCUGGGUCCCGAUCUGCACCAUCUUGGUCGGGUCGCUAGGGUCGACCUCCACCGCCUUGGUUACCUCGAUCGGACGUACGAUGCUCAUGGAGGUCGACUCAUUGUAGUUGGGGACUGCCGACGCGGCCGCAUUCCCAAGCUUCAGGAGCUCGGUGGAGUUGAAGAUGCUAGUGGUGAGCUCAUAGUGCUCACGGUCGCAUGUGUAGGCAUGCAAGAAGGUGCUACCCACGGUGAUGACAUCGUUCGGUCCCGGCAUCUUUAGCUUCAGGUAGGUGUAGUUGGGAACCACCAUGAACUUGGCAUAGCAUGGCUGCCCCAGGAUGGCGUGGUAGGACCUCGGAAAGUCCACUACCUCGAAGGUUAGGACCUCUGUGCAGAUGUUGGCACGGUCACCAAACAUGACGUGCAGGUUGAUCUGCCCGAGUGGGUACGCCUACGCACAUCAUGGAAGGGAGAGCUCACAGGGCGGAGCUCUGACCAGGGGACGUUCAUGGUGUCGAGGGUCUCGAUGUACAGGAUGUUGAGGCCACUGCCUCUGGCCAUCUGCACCCUGGUGAGGCGCUUCUUGUCAACGAUGGGGUUGACAACGAGCGGGUAGUGACCCUGUUGGGGAAUGUGGGAAGGAUGGUCCCUCUGAUCAAAUGUGAUCGGGGAGUCCAACCAGCGAAGGAAAGAGGGGAUGGCCAACUCGGCGGCACAUACCUCUCGAUAGUGCACCUUGCGCUGGCGCUUGCUAUGGUCGGCGUCAGCCCCCCCGAAGAUCAUGAGGCAUCCCUCAGGGUCGGGGAAGCCGUCUCCAUCCUUGCCCGCAGCACCUCCCCUUCUGGCCGUGUCCUCCUUGCGUUUCCCCUCCUUGGGUUUGGCGGCUUGCUGCAGGAAGUGCUUGAGGAGCUCGUAGUCCUUGUAGAGGUGCUUGACGGGGUAGGCAUGGUUGGUGCACGGGCUCUCCAUGAGCUUGUCGAAGUGGUCGGGCUGACCCUGUUGGGGCUACUUGCCUAGGCGCUCGGUCGCGGCGACCAGGGUCGGGUUGGUCAGGCGGCGCCAGUCCUUCUUGUUCUUCUUGCCCUUCUGUGCAGAGGGGCCCUCAUCCUGGACCUCACGCUUGGCCUUGCCCUUGUCCCGUCCGCCGCUGAAGACCAUCCCGACUACCUCCUCGCCGGAGGCGUGGUUUGUGGCGAUGUCGAGCAGGUUGCGGGUGGUUCGGGGCUUCAUGCAGCCAAGCUUGUGGACCAAGGACUUGCAGGUCAUCCCGGAUAUGAAUGCGCUGACGAUGUUUGUGUCGACGACAUCAGGAAGGGAGUUGCACUGCCUAGAAAACCUACAAAUGUAAUCCCACAGGGACUCGUUGGGCUCCUGCUUGCAACUCUUGAGGUCCUAGGAGUUCCUGGGAUGGACGUACGUCCCCUGGAAGUUCCCGACGAAGACCUUCUUAAGGUCUGCCCAGUCGUGGAUGUUGUUGGGUAAAAGAAAUUCGAGCCAUGCCCGAACAAACUCUCCUACGCAGAUGGGGAGGUACUGGAUGAUGAAGUAGUCAUCAUCCACUCCACCGGCUCGGCAGGCGAGCCGAAAGUCUUCGAGCCAUACACCAGGGUUCAUCUCCCAAGUGUACUUGGCGAUGUUGGUGGGCAGUUGGAAGCGCUGUGGGAAUGGCGCUUUCUGGAUGCGGCGACCAAAGGCCCCAGGUCCCGGGCUGUCCGAGCUGGGGCUCCGGUCGCUGUACCGGUCGCUCGGUUGGCCGCCACACCUAGGGUGCACCUCCUCGACCGGUCGGCAAGGUGGAAGCAGAAGAAGAAGAAAACAAAGAAGAAGAAGAAACUUUGCUAUUUUAAAGCAGAUUCAAACAAAAUGAAUUCAAAUAUGAAAUUUGAACUCAGCAACCAAAAUCAAUGCAACAGCAUGGAUGCAACAAUGCAAACCUAAGAUUCAUUAAUUAAAUUUCAGAAAAACAUUUAAAUGCCUAAGAAAUUGAAUAAAACAUUAGAAAAGCCUUAAAUCCUUAAACAAGCUCAAACAAUUUCUAGAAAAUUCUAAUAAAUUUUUAUUCAGUUGCAAAAUUGAAAAUUUAGGGUGUUACAAGUCUUGUAUGUACAAAAAAUGUAAACAGGACAAAAAACAUGAGCAUAAUGGUGUGAAACUACCAGUUAUGCAUGAUCACAUAAAUUGUAUUAAACUAGUUUUACCAACAUUUACUUGGUUGCCAUUGUGUUGGAGUGGUUACUUGCAAGUUAAACAAGUAAUAUAAGUCCUGCAUCCAUACCAGAUCAAAAACUACGUGGUCUGUCUAGUCACCUUCUUGACUUUGUUCGUAUCACACAUACCCUCUUACGUGCUCCUCAGGCAAGACGCAAGCAGCUGCACAGAUGAGAAAUGGUAUUUAGUUAGGUGAAGCAUGUGGCUGCGUGCCACUGUGGUGUAUGUUUCCUGUGCCUAUGGCGCCGUGGAGGCGGGUUGUCGUUGGGACUUUGGCGUUUUCCUCCUUUGUUUGCUUUGCUGCGUAGAGUAGCCAAGUAGGAUCAGGCGCCUAGCCCCCAAAUAGGAUUAUAUGACUGAGGCUUAGACAAUACACUUAGGCGCUUUGAUGACUCAAUUCCCUUGAAGUCUCCUCAGAAAGCUCUUCCAUCAUGGAGGCCCGGGGGCUCGUCGACUGGAUGAUAUAGGGCGCAUAGCGGCCCUAAAUAAGUAUAAUUAAAUCAUGUGUCUUACAUAGGACGCUCAGCGCCCUGGUGAAGGCCCAUCAAAUGGCCAGAAAUAGUGGUUACAUAUUACCAGCGCAAUAGUGGUUACAUAGAUUUUUUUGAGUCAGAAAAUGAAUUCCUACACAAUAGUGGUUACAUAUUACCAGCGCAUUAAAAUGGCUAAUGUAGCAUUAAAAUUUGUGAAGAUAUAAAGACAUAAUCACACAUAUGGUAAAAGAUAAUGGCUAAUUGGUGGAUCGAUCGCAAAGGAAAUUGAGGCGCACCAUUCAAGCCAUGCGUGGACUCAUAUGUACGGAAGAGUUGACAGUGCCGAUAAUGACAUUAACAUUACACUGCACCUAACCCAAAGUAACAAACAUUCAAACACAUUAGUCACUAAACACAUAUAAUAUUAGUGUUCCCAAGUUGUCUCUCAUGCUUAAUUCGGUCUUACGCAUCGGAUGAUGCAAUUGGUCACCAACAGCAGGAAACCCACAACAGCAAGAGCAACUACUACAUCUAUUCGUUGGUUGUUCAUGCAUCGACGACGCCCAGAGAAGCUAGGGUGUGUACUGCAUGGAGGAAGGCCAGGGAGAUUCUACUUGACCAGGGCCUCAGACCUUUAGUGGGCCUGGAAAACGCUGCGCGGCACAUAUGCUUUGCUAUCCCUAGAGCUAGGGCAUGUACAAUAACUUGUUUCAUUCAAAAGUCAAAAGUUGCAGGUUCAUUAUAAACUCACAUGCUACAACAUUUAUUUUCAUAGAUAAAACCGGGUCCAUAAGUUAAUUUUAUAUAAGCUUCCCGUACAUGAAUAUAUGUAUCCCAAACAGGACAGUACAUCUCGUAGGCACACAGCAACAGUAGCAGUAUAUAAAUACUGCCAUUUAUUUUACAUAACUUUCAGAUUGUAGAAACUAGAAACAAGUAGUUGUUUGCAAAAUGCAUGUCAACCAAACUUUCCAUACAAAGAAACCCGUGCUUGAUUUAGUUUAGUAGUGGUUGUUCUCCCAGAACUGAGCCUGGAGCCAAUCAAUUGUCCCCUUUUCCACCUGGAAUGCCUUGGCCAACACAUCAUCCGAGAUUGGUGGCUUUGAUCCAAAGACCGCAUUAGCGAUGGUAAUAGCCCCAGGGUUUUGGCUGCUGAGCGCAGCGAGUGCAACCGCUGGCUUGUCGUGGAUGGGGUUGAACUGGAAGUGGAUGAGCCCUUCGGGGAAUACAAACACAUCACCCUUGUUGAGGACCUUGGCAAACAAUGUGUUGUUUGGGUUGGAGGUGACAAACCCAACAUAGAGGGUCCCCUCAAGCACUGUUAGGAUCUCAGUGGCACGUGGGUGGGUGUGUGGUGGAUUCUCACCUAGGGGUGCAUAGUCAAUGCGAGCUAGAGAGAUGCCUAGAGUGUUGAGACCAGGGAGCUGCAAGGCACUGAUCAAUGUGACAUUAGAUCCCACCUUGCUAUGCGCGGUGUUCCUAGGCUCGUCAAGUUUAGCUGCCUUGAAGAAGUCAUCUGCAUUCACGGCCAUGGGGUCCUUGCAAGCAAACCCAUUCACCUUCACUGUAUGCAUAGAAGAAGCCAUAUAGAUACACAUAGAUCAGAAACUAGGUAGCGCAGAAGGUUAGAAGUUCACUGUAUGCAAAUUAAGAACGAAGAAGGAAAAUAGAAACAGGAAGAUGUGCACUCUGACAGAAGAGCACUUGUUUUGAUUCGUGUUUACUACAUUAACAUCAAAACAUGCAUUAAACUAAGCCAGUGUUCAUGCAUAUACCAGGAGAGUGCUUGUCAGCUACACAGAAGUCCUGGAGUGGGCUAGGAUCGGAAGCAUUAGCCUGGCAAGCGACCAAUGCUAGAAAAACAGCAAGAAGGAAGUAGGAGGAGGGGGCCAUUUUUGUUUCUCCUCGUGCUUCUUUGUCGGUGCUUUUCGCAGUAGGCUAACCAGCUGCUUGUGUUUGUUUUCUUGAUGCUUUGGUGAGGAAGAAGGGGGAUGGAUGUGUUUAUAUAGCCACAGCACGGUAGCAUCGUGAACGCCUGAACAACUGAGUAAGUCACACGUUGAACCGGCCAACAGAAGAACUGGUCUCUGGUUGCUAGAACCUGCUGAUGGAACAACACAGCUACAUCAACCUUUGAAAGCUAUAUCGCUUUCAAUAUUUUGACACGCUACUACCAAAUCUGAUCAGGUCUCUUUGCUCCUGGCCAAAUAUAGAAAAAGUAUACCCGUUCCUUUCUGUGUUGAAUGGCAUAAAUAAGAUGGUUACCCUGAGUGGCACACAUUUCAAUUUGAUCAAUCUCGUACAUCAAAAUUCUAGGGAGCUAAGGAACAAACAAAAAACAAAGGGAGAUGUGGUCGAUCUCGGUCGGAGGUUGGGGAUGAUAGGUGGGGGCCAUCCGUCAGCGGUGGAGCGGAGGCAUGUGUGGGAGCGGGCUGGUGUUGACGGCAGUUAGCACGCCAAAUUGUGAACCGCAAGCGCACGGAUCAGUUAUAUCUUCUCCCUCAGAGAUUCCCCCAAGGUUUAUCAAUCCACGGAACAAGGGAUUUGAACGCCUAACUAUGCACUAAUCGAUGUAACCGAAAGCUCUUUAUAUAGGAUAUGAUUAUGCUAUCAAAAGAACUAAGCAAUCUAGAUUAAGAUGGAUAGAGAGUAAAGGUUGUGGACAAGAUAGAUUAAACGCUUGUCCUAGGGAUCUAGGAUCACUUGUAGAUGCAAUCGCCAUGAAUGAGCGAAUUAGAUCUAGGUGUUAUCGUGAGUGGUUGUGAACCAUGUCAAACACUUUCCCACCCGCAAUAAUGUUACUGCACAGGGAUACUCAACUAUCGGAACAUAAGAACACCUCAAGAUGAUUAUUCUAGGUAAGCAAAUAAGCAACCCAAAGUAGCGCUGGCCAACCUUUACAUGAAAGAGCAUCAUCAAGAUAUGAUUGAUAACAAAACAGAUCUUAAACAAAGGUUCGACAAUUACAAAUCAAGAUCUUCAUACAACCAAGAGGACAAACAGAGGUAUUACCUACUUGUGGUGGUAGUGGAUGGUGUUUACAUGGUGAUUUUUCUCUUCUCCAACUCUCCUUCCUUGAAAUUCGUGAUGGGGUAUUUAUAGUCUCAAAUAGGAGGCGGCUCUGGGUCAAUGUCGGUGAAAAUACCCUAGAGAUCAUCGUAUGCUAAACACUGAAGAAACGGGAGGCCGACCGGGUCAUGGAAUGGGCUAGGCUGAUUGGUCUGGCCCUUCCUAGCACUUAUAGUCCUCUCCUUCCUUGUGCUAUCUUCCCUCGACGACCCAUGUCCAAAUAUCCAUUAAUAUCCUUAUAUAAACCCCCUUGACUAUGUCGUAUUUCCUGCCAAAAUACAAUAUGCUCCAAAACACAACACAUAUGCAAUAAUAUGGUUAUUUGAGGUGCCAAAUAGCGGGUUAGUAUAAGAAUAAGCAUGAAAACACUAAUUCAAUAGCACUAAAAGUGUAUCAAUAAUGAGCGUCAACAGCUAGCGCGGAGGGAAACGGUCCGAGGCAAGCUAGGCCAGCGGCCGGCGAGCUGGGCCAACAGAGGUGAAGCCAGCGGCCUGCUGCUGCAGCAGCUGAAAGAGGGCCCAGGCCGAAGGAAGAUGAAGGCCAGGUGGAAGAAGAACAAGAAAACAAAGAAAAAGAAGAAACUUUGCUAUUUUCAAACAGAUUCAAACAAAAUGAAUUCAAAUCUGAAAUUUGAACUCAGCAACCCAGCAACCAAAAUCAAUGCACUAGCAUGAAUGCAACAAUGCAAACCUAAGAUUCAUUAAUUAAAUUUCAGGAAAAUAUUUUAAUGCCUAAGAAAUUGAAUAAAAUCUUAGAAAAGCCUUAAAUACUUAAACAAGCUCAAACAAAUUCUAGAAAAUUGUAAUAAAUUUUUAUUCAAUUGCAAAAUUGAAAAUUUAGGGUGUUACAAAUCUUGUAUGUACGGAAAAUGUAAACAGUACAAAAAACAUCAGCAUAAUGGUGUGAAACCACCAGUUAUGCAUGAUCACAUAAAUUGUAUUAAACUAGUUUUACCAACAUUUACUUGGUCGCCAUUGUGUUGGAGCGGUUACUUGCAAGUUAAACAAGUAAUAUAAGUCCUCCAGGAAUACCAGAUCAAAAACUACGUGGUCUGCCUGGUCACCUUCUUGACUUUGUUCGUAUCACACAUAUCCUCCGCUCCUCAGGCAGGAAGCAAGCAGCUGCAUAAAUGAGAAAUGGUAUUUAGUUAGGCGAAGCAUGUGGCUGCGUGACACUGUGGUGUAUGUAAAACGAUACACGUCAUGCAUCAUACACUCAACUAACAAAUUUGACGUCUUCUCUUUGCUCUCAUCAAAAGAAAAGUAUGGCUUUCUUUUCUUUUUGCUAUUGGGAUGCAGGGUCCAAGAUGGUUACCUUUUGCAAAAAUAAAUUUUAAAUUAGGGAAUAGAGUAAAUUAGGGAGUUUCCCAGUAAUCAACAAAGUGCUCAAGAUUCUCAUGAAAAGCUUUAGAUCUAGUAAGCGAUGCCUUGUGUCUAGUGGCUAGAAGAACUUCGAGUCCACAAACUUUGGCUGAAUAUUACAAAAGAAUCUUGGAAGCAGGAGCAUAAAAAUUAUUGUACUUAGAUUGCAAGCAGGAGCAUAAAAAGUUGGGUACCACACUAGAAAUGCUGCAAUGGAUAGAAACACAUCAUGUGUUUGAUAAGGGAUUUGAGGGAUAUUGAAUAUUGUAAAGAACAUGCUUCCUAAGAAUUAUGAAUUGCCAUCCACAACAUAUGAAGCUAAACAAGUUGUUUGCCCUCUGGGAUUGGAGGUUCAAAUGAUACAUGCAUGCCCUAAUUGUAUCCUCUAUCGUGGUCAUGAAUACGAGAAAUUGGAUGCUUGUCUUAUGCACGGAGCACUGCGGAAUUAGAUCAUGCGAGAUGAUCCUGGUGAUGCUGAGGGCAGCCUCCCAAGAAGAGAGUCCCACGAACAUGAUGUGGUAUUUCCCUAUAAUACCAUGUUUGAAACAUUUGUUCAGAAACAAGGCGAAUGCUAAGUUGAUGCGAUGGCACAAAGAAGAAUGUAAGCAAGAUGACAUGCUGAGACACCCAGCUAAUGGAGCCCAGUGGAGAUAAAUUUAUAGAGCAUUCCCGGACUUUGAAAGGGAUGCAAGUAACAUAAGGUUUGGUUUAAGUAUUGAUAGAUUCAAUCCAUUCGGUGAGUUGAGUAGUGGUCAUAGUACUUGGCCUGUGACCCUAUGUAUGUUCAAUCUUCAUCCUUGGCUAUGCAUGAAGCAGAAGUUCAUUAUGAUGUGGUGCUUAUCCAAGGCCCAAAACAACCCGGCAACGACAUUGACGUGUACCUAAGACCAUUGGUUGAUGAGCUUUUACUGCUCUGUAAGGAAGAAGGUGUACGUGUGUGGGAUCAGGAUAAACAAGAGAGCUUUGUCCUACGAGCAUUGUUGUUUAUAACCAUCAAUUAUUGGCAUGCAUUGAGUAACCUUUUAGGACAACCAAACAAGGGAUACCAGGCCUGCAACCACUGUUUGGAGGAUACAGACAUCAUGUAUUUGAAACAUUGUAGGAAGGUUAUGUAUAUGGGUCAUCGUCAAUUUUUUCCUGCUAACCACCCAUUAAGAAAGAAAGGGAUGCAUUUCAAAGGGGCGCUAGACUAUAAAAAACCUGCACACCCUAAUGAAAAGCGUGUAUUUGAGAUGAUAAAGGAUGUAGUAGUCUUUAGAAAGGGUCUUGGUAGCAAACCUGUUCUGAACGAUGAUAACGGACGUGCACCCAUGUAGAAGAAGAAGUCUAUAUUUUGGGAGCUACCUUAUUAGGAAAUCCUAGAGGUCCGCAACGCAAUUAACACGAUGAACCUGAUGAAGAAUCUUUGCGUGAACAUGCAAGGCUUCCUGGGUUGUUAUAGGAACUCAAAAGAUACAUUGGAAGCAUGAUAGGACCUGAAACUUAUAAAGCAACAAGAUGACCAUUAUCCGAAAAAGAGAGAUAAAGGACAACACUACUUACAUCCUGCCAAUUACACUCUCAUCAAGGAAGAGAAGAAUAGCAUGUUUGAUUGCAUGAAUAGUAUCAAGGUUCAGUCUGGAUACUCCUCGAAUAUAAAGGGAAUAAUUAAUAUGAAAGAAAAGAAAUUCAAAAAUUUAAAGGCCCAUGACUACCACAUGUUGAUGACCCAGUUGCUUCUGGUUGCAUUGAGGGGUAUUCUACCAGAGAAUGUACGAUUGACUCUCGUAAAGCUAUGCACCUUUCUCAAUGCAAUUUCGCAGAAGGCAAUUGAUCCAACCAAGCUACUAAAGCUACAGAAUGAUGUGGUACAAUGUCUUGUCAACUUUGAGUUGGUACUUCCACCAUCCUUCUUCAAAAUUAUGAUGCACCUCCCAGUUCACAUAGUUAAAAAGAUUACUAUUCUCGGUCUAGUAUUCUUGCACAAUAUGUGAUCUUUCGAGAGGUUCAUAUCAAUCCUAAAAAACUAUAUUCUUAAUCAUGCCCGUCCAAAGCGAAGCAUCACCAAGGGAUAUGGAAUCGAAUGUCAUUGAGUUUUGUGUUCAUUUUAUUGACUCAAUUAAUUUGAUUGGGGUUCCAGUAUCACGUCACAAGGGGAGGCUACGGGGGAAGGGAACCCUUGGAAGAAAAUCAUGUUUGAACACUGAUAGUGAUUUGUUUCAUAAAGCACACUUCAUGAUUCUGCAACAAUCAACCUUGAGGGCCCCGUAUAUCGAGGAACACAACCAGAUUCUAUUUUUCCAAUACCCAAUGAAAUCCGAUGCUUGAAUUAUACGUCAUCACAUGAUUACUUUUCCCUCUUGGUUGCGUCAACACCUUAUGGGUAACUCCAUGAUUCAUGAACAACUUGUUUGGUUAGCUAGGGGAUCUUCUAGCACAAUCGUGAAAUUCCAGGGUUGCGAGAUAAAUGGUUAUAUAUUUUACUCAAGAGCUCAAGACCAAAAAAGCACUAACUAAAAUAGUGGCGUCCGUAUAGAUGUCAUAGACAGCCACAAGAGCAAUGACUUGUAUUAUGAUUUUAUAAAGGAUAUUUGGGAACUCGACUACUGACUGCUGAACAUCCCUCUAUUUCGUUGCUAAUGGGUGAAGCUGACUGGAGGUGGUGUAAUGAAAGAUCAAUAUGGAAUGACAAUAGUGGACCUGAGCAAGACUGGAUACAAAGAUGAACCAUUCGUCCUUGCUAAUGAUGUGCAUAAGGUUUUCUAUGUGAAGGACAUAUCUAGCAAACCCAAGAAUAAUUCAGAAGAUAAAGAAAAAUAAUGGGAGCCAAAGUGCCACAUAGUUCUUCCAGAUAAAAGAGUAACCGUGGGAGUCAAGGAUAAAACGGACCAGUCAAAUGAUUUUCAUCAGCUUGAUGGCAUGCCUCCAUUCGCUGUCGAAGUUGACCCAAGCAUCAUGCUAGCCAAAGAAGAGGCUCUGUACUUACGCCGUGAUCAUGACCAAGGAAAUUUGGUCAAGAAGAAAUUUUUUAAUGUUACAUUGUAAUGAUCUACGGUCAACCUUUAUGUAAUGCUCUAUGGUCAUAUGUCAGAACCUUUCUAUUAUAUUUUAGUGAUAUGAAAAACUAAUUUAUGUAAUGCACUAGAUAUGAUCAUCGAGUUUUUUGGUCAUCACAUUAUUAUUUGAUCAAAUUAUUAUGAGGUUGUGCGCGAAAUGCAAAGGGGAGGAAAUUGGGACUUCCAUCAAGAGCAAGUUCAAAAUUAUUAUGAGGUUUAAAACAAUUGAAUACACUUAAUCAUUAUCAAAUUAUUUAUUAUAAGAGUUUUUUAUCAAUAAAGUGUAGAAAUUAUUUGAUAAUUUAAUAUAUUUUUGCAUGUUCAAAAUAUUGAAUAUUACCAUUUUUCUUGGAUGAUAGAAGUACCAAAAUCAAUUUAGAAACAUAUGAAGAAAUCAACUUAAUUUAAUCAAACUGUUGGUAUAGCGUGGGAAGUGAAAUGGGAGAAUAUCGUUUAGUCCCGGUUGGUAGUAACAACAGGGACUAAAGGGGGGGCAUUUUCAUCUCCCGCGUGCCAGCCACCCUUUAGUCCCAGGUGAUAUUAUGACCCGGGACUAAAGACCCCCCCUUUAGUCCCAGUGGUAAUACCAACCGGGACUAAAGAGCGAUAUAAAUAUUCCAACCCCUUCUCUAUCCUCGGGACCUAGCCGUUUUCAUCGCCUGCCGCUCCCUUUCGUCAUCCUCGUCGCCUCCGAAGCCGCCGCAUCGCCACCGUCAUCUCCGCGGGCAUCCACGAUGAUGUCAUCAUCGCUCCCCGGCCACCGCAUCGCCACCAUAAUCUCCGUGCCCUGGUUCCCCGAUGUGACCCCCCUCCCCCACCCCAUCCCCACAGAGCGUCGCUUCAGGUGGCCCGGCCCGACACCGCACGCCGCCAUGCCGCUGACCUUGAUCUCCUUCGCCUCCGCGCCCCGCAGCUCCCCGGCGGCGCCCUCCUCCUCCCCCAACAUCGCCCUCCCGGCCUAGCGCUGUGCACCCAGCCGCAUCACCACCGUCGACCGCCCCUUCUCCUCCGGCUAGCCCCCUCUGCGAUGCUCGCGUGGCCCCGACAACGCCCCUCUUGCGCCGCCAUCCGUCGCAGCCCCCUGUGCUGCCUUCCUGAUGCCCCGACCUACCCCCACCACCCGUCAGCUGGUAAGUACGGUGCCAAUCGGGUGCUAACGCAAGCCAAAAAGGAUUGCCAUCAUCAUCUAGGGCAAGAUGGAACAUGACCUACUUGAUCGAGGUAUCGUAUCAGUGACUAUUAACUAGCCUAAUCAAUCAAAGAAUUGGUAUUACGCUCCUGGAGGCACCCUUAGCCCUGAGGAUGGGACUUGUUUUCAAUGAAACAAUAUGUGAGAAGGCCCUUAGGCUUAUCGAAAACAUUGAAGAUUCUAAAGUGGGAAAGUUCAAGCUUGAUAGAGAGAAUGAUGAGCUGACUUUAGCGCUCAGGAAUCCCGAACACCCAGGACAUUGCCGAGGCUUCGGUGUGGUUUCAAGGAAGUAGGCUUUCCAUAGGGACAUUGACACGUACAAAAGCUAGAAGAGAAGAAAGGAACAACAAGAGGAGAGGUGGCGGCGCAUGUUAGAAGCUAAAGUGCAUGAACAAGAUGUAAGAAUGUCGGAAGAAAUUAAUUGGCGAGUGGCCCUGGCAGUUAUUGAGAUGGCCCAAUCUGGAGUACUGCUGGAUCCCAACGUGGUCGUUAGCCCUUCUCAAUGCUGAAGCAACUGUGAUUCCAGAGGAGACCUCUAUGAGAAUAUGCCAAUCUUACCCAUGGUUGUGCUGGACAACCAACGGUACCUUGUGGAUGACAUCACUCAGCGCACCUCAUGUGAGCUGUAUAGACCAUUUGGCAACCUCCCUAUUAAGGUUACAUAUAUAUAAUAUAUGCAACUAUCUCAAUUGAUCCACGCCUCAAUCAGGAAUUUAAUAACUUCUUUAUUUCUCCUAUAUGUAUAGGUGGUGUACGGAAGUGCUUUACCAAUACUGCCAAGGCAAACAAGCCAUGGCAUGACGAUUCCACCUGGCUGCUCCAUUGUUGGGGAGGAGCAAAUUUUUGAUAGUAAAUAUGAAGGCCUAGAGCUCGACCUCCCGAGAGGUGAUGGGGAAAGGACACUAGGAGAUGCACUUCAUGGUAUCAUUCUAUGGUGCAAAUAUUACAUCAUCAUUCCUAGCCAGGAGGCAUCAUUUCUUCUCAUUGAUCCCCCACAACCACCAUCUCCUUAGAACUCAAGACUGUCAUCUCCAGCACAUCCAUCUCCAGGACCGUCGUCACCACCGGGACCGUCGCAUCCUGCUUGGUCACCAUCUCCAACACCAUCGAGUCCUGUAGGUGGGAGCGACAAUGAACAAAACAACCCUCCUCAAUCACCGUCUGCAGUGUUUGGACUAAAGUCUAGUGUGAGCAAGGAACCAUUUGGAACACCUCUCAAGAAGUCGCGACCACCGCCUUCCAAGCCAAGGAAGGCAGCCAAAGGCGAAAGAACCGAGGAAGCACACAAACAAGUUUGAACCUAUUAAGAAGCUAGCAGGCAAUAUGACUCUCGAGGAAUUGAAGCAGGCAUCGCAAGCACAUGUAAGGGAGAGGUUGGAAAAAAAUUGCCGCAGAAAGAAAAGCGAAGGAGAUGGAGCCUAAGCCAGUAGAUCAAGCCACUUUAAAGUUUUUUUUGCUAUGAAAAAAUAAGUCAAGAAAACGUUACCAUCGAACUACAAUCGUUCGUUAAUUAAGUCUUGGCAGAAGAAAAAACAAGGAGAGUUGUCGUCCAGUCGUACUAUCCCCCAACUCGAGGAGCAAGAUCAACAAGCAGAUCAAGAAGCUCAACAAAUAGCAGCUUUGCCUUUAGAACAAUAAAUCAAGGUCAUUAAGUUUAUGGAAGUGACAGGUCUCUCGCUUGCUAAAGUUCUAGGGCAAGAUGAACCACCACCUGUGGAAAAGACUGUACCAAAAUGGCCCUUUGAGUUAGGCAAGCCUCUAGUAAGGCCUGAAUUGGUAUGAAAGCUCACAACUAAGUUGUAUGAAUUCAAUAAGUGGUACAUGGAGCAGUUGGCCAAUGAUAGAGCAUGUUCCCUCUUCUUCUUAAACCUAUUAAUUUUUUCGGUGAAGGUGAGAAACUGAUGUGGUUGGAAUUCAAGGAUAUUUAUGAAGUGUACCAUUAAGAUGCCCUUGAUGUCUCUCUUAUCAGCGCCUGGGUUCUGUAAGUGUGUGUUAAUUAGAUGUUAAUUUUAGCUCAGCUCAUUAUUAGGUGUGUGUCGUCCCACUAACUUUGUCUUUCAUAUUAUGUAGGAUGCAAAUUCACAGGUGCCGCUGAGAAUCCUACUUCAACGUUGGCCUCAUGGACCCAACACUUGUUAACCAAAAGCAGAUACGGAAUCAUCCAAAGUCUACAUUGGAUGCAAUAUACAUAUUCUUGUAGCAACAGAAUUACAAGCGAUACAUACUACUGCCUUACAAAUUUAAGUAAGUGUGGGUACCGUCUAUUUUUGUUUUCCUUUCCUUACCUAAUUAGUAUUAGUUAGUUCUAAUAUGGACAUUUAUGUACAUAGUUACCACUGGAUUCUUCUUAUAAUUAUGAUUGAUCAAAGCAACGUUAUUAUAUUUGAUUUGUUGAGGAAAGCAAAGGGCGAGUACCAAGACAUUCAAAACAUGCUUAACUCAUAAUAAUUUUUGACCUUUAUCUCUAUGCAAAAGUUUGUUUCCUAAAGUUUCACCUAACACUGUAUCAUAUUCAUUAAUUUAAUUCACAGCGCAUGGAAACGCUGGUACAAAACUCGCCUUUAGUCCCAGUUGGUAGGGGGCAAAUCUCCCAAAAAUCCAUUUAAUUGUUGGUGUAAUAUUCACAUAUUUUGAAGGAUAAUUGUUGGUGUAACAUUCAUAUAUUUUCAAAUUACAAAUGUGACGGAUUAGUGAAGAACUCUUGGAGAAGGAUAGGCUUUUGGCAAUCCAAGAAGCUCUCAUAGAAUUUCUGGUGGAUGAGGCGAUAAAUCCUAAAGGAUCCUAAGAAUUAAGUGGACAAAUUAUUGUAUAUAUAGAUACUACUUUGAUGUGUAUUAUAUACUAAGAAUUGUAUAUAUAGUAGUUAUAAUUAAUAUUAUGCAUAUACUAUCAUGAAAUAUAUAUAUAUAUAUAUAUAUAUAUAUAUGACAUGCAUAAAAUACGAGCGUAUACGUCUUAGUGGUGUACGCUAAGGAUGUACAUGUAUAGGUAAAUAUAUAUAUAUAUAUAUAUAUAUAUAUAUAUAUAUAUAUAAAUAAAUAAGUGAAGCAACAAUUAGUGUAAUAUGGAAAAGAAUUCAUGGUAAAAAGAAAAAAGGUCUUUAGUCCCAGGUAAGUGACCUGGGACUAAAGAGGGGACCUUUAGUCCCGAAAAAUUAGUUCCGGUUGGAUAUUCGAGAGAUAUGACUCUCUCCAACUGGGACUAAUGCUCACUUUUCCAUAAAUGGUGGUUUAUUAAUUAUUGCAAUGCAAGGUGCUGUUGUUGAUAUGGUUCACAAAGAAAUUAAUAAGUGUCAUAAUCCAUUAUUUACCAAAUCACCUAAAAAAUGGUAUUAUGUAUAUGAUCCAAUUUUCCAAAACAAAAGGGACAGAGUCACGUACAACACAUCAGACCCUGCCAUGUGUGCAUAGCUGGUGCACUGUCAUAGAUCUGAAAAGUAGAAGGAUGGACCAGUGCAUCGGUCAAUCUAUUGCGCUCACACAGGAUGUAAGAGGGAGAACUUGUCAAGGUAGGUGUCGUGCACAUUUUACUUUUGGGCUCACAUAACUUGGCAUCACUCGUGAUCACACUCUUUACUUGUGAGAUAAUCAGGUCCUACACAUAUAUAUUUUUAUUGCAAGACUAGUUUCAACUUAAAACAUGUUCAACUUUUUAACAGAGUCUUUUGUUGAUUGGUAUUUUAUUAGCGUAUGGUGGGACUAGUUUUCUUUCUCAGCCUGCGUUCACCUUGGUUCAGAGUGGAUUCAAUCUUGUAAAUUAUCAGGCAUAUAUAGUCCCUUGGUAGGACAAGAAAGUGCGUAUAUAAUAAGCAAUUUAGUCAUGGUUGAUCGGAAUAAUAUCCUGAAAGGCUUUACAAACAGAUCUUAUCAUAUCUUUGCUUUGUACCUAAUGUAGCUACUACACAAUGUCCAUAUUUUCAUCUAUGAUCUAUCGCCUGAGUCACAGAAGGUUAGUGUAUCCAACAUUUAUACUUGGCAAUUUUGUUGGAGCAGUUACUUGCACGACUUAAUCUAGUGCACCCGUACCAAGAUGGGAACGGUAGCUAUCGCACAUGCUUUUGUGCUAAACAAGUAAAGCUUCUUUCAAUACAAAGUAACCACGUGAUCAGCUGCCUAGUCAACUUGACUUGUUCAUAAAUCAUACCCAUACCUGCUCCUUCUGGCACACUAAGCAGCUGCAUAUGAAAAGUAGUGGGGCUGUGAUUAAUCAUGUUUAACAAAACAAUAAUCUAUAUAAUGCUGAUCAAGUCAUUUUUAAAUAUAAAUCAUAUGAACAUUAAUGAUUUCUUGGCUUAUUCAUAUGCAGUUUACUACACUUGUUUCUUUUUAUGUUCUUGGAUGUGUGAUUACUUGAACGCAGCAUACGCAUUUAUAAUUCUCAAGUCUCCGAUACUGCAUAGUCCUGAUACUCGAACUCCUCAAAAUCCUAAACCAGGAUCAGCGUUGCCGGCCUUAAAUUCGUUUUUUUAAUGGAAAUAAUUUGACCUUUACGACUGCACACAGCCAUCAACGGCCUUAAAUUCUUGACAUCAUUUAACGUCCGCCACAGGCGCUGGCAGCGGCAACUUCUCGUGUCCACCUCAUCGAGAAGAUCCUGUACUGAUCGACUCGGCCCCUACGCCUCGCACAGUUUGUAAGUCAUGCGUGUCUACCGUCACCUGGCGGCUUGCGAGACCCGUCUUGCACUUGUUCAUUGACGCGCUCGUACGUCUCCACCAUUCUGUAGCUAGACAACCUGUUCAUUUCCAAUUUUUAUCUCGAUGGUGAACAGGGCCAAGGUGACGCUGGGCAAUGGUAGUUGUUUUUUUAUUUUAUGUGCCGAGGAAGCACGCACGGGUAGAGAACCCGGUAUUAGUCCCGGAUGGGGGGACGUAAAUCUCCCCAAAAACCAUCCGAGAUAAAGUAAUCGAGACAAAAAGGAGGUCUUUUAUCCCGGAUCCCUCAACCGGGACUAAAGAAUCCCUUUUAUCCUGGUUGGAAAUACCAACCGGGAUAAAACGGUCGCCAUGUCAGGGGCAGCCCCCGCCUAUCCGGUUGGUAUUAGCAACCGGGACUAUAUGGUUUUGCAAAAAAAAAUGCAAAAAAGGAAAUCCCGGGGGGAGGGGGGGUCCUUGGGAGGCCGCCCACACACGCAUGCUCCAAGUCACAAGUCAUAUGUCACGUGAUUUUUCACGCGAAAUAUGCGCGUGCGCGCAAUAAGUUGUCACACACAAAUCAAAACAACCAGUUGCAUGCAGGCUACCAGAAACCCACAUGUUAAAUAUAUUCAUUCUUCUACAUAUCUGGAUGCACAGAAAUAUUGAUUUAUGUAACAUCACAUCAUGAAUAUACAUACUUCAAGAAAUUUUAUACAAGCUCCAUGCAGUUUACUUCAGUUUUCCAGAGAGAGCAGGGUACAGAUCGCAGGCACACAAUAUGCAAGUAAUAAGCACUCACCAUUUAUUUUAUUGAUCGUAGCAUAUAGAAACUCAAAACAUGUAGCAAUAUGCAAAACGCAUACAAAGCAGACACUCAGUAUAACAAAGCCAAAACACUAACUACAUUUAGUUGUGGUUAUUCUCCCAGAAUUGAGCUUGGAGCCAAUCAAUUGUGCCCUUUUGCACCUGGAAUGCCUUGGCCAAGACAUCAUCUGAGAUCGGUGGCUUUGAUCCAAAAACCGCAUUUGCGAUGGUAAUAGCCCCAGGGUUCUGGCUGCUGAGCGCGGCAAUAGCAACUGCUGGCUUGUGAGGGUUUGGGUUGAACUGGAAGUGGAUGAGCCCUUGUGGGAAUACAAACACAUCACCCUUGUUGAGAACCUUGGCAAACAGUUUGUUUGGGUUGGAGGUGACAAAUCCGACGUACAGGGUCCCCUCGAGCACGGUGAGGAUCUCUGUGGCACGUGGGUGGGUGUGUGGUGGAUUCUGACCUAACGGCGCAUAGUCAAUGCGGGCCAAUGAGAUGCCCAGUGUGUUGAGUCCAGGCAACUGCAUGACAUUGAUCAAAGUGACAUUGGAUCCAACCUUGCUCUUCGUGGUGUCCAUAGGCUUAUCAAGGUUGGCUGCCUUGAAGAAGUCAUCUGCGUUCACGGCCAUGGGGUCCUUGCAAACAAAUCCAUUGACCUUCACUGCAAAUAUAGAUGAAAGAAAAUUGGUAAACACAUAUUAGAAAUUAUUGGAGGCAGUAAAUAAAGAUGCUUUUUGUAUGUAGAUGUAUGUUAACAAAUGAUUUUUUUGUGAUCAUAUAUAGAUUUGGUUAAGGAACACAUAAUGAUUUGAAGCAACUGCGUUCGUACCAGGAGAGUGUAUGUCGGCAACACAAAAGUCCUGGAGCGGGCCAGGGUCGGAAGCAAUGGCUUGAGAAGUGACCAUUGCUAGAAAAGCUGCGAGCAGAAAGUAGGAGGCAGCCAUUUGAGUUUGUCUCAGCUUUUGUGUUUGAGCUCUGAAGUAGACUAUUCAGCUGCUUGUGAUGGUGUAUGUCUUGUUGAUGCUUUGGGCAUGGAGAUGGUGGGCUUAUAUAGGCUGCCACAGAAAGUGGCAACAUGAAGUUGACGACUGAACUAGUCUCGCUAUGUUGAACGUACCAAAACAGAAGAAACGGUCUCUGGCUGCUAGAAUCUGAUGAUGAAACAACGCAAUAAAAAUUUAAAGCCGGUAACUAAUUCCUUGAUGUGUAGUGGUUUAAUUAUUUGUUAAUUGUUACCACGCAAGGUACUGCUGCUGAUACGGUUCAGAAAGAAAGCGCCCUCGUCCAUUAUUUACUUAACUAACUGCCACAGAAAAGUUGAAAUAUGGAGAUGAUCAACUUUCUAAAGCAAACUGACAGGGUCACACGAUAUGAGCCCUGCACAGGCGCGUAGUUGGUGCACUAUGAUAGUUGUGAAAACUAGAAAAAUGGUAUGGUGCAUCCCGGUCAAUCUGUGCUUGCACACACACAUACGUACAGAAUUAAAGAGUCGACAGUGCAAAGGUGUUUAUUUUUAGAUUAAUUCACUUUGUAUACUCAUACAAUAAUCAGUCUCCCUAUCGUCAUUCAUGAUCACCUCAUCUUUUUUACUUUUGAGUUGAUCAGGCACGGCUUCUAUCGCUACUAGAUAAGAAACAGUUAUCUGCCUAUUCAACUCCUUGACUUGUUCAUAUCACACACAUAUCAUCACACCCGUAUAGGAAACUGCUGUUUAAUUUAGGCCAAGUAUUCGGGCGUUGCUAAGUGGUUUAUUUGCUAUGACUUAAGAACUGCAGGAUCAGGUGAUGGCUAAUAAUGCUCUAGAAGCAUAGAUCAUUAUUUAAAAUACUGAUCAGUACUAGAUAAUACAAAAAGUAUUUUGCAUUAAAUCUCAAAACCAUGAACAGAUGUCUAUCCACAUAAUAAUUAUUUCUCCGUUAAUCUUAAUAUACUGGUUUUAACUUAAAAAGAAAACAUGAUCACCAACUUUUUGUUUACUGAGUCUAUGCUUGAUACUUUAUUAGUGUAUGGUGGGACGGCUGCUGCUUAGUGAUUCAAGAUGGUAAGCAUUAAUUUUAAAAAAAUGUAGAAGUUUAGAUUAUGGAGUAAUGUUCAUAAAAGAUAUUUCCAUUAAUCACUACAGUGCUCGAGAUCCAAAUGAAAAAUGUUGAAGCUGGUAAAUGAUUCUUUUAUGCGUAGUGGUUUGUCAAUUGUUACCAUCCACGGGCAUUUUAUUGAUUCGAUUCAUAAAAAAAGUGUCAUCCAUUAUUUAGUUAAUUAACUGAUAGAAAAUUGAAAUAUGAAGAUGAUUUAGUUUUCUAAAACAAAAUAGAGUCACACAAGAAUUAUAAGAAUGGCAUAUGAGCAGCUUGUGGACUGUGAUAGUUGCGGAAACUAGAAAAAUGGUAUGGUGCAGUGCAAAGGUCAAACUAUGCUUGCACUCACCUAAAUAAGAGGAAAAAGAUGAAUAUAUAUAUACAGUAUAUAUAUAUUUAAAAUCAUGAAUGUGUCUAUCCACAUAACGAUUAUUUCUGUGUUAAUAUUACUAGAAUAUAGUUUUAACUUAAAGAGAAUACUUGUGCAGUUUUUUUUUUGUUAGCGUGUGGUAUGUGGGAUGGGUUUUCUUUCUUGCUCUGCAUCUAUGCCUAGGCCCAUAAAGUGGAUUCAAUUUUUAAGGCAUAUACAGGUCCCUUUGGUAGAAGAAGCUGGAUUAAGCGUGUAGCUGGUGGACUGUGCUGCAUGGUGUAAACUAAUUACGAAGAAAUGAUGUUGCCUCUGUCAAUUUAGUUACGUAUGCAUUCAAAAAGAAAAUCCCACGUCAUGGAGCACUUACAAACAAACCUUAUAAUAUCUAUGCUUUGUACCUAACACAGCUGGUAAAAAAACUCAAGGUUAUUGUCAUCGAUGAUCACUUGGGUCAUAGAAGAUCAAGGUUUCCAUUACCAUGAUGAGGAGGGUAGCUGUCGCACAUGCUUGCCUAUUGAACAAUACCAGGUCAGUAACCAUGUUAUUGGCCUAGUCAACUUCUUGACUUGUUCAUAUCAUACAGUUACCUGUUCCUAAGCGGCUGGAUCUCUUUUCUUACAACACUAUAUAUAGUUUAUACUAUACUUGACCUGAAGACACUACGGGAAAGCUAGAAAUUGCCGAGUGUAUUUUUUUUGCCGAGUGUUUUUUUUCGAGCACUCGGCAAACAAGCUCUUCACCGAGUGUCAAGCCAAAAACACUCGGCAAAUAAAAAACACUCGGCAAAUCGGGGCUUUGCAGAGUGUCAAAUAAAAAACACUCGGCAAACCACCCUCUUUGCCGAGUGUCAAAAAAAACACUCGGCAAAGAGGGGAAUUUGCCGAGUGUCAAAAAAGACACUCGGCAAAGAGGGGGGUUUGCCGAGUGUUUUUUUUUGACACUCGGCAAAAAAAUAAUUUUUUCCCUCUUUUCACCACGAAAUUUUUUCUACUCCCCACAUACAACAUGUGGUACUCCAUGUUAAAAUUUGGUAUAUUUUUGGAUUUAUUUGCUAUAUUUAUUUAAUUAAUUGCAUUUCAAGGAAAUUUUUGGUAUAAGUCAAAUUUGAACUGCAGGUGAUUCAAAUUAUGGAACAAAAUGAGUAGAAAAAUGAUAUUCAUGUUAUUUGGCCCAAUUUGAGACCUGACCCAUGAAAUGAAAAGAAAUUUCGAACAUCUUGUUCAAGAAACACGACCAUGAACGUGUGGCAGUAGUAUUUUUAAAUUGUAAAAAAAACAAGCAAAGUCUGAAAAUCAUGAGAUUUGUCAUGAUGUGAUGAUAUAAUACGUGGAGGCUAUGAAAAAAAAUUGAGAAGGUUUUGCAUAUUUCAUCAUGUACAAUGAUUACAAACCAAAGCAUCUCAGAACAAGAAUAGUAAUUUUGAGAAGAUUCGAUAAGAUUUAGAGUCGAAGUGACGGUCGAGUUUGGUUUGACUACAAAACUUUUUGUAUAGUCAACAGAGAACAUAUAUUGAUUCGUGUGAAAAUUUGGUAUUUUUUUGAAACUGUUGGAUAUUUUUUAAUUUUUUUUCAAAAAAAAUUUGCCGAGUGUCCUAUGGUGGACACUCGGCAAAUAAACCGUUUACCGAGUGUCCACAUAGGACACUCGGCAAACAGACGGCCCACCACAAAACAAACCCCCCCGGUCCCCUCCCCCCACUCUCCUCUCUUCCCCGCACGCCUCCUGCCGCCGCCGCCGCACGCCCCCCCGGCCCCCUCCCUCCAGCGCCCCCCCCGGCCCCCUCCCCUCCCUCUCCCCCACGGCCCCUUCCCCUCCCUCUCCUCCGGCGGACGCCAUCUCCCUCCCCCGGCCCCCUCCCCUCCCUCUCCUCCGGCGGAUCCAGGGCGGCCCCGGCCCCCUCCCCUCUCCUCCGGCGGGUCCCUCCCCUCCCUCCCCUCCGUCGAGCCGCCCCUCGAGGCCGGAUCCGGCGGAGGCCAUGGUGGGCGGGGGGUGUGGUGGCCCCUCGGGGCCGGAUCCGGCGGUGGCCGGCCGCCACUCCUUCCCCCGGCGGCCGCCCCCUCCCCGCGCCCCUCCUCGGUGAGAUCCGGGCGGCGGCCCCUCCUUCUCCCUCUCACCGGUGAGAUCCGGGCGGCGGCCCCCUCCUUCUCCCUCCCCCUCCCUCUCCGGCCGCCCUCCCCCACCGGUGACAUCCGGCGGCCGGGGCCGCCCCUCCCUCCCUCCCUCCCUCCCCCAACGUCGAGAUCCAGGGACGGAGGGGACGGCGGCGGCGCGAGCUGGGGGAGGAAGACGACGGCGCGCGUGGGCAGGGGCGGAGGGGACAGCGGCGGCAGGGGCCGGGGGAGGGAGAUGGCGGUGGCGGUGGCGCAUCCAUGGAGGGGGAGGGAGAUGGCGGCGUGGGCCAGGUGGAGGGUGAUGCCUGCCAUGGAGGUUCAGCAGGCGGUGACGACCGGCGGCGGUGGCACCGGCGGCUACGUCGAGUUCCUGGUAAGGUGCGCGGAGGGGCUCCUCUCGGCGCUGGGCAAGGUCUGGGGAGCCCUCUAGGACGUGCUCACCGUCGCCGUCGUCAUGGAGUACACCGUCGGUAAGCCUGUACGCCGCCGUGUAUCGCAGUUAGUUGCAGAGAUCGAUGACGGCGAUGGCGUGUGGCCGGCAGUGGCGGCGGCGGCGGCCAGUGACUAGUUUUUUUUCUAUUUUUUUGUGAAAUUAUUGCCGAGUGUUUUUUGGGCACUCGGCAAAGCUUUUGCCGGGUGCCCGGCAAAAAACACUCGGCAAAGUUUGUUUGCCGGCAGGAUUUUUACCGUGUGCCCAUUGCCAAGUGUUACACUUGGUAAAGGGUUCGCCGAGUGUUUUUGGGGCUUUGCCGAGUGCCCCAGGCACUCGGCAAUGUUCCGGUCUCCCGUAGUGAGAGAAAACAUGUUCAUUUUUUCAAAGAUUCAAUUCUAUAGUUGCUUGAUACUGUAACAGAGGAGGCUGUGGCAGGGUCUAUUUCUUGAUUCACAGCCUAGGUGUGGUAUGGUUGACUAGUCAAUGGGACUCCAUCUGACUAGGUGCUUUGAAUAUCUUGUGUAUUUUCCCUAGCUCUAAAAAUGUACUCCUUUCGUUUUAAAAUAUAUGAAAUUUUAUAAACUAUGUGAACUAAUAUAAAUAUCUUGUCCUAAACACCGUGCAUUUCAAAACAUAGUACUACUGUUUGCACAUCAAUUGUCUAAAUUUGCUGGUAUGGAUGUUCCUUUUAAAACAUUGGUGUUAUUAGUUAGAUAUAAAAUUCUGCUCCUUGCGCGUUGUUGCAACUUGCAACCACAUUGUCCGUGGGCAAUUAUAGGAUAGGUAAUAAAGAUCUUUGUUAUUUUUGGGUUAAUUUAUAGGAACUAAAGCACAAUUAGAACUAAUGAUUUUAGAUGAUUUUAAUGGUGAUUUCUUCCUUCACUAUGUAAGAGGGUUUACGAGUACACUAUCAAAUAUUUGAAUAAUUGAAUGGCUAAUCCUCCUUCAAAUGGUCCUUUCAUUAUGUGAAGUACAAUUACAGAAGUUGUACUAAUCAUGUUGGACACACUAGCAAAUCUGGCUUGUUUUAUUUGCACUUACAACGUAACACUUACUCCCUCCGUCCCAAAAAGAAUGCAACUCUCACUUCUCGAGGAGUCAAACAGUUUCAAGUUUGACUCCAAAUAGAUUUAGUAUAAAAAUAUAUUACAUGAUUGAUCUAUUGAUAUUUGUUUUGUACCAUAAAUGUUAGUACUAUUUUGCAUAAAUUUGGUCAAAUUUAAAAUUGGUUGAGUUCUCAGAAAGCGAGAGUUGUAUUUUUUUUGGAUGGAGGGAGUAUUUCCUUUCUUUUUCUAGCACAUGAGAUUACUUGGCCGCAGCAUAAUUCGCAAGUCUCCGAUGCUGCGUGUGGUCCUGAUAAUCAGACCCCAUUUGUCAAUAUCUUGAAGCAGGAGCAGUGCUAGCGGCCUGUCGAAAUGUCGACAUCGUUCAAAACGCAGCCGAUCAAAGACAAAAAACUGUUACUUCAGCCAAGCACCGGAACCAGUUUGUUGCACAAGCUUGUCUUCACAAUUCUAGACAACCUGUUUAUGUUCCAGUACGUGUUCUAUUUCAGUGCAAGCAUCAUCUCUCCAUCCCAACUGAGCCAUAAUCUGCAAGGACACCAGAGCGACCAGAGGAACGGGAGGUUUCAUUUGAGCACGGCUUCGAUCAGUUUCAUGGGCUAAAAUCUUGCGUGUAACAGGCUUCAUGUUUCGUGGCAAUAAUAAGUUUUUUGCGGGUAUAAGGACAAUAUAAUAAGUUGAGGUACAAGUCAAGACAAUCUGUGUUGAAGAAAAAUAUUGUUUACAAUAAUAUCCAAAGAAGACAUAUAAUGGUACAACAACUCGCAGGCACACAUUAACAAGAAGUCAGUAGUACCUAACACUCGCCAUAUAUUUUAUAAAUCGUAGCAUAUAAACUUAAAACAUGUAGUUAUAUGCAAGAUUCAUAUAAAGAAAACUCUCGGUACAACAAACCUAAAACAUUGAUUACUUAGUUGUGGUUAUUCUCCCAGAAUUGAGCUUGGAGCCAAUCAAUUGUCCCCUUUUGCACCUGGAAUGCCUUGGCCAAGACAUCAUCAGAAAUUGGUAGCUUUGAUCCAAAAACCGCAUUUGCGAUGGUAAUAGCCCCAGGGUUCUGGCUGCUGAGCGCGGCAAUAGCAACUGCUGGCUUGUGAUGGUCUGGGUUGAACUGGAAGUGGAUGAGCCCUUGUGGGAAUACAAACACAUCACCCUUAUUGAGGACCUUUGCAAAAAGCGUGUUGUUUGGGUUGGAGGUGACAAACCCAACAUAAAGAGUCCCCUCGAGCACCGUGAGGAUCUCAGUGGCACGGGGGUGGGUGUGCGGUGGGUUUUGACCUAAGGGUGCAUAGUCAAUGCGAGCUAGAGAGAUGCCUAGAGUGUUGAGACCAGGGAGCUGCAAGGCACUGAUCAAUGUGACAUUAGAUCCCACCUUGCUAUGCACGGUGUUCCUAGGCUCGUCAAGUUUAGAAGAAGCCAAAUAGAUACACAUAGAUCAGAAACUAGGUAGCGCAGAAGAUUAGAAGUUCACUGUAUGCAUAAAGAACGAAGAAGGAAAAUAGAAACAGGAAGAUGUGCACUCUGACAUAAGAGCACUUGUUUUGAUUCGUGUUUACUACAUUAACAUCAAAACAUGCAUUAAACUAAGCCAGUGUUCAUGCAUAUACCAGGAGAGUGCUUGUCAGCUACACAGAAGUCCUGGAGUGGGCUAGGAUCGGAAGCAUUAGCCUGGCAAGCGACCAAUGCUAGAAACACAGCAAGAAGGAAGUAGGAGGGGGCCAUUUUUGUUUCUCCUCGUGCUUCUUUGUCGGUGCUUUUCGCAGUAGGCUAACCAGCUGCUUGUGUUUGUUUUCUUGAUGCUUUGGUGAGGAAGAAGGGGGAUGGAUGUGUUUAUAUAGCCACAGCAGGUAGCAUCGUGAACUUCUGAACAACUGAGCAAGUCACACGUUGAACCGGCCAACAGAAGAACUGGUCUCUGGUUGCUAGAACCUGCUGAUGGAACAACACAGCUACAUCAACCUUUGAAAGCUAUGUCGCUUUCAAUAUUUUGACACGCUACUACCAAAUCUGAUCAGGUCUCUUUGCUCCUGGCCAAAUCUAUAAAAAGUAUACCCGUUUCUUUGUGUGUUGAAUGGCAUAAAUAAGAUGGUUACCCUGAGUGGCACACAUAUGAUGGUUACCCUUUUCAAUUUGAUCAAUCUCGGACUUCAAAAUUCUAGGGAGUUAAGGAACAAACAAAAAACAAAGGGAGAUGUGGUCGAUCUCGGUCGGAGGUUGGGGAUAACAGGUGGGGGCCACCCAUCAGUGGUGGAGCGGAGGUGGGUGUGGGAGCGGGCUGGUGUUGACGGCAAUUAGCAUGCCAAAUUGUGAGAAAAUUGAAAUAUAAAGAUGAUUUAGUUUUCUAAAACAAAACAGAGUCACACAAAAAUUAUAAGGAUGGCAUAUGAGCAGCUUGUGGACUGUGAUAGUUGCAGAAACUAGAAAAAUGGUAUGGUGCAGUGCAAAGGUCAAACUAUGCUUGCGCUCACCUAAAUAAGAGUAAAAAACGUGCAGAAAUCUAUUGUUACUUCCUAAUAUCUGCACAUUGUACCUCAUACAAAGAACAAUUUCCCUGUACUCAUGUUCACCUGAUACCAAGAAGGCAUGCAAGAACAGCUCGUAGAGGGGCAGCUGCCACACACGAUUUACUUUUGAGUUAAUCAGGUAAGCUUCCAUCCAUGAGCUCGAGUGCCCACUUUGAGAUCUGUCCCACGGCGUCACGGUUGUGGACGAUCUCCCCUAGCAGGUAUGAGGUGACGACCAUGACCUCGUGGUCGGUGAAGUAGUGCAGGAGCUUCUGGGUCGCCAUCAGCACGGCGUACAGAAGCUUCUGGACUUGGGGGUAGUGAACUUUGACGUCGACGAGUACCUCACUAACAAAGUACACCGGUCGUUGGACCUUCAGCGUGUGUCCCGACUCCUCCCUCUCGAUGAUGAGGGCAGCGCUGACCAUGUGGUUGGUGGCCGCAAUGUAGAGGAGGAGAGGUUCUCCCCUUUCGGGGGCGACGAGGAUUGGGGCUGACAUCAGCGACGCUUUGAGGCUUUCAAAGCCUGUUGUGCCUCCUCCGUCCAAAUGAAAGUGUCUGUUUUCUUGAGAAGUUUAUAGAGAGGCAUCCCCCGUUCGCCUAGUCGGAUGAUGAACCGGCUUAAGGUGGUCAAGCAACCAUUUAGCCUCUGUACGCCCUUGACAUUGCGUACGGGGCCCAUGUUGGUGAUGGCUGUGAUCUUUUUGGGGUUGGCUUCGAUGCAGCGCUCUGGCACGAUGUAUCCAACAGCUUCCCCUUUGGAACCAUGAAAAUGCAUUUCUCCGGAUUUAGUUUGAUGCUAAACCUUUGGAGGUUCGUGAAUGUUGCGGCUAAGUUCUCGAUCAGGUCUCUUGCUUGAGCCGUUUUUACUACUAUGUCGUCCACGUAGAUGGCAAUAGUAGGUUUUGGCCGCUCGACUUGGUUGGGCUGGUCGGGUGGAUCGAUUUGAUCGGCGAAGCAUCGCUGCAUGCACCAUUGAUAGGUGGCACCCUAUGCCUCUCGUCAUCAAAACAAUGCAGGCGUUGCUUGAUGGGCUUUGAGCCCGGGGAGAUGCGUAGUGUGUGCUCGGCGACCUCCCUCGAUAUGCCCAACAUGUCAAAAGAUUUCCAUGUGAAGACAUCCCGGUUUGCGCACAGGAAGUCGAUGAGCUAACCUUCCUGUUUGGUUGGGAGCUGGGUCCCGAUCCGCACUGUCUUGGUCGGGUCAUUGGGGUCGACCUCCACCGCCUUGGUUACCUCAAUCGGACGUAUGAAGCUCGUGGAGGUCGGCUCGUUGUAGUCAGGGACUGCCGGUGCGGCCGCAUUCCCGAGCUUCGGGAGCUCGGCGGAGUUGACGAUGCUAGUGGCGAGCUCAUAGUGCUCGCGGUCGCAUGUGUAGGCGUGCGAGAAGGUGCUACCCACGGUGAUGACAUCGUUCGGUACUUGCAUCUUCAGCUUGAGGUAGGUGUAGUUCGGGACCACCAUGAACUUGGCAUAGAAUGGUCGCCCCUAGAUGGCGUGGUAGGACCUCGGAAAUUCCACCACCUCGAAGGUCAGGACCUCCGUGCAGAAGUUGGCACGGUCACCAAACAUGACGGGCAGGUCGAUCUGCCUGAGUGGGUACACCUGCGCCCCUGGGAUCACGUUGUGGAAGGGAGAGCUCAUAGGACGGAGCUCCGACCAGGGGACGUGCAUGGCAUCGAGGGUCUCGACGUACAGGAUGUUGAGGCCGCUGCCUCCAUCCAUCAGUACCCUGGUGAGGCGCUUCUUGUUGACGAUGGGGUUGACAACGAGUGGGUAGCGACUCUGUUGGGGAAUGUGGGAAAGAUGGUCACUCUGAUCAAAUGUGAUCGUGGAGUCCGACCAGCGAAGGAAAGAGGGGAUGGCUUACUCGGCGGCACAUACCUCUCGAUAGUGCACCUUGUGCUGGCGCUUGCUGUGGUCGGCGUCGGGCCCCCUGAAGAUCAUGAGGCAUCCCUUAGGGUCGGGGAAGCCGUCUCCAUCCUUGCCUGUGGCACCCCCCCUUCUGGCCACGUCCUCCUUGCCUUUCCCCUCCUUGGGUUUGGCAGCUUGCUGCAGGAAGCGCUUGAGGAGCUCGUAGUCCUUGUAGAGGUGCUUGACGGGGUAGGCGUGGUUGGUGCACGGGCUCUCCAUGAGCUUGUCGAAGUGGUCGAGUUGGCCCUGUUGGGGCUACUUGCCUAGGCGCUCGGUCACGGCGGCCAGGGUUGGGUUGGUCAGGUGGCGCCAGUCCUUCUUGUUCUUCUUGCUCUUCUGUGUGGAGGGGCCCUCAUCCUGGACCUCACGCUUGGCCUUGCCCUUGUCCCGACCGCCGCUGAAGACCACCCCGACCACCUCCUCAUCGAAGGCGUGGUUCGUGGCAAUGUUGAGCAGGUCACGGGUGGUCCGGGGCUUCAUGCAGCCAAGCUUGUGGACCAGGGACUUGCAGGUCAUCUCGGAUAGGAAUGCGUUGACGAUGUUUGCGUCAACUACAUCAGGAAGGGAGUUGCACUACCUAGAGAACCUGCAGAUGUAAUCCCGCAGGGACUUGUUGGGCUCCUGCUUGCAACUGUUGAGGUCCCAGGUGUUCCCGGGACGGACGGACGUCCCCUGGAAGUUCCCGACAAAGACCUUCUUAAGGUCCGCCUAGUCGUGGAUGCUAUUGGGUAGAAGAAAUUCGAGCCAUGCCCGAACAAACUCUCCUACGCAGAUGGGGAGGUACUGGAUGAUGAAGUAGUCAUCAUCCGCUCCACUGGCUUGGUAGGUGAGCCGGAAGUCUUCAGGCCAUACACCGGGGUUCAUCUCCCCAGUGUACUUGGUGAUGUUGAAGGGCAGUCGGAAGCGCUGUGGGAAUAGCGCUUUCUGGAUGCGGCGACCAAAGGCCCCUGGUUCCGGGCUGUCCGGGCUGGGGCUCCGGUCGCUGUACCAGUCGCUCGAUCGCCCGCCACACCUAGGGUGCACCUCUUCAUACUCCUCGACCGGCCUGCAAGGUGGAAGUAGAAGAAGAAAACAAAGAAGAAGAAGAAACUUUGCUAUUUUAAAACAGAUUCAAACAAAAUGAAUUCAAAUAUGAAAUUUGAACUCAGCAACCAAAAUCAAUGCAACACCAGGGAUGCAACAAUGCAAACCUAAGAUUCAUUAAUUAAAUUUUAGAAAAAACAUUUAAAUGCCUAAGAAAUUGAAUAAAACCUUAGAAAAGCCUUAAAUCCUUAAACAAGCUUAAACAAAUUCUAGAAAAUUCUAAUAAAUUUUUAUUCAGUUGCAAAAUUGAAAAUUUAGGGUGUUACAAGUCUUGUAUGCACAAAAAAUGUAAACAGUACAAAAACAUCAGCAUAAUGGUGUGAAACCACCAGUUAUGCAAGAUCACAUAAAUUGUAUUAAACUAGUUUUACCAACAUUUACUUGGUCGCCAUUGUGUUGGAGUGGUUACUUGCAAGUUAAACAAGUAAUAUAAAUCCUCCAUCAAUACCAGAUCAAAAACUACGUGGUCUGUCUAGUCACCUUCUUGACUUUGUUCGUAUCACACAUACCACGUGCUCCUCAGGCAAGACGCAAGCAGCUGGACAGAUGAGAAAUGGUAUUUAGUUAGGCGAAGCAUGUGGCUGCGUGCCACUGUGGUGUAUGUAAAACGAUACACGUCAUGCAUCAUCCAGUCAACUAACAAAUUUGACGUCUUCUCUUUGCUCUUAUCAAAAGAAAAAGUAUCCCUUUCUUUUCUUUUUGCUAUUGGGAUGCAGGGUUCAAGAUGGUAACCUUUUGCAACCAUAACUUACUUGCUCCUUCUGAGGCAAUAAUAAGCAGCUGCAUAUCAAAAUUAAGUGCUGUUUAGUUGGGCCAUGUAUAUAUGACUGCUGUGGUUAAUCAUGUUCAACAAAUUAAAAUAACUAAUCUAUAUAGUAAACUAUUUCCUCAAAAACUAAGUAACUUUCAAGAGAAUGUUUAAAAUAGAUGAUAUGGACAUACAGUUGUUCAUCAAAUUAAACACAUUAGUAGUGCCUACAUUAUUUCACUAAAUCAACUACAGAUAAGCAUCUCCUUCACCUACCUAUAUCUUUUCUUAUAACAAUAUACUUUCCUUGCAAACAAGUAAUUUCUAGACAAUGUUACAUAUAAAUUUAAUGAACAUAUAAUAACAUUUAUUAGUUGAGCAUACAGUGGUUUGUUUUAUCUGUUGGAGAUAUAUCUCCAAGCUUUGAAAACAUAACCCCUGAAUAUAGAGACAGGGCCUCGAGGACUUGACUCCUAGAUACAUAGAUUUGGAGCCCUCAACAUACUGGCUAAGUCUAGGUCCCGAAUAGGACUCCUAAUACUAAGUCUUAUCCUGAAAUGGAGUUCUAGAGACUAAAAUCUAGGGCCUGAACACGACUUCAAGAGACUAAGUCCGGGCCCUCAACAUACUCCAAACUGAGUUAAACAGGACUAGCAUAUUUGGGCCCAAAACAUACUCCAGAUCAACACUAUGGGAAAUCUCUAAUUUGCCGAGUGUAUUUUUAUUUGCCGAGUGUAUUCCCUCGGGCACUCGGCAAAGAGCUCUUUGCCGAGUGUUUCGUGAAAAACACUCGGCAAAGUAAUGACACUCGGUAAAUCAAGGCUUUGCCGAGUGUUUUAUUUUUAACACUCGGCAAACAAAAGGUUUGCCGAGUGUUUUAUUUUUUACACUCGGCAACAAGUUUUUUUCUCUCAAAUAAAUGAAUUUUUUUUUUGCCGAGUGCCCCAAUCGGGGACACUCGGCAAACCUGAAAAUAUCCUACGUACGUAACCCACCGCGCCCCCUUUCCUCCGCACCCGGCCCACCAGGCCACCACCCCCUGAGCCCCACUCCGCACCCUCCCCCCCGAGGCUCCCCGUCUCCUCCGACCUCCCCUCCCUGCCCCCUCCCUCCUCUCCCUGCCCUCCCCGCCGGUGGCCGGAUUUUUUUUUUGAAAAAUUGGUUGCCGAGUGUUUUUUGGCCACUCGGCGAAGUGUUUGCCGAGUGCUUGACACAAAACACUCGGCAAAUCAGCAUUUGCUGACAGAUUUUUUGCCGUGUGUCAUAUGCCGUGUGUAACACUCGGAAAACGCUUUGCCGAGUGUUUUUCAGGCUUCGCCGAGUGCCCCUGGCACUCGGCAAAGUCCCGAUGUCCGGUAGUGCAAGUCCAGAGCCAUUAACACACUCCCAUACUAAGUUUGGACCCCAAACAGGACUCCUAGAGACUAUGUCCAGGGCCUCAACACCCAGAGACCAAGUCUGGGCCCGGAAUAUGACUCCUAGAGACCAAGACUGGGCCCGGAACAGGAUUCCCAGAGACUAUGUCGAUCCAGGCCCAUAAGUGGAGGCCCGGGGGCUCGUCGACUGGAUGUAUAUAGGGCGCAUAGCGGCCCUAAAGAAGUAUAAUUAAAUCAUGUGUCUUACAUAGGGCGCUCAGCGUCCUGGUGAAGGCCCAUCAAAUGGCGAGAAAUAGUGGUUACAUAUUACCAGCGCAAUAGUGGUUACAUAGAUUUUUUUGAGUCAGAAAAUGAAUUCCUACACAAUAGUGGUUACAUAUUACCAGCGCAUUAAAAUGGCUAAUGUAGCAUUGUAAUUUGUGAAGAUAUAAAGACAUAAUCACACAUAUGGUAAAAGAUAAUGGCUAAUUGGUGGAUCGAUCGCAAAGGAAAUUGAGGCGCACCAUUCAAACCAUGCAUGGACUCAUGUACGGAAGAGUUGACGGUGCCGAUAAUGACACUAACAUUACAACGACCAUUGCUUAAUAUAAUAUCCUUACACUGCACCUAACCCAAAGUAACAAACAUUGAAACACAUUAGUCACUAAACACAUAUAAUACUAGUGUUCCCAAGUUGUCUCUCAUGCUUAAUUCGGUCUUACGCAUCGGAUGAUGCAAUUGGUCACCAACAGCUGCAGGAAACCCACACCUGCGUUAACUACUAUACCAUUAUUUCCUCACGGCCAUGAACUUCGAAGUGUAUGUGCCUGACGACAAGGGGAUGCUGGCCAGCGAUCAUGCGCUGUUCUUGAGCCCAGAGUGGUUGUCGUUCGUGGUGUGCCGGUCCCAGAUGGUCGGUUGCAAGAGCAACUACUACAUCUAUUCGUUGGUUGUUCACGCAUCGACGACGCCCAGAGAAGCUAGGGUGUGUACUGCAUGGAGGAAGGCCAGGGAGAUUCUACUUGACCAGGGCCUCAGACCUUUAGUGGGCCUGGAAAACGCUGCGCGGCACAUAUGCUUUGCUAUCCCUAGAGCUAGGGCAUGUACAAUAACUUGUUUCAUUCAAAAGUCAAAAGUUGCAGGUUCAUUAUAAACUCACAUGCUACAACAUUUAUUUUCAUAGAUAAAACCGGGUCCAUAAGUUAAUUUUAUAUAAGCUUCCCGUACAUGAAUAUAUGUAUCCCAAACAGGACAGUACAUCUCGUAGGCACACAGCAACAGUAGCAGUAUAUAAAUACUGCCAUUUAUUUUACAUAACUUUCAGAUUGUAGAAACUAGAAACAAGUAGUUGUUUGCAAAAUGCAUGUCAACCAAACUUUCCAUACAAAGAAACCCGUGCUUGAUUUAGUUUAGUAGUGGUUGUUCUCCCAGAACUGAGCCUGGAGCCAAUCAAUUGUCCCCUUUUCCACCUGGAAUGCCUUGGCCAACACAUCAUCCGAGAUUGGUGGCUUUGAUCCAAAGACCGCAUUAGCGAUGGUAAUAGCCCCAGGGUUUUGGCUGCUGAGCGCAGCGAGUGCAACCGCUGGCUUGUCGUGGAUGGGGUUGAACUGGAAGUGGAUGAGCCCUUCGGGGAAUACAAACACAUCACCCUUGUUGAGGACCUUGGCAAACAAUGUGUUGUUUGGGUUGGAGGUGACAAACCCAACAUAGAGGGUCCCCUCAAGCACUGUUAGGAUCUCAGUGGCACGUGGGUGGGUGUGUGGUGGAUUCUCACCUAGGGGUGCAUAGUCAAUGCGAGCUAGAGAGAUGCCUAGAGUGUUGAGACCAGGGAGCUGCAAGGCACUGAUCAAUGUGACAUUAGAUCCCACCUUGCUAUGCGCGGUGUUCCUAGGCUCGUCAAGUUUAGCUGCCUUGAAGAAGUCAUCUGCAUUCACGGCCAUGGGGUCCUUGCAAGCAAACCCAUUCACCUUCACUGUAUGCAUAGAAGAAGCCAAAUAGAUACACAUAGAUCAGAAACUAGGUAGCGCAGAAGAUUAGAAGUUCACUGUAUGCAAAGAACGAAGAAGGAAAAUAGAAACAGGAAGAUGUGCACUCUGACAGAAGAGCACUUGUUUUGAUUCGUGUUUACUACAUUAACAUCAAAACAUGCAUUAAACUAAGCCAGUGUUCAUGCAUAUACCAGGAGAGUGCUUGUCAGCUACACAGAAGUCCUGGAGUGGGCUAGGAUCGGAAGCAUUAGCCUGGCAAGCGACCAAUGCUAGAAAAACAGCAAGAAGGAAGUAGGAGGAGGGGGCCAUUUUUGUUUCUCCUCGUGCUUCUUUGUCGGUGCUUUUCGCAGUAGGCUAACCAGCUCCUUGUGUUUGUUUUCUUGAUGCUUUGGUGAGGAAGAAGGGGGAUGGAUGUGUUUAUAUAGCCACAGCACGGUAGCAUCGUGAACGCCAGAACAACUGAGUAAGUCACACGUUGAACCGGCCAACAGAAGAACUGGUCUCUGGUUGCUAGAACCUGCUGAUGGAACAACACAGCUACAUCAACCUUUGAAAGCUAUAUCGCUUUCAAUAUUUUGACACGCUACUACCAAAUCUGAUCAGGUCUCUUUGCUCCUGGCCAAAUAUAGAAAAAGUAUACCCGUUCCUUUCUGUGUUGAAUGGCAUAAAUAAGAUGGUUACCCUGAGUGGCACACAUUUCAAUUUGAUCAAUCUCGUACAUCAAAAUUCUAGGGAGCUAAGGAACAAACAAAAAACAAAGGGAGAUGUGGUCGAUCUCGGUCGGAGGUUGGGGAUGAUAGGUGGGGGCCAUCCGUCAGCGGUGGAGCGGAGGCAUGUGUGGGAGCGGGCUGGUGUUGACGGCAGUUAGCACGCCAAAUUGUGAACCGCAAGCGCACGGAUCAGUUAUAUCUUCUCCCUCAGAGAUUCCCCUAAGGUUUAUCAAUCCACGGAACAAGGGAUUUGAACGCCUAACUAUGCACUAAUCGAUGUAACCGAAAGCUCUUUAUAUAGGAUAUGAUUAUGCUAUCAAAAGAACUAAGCAAUCUAGAUUAAGAUGGAUAGAGAGUAAAGGUUGUGGACAAGAUAGAUUAAAUGCUUGUCCUAAGGAUCUAGGAUCAGUUGUAGAUGCAAUCGCCAUGAAUGAGCGAAUUAGAUCUAGGUGUUAUCGUGAGUGGUUGUGAACCAUGUCAAACACUUUCCCACCCGCAAUAAUGUUACUGCACAGGGAUACUCAACUAUCGGAACAUAAGAACACCUCAAGAUGAUUAUUCUAGGUAAGCAAAUAAGCAACCCAAAGUAGCGCUGGCCAACCUUUACAUGAAAGAGCAUCAUCAAGAUAUGAUUGAUAACAAAACAGAUCUUAAACAAAGGUUCGACAAUUACAAAUCAAGAUCUUCAUACAACCAAGAGGACAAACAGAGGUAUUUCCUACUUGUGGUGGUAGUGGAUGGUGUUUACAUGGUGAUUUUUCUCUCUUCUCCAACUCUCCUUCCUUGAAAUUCGUGAUGGGGUAUUUAUAGUCUCAAAUAGGAGGCGGCUCUGGGUCAAUGUCGGUGAAAAUACCCUCGAGAUCAUUGUAUGCUAAAUACUGAAGAAACGGGAGGCCGACCGGAUCAUGGAAUGGGCCAGGCUGAUCGGCCUGGGCCCUUCCUAGCACUUAUAGUCCUCUCCUUCCUUGUGCUGUCUUCCCUCGACGACCCAUGUCCAAAUAUCCAUUAAUAUCCUUAUAUAAACCCCCUUGAUUAUGUCGUAUUUCCUUCCAAAAUACAAUAUGCUCCAAAACACAACCCAUAUGCAAUAAUAUGGUUAUUUGAGGUGCCAAGUAGCGGGUUAGUAUAAGAAUAAGCAGGAAAACACUAGUUCAAUAGCACUAAAAGUGUAUCAAUAAUGAGCGUCAACAGCUGGCGCGGAGGAAAACGGUCCGAGGCAAGCUAGGCCAGCGGCCGGCGAGCUGGGCCAACAGAGGUGAGGCCAGCGGCCUGCUGCUGCAGCAGCUGAAAGAGGGCCCAGGUCGAAGGAAGAUGAAGGCCAGGUGGAAGAAGAACAAGAAAACAAAGAAAUAGAAGAAACUUUGCUAUUUUCAAACAGAUUCAAACAAAAUGAAUUCAAAUCUGAAAUUUGAACUCAGCAACCCAGCAACCAAAAUCAAUGCACUAGCAUGAAUGCAACAAUGCAAACCUAAGAUUCAUUAAUUAAAUUUCAGGAAAACAUUUUAAUGCCUAAGAAAUUGAAUAAAAUCUUAGAAAAGCCUUAAAUACUUAAACAAGCUCAAACAAAUUCUAGAAAAUUGUAAUAAAUUUUUAUUCAAUUGCAAAAUUGAAAAUUUAGGAUGUUACAAAUCUUGUAUGUACGGAAAAUGUAAACAGUACAAAAAACAUCAGCAUAAUGGUGUGAAACCACCAGUUAUGCAUGAUCACAUAAAUUGUAUUAAACUAGUUUUACCAACAUUUACUUGGUCGCCAUUGUGUUGGAGCGGUUACUUGCAAGUUAAACAAGUAAUAUAAGUCCUCCAGCAAUACCAGAUCAAAAACUACGUGGUCUGCCUGGUCACCUUCUUGACUUUGUUCGUAUCACACAUACCCUCCGCUCCUCAGGCAGGAAGCAAGCAGCUGCACAAAUGAGAAAUGGUAUUUAGUUAGGCGAAGCAUGUGGCUGCGUGACACUGUGGUGUAUGUAAAACGAUACACGUCAUGCAUCAUACACUCAACUAACAAAUUUGACGUCUUCUCUUUGCUCUCAUCAAAAGAAAAGUAUGGCUUUCUUUUCUUUUUGCUAUUGGGAUGCAGGGUCCAAGAUGGUUACCUUUUGCAAAAAUAAAUUUUAAAUUAGGGAAUAGAGUAAAUUAGGGAGUUUCCCAGUAAUCAACAAAGUGCUCAAGAUUCUCAUGAAAAGCUUUAGAUCUAGUAAGCGAUGCCUUGUGUCUAGUGGCUAGAAGAACUUCGAGUCCACAAACUUUGGCUGAAUAUUACAAAAGAAUCUUGGAAGCAGGAGCAUAAAAAUUAUUGUACUUAGAUUGCAAGCAGGAGCAUAAAAAGUUGGGUACCACACUAGAAAUGCUGCAAUGGAUAGAAAAACAUCAUGUGUUUGAUAAGGGAUUUGAGGGAUAUUGAAUAUUGUAAAGAACAUGCUUCCUGAGAAUUAUGAAUUGCCAUCCACAAUAUAUGAAGCUAAACAAGUUGUUUGCCCUUUGGGAUUGGAGGUUCGAAAGAUACAUGCAUGCCCUAAUUGUAUCCUCUAUCGUGGUCAUGAAUACGAGAAAUUGGAUGCUUGUCUUAUGCGCGGAGCACUGCGGUAUUAGAUCAUGCGAGAUGAUCCUGGUGAUGCUGAGGGCAGCCUCCCAAGAAGAGAGUCCCACGAACAUGAUGUGGUAUUUCCCUAUAAUACCAUGUUUGAAGCAUUUGUUCAGAAACAAGGCGAAUGCUAAGUUGAUGCGAUGGCACAAAGAAGAAUGUAAGCAAGAUGACAUGCUGAGACACCCAGCUAAUGGAGCCCAGUGGAGAUAAAUUUAUAGAGCAUUCUUGGACUUUGAAAGGGAUGCAAGUAACAUAAGGUUUGGUUUAAGUAUUGAUAGAUUCAAUCCAUUCGGUGAGUUGAGUAGUGGUCAUAGUACUUGGCCUGUGACCCUAUGUAUGUUCAAUCUUCAUCCUUGGCUAUGCAUAAAGCAGAAGUUCAUUAUGAUGUGGUGCUUAUCCAAGGCCCAAAAUAACCCGGCAACGACAUUGACGUGUACCUAAAACCGUUGGUUGAUGAGCUUUUACUGCUUUGUAAGGAAGGUGUACGUGUGUGGGAUCAGGAUAAACAAGAGAGCUUUGUCCUACGAGUAUUGUUGUUUAUAACCAUCAAUGAUUGGCAUGCAUUGAGUAACCUUUUAGGACAACCAAACAAGGGAUACCGGGCCUGCAACCACUGUUUGGAGGAUACAGACAUCAUGUAUUUAAAACAUUGUAGGAAGGUUAUGUAUAUGGGUCAUCGUCAAUUUUUUCCUGCUAACCACCCGUUAAGAAAGAAAGGGAUGCAUUUCAAAGGGGCGCUAGACUAUAAAAAACCUACACACCCUAACGAAAAGCGUGUAUUUGAGAUGAUAAAGGAUGUAGUAGUCUUUAGAAAGGAUCUUGGUAGCAAACCUGUUCCGAACGACGAUAACGGACGUGCACCCAUGUAGAAGAAGAAGUCUAUAUUUUGGGAGCUACCUUAUUAGGAAAUCCUAGAGGUCCGCAACGCAAUUAACGUGAUGAACCUGAUGAAGAAUCUUUGCGUGAACGUGCUAGGCUUCCUGGGUUGAUAUAGGAACUCAAAAGAUACAUUGGAAGCAUGAUAGGACCUGAAACUUAUAAAGCAACAAGAUGACCAUUAUCCGAAAAAGAGAGAGAAAGGACAACACUACUUACAUCCUGCCAAUUACACUCUCAGCAAGGAAGAGAAGAAUAGCAUGUUUGAUUGCAUGAAUAGUAUCAAGGUUCAGUCUGGGUACUCCUCGAAUAUAAAGGGAAUAAUUAAUAUGAAAGAAAAGAAAUUCACAAAUUUAAAGGCCCAUGACUACCACAUGUUGAUGACCCAAUUGCUUCUGGUUGCAUUGAGGGGUAUUCUACCAGAGAAUGUACGAUUGGCUCUCGUAAAGCUAUGCACGUUUCUCAAUGCAAUUUCGCAGAAGACAAUUGAUCCAACCAAGCUACUAAAGCUACAGAAUGAUGUGGUACAAUGUCUUGUCAACUUUGAGUUGGUACUUCCACCAUCCUUCUUCAAAAUUAUGAUGCACCUCCCAAUUCACAUAGUUAAAAAGAUUACUAUUCUCGGUCUAGUAUUCCUGCACAAUAUGUGAUCUUUCGAGAGUUCAUGUCAAUCCUAAAAAACUAUAUUCUUAAUCAUGCCCGUCCAAAGCGAAGCAUCACCAAGGGAUAUGGAAUCGAAGGUCAUUGAGAUUUGUGUUCAUUUUAUUGACUCAAUUAAUUUGAUUGGAGUUCCAGUAUCACGUCACAAGGGGAGGCUACGGGGGAAAGGCACCCUUGGAAGAAAAUCAUGUUUGAACACUGAUAGUGAUUUGUUUCAUAAAGCACACUUCAUGAUUCUGCAACAAUCAACCUUGAGGGCCCCGUAUAUCGAGGAACACAACCAGAUUCUAUUUUUCCAAUACCCAAUGAAAUCCGAUGCCUGAAUUAUACGUCAUCACAUGAUUACUUUUCCCUCUUGGUUGCGUCAACACCUUAUGGAUAACUUCAUGAUUCGUGAACAACUUGUUUGGUUAGCUAGGGGAUCUUCUAGCACAAUCGUGAAAUUCCAGGGUUACGAGAUAAAUGGUUAUAUAUUUUACACAAGAGCUCAAGACCAAAAAAAGCACUAACUAAAAUAGUGGCGUCCGUAUAGAUGUCAUAGACAGCCACAAGAGCAAUGACUUGUAUUAUGAUUUUAUAAAGGAGAUUUGGGAACUCGACUACUGGCUGUUGAACAUCCCUCUAUUUCGUUGCUAAUGGGUGAAGCUGACUGGAGGUGGUGUAAUGAAAGAUCAAUAUGGAAUGACAAUAGUGGACCUAAGCAAGACUGGAUACAAAGAUGAACCAUUCGUCCUUGCUAAUGAUGUGCAUAAGGUUUUCUAUGUGAAGGACAUAUCUAGCAAACCCAAGAAUAAUUCAGAAGAUAAAUAAAAAUAAUAGGAGCCAAAGUGCCACAUAGUUCUUCCAGGUUAAAGAGUAACCGUGGGAGUCGAGGACAAAACAGACCAGUCAGAUGAUUUUCAUCAGCUUGAUGGCAUGCCUCCAUUCGCUAUCAAAGUUGACCCAAGCAUCAUGCUAGCCAAAGAAGAGGCUCUAUACUUACGCCGUGAUCAUGACCAAGGAACUUUGGUCAAGAAGAAGUUUUUUAAUGUUACAUUGUAAUGAUCUAUGGUCAACCUUUAUGUAAUGCUCUAUGGUCAUAUGUCAGAACCUUUCUAUUAUAUUUUAGUGAUAUGAAAAACUAAUUUAUGUAAUGCACUAGAUAUGAUCAUCGAGUUUUUUCGUCAUCACAUUAUUAUUUGAUCAAAUUAUUAUGAGGUUGUGCGGGAAAUGCAAAGGGGAGGAAAUUGGGACUUCCAUCAAGAGCAAGUUCAAAAUUAUUAUGAGGUUUAAAACAAUUGAAUACACUUUAUCAUGAUCAAAUUAUUUAUUAUAUGAGUUUUUUAUCAAUAAAGUGUAGAAAUUAUUUGAUAAUUUAAUAUAUUUUUGCAUGUUCAAAAUAUUGAAUAUUACCAUUUUCUUGGAUGAUAGAAGUACAAAAUCAAUUUAGAAACAUAUGAAGAAAUCAACUUAAUUUAAUCGAACUGUUGGUAUAGCUUGGGAAGUGAAAUGGGAGAAUAUCGUUUAGUCCCGGUUGGUAGUAACAACAGGGACUAAAGGGGGGGCAUUUUCAUCUCCCGCGUGCCAGCCACCCUUUAGUCCCGGGUGAUAUUAUGACCCGGGACUAAAGACCCUCCCCCUUUAGUCCUGGGUGGUAAUACCAACCAGGACUAAAGAGCGAUAUAAAUAUUCCAACCCCUUCUCUGUCCUCGGGACCUAGCCGUUUUCAUUGCCUGCCGCGCCCUUUCGUCAUCCUCGUCGCCUCCGAAGCUGCGACAUCGCCGUCGUCAUCUCCGCGGGCAUCCACGAUGAUGUCAUCAUCGCUCCCCGGCCACCGCAUCGCCACCAUAAUCUCCGUGCCCUGGUUCCCCAGUGUGACCCCCCUGCCCCGCCCCACCUCUACAGAGCGUCGCUUCAGGUGGCCCGGCCCGACACCGCAUGCCGCCAUGCCGCUGACCUCGAUCUCCUUCGCCUCCGCGCCCCGCAGCUCCCCGGCGGCGCCCUCCUCCUCCCCCAACAUCGCCCUCCCGGCCUAGCGCUGUGCACCCAACCGCAUCACCACCAUCGACCGCCCCUUCUCCUCCGGCUAGCCCCCUCUGCGAUGCUCGCGUGGCCCCGGCAACGCCCCUCUUGCGCCGCCAUCCGUCGCAGCCCUUGUGCUGCCUUCCUGAUGCCCCGACCUACCCCCACCACCCGUCAGCUGGUAAGUACGGUGCCAAUCGGGUGCUAACGCAAGCCAAAAAGGAGUACCAUCAUCAUCUAGGGCAAGAUGGAACAUGACCUACUUGAUCGAGGUAUCGUAUCAGCGACUAUUAACUAGCCUAAUUGAUCAAAGAAUUGGUAUUACGCUCCUGGAGGCACCCUUAGCCCUGAGGAUGGGACUUGUUUUCAAUGAAACAAUAUGUGAGAAGGCCCUUAGGCUUAUCGAAAACAUUGAAGAUUCUAAAGUGGGAAAGUUCAAGCUUGAUAGAGAGAAUGAUGAGCUGACUUUAGCGCUCAGGAAUCCCGAACACCCAGGACAUUGCCGAGGCUUCGGUGUGGUUUCAAGGAAGUAGGCUUUCCAUAGGGACAUUGACACGUACAAAAGCUAGAAGAGAAGAAAGGAACAACAAGAGGAGAGGUGGCGGCGCAUGUUAGAAGCUAAAGUGCAUGAACAAGAUGUAAGAAUGUCGGAAGAAAUUAAUUGGCGAGUGGCCCUGGCAGUUACUGAGAUGGCCCAAUCUGGAGUACUGCUGGAUCCCAACGUCGUCUUUAGCCCUUCUCAAUGCUGAAGCAACUGUGCUUCCAGAGGGGUCCUCGAUGAGAAUAUGCCAAUCUUACCCAUGGUUGUGCUGGACAACCAAUGGUACCUUGUGGAUGACAUCACUCAACGCACCUCAUGUGAGCUGUAUAGACCAUUUGGCAACCUCCCUAUUAAGGUUACAUAUAUAUAAUAUAUGCAACUAUCUCAAUUGAUCCACGCCUCAAUCAGGAAUUUAAUAACUUCUUUAUUUCUCCUAUAUGUAUAGGUGGUGUACGGAAGUGCUUUACCAAUACUGCCAGGGCAAACAAGCCAUGGCAUGAUGAUUCCACCUGGCUGCUCCAUUGUUGGGGAGGAGCAAAUUUUUGAUAGUAAAUAUGAAGGCCUAGAGCUCGACCUCCCGAGAGGUGAUGGGGAAAGGACACUAGGAGAUGCACUUCAUGGUAUCAUUCUAUGGCGCAAAUAUUACAUCAUCAUUCCUAGCCAGGAGGCAUCAUUUCUUCUCAUAGAUCCCCCACAACCACCAUCUCCUUAGAACUCAAGACCGUCAUCUCCAGCACAUCCAUCUCCAAGACCGUCGUCACCACGGGGACCAUCGCAUCCUGCUUGGUCACCAUCUCCAACACCAUCGAGUCCUGUAGGUGGGAGUGACGAUGAACAAAACAACCCUCCUCAAUCACCGUCUGCAGUGUUGGGACUAAAGUCUAGUGUGAGCAAGGAACCAUCUGGAACACCUCUCAAGAAGUCGCGACCACCGCCUUCCAAGCCAAGGAAGGCAGCCAAAGGCGAAAGAACCGAGGAAGCAAACAAACAAGUUUGAACCUAUUAAGAAGCUAGCAGGCAAUAUGACUCUCGAGGAAUUGAAGCAGGCAUCACAAGCACAUGUAAGGGAGAGGUUGGAAAAAAAUUGCCGCAGAAAGAAAAGCGAAGGAGAUGGAGCCUAAGCCAGUAGAUCAAGCCACUUUAAAGUUUUUUUUGCUAUGAAAAAACAAGUCAAGAAAACGUUACCAUCGAACUACAAUCGUUCGUUAAUUAAGUCUUGGCAGAAGAAAAAACAAGGAGAGUUGUCGUCCAGUCGUACUAUCCCCCAACUCGAGGAGCAAGAUCAACAAGCAGAUCAAGAAGCUCAACAAAUAGCAGCUUUGCCUUUAGAACAAUAAAUCAAGGUCAUUAAGUUUAUGGAAGUGACAGGUCUCUCGCUUGCUAAAGUUCUAGGGCAAGAUGAACCACCACCUCUAGAAAAGACUGUACCAAAAUGGCCCUUUGAGUUAGGCAAGCCUCUAGUAAGGCCUGAAUUGGUAUGAAAGCUCACAACUAAGUUGUAUGAAUUCAAUAAGUGGUACAUGGAGCAGUUGGCCAAUGAUAGACCAUGUUCUCUCUUCUUCUUAAACCUAUUAAUUUUUUCGGUGAAGGUGAGAAACUGAUGUGGUUGGAAUUCAAGGAUAUUUAUGAAGUGUACCAUCAAGAUGCCCUUGAUGUCUCUCUUAUCAGCGCCUGGGUUCUGUAAGUGUGUGUUAAUUAGAUGUUAAUUUUAGCUCAGCUCAUUAUUAGGUGUGUGUCGUCCCACUAACUUUGUCUUUCAUUUUAUGUAGGAUGCAAAUUCAGAGGUGCCGCCGAGAAUCCUACUUCAACGUUGGCCUCAUGGACCCAACAGUUGUUAACCAAAAGCAGAUACGGAAUCAUCCAAAGUCUACAUUGGAUGCAAUAUACAUAUUCUUGUAGCAACAAAAUUACAAGUGAUACAUACUACUGCCUUACAAAUUUAAGUAAGUGUGGCUACCUUCUAUUUUUGUUUUCCUUUGCUUACCUAAUUAGUAUUAGUCAGUUCUAAUAUGGACAUUUAUGUACACAGUUACCACUGGAUUCUUCUUAUAAUUAUGAUUGAUCAAAGCAACGUUAUUAUAUUUGAUUUGUUGAGGAAAGCAAAGGGCGAGUACCAAGACAUUCAAAACAUGCUUAACACAUAAUAAUUUUUGACCUUUAUCUCUAUGCAAAAGUUUGUUUCCUAAAGUUUCACCUAACACUGUAUCAUAUUCAUUAAUUUAAUUCACAACACAUGGAAACGCUGGUACAAAACUCGCCUUUAGUCCCGGUUGGUACGGGCAAAUCUCCCGAAAAUCCAUUUAAUUGUUGGUGUAACAUUCACAUAUUUUGAAGGAUAAUUGUUGGUGUAACAUUCAUAUAUUUCCAAAUUACAAUUGUGAUGGAUUAGCGAAGAACUCUUGGAGAAGGAUAGGCUUUUGGCAAUCCAAGAAGCUCUUAUAGGAUUUCUGAUGGAUGAGGCGAUAAAUCCCAAAGGAUCCUAAGAAUUAAGUGGACAAAUUAUUGUAUAUAUAGUAAUUGUAUUAAUACUACUUUGAUGUGUAUUAUAUACUAAGAAUUGUAUAUAUAGUAGUUACAAUUAAUAUUAUGCAUAUACUAUCAUGAUAUAUAUAUAUAUAUGACAUGCAUAAAAUACGAGCGUAUACGUCUAAGUAGUGUACGCUAAGGAUGUACAUGUAUAAGUAAAUAUAUAUAUAUAUAAAUAAGUGAAGCAACAAUUAGUGUAAUAUGGAAAAGAAUUCAUGGUAAAAAGAAAAAAAAGGUCUUUAGUCCCAGGUGAGUGACCUGGGACUAAAGAGGGGGACCUUUAGUCCCGAAAAAUUAGUUCCGCUUGGAUAUUCGAGAGAUAUGACUCUCUCCAACUGGGACUAAUGCUCACUUUUCCACAAAUGGUGGUUUAUUAAUUAUUGCAAUGCAAGGUGCUGUUGUUGAUAUGGUUCACAAAGAAAUUAAUAAGUGUCAUCAUCCAUUAUUUACCAAAUCACCUAAAAAAUGGUAUUAUGUAUAUGAUCCAAUUUUCCAAAACAAAAGGGACAGAGUCACGUACAACACAUCAGACCCUGCCAUGUGUGCAUAGCUGGUGCACUGUCAUAGAUCUGAAAAGUAGAAGGAUGGACCAGUGCAUCGGUCAAUCUAUUGCGCUCACACAGGAUGUAAGAGGGAGAACUUGUCAAGCUAGGUGUCGUGCACAUUUUACUUUUGGGCUCACAUAACUUGGCAUCAUUCGUGAUCACACUCUUUACUUGUGAGAUAAUCAGGUCCUACACAUAUAUAUUUUUAUUGCAAGACUAGUUUCAACUUAAAACAUGUUCAACUUUUUAACUGAGUCUUUUGUUGAUUGGUAUUUUAUUAGCGUAUGGUGGGACUAGUUUUCUUUCUCAGCCUGCGUUCACCUUGGUUCAGAGUGGAUUCAAUCUUGUAAAUUAUCAGGCAUAUAUAGUCCCUUGGUAGGACAAGAAAGUGCGUAUAUAAUAAGCAAUUUAGUCAUGGAUGAUCUGAAUAAUAUCCUGAAAGGCUUUACAAACAGAUCUUAUCAUAUCUUUGCUUUGUACCUAAUGUAGCUACUACACAAUGUCCAUAUUUUAAUCUAUGAUCUAUCGCCUGAGUCACAGAAGGUUAGUGUAUCCAACAUUUAUACUUGGCGAUUUUGUUGGAGCAGUUACUUGCACGACUUAAUCUAGUGCACCCGUACCAAGAUGGGAACGGUAGCUAUCGCACAUGCUUUUGUGCUAAACAAGUAAGGCUUCUUUCAAUACAAAGUAACCACGUGAUCAGCUGCUCCUAGUCAACUUGACUUGUUCAUAAAUCAUACCCAUACCUGCUCCUUCUGGCACACUAAGCAGCUGCAUAUGAAAAGUAGUGGGGCUGUGAUUAAUCAUGUUUAACAAAACAAUAAUCUAUAUAAUGCUGAUCAAGUCAAUUUUAAAUAUAAAUCAUAUGAACAUUAAUGAUUUCUUGGCUUAUUCAUAUGCAGUUUACUACACUUGUUUCUUUUUAUGUUCUUGGAUGUGUGAUUACUUGAACGCAGCAUACGCAUUUACAAUUCUCAAGUCUCCGAUACUGCAUAGUCCUAAUAAUCGAACUCCUCAAAAUCCUAAACCAGGAUCAGCGUUGCCGGCCUUAAAUUCGUUUUUUUAAUGGAAAUAAUUUGACCUUUACGACUGCACACAGCCAUCAACGGCCUUAAAUUCUUGACAUCGUCAUUUAACGUCCGCCACAGGCGCUGGCAGCGGCAACUUCUCGUGUCCACCUCAUCGAGAAGAUCCUGUACUGAUCGACUCGGCCCCUACGCCUCGCACAGUUUGUAAGUCUUGCGUGUCUACCGUCACCUGGCGGCUUGCGGGACCCGUCUUGCACUUGUUCAUUGACGCGCUCGUACGUCUCCACCAUUCUGUAGCUAGACAACCUGUUCAUUUCCAAUUUUUAUCUCGAUGGUGAACAGGGCCAAGGUGACGCUGGGCAAUGGUAGUUGUUUUUUUAUUUUAUGAGCCGAGGAAGCACGCACGGGUAGAGAACCCGGUAUUAGUCCCGGAUGGGGGGACGUAAAUCUCCCUAAAAACCAUCCGAGAUAAAGCAAUCGAGACAAAAAGGAGGUCUUUUAUCCCGGAUCCCUCAACCGGGACUAAAGAAUCCCUUUUAUCCUGGUUGGAAAUACCAACCGGGAUAAAACGGUCGCCAUGUCAGGGGCAGCCCCCGCCCCCUUUUAUCCGGUUGGUAUUACCAACCGGGACUAUAUGGUUUUGCAAAAAAAAAAUUCAAAAAAGAAAAUCCCGGGGGGAGGGGGGGUCCUUGGGAGGCCGCCCACACACGCAUGCUCCAAGUCACAAGUCAUAUGUCACGUGAUUUUUCACGCGAAAUAUGCGCGUGCGCGCAAUAAGUUGUCACACACAAAUCAAAACAACCUGUUGCAUGCAGGCUACCAGACACCCACAUGUUAAAUAUAUUCAUUCUUCUACAUAUCUGGAUGCACAAAAAUAUUGAUUUAUGUAACAUCACAUCAUGAAUAUACAUACUUCAAGAAAUUUUAUACAAGCUCCAUGCAGUUUACUUCAGUUUUCCAGAGCGAGCAGGGUACAGAUCGCAGGCACACAAUAUGCAAGUAAUAAGCACUCACCAUUUAUUUUAUUGAUCGUAGCAUAUAGAAACUCAAAACAUGUAGCAAUAUGCAAAACGCAUACAAAGCAGACACUCAGUACAACAAAGCCAAAACACUAACUACAUUUAGUUGUGGUUAUUCUCCCAGAAUUGAGCUUGGAGCCAAUCAAUUGUCCCCUUUUGCACCUGGAAUGCCUUGGCCAAGACAUCAUCUGAGAUCGGUGGCUUUGAUCCAAAAACCGCAUUUGCGAUGGUAAUAGCCCCAGGGUUCUGGCUGCUGAGCGCGGCAAUAGCAACUGCUGGCUUGUGAGGAUUUGGGUUGAACUGGAAGUGGAUGAGCCCUUGUGGGAAUACAAACACAUCACCCUUGUUGAGAACCUUGGCAAACAGUUUGUUUGGGUUGGAGGUGACAAAUCCGACGUACAGGGUCCCCUCGAGCACGGUGAGGAUCUCUGUGGCUCGUGGGUGGGUGUGUGGUGGAUUCUGACCUAACGGCGCAUAGUCAAUGCGGGCCAAUGAGAUGCCCAGUGUGUUGAGUCCAGGCAACUGCAUGACAUUGAUCAAAGUGACAUUGGAUCCAACCUUGCUCUUCGUGGUGUCCAUAGGCUUAUCAAGGUUGGCUGCCUUGAAGAAGUCAUCUGCGUUCACGGCCAUGGGAUCCUUGCAAACAAAUCCAUUGACCUUCACUGCAAAUAUAGAUGAAAGAAAAUUGGUAAACACAUAUUAGAAAUUAUUGGAGGCAGUAAAUAAAGAUGCUUUUUGUAUGUAGAUGUAUGUUAACAAAUGAUUUUUUUGUGAUCAUAGAUUUGGUUAAGGAACACAUAAUGAUUUGAAGCAACUGCGUUCGUACCAGGAGAGUGUAUGUCGGCAACACAAAAGUCCUGGAGCGGGCCAGGGUCGGAAGCAAUGGCUUGAGAAGUGACCAUUGCUAGAAAAGCUGCGAGCAGAAAGUAGGAGGCAGCCAUUUGAGUUUGUCUCAGCUUUUGUGUUUGAGCUCUGAAGUAGACUAUUCAGCUGCUUGUGAUGGUGUAUGUCUUGUUGAUGCUUUGAGCAUGGAGAUGGUGGGCUUAUAUAGGCUGCCACAGAAAGUGGCAACAUGAAGUUGACGACUGAACUAGUCUCGCUAUGUUGAACGUACCAAAACAGAAGAAACGGUCUCUGGCUGCUAGAAGCUGAUGAUGAAACAACGCAAUAAAAAUUUAAAGCCGGUAACUAAUUCCUUGAUGUGUAGUGGUUUAAUUAUUUGUUAAUUGUUACCACGCAAGGUACUGCUGCUGAUACGGUUCAGAAAGAAAGCGCCCUCGUCCAUUAUUUACUUAACUAACUGCCACAGAAAAGUUGAAAUAUGGAGGUGAUCAACUUUCUAAAGCAAACUGACAGGGUCACACGAUAUGAGCCCUGCAUAGGCGCGUAGUUGGUGCACUAUGAUAGUUGUGAAAACUAGAAAAAUGGUAUGGUGCAUCCCGGUCAAUCUGUGCUUGCACACACACAUACGUACAGAAAGAGUCGACAGUGCAAAGGUGUUUAUUUUUAGAUUAAUUCACUUUGUAUACUCAUACAAUAAUCAGUCUCCCUAUCGUCAUUCAUGAUCACCUCAUCUUUUUUACUUUUGAGUUGAUCAGGCACGGCUUCUAUCGCUACUAGAUAAGAAACAGUUAUCUGCCUAUUCAACUCCUUGACUUGUUCAUAUCACACACAUAUCAUCACACCCGUAUAGGAAACUGCUGUUUAAUUUAGGCCAAGUAUUCGGGCGUUGCUAAGUGGUUUAUUUGCUAUGACUUAAGAACUGCAGGAUCAGGUGAUGGCUAAUAAUGCUCUAGAAGCAUAGAUCAUUAUUUAAAAUACUGAUCAGUACUAGAUAAUACAAAAAGUAUUUUGCAUUAAAUCUCAAAACCAUGAACAGAUGUCUAUCCACAUAAUAAUUAUUUCUCCGUUAAUCUUAAUAUACUGGUUUUAACUUAAAAAGAAAACAUGAUCACCAACUUUUUGUUUACUGAGUCUAUGCUUGAUACUUUAUUAGUGUAUGGUGGGACGGCUGCUGCUUAGUGAUUCAAGAUGGUAAGCAUUAAUUUUAAAAAAAUGUAGAAGUUUAGAUUAUGGAGUAAUGUUCAUAAAAGAUAUUUCCAUUAAUCACUACAGUGCUCGAGAUCCAAAUGAAAAAUGUUGAAGCUGGUAAAUGAUUCUUUUAUGCGUAGUGGUUUGUCAAUUGUUGCCAUCCACGGGCAUUUUAUUGAUUCGAUUCAUAAAAAAAGUGUCAUCCAUUAUUUAGUUAAUUAACUGAUAGAAAAUUGAAAUAUGAAGAUGAUUUAGUUUUCUAAAACAAAAUAGAGUCACACAAGAAUUAUAAGAAUGGCAUAUGAGCAGCUUGUGGACUGUGAUAGUUGCGGAAACUAGAAAAAUGGUACGGUGCAGUGCAAAGGUCAAACUAUGCUUGCACUCACUUAAAUAAGAGUAAAAAGCGUGCAGAAAUCUAUUGUUACUUCCUAAUAUCCGCACAUUGUACCUUAUACAAUGAACAAUUUCCCUGUACUCAUGUUCACCUGAUACCAAGAAGGCAUGCAAGAACAACUUGUAGAGGGGAAGCUGCCACACACGAUUUACUUUUGAGAUCAAACCAAAUUAGCUGUGUCCUCACACGCUUUCCUUGUGAGUUAAUCAUCAGGUCAGGCUGCUAUCACUCCUAGAUCAAAGUAAAAAAGAUGAUCUGCCUACUCAGCUCCUUGACUUGUUCAAAUAUUACACAGGUAUGUGUGAACGUGCUAAUUAAUUGAGGCCAUGUAUUCGGCUGCUGCUUAGUGAUUUAACGGCCUAUGACUUAUGAACUACAGGAUUAGGUAAUGCAUAAUCAUGCUUUGAAAGCAUAACUAAUUAUUUAAAAUACUGAUAAAUACCAGACAAGAUGAAUAUAUAUAUACAGUAUAUAUAUAUAUAUAUAUAUAUAUAUUUAAAAUUAUGAAUGUGUCUAUCCACAUAACGAUUAUUUCUGUGUUAAUAUUUAGAAUCAUGAAUAUAGUUUUAACUUAAAGAGAAUACUUGUGCAGUUUUUUUUUUGUUAGUGUGUGGUAUGUGGGACGGGUUUUCUUUCUUGCUCUGCAUCUAUGCCUAGGCCCAUAAAGUGGAUUCAAUUUUUAAGGCAUAUACAGGUCCCUUUGGUAGAAGAAGCUGGAUUAAGCGUGUAGCUGGUGGACGGUGCUGCUUGGUGUAAACUAAUUACGAAGAAAUGAUGUUGCCUCUGUCAAUUUAGUUAUGUAUGCAUUCAAAAAGAAAAUCCCACGUCAUGGAGCACUUACAAACAAACCUUAUAAUAUCUAUGCUUUGUACCUAACACAGCUGGUAAAAAACUCAAGGUUAUUGUCAUCGAUGAUCACUUGGGUCAUAGAAGAUCAAGGUUUCCAAUAUUUACUAGGCCAGCAUUUUGUUGGAGCAGCUACUUGCAUGACUUAAUCCAAUGCAUCCGUACGAUGAUGAGGAGGGUAGCUGUCGCACAUGCUUGCCUGUUGAAUAUUACCAGGUCAGUAACCAUGUUAUUGGCCUAGUCAACUUCUUGACUUGUUCAUACUAUACCGCCGAGUCAAUAAGCAGCUGGAUCUCUUUUCUUACAAUACUAUAUAUAGUUUAUACUACACUUGACCUGAAGAGAGAACAUGCAUGUACAUUUUUUCAAAGAUUCAAUUCUAUUGUUGCUUGAUAUUGUAACAGGGGAGGGUGUGGGAGGGUCUAUUUGUUGAUUCACAGCCUAGGUGAGGUAUGUUUGACUAGGUGCUUUGAAUAUCUUGUGUAUUUUCCGUAGCUCUAAAAAUGUACUCCUUUCGUUUUAAAAUAUAUGACAUUUUAUAAACUAUGUGAACUAAUAUAAAUAUCUUGUCCUAAACACCGUGCAUUUAAAAACAUAGUACUACUGUUUGCACAUCAAUUGUCUAAAUUUGCUGGUCUGGAUGUUCCUUUUAAAAUAUUGGUGUUAUUAGUUAGAUAGAAAAUUCUGCUCCUUGCGCGUUGUUGCAACUUGAAACCACAUUGUCUGUAGGAAAUUAAAUGAUAGAUAAUACUGAUCUUUGUAAUUUUGGGGUUAAUUUAUAGGAACUAAAGCACAAUUCGAACUAAUGAUUUUAGAUGGUUUUAAUGGUGAUUUCUUCCUGCACUAUGUAAGAGGGUUUACGAGUACACUAUCAAAUAUUUGAAUAAUUGAAUGGCUAAUCCUCCUUCAAAUCGUCGUUUCAUUAUGUGGAGUACAGUUACAGAAGUUGUACUAAUCAUGUUGGACACACUAGCAAAUCUGGCUUGUUUUAUUUGCACUUACAACGUAACACUUACUCCCUCCGUCCUAAAAAGAAUGCAACUCUCACUUCUCGAGAAUUCAAACGGUUUUAAAUUUGACUCCGAAUAGAUUUAGUAUAAAAAUAUAUUACAUGGUUAAUCUAUUGAUAUUUAUUUUGUACCAUAAAUGUUAGUACUAUUUUGUAUAAAUUUGGUCAAAUUUAAAAUUGGUUAACUUCUCAGAAAGCGAGAGUUUCAUUCUUUUUGGGACGGAGGGAGUAUUUCCUUUCUUUUUCUUGCACAUGAGAUUACUUGGACGCAGCAUAAUUCUCAGGUGUCCAAUGCUGCGUGUGGUCCUGAUAAUCAGACCCCAUUUGUCAAUAUCUUGAAGCAGGAGCAGUGCUAGCGGCCUGUGGAAAUGUCGACAUCGUUCAAAACGCAGCCGAUCAAAGACAAAAAGCUGUCACGUCAGCCAAGCACCGGAACCAGUUUGUUGACAAGCUCGUCUUCACAAUUCUAGACAACCUGUUUGUUCCAGUACGUGUUCCAUCUCAGUGCAAGCAUCAUCUCUCCAUCCCAACUGAGCCAAGAGAUGCUGCAAUAAUCUGCAAGGACUCCAGAGCGACCAGAGGAACGGGAGGUUUCAUUUGAGCACGGCUUCAGUGUCAUGGGCUAACAUCUUGCGUGUAACAGGCUUCAUGUUUCGUGGCUAUAUGGAUGAAGAUAAAUUGCACCGUGACACUCUAAGGACAAUAAUAAGUUUUUUGCGGGUAUAAGGACAAUAUAAUAGAGGUACAAGUCAAGACCAUCUGUGUUGAAGAAAAAUAUUGUUUACAUUAAUAUAAAACGACGACAUAUAAUGGUACAACAGCUCGCAGGCACACAUUAACAAGAAGUCAGUAGUACCUAAUAGUCACCAUUUAUUUUCUAAAUCGUAGCAUAGAAACUUAAAACAUGUAGUUAUAUGCAAGAUGCAUAUAACGAAAACUCUCGGUACAACAAACCUAAAACAUUGAUUACUUAGUUGUGGUUAUUCUCCCAUAAUUGAGCUUGGAGCCAAUCAAUUGUCCCCUUUUGCACUUGGAAUGCCUUGGCCAAGACAUCAUCAGAAAUUGGUGGCUUUGAUCCAAAAACCGCAUUUGCGAUGGUAAUAGCACCAGGGUUCUGGCUGCUGAGCGCAGCUAUAGCAACUGCAGGCUUGUCAUAGACAGGGUUGAAUUGGAAAUGGAUGAGCCCUUGUGGGAAUACAAACACAUCACCCUUGUUGAGCACCUUUGCAAACAGUUUGUUUGGGUUGGAGGUGACAAAUCCAACAUACAGGGUCCCCUCGAGCACGGUGAGGAUCUCUGUGGCACGUGGGUGGGUGUGUGGUGGAUUUUGACCUAACGGCGCAUAGUCAAUGCGGGCCAAUGAGAUGCCCAGUGUGUUGAGUCCAGGCAACUGCAUGACAUUGAUCAAAGUGACAUUGGAUCCAACCUUGCUCUUCUUGGUGUCCAUAGGCUUAUCAAGGUUGGCUGCUUUGAAGAAGUCAUCUGCGUUCACGGCCAUGGGGUCCUUGCAAACAAAUCCAUUGACCUUCACUGCAAAUAUAGAUGAAAGAAAAUUGGUAAACACAUAUUAGAAAUUAUUAGAGGCAGCAAAUAAAGAUGCUUUUUGUAUGUAGAUUAUGUUAACAAAUAACUUUUUUGUGAUCAUAGAUUUGGUUAAGGAACACAUAAUGAUUAAAGCAAGUGUGUUCGUACCAGGAGAGUGUAUGUCGGCAACACAAAAGUCUUGGAGCGGGCCAGGGUCGGAAGCAAUGGCUUGAGAAGUGACCAUUGCUAGAAAAGCUGUGAGCAGAAAGUAGGAGGCAGCCAUUUGAGUUUGUCUCAGCUUUUGUGUUUGAGCUCUCUGAAGUAGACUAUUCAGCUGCUUCUGAUUGUGUAUGUCUUGUUGAUGCUUUGGGCAUGGAGAUGGUGGGCUUAUAUAGGCUGCCACAGAAAGUGGCAACAUGAAGAUGACGACUGAAGUAGUCUAGCUAUGUUGAACCUACCAAAACAGAAGACGGUCUCUGGCUGCUAGAAGCUGAUGAUGAAACAACGCAAUUGUCUUAUAUGAAGAACAUUUCAAAGCAGCAACACUUUCAGUACUUUUGCACUCAACAAACAAAUCUGACGUGUUCUGUUUGAUCUGAUCCCAUCACAAUACUAGAAAAAUAUGUGCUUUGUUUACUUAGUCUAUGCUUGAUACUUUAUUAGUGUAUGGCGGGACGGCUGCUGCUUAGUGAUUCAAGAUGGUCAGCUUGUAUUUUAAAAAAUGUAGAAGUUUAGAUUAUGGAGUAAUGUUGAUAAAAGAGAUUUCCAUUAAUCAGUACAGUGCUCGAGAUCCAAAUGAAAAAUGUUGAAGCUGGUAAAUGAUUCUUUUAUGUGUAGUGGUUUGUUAAUUUUUACCAUCCACGGGCGUUCUAUUGAUUUGAUUCAUAAAGAAAGUAUCAUCCAUUAUUCAGUUAAUUAACUCAUAGAAAAUUGAAAUAUGAAGAUGAUUUAGUUUUCGAAAACAAAACAGUCACACAAAAAUUAUAAGGCUGGCAUAUGAGCAGCUUGUGGACUGUGAUAGUUGCGGAAACCGGAAAAAUGGUAUGGUGCAGUGCAAAGGUCAAACUAUGCUUGCACUCACCUACAUAAGAGUAAAAAGCGUGGAGAAAACUAAUGUUACUUCCUAAUAUCUGCACAUUGUACCUCAUACAAUGAAUAAUUUCCCUGUACUCAUGUUCACCUGAUACCAAGAAGGCAUGCAAGAACUUGCAGAGGGGCAGCUGCCGCCUGCCACAAACGAUUUACUUUUGAGUUAAUCAGGUAAGCUUCUAUCCGUAUGACAUCAAACCAAAUUAGCUGUGUCCUCACACGCUUUCCUUGUGAGUUAAUCAUCAGGUCAGGCUGCUAUCACUCCUAGAUAAAAGUAAAAAAGAUGAUCUGCCUACUCAGCUCCUUGACUUGUUCAAAUAUUACACAGGUAUGUGUGAACGUGCUAAUUAAUUGAGGCCAUGUAUUCGGCUGCUGCUUAGUGAUUUAACGGCCUAUGACUUAUGAACUACAGGAUUAGGUAAUGCAUAAUCAUGCUUUGAAAGCAUAACUAAUUAUUUAAAAUACUGAUAAAUACGAGACAAGAUGAAUAUAUAUAGUAUAUAUACUGUAUAUAUAUACAAAUAUAUUAUACACAGUAUAUAUAUAUAAAUUUAAAAUCAUGAAUGUGUCUAUCCACACAACGAUUAUUUCUCUAUUAAUAUUACUAGAAUACAGUUUUAACUUAAAGAGAAAACUUGUGCAGUUUUUUUUGUUAGUGUGUGGUAUGUGGGACGGGUUUUCUUUCUUGCUCUGAAUAUUUGGUAGAAGAAGCUGGAUUAAGCGUGUAGCUGGUGGACUGUGCUGCUUGGUGUAAACUAAUUACGAAGAAAUGAUGUUGCCUCUGUCAAUAUAGUUACGUAUGCAUUCAAAAAGAAAAUCCCACGUCAUGGAGCACUUACAAACAAACCUUAUAAUAUCUAUGCUUUGUACCUAACACAGCUGGUAAAAAAACUCAAGGUUAUUGUGUCAUAGAAGAUCAAGGUUUCCAAUAUUUACUAGGCAAUCAUUUUUGGUGGAGCAGCUACUUGCAUCUCUUAAUCCAAUGCAUCCGUACCAUGAUGAGGAGGGUAGCUGUCGGACAUGCUUGCCUGUUGAAUUGAACAAUACCAGAUCAGUAACCAUGUUAUUGACCUAGUCAACUUCUUGACUUGUUCAUAUCAUACCGUUACCUGCUCCUUCCGAGUCAAUAAGCGGCUGGAUCUCUUUUCUUACAACACUAUAUAUAGUUUAUACUAUACUUGACCUGAAGAGAAAACAUGUUCAUUUUUUCAAAGAUUCAAUUCUAUAGUUGCUUGAUAUUGUAACAGGGGAGGGUGUGGGAGGGUCUAUUUCUUGAUUCACAGCCUAGGUUUGGUAUGGUUGACUAGUCAAUGGGACUUCAUCGGACUUGAAUACCUUGUGUAUUUUCCCUAGCUCUAAAAAUGUACUCCUUUCAUUUUAAAAUAUAGGACAUUUUAUAAACUAUGUGAACUAAUAUAAAUAUCUUGUCCUGAUCACCGUGCAUUUCAAAACAUAGGACUACUGUUUGCACAUCAAUUGUCUAAAUUUGCUGGUAUGGAUGUUCCUUUUAAAACAUUGGUGUUAUUAGUUAGAUAGAAAAUUCUGCUCCUUGCACGACGUUGCAACUUGGAACCACAUUGUCUGUGGUCAAUUAUAGGAUAGGUAAUAAAGAUCUUUGUAAUUUUUGGGUUAAUUUAUAGGAACUAAAGCACAAUUAGAACUAAUGAUUUUAGAUGAUUUUAAUGGUGAUUUCUUCCUUCACUAUGUAAGAGGGUUUACGAGUACACUAUCAAAUAUUUGAAUAAUUGAAUGGCUAAUCCUCCUUCAAAUUGUCCUUUCAUUAUGUGAAGUACAAUUACAGAACUUGUACUAACCAUGUUGGGACACGGUAGCAAAUCUGGCUGGCUUGUUUUAUAUAUAUGCACUUACAACGUAAAACUUACUCUCUCCGUCCCAAAAAGAAUGUCACACCUGAUUUUAGAAAAAUAAAUAGACAAGCAUGGAGCGUCUAUCAUUUGUAAAACAAGAAGUCCAGGUGAAAAGGGGCCAAGCGGGGAACGUUAAGUUAUCAAGGAGGAUUAAGAAAAAAAUAGUCAAGGAGUGAAAUAUUCACCGAAGAGGUCAAGGAUUAGGUAGAAAUUGCUUUUAUAGUAAGAUAGAACUUAGGAAGCGACCAUUGCUAUCUAGGCUUACGUUCUACCAUCGAUACAGUUCUGGUACGACUUUUAUCACACCUGGUUUUAAAAAAACCAAAUGCUACCUAUAUGUAUGGUAGGAUCUAGUUUCAUACAUAUAGUGACAUCAUAAGUGGAUAACAGUAAUAGUAUCACGUAAAGGAAUAAGAGAGUAUAUCAGAGAUUUAUGCUUAAUUAUGGAAACGAAGACUCCAAACUUCACAGGCAAACGAUUGGGGCUGCGUAUGCCUAGAACUCAGGAUCAUCUUCACAACAACUUCACAGCAGCUUCUUCUUCUAAGCAACGUUGUUUAUAGCAAGGGUGAGCACAUGUAGUACUCAGCAAGUGUGGAAAAAUAUGAAUGCAAGCCUUAAACAAGGAAAGGCUGACUAGUUGGCUGCAUUAAGCAUUUUUAGUUGGUCAAAUUUUUAUUAGCACCUGAUUACUAAGGUAUAAAUAUAUACCAACUCACAUUUAACGUAAACAUAAGCCAUAAGCAUAUGGCAUAACCAUAACCACAAUUUAAGUCCACCUUCAAGUAUAUUAAUCAUGUGAGGGUCCAGGCCGCUCUUGACCGUGAGCAUGGCUAAUCAAUCAGUUUUACACUCUGCAGAGGUUGCACAUCUUUACCCAAAAUUCGUGUAAAAGUUCAAAAGAACUUUGGACCCAACCAUGUUGUGCUGAUCAGGAACUCAUCACACUACUGAGAUGUGACUGCAUAGGGAUGCUACGAGGCCUUUACAAAGAUUCGCUAGCAAGUGGUAACCCGCUAAGGUUUCCGGAUUAGUAGCAGAGCAUAGCCCUCCCUAGUGGGUUUAGUGUCUUAGCCAAGCCCACUUCCCAAGAGGACUGGGCCACCCCUCUUGCCCUUUCCAAGUAAGAUUACCUUAGACUAGAGUUUCUAAUUAAUUAGCCAAGACCAGAGCCAUUAUAGUUCUUGUGGUUGCACUGUUUUCCUGGGUGGUCGCUCCAUGUUCCAAUUAAGUAUUGUAAUCUUGUAUUAACAAAAGGUACACCAUAAAUAAGUUUAAUCAUUGAGUUCAUUAAAACUACCAUAACUGUCACACCCGGUUUUAAGGAUAAAAUCGAGUGCAUUGAAUACAUGUGCACCAGGAUCAAGUUACACACAUGUAUGACAUAAGUGAAUAACAAAGAUAGUGUCAAAAUGGAUAAAGAGAGUAUUAAACAGUUAUUACAUGACUGAAAGUCUCAAUAAAGCACAAGCCUAAUUUAUUACGCAGCGGACUCCGAAGACGACGACGACACCACAGGCAGCUAACUGAAGAACUAUACGCCUAGAACUCCUCAAAGUCAUCAAUGUACUCCACCAGAUUAUCUUGUUCUGAAUAGCGGUUUUGCAAGGGUGAGUACACUUAUGGUUGGUACUCAACAUGUCGUGGGGAAUAGUGUAGUGUAACACCAAUUAAGGUAUGGCUAAGGCUAAAUCAGCAUCAGCUUUUAAUUAAGUUGGUGAAAUUUUGUUAGCAUUUAACUAAGUUCAAGUUCAUACCACCCAAAAUUAAACAAGAGCAUAAAUAAAGUAACAACAUAUGCAUGAAUGAAAUAACAACAAUUUAAGUCCAUCUUUCUAAUAGUAUUAUCAUGUGAGGGUCCAAGCUACUCUUAACCGUGAGCAUGGCUGAUCGAUCAGUUUUACACUCUGCGGAGGUCACACAUCUUUACCCACAAGGUGUGUAAAAGUUCAAAAGAACUUUGGACCCAACCAUGCGGUGUUUGCAAGGCACCAUACCACACCUCCGAGGUGUGAUUGCAUAGGGACGCUACGAGGCCUUUACAAAGAUUCACUAGUAAGUGGUAACCCGCUAAGGUUUCAGGUCGAAGCAGAGCAUAACAGUCCCCUAAUGGGUACAGUGUCUUAGCAAGGCCCACUUCCCAAGAGAGCGAGUGCUAUGCCCCCAUCAACGCCUCCCCUCUUGCCCUUUUGGUAAGAUUACCCCAUACUAGAGUUUCUAAUUAUUCAGCCAAGACCAGAGAGAUUUAGUCUUGUGGUAGCACUGUUUUCCUAGGUGGUUCUCCAUGUUCCGAUUAAACAUUUAUGAUCUUGUAUUAAUGAAAGGUAUAAUGUAAGUAAAGCAAGAUUAACCAUUGAAUUCAGUUAAACCACCAUAACCCAAGUAAGCACUAAGCAUGAGCUACCCAACAUAAUAAUAACCCAGUUGGUCAAGGCAAAGGUAAAUAAAAUCUAGGCGAACCUUAAUUGGGACCUAUCAUUUUUAAACUAUUAAGUGCGUAGCGAUGUUGUAUUGAACAUGAAAGUAAGUAAAGGUGAACAGGACUUAAAGAAGUGAUCAAGGACAUGACUUGCCUUCUUGACCUUGCUCUUGCUGUUCGUACUCCUCGAAAGCUUGAUCUUCAAAUCCCUCGAACUGUUGAAUGUCUACACGCGUCACAUGAGCACAUACAAACCAACAAAGGCAUAAUAUAAGAAAAACAGUACACCAAUCAUAAUAAAAAGAGAAAAACAAGUUUGAAAAAUUAAUCUACGCAUUAAAACGAACAUGUGGAUAUAACGAAUGCGAAAAAUAGAGUUAAGAUGCAAAAGAUAUGAUUAAAACAAGUUUCAGCGGCUUUUCUGCGAGAAAAACAAAACUUCCAAGGCUAAACUGCGAGAAAUCGAGGAAUUAUACAUAAUUAUGCGUAUAAACCAAAGGUUUAACGUGCAAAAACGCAGCUCAGGAUGGUGGGUUAAUUUUAUAAAAGAGUAGGGUUUAAAACAGAAGAAAAUAGGACCGGCUCGUAAAUAUUUUUGAACUAGCUUGGACCGCAGGUUGAUUUGCGGAGAACGUGAGGGCUUAAAUGCAAAAAUGAUGCGGCCCGGCGCUGUUGCAGUACGCUGCCGGUUGACUCUCGCGCAGGCCGUUGAUUCGAGAUUGAGCGGCUGGCGAUGCGCUGCGCUGACGCCAGCGGCGGCGGGAGGUGGCAUUGCGGCGGUGCUCUGCCAGAGCUGCUCGAAAAUGAGCUCCCAGUCGUGGUUUCACAUGCGGAGGAAGGGAGGCAUGGUGGAAGAAAGGAAGGAGAAGAAGGAAGGUGCAGCGGAGGAAAAAGGAAAGGCCCAGGAACAAGAAAGGAAGGUUGAAGGAGGGACUGACCGUCGGGCCCCGCGCAGCAGUGAGAGGAAGCGGAGCUGCAGCUCCAGCUGGGCCGCGCGGCGAAAUGGGCUGGAAGUAGCUGGCUGGCGUGAGAGAUUUGGCCGGGGGAGCGAGCUACUGUGCUGCUGGGCUUCAAGGUGAAAGGGCAAGGAAAAGGGUCGGGGGAAAGAAAACGGCCUGCUGCGCGGGUGGGCUGAGGGAAAAAAGAAAAGAAGAUGCAGGCCAAAAGAGAAAGAUAGAAAGGAAAAGGGAUAGUUUGAAAUAAAAUCAAAUUAUGAAAUUUAAUUCAAUUCAAAUCCAAGCACACAAAAGAUAUGCAGCAGCAUGAAUGCACAAAGAACCCCUAUGAUGGUUUAACUUAAUUUUGGAAAAUACGUUUAAAUGCCUAAAAAUUUAAAUGCGACCCUAAAUUGGUUGAAUUUUAUUGAGUUUGAAAUUUUAGAAUUUUCGGGUGUUAAAAAUCCUACCCCCCUUAGAAGAAUCUCGUCCUCAAGAUUCGGAAGAUCUGGCAAAGAGAUGGGGAAACUCCUUCUGUAACUCAUCCUUUCUUUCCCAAGUUGCGUCGUCCUCUAUACGGUGACUCCACAGAACCUUGCACAUCGUGAUUACCCGGUUCCUGGUAACCUUUUCCAAAGUUUCCAAAAUCCUGAUGGGGUACUCUGUAUAAGUGAGGUCAUAUUGAACAUUUAAUUCCUCCAUAGGCAACUAUUCUUCUGGAACUCUGAGGCACUUCUUAAGUUGUGAGAUAUGGAAUACAUCAUGCACAUCCGAUAGCUGAUUAGGUAAACUCCAGUCGAUAAGCUACCUGUCCCACUCUUUCAAGAAUUUUGAACAGUCCAAUAAAAGUGAUAACUUCCCUUUGACUUCGAAUCUGCACAUACCCUUGAUGGGCGACACCUUGAGAUACACAUAAUCACCUGCCUCAAAGGUCAAUUCCCUUCUCCUGGUGUUAGCAUAACUCUUCUACUGAGAUUGUGCUGUCCUCAAGUUCUCCCUGAUGAUCUGGACCUGUCUUUAUGCUUCUUGGAUGAUUUCUGGCCUAAACAACUGAUUCUCUCCAGUCUCACUCCAGUAAAGAGGUGUUCUGCACUUUCUACCAUACAACGCUUCAAAUGGCGACAUCUUGAGACUGGCUUGAUCGCUAUUAUUAUAAGAGAACUCUGCAUAGGGCAAACUCUUGUUCCAGUUGCCUCCAUGCUUCCGUGCACACGCUCUCAACAUAUCUUCCAGUAUCUAAUUUGUUCUCUCAGUCUGUCCAUCCGUCUCAGGAUGAUAAGCUAAACUGAAGUUUAACCUUGUACCUAGAGAUUCAUGCAACUUUUGCUAGAAGCGUGAUAUGAACUGAGUAUCUCUGUCAGACACUAUCUUCAUGGGCACACCAUGCAAACACACAAUUCUUGCCAUAUACAACUCUGCUAACUUGGACCCAGUGUAGGUAGUCCUUACCGUAUGAAGUGAGCUACCUUAGUCAACCGAUCCACUAUGACCCAUAUCGAGUCAUACCUAUCUUGGGUGCAAGGCAAUCGAACGAUGAAAUCCAUACCGAUUUCUUCCCACUUCCAUUCUGGCACCUUCAAUGGUUGAAGUAACCCAGCUGGUCUCUGGUGUUCAGCUUUGACUCUCUGGCAUAUGUCGCAAAUAGCUACAUGUGCAGCUACAUCCCUCUUCAUCCUGAGCCACCAAUACCUCUGCUUCAGAUCCUGAUACAUCUUGGUACUCCAAGGGUGAAUGGAAUAAGCUGAAUCAUGAGCUUCCUUCAAGAUUGAGGUCCUUCUGAGUGAAAAUAUACUUGAGACUCUUAUGAUCGGUAUAGAUCUAACAUUUAGUCCCAAGAACAUAGUGCCUCUAAAUUUUCAAGGCAUGUACCACUGUGGCUAACUCCAAAUCAUGAGUCGGGUAAUUCUGCUCAUGUUUCUUCAACUGCCUGGAAGCAUAGGCUAUAACAUGACCUUCCUGCAUAAGAACAUAGCCUAAACCCUAUCGAGAUGCAUCACAGUAUAUGUCAAAACCUUUAUGCAGAUCUGGCAUUACCAACACUGGAGUUGUGGUCAACCUUUUCUUCAAUUGUUCGAAACUGGCCUAACAUGCCUCUGUCCACUUGAAUUCCCUUCCUUUUUCCAAUAGUGAUGUGAGGGGUUUCACUAUUUUGGAGAAUCCUUCAAUGAACCUGCGGUAGUAGCCUACGAGUCCAAGAAAACUUCUGAUUUCAGUCACUGUCUGUGGUGGGUUCCAUUUUAGAACAUCCCUGACCUUGCCUGGAUCCACCGCAAUGCCACCGUUGGAGAUGAUAUGACCAAGGAAAGAAACCUUUCUCAACCAGAAAUCGCACUUACUGAACUUUGCGUACAGUUGAUGUUCUCUCAACUUUUGAAGCACUAACCUCAAAUGUUUUCCUCAUUUCUUCAUCAUUCUUGGAAUAAAUCAGGAUAUCAUCAAUAAACACCACAACGAACUUAUCCAGGUACUCCAUAAAUACCUUAUUCAUCAGGUACAUGAAGUAAGCUGGAGCAUUUGUCAGCCCGAAUGACAUAACCGUAUACUCAUACAGACCAUAUCUGGUAGUGAAAGCAGUCUUGGCUAUGUCAGAUGGCCUGAUCUUCACCUGAUGAUAACCUGAUUGCAAAUCAAUCUUGGAGAAUACCUUGGCUCCUCUCAUCUGAUCAAACAAAUCCUCGAUGCGGGGCAAUGGAUACUUGUUCUUGAUGGUUAGCUCAUUGAGUGACCUGUAGUCCACACACAUCCUCUUCGUUCCAUCCUUCUUGGGCACAAAAAUAACCGGUGCUCCCCAUGGUGAUGAACUAGGCCGAAUAAACUAUUUUGCUAAUAAUUCCUCUAAUUGUUGCUUUAAUUCUUUUAAUUGCUUGACCAGCAUUCCAUAUGGAUAUUUCAAGAUAGGUGCAGUACUACGUAAAAGAUUAAUAGCAAAUUCAAUUUCACGAUCAGGUGGCAUACCUGGUAAUUCGUCAGGGAACACAUCUGGGUAAUCACACACCACUUUGAUAUCCUCUAAGGAUUUCCCUGCCAACGGAUGCACUACGCAGUUUGCUUUUGAAGGUAGAGUAGCCACAAACUCAAUUCUUUCCCCUGUUGGACUUGUAAGAAGAAUUGAUUUUUUUGCACACUGUAUUACUGCAUCAAACUUGCUCAAUCAUCCCAUACCAAGUAUCACAUCAAUCCCCUUGGAUUCCAACACUAUAAGAUUAGUCGAAAAAUCUCUACCCAAUAUCUUGAGGUUCACUUGGUUACACUGAUAUGAUGCCUUCAUGUUUCCCCCUAGUGAGCUAACUAGCAUGUGGCGUGGCAUGGUACUAAUGGGUAUGUUAUGCUUAGCUACAUACUGUGCAGUAAUGAAAGAAUGGGAUGCUCCAGAAUCAAAUAAAAUUGAGGCGGGUGCUGAGUUGACAAAAAACAUACCGAGCAUAACUUCUGGAACCUCCUGGGCAGUGUCAACAUCUACGUGGUUUACCUUGCCACGAAUAUAGUUAUGCUGUCCCUGAGAGCGCUGCGGGGUCUGAUUCACAUUCCUUCGCUGUUGCGCCUGCUGAUUCUGCCAAGGAGCGCUGUUGUUCUGCACGGGAUUAGACGGCACAUUCCUCCUAGGACAAGUGUUGGCAUAGUAGCCAACUUCACCACACCUGAAGCAAGUGUUUCCCACUGGAGCAUUGGGCCUCACUGGUGUUCCUGCAGGAGUCAUCUAGCGAUUCUGCAGAAAAUUGAAGCAUGGAGUUUGCAUCCCUGGGUGCUGGAACUGGGGGUUGGGGUGCUGGAACUGCUGAGCUGGGCGCUGGAAUGACUGCUACCCAAAAUUCCCACUCGAGCCCCCUAGGCGGAGUGCUAUCCCUUGCUGUGGAGCAAGGCGAGGGUGAGUGUUGCUUCUUGAUGGUGAUUGGGAGUUGAACUUCCUCUUCAUCUCCCCAAGGUCAUUCCUCUUGUGCUCCAGACCAAUUGCUUUGUCCAGCAACUUCUGAAAGCUAGGGAAGGUAUGCGACAUUAGCUGGUACUGGAGUGGUCCAAUCAAACCAUCCAAGAACAACUCCUGCUUCUACUCAUCAUCUAUGACAUGUUCAGGAGCAUAGCGGGAUAACUGGAUAAAUUUGUCCUUGUUCUCGGUCACUGUCAUGUUCCCUUGCUUGAGAGCGAGGAACUCCUUGAGUUUCAUCAGUCCAGAAGAAAUGUGGUGACUCCUAAAGUUAGUCCUGCAUUCCUCCCAGGUAAUGCCAUUAGUGUUAGCAUGGGUGGUGGUGUAGGCAUCCCACCAAUCUACAGCUGGCCCCUCCAGGCGUCCUGAAGCAUACAGGACCUUCGAUCUAUCAGAGCACUGGGUAAUGUUCAGCAUCUUCUCCACAGUCUUCAACCAGUCAUCAGCAUCAAAGCGGGUCUGGAGAGUGGGAGAACGUCGGGGGCUUAUGGCUCAUGACUCCCUGUGCUUGUCCCUAGGCUGCGGUUGUGGCUGGUUGUUGUUGUUAUUGUUUAGCUGUGCCUGCAUAGCCGCCACGGUGUUGGCCAUGUUGGUGAGGAGCUGAGUCUGAGCUGCAAAGAACUACUCCAUCCCUACUGGUGCUUCUUGAUUCGGCUGAGGAGCGAGGUUGGGGUUGCUGUUGUUGUUCCUAUUACGAGGCACGGCGGGCUGGUCAACUCCUGAUCUGGACCUGGUGUUUACCAUCUGAGCGUAAAAGACAAUAGAUUUAGAUAGGUGUGUGAAGAGAUAACUAAGAAAGAUAAAGCAACAAGAUAUACAAGUAAGAUAUAUUCUGUUAGCUUCAUUAAAUUAGAUGUGGUCGUCAGUAUGAGUGUCCAAAAUUAGUGAAAAAUUAUCAGGACAUAAUUCACUAAAUUUGUAAACCAACCCAACUGGAAUCAAAAAUUAGUGAAAAAUUAUCAGGACAUAAUUCACUAAAUUUUUAAACCAACCCAACUGGAAUCACCUCAAUCGGAGAUCUAGAUCUCAGGAUAUUAACAAGCUAACGGUAUCAGGUGACAGUUUCAGAUUCUGAUUGCUCCACUAAUUCACACAUAUCUCCCAGAUACAUUAUCCAAAAAUUCUAAAAAAUUUACAGAAACUACUCCACGAAAUUCUGAAACUAACCCCACUAAUUUCAUGUCAUUUGGAAUUCUGUAGCUCGAGAUAUAAUGAAAAACAAUACUGAUAUGUCGCUUAAUGUCGAGAACAGAAUUGAACAUCUCAUAGCUUGCAUGACUGAUAGAUUUAGAUAAAUGGGAGAUUAAGAUUAAGAAGGGCUAGAAAUUGAUUUAGAAUAGAACUAAAACCCAACCAAGCACUUAUUACUAAAACCAUUGCCAUUGUGGCAAUUACUCCACAACACACCGCAAUCAUUACAAAAAUCCAACUCAAUUGUUUAACACAAGACCAAGCAUCCAAACACACUUUAAGCUCGCACACUCUAACGAUGACGAUGCUAACGAUUACAAGAAUUUAAACUUAACACUCCUAAAUCCUAAAGAUCUUCUGCAGCGGCGCCGGGUGAGUCGUAGUGGGGGAGCUUGGGUGAUGGUGAUGAAACUGGAUACUCCACAUCCUCUAGCGGCGGAGGUGCUCCUGUUGCAGAAGGCACUAGUAGAAUCCCUCUCCCACCUAACUUCAUGCAGCUCUUGUUGAGUAGCAUAGAGAGCAUUGUUAGUCUAUUUCAAGGCAGUGAGAGUUGCAGAUAGAUACUUUCGGAGGUAGUCCAUCGCCAUGUCAAGUCCAUCGUGCGAAGUUAUGAAAGUCCUUGCUUCACCACUGGCCCUGGACGGGAUGUACCGGCGAUAGGUAUGCUGCAGCCAUGAACGUUCCUUGUGAGAGAGAACCUCAAGCGCUCUCCUAGCUGCCUCGGCUAUGCCGGUCUCCAGGGUCAUCCUCAUUGCUACAUCAUGGUGAACAGACACCACCUCCCAUCCUCUUUCAUGCUCCUCACAAAGGGUAACCUUCACCUCCCAGAACGUAGGGUAGCGGGGGUGUGUGUACCAUGCGCACUUGUAGGUAGGCCUUAUGACAUUUCCCAAAUGGUGCCAGGUCCAUCUCAACAUGUCAGCCAUAGGAACUCCUUGUCCAAGGUCCUCCUUCACCCACUUGGUCCACUUCUUGGGCUCAGGAGUUUGUGCAGCUGCUUCUGGUUCAGGCUCUGGAUCAGACGGCUCGGACGGAUCUGACUCUGGAUCUGAAUCUGGGUCAGCAUCUGAUACGUCGAUGAUGUCAGGUGCUAGUGCUGGUGCUGGAGCUGGCGCAAGUACUAGAGCUGGUGCUGGCUCCUGCUCCAUGGGUACGGCAUCCUUGUCAGUCACAUCCCCCGGGUGCUGAAAGUAGUAGACCUCUUCUCUAGGCUCCAUGGGGUGAUAUUGCAUGAUGCCGUGGCGCGGGGGUCGGGUGCUCUUGCGAGCUGUCCUCCUGGUGCGAGCCAUCUAACAGAAGAAAGAAGAUGGAAUUAAUUUAGAACAAAAUUUUGAAUGAACAAGGAUAGACGCAAAAUAAAGGAUUAAGAUAGAAGCAUAGCAAUAAGGGUGAGGUAAAAUCAAGGUUAAGAUUAUUUAAACAGAUUUAAAUUAAGGAGUAAGUAGGAAUGGCUACUAGAUAAUUAUAAUCCUUAAUUGUGACCAUUUUCUAACUAGUCUAACGUCCUACAGUCAACACGGCUCUGAUACCACUUCUAUCACAUUCGGUUCUAUCCUUAAAACCGGGUGUGACAAUAACCCAAGUAUAGCAGCUAAGCAUAGCUUUCCAACAGAAUGAUAACCGGGUGUGACAAUAACCCAAGUAUAGCAGCUAAGCAUAGCUUUCCAACAGAAUGAUAAAUUCAGGUUGACAAGAAAUGAUUAUAAAAACUAGGCAAACCUUAUUAGGACCCAUCAAGCAUAUGCAAUAGUGAUUAAAUAAAGUUAUUGGGAUAAAAGCACAAGGACACACUUGCCUUUCUAUAAGUAGUGUUACUGCUUAGAAUGUCUUCAACUUCUUGCUCUCGAAUGUCCUUGAAGUACGUUCUUCUCGCAUCAAUCAUCCAAGACAAACAUCCAGAGCACGCACAUAUAAAAAACAAAUGAAAUAAAUUAAAAACAGUACACCAAUCAUCAAACUAAAUUAUUCUAUGUAUUGAUACGAUUACGUGAGCGCAAAAAUUGCUAAGAUCGAAUUUGAAACGAGAAAGAUAUGAGAUAAACAAAGUUGUGAAGGAAAUAAAUAUAUUUCAGAAACAUGGAGGUAAAAAGAAAUUAGAAAUCAUUGAGCAAGAGAGAUGUCAAACCUGACGCAAGAAAUAAGGAAAGAGAUAAAUGUAGUGAAUAAUAAGAGCUAUGAAGUUAGCAAAGUAACGGUGGGCAAGGUUUGUAGUACUUGAAAUAGAAUAUACUACAGAUCAAUGAUGAUAAGCAUAAGACUUCGGAUCUUUAAUCAUGCUGGAAAUAUGUAGAACCAAAUUAUUUUGCUAAAGAAAAGGUCAAUGUUUAUUGCAUAAUAUGCAUGGCAUCAACGCGUACAUAUUGAGCUUGUACGAAGUCAGUACAUUGGUUGAUUAGCGGCAGAACAACUGGCGAUGGCCUCGUUGUACUGCACACAAAAGUAUGCAUCGCAUGGCUACCCGUAACUCAUCCAGGGGCAUUACCAUGCUUUGCUUGCAGGCGUGCAUGGCUUGUGGAUAGCUUUGGUAGAAGGUCUGUCUUGGCAGGGCAGCAAAAGGCAUCUGCUCGACGCGCAGACAGCAGCAGCAAGGCAGCAGCUGCCGACGGCACAGGCGGGGACGUUCAUCCCGAUCUGCAGACGAACGACCGGCGACGAGUGGAGACCAAACGUGACGAUGACAUCUAUGGUUCAACCUCAGCGUGGACAUGCUUCUGCUCCUCCUGCAGCAGCUCGGUCAUGGACGGCGACCUCGCUGGUGCUCCUCGUGGUGAAGUCCUCCCCGGCGGCCGGAAGAACACCGCCGACGGCUUCUUCAAGCCACGAUUGCUCCAGUGGACGGCCGGCAUCAGGAACCGGUGGCGGACCUGCGGCUCGAUGGCGCGGAGCUCUAGGCGGUGGCGGCUCGGGCGCGUGAGGCAUGAGGGGGGCGGUGGCACGGCGGGCGGCGAUGCGGCUCCGCGCUAGGCGAGGUGGCGGUGCAAGGGAGCAGCAGCAGGGCUGCGGGGCGCUCGUCGGCGGCUUUAUAUAGAGCGCAGGGCUGCGCCUGCCCAGCUAGGCAUGCACGCCCAGAAGGCAAGAGCGGCAGCGACAGCCAGAUGGGCCUCGGUCGGGCCGAAGCACGCCGGCUGGACGGGCCAUAGAGGAUCGGGCACCAAGGGCUCGGCCCAAAGGGUUAGGAUAGGAUUUUUUUUCAGAAUUAAUUUCUCGUGAAAAGAAAAAUUCAGGAAAUCUUGAUAAUACAUUUAAGCCACGAAAAAUACUCUGAAAAUCCUAAAAUUUCCAGGACAAAUUAUUGGGACACGAUCAAUCCAAAGAAAAUACUUGGAGCUCGUGAAAAUAAUUUUAAAUCCUUCCAAAAAUUGGAUUUAACUCUAGAAAAAAUGAGUAAAUUCCAGAAAAAGCUGCAUGGACAUCGUCUAAACGCAUUUUUGAAACUUUUUCACUCAAGAAAAAUCAAGAUUCAUCGGCAUGAAUGCACAGACACAAAAUAACAAGAUUUAAUUUUGAGAAAAAAUAAUUAUUUUUUUCCUAUACUAAAUUUACUGCAAAGAAAAAUAAAUGCCGGGAAAAAUUUUAAAAUUAUGAGAAAUUCAUGGUUAUUUAUUCCUUUUAAUCACAUCCUGAAAUUCAAAAAUUUCAGGGUGUGACAGAAUGCAACUCUCACUUCUCGAGGAGUCAGACAGUUUCAAGUUGACUCCAAAUAGAUUUAGUAUAAAAAUAUAUUACAUGAUUAAUCUAUUGAUAUUUAUUUUCUACCAUAAAUAUUAGUACUAUUUUGUAUAAAUUUGGUCAAAUUUAAAAUUGGUUGACUUCUUAGAAAGUGAGAGUUGCAUUCUUUUUCGGACGGAGGGGUAUUUCCUUUCUUUUUCUUGCACAACAUGAGAUUACUUGGACGCAGCAUAAUUCUCAAGUCUCCAAUGUUGCGUGUGGUCCUGAUAAUCAGACCCCAUUUGUCAAUAUCUUGAAGCAGGAGCAGUGCUAGCGGCCUGUGGAAAUGUCAAAGACAAAAAGCUGUCACGUCAGCCAAGAACCGGAACCAGUUUGUUGACAAGCUCGUCUUCACAAUUCUAGACAACCUGUUUAUGUUCCAGAACGUGUUCCAUCUCAGUGCAAGCAUCAUCUCUCCAUCCCAACUGAGCCAAAGAGACGCUGCAAUAAUCUGCAAGGACUCCAGAGCGACCAGAGGAACGGGAGGUUUCAUUUGAGCACGACUUCAGUAACAGGCUUCAUGUUUCGUGGCUAUAGCGAUGAAGAUAAACUGCACAGUGACACUUUAAGGACAAUAAUAAGUUUUUUGCGGGUAUAAGGACAAUAUAAUAAGUUGAGGUACAAGUCAAGACAAUCUGUGUUGAAGAAAAGUAUUGUUUACAUUAAUAUCCAAAGAAGACAUAUAAUGGUACAACAGCUCGCAGGCACACAUUAACAAGUAGUACCUAAUACUCGCCAUUUAUUUUAUAAAUCGUAGCAUAGAAACUAAAAACAUGUAGUUAUAUGCAAGAUGCAUAUAACCAAAACUCUCGGUACAACAAAACUAAAACAUUGAUUACUUAGUUCUGGUUAUUCUCCCAGAAUUGAGCUUGGAGCCAAUCGAUUGUUCCCUUUUGCACCUGGAAUGCCUUGGCCAAGACAUCAUCUGAGAUUGGUGGCUUUGAUCCAAAAACUGCAUUUGCGAUGGUAAUAGCCCCAGGGUUCUGGCUGCUGAGCGCGGCAAUAGCAACUGCUGGCUUGUGAUAGUUCGGGUUGAACUGGAAGUGGAUGAGCCCUUGGGGGAAUACAAACACAUCACCCUUGUUGAGGACCUUGGCAAAAAGCGUGUUGUUUGGGUUGGAAGUGACAAACCCAACGUAGAGAGUCCCCUCGAGCACCGUGAGAAUCUCAGUGGCACGGGGGUGGGUGUGCGGUGGGUUUUGACCUAAGGGUGCAUAGUCAAUGCGAACCAGAGAGAUGCCUAGAGUGUUCAGGCCAGGGAGCUGCAAGGCACUGAUCAGUGUGACAACUGAUCCCACCUUGCUAUGCAUGGUGUCCCUAGGCUUGUCCAGGUUUGCUGCCUUGAAAAAGUCAUCUGGGUUCACGGCCAUGGGGUCCUUGCAAACAAAUCCAUUCACCUUCACUGCACAGACAGAUGAAAAAAUGGUACACAGAUCAUAAGUUCUUUUGGAGCAGACAUAAAAAUGCUUUUUGUAUGUAGGUGUAUGUUCUCACAAAUUAUUGCUAUUCCUGUGAUCAGCGAUUUAGUUAAAGAACACGCAACGACUAAAAGUGAGUGCAUUCAUACCAGGAGAGUGCAUGUCGGCGACACAGAAGUCCUGGAGGGGGCUGGGGUCAGAGGCAAUGGCCCGAGAAAUGACAAUUGCGAAGAAGGCUGCUAGAAGAAAGUAUGAGGAGGCAGCCAUUUGAGUUUCUCUCUGUUUUGGUUUUGAGCUAUCUGAAGUAGACAAUUCCGCUGCUUGUGUUUAUGUCUGUUUUGUUGAUCCUCUGGGCAAGAGAUGGUGUGCUUAUAUAUAGCCUGCCACAGCAUGUGGCAACGUGAAGAUAACGACUGAUGAAUAAGUCUUUGUUGAACCUACCAACAGAAGAAACGGUCUCUGGUAGAAGCUGCUGAUGAAACAACACAAUUAUUUUAUAUGAAGAACAUUUCAAAGCUACCUCCACCUUCUAUAUUUUUACACUCUACUAACAAUCCUGACAUGUUCUUUUUACUCCUAUCAGAACAUUAGAAAAAUGCAUGCCCUUUCUUUUCUUAUGUUUUAGGGAUGCAGCUUGAAGAUGGUUGCACUUUUUUUCAAAAAAAAUUCCAAAUUAUAGAGUAAAUAAACUGAAUAAGUGAGAUUUCCAGUAGUCACAAAAUAGUGCUCAAGAUCCACAACAAAAAUAUUAAAGAUGACGAUAAAUUAUUUCUUGAUGUGUAGUGGUUUGUUAAUUGUUACUGUGCAAGGUACUUAUAUUGUACAUCCAUAUGGUUCAAAAAGAAAGUGUCCCCGUCCAUUAUUUACUUAAUUAAUUGAUAAAAAAAUUAUUUUAUGGGGACGAUUCAAUUUUUGAAAACAAAACGGACAGAGUCACGCGAUAUGAGACCGGGCCUAGCAUGCGUAGCUGGUGCACUGUGAUACGCUUGUGUAAACUAGAAAAAUGGUAUGGUGAUGCACCGGUCCAUCAAUGCUUGCACUCACGUAUGUAUAGAAAGAGUCAACAGUGUGAAGGAGAAAACCAAGAUUUGAUCCAGUGCAAUACAUUAGGUACCAAAAGGGCGAGAAACUUGUACUAGGGUCUACUACCAGAUAAAAAAAUGUGUGAUCUCUGCCUCUUCAACUCCUUGACUUGUUCAUAGCACACCCGUAUCUGCUGCUCCUUCUGAGGCAACUUGCAGCUGCAUGUGAAAGUGUUGUUUAAUUUAGGCCAUCUAUUCGGCUGCUACUUUGCGGUUUAGUAUUUGUUAAUACGUAUCAUAUAUAGCGUAUGAACAACGUACAGGAUUAGGGUAACGGUUGAUCAUGCUUUAAAUUAAAGGUGGUAAUAACUCAUUAUGGAAAAUACCGAAGUAUCACAAAAAUGUAUUUUUUAUGUCCGGUAUUAUUAAGUCUAAAAUAACGAACAUGUUUGUCCUUCAAAUAAGUAUCAAUAUCUUAGAGGUGUCCUAAGUUGGUUACACAAAAACCGGGUGAGGUAAUUUCUUCGUCAUGGUGGUUCUGUUUCAUGAGGUUUGUAUAAUGUUUUAUAAUUGAAGAAAACUUUUGUGAUAGAAAAUAUUUUAUUUGCCGUUGUUCUUACGGUAUGAAUCCCUUCAAUAUGAACAAGACCAAUGCAAAAAUUCACCAUAACGACGACGUAGAAAACACAAGACACAAUAACCUCUGACAUCAUAUAUGAUUUCAUAUCUAAAUACAGAGCACAAGAAAGAGAAAACAUAGACAAUAUGCGUAAGAAGGAGAAUCUCUAUAUUCAGUGACGUGAAACGAAAUCGCAUCACUAAUCUCUUAUUAGUGAUGAUGGAUAUGUAGUUGAAACAGUACCACGUCAUUAAUGUUAGGUGACAAGUCAUUAGUGACCGCAUAUAUGUGGAGAAGGGUCGUCACUAAUAUUGUUCCAUAUCUAUCACUGACGUGGUUCAUUUAACCUCCAACACACAUGCGCGCGGCUGUGCCACCCUAGCUACAUACCCAUCCCGGUGCGUGCAAUGCAUUCUAGCUGCCCCAGUGCUGUUGCCUUCCACCGCUUCUUGCCUAACUGAUCUCGCAGCCGUGUUCCUGCAGAAGCUGGAUCAGCUGCGGAACGAGCGCCAACCUGCAGCAUCUCAAUCUGUAGCAUCUCGAGCUCCUGGGCCACUGCGGCGAGGUGCCCAACGUCUAUGACAUCAAUAGCCUUCUCUAUAAUCACAUAAGGGGCAUCUCUCCCGACAAUAAGACGCACGAACAUUACAAAUUAGAUUUCAUCAAUUUCUACGCAAGGAUAUACAUGGUAGUAGUACAGUAAUGAAAUGAAAGAUAAUAUGAAACAAGUAGCUAGGAAUAUAAUGUUCAAUCGAGACUGUAGGAUGAAGUAAGUCAAGUCAGUGCACUUAAAAAGUAAGUCAAUUCAGAAUUCAAACAAACAACGAUGCGAAGGUAAUACCAUAUUAUGCUUGCACAUUAGGUUCUUAUUAAAAACAUAUUUAUCGAUGUGAGCAAUAGCUAUGCAGCCAAUCUACUAGUCAAGGUCUUUAAGUAGACAAUCAAGGUCAUCCACCAGCUGAUUCUUCAAUGGGAACUCGAAUAUAUCAUCCAUUGCUGAAAAAAUUAAUAAAAACAUUAGCAUGUAGACACACAGUAAUGUAGAAGUAAAAUGAAACGAAAUCAUGUGUAAUCAGAAGAAAACUUCAAAGAAGAAGCAUACCUGCUGCAGGAUCGGCCUCUGCUUGAAUGUCUUCUUGGGCGUUUGCAGGGUUCUGUUGCUGCACGAGGCCUGCUGGAAUAUUAUGUCAUAGAAGUUUUAGGUAUCCAAUGCACUCUUUGAAGGGUCCACAACUGGAUAUGGAUUACAGUUUUACCUGCUUGUUCCUCCAAAAUGUUUUGUUCAUUAUUCACAGCAUUUGGUUCUUCUGCAAAACCUAGAAAAAAUAAUUACAUAUUAGCAGGCAUCACAAUAAUGUAAAAAAAUUGCAUGGAACAAUUAAAUGAAACCGUAAUCAAAAUAAGAUUUCAAUGGAGUUAAAAACCUGCAGGAUCUCCGGCAUUUGCAAGUUUCUGUUGUGGUGCUAUGCCUACAAAAAUAUUAUUACAUUAUAAAAGUCCUAGUUCUCCACUGCACUCUUUGAAGCGUAAAAAAUUAUAUUUACCAAAUUGUUCCUCGGGAAUAUCAUCUAGUUCAUUGUUUACAAUAUUUGGUUCUUUUGGCAAACCUAGAAAACAAGCAAUACAGAUUAGCAUAUCACCACAAUGGUCGCCAUAAUGAAAUGGAAUAAUAAUGUAAAAACAAUUCGAAAGGAGCAACAACAUUACCUGCAGAAUCUUCCAGAAUGUCUUCACUGUUUGCUAAGUUUUGUUUCUCCAUGAUGCCUAGUAUUAUAUAUAGAACACUUAGUUUUCAAAUGCAGUCUUUGAAGCGUCUGAUUCAAUGAGUUACAAUGUUAGUAUGUUGCCUGUAUGCUCCUCUUGAAUAGGGUGCUCAUUGUUAACACUAUCUGGUUUCUUUGCAAAACCUGGAAAAAUACAUUGAAAAAAGUCAAGGCACAAUUUCAUGUGCCUACAUCACACAGUACUUAAAAAGGAUGUAUGUUUCAUCAAUUCCAUUAUUUGGUUCACUGGAGGCAUAAAAAGUACCGUUUCCCUCCCUUAUAAGUUUAUGAUUUGGUAGAGAAAAACUCCAGAUUAGUGGAAGUUGCAUGGGUUUUGUUGAUCCCAAAGAUGCACUUAACUAAAUUACCAUUGACAAUCUUGAAUUAUCCUUCAAGGGAAGUUACAUAUUAGUCUAUGUGCUCCCUUUAAAUUAAAAUAAAAAGUAGAGAUUCUCUACUUCAUCCUCAUUUCUAGAUUCUGCUCAGCUACUACACAUGGACAUGAUACCCCCUAAGACACAUGUCACCAUACAUCAUGUGGCAAAUCUUUCAGCACUAUUGAAUUGAAAAUCUUUAGAAUUCCUUCACCAAAAGAGGCAGAUGACAACUCAUGAAAUUAAUUACAUCCACAAUGUACCUGCUUGUUGCUUCAUGUCAUGUGCACCCGGAACAUCAAGCAGCAGCACAUCUUUUUGCCCUGUAAUGUUAUUAAUUAUUGGAUCAAUGUAAGUAUAUCUAUUUACAUUUCAUGACUUCUUUAGUAGGAAAGAAGACUAUAUUUCUUCAUUCGAAGAAAAACACAGUAGAUAGACAAAACAGGGAACUGAUCAAGUAUAACCUGAGCAUGCUAUGGUGACUGCAUCCCUGCUGGUUGCAGCCCUAUGGUCCUUUCUUUGACCUAAAAAUGAGAAAAAUAAUAAUGAACAACAAUCUUUUGUAAGCCAGGGAAGCUAUUUUGUUGAUUUAAAGAAAGAGCGAGUAGAAUAUAUGAAACAGUGAACCAUAUGACCUUCUGUGGGUUCAUCUCUGGGAGCAGCUUUUCGAUUCUUUCUUUGACCUUUCAAGAGAGAAGAAAAUUGCAAAUCACAAAAUGCAGUACAAAUAAGAGUUUUACUUUUCAAUUUCCCAAUAUAUCUUCUUCCCUAAAACAGAGGCUCACAUAGAUGCAUCAUAUCGGAUAUAUACUAACCAGCUGUAGCAGUACUUUUGGAUGUUGUUCCCCCCUUUUCCUCCGCAGCACGUGACUUCUUUUUCUUGGGUUGGGGUGGAAACACUGCUGGUAAUGCUAGAAUAACAUUGUCGUAGUCAACCUUGUUCCUUUGCCGCUUUGUUUCACUGUGUGAUGCCAUCUGAACAAAGAAACUGUAUUAGUCAGUAUAUAUAAUAUACUAUAGCCAGUGCCCAUUGGACUCUAGAACUGUGAUAUUGCAUGCCAUGAUUUCAAUCAAUUAGAAUAUACAAACAUUAGUACUACAUACUCGGCUUGUUAUAUGUUAUAGAUAAGCCAAAUAUGUCCAUCUCUUCUUUUCCAAUAGGUUAUUAAUUCAUCAAAAUAAAACCAAGAAAAAACAAACAAGAAAGGGUCAAGAAACUGGGCCCUGGGUGUUGUUUGGAGGACAUGUGAACUGGACCAAGGGCACAUGUAAUGGAGACACAAUAGGCCAUGCAGAUCCAAGUACCAUUAAUCGAACUUAUCAUUUAGGCAGACAAUGCGCGGGUCUCUCUUGGUUGUCAAGGAAGAGGGCUGGGUACGAGUCAAGAGAUCGACCAUGCAUGUUGAUGACGAUGAACAUAAUGUUAUCAGAACCGUAGCCGGCCACAUAGACAGCCAUUGAAGUUAGGCAAUUAACCAGAGCAUACCAUACACGAUGUUAUAGUAUGUACAUCCAACUUUGGCGUAAUGUGUGCUCCACCACUUCGUCAGUUUCAUUUUGACUGCCAAGGUAAUUCCUGUUUAGGGUAGUGCGUGCUCCACUUUGUGUGUAGUUGCAAGACUUGAAGGUGAAGAAAAAAAGAUCGUAGGUCCUGAUGGCCAUCGCAAGUGACAAUGUGCAGAGAGAGAAUAUUUUGAAGCACAACGCACAACGAAGUGACAGUCAUGCAUUGGAUGCAUAAAUAUAGAGAGAUACGGCCAUUUACACAAGGCAUUGUAACACACCGAUAUACCAUGAAGAGGAUAAGCCUAGUGUUUAUCGUGGAUAAAUGCUUUCAUCAAUCAAAUAAUAAAAAUGGCAGUUCUUACCGUACGUAGCUUUCUCAGAAAAAAAAAUGGCUCCUCGCGACCAAAGGAAGAUAAAAAUUUGGACGGUUGAGUGGAGUGCCUAACUCCACAUAAGUGCUCAAGGCGUGCUUGAAGAGCCGAACACUAACAAAGUUAUCCAAGAGAUUUUUAGGCCUGUCCAGCAAAAUAACUUUUGGACGCUGGAAUGGAGCAGCUGGCUGAACAUGAACACUCCUUCCACGCUCCGACCAGAGGCACACACGAAACAUGCAGUACAUGUAAUAAACGAACGCAAGUGUCUGGCCCAGAUCGAUCGAUGCGGUUUACCAAGUUCCCUUCCCACUUCCCAUUCACCCAUUUUGACCGAACUGAGAGACUUCCAAACUAUAGAAGGAUCUCGCAAACCGCACCAACCCUACGAACCACACUGCGACGCAACCAAGAUAGGUGGCUGCAAGUUUUUUUAAAAGCACAAUGCACAACACGAAGUGUGACAUGCAUGCAAGGAUAGAGAGAUACAGCCAUUUGCACAAGGAACUGUAACUCCGAUAUACCAUGAAGAGAAGAAGCCCAGCUCUUACCACGGAUAAACACUUCCAUUAAUCAACUAAUAAAAAUAACUUUUCAGAAAAAAUAUUUCGACUUCUCGCAGAAAAAAAGGGAUAAAACAUUUUGACUGUUGAUCAUGAGUGGAGUGGAGUGCCUAACUCCACGUAAAGUGCUCAAGGCAUGCUUGAAGAGUCGAACCAAGUUUCCAACAGAUUUUUAGGCCUGUCCAACAACUUUUGGACGCUGGAGUGGAGGGCCUGGCUUCACAUGCAUGAACGAUCCGUCCAGACGCACACACGAAACAUACAUGUAAACGAUCGAAGGCAAGUGCCUGAACAAGAUCGACAUGCAAGUGCCUUUGCCACUUCCCAGUCAGGCGCCUCCAAACUGACUCCCAAACUAGAGCAACACCGCCGAGAACUUGCAAACCCUAUAUCGCAAACGCUACGAACCAGUACGGCGCUACCAAGCUAAGACAGGCGCUCCUGGGCGGCUGCAAAUCGACGAGACGGUGCCCUACGAACCACUGAAAUCUAGCAAGCCCUGCAUCUCUUUUACCUGCGCCGCCGGUGAUGGCCUGGGUGUCUAGAUGCAACUUGACGCGCGCGGUGACGUCGGGGGCUUGCGCUCGUCGGCGGCGGGCCCGACGGCGAAGCGAUUCCUCGCGACCAGUCAGCGGCCAAGGACGACGAGCGCGGCCGGCCGGCUUGGGACUGCAGGGCGCGGUGGUUGGGGAUUUCAGGUUGAAAUUCCUCUCCGCUCCCUCUUUAUCUUUCCCCCUGGACUCAUUUCCAUCUCCUCCAGAUUCCCAGAAUGGCAGUCGAGGGAGAUUCGAGCUGGAGUAAUGAAUUCAAAUGAUGGGUUUUGGAAUCAAAAUCGGUGAAACAAACAGCCUGCUGCUUCAUGCAACCAGCAGUUUUUUGCUGGUACUCCGUUGUAUAUAUGGGAAUUUGUUUAUUGCUCGCUCUGUGCUGGCAACCUGGUUACUGGAUACAGUGUGGCGGUAGAGCAAGAAUCACCCUGGAUUUUUUUUUUUUGCUGUCAGUAGAUGAUCUUGCAUGAGUUGUAAUUAAGCAAUCAUUUAUUGUAGAAUUGUGUUUGCAAAUCUAUCAGAUAUCGAGUCCUCCUAUCUCAUGCAUAUUUUGAUUUGAUAUUUUGAAGUCUUCCAGUUUUACUGUAUCUUCCUUUUCCUUUUUGAUCAGAGAACAUCUGCAAUAUUAAUGAACAUAAUAUACGGUCUUAAUUGGAGGCUAUAUGUAGUAUAUAUUUCUGCUUUUUCUGAGGUAUGUUCAUUUUCUCUACCCUUAAGGCCAGCUGAAUUGAAAUGGCCCUAUUAGUAAAAUAGUACACACUUGGUGGUCCAGCAUACAGCCAUGUAGAAAUUCUGUUGCUGUAUGACACCUAGAGAAAUUAAUGGUAUAGUAUGUAUAGAACUCUUAAAUUUCCCAUUAUACUAUUUGAAGCUUCUCUAAUUUGAUUGGUUACAAUAUUACCUUUUUGUUCAUGUAGAAUAAUAUAAUGGAUUGUUCAAACAUUUGGUUUGUUUGAAACACCUGGAAAUAUAUUGAAAAAAUAAGGUGCAAUUAAUAUAAUGUUUAUAUCCUAUUUCAAGCGCAUAUGAGCAGCUCUAAUAAAUCUGGAGAGAAAAUAAAUAUAAUUUAAUUGCAGAUACAUUUGUGUAUAUGCCACUGGGAUCGGAGUUCGACACGUUUUUCACAUGCCAUUCCAAACUUUCUAUUUGUGCGUAUGCCACUUCAAUUUUAUGUGUAUAUGUCAACGGCCAGUACGUAGCAUGCACCUAAGGAUACUGGGAGGGCUGUGGCCAACACAGAAAUGUCAAAAUUAAAUGAAACAAUAAUCCAAGGACAAUUUCAAAGAAGCAACAGCAUUUCUGUAGAAUACUCCAGAAUGCCUUUAGUGUUUGCUAAGUUCUGUUGCUCCAUGAUGCCUAGAAAAAUAUUAUAUAUAGAACUCUUAGUUUCCGAAUUCAGUCUUUGAAGAGUCUCCAAUUGAAUGGGUUGCAGUAUUACCUGUAUGCUCCUCUGCAUUCUUAGUGCUAGAAUAGCAUUAUCAUAGUCAACAUUGCUCUUCUGCCGCUUUACACUGUAUGUAUGUCAAUGGCCAGUCCCAUGCACGUAAAGGAUACUGGGAGGGCUGUGGCCUACACAAAACUUCAAGUCUCCUACAUAAAACUAGCAAGUUUCGGAACAAAUAAAGUAACAAUCUUUUUGUGGCAUACACACAAAUUCCCGUAAAUUGUAUUUCAGUUUAUUUUGUGCAAAAAAAUGAACUUUGGGGUUCAUACUAUGGAAACAGAUGAACAAAAAUAAUUUGCACUAGCAUUGGCUAUGCAUCCACUCAGAGUCAAGGUCCAUGUGUGUCGAUUCUUCAUGGGAAAGUUAAAUAUAUGAUUGCUUUUGUUUCCCAACCAAAAUCUGACGACAGAUUAUGCUUCAUUUAACCAGUCCACUGACAAAUUACAAAUAAGACGGCCUCCAGUCCGUUGCAUAUAUGGGGUGACCCUGUUUUUUUUUUCUUUUUGCGCAAGGGGGCGACCCUGUUAUUGGAUACAGUGGUGGCCAUAAAACCAAGAAUCUCCCUGGAUUUCUUUCGUGUCAGUCAAUUAUUUUUCUUAUGAGUUGUAGCAAUCAUUUAUUAUAUAUUUACUAAAUACAUAUCAGAUCUCGAAUUUUCAUAGUGAAAUUUCAGAUGCUUCAAGAAAAAAUUCAGCAAUGAAAUCCUACAAAUUAUUUAAUGUACUGAUUUUUUUUACAUCAGAUAAAAUCAUUGCCCAAGCAGCGUCAAGAGAAAGAAAAAAUUGAAAAUUUGCAUCUGUGUACCACAAACAAUGCAGGAAAUGGCACCCUACACUGGCAUAGCCACACAAGCUAAGGCUUGACAAAUUAGAUGGUCUUCUUGCUUCAAGCUGUAGAAUAUAUUUUGUUAGUUCAUGGUGCACUGCAUAAGUUAAUAUUAUAACUUUUAGACAAUGGAAGUACAAUUCUCCACCUCUCCACUAGUUCUAUUAUGCUCUCAUGUUUCCUGAAGAACCAUACACUUCCUGUACCCAGACAAGUGGGCGGGCACAGUGGCAUCUAUGCUGGCGGGCCACAUAAGCACACCGCCAGCACAGAUUGAGCGAUCUGUGCUGGCGGGCGCUCCCCUGCCGGCCCGACGAUUCUCUGUGUUGGCGGGUGCCAAUCGCACCCACCAGCAUGCUAAUUUCUCUAUGUCAGCACAAAUCGUUUUUGGCGUAGUGCUAGACAAGUAGAGAUGACCUUAAACUUUUUCAUCAUCACAGUACUAUAGAGGUGGGCCUGCUCAAAUUAGGAGCUGAUUGGUUGCCUGGUUUCAGCCGAACCAGGCUCCCCGCAUGCAACUAACGCAUGAUUGGAUGGACGCAGCACAGACUGGGCUUAUCCCGCAUGGUGCAAGAUUCCCUUCUCAGCUAGGCUCCAAGGAUACGGAGGAAAUGGUUGUUUCUGUCGAGCUAGGCUGACGGGGCGUGCAAACUGUACCAGGUAAAAAGAAACCUUGUUAAUUAUUAGGUUAAUUGUAAGACAUGCAAUUUGGAUAGGUUCAUGCAUGCGUUGCCACUUUCUUAACAGAUAACCGUCUGCACACAAAUCACUAACUGAUCUGAUUAUUCUAAACUUAUAUAUUGGUACCGUGGACACAGCAUUGCACAUGUAUGACUAAUUAGUUUGAUCAGUUAUACCUAGCAGGUGAAAAAUUAUUUCUCCAUUAUAUUCACUUAUCAAAAAUAAAUUUUAUAUGCACUAUAAACUUAUAUAUCAAUGAAUUAGAUAUUACACCUAUCGACUGCAAGGGGGCACCAAAAAAAUCCACAGCCAUUGGUAAAAUAAAAUUUCUGCAAAGGAUACUCCACUUUCGCACAAAAAAUAUUUUUUCUUUGGACGAGAUGGCCAGUCACCACAAUUAAUAGUUUGAAAAAUGCGGCUUGACAAUUAAGUUUAUAUUAUAAAAUCACUUUUCAUGAAGAAUCUUCUAGUUUCAAAGUUACCCGCAUGUUUAACAAUAAAUAAUCAUUACUAAAUAGUUUGACUUAGGAAAGGGUAGCCCCAUAUGUUCUAAAUAUUUUUUUUAGAAUGUCCUAAAUAAUUAAGCUGUACCAUAUAUGUUCAAAAAACAAUUCUAGUGUGUUGUAGUUAUCAUAUUUUAUUUUUUUCAACACAUUCAUACUAGCCUUUCAUGAAAGUGAUGUCAUGGCAAGAGAUGUUGCCUAUCAGGAAACAUCACAAAUAAUGAACUUGAUGGCAAAAUGAAAGAGAUACAUAGGGUUCCACUAAUUGAAGCUGGCAACAUAAAUCACCUGCAUAAAGCUUGUGACACAAGUCAGAGUGCAUAUAUCAUCAUGCAAACCAUCCAAUGUCGAACAUUUCUGGAUCAUGAUCCGAUUGUCUUUACGGAAUAUGUGUUUCACAGGAGUUUUGAAAUUCUUUGAUCCAAGAGAAGACCAGCAUGGGUCCCAUGCUUUUGCACAAACUUACUCAACGUUUCUGCAUCAUGAUCUGAUUGUCUUUAUGGAAUAUGAGAGCUGAAAACCAUAUAUUGCAUCUCAAUUAAUUAACAACUGCAUUUCAUAUAUGAUUUGCAGUUUACAAAUGAUGUCAUAUAAUGUUUUACACAAUCUAUAAGGGAGUAAUUUGCUACAUCAUAUAGAGAAAUAAAAUUAAUCAAUGUUGUUUCUUAUUACACAGCUAGGCAACCAUGAUGAAAGCAUUCUUGACUUAGUUGUGGUUGUCCUCCCAAAACUGAGCUUGGAGCCAAUCCACAACCUUCUUGUCCACCUGAAACGCCUUGGCAAGAACAUCAUCUGCAAUCGGUGGUUUCGAUCCAAACACUGCAUUAGAAAUGGUAAUAGCCCCAGGGUUCUGGCUGCUUAGUGCCGCGAUGGCAACCGCUGGCUUGUCAUAACUUGGAUUGAACUGAAAGUGGAUCAGGCCUUGCGGGAACACAAAAACAUCUCCCUUGUUGAGCAUCUUACUGAAAAACUUGUUGUCCGGGUUCGACGUGACAAAACCAACGUAGAGUGAACCUUCAAGAACUGUUAGGAUCUCCGUGGCACGGGGGUGAGUGUGUGGAGGGUUCUGUCCUUGAGGAGCAUAGUCAAUCCUUGCCAUGGAGAUGCCGAGGGUGUUGAGACCUGGGAGCUUCAUCGCAUUGAUCAACGUGACGUUGGACUUGACCUUGCUCUUCGUCGUGUCCCCAGGCUUGUCAAGGUUGGCUGCUAGGAAGAAGUCAUCGACCUUAACAUCCUUCACAUCCUUGCAGGGUAACCCGUUGACACGUACUGCAUCAGCAUAUAAGCAUGUGUUAGGAAGCUAUUCUCAGGUUUUGCUGUAAAACAUCAGAAUGUGAUCAUGUUUUCUUAGAUGAAGUACAUACCAGGCGAGUAUUUGUCUGCGACGCAGAAGUCCUGGAGAGGACCGUGAUCCGAAGCCAUGGCCCCACAAGCGAUCAAGGCAAGAAGAACAAAGUGAAGAAGCAAGUUGGAGGAGGCCAUGUCUAGCAACCUCGGAGUUUGCUUUCUUCUUGCAAGCUAGGGAGCUCCUGGUUGUGUCUCGGAAUUUGUGUGUAUAGCAAUAGCUAGCUGAUGCUUUCUCCUUGGGGGUGGUUCAUCCUUAUAUAUAGCUGCUGAGAGUCUGAAGAGGUCAAUCAGCAGGGCCGGCGCACUAUAUUGAAAUGGUCGAUCAGGUGUAGUGCAACCCACGCAAGCAACUAUUUGAAUUUGUCAACACGGUCUUGUGUAGGUCAUCUACGCCCAGGACGCCUGAUGAAGUAACCUAGUAGUAAUAAACUGGAGAUCAUGUAGAUAUAAUGUGUUUCUAGCUAUCGUCAUGCAUGACAAUACAAAACGAUAGUGCUGAUUGGUUCUGUGAUCCAGGUAAAAAGAAACCUUGUUAAUUAUUAGGUUAAUUGUAAGACAUGGCCAUUUAAUUUGGAUAGGUUCAUGCAUGCGUUGACACUUUCAUAACAGAUAACCGUCUGCACGCAAAUUACUAAUAACUGAUCUGAUUAUUCUAAAUUAGCUCUUGUUUACUUCACCCCCAACUUCCAACUUUGGCACUAUGCAAAAAGAAGAUUCCCCAUCACAUCAAACUUGUGGUACAUGCAUGGAGUACUAAAUGUAGACAAAAUCAAAAACUAAUUGCACAGUUUUGUUGUGCUUUGCGAGACGAAUCUUUUGAGCCUAAUUAGUCAAUAUUUAGACAAUAAUUCACAAAUACAAACGAAACGCUACAGUGUCGCAUUUAUGAUAAAAUGUCAAUUUUGGGGCUCCCAAGUUGGCAAGUAAACAAGGCGUUAUUAGUUCGUAACAAAUAUUUAUUGGUACCGUGGACACAGCAUUGCACAUGUAUGACUAAUUAGUUUGAUCAGUUAUACCUAGCACGUGAGAAUUUAUUUCUCCAUUAUAUUCAGUUAUCAAAAAUAAAUUUUAUAUGCACUAUAAAUUUAUAUACCAGUGAAGUAGAUAUUACACCUAUCGACUGCAAGGGGGCACCAAAAAAAAUUCACAGCCAUUGGUAAAAUAAAAUUUCUGCAAGGGAUAGUCUGCUGUCGCAUAAAAAAUAUUUUUUCUUUGGACCAGAUUGUCACAUCCUGAAAUUUUUGAACAUCAGGAUGUGAUUAAAAAGAAUAAUUAAGCAAUGAUUUUCUCAUAAUUUUAGAAAUUUAUUAUAGGAAAACAAUUGGUCGUUUGUUUUAAAUUAAACAAGGUUGUUCUGUGUGUGUGUUGCAUUCAUGCCGAUGCAUCUUGGUGUUUCUUAAGUGCAAAAUAUUUUUAAAUGCUUUUAGAUGAUGACCAUGUUCUUCUGAGUAUUUCCCAACUUUUUCUAGAAUUUGCACUCAUUUUCCUAUAGCUAAAUCCAUUUAUUAGAAGGCUCUACAAUCUUUUUCAUGAGCUCCAAGUACUUUAUUUGGAUUCCUCAUGUCCCAGUCUAUCUAUGGGAUUUUUCCAAGAAUUUUUGAGAUUUUCAAAAGUAUUUUUCAUGGUUUAAUCGAAUUAUCUAGAUUUUUUCUGGAUUUUUCUUUCACGAGAAAUUAUUUCUGAAGAAAAAAAGAAAAAUCUAAUCGAUUCGGUCAAGCCUUUGGGGCCUAACCCUCUCCAGUCAACCCGCACCGACCCGGCACAGUUAACGGCCCAGCCUGGCCCACUAGACCCACCGGCCACCGGCAGCUCAAGGCCGAGCAUAGCUGCUCCUAGGCGCCACCGAACCUCGCCGUGCGCGCCAAGGCAGCCACGGACCCACACGCCUAUAAAAGGGCGAGCCCGUGCGCCUGCGACCCCCCCCCCCUGCUGCAGCCGCUUCCGCCUGCCGCUCGCCCGGAUCUCCAUCGCCGCGCGUACCUGAGCCGCCCGCGAAGUAGAGUGCCCCCGGGCCCUCUAUGGCCAGUCACCUCAAUUAAUAGUUUGAUAAAUGCGACUCGACAAUUAAGUUUAUAUUAUAAAAUCACUUUUCAUGAUGAAUCUUCUAGUUUCAAAGUUACUUGCAUGUUUAACAAUAAAUAAUCAUUGCUAAUUUAAAUAGUAUGACAUAGGAAAGGGUAGCCCCAUAUGUUCUAAAUAUUUUUUUUUGCGAAUGUUCUAAAUAAUUAAGCUGCACCAUAUAUGUUCAAAAAAACAGUUCUAGUGUGUUUUCGUUAUCAUAUUUUAUUUUUUUCAACGCAUUCAUACUAGCUUUUCAUGAAAGUGAUGUCAUGGCAAGAGAUGUUGCCCAUCAGGAAACAUCUAUCACAAAUAAUGAACUUGAUGGCAAAAUGAAAGAGAUACAUAGGGUUCCACUAAUUGAAGCUGGCAACAUAAAUCACCUGCAUAAAGCUUGUGACACAAGUCAGAGUGCAUAUAUCGUCAUGCAAACCAUCCAAUGUCGAACAUUUCUGGAUCAUGAUCCGAUUGUCUUUACGGAAUAUGUGUUUCACAGGAGUUUUGAAAUUCUUUGAUCCAAGAGAAGACCAGCAUGGGUCCCAUGCUUUUGCACAAACUUACUCAACGUUUCUGCAUCAUGAUCUGAUUGUCUUUUUGGAAUAUGAGAGCUGAAAACCAUAUAUUGCAUCUCAAUUAAUUGACAACUGCAUUUCAUAUAUGAUUUGCAGUUUACAAAUGAUGUCAUAUAAUGUUUUACACAAUCUAUAAGGGAGUAAUUUGCAACAUCAUAUAGAGAAAUAAAAUUAAUCAAUGUUGUUUCUUAUUACACAGCUAAGCAACCAUGAUGAAAGCAUUCUUGACUUAGUUGUGGUUGUCCUCCCAAAAUUGAGCUUGGAGCCAAUCCACAACCUUCUUGUCCACCUGAAACGCCUUGGCAAGAACAUCAUCCGCAAUCGGUGGUUUCGACCCAAACACUGCAUUAGAAAUGGUAAUAGCCCCAGGGUUCUGGCUGCUUAGUGCCGCGAUGGCAACCGCUGGCUUGUCAUAACUUGGAUUGAACUGAAAGUGGAUCAGGCCUUGCGGGAACACAAAAAUGUCUCCCUUGUUGAGCAUCUUACUGAAAAACUUGUUGUCCGGGUUAGACGUGACAAAACCAACGUAGAGUGAACCUUCAAGAACUGUUAGGAUCUCCGUGGCACGGGGGUGAGUGUGUGGAGGGUUCUGUCCUUGAGGAGCAUAGUCAAUCCUUGCCAUGGAGAUGCCGAGGGUGUUGAGACCUGGGAGCUUCAUCGCAUUGAUCAACGUGACGUUGGACUUGACCUUGCUCUUCGUCGUGUCCCCAGGCUUGUCAAGGUUGGCUGCUAGGAAGAAGUCAUCGACCUUAACAUCCUUCACAUCCUUGCAGGGCAACCCGUUGACACGUACUGCAUCAAUGAAGCAACAUACAUGUGUUAUGGGAGGCUCAUCAUCAAACGUGUACUACGCCAUGUGAUUUUCAUUACAAGGCGGUAUAAACUUUCUCAAUUUUCAUUUCAGCUUCGUUAUGAACCACGCAAUCAUGAUGUGAUACAGACGUGUUAUGAUUAAGAUGAAGACUGAAGCACAUACCAUGCGUGUCUUUGUCGGCGACACAGAAGUCCUGGAGAGGACUGGGAUCCGAUGCUAUGGCACCGGAAGCGGCCAAGGCGAGAAGAACGGUGAGAAGAAAGAAGUUGGAGGAGGCCAUGCCUAGCAACCUAGACAGGAGUUUUCUCUCUUCUAUGGAGCUGCCUGUUGUGUAUAUGUAUCUAUACUUAGCUGAUGCUUUGUCCAUGGAGGCGUUGCAUGCAUAUAUAUAGCAGCUGAGACUCUGAAGAGGUCAUUCAGCAGGUUGCCCAACAGAAAUUGUCUCAGGUGUAGUGUAUCCCGAGAAAGAACCUAUUUGAUUUGGUCAACACGUUCUUGAUGAGUAAAUCAAUGCAAUAUCUACUCCCAAGACCCAGAUGAGGUGACCGUGUAAAAUUGUGAUCGUGGUGUAAAAUUUUAAUAAACACAACAGUUAUCCAUCAGGAAAUAUGAGAGCAAAACAAUACUAACAAGUAACAGUGUUGCAUAGUCCCAUGCAUGACCACGUCUGAUUAGUUACCAAACACAUACAUAAAAAAGGAUGAACUCGAGGAAACUUCGUCGAGUUUGACUGAUGCAAAUAAACAAUUGCAGAUGGUCAGAGCAUGUACUCGACCUGAUAACGACCGUUUCAAUCUAGCAAUGUUGCUCAUCUUCUGGUUGACUUAUUCCCAACCUCACCUACUCUUUCUGCUUCUAUAUAUACACGUCCAUCCUCCCCAGGGCCAAAGCAUCAAACAGCUAGCAGAAACCCAAACACCACCAAGCCAAAUAAGAACAACAGAAAUACACCAAAUGGCCUCCUCCACCACCUUUCUUGUUCUGACCGCUCUUCUUGCACUGCUCUCAUGGCAAGCGAUUGCUUCGGACCCAAGCCCUCUGCAGGAUUUCUGCGUUGCUGACAAGGAUUCUCAUGGUAUGUACCUUCACAUAUAUCAUCCGAACAUUUGUUAAUUAUUUGUAAUUGUACAAACUAUAUGUAUAAUUACAUGUAAUCAAACAUAUGUCGGACUUCAAUUCUUAUUAGCUUUUGGGCAUAACUUCAACAUGUGUUCCCCUCCAUGAUGCAGUGCGUGUCAAUGGAUUUGUGUGCAAAGACCCGAAGGACGUCAAGGCAGAUGACUUCUUCCUAGCAGCCAACCUCGACAAGCCAAGGGACACGACAGUUAGCAAGGUUGGGUCCAAUGUGACCUUGAUCAAUGUCAUGCGGAUCCCUGGCCUCAACACCCUUGGAAUCUCCCUAGCACGCAUUGACUACGCUCCACUAGGCGAAAACCCUCCUCACACACACCCUCGUGCUACUGAGAUCCUAACAGUUUUGGAAGGCACACUCUAUGUGGGAUUCGUGACAUCGAACCAAGAUAACAACAAGCUGUUCACCAAAACACUCAACAAGGGUGAUGUGUUCGUAUUCCCAGAAGGGCUCAUCCACUUCCAAUUCAACCCUUGCCCCGACAAGCCAGCAGUUGCAAUUGCUGCACUUAGUAGCCAGAACCCUGGUGCUAUUACCAUUGCCAAUGCUGUUUUCGGAUCAAAGCCACCGAUCUCAGAUGACGUCCUAGCCAAGGCAUUUCAAGUGGAGAAGAAGACUGUAGACUGGCUCCAAGCUCAGUUCUGGAGUGACAACCACAACUAAAUUCACGAUGUUGUAUUCAUACAAAAUGUUCUUAAUGUUUUUUAUUUUCUCAAUUUAUUUCUUGGAAGUCUCGGCGUUGUAAUACAUUUGUGACCAGAAGAUCACAUGCUACAAAAUAUAAUUUACAGUUUAAAUAAGACUGUUAUAAAGAGAUCACACAGAAAAAAUUGCUCUACUGAGACUUUUUUGCCAUCCCAACUCAUUUUUGUGUCUUUGUCAAUUGAAUUGUUUUGUGAGUCACAGGACUCUUGAUGGCCUUUUUAAUUUGUUGUGCCAUUGGCCAAUGACAUAAUUCAUAUGCACACAGAAGGCAAGUUUAGGACUCAAGCAAAAAAUAACAACAAACUGCCAACCGCAUACACGUAAAUAGCUCUAUAUUUUUCCUUUAUCUUCCUUGAAUAAAUGCGCUAAUAAUGGCAUUGCCAUGUUGUCCGCAGUUCCCGCAGUAAGCCUGAUCAAGUCCUUUUCAACUUCUAAUUUGUCAAACUGAUGUGAAUGUGACGUAGCUGCAGGUCUUGAUCAUCCUUUCCGUUGGUUAAAAUGUCUUACACGCAUCUCUCUCUCUUUCCGUAGUGCCGACCUUUUUCCUUACCCUUCCUCUAGUGACAUCGAUGUGGUGCAUCAAACACAGCUUUGAUAAAAUAGAAUAUUUAUUUUAAAUUAACUUUUUAAGAAAUAUCUCAUAUAUAUGAUUUCCAGGUUUUGAAACAAUACCGUACCUACAUAGCCAUUGAUACUUUUGAAAGUUUGACUAUGUGCAGAACUAAAACAACAUGUAGUGACAACUGAAGGCCACAGCAAAGUUUAUUUGGCCAUCUGAAUAUAUGGGAUAUUCGGUUGUUCUAGAUUAUCCAGCCUUAAAAUUUGUUUGCAAUAUUAUUAUUAUAUAUGGUUUUUGAAAACCUUAUAGCAUGCUGUUGAUAUAUAUCGACCCUUCUUGUAAUAGUGAAUUUUUGUUAUAUAUGAACAAAAGAAAAAAAAAGUAAAAUUUUACACUCCUUCGUUCACUUUUGGGUUUGCCACCCAAGUGUUUCACUGAAAGGUCACUAGCAAAAAAAAACAUAUAGUGCGAAAUCUUGCAGAACUAAUCAAUUGAAAAUACUCUGAACUACACUGCUACAAAGGGCCAUAUAUAUCACUACCGGACCCAAAAACGACAUCACCGCUGGUUCUGAGCAUAGUUGGUUAAAGGUUGGCAGUGAUACUCUUCCCCUUCAAUAACUAAUGGUGCUAGACCUGGCGGUGCUGUCCACUUAAAAAACAAAAAAAGCCAUGGCUGCCGGCCCCGGCCGUCACCACGCCUGCACCGCUCCCAACCGGCCGCACCUCAUCCCAGCACGUACUGAAGGAGACAAGCCUCGUUGCCACUUAGAGAGAGGGAGAGAGACAGGCGUGGUGGCACACUGGGGAGAAAUGAGGGGCACCAGAUCCGGUCGCCGCGCCCGCCACCACCAGAUCUCAACCGUCGCAACCACUAACGCGCGGGGCCUCCCUGCGCAACGCACAGGCCACAUGCCUGGAGUCCCACCGCACACGCGCCACCAACUCCGCUGGAGCCCCUACCGCGCCGCCGAAGCCCAUCUAGCCAGAUCACCGUCGCUCCUGCUCCAAAUCUUCCCCACCAGUCCUCAUCCCGCCGUCGCUCCUCACUGCCCCAGCGAGUGAGGGGCGAGCAGAGGGGAGAGGGGAGGCCGAUGAUCCCCGCACCGACCGGCGUCGAGAGAGAUGUGGAGAGAGAAGGAGGGAGGGAGAGGUGGGAGGCGUGCGUGAGAGAGAGAGGAAGCGGCAGAGGGAGAGAGAGAGUUGGCAUGAGGGAGAGAGGAGAGUAGCCUAGGAAUGGAUGCGAGACUUGCGACUUAAGUGGAUUGUAUUUUUUUGGGUUCGCGCUGCUUUUCACAGCUGGACAGUGUUAAAUUCCCGCCUCCAACCAGCGGUGAAAAGUAUCAUCAGCACCGGUUCUUGUGAUCCCUGCUCCUAUCUAGUUAUAACCCGGCAGUAAAAGGAUAUCACCGCCGGUUCGCAUAAAACCGGCAGUGAUAGCCCGUUAGAGAUAGCUCGUUUUGUAGUAGUACUACUUUAUCCAAAUGUUGACACAUGUAGUCGUCAUCAGUUCAGUUAAAGAUGUUCGUUCAGCAUGGGGUGUGGGUCGAAAAAGGUUGAUACAUGAAUCAUUACUUACGAAUUCAUGGGUUGUAUGGCUUUUGGUCCCUUGUUGUGUGGCAUAUGCUCAUCAGCAUCAUCAUUAGCAAGGCAUCGUCACCUCUACUGUAAUCCGCCCAUUAUUUCACAUCUUCAUCCCCACGCCACGACCGCGGCUUGACACCUGUAGCAAGGUAGAUCACCUUCUCCAGGGCCUCGAACACCUUGCAUCCGUCGAGCACCCGGUUCCACAUGCCGCUGACGGUGCAGUAGUUGGUGUUGUACGGCGGGCGGUGGUGCUCGGCGUGCUGCGGCAGCGACACGAGCACGCCGGCGGCCUGCAGCGCCGCGACGCCGGGCGGCAGCCUCGACGGCCGCCUCUCGUGCGCCCACGCGUGGAUCUGCACGCUCAGCAUGACGCACGCCGCGAACGCGCAGGCGCACGCGUGCGCCGCCGCGGGGGCGCGCGCGGCGGAGAGCGCGGCGCCGGCGGCCGGCAGCGCGACCGCCACCGCGCCGGCGACCACGUGCAGGUUGUUGCAGGGCUCCAGGCGCGUGAUGGCGGAGGGGUGGAGGUGGUGGUCCUGGAACGCGACGAUCUGCGCGCCGAGGAUGGGUGUACCCGCGCCACCGUAGUUGUCGAUGAACCAGUGGUACACCCCCGCGGCGAGGUCGGCGAGGGAGUAGCCGGCGAAGGCCGCCAUCGCCGCGGCGAGCAGGUCGGCGCCGGCGGAGCCGGAGGCCCCGACGAGGCGCGCUGUCGUGAGGAAGGAGGCGAGGAUGGCUGCCGAGCCGGCCAGCGUCCACGCGCGCUGCGGCCACGUCGACCGCUGCUCGUCCGGAAUAACGUCGUUGGACGCAGCAGUCGACGACAUUGUCGGCGUCGUCCGAGUUGCCGACUCAGCCUGGCUCAGCGGUGCCGACGCAGAACUCGACAUUAACGAGUUUUGAGCUCGAUGCUUGAGAACGUGCAGCGCAGUAUGUCGUCUAUGCAUUUUAUAAGAGUUCCGAAAUUAAAUUAGCGUGCGAAGCGCCACUACGGGAAACCUCUAAGUCGCCGAGUGUAAUUUCUUCGCCGAGUGUAUUAUUGCGGGCACUCGGCGAAGGACCGGUUUGCCGAGUGCAUUCUUAGAAACACUCGGCAAAAGCAAAAAUAAAACACUCGGCGAAACCACGAUUUGCCGAGUGCCACCAAAAAAACACUCGGCAAACUCCCACGGGGCACUCGGCAAACAAAAUCCACUCGGCAAAUACUUGAGCACGUGACUUCCACGUGCCGCGCUGGGCCGUCGCCAUGACGGACGUUAGGGUUUGCCGAGUGUCUCGAUGGGGCACUCGGCAAAGCUGAGAGUUUGCCGAGUGUCUCGAUGGGGCACUCGGCAAACCUGAGGGGUUGCCGAGUGUUUUUUGGCACACUCGGCAAAAAAAAAUUCCCUCCUCCCCCCUCCAAACUUUUUAUACUCCACAUAUAUGAGAUUUGGCACUGCAUGGUACAAGGAUUGUGAACUAAAUUGUGACUUGAACUUGGAUUUAUGGAUUGUGAACUAAACUUGGUUGUGAACUAAAUUGUGACUUGAACUUGGAUUUAUGGAUUGUUUUGUGCUUAUGUUGAAUUAUGCCUGUGGUGUUUAUGAAUAAUGUUUCUAAUGGUGGUUGUGAAUUAUGCAUGUGAUUGUUUAUUACAAAUGCCUGUGAUGAUGUGUAUUGUGAAUUGAGAGGGGUCCGUUAUACGUGGGAAAACGGGGAAAAGGGGGGGUGCUGGUCACUUUGCCGAGUGUAACACUCGGCAAAGAGGGUCCUUUGCCGAGUGUUUUAGCUUUAACACUCGGCAAAGGUGCAUUUCCCAGGUGUACGAGAGGUUGUUUGCCGAGUACCAGGGACUAGGCACUCGGCAAAGACCCCUUGUUUGCCGAGUGCCAGGGAUAAGGCACUCGGCAAAGGCCCUAAUUCCCAACUGCACGGCAGGUUGUUUGCCGAGUGCCUCCCCCGGGACACUCGGCAAAGACCCCAUGUUUGCCGAGUGCCAGGGGUAAAGACACUCGGCAAACAAGCCGGCUUUGCCGAGUGCCCACUCCCUGACACUCGGCAAACACCCCCUGUUUGCCGAGUGUUGGCGCUCGGCAAAGAUGCUAUGUUUGCCGAGUGUCUACCGUCUGGCACUCGGCAAACCUGCCGUUACCCCCGACGUCGUCACCGCGUAUUUCGCCGAGUACAUAUUUUCGCCGAGUGUUUUUUGGCGGUCGGCAAAAUGUUUGCCGAGUGCUCGAGAUUUGACACUCGGCAAACUAGGCUUUGCCGACAGGAAAUUUACCGUGUGCUCUUUGCCGAGCCUUUGCCGAGUGUUUUCGUGUCUUUGCCGAGUGCCUGUGGCACUCGGCAAAGUUUCUGGUUCCCGUAGUGCGCCCAUGCGGCGAUUUCUUGCGGGAUCAGGAUUAGUGAUCUGACAGGGACCCAUGCGAGGACUUCUUGCGGGAUCAGGAUUAGUGAUCUGACAGGGAAGUAACGCAGGCUGGCAGAGGGAAGAAGAAGAGUACAAGAGCACGCGAGGUGCCGAGGUCGUCGCGAUGGACGGCUCGCGUGGCCCUGCCUCGACCAUCCGUGUAUCAGUAGGAACAGAAGUAGUUUGCUUCGUCGGAUGUUACUCGAGGUCUCGAGCACCCGGCACAAAGUGCUCUCGUCAGAAGUUAGUGACUCUAGCAGCGCUGAAAAGAAUUGAGUGAGACUUAAUUGGUUCAAAUUUGAAUUACAUCGUCUCAAAAAUUCUUAGAGCCAUGCAUUCUUUCUUUCCCCGACAAGUCCUAGCUAGGGCAGAGGCCAGAGGCUAUGCCCUCUACUCUUCCCUCAAGCAAUCAAAUCAUUGCUUGCAUUGCUUCUAAACUCAAGGGUACACAGGAGAGCACAUGUAUCCCUAUCUCUAUGGGUUGACUAAGAUAGAAAUAUGAGCACCGGUAAGGUCUAAUUGUAUGCUGUUUAAAAUCGUGAUGAGUUGAUACCUUGCGUGCAAGAAAACUGGAAAAAAGAUGACCAUCCAUUAGAAUAUAGACAUACUCCCUCCAUCCUAAAUUACUACUCGUUUUAACUUUUCUAAAUACAUAGCCUUUGACUUGCACCUAAAUAUAUAUUAUGUCUAGAUAUGUAGCAAAAUUUACGUAACUAUAAAGAUAUAUAUUAUGUCUAUAUACGUUGCAAAAAUUAUGUAACUAUAAAAGCCAAAACGAAUAGUAAUUUGGCACAUAAGGAGUAUUAAAGUUGAGAACCAAGCUAGCACAUAGAUCAUUUUUCUUGAGAAACUUAUAGUAAAUGGAUACGAGAAAUGCAUUAGCAACAGAUGCGUGUAAAUGAUGGACUUUCAGUGCCGCGUACUCGCAUCCUUCUGUAGUUGUGCGAUGCGUGGACAUCCUGUCCUCUUCUUAUAAAUGCCGGAAAACAACAGUUGAGGGAGAGUAGACGGCACGAAAAUAUUGAGCCAGCUAGUCAUGAUGUUUAGAAUUUUGGAAUCUCUUGCACGAUUUGCCAUAAAACACUUCAAUGCAGGAAAAAAAAUCAGGACCUCUGUAAAUUGUUGCAUUUAUUUCAAAUAUGAGUAAAGUCCAUUUUUUACACUCUAUUUGUGGGGACCUCCCUCCGGGAGUCCUGUUGAUCACAUGUAUUAGUUCCUAGAUGAGUAGGCUAAUACAGUUAUCAUCAUAGUUCAGUAUUUUAAGCAAUAAAAGGCGCAUAUUUUAAUAAAACAAAGGUUUUCACCUUAGCGCAGCGAAAUGGUGCCCAUCCACUAACAAGAUGGUCUAAACACCUGGAGUUCUACAUCUGCAUGAUGAAGGCAAGGCUGAGUAUACUUAUGGUUGGUACUCAGCAAAUCCCAACAAUUAUUAAGUAAUUAUAUGCAUUUUGGGAGGUGGACAAGGUGUAUGAUUGAGGGGCAAAAUCUAUGCCUAAAGCAUCUCACAUAUGCAAAGUGGAUUAAGAAAGGUGAGUUUUGCAAAUACUCUCUAAAAGUUAUUAUUAUAUUAUUAAAUGGAAGUUGUGGUCUUGGAGGGGGAAAACUACCUCCCCUACCAGUCCGCAGGUUUUAACUCUAAAAUUCGGUCCACGACCUUUAUUCGUCAUUUCCAAAACACUAAUUCUCACCCAAAGAGUUUCAGAGGUAAUCAUGGGAGCUUUAACUUAGUGAGCUCAUAACCGUGAGCCUUAGUUCUUCGAAUAGAUUAUACUCUACGCAGAGGUGUACACUUUCCCCAUACGUCCGAUCAGCCCAUGCUUUCACGAAAAGGCGGUACUGACCUACGAGAUCCAUACCCGCCCGUGUCCAUCUCUGGACAACAUUCCCUAGGUCCAUCCACGGAUAACACUAGGGUCUAAACAUGGGCCACUAUCAUCCACUUCGCGGAUCUCAUCCUGGAACAUGUGCAUAAAAUAAAUCAAACAGGACCUCUGAACCUCAGAGUCUCUGACCCUCUCUCAGUCAACCCGUGCUGACCGAUCCUGGGAUUAUGCGAAGGUCCUGAUCUAGCAUAUCCGUUGCCCACAUUGGCCCCUUGGGAUGGAUGACUAGGUUCAGCUAGUGGGGUUUAAACCAAGACCUCACAUAAACAGCACUCCCGAAGGUUGUGCCGUUUUGGCACGUAUGGCUAUAUGGUUCACAAGAAACACUCACCCAAUGAACCAGUCCUUAUGCGACCGGAUUAAGCUCUGGGACGGAGUACCCUCCACUGAGGCCGUCCCCUUACUCCCAAGUCCAUAACACACCCUAGCGGUUGCUAUUAUUAUCAUUUUAUCUUUUAACUCAUGCUUUUCAAAAGAUAAAACCCUUCCUAAGCAUUUGUUUCAUAAAAAGAAUGAUAUUUUGUUAGAUCCUCUUCAUAGAGGAUCCAAUGGGUGUUUUAUCCACCCUUUUUGGGGCGUGACUCGACUAGCCUAGCGUUUCUAAUAUGGGGUGGCUGAGGGAAUAGGUAGUUUGUCUAGAGUGAAUAUGGCAUGUGGCAUUUCAAUAGCAAAAACACUAUUAUGUCCUUUUGGGGGUUUAGCUAGCAAGCACGCAUUUCAAAGAAAUAAUUUAAAAACAAUGCAGUCCAUAUUAGGUUGGCUAUAUUAUUAUCCCUCGCACUCAGUAGGAUAAAACAAGAGUUAAGAGUCGGGACUUGCUUUCAUUGAAGAUUCUAAACGUUUCCUAAGGCGACCAGGUCGUUUGCUUCAAGUCUUCUGGUUCCUUAGCUUUGGAGCAAGGCCUGGUGAUCUAUCGGCUGCCAUAAGCAUGCAAUAGUACAAUCAUCCUAACAAUCAAUCAAUCAAAUACUUAAGGAAUUGGAGAAGGAAGGAUGGUGGGCAUUUUGGGAAUUGCCUGGCACGUUAAAGGUGAAUUCCCGAGUGCCUACCAGCUCGGCGUUUUGACUUCUUUUUUUUGCCACUCGAUCCAUGAUACAAUACAUAUUUGAAUUUUUAAAUUUCUAGUGCUAAAAAACUACCCUCAUACCUGACUUUUUUGCGGGUCAUGUGGGUAGAAGGGGGAAAUAAUGGGUGGGGGACUUGAAAGUCGACAUUUGAACUUGCAAUUUUAUAAAUCUAAAGGUAAGGAAUGAACAUAGGAACAUUUACAUACUAAAGUGUAGGAUGAUUUGGAACCUGCAGGAUCACUGGAAUAUAAUACAAAUUUGUAGCUAGGAAAGCAAACCUAAAGCUACAUGAAAAGUUGUAACAAGAUUGUAGAUGUAGGAGAGUGAAUCCUCUUAGAAUGUGAAUAUCGGCUAGGCACCCCCAAGCCCACUAGAAGACUUGUACGGAUCCACACAAGGGAACGUACUCGAAACCUACUCGGACAUGAAGACUACUCUACAGGGCAUGUAGGCUUCAUGGACUCCGUGAAGACUAGUCGGGUUAAAAGAAAACUACUCUACCGAGUUAGAGUAGGACUCUAUAACGUACUCGACUAGGACUCUUAUACACAAUCCACCCUGUAACCCUGCUCCCCCGACUAUAUAAGGGCGGGCAGGGACCCCCUCCAAACAACUAAGCACAACGCAACACAACUUAUCAAUACAAUCCACACAUAGGACGUAGGGUAUUACGCGAUCUAGCAGUCCGAACCUGUCUAAAUCGUGUUCUCUAUGUCACCAUCUACUUCUUGAUUCUCGGCAACACCCACUGCACAAAACACCACCUCAGGUACUCCCUAGGCGAGUUGCUAGUAUAAAACACCGACAGUGAAUACUUGUUGUCAAAUAUUACACCUGCGUAGUGACAAAAAUAAGAUCAUAAUCACAAUACUUAGUUAGCAAAAUAUGUAAAAACAUAUUUAUUUAUACAAUUCUUAAUACUGAAAAAGCAAUUAGAUUCAUUGUAGUACUUUGUAAUAGAUUCAAUAAAUGUUGAACUACAUGUACACAAAUGUUGGAUACAACAAUCUGAAAUGUUGAAGUGUACUGACAGAUUGUUGAAUAUAAUAUAUGAAAUGUUGAACCUUACAACAGGAAAUGUUGAAACUAAUAUAUGGAAGUGUUGAAUUAGUAAUGAGAAAUGUAUCACACAAACAAAUUAUGGCAUUUUUACCUUCGACAAAACUCUGUUGUGCUUUAUCCAUCUCUGUGACAGGAAUAAAGUGAUGUAUUAGUGUUCGGUUUAGAUGAGAAAAAAAUAGCGAUCAAAGGUAUUCUAUAAAAAUCUUUAGUAGUUAAGUACAUGUUGAAAUUAGGAAAGUUAAAUUCUCUCAAAAGAAAUGUUGAACUAUAUAAACAUAAUUGUUGAAACGAAUAAUAUGAAAUGUUGAUCCUUGUAAAACCAACUGUUGGAACCAUAUAAACAAAUCACUAGAAAUGUUGAAACUGAUAAUUUGAAAUGUUGAAAUUAAUAAUGUUAAAUGUUAGUAUAAAUUGGAAAUGUCGAAACUAACCUAAUUAUAAAUGUUAAAAACAGUGAGAAUUGUUAAUAACGAUUAACUACCUGAUUAAACACGUUAUUGAGUUCACAUGUUUUGAACUAUGUUCACUUGAACAGCUCUGCAUAUUCUCAUGCUGAAUAUUAGCAUCUUUCUUAGCCUGACCACAACCUACUCUUCUCCUAUAAGAUUCCUUCUCAACUGACAUAAUUUUGGAUGUCGCCAGUAUGUUGUCAUCUACUUUUGAGUUAGGGCAGAAUGAACAUGUACUUUGAUUAACUGAAAUAGAGCUGGGUGGAGUGAUUAUCCAUCCCCUGUUCCCUUGCAUCUAUCACUACAAGAAAUGUGUUGAUCUAUAAUGAAAAUUUUAUGACGCAUUUGUUCUCAUCAUAGAUCUAUGAAGUUUCUGUCUGAGAACGUCACAAAGUUUCACAUCCAAGCAAAUUUAGUGACAAAGUUACGGAACGUCAUAAAAGUUGCCACUGUAGCCAAAAAGAAAUCAUCACUAGCUAUUACAUGGUGGUUUUGUGAUGAUAUAAGCUCUGCAAAAACGGCAUAAACCAACCAAGGUCCCACAUGUAAGUUUAAGCUGAUAAAAAGGGUGGCAAAAUAACAAGGAAGAUGUGCUCCCCCCGUGGGUCGAACCUAUUACCGAUCGAAUAGGAAGUCCUUACCAUGACCGGGUCCCACAGGUAAGUUUCAUGUGAGUAUUUACCGAUCGAAUGGCUGACAUGACACUUCGCUAGCUUCUCAAAGACGACUUCGCUGCGCAGAUCUGCAAUAGCCCACGGCGGGAAUGGCGCAUCCUAGUGGCAACGGGAGGAUGAUUGCGCCACAUCCAGGCUAUGAGAGGAUGAGGAACCAUGAUGAGGUCAGUCCCCUGGUUUGAGCUGCUACUUUCCCCUAUCAUCCUAGGAAAGGGGAUUUCUGGAUUUGGGGAUCUGGAUUGAACAUACUAGAUUCUUGAUGCAGUUAGUUUUAAAUUUGGAUCAUAUUAUGGAUUGAUAGGUUCUUGUAUUUUAUUAGCUUCUAGAGGUGCAUGAAGUCAUUGGUAGCGGUAGAUCAGGGCCUCCUGACAAUGAUCUUAUCAUUGUGGAUCCUGUAAACAAGUGCGAGCAUGGGUAUGCUCCCCUUGUGAGGUAUAAUUGGACAUUUAACAACCCUAGGCGCCGGUAUGCAUCCUGCAGCGAGGUAAACGAUAACUUGUUUCAAUUGUAAUAAACCUUGCUUGUACUCUUGAUGUUAGUGUUGUAAAUGGAGAAUUGUAUGAAAAUAAUAGGUGUCUGCAGCAUGAAGGGCUGAAAUGUGCGGCGUUUAUGUAGGUUGAUCCUAAAUGGGAUGCUAGGACUAAAGGUAUUCUGAUGAAGCUGAUGAAGAGGAAGGUAAAAGCUAAAGAGGAAGUAAGGUUGUGGAAGUAAGAAUGCGCAAAGGUUAACAUGAAGCUUGAAGCAACUGCCGCUGAGCUGCAGAAGGUGAAGGGACACCUGGAACAGGCCACCAAUGUGGUGAAGAAGGUUGAGCAAUCGCUACUGCUGUGAUGUACUAUCUAGCAAAUUAGGAUAAGUAAGAACGAUGAUUAUGAACUUUGUAGUGAUGAAUAUAAUGUAUAUGACAUGCAAUCUGAUUAUGCCGCUUUGGUUUAAUCUACUUUCAAUUUGAGUCCAGCAUAUUUACCAUUCAGAAUUCAGAUAUGAUGCAUAAUUGAGGAACACUAAUAAUAUAGAUAUUGGUAGUAUAUAUACAAAUGCAUUGUCUAAUAAUACAAUUGGCGGCUGAGAUAAUAAAAUCUGGCAGGGUCCCACAACUCAGUCUAAGAUAAAAAAAAGGAAGAAAAAUGAAAAGGUAAUAGUGUCCACAGCAGGAUCGAACUUGCAAUGAUCUCUUGUUUCUCAAGAGUGAGCACUACCACUAAGACCUAAUGCAGUUUAUGAUUUUUGAACAAGGCAGCUUCUUUAUAUUACAGUUCUAAUAAGUGUGGUCUACUUCCCAGUUGCAGGCCAGAGCAACGGGUAUCUCUGCAAUAACGUACACUGCAAAGGACUCGCCGGCACGCUCCUGGUGGCUAUGGCAAAGACUUGAUCCUAGAGGUGUCGGUGCGCAGAUCUGCAACGGGUGGCAGGAAUGGCGCAUCCUAGCAGCGAAGGGAGGAGUAGGAGCUACGGUCAGGUCAAUCCCCUAUUUUGUGCCGCUACUUUCCCCUUUCAUCAGAGGGAAGGGGAUUUUUGUUCAAGGCAGUAGAUUUCGAUUUUGUCCUACCCUUAGGUUUGCAUUCCGAUUAGUGAUAGAAGUUGAUAUGCUAUAGUUUAUGAAGUGCAAAACUAAACAUUGAUUUCAAGUUACAAUGACUUUUGUGAAGCAUCCAAGUAUUCCAUCAUCUUCUUCCAUUGGUAGCUACUACUCAGAGACAUCUUCCUGCAACAUUACCCAUUGGCAUCCUGAAAACAAGUGCGAUCACGGGUUGAGAGCUGUGGUAAAGUAUUCUUGGACCUUUCUCAACUCUGGCCGCCGGUUUGCUUGCUGGCCAAAGGUAAUGGCUACCUGUUUCACAGAGAUUUUGGUUCUAUGGUUUCAUGUUAUUGUUGUCAACAGUGAUUUGUAAAAGAGCGUUUAAUUUGCAGGAAGAAAAUAGCAAUGCGGUUACAUGAUCUGGGUUGAUCCAGAAUAGGAUGAUAGGACCUUUGGUGUUCUGGUGAAGCUCAUGAAGAAAAAGGUGCAAGUUGAAGAGGAUGCAAAGAAGUGGGAGGAAGAAUUGGGAAAAGCUAACUGUGAACUUAGAGAGAUUAAAAUGAGCUCAAGACAGUGCCGCAACAACUUCAGAAGGCUACUGCUGAGUUGAAGUCAAUUGGGAAUUAUAGGCACAAUGUCAAACUCGUACACGUGAUCGAAAAUUUUAGUCCGGCCUAUUUACUUUUCCCACAAGAGAAUUUCCUUCUAGAUUCGCCAAGAAUCAUAACCAAUUGCAUUCAAAUCGAAUAUUCGAUGCCACGGCCUCCGGCGGUUGCCAUACCGGUUCCUGUUCCCAUGCGUUCUUUGAGGAGUCGGUUGCCAUCCUCGAGAGGCGCCGGUUGCCUAGCUUCCCAAGGAAGCCGGCGCAACUUCCCAUGGAAGGCGAGGAACUCAUUAUUUAAUCGCCAUUUCCCCAUCAUUGGCAUCAUCACUAGUUCCACUACCAUCUCGUCCCUGAUGCGCACGCCUCACCCCAGCAGCUCGGCCGAUGCUAUGAAGCGAUCCGUCUCCCCCUCAGCCCUCACCUCCUCUGGCUCCCCGUCGCGCCGCCUCUCCCCCACCAGCUCCCCCUCGCACAUCGAGCGGUCCUCCAGCGCCUCUUCCUCCUCAUCGCGCUAUCGUCGCGCCGCCACCCGCAACUUCAUGGCAACGCUACGGUGCUACAUCCACGCAGUGGGGUCAUCCCGCUACAGUGGCGCUUCCGCGUCGGGGUCCCGCUUCGACACCGGUGACCUCGGGUGGCCAUUGCGCUCGUCGUAGGGAUCGCGCUCCAACAUCGCUGACCUCAACCCGCCGUUGCUCGGGGAUGGUCAUCCGGAGCCGCUGGGGGCUCCCUAAUGCAUUCCCAGCCUCCUCCGAUGGUGGGGGUGGCUUCCUCCACCCCCGCGCCCUCGUCGCCGCCUCGUAAGUUGACCUUGAUGGUGACCCUUCCAGCUGAUGCGUUUGACUCUGACUCUAACUCCCAUUCUGAGACGGACUCCUCUAACGACCGUCACCAUGGCUACCGCACACCCUUCCCCCGGGGCAACGCUCUACGCGUCUUCCACUGCACUUACAACACCUUCGCAUGCCCCGUCUGCACCGGCACAAGGCAUCGGUGGAGGAUCCUGAAUGAGUUCAAGGACCACAUCCUGGGGAUGGCAAAGUCCAUGCCCCUGAGGGGUGAGAACAAGAAGAAGUAGAGCCACCACCGCGUCGUGGCCCAGAACGAGGGGUGGAUGGAGUGAGCAAGCCGUGCUAGUGGAAGAUCAAUAAUGUUAUCAUUGCUAUGUUGUUAAUUAGUAACUUUAGAUUUCAUUCAAACCCUAGCCAUCUUUGCUAUGCUGUUAUCUUUUGUUUGUAAGAUCAAUGGAAAGAUCGACCCCAUGUUUUCUAGUUCGAAGAUCAAUGCCUUUUUUUCCUGCUCUGUUUGCUCUGUGAUAGGACAUCGGCAAGAAUUUGUUCAUCUUCCUUGGUGCUUUUGGUUUCCAUGGUCAUGAUGUUGUGUCAUAGCCUGCCAUGCCAUGUCUUGUCAUGUGAUUAUUUAUUCUUAUCCCACCACACCGCAAUGGACUAGAAACAACAGCUAUCUUGUAGAGUGUAUUUAGAAACAAAUGACUAUCUUCCCUCAUCGGUUUUUUGAGCAGCUAAAAAUCAAUAUGUGAUGAAAAGUUUAGUCCGUCCUAUUUACUUUUUCGACAACGGAUCAUACAUCUGUACCUCGCCAAGAAUCACUAUUUCUGAUCAUUGAGCCGAUGAUAUAUUGUCACUUUGCCAAUCCGAUUGCAUGAUUUCAUUUUGUUGUUUCCAACUGUUUUUGGCUUUUCCUAGGGCGAUUAAUUAGAUCGUUUAUAUUUGCUAUGAUGUUCUCCUACUCACAUAGCUCGAUAGGCUAAGAUGGAUUGAAUUUUAUGUUUUAUUUAAUGUGAUUGUAGUUGCAAUAGUGCAUCAUUUUUUUAAGGUUGAAAAUCAGUAUGAUAGGAACAUUAACAAAUAAUGUAAUCCUAUUUGGGUCUCUCAAAACCAAGGAAAUCCUUAUUCACCUUGCCAAAAUUCAAACAAUUUUUCCAACAAAGGAUCGAACAUUUUGGUCCGUCCUAUUCACUUUUCCUCUAACAGAUCAUACGUCUGUACAUAUUUUUUCCAAAAAUUGUAACGAAUUCUAAUUUGUACCCGAGGAUUAACGUGGCAACCGUCCACGUUCCAGCGCCAUGUAAUGUCACAUCCUCCACGUCCACGCAGCUGGUCUUCCAUGGUUCUCAUGUAGGCAUGGUUACUUGAAAACAAUUUAUGCUAUUCCCUCAUUUAAUUCCCAAUGGGUUGUUCUCCUACUCGCAUGCCUCUAGAAACCAAGAUGGAUCGAAUUUUAUGUUUCAUUUAAUGAGAAUGUAGUUGGAAUAGUGCAUCCAUUUUUGAGAGAUUGAAAAUCAACAUGGGAUGAUUAUUAACAAAUAAUGUCAUCCUAUUUGGUUUUCUCUCAAAAGCAAGGAAAUCCUUGCUCACCUUGCCAAAUUUAGACCAAGCAUCUUUUUCCCAAUAAAGGAUCGCAAAUGUUAGUUCGGCCUAUUCAAUUUUUCGAGAACAGAUCAUACGUCUACACAUCACAAAGAAUCAAAUUCUUUCCUUUAACCGAUUAUUAACGUGGCAACCGUCCAUGUUCCAACGACAUGUAAUGUCACAUCGUCCAUGCAGCUGGUUAUUUUGGGAGGCUUGCCGGCGAAGGAGCGGUGGUUUUGUUAUAAAAUGCGACACGCCUCCACUUCUUCUUCAAAUGACCUCAAGCGCAAGAAUACCCUUGGGCAUCUCCUCUCAAUGCAAGAAAACCCUGCCGCAUCUCCUCUCGGCUCAAGUGCAGUGCUCUCUCCCUAGUCUCUGCAUCAAUUUGUAUGUGCAUUCGACCUUGCCCCUUCUUUGAUCAAACUAAUUUCUAUGUGCAUUUCAGGAUCGUGGACAUGGCUACUGCACCUCCGCCGCUGUAUACCACUGUCUCCUUGCUCGUGCUGCAACAUCUUGGUCUCCGAGAGGGUGAGGUCAAUCGGAUGGUGGCGGCCUAUGUUAGAGAGCAGCACUAGUACGAUCCUUGGUACACCACGUCGGUCUGCAACGGCACUACACUUGGCCACCACAACUUCAGGAUGGCGAACGAUGACACCUCCCCCCUUGUCUUCGCCGUGCUUCCAUCCGCCCAGGAUGUUGAUCGCCUUCACGGUCACACCUGGUAGUGGUGGACCGAGGUCGUCAUCUUCCAUCGCGUGAGCCGCUUCAACCUCCUCAAGACCCUCUUCUAGGAGGUCCUGGGCGACCCUAAGGAGAUUAAUUAGAUCAUUUAUCUUUGCUAUGAUGUUAAUUAGUAACUUUAGAUUUCGUUGGAACCCUAGCUAUCUUUGCUAUGGUGUUAUCCUUUGUUUGUAAGAUCAAUGGAUUGUUUCAUUUGGAUGGAAGAUCAAUCAUGACAGGUCCGUAGACCCGGGGUCCCUAAUGGGACUGCCUUCCCGCAAUACUUAGCCCAACAAAGGUCACAGCCACAACGUACACCUGGGUCAGCCCAGCUACGCGUGGCCAGGAAGAGGCCUCGAUCCAGCCAGUGGCCAUUUUCUCCGACCAGGAAGCUUAGUCGGCACCCUGACCGGAAGGAGCCAGUAGGGGGUAGGGCUGCAGCCUGACCCCGACUGAGCUCUCCUAACCAAGUCCUCCCGACCAAGUCCCCCUGACUGGGGAUGCACCGUACCACCCGUACCGCUGCCCUCGACCCACUCAGUCGGGGCCGACUGGUACAACCGACCGAGAACGCCCACCCGGUGUGGGCCCAAGGAGCAGGUGGGACGGAUAACGAGGAAGCGCCCGGGUCAACCGGUCGUACGCCAAAUCGUACCGCGCCACGCCCUGCGCACGCCUUGCACAGUGCCGCUGUAAACCUACUCGCUAUGACGGAGUGGCCUGAUGAGGAGAACAGGGACCGAGGACGGAGGCCAUACCGCAGCAGAUGAUGUGGGCCCCGACAAGACUAGGUAGCGCCCGAACACUCACUCUCUUAUCCUCUCCGACCGACCUGUAAGGCUGUUCCCUUGUACUAUAAAAGGGGACGGACCCCUCCCCCCACUCUAAAAGACAACACUCUAAAAGACGAACAUUCUUACACACACCCAUACACACUUAGCACACGUAUGAGCUCCUGCCACUCUCUUCCACUGAGAUGAGAACCAAGCCAGGACUCAGGCACCCCCCUCUCAUCCUCCUCUCAUUUGUACCCCCACUACAAACUUUGAGCACCUAGGCUCAGGAAUAAAGUCGACCGACUGACCCCGUGUAACAGCCUGGGUGCUUAAAUGGUGUUUUAAUCUUAAGAGCAAGUCCUUUGUGCUUAAAGAAAAGCUUUGGCAACCUUUAGGCAAAGUCUGAGCUUUGGGGCUCUCUAAUUAGAGGUUUCGAAUGUCAUUUGGAGCUGAACCCUAUACCAAAGUUUUUGAGCUUCGGGACCUUAACAACUUUGCUUUAAGGAGCAAGUUCGAAAUCUACCCCGAAAGCCUUCAAAAUCAAGGUCAAAGUUCCCUAGUUUGGUCAACUCGGCCCCUUUAGCCCUUACGGUCAAGUCUGAAAAAUCAGCCCAACCUGGCGCCUUAGAGCGAGUUUAUCCUUGGAAAGUUGAACAGAGCAUCAAGAAAUCCCAUUGUAAAAGUUGGAGAACUAAGUUUCUACAACAACCUUGCUAUUUGGACCUUGGUCCAAUUCAUCUCCGAAGCUUCCCAAAUCUGCAGCUCAACUCAGCCCAGAACCCUAAAAACCGGUCAAAACCCCCUCUUUUCUCUAAGUCAUGAAACCGGUGUUCCUCUAAACUUUGGAGCUUUGAAUCUUCAAAUCCAUCGUGUUUUUGAACUCGGUCUUAUUACAAAAUUUGCACCUUAGUCUGUGUACAACAACUCUUGUAAAGGGAGUCAACGUGGCACAGUUUGAAAAUUGGGAGAUCAAGAGGCUGGAAGAUGGGCUCGGUAAAGGAUCUCGCGGAUCCAUCGGCCAAACAGCGCCAGAGCGCGCGUGCGCCGCGCUUCAGAGCGCCACUGCCAUGUGGCGUGCCCUUGCUGGUGAGCGCCGCCUCGCCUAGUCGCCGGCCACGACAAGAUGGGUCGACACGUCUCGCUCCCCAGUCGCGCGCAAUGAUGACCCACGAUCCUCUAUUCUGUUCCGCCUCGUCUCGCUCGAGGCCUCUCCGGCUGCGCUAGGCGCACUGCCCGCAGCUCCGCCGUCGCCCCGGCCACUCUGCGACCGAAGACCAGCCACUGUCGCGCCGAUACUGCCUCACCUCACGCGCCCAUCCGUCUCACUCGGAUCCCCGGCCGCGUGCCCCAACGCCUUUCGGCCCUUCCAUCACACCUCAAUCGCGCUGCCCGCGCGCGCGCCCCGCGACGCUGCCGUCUCCGCCAACCACCGCGCAGGUAGUGACAGCUCCUUCCCCCGCCUCACCAGUAGCGUACCCCGGCAAAGCCGCUAGUCCCGCGCAUGCUCGCAUCACACCGCUCGCCCUGUCACCCCGAUUGCAACGCCUUCGCUUGCAGUGCCCUUCCCUCCCUCCGGUCCGCCAAUGGCACCGUCGCCAUCAACGGCUGCGACCACACACGCGCGCAGACCUAACAGAUCCGCGUGCCCAGCAAACCCGCUUCGCCCCAGCUCCAAAUUGUUGCUGCCCAACCAGGGCAAGAUCAUGCCCGAGCUCACCAAUGGAGGCGCCGACCAAUCACCACCGCGGCAGAGCACUCUUUCUCUCCCUUGAUCUUAUCCUCUCGCCGCUCGAGCUCAUUUCGUUCCUCCGAAUACUUCCGCAUAUCUAUAAAAGGGGUACCGAAGCCUCUUACCGGAGUUCCCUUCGCUGCCACCACCUUUGCCACACCACCUGCUCUGUUCUUCUCCAUCGCACUCGCCGCCGCACACUCCUCUACUUCACGCUCAAGCGCCGCCGCCUAAGCUCUCUGUGAAGCUCCCCUUUCCGCCCCACCCCGCGCCUUGCUGACCCCACCAGCCGCUUCACCAUCCUUUCGCGCAGCGCUAGAGCUUGCUUGUUGUCUACAAGAAGAACCAUCGCCGCCGAAGCUCCGUCGUUCCUCGUUCCGCCUCGGCUUGAUUCUUCCCGACCCCGAGACCUCAUCAGUAGGACCGAAGGUGAGCUGCCGACCCCCUUCCAGCUCACCUGACCCUGUCCGACUCGCCCGAGUGCUGUCCGCCUCGCCCGACUCACCCGAGUGCUAUCCGCCUUGCCCAACUCGCCCGAGUGUUGUCCACCUCGCCCGAGGGCUUGGUUGUGUCUGUUUCUUUUGACCGAGGGUAUUUGUGUAAAAUUCUGGGGACUCCUCUAUAUUAAACCUGAGGAUCUCGGUGCAGUUAUUCCUUAAAGUCUAAGGGUCAUAUUGUAAGUUUUCCCUGAUCCGACUCUUUUAACUCGUUUGGAAUCAACCGAAGCUUGGAAAAUACAUCUUAAAUCAAGGAAAAGUCGGAAAGUUGUGAAAUCACUUUGGUUGGAAUCCUCGUUCUGAGUAGAAUCCAAUAAAGUGGGUUUUGCACCUUUUCUAUGGUUUUGCUAUAGUUUUUGGGUUAAAUCUUUGCAUGCUAUUCAAAUCACCGUCUAAGUGUCUCACCCUUGCAUUGCAUUUCGUGUAGAGCUGAACGUCGCCGACGGCACCUACGAGCUUCACCUGGCGCCGGAAGACGAAGUCGUAGCUGAGCCGCCGCCUGCAGGAGUCAAGCCCGUGCACGCUGAGGACCAGUUCGCUACCGCCUCGCUUGAAGGCAAGCCCCGGAGCAUAACCCAGUUUUUCUAAACUUGUGCAUGCCUUCUGUUGUUAUGUGUGUGCAUUUACGUUCCAGGAGUUGGUUGAAACCGUAGAUGCAUGACUUAGUUCCCUUUGAUCUGAACACUAGUAUGAUAGGCUGAGUAGCUACUUUGCUUAAAUAGGACUCGGUAAAAGUCAAGUAAUUUCCUGUCACUCACGAGUUAUAGGAGUUGCUUGCUCUCCUUUUUGUUGCAACUAUAAGGACGAUGGACGGGGCAGGGCUCUGUGAACUAUUUUGGUGGUCGGUGGAUUGCCCCGUCUGUCUACAUGAAAUUGGAUUAAGGUCGAAAGGUGAUGGUGUUCGUGAUCAAGUGUUUGAAUGUACUAAUCUCAUACCUAAUAUGGGAUAGGGAAACCUAGUACCUGAUUGAACCAGGACGUGAGCGGUUUGAUCCACUGUCUCUGGAACAGAGUUUCCCUUGGCCGCAUGUGGUGACAAGUGCGGUCAUAGAACGGCAGAGGUCGGAUCUGUGAAGCCUUGUACCAAGGGAAGUGGGCCCGACACGGGUCUGGGGAUUGAUGGGGACAGACAACAGAGGAAGCAACCUUCGUGGUGCACAGAUGUCGUGAGAUUAGGUUCGCCAUGCAUGGUUAAGAAAUUCGAAUCGAUUCAUCUGCCUCUCACAGUUUGGGACUGCUUGGUCGCUAUGCUACACUGAGUAAGAAUGGAAGAUGAUGGUGAUCUAAAUACUGUUACUUGUUUAAAUUGCUUGGAAACCAUUACUUGUUUAGUAUAGCUGCUAACUUUAGAUUGGUAAAUGAACGUAGAAUUUGUGGCUAAAAUAUUGAAAGUAAGGAUCUACUAUAGUCGCUUUUGGCAAAACAAACCCCUUAGCCAAAAAGCCUUGCAUGUUUAGAAGUUGGUGGAUUAGAACCACCCGUCGGUUAAGUCUUGUUGAGCAUAGUUGCUCAGUCUUGCUUAUGGCACAUCUUUCAGGUGUUGUUGAAGCCCCUGAGUUUGCUGUUUGCGGCACUUGGCCUCCCCAGCUUCCUCCUGGGUGGAUGGCCGAGUGGGAUCCCUCCUUGGACGGUGAGGACAGGGAUCAUUGAUGUCAUGAUCGGCCUCAUCGUGACGUCCGACUUCGGUGCUAGCUUCCGUUUGUUUAUUUCUGCUGCUUAAGAACUCUGCAAACUUAUUUGAAUUUCGAACCUGGUGUUGUAAUAGAUUAAUGUACUUGUUUAACUUGGAUGAUCUAUUGUAUUCUCUGGAACCACUCACCUUCGUGUGAGCUAUGCUUUCUCGGUCCUGUGUAGUGGUUUAUCGGAUGAAAUACGACGGACUGCCGAAUUAACUUGAUUAAAGCAUACGAUCGCGUGUCAGGCAACUUAAUUGUGCUUUAGCUAAGUUAAUUAGGGCGGUUCCGCCACACCCCGACUGGACGUAGGGCGCGUUGCCCGAACCAGUAUACAUUUUAUGUCAUUGUGUGCUAGGCCACAUCCGAUCUAACGCACGGCAAAACUACAAAUAUUUACUUGUUGGCCAGAUUUCGCACCGACAAAUCCCCUGUUUUCCUACUCUAUUUUUUCUUUCAUUUAAUGUGACUGUAGUUGGAAAGUGCAUCGGAUUUUGGAGAGGUUGAAAAUCAAUAUGGGAUGAUUAUUAAUAAAUAAUGUGAUCAUAUUUGGCUCUCUCUCUCUCAAAGCUAUGAAAUCCUUGAUCACCUUGCCCAAAUUCAAACCAAGCAUCUUUUUGCCAAUGAAGGUUCAAAAAUGUUAGUCCGACCUAUUCACUUUCCUAAACCGUAAAAUACGUCCUCACCUCACUAAGAAACGCAACUGUCUUUGCUACUCUGGUAAGACGUGACUGAAAAAUUCCAGCCUUGUACAAAUAAUAUUCACAGAAAUUUCGGUUUCUUAAAGAAAUCUUAUUUUUACCCUAAAAUCAACAUGGCAACCGUCCAUGUUCUAGCGACGGAUGUUUUGGGAGACUUGCCCGGCGAAGGAGCGGUGGUUUUGUUAUAAAUGCAAUGCCACGGCCCUCCACUUCUUCUUCAGCCGGCCUCAAGCACAGGAAAACCCUUCUGCAUCUCCUCCAUCAGUGCAAGAAAACCCUUCCUCAUCUCCUCUCAGCGCAAGUACUGUACUCUCUCCCUAGUCUUUGUAUCGAUUUGUAUAUGCAUUCGAUCUUGCCCCCUUUUUGAUCAAACUAAUGUCUAUGUGCAUUUCAGGAUCGUCGAUAUGGAUUGUCCAACUCCGCCACUGGAACUCACCGUCACCCAGGCCGUGCUGCUCCACCUUGGUGUCUGGAACGGUUUUGCCGACCGGGUGGUGGCAGCUUAUGUCAUCGAGCAGCACCACCAGGCUCCUUGGCUCACGGCGUUGGUCUACAUCGGUGCGUCGCUGGGCCAUCACAACUUCAGGAUGGCGCAUGACACCUCCUCCAAGCUUUUCUUCAUCGUGCUUCCAUCCUACCAGGAUGUUGACCUCCUGCACAGUCACACCUGGCAGUGGUGGAAAGAGGUCGUCAUCUUACACCACGUCAGUCGCUUCAACAUCAUUGAGGGUGCCUGGAAGCCCCUGGGCAACCCUAGGGAGAUUAUGUAGAUCAUAAUCUUUGCAAUGCUAUUGAUCGUUUAUCUCUCCAUAUUUUAGUACUUGCAAAUUAAGUUUAGUUCUUGAUUUCUCUACCAGAAUUCACUGAGAUUUCAAUGUUAUUCAGUUGCAACAGACCGUUACAUUAUUAGAGAUUGACACGCCUCUUGCCAUUUUCCGUCCCCCAACUCCCAAUGCGACCCUUCGGCUUUCCCUUGGCAACUGAGAGCCAUUAAUAUACCGGCACCCUCCUCUUGUGCUAACCAACCCAUCCAUUGCCUUUCCUCCACACUCUCUUCCUCCAGAAAACUACCAUGGCUUAUUCUCUGAUUGCUUCUUCUCUUCCUUCCAACUACUCCUCCGAUGAGGAUGGUAGCCCUAUCGAGGAUGGUGGGCCACCAUAUGAUGACUCUGACCCCUCAUCCAAGCCCUCCAAUGUACCUGAGUCUCCCAGGUACUCCUACAAUGAGGAGACCAAGUACGAGGAGGAGGACGACGACAACGACAACGAGACCUACAUUGAGGAAAACUUGGAAGAGGAAGCGGCAGGGGAGGAAGCAAUGGCAGCGGCCUUCCACACAGAAUGGGAGGACAAGAAGAGGAAGUGGGGGGAGGCGGCUACGGCGUGGGCAGUGGAAGUGGCAUUGGUAGAGGAGAGGGCCAAGAAGCAGGCUACCAAGAAUAGAAGGGAGGAGGAGAGGGCCAAGAAGAGAAGGGAGGAGGAGAGGGCCAAGAAACGGGCUGCCAAGAAGAGAAGGGGGAGGAGGAGGUGGACUUGGAGAAGGCCAAGAAGAGGAGGCAGGUGGACUUCGAUGUCGAUGUUGGUCCCACCAAUGGUGCUCCCACCAACGCCGGUCCCGCGGCUCCCGCCAUUGUCGGUCCCGUGGAAGAGUCAUCGGGGAACUCCUCGGAAGGGUCGUCAUAGAUUAUUCCGAUUUGGGGUUUUAUUUUGCAUGUACAUAGGUGUUCUUUUGGAUGGAAAGAUCAAUGGAAUGUUUCCUUUUGCAUGGAAAGAUCGAUCCCCUGUUUUCCUACUCUGUGAAUCUAGUAGGGAAAUCCCCUAUUUUCAUGCUCUGUUUGCUCUGUGAUGGGAUAUCAACAAGAAUCUAUUCAUCUUCCUUGGUGCUUUGGUUUUCCCUGAUCAUGAUACAUUGAUGUUGCGUCAUAGCCAGCCAUACCAUGUCUUGUCAUGUGAUUUUUUUAUUCUUAUCCCACCGCACCACAUUGUGGCAAAAAAGUCAAUGUUUCACGUUGAAUGUUCAUGAAUGGACUCUCUUCUACUGUGUACUAGCAACAGCGGCUAUCUUGUCUUGUGUAUUUAGAAACAAAUGACUAUCUUCCCUCAUCAGUUUUUUGAGUGCCUAAAAAUCAAUAUGUGACGAAAAGUUUAGUCCGUCCUAUUUACUUUUCCAACAACGGAUCAUAUGUUUGUACCUCGCCAAGAAACGUUAUUUCUGAUCAUUGUACCAAUGAUGUAUUGUCACUUUGCUAAUCGAAUUGCAUGAUUUCAUUUUGUUGUUUCCAAGAGUUCCAAGCUUUUCCUAGGGAGAUUAAUUAGAUCAUUUAUCUUUUCUAUGUUGUUCUCCUACGCACAUAGCUCGAGAGGCCAAGAUGGAUCGAUUUUUAUGCUUUAUUUAAUGUGGUUGUAGUUGGAAAAGUGCAUCGGUUUUUUGAAGGUCAAAAAUCAAUAUGAGAUGAAUAUUAACAAAUAAUGUAAUCCUAUUUGGCUCUCUCUCAAAACCAAGGAAAUCCUUGCUCACCUUGCCAAAAUUCAAAUUAUUUUUCCAACAAAGGAUCGAACAUUUUGGUCUGUCCUAUUCACUUUUCCUCUAAUGGAUCAUACUUCUGUACAUAUUUUUUCCAAAAAUUGUAACGAAUUCUAAUUUGUACACGAGAAUUAACAUGGCAACUGUCCACGUUCCAGCGCGGUGUAAUGUCACAUCCUCCACAUCCACGCAGCCAGUCUUCCUUAUUUCUCGUGUAGCUUGAAACCAAUUUAUGCUAUUCCCUCAUUUAAUUCCCAAAGGGUCAUUCUCCUACUCACAUGCCCCUAGAAAUCAAGAUGGAUUGAAAUUUAGGUUUCAUUUUAUGAGAAUGUAGUUGGAAUAGUGCAUCCAUUUUUUGAGAGAUUUAAAACCCAUAUGGGAUGAUUAUUAACAAAUAAUGUGAUCCUAUUUGGCUAUCUCUCAAAAUAAAGGAAAUCCUUGUUCACCUUACCAAAAUUCAAACAAGCAUCUCCUUAUCUUUUCCCCAAUAAAGGAUCGCAAAUGUUAGUCCGGCCUAUUCAAUUUUCCGAGAAUGGAUCAUACGUCUGAUUGAUGCUAAUAUAAUGCAUAAGAAGAACAUAUAAAUCUUUCUUGCAUGGAUUACAAAAGGAUUAAGGUAACAUAAAAGUUCACAUAACAUCUUCAUGAUUUAUCUUGCAGUGAGAGCACUAACAGAAAAGGAUUAAGGUUGCAUCUUCUCCUUCCGGGAUGAUUUUAUUGCGUCAAUUUUUAGCAUCCCCAACGCCCUGAUGAACAUCGGCACGGCGUCCGCCCCGAGAGCUUCCAUGUCCACCUCCCACCACUUAUGUUUCCUCGCGCUCGUCUGAGCCACCAAGAUCUUCGACCAUGCGGCAGCCUAACGCGCCCUUUCCACCUAAGCUAGGAAAGCGAUCUCCUCCGCCUCCCACUUCAUUCCGUCAACCCUACCGGCGGCCUCCCCCACCGUUUCAGAACAAGCUGGAGACGGCGAGCUAUGGAUCUCGAGGAGGUAGGUGCUGAGGACGGAGUCGGCGGUGGGUGCUCCGUAGGCUUUGGGCUCGCCGGUGGGGGAGAAUGAGACGACGGCGAUGUGGGCGCCAAACUCCUGGGAUAGGUCUUUUGCCAUGGAGAAGAGUGUGUCCGUGCACUCUGAGAAGAUUGUCUGGCUCUGAGCCAUGCUGGUGAAUUUGGGCAUGAGGAUGAGUAGCUCGUUGGGCGGCGGAGGAGAUUGGAAAGAUGCGAGGAAGAGAGUAGAGGUAGUGAACAAUAAGGGAUUUCUUUUGUGCCUUAAAUAGGGAGCAGAUUAUAGAGGACUAUCAGCUUAUCUAAGAAGAUAUACAACUUAAGUUCCUCUCUUCUGAAUAGUAAUGAACAAACCAUAACUGUUCUUAUUAAACCACAUUCUUAAGUACACAUACAUGAUACAUCCCCGCAGAUCCACACUCGUAUAGUGGCAUAGGCGCGCGCGCACACACAACAAUGAAACCAUACAAAUUUUAAAUACUAAACUGGUGCACUGUCACCGGGCACCGACAGGCUAAAACCACUUAUCCAGACGAUACAAAUAAAGUCAUCUAUGUUACACGAAAGUGUCACAACACGCAGAUGCACUGCAUCGCACACAGACAUGGCAACGAGGAGACAACGAACACGGUCAUGGAGAUGUAUGUGGCAUAAGCUUAUUCCGGCAUACCUACGGCAGCACGGAAUGUAGCAAAACGAGGUUCGCCAUAGAGACAGUCCUCCAAUGCACAAUUCCAAGCCCUCGAGUCUAGGGUAACACGACCCGAGCGACCAAUGCUAGAAGCAUGUUGCAGGAUGUCAUGAAUACGCCUUGUCCGGUGGGCAAGAAAGCAAUAAGGGCACAUAAAGCGACCAUUGCGAAGAACACGAUUGUAACUGUGGUCCUGCAGCCAAGCGAACACGGAUUUCUUCAGCUCCCUGUUUCAUCCUCAUCCGCUUCUUCCAUGUCGUACAGUCACAUGGAUCAACGAAGCCUGGCUGUUGCGGAGGUGGCACAGCAUCGAAGUUGCCUGCUCCAUUCACUUGACCAGCCAUCGUCCUACAAACACUUACCAACAGAACUAAAAAUUAUAAGCAAUGACCACAAGCAAUGAUGGUAACCUAUAAACAAGAUGCAGAAGCUAUGAGCUUACCUCUCACAGGAUGCAGAACGAAGUAGGUCGCCUAGCACAACCACUAAACAAUGCGUGUAAGAUGAAGAGCCGAUGAGCAAAGGUCUUGGGGGCACUCCUAUUUAUUGAAGCACCAUGACCCAUCAACAACGCAGUGCACCUUCUUCCAACUCACACCUCACGGGAUUACAGUAGCCAUGAAAAUAUGUGGGAUGCUCGGAAUACGCAGGCCUACCCUGAUAAGGAAUCCUGCCACUAGCAUAGAGUGUCUAUGUCAAUGUUGUUGAUAAAGUGAGAGAGGCCUUUAAGACUGUGGAAGUUGUCAGACUAGAUUGCUCUCAUGUUGGGACUAGUGACUGCAAGAAAAUUGGUGUGAAGCUGAGGGUAUGUUCCAUUGUUCCUAGGCAUCUGCUGCCAUAUUAUACACUCAGUCUUCCCUUUUUUUUAAAGUUUCUAUGCAUCUAGAAAUAUUACUGUCUUAACCUCUAGUUUGCGAGCCAUAGAAAAUUUGAUGAUUGUUUCAUUUAUUCUUUUUUUUCAUUUCAUAGGAUUUGGUUCCCUGUGUUCCCAUAUUAAUUAAAGAUGAACAAAUUAUACUCUGGAGUGGGAAAGUUAAUCAGGAGCAUUCAGUUUCAGCUCAGUGCACUUCCAGGCCACAAUGAUGCUAGCAUCUGCCUAUACCCAGAGAAGUUGCUAACACAAGCUGUUUUGAUGACUUUCCCCUGGAUAUGAUCUCUGAAAAUUACAUGGUAACUGUUUUCAGAUGGUGGGUUACACGGAACUGCAGCUAAUGAUCAGAUUGGUCGUCUACAUCUUCUUCGUGCUGGUUUGCUGCCAAGGAUGCAAUGCCACGGAAAAGAGAAUGAUACCUGCUCCAGUUUGAGUGCACAGCAAUCUAAUGCUUACUGUUUCAAUAUGCUGCAUCAUCUUCAGAAAGUGAUGCGUUACGAUCACUUGUAGUUCCUGCAGUGGGAUCCGUAUAGUCAGUCUUCCAUCCUCUGGCCUCAACUGUUUCAUUCUGUAGCUUUGACUGUCUGGAUGGAAAUCCUACUCUAGAUUAAGAGGUGUGACAAAUUGGGACCAUGCCCUUUUGAACAGAUAGUGUGUAGCCUGACUCUUAACUAGGCGUUAUUCGGAUAGGUAGGGAUUAGAUUGAAUCCAUUUGAAUUGGGGACAAGUUUGUUUGAGCUUUGAUGAGGUACAGACAUUACGGUGUACUGAACGAGAAUUAUGUUAUGUUAGAAAGAGAAUCUGCAUUGUUUGUAUGGCUCUACCAUGCUUGUAACUUUAAGCCAGUAAUUGAUGCCAUUGGUUCAGCAAAGACUGAAAAUGUGGAUCAUCUCGGGCCACUCAUCAUUUGAAAGUGGCUUGGCUGGCUCUGAACUUUCUGAAGAAAAGACAAAAGAACUCUGAAAUUCCUCGACCAUCCCGCUAUGAUAACGCAAAAGAUUCGCACCACAAAAUAGAAAACCUCUGAAUUUUCAACCACAGGAAAACUGUUGGCAAGGGAAAUUCUAGAGCACAAUAGGAAAAGCAUUUUGAUAUCGAAUUUCAAAUAUCACCAAACUUUCUCUUUCCCAAACUAGCUACAGUAUUACAACAUAAUCUUUACACAGAACAGGAGAAAAUAGCAGGAAAGAAUAUAUACUGUUGGGAUUAACCAAAAAAACUAAAAACUUUCUUUGAUUGUGUUUCUCUCCAGCCAAGCACCAUUGUUCCUCCAAAUGAGAACUGUCAUGAGUCUUUAAUCCCAUGAAUUAAAACAAUAAAAAGUUCCUUUUGAUAUCAACAUUCUUGUGUAGUGCUGUCUCAAUUACUGUGCGGUAGCUGUAUACUUCUAUGUGCGUCAGUGCAUACCGUCAGUCAGAGCUGAUGCUCGACGCCGUCUGCAACAAGCCAUCGUCACCGGCGGCGGCUGUGGCGGCCACAUCGUCUCCGGCAACCUCCAUCCACGAGGCGUCGGUUUCGUCCCACGACCGCGGCCGGACGCUGGUGCGGAGGAAGACGACCAUCUCGAGCGCCUCGAACACCCUGUACCUGUCCAGCACCCCGUUCCACAUGCCGCUGACGAUGCAGUAGUUGGUGUUGUACGGCUGGCGGUGGUGCGCGGCGUGCUGCGCCCGCGACACGAGCACGCCGGCGGCCUGCAGCGCCUCGACGCCGGGCGGCAGCCGGCGGCGCUUCUCGUGCGCCCACGCGUGGAACUGCUGGCUGAGCACGACGCAGGCCGCGAACGCGCCGGCGAAGGCGUGCGCCGCCGCGGGCGCGGACGCGGCGGAGAGCGCGGCGUCGGCGGGGACCAGCGCGAGCGCGGCGGCGCGCGCGAGGGCGUGCAGGUUGUUGCAGGGCUCCCGGCGGGUGAUGGUGGACGGGUAGCGGUGGUGGCCCUGGAACGCGGCGAUCUGCGCGCCGAGGAUGGGUGUACCCGCGCCGCCGUAGUUGUCGAUGAGCCAGUGGUACACCCCCGUGGCGAGGUCGGCGAGGGAGUAGCCGGCGAAGGCCGCCAUCGCCGCGGCGAGCAGGUCGGGGCCGGCGGAGCCGGAGACCCCGACGAGGCGCGCUGUCGUGAGGAAGGAGGCGAGGAUGGCUGCCGAGCCGGCCAGCGUCCACGCGCGCUGCGGCCACGUCGACCGCAGCUCGUCCGGAAUAACGUCGUUGGACGCAGCAGUCGACGACAUUGUCGGCGUCGUCCGAGUUGCCGACUCAGCCUGGCUCAGCGGUGCCGACGCAGAACUCGACAUUAACGAGUUUUGAGCUCGAUGCUUGAGAACGUGCAGCGCAGUAUGUCGUCUAUGCAUUUUAUAAGAGUUCCGAAAUUAAAUUAGCGUGCGAAGCGCCACUACGGGAAACCUCUAAGUCGCCGAGUGUAAUUUCUUCGCCGAGUGUAUUAUUGCGGGCACUCGGCGAAGGACCGGUUUGCCGAGUGCAUUCUUAUAAACACUCGGCAAAAAUAAAACACUCGGCAAAACCACGAUUUGCCGAGUGCCACCAAAAAAACACUCGGCAAACUCCCACGGGGCACUCGGCAAACAAAAUCCACUCGGCAAAUACUUGAGCACGUGACUUCCACGUGCCGCGCUGGGCCGUCGCCGUGACGGACGUUAGGGUUUGCCGAGUGUCUCGAUGGGGCACUCGGCAAAGCUGAGAGUUUGCCGAGUGUCUCGAUGGGGCACUCGGCAAACCUGAGGGGUUGCCGAGUGUUUUUUGGCACACUCGGCAAAAAAAAAAUUCCCUCCUCCCCCCUCCAAACUUUUUAUACUCCACAUAUAUGAGAUUUGGCACUGCAUGGUACAAGGAUUGUGAACUAAAUUGUGACUUGAACUUGGAUUUAUGGAUUGUGAACUAAACUUGGUUGUGAACUAAAUUGUGACUUGAACUUGGAUUUAUGGAUUGUUUUGUGCUUAUGUUGAAUUAUGCCUGUGGUGUUUAUGAAUAAUGUUUCUAAUGGUGGUUGUGAAUUAUGCAUGUGAUUGUUUAUUACAAAUGCCUGUGAUGAUGUGUAUUGUGAAUUGAGAGGGGUCCGUUAUACGUGGGAAAACGGGGAAAAGGGGGGGUGCUGGUCACUUUGCCGAGUGUAACACUCGGCAAAGAGGGUCCUUUGCCGAGUGUUUUAGCUUUAACACUCGGCAAAGGUGCAUUUCCCAGGUGUACGAGAGGUUGUUUGCCGAGUACCAGGGACUAGGCACUCGGCAAAGACCCCUUGUUUGCCGAGUGCCAGGGAUAAGGUACUCGGCAAAGGCCCUAAUUCCCAACUGCACGGCAGGUUGUUUGCCGAGUGCCUCCCCCGGGACACUCGGCAAAGACCCCAUGUUUGCCGAGUGCCAGGGGUAAAGACACUCGGCAAACAAGCCGGCUUUGCCGAGUGCCCACUCCCUGACACUCGGCAAACACCCCCUGUUUGCCGAGUGUUGGCGCUCGGCAAAGAUGCUAUGUUUGCCGAGUGUCUACCGUCUGGCACUCGGCAAACCUGCCGUUACCCCCGACGUCGUCACCGCGUAUUUCGCCGAGUACAUAUUUUCGCCGAGUGUUUUUUGGCGGUCGGCAAAAUGUUUGCCGAGUGCUCGAGAUUUGACACUCGGCAAACUAGGCUUUGCCGACAGGAAAUUUACCGUGUGCUCUUUGCCGAGCCUUUGCCGAGUGUUUUCGUGUCUUUGCCGAGUGCCUGUGGCACUCGGCAAAGUUUCUGGUUCCCGUAGUGCGCCCAUGCGGCGAUUUCUUGCGGGAUCAGGAUUAGUGAUCUGACAGGGACCCAUGCGAGGACUUCUUGCGGGAUCAGGAUUAGUGAUCUGACAGGGAAGUAACGCAGGCUGGCAGAGGGAAGAAGAAGAGUACAAGAGCACGCGAGGUGCCGAGGUCGUCGCGAUGGACGGCUCGCGUGGCCCUGCCUCGACCAUCCGUGUAUCAGUAGGAACAGAAGUAGUUUGCUUCGUCGGAUGUUACUCGAGGUCUCGAGCACCCGGCACAAAGUGCUCUCGUCAGAAGUUAGUGACUCUAGCAGCGCUGAAAAGAAUUGAGUGAGACUUAAUUGGUUCAAAUUUGAAUUACAUCGUCUCAAAAAUUCUUAGAGCCAUGCAUUCUUUCUUUCCCCGACAAGCCCUAGCUAGGGCAGAGGCCAGAGGCUAUGCCCUCUACUCUUCCCUCAAGCAGUCAAAUCAUUGCUUGCAUUGCUUCUAAACUCAAGGGUACACAGGAGAGCACAUAUAUCCCUAUCUCUAUGGGUUGACUAAGAUAGAAAUAUGAGCACACGUAAGGUCUACUUGUAUGCUGUUGAAAUUCGUGAUGAGUUGAUACUUGCGUGCAAGAAAACUGGAAAAAAGAUGACCAUCCAUUAGAAUAUAGACAUACUCCCUCCGUCUUAAAUUAUUACUUAUUUUAACUUUUCUAAAUACAUAAUCUUUGACAUGCACCUAAAUAUAUAUUAUGUCUAGAUAGAUAGCAAAAGUUAUGUAACUAAAAAAGUCAAAACGAAUAGUAAUUUGGGACAAAGGGAGUAUUAAAGUUGAGAACCAAGCUAGCACAUAGAUAUUUUUCUUGAGAAACUUAUAGUAAAUGGAUACGAGAAUUGCAUUAGCAACAGAUGCGUGUAAAUGAUAGACUUUCUGUGUCGCGUACUCGCAUCCUUGUGUAGUUGUGUGAUGCGUGGACAUCCUGUCCUCUUCGUAUAAAUGCCGGAAAACAACAGUUGAUGGGAGAGUAGACGGCACGAAAAUAUUGAGCCAGCUAGUCAUCAUGUUUAGAAUUUUGGAAUCUUGCACGAUUUGCCGUAAAACUUCAAUGCAGGAAAAAAAUCAGGACCUCUGUAAAUUGUUGCAUUUAUUUCAAAUAAGAGUACAGUCCAUUUUUUACACUCUAUUUGUGGGGACCUCCCUCCGGGAGUCCUACUGAUCACAUGUAUUAGUCCCUAGAUGAGUAGGCUAAUACAGUUAUCAUCACAGUUCAGUAUUUUAAGCAAUAAAAGGCGUAUAUUUUAAUAAAAGAAAGGUUUUCACCUUAGCGCAGCGAAGUGGUGGCCAUCAACUAACAAGAUGGUCUAAACACCUGGAGAUCUACAUCUGCAUGAUGAAGGCAAGACUGAGUACACUUAUGGUUGGUACUCAGCAAAUCCCAACAAUUAUUAAGUAAUUAUAUGCAUUUUGAGAGGUGGACAAGGUGUAUGAUUGAGGGGCAAAACCUAUGCCUAAAGCAUCUCACAUAUGCAAAGUGGAUUAAGAAAGGUGAGUUUUGCAAAGACUCUCUAAAAGUUAUUAUUAUAUUAUUAAAUGGAAGUUGUGGUUUUGCAGGGGAAAACUACCUUCCCUACCAGUCUGCAGGUUUUAACUCUGGAAUUCAGUCCACGACCUUCAUCCGUCAUUUCCAAAACACUAAUUCUCACCCAAAGAGUUUCAGAGGUAAUCAUGGGAGCUUUAACUUAGUGAGCUCAUAACCAUGAGCUGCUCUUCGAAUAGAUUAUACUCUGCGCAAAAGUGUACACUUUCCCCAUACGUCCAAUCAGCCCAUGCCUUCGUGAAAAGGCGGUACUAACCUACGAGAUCCAUACCCGCCCGUGUCCAUCUCUGGACAACAUUCCCUAGGUCCAUCCACAGAUAACACUAGGGUCUAAAAAGGGGCCACUAUCAUCCACUUCGCGGAUCUCAUCCCGGGAACAUGCACAUAAAAUAAAUCAAACAAGACCUCUGGCCCUCUAACCCUCUCUCAGUCAACCCAUGCUGACCGAACCUGGGACUAUGCGAAGGUCCUGCUCCAGCAUAUCCAUUGCCCACCUUGGCCCCUUGGGAUGGAUGAAUAGGUUCAGCUAGCGGGGUUUGAACCAAGGCCUCACAUAAACGGCACUCCCAAAGGUUGUGCCAUUUUGGCACAUAUGGCUAUACGGUUCACAAGAAAGACUCGCCCAAUAAACCGGUCCUUAUGCGACCGGAUUAAGCUCUGGGACGGAGUACCCUCCACUGAGGCCGUCCCCUUACUCCCAAGUCCAUAACACACCCUAGCGGUUGCUAUUAUUAUCAUUUUAUCUUUUAACUCAUGCUUUUCAUAAGAUAAAACCCUUCCUAAGCUUUUGUUUCAUAAAAAGAAUGAUAUUUUGUUAGAUCCUCUUCAUAGAGGAUCCAACAGGUGUUUUAUCCCCCCUUUAUGGGGCGUGACUCGACUAGCGUAGGGUUUCUAAUAUGGGGUGGCUUAGAGAAUAUGUAGUUUGUCUAGGGUGAAUAUGGCAUGUGGCAUUUCAAUAGCAAAAAGGACUAUUAUGUCCUUUUUGGGGUUUAGCUAGCAAGCACACAUUCCAAAGAAAUAAUUUAAAAACAAUGCAGUCCAUAUUAGGUUGGUUAUAUUAUUCUAAACGUUUCCUAAGGUGACCAGAUCGUUUGCUUCAAGUCUUCUAGUUCCUUAGCUUUGGAGCAGAGUCUGGUCAUCUAUCGGCUGGCAUAAGCAUGCAAUAGUACAAUCAGUUUAACAAUCAAUCAAUCAAAUACUUAAGGAAUUGGAGAAGGGAGGAUGGUGGGCAUUUUGGGAAUUGCCUGGCAUUUUAAAGGUGAAUUCCCGAGUGCCUACCAGCUCGGCAUUUUGACUUCUUUUGAUCCGUGAUACAAUACAUAUUUGAAUUUUUAAAUUUCUAGUGCUAAAAAACUACCCUUGUACCUAACUUUUUUACGGGUCAUGUGGGUAGAAGGGGGAAAUAACGGGUCGGGGACUUGAAAGUCGACAUUUGAACUUGCAAUUUUAUAAAUCUAAAGGUAAGGAAUGAACAUAGGAACAUUUACAUGCUAAACUGUAGGAUGAUUUGGAACCUGCAGGAUCACCGGAAUAUAAUACAAAUUUGUAGCUAGGAAAGCAAACCUAAAGCUACAUGAAAAGUUGUAACAAGAUUGUAGGAGUAGGAGAGUGAAUCCUCUUAGAAUGUGAAUACUUGUUGUCAAAUAUUACACCUGAGUAGUGACAAAAAUAAGAUCAUAAUCAGAAUACUUAGUUAGCAAAAUAUGUAAAAACAUAUUUAUUUAUACAAUUCUUAAUACUGAAAAGCAAUUAGAUUCAUUGUAGUACUUUGUAAUAGAUUCAAUAAAUGUUGAACUACGUUCACUUGAACAGCUCUGCAUAUUCUCAUGCUGAAUAUUAGCAUCUUCCUUAGCCUGACCACAACCUACUCUUCUCCUAUAACAUUCCUUCUCAACUGACAUAAUUUUGGAUGUCGCCAGUAUGUUGUCAUCUACUUUUGAGUUAGGGCAGAAUGAACAUGUACUUUCAUUAACUGAAAUAGAGAUUGGUGGAGUGAUUAUCCAUCCCCUAUUCCCUUGCAUCUACCACUACAAGAAAUGUGUUGAUCUAUGAUGAAAAUUUUAUGACGCAUUUGUUCUCGUCAUAGAUCUAUGACAUUUCUAUCUGAAAACGUCACAAAGUUUCACAUCCGAACAAAUUUAGUGACAAAAUUACGGAACAUCAUAAAAGUUUCCAUUGUAGCCAAAAAGAAAUCGUCACUAGCUGUUACAUGGUGGUUUUGUGACGAUAUAAGCUCUGCAAAAACAGCAUAAACCAACCAAGGUCCCACAUGUAAGUUAAGCUGAUAAAUAGGGUGGUAAAUAAAAAGGAAGAUGUGCUCCCCUGUGGGUCGAACCUAUUACCGAUCGAAUAGGAAGUCUUUACCGCGAUCGGGUCCCACAUGUAAGUUUCAUGUGAGUAUUUACCGAUUGAAUGGUCGGCACGACGCUUCGCUAGCAUCGCAAAGAUGACUUCCCUGCACAGAUCUGCAACAGCCCACGGCGGGAAUGGCGCAUCCUAGUGGCGAUAGGAGGGUGAUUGCGCCACCUCCCGGCUAUGAGAGGAUGAGGAGCCACAAUGAGGUCAGUCCCCUGGUUUGAGCUGUAACGAAUUCUAAUUUGUACCCGAGAAUUAACGUGGCAACUGUCCACGUUCCAGUGCCGUGUAAUAACACAUCUUCCACAUCCACGCAGCCGGUCUUCCUUGGUUCUCGUGUAGGCAUGGUUACUUGAAACCAAUUUAUGUUAUUCCCUCAUUUAAUUCCCAAUGGGUCAUUCUCCUACUCACAUGCCCCUAGAAACCAAGAUGGAUCGAAUUUUAGGUUUCAUUUUAUGAGAAUGUAGUUGGAAUAGUGCAUCCAGUUUUUUAGAGAUUUAAAACCAAUAUGGGAUUAUUAUUAACAAAUAAUGUGAUCCUAUUUGGCUAUCUCUCAAAAUAAAGGAAAUCCUUGCUCACCUUACCAAAAUUCAGACAAGCAUCUUUCUAUCUUUUUCCCAAUAAAAGAUCACAAAUGUUAGUCCGGCCUAUUCAAUUUUUUGAGAACGGAUCAUAUGUAUGAUUGAUGCUAAUAUAAUGCAUAAGAAGAACAUAUAAAUCUUUCUUGCAUGGAUUACAAAAGGAUUAAGGUAACAUAAAAGUUCACAUAACAUCUUCAUGAUUUAUCUUGCAGUGAGAGCACUAACAAAAAGGGAUUAAGGUUGCAUCUUCUCCUUCCGGGAUGAUUUUAUUGCGUCAAGGUGGCGUUGGACGUCGGUCCUUAGAAUCCCCAACACCCUAACGAAACACCAGCACGGCGUCCGCCCCGAGAGCUUCCAUGUCCACCUCCCACCAGUUCUGUUUCCUCGCGCUUGUCUAAGCCACCAAGAUCUUCAACCAUGCGGCAGCCUAACGCGCCCUUUCCGCCUCAGCCAGGAAAGGGGUCUCCUCUGCCUCCCACUUCAUUCCGUCAACCCUAGCGGCGGCCUCCCCCGCCAUUUCAGAACAAGCUGGAGACGGCGAGCUAUGGAUCUCGGGAAGUUAGGUGCUGAGGACGGAGUCGGCGGUGGGUGCUUCGUAGGCUUUGGGCUUGCUGGUAGGGGAGAAUGCGACAACGGCGAUGUGGGUGCCAAACUCCUGGGAUAGGUCUUUUGCCAUAGAGAAGAGUGUGUUCGUGCACUCUAAGAAGCUUGUCUGGCUUUGAGCCAUGCUGGUGGAUUUGGGCAUAAGGACGAGUAGCUCGUCAGGCGGCGGAGGAGAUUGGAAAGAUGCGAGGAAGAGAGCAGAGGCAGUGAACAACAGGGGAUUUCUUUUGUGCCUUAAAUAGGGAGCAUAUUAUAGAGGACUAUCAGCUUAUAUAAAGAAGUUACACAACGUAAGUUCCUCUGUUCUGAAAUAGUAAUGAACAAACCAUGACCGUUCUUAUUAGACCACAUUCUUAAGUACACAUACAUGAUACAUCCCUGCAGAUCCACACUCGUACAGUGGCACAGGUGCGCACACACACACAACAAUAAAACCAUACAAAUUUUAAAUACUAAACUGAAGCACUGUCACCAGGCACUGACAGGCUAAAACCACUGAUCCAGAUGAUACAAAUAAAGUCAUCUCUGUUACACGAAAGUGUCACAACACGCAGAUGCAAUGCAUCGGACACAGGAGAUGUAUGUGGCAUAAGCUUAUUCCGGCAUACCUGCGGUGGCAUGGAAUGCAGCAAAACGAGGUUCGCCAUAGAGAUAGUCCUCCAAUGCACGAUGCCUAGCCCUCGAGUCCAGGGUAACACGACCCGAGCGACCAAUGCUAGAAGUAUGUUGCAGGAUGUCAUGAAUACGCCUUGUCCGGUGGGCAAGAAAGCAAUAAGGGCACAUAAAGCGACCACUGCGAAGAACACGAUUGUAACCGUGGUCCUGCAGCCAAGCGAACACGGAUUUCUUCAGCUCCCUAUUUCAUCCUCAUCCGCUUCUUCCAUGUCGUACAGUCAUAUGGAUCAACGAAGCCUGGCUGUUGUGGAGGUGGCACAGCAUCGAAGUUGCCUGCUCCGUUCACUUGACCAGCCAUCGUCCUACAAACACUUACCAACAGAACUAAAAAUUAUAAGCAAUGACCACAAGCAAUGAUGGUAACCUAUAAACAAGAUGCAGAAGCUAUGAGCUUACCUCUCACAGGAUGCAGAACGAAGUAGGUCGCCUAGCACAACCACUAAACAAUGCGUGUAAGAUGAAGAGCCGAUGAGCAAAGGUCUUGGGGGCACUCCUAUUUAUUGAAGCACCAUGACCCAUCAACAACGCAGUGCACCUUCUUCCAACUCACACCUAACGGGAUUACAGUAGCCAUGAAAAUAUGUGGGAUGCUCAAAAAACGCAGGUCUACACUGAUCAGGAAUCCUGCCACGAGUAUAGAGUGGAAUAUGCAGGCUUUCGUUCACGGGUACGCAUACGAAAAUUCGAUAGGUACACAAGCGCGCUUUGGUCAGGAUAAAAGGAAGUAAAAUCGUGACAUCCACAUGAGUUAAAAAAAUAGACGCGUAGACAUUAUAGUUGGAGAAAAACAGUUGUUACCCUUUGUGGUCAACGACUGGAAACGCAACCAGGUUCACUGAAAUGUGGGCCUCUUCCAGAUAUUCGUCUCCCGCCUAUGUUGUAUGCAAGAUGAAAUGCACCCAGCUUCGCUGACAAAUGGGUCCGAUAAGAGCGCACAAUCUUGUCAGGGAUCCCGCAGCAAGUACAGCUUACCAAAUUUUCAUUUCACACCUAGGAACUUGAAAGUGGGAUCUUCAAAUUUGGUAUUCCCUCACCUCCCCCAAAUAAUAAAAACAUGGCUAUCGCAGUACCCCUUCAAACUCCUACCUUGUAUUUCCAAAAUCAGCACUCUCCUCUCUGAUGGCUCUAAAGUCCAACUAGACCUGCUGUGGCGGCUGACCUCAGCGGCCACAGGGUACCUCAGCGGCGGUGGCAAGCUCCACGAGCGGCGGGCAUCAAGGUGCGGCAUGGUCGGCAGCACUCUUGGAGAAACAUUCCAGCGUCCUUGCAGCGGCUGCACCCAUGCUUGCGCAGCUGAGCAGUUGAGCGAGAAUGUCACGCAAGCACCGGCUACCCCGUCCAACCAUGCGCCACUGCAUCUUCGAGCUCCACAAGUGAGAAUCUCAUUUCUUUUCUCUAUAGUCCCCUCCAAUAUUUUGGAUCUACAUCUACUUCACCAGAGAGCACUUUGCUCAAGUUUAUUUCUAUUUGGAGCGGAGCUUAGUUACGCCUAGAUGUGGUCACGACCCCAUGCUGCUGGAGUAUUUCUUUAGCGAAAAGUAAAUUUCUCCGUGUAUUGUGUUAGAUUUGAGAUUCUUCUCUUACCUGGUCGUUCUAGAUCUAUCUGCAAGGCUGACAUCUGCAUUUCUAUGGUCAUGGUACAUUAUGUUCCUUAUAUAUAAGACAACUGACCAAAUACUUAUUGUGUAGGGCCUAGUAUCAUGUUCCUACAUUUCUGAAAUUCAAUCACAUAUCGCGGUAUGUAACUAAACAAGUGAUUAUCCUGCUCCUGUAUUCGUUACUUUAUUCAGUUGCUUUGUUUAAGAUUGAUGUCUAAGUUCUGCUCCUUGUAGGCUGAAAUAUUGAAAAUAAUCCUUGGGGUUACAGUACCAAAUUCUGAUCCUUAUGAUUUGCAGUCAAGUCCCUUCCUUGAGGCCGUGCAGCCAGCCUCAGCUACAAGCUCAAGAUCCGAUGUUUCUUUAGGAGGGCUAUAAGAAGCUGCAGAACUAAGACAACAAGUUGUUGAACAGGAGCAAAUGUUGAGCGACUUGAAGAUAAAGUCACAAGCUUCAGAUGCAGCAAUGAAAAUGCAAUCUAAGAAGAUUGAGAGUUUGAAGAAAGCAGUAAGAGAGACUAAGUACCUCCUUCAUCAACUGCUAGACUUCAAAGGGUAAGGUCAAUGUAUUUCUUAGGCAUCUACUCAUGUCCUCCCAGCUGCUUGUGCUGGUAUGUGAGUAUUGUGGUUUUGUGCUCAAUGUGUUUCCAGGUCAGCUUUGUUCUUGUCAAAGAGAUAUCAUGUGCAGUGGUUUGUGAUCUCUUAUGGACAAUAUGCUUGUGCUUGUUCUUUGGUCAUGAAUAAUAAUGUGUGAAGUGUGAUGAGAAAUAUUUAUUUGUAUGUGUGGUAUGUAAAGAUUAAUUAUGCUAUCAAUCCGAAUUGAUUUGUAUGUAAUAUUAAAUUAGAUUAUAUUUUAAUUAAGAGCUACCUAGGCUACACCCGAAAAUAACUAGGCCUAAAAUUUCGUGGGCUCGUCCCAUUAUUUCGUAGGCCUAAACAAAGUUAUGACAUCAGCAAUUGUUCGGCUAAAUUCAUUAAGAAUUGGGCCUAAACAAAGUUAUGAUGCCAGCAUAUGUUGUGCUUGAUUCAACAAGAAUUGGACCUAAAUCAAGUUAGGACGUCAACAAUUAUUGGGCUCGGUCCAAAAAGAAUCGGGCAUAAAUCAAUAUAUGACGAUAGCAAUUAUUGGGCUCAGCAUAACAAGUUGGGCCUAAAUCAAUCUAUGACGACAGUAAUUAUUGGGCUCGGUCCAACAAGAACUGGGCCUAAUUCAAUCUAUGACGAAACAGUUCGUUACAACCGUCAUACCACAUCAGAUUGUGGUCCGACGUGGCAUGCCAGUUUAUGACGACAUGUGAGAUAAAUUUUCAUUCGUCAUUAUUUUAGUGAUGCACCGAAAUAAGAAACGUCACUGGUCGCGGUUUAUGACGCUCGACAAAUGACGAAAGAUUCGCGUCACUUUAGUGUUAUAAAUCAAGAUUUAUGAAAAAAAAUAUGUUUAUAAUACUUUUUGAUUCACUGGUCAGAACAUUUCUCGUAGUGCAUCCGUAUACUCUCAUGCUGACCACUUGUUUCUCUGGGUUGUGCCAGUGAUCUUUCAGGCAUGUUCGUUCUGCUGCCAUAUAAUCCCCCCUUAUGCAGCCAUGUUUCCUAUAUUACCAUCUGCUAAGUUUGAAAUGCUAUGGAUAGCACGUGCAUCCAUAUUGCUGGUAUACCCUGCGUAGGAAAUCAUUCUCUUCCAAAGCAUAUCUCAUUGGAUUAGUACCAUCGUCACUUAAGAACUUGCCCAUCCAAUAUUCAAUUGGAUGCCUUGGCGUAUUAGUAGUAGAUGCUGAUUGCGAUUGUUCAUUCUGCUGCUUCAUGUUUGGAUAAGCAAGCUUAAGCCAUUGUUUCAGAAAGCCAUACUGGAACUAUCGAAAUGCAUGAUGCAGGAAAAAGGAAUAUAGAAAUUGGUGCAAAGGGAAGCCCAUUUACUAGCAAAGCACCUUCCAAAACUCUAGCCUCUGGAGACUAAUCAUUCAUGAGAGAGUACAGAGAGAAAGCAGUUACCUCAGUGUUUUGUCACGUGUACGGGGAAUGUUCAACAGAUGGCAAAUCCGUAUUUUGUAACCAUCCUCAGUAUCUAUAGCGUUGUAGCCAUGGCGCCGGCGAAGUUCGUGUUGCUCCGCUGCUGGAGCCCGGCGGGGGGCUCGGACGCCAUCUCUAUGAGUGGGGGAGCUAGAGAGCGGCGGCGCCGCCGCCGCGGGGAGAGGGGAGGACGAGCGGCGUAGCGGCGGCGGUGACGGAGCCUGCGGCUCAGGAAAACGGAGAAGGGAAGAAGACGAUAGCGGCUCACGGAGUACCUACCAAAUCUAACGGAUAAUAUACACCGCACGAAUCUUAUACAUCGGAAGCCACGUAACGAAAAAAAUUCCAGAAGCCAUAUAGGUUCCCUGGGUCGGCGAUGGCUUCGGAUGGCCCAAAUGCGAUGCAUUCAAGUGGGCCAAAAGAAAAUAAAUAUGGGCUCACGGGUAGAUCUGGCUGGACCGAACCAUGCAAACCAAGGGCCCACAAAGCCCAGCUCCGUCCUCAAGCCUCAAAACGACCAGCCAGGUUCAUCUUCCUCCUCUCGCUCCCAACCCAACAAAAAAAUGUUUCUUUCUCGCGAACUUCUUCCAUGGCGGCGCCCCACCCAUGGCCCCCAGGCCCUGGCGGGUCGCCUCCUGAGUUCCUCCUCACCCCACUCCUACACAGACGACGAUCCACCGUUUACGCGGAUCCCUAAGAGCCCACCUCGAGCGCCCUCGACGCCGCCGCCGCCGCCGCCCCCGAAGCCCAAGGCCCUGGCGGGAAAUAUCAGGCCCGACGAGCCUGCGCACUCCGACCUUCCCUUCGACUUCAGGUACUCGUACUCGGAGACGGACCCGGCGUGGAGGCCCAUCGGGUUCCGCGAGCCCACCCGGUUCUCGCCCUUCGGCCCCGGCCGCCUUGACCGGCCAUGGGACGGUGUCGCCGCCGGGCGAGGCGGAGGCGGGGAUGGAGAAGGCGUUGAGAGGAGCAGGGAGGAGGUUCUUGGGGAACCGCUGUCGGAGGAGGAGGUCGCGGAGCUGGUUGAGAGGUACCGGCACAGCGACUGCUCACGGCAGAUCAAUUUGGGUGAGUUUUGCUGCUCCCAGUACCAAAAUGGUGUAUCCUUAUGUUGGUGAUGCUUUUUGUUAGAGAUUACCAAACCUGGUGUUGGUUAGUUGUUUGAUUAAGCUUAGUCAAGUGCCAUUUUUGUGAAAUGGGCUGGAUCUUAUGAAAAGAAAUUGUACCAGCAAGAUAGUUGGUAUUGGUUUCAAAAGAUUGAACCUAAAGAUUGCUCAUGUCUGUGAAUGCUCCAUCUUUUCAUUUGCGUGUGGGUCACCUUUUUACAUCUGCAAAAAGUUCAAUCAAUGCCUCUUGAAGUGUUCACUUUUGGGGGUGAAAUGUGCAAGGAAAAUGUGUUGUUGUUGGCAUUGGCAUAUAGGGGAAAUGGUGCUUGGUUGCAGUUUCCUCUUCUCUUGAGUAGAAAAGAUCAAAAUUUGCAGUAGUAUUUUCUAAACCUUGCAAGUUUUGCUCAUAUAGCAUAGAAUCAAUUUUGCAUUCUGAACAAUUAAUAUCAUGGGUUGGAUUAACAUCUUAAUAUGAAGCAUCAUAAUGAAUACCAAAUUGUAUGUAAAAUCCAUGUGUUGCAUUGCAUGUAAAGGAUGUUAGCAGAAUAUACUGGUUCGGUGUUGCAUCUGAAUUUUUUCCUCAGUCAUGUCAAGGACAUUCCAUUUAUCUUAGAAAGAUUUCUGUGCUCUGGUAAAAAAUGAUGUUUCAUGCUCUCAGGUAAAGGUGGUGUAACGCACAAUAUGCUCGAUGACAUCCACAACCACUGGAAACGUGCAGAAGCUGUGAGGAUCAAAUGUCUGGGAGUGCCAACACUUGACAUGGACAACAUAUGCUUCCAUCUCGAGGUCUACAUGCUUGAGAAUACUAGGAUAUGUUCUCUUCUCUCUGUGCCUAUUUGUCAUGUCCUCAUGUGAGUGCACAUUGUGCAGGAUAAAACAGGUGGCAAAAUCAUAUACCGCAACAUAAACAUCCUUAUCUUGCAUCGUGGUCGGAACUAUGAUCCAAAACAGAGGCCUGCCAUACCAUUGAUGUUGUGGAAACCAUUAGCUCCCAUUUAUCCUAGGCUUGUGCAAAAUGUUGCUGAAGGGAUGACUUUUGAGGAAACAAAAGAAUUGAGGAACAAAGGGUUAAAUUCUCCACCACUUACGAAACUGAGUAAGUUGAGACUACUUUAUAAGCAUUUGAAUUAUAUGAGCUCACAACUCCAUCAUGUGGUUCCGAUAUUGAGUUAUUUGUUUCAUCAAAGUUUGAAUCUUUCUGCGUUGUGCAGCUAGGAAUGGUGUCUAUGUCAAUGUUGUUGAUAAAGUGAGAGAGGCCUUUAAGACUGUGGAAGUUGUCAGACUAGAUUGCUCUCAUGUUGGGACUAGUGACUGCAAGAAAAUUGGUGUGAAGCUGAGGGUAUGUUCCAUUGUUCCUAGGCAUCUGCUGCCAUAUUAUACACUCAGUCUUCCCUUUUUUUUAAGUUUCUAUGCAUCUAGAAGUAUUACUGUCUUAACCUCUAGUUUGCGAGCCAUAGAAAAUUUGAUGAUUGUUUCAUUUAUUCUUUUUUUUUCAUUUCACAGGAUUUGGUUCCCUGUGUUCCCAUAUUAUUUAAAGACGAACAAAUUAUACUCUGGAGUGGGAAAGUUAAUCAGGAGCAUUCAGUUUCAGCUCAGUGCACUUCCAGGCCACAAUGAUGCUAGCAUCUGCCUAUACCCAGAGAAGUUGCUAACACAAGCUGCUUCGAUGACUUUCCCCUGGAUAUGAUCUCUGAAAAUUACAUGGUAACUGUUUUCAGAUGGUGGGUUACAAGGAACUGCAGCUAAUGAUCAGAUUGGUCGUCUACAUUUUCUUGGUGUUGGUUUGCUGCCAAGGAUGCAGUGCCGCAGAAAAGAGAAUGAUACCUGCUCCAGUUUGAGUGCACAGCAAUCUAAUGCUUACUGUUUCAAUAUGCAGCCGCAUCUUCAGAAAGUGAUGCAUUACGAUCACUUGUAGUUCCUGCAGUGGGAUCCGUAUAGUCAGUCUUCCAUCCUCUGGCCUCAACUGUUUCAUUCUGUAGCUUUGACUGUCUGGAUGGAAAUCGCUACUCUAGAUUAAGAGGUGUGACAAAUUGGGACCAUGCCCUUUUGAACAGAUAGUGUGUAGCCUGACUCUUAACUAGGCGUUAUUCGGAUAGGUAGGGAUUAGAUUGAAUCCAUUUGAAUUGGGGACAAGUUUGUUUGAGCUUUGAUGAGGUACAGACAUUACGGUGUACUGAACGAGAAUUAUGUUAUGUUAGAAAGAGAAUCUGCAUUGUUUGUAUGGCUCUACCAUGCUUGUAACUUUAAGCCAGUAAUUGAUGCCAUUGGUUCAGCAAAGACUGAAAAUGUGGAUCAUCUCAGGCCACUCAUCAUUUGAAAGUGGCUUGGCUGGCUCUAAACUUUCUGAAGAAAAGACAAAAGAACUCUGAAAUUCCUCGAGCAUCUCGCUAUGAUAACGCAAAAGAUUCGCACCACAUAAUAGAAAACCUCUGAAUUUUCAACCACAGGAAAACUGUUGGCAAGGGAAAUUCUAGAGCACGAUAGGAAAAGCAUUUUGAUAUCGAAUUUCAAAUAUCACCAAACUUUCUUUCCCAGACUAGCUACAGUAUUACAACAUAAUCUUUACACAGAACAGGAGAAAAUAGCAGGAAAGAAUAUAUACUGUUGGGAUUAACCAAAAAAACUAAAAACUUUCUUUGAUUGUGUUUCUCUCCAGCCUAGCACCAUUGUUCCUCCAAAUGAGAACUGUCAUGAGUCUUUAAUCCCAUGAAUUAAAACAAUAAAAAGUUCCUUUUGAUAUCAACAUUCUUGUGUAGUGCUGUCUCAAUUACUGUGCGGUAGCUGUAUACUUCUAUGUGCGUCAGUGCAUACCGUCAGUCAGAGCUGAUGCUCGACGCCGUCUGCAACAAGCCAUCGUCACCGGCGGCGGCUGUGGCGGCCACAUCGUCUCCGGCAACCUCCAUCCACGAGGCGUCGGUUUCGUCCCACGACCGCGGCCGGACGCCGGUGCGGAGGAAGACGACCAUCUCGAGCGCCUCGAACACCCUGUACCUGUCCAGCACCCCGUUCCACAUGCCGCUGACGAUGCAGUAGUUGGUGUUGUACGGCUGGCGGUGGUGCGCGGCGUGCUGUGCCCGCGACACGAGCACGCCGGCGGCCUGCAGCGCCUCGACGCCGGGCGGCAGCCGGCGGCGCUUCUCGUGCGCCCACGCGUGGAACUGCUGGCUGAGCACGACGCAGGCCGCGAACGCGCCGGCGAAGGCGUGCGCCGCCGCGGGCGCGGACGCGGCGGAGAGCGCGGCGUCGGCGGGGACCAGCGCGAGCGCGGCGGCGCGCGCGAGGGCGUGCAGGUUGUUGCAGGGCUCCCGGCGGGUGAUGGUGGACGGGUAGCGGUGGUGGCCCUGGAACGCGGCGAUCUGGGCGCCGAACACGGGGGUGUUGGCGUCGCCGUAGUUGUCGACGAACCAGUGGUAGACGCCCGUGGCGAGGUCGGCGAGGGAGUAGGCGGCCAGCGCCGCGGCGAGGGGCUCGGCGGCGGAGCCCCCCGAGCCCGCGGCGACGAGGGAGGCGGACGUGGAGAGGGAGGAGAGGAUGGCGGCCGAGCCCGCCAGUGUCCACGCCCGCUGCGGCCACGUCGACCGCAGCUCGUCCGGAUCGGCGCGCGACAGGGCGGACAGUGAUGAUGACGGCAGCGGCGGCGGCGGCGACGUCGUCGUCGAGGCGGCCUGGCACGGCGGCAGCGACCGGCGGAGCGGCGGGAGGUGGCAGCGCGGGGUGAGGGUGUACAUGGCUGCGGCUCGCGAUCCGCGCGUGACGUGCGAGCUCGUGAUUCGUGAGCUGCUAGCUGAGGUCUGUAUCAAACGGAGAGCUUGAGGAAACUGGAACGGCAAAUGGCGUGGAAGUCUGUCUUUAAUUUGCCUCUCGCUUAAAGUGCAGGUGUAUGGUUAUGCAUGGAUGUGUGGUGUGAUGGGGAUAUACGUGGGGAGAUGGAAGGCGGAAGAUGAGGACCAGGGACAUAUUUGGAAUAAUUUAAUGUAAUUUUUUGAAGAAAGAAAUGGGGUAGUUUUGCAGGGUUUUUUUUUUACCUCUGAGAAGCUAGAGUCCGAUUAACAUAAAACUAAUUUUCCAAACUAAUUUUUAUAUUAAUAUUUAAGUGUUCAGCCCUAUAGUAAUUCUCUUCCUCGUCUAUUUUUAUUUAUCUUUUUUCAAGAACUUGACUGAGCAAGCAUUUCAUUAAGAAAUAAGACGUCUGCUUCUGUAGCUUGUAUUUUGAUUUGAAAUGUUUCAACAUUACGCAAACUACAUACAUGUUUCCACUAACAACUAGUCAAAUGCAGGCAUAAUUCAUAAAAGCUGCAUCAACAAAUUUGUACUUUUUAAAGUAUUUUAAAGAUGAUAGUGAUUGGAAGUUAAAAUCUAAAGAGAAAUUGAAGUUCAAAAUAUAAUUUUAAUAACUUUUAUGCCAAAAUACGCCCUACAUUAAUGCCAUAGGUGCACUGCAUGUAUAUUUUUAGAUGGGAAAAUACCAGAAGAGUUGACUGAAACAGUGUGCUGACGUAGCUCAAAAAGUUCGCACAGCGGGCUGGAUUGUGUGGUCUCUACAGAAAGUACGCCUUGUGCAGUUGCUGGCCAUGUAAAAUGGAACGGAACGGAAGCAAUGAAGCAUCAACCUCAGCCCGAUCCAUUGCGGCAUUGCUGCUGCAUCCGCAGCCACAGAGAGGCCCACGGAUCUGGACCCAUGAGGCUGUGACGUCGCCCUUGAGCAGCCGCCAGAAAAAGCUGUAGCCUGUAGGAACACAAAGAAUGAAAGAAUUCCCACACACCCCAAAAAGAUCCAAAAAAAAACCUCAAGAUUGCAACCAUCAUGCAUCAUAUUUCAUGCACUAUGCACCUUUGAUGAUUUCAAAACUGGCAGUUAAGGCAAAGCGAAACAAAGCACUACUGUUCAUUCUAUUGCAGUCUUGAUGUUUGUCAGCUCAGACAAUCUCAAAUGGAGGUGAAUGAAGCAGGGUGCUCAAGUAUUCAUGGUGUGAAAGUGAACCCUGCUAAACACUGGAAUGCAUAAAAUUCGAAUAACCCUUGAUCAGCACAAACUAUUGAAACCGGGAUUCGGAUGACCGAUUAUAUACCCGGAAAGAAACAGCAUCGGCGAACUCCGUUACAAUAUUAUUUGGAUACACUCAACCACACUUGAUGGCCUAUGGAUUUCAGUUUGUGGUCAACAAACGAGUGACAGGGAAACAGCAGCCAUUGAUCCAUUAUUAGACCUCAUAUGGAAACCUAACCCUAUAUCUACAUGAUGCUUGCACAAGCAAAACUGGAUUCGUUGUGCGGAGACGUUCAUCAUCCAUGGCCCUCUGAUCUUGCCAAAGUUUCAACCUCAUGCCUUUGCCUGCAUCAGAAUGCAAUUUUGCAGGGAGUUUAGCAUACAUAUCACUCACUUGAUGAAUCAAAAUCCAUACAGCACAAGAUUAUCAGUGAUUUUCUCUUUCCAGUUUUGUAAAUAAGGUUUUGCAAGCACAUAAUUCUUAUCACUGUACUGUAUGUAUUUCAAUGUGGAAGAAACAUUUUAAGAUUUAUCUUCAUGCCUACCUACAACUAUGCUAUUCUGAUGUUACUAACCCUCAAAGCAAACCAUCCUACUAGUUUGAAUGAUAGUUGCCAAGAUUGAAAAGUAGGAUAAAACAACUAAGCAUAUAAAGAAAGUAAGCUAUGCCAAUUUUUGCACUUGUUUGUCAUGGACCACACAUCUGUAGACACAGAUUGACUAGUGAAAACUAACGCUACACAUAAAUUCCUUUUUCUUUCCCUAGUUCAGAAAACAAUGAUCAUUUCAGUCUAUACAGGAAAACAGCAACCACGUGGAAAUUAUAAAACAGCCAAAUUACCUGAGAGUACAGGAAUGUGCCAAGGAUGGCAAUGGCAGCUCCAAGCGCAUUGACAGGGCGGACAGGUGUGUGGAAGAUGAUGAUUGACGAAACAAUCACUGAUAUGCGCUUCAUUGUAUUGCCAAUGCUAAACGUCAAUGGAGAAAUCUGAUCCAGAGACAUGUAAGACACCUGGUUAUACAAGUGGUAGAACACGCUCUGAGCAGCAAUCCACCUACAAAAUUCAACAGUAACACAUUAGAAAAAUAUCAACAUGUAUAAAUUUGUGAUAUGAGAUUGCCAUAAAUACUGACACUAAUCCAGCAUAUUUUAUAGUCCUUCAUAAGGACAGCGAUGAAGUCUAACAUGUAUAUGCCCAACAGAAGAGUAAAAGAAAUAGUCAUGCAAGUAGGUCUCCCUCUUAAUAUAACAAGAACAUUGAGACCAUUUCAAGCCACCUCAUGCAGUUUGGGAUCAUACUACAAUCUACAAUACGACAAAUAUAGAAGGAAAAUUGUAAACCAUUAACUUCUUGUUUACCAGAUAACAUUUGGGCCAACUUCCGCAAGAGCCUUUUGCCAACCAGCAGCCCACAUUUGGGGGCCUUCCAUAGCAAUAGCAAAUGGAGUUAGUAUGACAAGGGACAUUAUUGACAGGCAAGCAUAGUAAUUCAUGCCACUGACAGACUUCCCCUUCAUGCCCUUCUUCGAGAAGAUGUUGCGGAAAACAAAUGCAAGGUUGGAUAUCAUAGCACCCAUAAAUCCUGGUGGAAGGCAAAUGGUUUACAUUAACAUCAUGAAAAGGAGAACAGUUGUUUCACCUAACAUGAGAAAGACUGUUUAAAACAAUUCAAACUUAUUAGCAACUCCUAUUUUGUCUCUCUCUAAGCUUAAAUCUAGGCAUGAAACUUCACGGAAAAAAAUGGGAGAAAAAGGACAUCAACGCGUUUCAUUUGUUAGAAAAGAGGACAAGAAUAUACAUAUGUAGCUUUUUUCCAUCUAGGUUCCUUAGACCAUUAAUAAUUCUAUCUAUUUUUCAGUAUUUUUUUCAAGUCUCCAUAAGUUCAUGAAACGCACAGAAAUCUAGAUAGAGAUUAUAGAGCAAAAGAGUAAUUUCACAAAUCAAAUUUCUUCAAAAGCAAUUGGAAGCAACGGCCUUAUUUAGCUCAUAAUUAAAUGCAUGUUUCUAAAAUUUAGCCUUUACACUAACAAUUCAAAAAAAUCCUACAUUAAUUUCUAAGCAAGUAAUUGGAAGAGAAUACCAAAGAAACAAUUUAUACUUACCAACCAUAUUAAAGUUCAGCUCUGUGACAGCAGCUAGAGCACAACCACCAAUGAUUGGAAGAAGAGAGAGAUAGACUGGAACUGGGAAUGUCUCCCCAAGGAUGAACCUCGACACCAAGACACUGAAUGCAGGUUCCGCACUUUUAAUUAUGUGCGUGAAUGAUACUGCCACCUUAGACAUGCUCACCGUCGCAGCAACAUGGCCAAUUGUAUGUGCCACAGCAACCUUCAUCAAUUAAUCACCAAAUUCGGUUACACUUUUUUCCAUGCAGAUACAAUAGAAAAGAACAAUGGACAUGAAAGAACCAACUCACCGGGAAAAGGACUUUCCAGAAAUCUAGGUCGGUCUUGGGAGCCUCAACAAGACGGGUGGCCCAUGAGAAAAUCAUCAUCGCAGAGCCGCAGGCGAGGGAGAGUGUGGAGGUGAGCCAGGGGUAUGGGAAAGCAUUGAGAACCUUCUUGUUGUAAAUGUUAAAUAUCACAUUCAGCGCCCACCAGGUCGCAAAAUAGAUGGAGAUCUUUAGCUUCUGUGCACCUUCUGACUGGACUGGCACCACUUCAGCCUUGGACUCCUUGUCAUCAGCAGCAGAAGCUGCGCACCGGAAUUCAAGUGGCUGCCUCUGAGCCUUAAGCUCGGCAGUGCGCGGACCAUCUAGCGGUGCAAGGUAGAGUGGUCUGAGGGAGGAGACCACAUAUUUUGAGGGUUUGAGACUGGAAAUGGAUGGAAUUGAAGCUGAUUUUGAGCGUAGGCUGGAGCCUGAGAAAGCUGCAGGGGCAGGAGAGAGCCUCACAGAAGGUAACAUGGCUUCUGCAGAUCAACAAAGAAGGUUUUAGAUGGCAGCAUAUGAAGUACAUAUAGAAAGUGACACAAAAGCUUGGACUUUUCCCUCAAAAAUUGAAUAAAACAAAUUCUGAUGUUGCUCUGAAUAAAAAGCUUUCUUUGUGUUGCAGAUCAAUACAUCAGCGCUAUACAGAAAGUGACAUGAAAACUUUCCUCAGAAGACUGCUUCGAAGAAAUUCUAGAUAUUUCUUUGGUCAAAGGUGUCAUUUGAAGUAAUAUCAUGAAUAAUCGAAACAUAAACCUUUCUUCACUCAACAAGUCAUCAGCUUCUUGCAAAGACAGUACUACAGAAUUCUACACGGCAAAGCCACCGCCAUCUAAAAUCUCAUCGAUCAAUCCCCAUAUGCUAAAAGCUAAAAUACGAGAUGAGGACAAAUUGCAUCCAGGACAUCGUUUUCGAGUUGUAAUCUACACGUAAGGGUGUCACCUUUCUUCUUACGAGGGUUCGAACACCCGUGAUCUAUUCAGGCAGAUUUCACAUGCAAAGCACCCACCUUUUUCAGUUAAUACCCAUACGCACAAGGGGAAAAAUAGAUUGGCCUUGAAUCGCGGUAAAAAAAAUGGAUGAAAAAGGGGAGAAACUAUGAAGGUGAUGUGGUGCACGGGUGCAGUCGGGUGUUGUUAUAGCGGCAAGUAGCCGGCGCCAGCAGGUGGUGGCGGCCGGCACGGAAACAGGGGUGGGGGGAGAAGGAAGGCGGCGGCCGUGGUUCAAACGGCGGCCGCCGGCGCUCCCCCAAGGGGUAAAGUCGUAAAGAUCAUCCACCGGCUAUGCAGACUAAUACAAUAAAUAAAAAAUAAAAAAAAGGAACGAACUUUGCAGGAUCAAAAGAACGGAUCUUACCUUUCCUCCCACAAACCAAUCAAGAACGGCAACACCUCUUCCCGGGAUCAAUCCGCCCGGCUCAAAUCAGAACAAUAGCAGCUGGUGACGGCGGGAGUUUUCGCGAGGGAUUCGAGGCGGGGGCGGAGCCUCUGGAUAUAUGGUGGGCGGGGAGAGACGGGGAUCGCACCGGGCGGCCCUUGGAAUCUGAGAUGGGAAUUCGGAGAUCACAAGGAAGAGCAGGAGGUGGCACGAGGAGCGGUUCGCUUCCGGCGAGUCGCGAGUAUAAAGGGGGAGGAAGGUGGCGGCUUGGUAGGUGCCGGUGCGCGUGUCUUUGUUUGUUUUUUUGCCCUUUUGACGAGUGGUUUGGUUAGGAUGGGGAAGUACGGGGUCUUUUGUGCAAAUGUCUUUUGUAGGGAGACCAGGGUACCCGACCAUAGUUUUGGGGUGCACAUGGGUUUGGUUUGGGGUUUUAUGGAAUGGAACAGUGGCUGGUGAGGCAUGCAUUUCAUGUGAACUUGUUCGAAAACUUAGGAAUUGAUCAUUGGUAUAAUCUAAGUUAGUUAGCUUAUGUGUUAGGUUCUUCAGAUUUGUUUUUAAUCUAAAAUAGCUAGGGUCCUCAGGUACUUUUGUGCUACGCUUCAUCAGAUGUUCUUUGUAAUAUUUGCUAGUACAUGUAUAGCAGGAAAAUAUGGCACCCUCACUAUAAAAAAAUAUUUUUUUUCUUUUUUACAUUGAUGUAAGGCUGAAGCAUGACUUUUGUAGACGAUAGAAUACAUUGUAAUUUAAAAAAAAAGGUUUUUCAUGAAACUAUGUACUCAUAAAGUUUUUUACUUCAGUUAAAAAAAAAGGCAUGUCACCCUUUCGUAGAAUAUCUCAUAUCACCGAGUAUACAUCUUAUGUCGCUUUUCAACUUUUUUCCUUUUCUUUCAUCUCAUCAAUGAUGUGAGAGUUUUUCCCGUAUUUGUGAAUAACUGAUGAGAUGAUGUAAUCCAUUGAUAUAUAUUGGUAUCAGAUUUGCACAAAAUGCAUUUAAGAAAAUAUCAACAAAAUAAUAAACGCAUGCCAUUAUAUCAACAAAAUCAAUUUACAUGUGUUCUCUUGGUUCUUUUUUGAUAUCAAAACCUUGGAUGAUAAUUUCUUUCUCUAACUUUCUUUUGUCCGGGAAAAAAAAGGUACAGACAAACAAAAUCGAUGCAGUGCACUGCAGAAGCUUCUUCGUAUCUUUAAUUAUCAAGAUCAUCAUUUGCAUACUAAUCUCUGCAGUAGCCGGAAUCAACUAAUAAAAAAUACAAACGCCCACAAUAAAAAAAACACAUCCCGUACUACUUUUUUUUAAAAAAACGAUCCAUUCAGGUCAAUCUAGGUUCAAUUUUUACAAACAACCCCACCAUUUCCCAGGGCUCAAUUUUCGCAUCUUCAGAGGGUGCACAUGCAAAACCGCUGACCAGAGAAAGGUUUGGUGCGAGCAUAUUCCGAAACUGUCCCCAAAUUUCUCGGGGAGCCAAUGAAGCUUCAAGGGCUUCAGUAGGUAGGUGAAACCUGAACCUGAACCCUUUGGGGUCUGAGGACAAUUUUGACCUCUGGCGCCUGCUGAACCCCGGCGGCUCUUCUGCUAAUCCAAGAGGUCAGCAGCUGAACUGAACAGCCGUGAUGAGCUCGUGACAUCACAGCUGCAGCACACCAAAAGUGCUGUGUUAGAAGGCUUUGCCAAUUUGGCCUCUUGCACUCUGAUUAUUCUGUUGCAAUGACCCAGGUACAUCUGUUGCAAUGACCCAGGUACAUCACCAACGGUCCUACUACGAUCAUUGUGUGUGGAAAGAAAAUUAGUCCUGAGGUUCCGUUUUAGAGCACGGAUGGUCCAUGGCAUAAGCUGAACACAAUAACAGAUUUGAACUAUGAUUAUGGUCUUUGUCCAAAUCCCCUUAUCCAAACAACCAAGAUCUAAGGUUGAAAAAGAAGCGAGAAACCUAUUGUUACCAAAAAAUGUAAAAUGUUUUUUUGGCUCCAUGGAUUAGUUUUAUUUUUUGAAGUUGAUAAUCUCUAGCUCUAAGUUCUCGGAGCUAGAGUUAUGACCACACUAAGGAUACAUACUUCCCCGUUCCAAAAUAUAAGCGCAUAAAGUUUUGUCAUAAAUCAUCAAAUAUAGCAAGUCCAUAACAACUCCAGUGCACAUCUUCCUCUCAGUAAUUAAUGCAAUAAGCAAACUACUCAUCUUAAAUAUAACACUGAAUGAUGGCAACAUGGUCAUUAUACCUCUCAUCCUAAUUCUUGUGGCCUAGUCCAAAUGAGCUGUUCCUUUUUUUAGUUUAGAUAAGUCGUCCAAGCAUGUGUCUGCGCCAUGGUAAGCAGACCCAUAACAUCUUCAAUCCAUCAUCAUGCUAUAAUAAAAGUAAUCACGAGUAAGAGAAGGGGCUUAUCCAAUAGUAGCAGCCUAGAGAGAGAGUCCACUACAUAGCAGCCGAGAGAGAGAGAGAGAGAGAGAGAGAGAGAGAGAGAGGAUAGCAGAUUAGCAGGCUGUUAUGGGCAGGUUGGUUGGGCGGCUUGGUAAAGGGCUUUCGGCGAUGUCGCUUUCACCACGCCGCCGCUCCUGUGCGGGCGCCCUGAAAACCGCCGCCCCCGCGCGAUCCCCUGAGCACUGAUGAGCUCGAUGGCGCGCCAAGCCGACGGAACUGCUACCCGCCAAAACAAAACGGAGGUCCUCGCGCUCUCAGACUUGAAUCCUUCAGAGUUCAGACUUGAAUCCUCCUGUGCCUCGCCCUCGCGUAUGGUCGCUCCGUGCGAUCAGGAUCAGAUGAUGCCCAAGAACGAACAAAGCAAGAGCGUGAUCACUGCUGCACCUAGCACGCACGCAUGGGCAAGCUGUCACCCUGUGAAUCGAUCGAGCUGAUCGAUCUCGCUGAUUGAAGACGAACACUUCGAUGCGUGUUUCCGGAUUUGUUUUUGUACUCAUCGGAGCUGCCGAGACGCAAGUACCAAGGUGGCUAGGUCCUUGGGAAAACCACUUGGGAACCAAUAGUAACAUUUUUGUUUGCGCUCGGAGCUAUUUUCUUUUUCUUUUUAUGUAAUCAGCUAGCUACACGCAUGGACUUGUUAAGGAAUAGGGGCGUGCCAGUGCCAUAUCUCUUUUCUUUUCUUGUUCUUUUCAUUUUUUAAAAAAAAUAUAGCAUACGGUGGGUCACCAAUCUUGUCCCAGAUGGCUCAGGUAGGGAUCUCGGAAAUGAGAGCCAGAUAUUUUAGUCAUCGUAAACAUUGUACAUAUGUGGGGGCACACGUGAAAUCUCGAUGGGCUGCUAUAGUAAUAUGUGUAUACCUGUUAAAAAAAAUUGACAGCACUACUGCUACUUGAUGCAGGACUGCGUGUUAUCCGCGUGGGCACCCGGCCCAUUCGUCCAAUAUGUGUAUUCCUACCACUACUCCGAGAUAAGCUAGCUACACAACUUUUAAUCAUUGUUGCCCACAUCAGUUUCUUUUUUUAGCAAAGAGCCCAAGUCAUUUUCUAUUUUUCUGAAUUAGAACACACAUAAUGAUCAUUCUUAAUGUAGGAAUCCCGGUUAGGAUCUCGGGCCCUCCUCGAGCUCUCAGUAAGCCACGCCGCCCCGCUAAUCAACGCCAUUGGUUAGAUUGCUGCUGCAGCGCUGCAGCUGCAAUUGCCAAGCAAGCAUUCUGAGUCUGAGUUGUGGGCCUGCUGCCCCGUGCAGCUGCAGCUGCUUAUGCAGCCAGCACAAACAAACAAAGCCAUUGAUUCACCGGUCUUGUUGGAUCGGGCAGUUGAAAAGAGCCUUGUCAGCUAGCGUUUUUUCAGAGUCUUCUUGGGAACUCCCAUCCUACUAAGCGGCGACGGUACUAAGCGGCGACGGCACCAUCGGUAAGGUGCACUCGCCUCGCCAUCUCCCCGACGCCGCUCAGAGCUUGGCGUUGUCCAUUCAGCACCCCUUCCCUGUGCUAGUGGUUAAUUUCAGGCCUCGUUUGGAUCAGAGCUGAUUUUCAGAACCCAUAAGCUGUAAUAUGAAGCUCCUCCAAACAGGUCCGAUUCUAGUUCAAAUUUCAGAAUCUAGAUUCUAGAUUAAGCUCCUCAAAGGUUGAUUUUACAUGAAUGCAACCAUACAAUUAGAUUUUGGAAUAGGAAUCCAAACAAGUGCACCUUGAUUUUGCCCAAAAUCCAGAUUUUAAAAAUCCAUCCAACCCAUCCAAAAAUCCAGAUUUUGGAAAUCCAUCCAAAAAUCCGGAUUUUCUGAAUCCGGAUCCAAACGGAGCCUCAAGCAAACACGACUCCCACGCGUCUUCUACGGCGCCGCCACAGCAGGCCAACAGCAGUACCAGCAGCAGUUGCGUAGCUGCCAUUCACGUAGCAGGCGAGCCUGGUGCCUUCGCCUGCCUGCGUCCAUGCCCGUCGGCAUGCAGCACUCUCGUUUGACCAGUGCAAGGAUGAUUCCCUAAAAUUCGAUGUCUUUUUGUUCCUCCUCGAUCCCUAUUUCUUCAGAGAAUGUUUUUUUGAAAAAAAAAAAAUCUUCAGAGAACGUGAUUGCCAGGAUCAAUAGGUGAGCUGAUACUGUAUCAAAACGCUCAUCAUUUAUUUAUGUGCCACCAUGUUGCAGUCUCGCUCCAAAGUCAUCAUCAGCGUCAUCUUCGACCUCCAUAGUUGAAGUUAAUUCAUGGUAAGAUUAUUAGCCUCUAAUUUUUCAAAUACUUCCGAACAUCACUCACUGCAUAUCAGCGUAUACACGAUUUGUAAUAUGCAUGAAUCAUCUGCUGAAAUUCUACAUUAUUCAUAUGGCCUUAUUCUGAGUAUAAUGGCUCUAUCUAGAUAGUAUAAAUCGGUUUAGAAGUAAUGGGAACUACUCUUUAACCAAAAUUGCAGGAUAGUCUGAAAGAAGAACGGAAGACUGUUCAGCAUUAAGCUUUCCAUUUAAAAAUGGUAUUCUUGGGAUUCAGACAUGCACCGAGUACUCUUUGCUUCCCUGGUUGUUCAUGAGGAGAAUCAGGGGCUGUUUGGUUACUUUUGCUUAUUUUUAGCACCCGUCACAUCGAAUGUUUAGAUACUAAUUAGGAGUAUUAAACGUAGACAAUUUACGGAACCCAUUACAUAAGUGGAGGCUAAACGGGGAGAUGAAUCUAUUAAGUCUAAUUAGUCCAUGAUUUGACAAUGUGUUGCUACAGUAAACAUUUGCUAAUGAUGGAUUAAUUAGGUUUAAUAGAUUCGUCUCGCGUUUAGCCUCCAUCUGUGUAAUGGGUUUUGUAAAUAGUCUACAUUUAAUACUCCUAAUUAGUAUCUAAACAUUUGAUGUGACAUGUGCUAAAAAUAAGCAAAGGGAACCAAAUACCCCCUUAGUACUGGAUAUACUAAACUCUAAGAAGUGUUUAAUCACUACUGUAAAAUUGAACAUUGGUCCUAACCUUAGUACCGGUUGGUUUUUGGCCCGGUACUAAUGCUCACAUUAGUACCGGAUCUAACAGAUAGCUCCCCAGGAGCGCCCCCCCGUGACCCCCUUUAUUAUCAGUUGGGAGCUCCACCUGAUAUUAAUGGUCUCCCAUUAGUACCGGGUGGAGCCUCCACCUGGUACUAAAGGUUCUCGGGCACAUUAGUAUGCAAUUGGAGCUACCAACCGGUACUAAAUGACCUCCCGACCGUCAGCUCCCGUCGCCCCAUCCCCAUUAUAAUCCAUCCACGUUAUUCCUCUUUGUCCUCUCUCUCAUGCUCUCGUUCUCUCUACUCUCUCAUCCUCUCGUUCUCCUCCUCUCGUUCUCCCCUGCCACCGAGCUCCUCUCUGCUCUCUCCUCCUCUUGUUCUCAUUCACGGCGGGAGGGCGGCGGGCGGAGGGAUUUCUUUUUUUAUUAUUUUUUAAUACCCCUUUAGUACUGGUCAUUUGACCCGGUACUAAAGAUCCCCUUAGUACCGAAGUAGUAAUACUGGUUGCGCAACUGAUAUUAAAGGGGGGCUAAGAACUGGUACUGAAGGCUCUUUUCCCGGUAGUGAAUUCUGAGAUUUAAAAUGUGGAUGUUACUUUUAAAUUCCAAUCUUAUAAGUACAAGAUGGUACCUCGAAUCCCAGCUUGUCAUGAUUAUAUUGGGUAUUUUAAAUAUUGUAGUGAUGGCUCUUAUAAGUACAAGAUGGUACCUUGAAUCUCAGCUUGUCAAAAAAGUUUAGUUGGAAAAAAAAUUCAUGUGGAGCAAAGUAAUAGAAAUUCAUGGAACAAAAUAUUAAUUACACAUGGAACAAAUCAUAUAACUCAUGGAAUAAAAAUAUAUAAACAUGGAACAAAAUAAAAUGAUUCAGAGAAACAAAAAAUAUACAUGAAACAAAACAUAGGACUUGUAGAAAAAAUAUGCAUGGGACUAGCUGAAAAAAAAUAUACAUAUGUAACAAAUCAUAGAGCUUAUGGGAAAAAUAUACAUAACGACAAAUCAUAGGACUCGCGGAACAAAAUGCAUUGACUCGCGAAAACAAAAAAAAUAUACACAGAAUAACUCAUAGGACUCACUGAGAAAAAAUAUACACAAGAAAUAAAUUAAAUCAUAGAAGCUCAUGGAACAAAAAUUUAUAUAAAAGAAUAAAAUUUUAUAGAACAAAUUUGGGCUAAAUCUAAGAUGGGCUCAAUUUGCUCAACCUGGGCCAAAGAAAAAGAUGAAAGAAAAAUAGAAUGAAAAAAUGGAAAACAAAUCUAAUAGCUAAUGAGUCCAUAACUAACAUUUAGAUGGGCCAAAAACUAGCCUAAAGUAUAGUUAUAUCAUAAGAGCUUUGUUAAAAUUAUUGUUAAGUACUACAUGUAGGUAAUUUUUUCUUUAUUUUUUUUAUGACCGUUGAUCUAAGGAAUGUAACUAAAAAAUAAAUUAAAUUAGUACUGAUCCCACUGUUUUUGGUACUUGGUCCCACCUAUUUGGUACUUCUUGGUACUUUUUCUAUAGGUACCUCUAGGUAUUUCCUCUUUCCAUUGUACGAUUUCUCGGGAUGGAUGGCUCUCUUUUUUCCGAUCAUUGUAAAAAUCCUCAUAUCAUAAAUAGAGAUGUGAGGGGGUGGUUGGAGUUGUUGCCACCGCAUGAUCGGAAUAUAUCAAUCCCGCCACACAACUUCCUUUUUUCUAACCUAAAAAAUUACAUUUAUCUUGAUAUGAUGAUUUAUCAAAAUUACAGCAUCCAAACAUGCCCUAAGUAUGUUUGAGGAGGUUUUUUUCACACCAAGAGAGAAUAAAAGUCUUGUAUGCUCCGACCAAAACACACCUAGCCCAUUAGGUGUUCUGAGCAUGCCUAGGCUGCUAUCACUAUGCACAAUGCAUUUAUGUUGUUUUUUCCCCGUUUGUUGGAUGACAUACUUGGCACAUGAAAGAAUAACAAACAUAGACUUUGCCAUAGAUGUCUUGGAUUUGGGGGCGCGUUUCGUUAACAGCCACCAUGCGCCACGUCUAAACUGCGGCACGCCAAGUCCACUUGAGUUGCUAUUUGGUAGGUGAGUAACCUUCGGCGCGCCAGAACAAUUCAGUUCACUCGCAGUUAAAAAACUUGCCGACCUGCGGCGCCGAAAAUCGGCGCCAAACCUUCGGUGGCGCCGCAACUGCGGUGUGGCAGACAGCGCCCGGAACCCAGCAGGUUGUUGAUGCCCUAUCCCAACCCUGUCAUAUCGGAUGUUUGAUACUAAUUAGGAGUAUUAAAUAUAGGUUAAUUACAAAACUAAUUGCAUAACCCCUAGGUUAAAUUGCGAGAUGAAUCUAUUAAGCCUAAUUAGUCCAUAAUUUGACAAUGUGAUGGUACAGUAAUCAUUCGCUAAUGAUGGAUUAAUUAGGCUUAAUAGAUUCAUCUUGCGAUUUAGCCUAGGGGUUCUGCUAUUAGUUUUGUAAUUAGCUCAUGUUUAGUCCUCCUUAUUAGCAUCAAAACAUCUGAUGUGACAGGGUUAAAGUUUAGCCCCUGGUAUCCAAACGCCUUGGAACGAUGCCCCCACAUAGCAGGAUGCAUUAUUAAUGCUAGCAGGGCAUUCACAUGCUGGGCACAUGAUGCUGUGCGUGCUAACACUUUGUGAUGCAAAGCCUUUACCAUGCUACAACAAAUUUUUGGUAAUAUGCUAUGUUGAAGCAUAAAUUUGGAUGUGCUAAAAUUGUAGCACAUGCAAGAACCCUUUUGGUUCUCCUGCUUGAAAAACAUUGCUGAUGCAUGUGCCGGACAUUGUGAUAUGAAUGCACGAUCGCAUUGCAUAUCACGCAUUAAGGUCAAAUGAUUUCCUGUGACUCUCGUUCAUUGCAAGCAUGAUUGCUCGUAUAAUAUACAUUGCAUCGUUCCAUAUCUUGUCCUUCUGAUUUGAAUUUACUGUUAGUACCGCCACAACGUGUUGAAACAAAAAAAAAAUAUAUUAAAAUGUUCUCUUUAUGAAUCCAUUAAGGUCAAAAUGAUUUCCUGCGACUCUAGCUCGUUCAUUGCAAGCAUGAUUGCUCGUAUAAAAUACAUUGCAUCAUUCCAUAUCUUGUCCUUCUGAUUCAAAUUUACUGUUAGUACCGCGACAAAUGUGUCGAAACAAAAAAAAAUAUCAAAAAGUUCUCUUUAGGAAUCCUCUAUACAUGUUUAUCUCAAUGAUCUCUGGGAAGGGUUAUUAAAAUUGAAGUAGACCAUCUAAUCUCUUUCCUACCAUUAUACAAACACAUGUAUAUUGUAUAUAAAAAAAUACUAACAUGGUUCCUCCUCUUCAUGCAGUUGCUCCACUGUCCAAUGAAUAGUAAUACACCAGAACUUACACCCCGUUCAAUCGGGUGCGUCGGAUCUCGAUCGGACGGCUCAUCCCGGCGCCGUACCUCCGUUACCGCAGCAAUUAAUUUCCUCCCAGAAACUACAGAAAGAGCGAAGGCGGAGCCGAAACGAAAAGAAUCGCGGAAACGCGAUCCUCGCCGUAAAUCGCCGACCCCGUCUUCCUCCCCGCUUCCGCUCCCACCCCUACCACCACAUGCCUCGGCCUCCCUCUCGCCGUCGCCGCCACCCCAAACCCUAGCCACCCCCCACCCCCCACAACCCGAGACCCCUAGAUCCUGCCCCCGCCCGAUGGCGGGCGCCCCCGCGGCGGGCCAGGUCGUGGAGCGGUUCCGCGCGCGGCUGCGCGAGGAGGCGGGCGGCGCCGGGGGCGAGCCGGGCGCCGCCGCGGUGGUGCGCGUGUACGCGGAGGCGCUCCGGGAGCUCACCUUCAACUGCAAGCCGGUCAUCACCGAGCUCACCAUCAUCGCGGGGCAGCACGCCGCGCUCGCCGCCAGGGGCAUCGCCGACGCCGUCUGCGCCCGCGUCGCCGAGGUCGGUUUCCUGCUCCUUUUGCUCUGCUCCUCCUGGGAUAGUUGCUCUUUUUUUGUUGGGGUUGGCUGCGAGGAAGCUUGGGUUUUGGGUGCUGCGUAGUCUGUGGUAUGUCAAGUCUCGCCGUGUGGUAGCUAGGGUUUGGGGAUUGGUGUGCUUGUGGUGGAAGUCGACAAAUUCCGUGAAAUUGAUGGAGUACCUUCUGCUCAUAGCUUUUGUAAUAGCUGCAUUCGGUAGAGAUUUGUUCCCCUUUGGAGGAAGCGAUGUACAAAUAAUCCAGUCUGUCACUCUGCUUGCUGUACCUGUUUCAUACACUUGUGUUUAGCAACCGGUGUGGAGUUUUCUUAGGUUGGAUUGAAUUAAUGGAGCUUAUGUGUAUGAGGUUUAUUUCUCUUGAACUUUCUGCGUAGUACAAUUGGGGAACCGACUUUCACAUGUUGGGAUAUGUAGCAACUGAGUAAAAAUAGGUGUCUGCGCACUGAAGUUGCAAAUAGCUGUCACUACAAUUUGAUAACUGCCGUUUGAGAGGCGAAAUUUUAGGAGGCUUAGGCUGUAAUAUAUGAAUGUGUUGCACUGAUUUCUCCAUGGAAUUACAAUAAAACGAGUUCAUUUUUUGGGUUAUUGGUUGCACAUUGAGUCAGUUACUUGUUUUCUUGUUCUGUCGUCGAUUUGGUUUUAUUUAGAAAUAUUUUGUAAUAGGCUGUUUUGCUGCUUUUCUUGAAGAUGAGAGUCAACAUCUUUAAUUUUAAAUGGAAAUAAUCCUAAGAUAGUAAGCUACCAGGGUGCCCUGCACUUUUUUUUCUUUCUGAACCUGUUGGCUAUUUGAGACUCUUCAAUUCACUUUUUUUCUUUCUCGCAUGAUGCAUUUUAAUAAAGUGCCUAUACUUUCAAGGUUCUUUUUCAUUUAUUCUGCGAUAUUCUUGCAGGUGCCACCUGACCAGAUAUUACCAUCUUUGUAUCUGCUAGAUAGUAUUGUGAAGAACAUAGGGCGCGAAUAUGUAGACCGUUUUGCCGCAAGGUUGCAGAAGGUAUUUGUUGAUGCAUACUGUAGAGUUCAUCCCAGCCAGUAUGCUUCAAUGCGGCGCCUCUUUCGUACCUGGUGGCCAGUGUUUCCUUCUUCUGUGCUUCGUGGCAUCGAGGACGACCUUCAAUUUUCUCCCUCACAGGAAAAGCGUCCUGCCAUAGCGACAAAUCCACAUCAAUCAGAGUCUCUAUCUCCUAGGCCCUCUCAUGGCAUACAUGUAAAUCCCAAGUAUCUGGAAGCACAACAAAAAUUGAAGCAGGCCAAUGUGGUAAGAUUUUUUGUUAAUACAAAGUAUAGACAGUAGAAUUACUGGUGUGUUUGCUGUUGUGAUUCAAGUUUGAUAAUUUUAGACUAACGGAGAAAUGUAUGACACAGUGUAUUACUGUAGUAUAUUGUUGCACAACAUGGUGUAUUCUGUCAGUUGUUAUGCUUUAGUUAAUUUUAUUUUAACUUGAUUGUUGAUGUUGAUAUUUGUCCUCUAUAUUUCCUUAAAUUCAGAUGCAUCAGCCUGCCGUUCGUGGCACUAGGCAAAUGGCUGAUGUGGAGGAGGAUCUGAUAAAUGGAUUAACAUCGAACGGCUUGCGAGGACGUCCUUCAAUGUUUCAGGUAUUGAGAGCACAUCUGCUUUGGUUGCUCCUUGUCAUUCUUAUGACUAGUCUCCUGUAUCCUAUUCCAAGUCUGUCUUCCACACCUCCGUAUACUUUAUGGCACAUAAUAAUACUGGCUUGGAAAAAGAAACUGUCUUCUGUUUGUUUUACUCUCCUGAUUGGUUGACAAAGGGAAACCUUUCCUUUAUAUUUUUGGGGAAUGCUAUAUUUAUUUUAAGACUCUAGCAUGCUUACCUACUCUGCCUCUGUACCAAGUCUUCAAGAGUUCCUACCAAUUCUUAUACCUGAUUUAGUAUUGCAAGUUUGCUCUUAAACAACCAAACUUAUCUAAAUGACUUCGUAGAUUGCUUGAGACAAUGUUGGGUGCUUUAUUUUUUCUAAGGUUAAACAAAACCCAAGUACUUCAAUAUGAUAAUAAAACUGCUCAUUUUUUUUUGGUUUUAUUCUAAGCUAUAUUGUAGCACGCGCCUUUUACUUUAUGAUGACUCAUACUCUGUGUUCGGAAUCAUAUGGGCAGAAAUCUACUGUGCAGUAUGCUGAUGAUCCUGAUCAACAAGAUACACUCCGAUCUCUUGCUGGAACAAUAAGGGCAACAUCACCACAUCUGUUGAGUGCACAUCCAUCUGAUGCCAUUCUAGAUGGGCCAUUAGACACUUCAAGGAGAAACCUGUCCAGGUCGCCACCUCUUGAUGUGUUCCCUAGGAAUGCGUCCCCCAAGAGAGUGCUAGAGAGGCUACCACCAUCUCGUUCUAUAUUGGGACCUGAUCCCAGAAGAUUGCCUGAUCGGAAUGGCAGGUCGAGAUGGACCUUCGACGAUGGUGCACGGCGGCCUACAAUCAGCAUGCUUGAUGAAGAGUACAGGAAGCAAAGUGCAAGAGAACUUAUUGACGCUUAUGGGAAUUCUCAAGGCCGAGAUGCUGAUGAAAGAGUUUCUAAAAUGCAGCGCCUGGAUUCAAAUGGGAUGGCUAGUGCACGAAAUUGGCUCACUUCAGAGGAAGAAGAGUAUUCUUGGGAGGACAUGAGUCCAACUUUGACUGAUCGAAUCAGAAGCAGCGUGCCAUCAUUUCCUCCUGGAACCAUGAGAGCUGGAUUUCCUGGGGCAAAAGCAGGGUUACUGGAAUCUGAUAUUGGGAGGCACAAUUUUCCAAGCCAAGCUCCUCGAUCAUCGGUUGAUGGCCCACCAUUAAAUCUUGAAGAUAGGAUUACUGCUGCAAGUGUAUGAUUGCCUCAUCUUUCUUUAAUUAUAGUGGAUAGAUACAUUAGCAUAACGCCUUAUGUGCCUUUCAUCAUUCUGCCAGUUUACGAAUAAUUUUUUAUCUUUUAUACCCUUCAUUUAUUAUAGGCUUCCUUGCUCUUAAAAAAGUUAGUCUCCAGUACACAAGUUGGAUUGCUGAUUUUAAUUUGAUAUAUUUGUAAAAAAAACAUUGUUCUAAAAGGUAGCUGCCUUGGUGCUGCGUGCCAACUAGCCAUGCUUUUCCCAUCAUUAGUACCUUCAGCUGGGCUGCUGCCUAGAUGCAUGAUGAGCUAGUUGUGAUCUGCUGGCAGCCAUGGCCACCAGAAGAGGAGCAGAGGUAGUAAUGAGGAGGAGCCGGCAAAGGACCGGCAAGAACAUGACUUUAUGUGCCCCAUUCUUCAUUCCUCUCCCCAUCAUCUCCUUAACUAGGUCACAUGUCACACGCCCCCUGUAUUCCUCUUCCCGUUCUGCCUUCCUAGAGCCUAGUGCCUAGUGCCUUUUAGAACAAUGCAAUAUCAGAUUUACUCAUAAGCUUCAGUUGGCUAAUCUAGGUGCACAAAAAGGUAUUCUUGCCAAAUUUCGAAAGAUUUAACCACAUGUAUCAUGUGGCCAUCCUUCUUGACUGAAAGGAAUGGCCAUAGUCUCUGUGUAUACUGAUUAUUGCCGUGUUAUGUACUUGGGAAAAAAAUCUGUGAAAAAUUAGUCAGAAAACAAUUUUGUGCCAUCACAUGCAUGUGUUAGGGAAGCAACUUCCCCAUCAUAUUUUUUUGGCAGUUUACUCCUUUUAUUUCACAUUUGAUGUUAAUAAUGUCUGCCCUCAGUUGUGCAUAGAUUUCAGAAGUUUUUAAAAAUGCAUGCACCAUGAGGAGGAUGAUCCGACAAGCUCUUGGUCUUCCAGCCUUAGAUGUUUUUGGACACUGUUCAUUCUUUCACCACCUUUUUGGCUUAUUAUGUUUGUGUUUAACUAUAAAAUUUCCAACAUUUUUAUCGAUGCAUCAAAUGUAAUUCAUAUGCAGACUUGUUCACCUGUCAAUGUUUUAUUUGCAUGGAUCUACUCUUAACACCUAUUGACAAAUUUGUCAUUUUUUUCCCUUUGCAGCAUGCUAACAUGCCUACUAGUAGGAGACAUCCUAGCAAUUUUGGUGUUCAGAAUGGAGCUCUUUUGGAGUACCAGAGUUCUGAGCAUACCCUCAAUCAUGGGAGAACUGCUACCAUGCAAGCUCCACCUUGGCAGCAGCCUACUGGUCUGCCAUUACGAGUACAAGCACCUGAACAUCCAUCAGUACUUGAUAGAAUACCACUGCCUGCUGACGGUGAAAUGCCAGUCAAGAGACUAGAGAUCGGUGGUAUAUACAAUGCUUUGAGUGCAGAUAUACCUUUGGUGGAGAAGCACAGGCCGUUAACUGCUGCUGCCCCAAUAGAAUGGCCUCCUCUUCAUCAUACUCAGUCGCAAACUUUAGUACCAAUUCCACCUGAUACAAAACAUGUUAGAAAUGCAGCAGAUAGUCUAGAAAUUAGGCCAUUUGUUAGUCAAGGAGCCAGUUCAUCUGUAUUUGUUCCACGGCAUCAAUAUGAUGCCUUGGAUCGGAAAACACUAAGUACCGGUAGCUUAGCUCAACCACCAUAUCAGCACCAAGAUUUGUUGCCAUCAAGUCAACAGAAUCAAGGUGCAGUUUUGGGAAACCAAGCACAGCCUCAUCAUCCUCAACAGUUUCAUCCCCAUUCCCAUCCCCACCAUCAGGAGGCUUUUAGAGGCUUUGGCCCGGGCAUGUCUAUAUCCCCGUUCCCAGGACAAGGGGGUAGUGCAGCAUUGCCACCAGUUUCACUUCUGCCCAGCUCUUUUUCUGGUCCACCUGCUGUGCCACCAUAUGGCAUGCCGUCUGCGUCCAGUUUUCCUAGGCCACCACUACCUCCCGGACCGCCACCUGGUUCGCUGCAGAUUGGUUCAUCAUCAUCACAAGUUGGUGGCCCUCAACCAUUUGUGUCUGGACUAUUGAGUAACCUUAUGCGGCAAGGUGUAAUUACAUUGGGACCACAUAGCCAACCUCAGGUACUUCUCAUGCAUUCGUGCACCUUAUUGCUGGUAUAUAGUAUUGUUCUGUUAAUAUGCUUGAUGUUAAUUGAAUGGUGUACGUUGUGAAUCUUUUCCUGUAGGACUCAAUUGGAGUUGACUUCAAUAUAGACCUCAAGGUACGGAAUGAUUCUGUCAUCAAUGCUUUGUAUCAGGAUCUUUCAAGACAGUGCAAAACUUGUGGCCUUCGGUUCAAAUGCCAAGAGGAGCAUCGUGCUCACAUGGACUGGCAUGUUACAAAAAACAGAAAUUCAAAGAACCGUAAGCAAUCUUCACGUAAAUAUUUUGUCACUGCGGAGGAAUGGUUAAGAGCAGCAGAAACAGUUGGAAACGAUGGGGUUCCCGCUUUUGUGCCCUCAGACCCAGUCCCAGACAGCAAGGAAGAGAAAGAAAUGGCUGUUCCUGCGGAUGAGGAGCAGACAGCUUGUGCAUUAUGUCAUGAACCAUUUGAAGAUUUCUACAGUGAUGAGACUGAAGAGUGGAUGUACAAAGGUGCAGUUUACAUGAAUGCACCAGAUGGUAAUAUUGAUGGUUUGGAAAGGUCACAGUUGGGACCUAUUGUCCAUGCUAAAUGUCGAUCUGGGCCCAGCAGUACUUCUUAGGAUGGGCAUAGCUGGUGAGUAUCUGUAGAUUUCAUUGUGCUAUAAUUAACGUAUGCAAACUUUUACAUAUGUCUUGAGUUUAACCUCACUGGAGUCAGGGGAGAUUAUCUCCUUGCUGAUUUGGCUAUUUGCAACAUGUUUCAGCUAUGGUUAUAUGAAACUUCAUGAUGAUAUCUGAUUAAAUAAGAAUGCUGGAUAUGGAUAUGCAAUGUUUUCGUUCAUGAUAAUUAUAGUUUGCGUUCAAUGCUCUAUCAGAUGAAGAUACUCCUGCUGUGCGAGUUAAUGUUUGCGGUUUUUAUUUGUUUUUAUGUAUGUGAUAUUCUUUUAACUUCUAUGGUACAUGUUGACUAUUGUUACCAUGCUUUUUCCUUUUUAUAUUUGGGAGCCAUUCUUUUUUGUGUCCAUUAGAAAGUUGUUGCUGAACCCCGCAGAUCCAUCAUAUGGAUUUUCCGAAUUUCCAGUUCUACUAGUAUACUUAAUAAAAUGAUCUUUCAAUUGCUCCAUCUAUGUAAAAUAGAAAUGUGAACAUAUGCUUGUUUAAGUGUUGUUAUUUAAACAGUGCAAACCCACAACUCUAUACAUAUAUCAUUUAAUUUGAUCUGAUGAUGAUUUGCACAAGUCAUAUUUUCAUAGCAUGGCUAUGCUGUUAAUAUUUCUCAACUUUUGAUAUCUAGUAUCUAGGGUGGAUAGAAGCUUAAGCAGGCUUUGGUCUAAUCUCUACCUAAUAUUAAAGUGCGGUUGUUUCUUCCAACCGUCCAGGUUGUUUUGCAAAAAAGUCCCUCAACUUUUUCAUAAUCAACCCGCAGUCUUUGGAAUAUGUCUUGAUGAUUUUGCAAAAAGGUCCCCAGAUUCUUCGAGGCGAGAAAAUGUGCGUUGGAUGGGAAGCAGACAAGGGGACGCGGAUGAUGUAGAAAAGAAAUCCAAGGGCUUGGAUUCAUUAUCGGCGGGACAACAAAGUGGAGAAGCACCUGACGUACGUAUGGAGUUUUGUCGCCUCCUUAGUUUUAUUAGUAGUAGAUUGUUCAGCUGGGGAGGCGGGCAGGACUCGCGGGGUCGAUGAGAUUCACAACUAUCAGGGCGGUUAACGGAUCGGCCAUCUGGAAGAGAAAUUCCCAAUGAUUAGCGCAUGCAGUUUGGUGAGAUCUGCAGAUAAAGUAAGAGGCAUUGCUGGUAACCUGAGUCAUUGGGUUCGAAAACCAUCGCGAUGUUUCGGGCGUUCAUCUUGUUGUGGCUUUCAUGCUCUACUACAUCGGCCAUCAGAUUAAUAGCCCAAUCAAGUAGUGCUGCUUCCACUGGUGGUAACAUAGAAGCAAGGAGGGCACACUUAGAAGGGAGGUGGAUGGAAACGAGAAGAAGAGGAGAACGCACUCCUGCUCAUGGCGGCUAGAGGCGUUGUGGCCUUGCGCUUGAUGCGGGAAUGAGGCUAGGCACGGGGAGGACGAGCGCUUACCUGGGCGACGGUGAGGACGGCAAGAUGUGCAGCGCUUGGGUGACGGGGAGGAUGGGGCAAGAUGCGGGUGGUGCCGAUGGACGAAGAGGUAGCGACUGGCUGGAUGAUAAUGAGUACAGGGGAAAUCGAAUGAAUAUGUUAAGCGGUGAAUUUUUUUUAUUUCCAUGUGGGUCCUACUUAAUAAACAUAUGGCAUCAAACCACCCACACAUAUCUUCUACUACUACACUUGCAAAGAGAGGAUUACUAGGGACAACGCACCAACAUAUUGUGAAGUGAAACCAACAUAUUAGGAACAAACGAAUAAUAAAGUGAGAGCAAGUAAGGACCUGUAGCAACGCACGGGCAUUUCGGCUAGUUUAGAAAAAAGGGGGGAUAAUCACCCAUCAUGCAUCACUAACCUGCAAACUAUAAUGCCUACCAAUCAGAGAUUCAGAGAAUACUAGUAGCGUUUCUAUUUCAUUUUGCCAUAUCCUGUGGCCUUGGUGCAAGCUUUCGCUGUACAAUAAUAGAAUUUAGUUAUUUGCUGGAAUACUAGUUGCAACAAUUUUAUUCUGCUAUGGCUUCAGAAAGGAUCCUUUCAUGCUACUUGCUGUAAUAGGAAGAUGAAGUGUUUUUUAUAAAGCCUCCAGUGAGCGUUGCCUGCUGGAUUGUCCUGAAGAGUGUAUGAUCCUACGAAGUGGGGUUCAUUGGUUUGCUCCUUUUGCAAUAGUUAUGGUUGCUUUAAAAUGUAUAUGCUUGUUGUAACAAAUCAUGAAACUUGCCGCCAUCUAAUGGUUAAUGAAAAAAUCCCUUUGAAGCGCAUCAUAAAAGAUAUAGCUGUGCUGAUUUGCUGACUAUUUCUUAUCUUUAUCGCAGGUUUGACUUAAUAGUUCUUUUUGGAUGCGGCUGUAGACAUGACCUGUAAACUACCGUGAGACUCAGAUUUUGGUAUGAUUACUUCUUUCCUAUCUGGCUCACUUGACAGCCAGUGCAUAGAAUGUUAACGCGACAAUAGUGUAAACUGUAAAAUCUUUCUGUAAUUCAGUGAUUGAGCAUCAGUAAUCUACCGUACAAUCACUAUUGUCAAAUUGUGCUUGUGCCCUAUCAUUUUGUCCUUCUGUAGUUGCAGAGUGCUUCAUAUCUAGGGUCAGGCAGCACAAUUGGUGACAGGCAUAUAUGUAACCAUUGUUUCACUAGACGUGAAAAACAAUAUCUUUGUAUUGUUCUGCUUUCUUUCCCCUUGUUAAUAUCUUAUGCAGGAUAAUAUCGAAGGUAGCUUACAAUUUACAAAACAUCGAAGGGAUCAUGCAAGAUGACCAAGAGUUGUGGCAUCUGUCUACGGCUGUCCUGAACGGCUGAAGGGACUAGAUGCUAUCAUUGCUUUUUUUAUUUUUCUUUUAGUAUUUUCUUUGUAAAUUGAGAACAUUGUAUAAAGUGUUGUGAAGAUUAUUCUUGGUCACUUGUAUACUUCCAUCUUGCUGGACAUGUUUGUGCUAGAUAAAAUCAGAUGAGAAUGUUUUUAGACCUUAUACUUUGUUUCGGAAGUUAUGCUCAGGCAAAUUGCUCUAUGGAAAGUAUUUUAUUUUUCCAAGUUGAGGGUUGCUAAUUGCUAUCACUGUACUGCCGUCUGAAAUGAACUGGACCGCACGACUCUGAAUUUAGCUGUAUCAGCAACUGUUAUUUGUAUCCGAUGUGUUUGCCUUCCUGAUGAGAUGCAGGAACUGCAGGAGCUGACGUUUCAGCAAGACUAUGAAUGUUUGCAUUCAUUUUGAACAGUGUUGAGUUGUGACAUUCGGUUAUUUUUGCAGAGUCUGUAAAAUGUGAUGAUCGGAUCACUUGCGUCGCUUUAAAGCAUUUCUGUUGAAAUCAUGCUGUUAGAGCCUUAGAGGACACUAUUGUGGACAAAACUAAGCAUACGCUGUCAUGGUGUGCGAAUACGAUCUCCAUUGAUGUAAUUCCUGCAUUAUUUAUAAAUUAUGUGUGCUAGCAUUCGAACGUGAUGUUUUAUGUUUGUCCGUUGCUGUGAUCAGCUGUAAUGGGCUUUAAUUUAAGAACUAGGAUUGCAUUCAAUCUAAGAGCUAGGACACUUGGAUCUGAUGGAAAGAUUUCCUUCUAUGAUAGCAGUCGAUUUUCCUCUACGAUAGGUUGCGCACAAAGUUCGCUCGUCGAACCCAUGUUGACAAUGGGUACCGUUUUCAGAAUUAUCUGACUACAAAAAACUAGGACCAACAAGAAACAGAGAGAUCGAAAUUGCAAUGUUUAAAUGGCGAAAAAACUACAAGCAACAACAGGCAGGUUUUAGCCGAGGAUUGGUUAUGCCCGAACACCUAGAUUCUACAAAUCUUUGCAAAUCCCCAAAAAAGAGAGGCAACAAAUCUCUGUUCUCUAGCUACCAGCAUGCAGGCAGGCGCCUUAGCCUGAACAACACAGCAACAUCACAGACAUGGCAAAGUACACAGCAGCAAAUCGAAAAACCCUAAAAUUAUGGGAAGAGACCCAGAAACAGCAUCAUCUCAGCAGCAUCCAUUCCGUUGUAGAAUCGACGGGGAAGUCAAUACCCGAACCAUCCCCCCUUGCAUAGUGGUGACCGCCUCUUUUCCGCGACGUUUUCGCAAAGGUUUCUUGACACACUAGCAGUAUGAGCACCACAUGGCAAGGAGGGUCUGAGGUGCGUUCUUGACUCCCCACUGAUGAAUUCUCCAAGAAAAUCUAGCUGCUCCUCUCCUGCAAAAGAUUCAAAUAUCCAUUUCAACAUAGAAAAUAAUUUGAAUACCGUACCCUUUGGUGCACUGAUGGUCAAGCCUUCACAAGUAUGAAUGCAGCAUUUUAGGAUGAUGAUGAUGUGGAUUAACAAUGGGAGGCUGUAGGUGGCGUGUACCUUGAAAUCAUAUGGAUGGCUGCUGUGGGUUGCCUUCCGCGCAGACGGCGGCCUUGAUGCGGUCGACGGUGCAGGCGAUGAGGCUGUUCACGGUGGCGACGGAGCCGAGCGAGAGCUUUGCGGUGGGGACAGAGUCCACCAGGAUCUGGAACGCCACCGUCAGGAGGGACCCGCCGCCAGCCUCCAGGCUGCCGCUCUCUCCAUGGGGAGCAGCGCCUGGUGGCCCGUCGGGGAGGAUGGCGAAGCCUGAAGGCAGCAGGGCCACGUAGUCCGGGUCGCCGCCGUUGAGCACCACGUUCAUCGCCACCACGUCCACCGGAGCGUACACGACGUAGGAUCCCGACGCGUCGGUGCAGCUCUCCUGCAGGAUCAGCAUGUUGCUCUGGUUCGAGUUUGCACUCUGCAUAGCACCAUGAGACAAAAAGGAUGAUCCAGUUAAUAGUGAAAAAUUCAUGAGCAUGAAUAGUAGUUAACAACGCGUUAUCAGAAUUCAGAAAAGCAAGCACUAGGAUUAAGUGUUAUGAACACUUACAUUGACACGAAGAAGGGAGACGCAGUUGCCAUGGUCCCGGCCGUUAGCAAUGUGAGCCAUUUCUUGGACGGCACCGCCGUUGGAGAGGAUGUCCCACUGCAGAUUCAAAUUUUGACAGGAAAAGAGUAUUUUAGCACUGCAGUUUCAUGUGUGCCGUAGAGUAAAUCAGAGAUAAAGCCAUCAGCAAUGUGUUGUGCAUAUACCUCGCUGCGAGAAGUUUCAUCACGGAGGAAGUCGAAGACCCUCUUGGGCGGGACGGGGAGCCAGAAGGAGGUGGCGGCGUUGAGCACAAUGCCCGGCGGCCUGCCGGGGUCGUCCACGCUCUUCCUGGUCAUGACACGCACGUCUUCAGCACCGCUGCCUGAGAGCGUCGUCCACUGGUGUGCAGCAGACGCCGUCACGCCACCGCAGAAGCUCGCCACCAUCCGCUCCGCCAGCUUUAGCAUGCUCUUCCUCCCCUCUAUGCUUGUGAUCACUGCAGUUUCAUGGGUGCACGCAGAUGUACAAGUACUAAGUUUAUGCUAUCUGUGUUCACCUCAGUGAAUGACUUGCACUGGGUAGAGUUGGGGAUGUGUACUUACCACCAAGGUCACCGUUGGGGAUGUUGCUGGCCAUGGCACUGGCGAGACGCUCACAUUGUCGGUCAAGGGUGCCGACCCACCGUUUCGCACCGAAUGCAAGCCCUGAAUUCACCAAAGGCCUGUAGAGAAUGUGCACUGACCUGUCAUCCACCUCAACAUGCUCCACCCAGGUCACCUGCAUAUGCACAAGAACCCAUACUGAUAUUAACAAGAGUUUUCUGACAGGAAACACAAUUGCUGGUAGACAUUUGUUGAGUAUGCACGCAUUAAAAGAAAUGCUAGUACUGCUAUUACAUGCAGUUGAUUGAGCAAAAAAAAUGGUCAAGGAGUUAGUUAACCUUUGAGUAGCCAUUAGGCAUUUCUUGGAUCAGGCAGCCAGACGGCCUGCGCCGGCACUUCAAGACAGGGCUAGGGCGGAGGCUGUCAAGCGAGACAUCCACGACAGCCCACGUCCCAUCGGCAUUGUUCUUGCAGUACCUCGCGAAGUAGCUCUCCCGUGUUGGCACCAGUGGUGACGGCACCUGAAACUCCAUUGACAUCUACAAGUUGGCAAUCAACAUUGUCAGUUAAUCACAGAGUCUAGUACACACUUUGAUCAGAUAAUGCACAGUGAAACAGAAAUAUAGUGGAAGAUACACACCACUUGCAAUGCACCAUUAUAGCUCCCUGCCACGCCAGUCGACAGCACCUCGUGCGUCGAAGCCCUCGACACAAUGCUCGAGAACACUGCAGCGAAUCGGUUCUGCACGCAGAAGAUUGAACCACACAGAUCAGCAAGCAGAGAUCAAUCAAACCAAUAUUCAGCCAAUUAAAACCAACGAUCAGUUUGUGCCUAGGUACUGACCGCGUCCAUGAGUAUCUCGACGAGGCUGUCACGAGUCAUGAUCACGACGGCGCCGUCCCGCGAUGCCUCCGGCCGUAGACCGUACUGCCUCAGCCCGAGCCCGCCUGGGAACAUCCGGCCAUACUCCUCCUCGUCGAGCUGUGCCCCUGCCGCGCUCGCGCCCCACAGUGGCGCGUCCAGCCGUGCCAUCCGUAGGAGCUCAUCCAUUGCGGCGACGGCCAGCUCCACAAUCAUGGGCUUGUCGGCAUCCAGCUGGCCGGUCGACACGCUCCUCAGCAGCUCUCCCGUGCUGGCUCCAACGCCGAACAGGUGGUCGGCGCCGAGGCCAGACGGCUGAACGCCGAACGCGCCAACAACGUCCAGCGGGGAGCGGGCCGCGGCGGCAGCGAGCGGGCUGGAGAGCACGGGGAAGGAGACCAUGGGCUUGCCGACGUGCUUGGCAGCGAUUCCCGAGAUCCGGUCGAUCUCGUCGCGGAGGCGGGCGUUCUCGAGCCGGAGAUGGUGCUCGUCGAAGGACAUCUCGCCGAGGGCAGCAGGACCGCCACAGCUGGGGCACGAGGCCGUGCUGAGCGCCUCCUUGUACCUCAAGUUCUCAGCGCGUAGCUUGUCGUUAUCUGCGCGCAGCUGCGCAUUCUCCUGCCGCUCGUGCUGGUUCUGCACACACCCAAAAUCACAUUGACACGAUCAAUUACAUGUAUACUUGCACAGCACAUACGUUCAUUCCAUUUUCAUUUUCAUGCAUGCCAUGGUAUCAUAUGAUGCAGUUCAGAAUAUGCUAGUAGCUCUGUUCACUUGUGAUAUGCGUGUUGUCAGGUCAUGAUCCACAAAUAUCCACAAAUUUGCACAUAUGGAUUGAACUUUGACCAAAUGAAAUUCAUUUUUUCUAAUCCCAUAUAAUGUCAUGGAAUCCACUUAAUUUCAAUCAAGUCAAAAUGAAAAAGGGAGACAAUUCUACAUUGCAAGAAUCCAUGGAAGGGGAGAAAUAAAAAUAAUACGAGAAUAAAAGAACAAUGUAUCUAGUGUUGUAGUAGAGCUUGCCUUCAUCUGUGUGCGCUUGUUCUGGAACCAAAACUUGACCUGCAGUGGCUCGAGGCCAAGCUCCCGGCUCAGCUCCUUCCGCUGCUUGUCAUCUGGGUGCGGGCACUCCUUAAAGAACCUAAUCAAUCACAAUUCAAAACGCCCCAAACAAUCAGAUAUGAAACAUUAUCUAGAAAAAUAAGCCUUUCAAAUGGUGCUCAAAGGAAGAAGAGUUGAGUCACGGUUAUUACGCUUCCAUUUCUUGGAUCUGGUGUUGGGUGUGGCGGUGAUACCGCUUCUUCUUGUUCGGCCGCUGGUUGGGGUCUUCCUGGCCGUCAUCGCCAGAGGUGCCAUCGGGGUUCUCGCUGCACGACUUGCUCUCAAACUCAUCUGCCAGUGUGUCGGAGCGGCCAUGGAUGAUGUUGUCGCCGCUGUCCACUGCACCAGCUGGGAUCUGAUCAAAGAGUUGCUGCUGGAACGCUUGCUGCAGGUGAUGGCUGUCUAGCAGGUCAGUCUGCAACCAAAAUUAUAAGAUAGAGUUAUUAGAGAGUUUAAGAUUAUAUGAAUAAUUUGAAAAUUAUAUAAAUAAACUGAGGAGGGAGAACAUAAAUGAGGAGAUGAUACUGGGGAUUACAUAAAGUAAAUGAAAUAUUAAAUACGAACAGGACAUUAAAUAAAAAAAUCAUUUGGAGCAGUACAACUUUGAAUCAGAAUAAAGAUGAAUGCACAAACUAUUUGCUAACAUGUUGAAUUCUUUUGUUAUGCUGUGGGCGUGUGAAAGACAAGCUGCCUCCAUUCAAAAUGAAAAGAUAGCUAGGAAUUUUUCUUCUUUUAAAUGGAUGCAAAUAAAUUAAAAAGGAUGAAAAAUAAGCACAAAAUUCUCUAUUACAUAGCGCGUAAGAUGAUCAUUUCAUUUCUCCUUAUUUUUCAGAAACAAAAUACGUGUGCAGGAUCAAGAAAAAGAUAAACAGCUGCACCUAUAAGUAUGCUAAUGGCUAUACACCCCAUGAGAUCAACUAGGAGCUGCAUCUAGUCUUCUUCCUCCUACCAGUACCACCCAGCUUACAUUAAAUAGCAGAUUAACUGGUCAGUAUCCUUGAAUGUGCCGCCCAUCAAUACAUCGAUACAUGUACAGCCUACCGUUUCACAUCGAAAUUAAUCGAGGAAAAGAUAUGCACAAGCAUGAACAUUAAAGAACAAGACACCAAAAUACUUGUAGCAAGGACAAAAAAAAGAAAGAAGAAGAAACAGUCGAACACAAGAAGAAGAUCUUCCCUCGCUUUGUUUUAAGAGAGGCACUGGCAAAGCUAGGAGAAGCAAAACAGAAAACACUUGCUGCUCAGACACUGAUCCCUGCACACUCCAAAAGAUCUCUCACUGGAAUCACCUGGUUCAGAGACAGCGCCGACGAGGACCCAUACGCCACUCCAUUCCGGCCGAUCAUCGCCGGCAUGCGCCUCGCCGGCGUCAUGAACGAUGGCAGCCCGCUCCUAGUACCUCCUCCCAAGCCCUAGCUCGUGCCCUCUACCAGCUCUCAUUCUGCAUAAAAAAGAAGGAAAAAAAGAUGCAUGUUACAUAUAUAUACAUAUAUAUAUCUCUGCUGUCCGCCCAAGUCAACCAGGAUAGAACGACAGAAGUAAGCGGUAGCCCAAAAAUGUCCACGGAUUACUGGCUUACACGCCACGUAACAGCAGAUCUAGGGCACGCGCACGCAAGAGCUCCCGAGCCAAGAACUCGGCGAGGAGGAAGCCCGGAUAGGCCGCGAGAGAUCUGAGACAGGCGAUCUGUACCUCCGAUCCCUGCUUCUUGCGAUGCCAUGUGAAGAAGAAUCGUCUGGCGGCGAUAUCGCAUGCGAGAAGAUGCGGAAACGAGCGCUCUCCGUGGACGCAGCUGGCUAGCAGGAGCUUGACGAAAGCGCGUGGAGAGAUCUCGCCGCCAUGGGAGGGGGAGGGAGGAAGGGGAACGGCCGAUGGGAGAAUGUGGAGAUGGGGAGGAGGGGAGGAAGGAGUUAUUGCGAGCUGGGCAGUGGAGAGCGGAUGGGUGCAAACGCAUUUAUUGGGAGAGGGUGCAGCGUUAUUGCUGAGGCAGCGCGAGGAGAGAGAGAGAGAGAGUCCAUGGAGGAGAGAGAGAGAGAGGUAACAUUUUCCAUGGAGGAGAGAGAGACGACAGAGAUGGAGAGCGAGCGAGCGAGCGAGCGAGAGAGAGAGAGAGGGGUGGCACUGGUAACGUACACGGUGACAGCUUACUACGACUUCAUGAGUGACCUGUUUUUUCCUCUGGAACUUUGGCUACUGCCAGAUUUACAGUGCUGCAGCCUAGCUGUGCUUUAAAAAAUUGGAGGCAGGCAUUGAAAGUUUUGAAACCUGACGCCGGUCAUGUUGUUCAUGUGAGUGCAGAGGCAUGGCGCCUCAGGAGGCAAAUUGUGAGAAUUAUUCUUCGAAUUUCAACCGUGUUUUUUCUUUUAGUUCAAUAUGUCAGGGAGAAAAGAAAUUUGAUCUUUGAAGUGCUAAUAUGCCAUGCCUACUAGAAACUAGCUUGGUUUUUAUAGUUUAUCAAUAUUUUCUUAGAAUACACAUAACUUAUUUUUAAAAACUAUUCACCUGGAGCUUUACUUCCAAUGCAACACAUACGUCUUGUCACCUAGAGACGUUUAGCUGCAAAGUCUUCACCACUCACCGUACCUGCGGUUGACAAUGGACAAGAUCAUGAGGUGGACAACACUGUCCUCUGCUCACAACCACAACGCAUACAUCUUCCGCAUUCAACUAUUUCCUAAAAGCAUUGAUUUUAACUCAAAUAAAAUAUAACAGUAUAAUUUAUAGUCUAACGAAAAUGGUUGAAAACUUUCAUAUCAAAGUAGUGAAAUUUUCAGUGUGGGUUUGAGGCUCCAGUUAAUAAUUCCUCAACUCAAAUAAUGAAAUAAUUUCCAAAUCAAAAGGCUAGCUUUACAUCUUGGUAUGCAUCCUCGGACCUAUAUGCCAAUUUUGGCUAAGUCGGGCGCAAUUAGGGUUAGGUGGAAAUAGAGGAGGAAGCCACUCUAGAUAAAAUUGUAAGAAGAAAUAUAUAACCAAUGAAACAGCCAAAAAUGGUUAGGACAUAGGGAAUCUUUCUACGUGUGUAACUGCAUGAAUAGAGAAAAAGUGCAAGGUGGAAACUGAUAUAUACGCUCUCUAAGUGGCAAAAAAGCCAAUUAAUGGGUGGGUCAUGACCGACCUCCCAUCGGAGGUACAUAUGUGCAUCACGCUUGUGAGAAGCAAUUAAAUUAGCAAAAAGUGCUAAUUCAAUUUAAACUCAUCCAUAUUUUUAUGGCAUAAGCUAAUAUAAUUAACCUUCAUUCAUUAAACAUCCACCUAUAUAUUUCAUCUUGAUGUGAUUUGGCAACUCAGAUGUCGCAUGACCAUCAGUUUGGUGGUUGACAAUAUUUAUGAAGCAAAGGGACUUAAAGGACUAAAGUCCAAAAUUUUGUAGCUUCAUUUCCCCCCUACGUGGAGUUAAUUUUUGAUGUUUGCGUCCUGGGAUUCAUUUAAAUUGAGUGUACCUUGAUCCGUACUGAAGACCUGUAAAUUCAAUAUACGUGAGACAAGCGUUGAAUGCUCUAAUAUAUGCAAGUUUAUUCACUGAGAGUGCUGUGGAACUUACAGUAGUUUUUUCUUUAUUUACUUACUACUGAAAAGUAAUUUUACAUAUCCCAUCGAAAUAACUAGAAUACUACUGUUCAUUUUAUUCUACACUUAUUUAGACUCAAUCAAGAAUACAUCCCUGCAGAAACAGAAAAUCCUUCCGACAACAAAUUGGUUCAUCAGAGACAUGGCAUUUUCACUUAUCAGAUAACAACUAAAAAUUACCAAGUUUUUUCUUUCUGAAAAUUAUGGGGGCACCAAUGCUCAUUUCGCCUGAAAAUGCAGUUUCUUACAUCGAAACAAUCAAGAUGCAUGAUGACCUAUAUAGACUUCAUGUCAACCGAAUGCUUAUGUAUAACAUGAGCUAGCUAGUAAAUCGUUACUCUCUCUGUUCCAAAUUAUAGGUCGUUUUAAUUUUUUUAAUUCAUAAAUAUUAUUAUGCAUCUAGACAUACACUAUAUAUAGAUACAUAGCAAAAACUAUUCACAUAGAAAAACCAAAAUAUGGAACGGAGGGACGACAUCACUAGCCUAAGUUCAGAGAUUCCACUCAAUAGUCCUGUCACCACUUUUAAUUUCCUCCACUGAAGGAGUAUAUAGUACCGGUACACUUACGUAAGCUGGUAAGCAUAAACUUGGAUUAAUGUAACCUGCAGGUCGAUGGGACAUGCAGUAACUAACAACCAAGUGCUCUUCUGUUGACUCAUCAUCCAGAAUUCAAAUUACAUUGAAUACAGUCAUUACUUCAUGUCAACUUCUGAUAGUACUAUAUAUACACUCAAUAGUAGUCUUGUUGUUUUCCUUUUUGUUGACUUGAUCAAGAGGAUGACCUUAUACAGGCUUUUAUGAACUUUGAGGUGGUCUGAUGCUACUAGACUAUAGUAAGACUUAUUCUUGGACUCAAAUUUAUUAGUUGCAUAGAAUAAGUCAACUCCACGGUUGAAUGAUCUUUAGGUAGUAGUAGUACGGUUUACUUGGACUAAUCAUAUAAUCAAUGCAUUCGAGAAGUGACAUACGGUUAAUUGUUAGCGUGGGAUUUUAUUUCUGUCUUCCGAUGUUUAAUUGGUUAAUUAAACCUAUUGUUGUUUUCUAAUCUUAAUUCAUAAAAUAAAAAACACGGUACAAUUGCUAGCAUUAAGACAAGUAAUUUUGUCCAUAAGAGAAAAGCAAGGGAAUCAAAACUAUAUCCUCACAUAGUAUUGGAUUGGAAAAGAAAACUUACACGGCAGUUUGGCAGGUAUUUAGUUUCUCAAAGAAACAUUUCAGGAGAGAAUCUGUUUUUGAUUCGCCUGAGAAAUAAUUCUUUUUCGUUUUUAUAGAAUUUGAGAAGCAUUUCUGGUUUUAUCUUUGAAUCCCUGGAUCACUCAGUAGGGAUUCUGUGUUUCUCGUUUGGUAUGGAUUCUCAAGUUUCUGGAGAGAAACGGCUUGGAUCGAGAAUCUCUACCAAACAGGGCCUAAGCCUCCAGGUAGCCAUUCAACAUUACAGAUGGGAGUGAAAUCGCAUGCAUACAUAUAUAUAUAUAUAUAUAUAUAUAUAUAUAUAUAUAUAUAUAUAUAUAUAUAUAUAUGCAGGUCUUAUUAAGUAUAUUCUAUAAUUAAUUAAGAGUUCUUUUACAUCACUACGCGAGAUUUGAUUUGUGCUGGCACAUGCAAUUUGGCAUGCUGGCGGGCGUGAUUGGCACCCACCAGCACAAAGCUUCUUUGGGCCGGUGGGGAAGCACCCGCUAGAAGCCACUGUGUUGGCGGUUGGCUUAUGUCGCCCGCCAGCACAAAGGACACCGUGCUACCGGGCGACCUAAGCACCUGCCAGCACAGAUGCACCCAAUCUGUGCUGGCGGGUGGCUUAUGUCGCCCGCCAGCACAAAGGACACCGUGCUGCCGGGCGACCUAAGCACUUGCCAGCACAGAUGCACCCAAUCUGUGCUGGCAAUUGGCUUAUGUUGCCCGCCAGCAUAGAGCUUUCUAGCACAGAGCUCGUCCAUUUAUGACCGCAGGCAUCUUCUUCCCCAUGCAACCUUCCAUUUGGAGCUUGCCCGAGGGGAGCUCGGGAAAAGCUCCAAAAACACCAAAUCUAAGGGGGAAGGUUUUGCUCUUGAUUUAUUUGGAGAAGGUGACUAUAUAAGGUGAGUUUGUGCCAUUCCAACCUUCUUUUUCAACUUCUAUCGAUCAUUUCUAGCUUUAUUAGGUUGUCAUCUAGAUUUAGAUCUAAACCUAGGAGAGAGAGGAGGGAUGAGAGAGAAAAUAACUAUAAAUGGAUUAUUUUUUUAAAUAAAAUUCUAUGGUCAUAUUAUAACCAUUACAAUGCUAUGUUUGUCAUUUUAAUGUAAUAUAGAAUUGAGUUUGAUUAUAUUUUUCCUACUUAUUAAUUAUUACCUCCAUAGUUUUAAUUAAUGAAGUUGGUUAUCUUAAUAUGUAAUUGAGUUUGAUUUUUUUCCUUCUUCUUAUUAAUUAUUACAUCCACGGUUCAAUUGAGUCUCAUUUAGGGUAAUAUAGAAUUGGUUUUUAUUAUACUUUUCCUACUUAUUAAUUAUUACAUCCAUAGUUUUAAUUAAUGAAGUUGAUUGAAUUAAUCAAGACAACGCAAAUAUGUUGUCCGUGUUUUGACUGUAGUAACAAUAUUGUAUGGGAGGAUACUGAUGUCAUCAAGAGGUAUUUGAUAAAGCGAGAUUUUAUGGAUGGAUACACAAUUUGGUCCCACCAUGAUGAGGUAGGAGGUACCUUCAAUAACACAGGCAUCGAUACUGGCUGUGAUGAAGUGGGUGGUGAUGAUGCAAACGAAAAUGAUCAUGUUAUGAUGGAUGAUGAUUACGAUCAUGGAGAUCAAAAUGGUGAUCAAACAGAUGCGCGUGUGGAACCACAGGUGGACAAGGAACAUGAUGUUGAUAUGGAGGACAUGUUGCGCCACAUUGAACCGGAAGUGUUGCUAGGGAGUGCUAAAGGGUUAGAGAAUUUCGAGACACUCAAGAAGGCAGCAAAGGACCGUAUGUAUGUGGGAUGUGGGAAGGAGUGGACAUUGCUAUGUUUCGUCCUUCAUCUUCUGAUCCUAAAGACUAAAUUCGGAUGGUCAAAUAAUAGUUUUAAUGAUCUCUUACUCUGCUGGGCAAUUUUCUCCUGAAGCCUAACUUUGUGCCAAAAAAUACAUAUGAAGAAAAGAAGAUUAUCAAUCCAAUGAAGAUGCAUGUGCAAAGAACACACGCAUGCAGGAAUCACUGCAUAUUGUACCACAGUGAGUACGCUGUUGGGAUACGAGGUAGGCUACACUAGCGUAAAUCAAAAUUUCUACCGCGUAAAACCAGGAAGAACUGCCGUAUAAGGAUCACGGGAUUACCACUCGACGCACUACUGGUGCGGAAGAUGUAGAUUUGCGUCGAUGCAGCGAAGACGAUCAACGUAGUCGUACGUAGUCGAUCACGUCAACGUCCAGCAGCUCCUCAGCAGCUCGUCCACGUGCAGCAAGAUCGCCCUCGUGCCGCGGCUCGUCGUCGGCUCGUCAUGGCUCGUCGGCAGCUCGUCGUGGCUUGUCGGUGGCUCGUCCAAGUUCUGCAAGCGCAACACCUCCAAGGUAUCCACACGUGCAGGGAGGAAGCGUCGCAAGCCAGACUGCUAGAUCCGCGAGUUGCAACAGGCGAGGGCGUGGGAGGCGCGGCAGAUGUGUUUCGCAAAAAGGUGUAAACCCUAGGGCGCCCCCACCCCUCUAUUUAUAGAGGUUCCUAACGGGCCUCUAGGUCCGAGGCCCAUUAGUACUUCUAAACCUAAUCCAACUCAGAUCACAUCCGAAUUGGGCUUCCAGCCCCUUAAGUGUGUGAUCCUAUGGGUUUGGAUACGUAUAGACAUGGCCCGAGUACUCCUACUCGGCCCAAUAGUCGGUAGCGGCCUCUAGCAAGACGUGCCAACUCCUAUACGCACACGAAGAUCAUAUCAGACGAACCAUCACAACAUAAUAUACAUGAUAUUCCCUUUGCCUCACGAUAUUUGGUCUAGCUUCAAGCCGACCGCUCUUUCUCGAUCCUGUGAUUCGGAAUCCCUUUGUAGGUUAACUCUUAACCGUACGUAGCAUGGCCAUGCAUUUUCGGAUCCGAUCACUCGAGGGGCCCAGAGAUAUCACUCUCAAUCAGAGAGGGGCAAAUCCCAUCUUGAUUGACCAUGUCUCAUAGCAUGCUUCUUGACAAACCCGAAAGCUACCUUUAUAACUACCCUGUUACGGCGUAGCGUUUGAUAGCCCCUAAGUAGGUCGAUCCACAUCUUGAAUACAUGCGACAAUCUCAGGUCUAAGGACAAAGCGUAUAUGUUGUUUAAAGAGAGAACUACUUCUCGUGUUGGGUCAGUCCUAGCACAUGUCUCCACAUGUGUCCACAUUAUUAGUUCAACAUCUCCAUGUCCAUGACUUGUGAAACAUAGUCAUCAACUAAUCAACUAAUACAUGUGCUAGUCUAAUAUUCAUGUGUCCUCACAUGAACUCCGACUAGGGACAACUUUAGAAUAACCAUACAAGUAAAGAGUUUCACAUACAAUGCACAUAAUUGCAAAUCAAUUCAAGUAGCCUUUAAUGGAUAUUCAAUGAACACAAUAUACAAAUCAUGGAUACAAAUGGAAUAUCAUCAUCUCUAUGAUUGCCUCUAGGGCAUACCUCCGACAUACGCAGCAUUGGAGAAGUGUCCAAAUUGCGAUGCUAGUCGUUAAUGCUAAUUUCUAUGAGGACCAUGUCGGUUCCUCCAUUAGGAAUAAGAGGAAGAAGGUUGCAAACAAAAGUGUUGGUGCUCAAGUGGAGGACGAGUCCUGUACAGGUACUGACACAAUGACUCAGUGCAGAGUCUCUGCCUUGGUGAUGUGGUACUUGCCGGUGGUGGACCGUCUGAAGCAUUUGUUCUCAAACCCAAAGACAAUUGAAAUGAUGACUUGGCAUGCUGAUCGCCCAGUAAAGGAUGAUGGAAAGUUUCGACAUCCUUCCGAUGCGAGCUAGUGGAGGACAUUUGAUGCCAAUCAUCUAGAGUUUUCAGAUGAAAAAAAUGAAUGUACGGUUCGCAUUGAGUACAGACCAUGAAUCCGUUUGGCACAUGGCCAGUGCUGAUGACCACAACCUUCCCCCAUGGCUAUGUCACAAUAGAAAGUUCAUUUUACUAAUCAUUCUCAUACAAGGCCCGAAGCAACCUGGCAUCGAUAUAGAUGUUUUUCUUGAGCCAUUGAUGGAAGAUAUGCAGAAGUUUUGGGAAGAUGGGGUUCGGAUGGGGGAUGAGUACAGACAUGUGCACUUCACACUAAGGGCCAUUAUCUUUGUUACCAUCAAUAAUUAUUUCGCCCUAGUUGCCCUGAUAGGUCUGGUAAAAGGUAAGACAUCAUGCGUAGUUUGCCUGGAUGGAGCAUCAUAUGUGUACCUUAAGGGAUCUACGAAGAUAGUGUUCAUGCGGCAUAGGCGCUUCUUAUUGAAGAUGCACAUACCGCAGGAUGAAGGACUUUUUUAUGGCACCAAUGAGAAUGAUUUUGCUCAAAACCAGCUACGGGUAAAAUAGUAUUUGAAAUGUGCGAUAAGGUCAAGUUCAAACUUGGUAAAAUUCAUUAGGUGGUGCUGAUAAUUCGAAAAGGGGAAGGAAGCAGAGUGAAACUACAAAUGUCGUGGAUAUGCCGUUUAAGGAGAUGUCUAUCUUCUUUAAGUAUUUGCCAUACUGGCGAGAGCUGGCGGUGCGCCAUGCCAUUGAUGGGAUGCAUCUUCAGAAGAAUGUGUUUGAUAGCACCAUCGGAUUCUUGGGCUUAUCAGGCAAGGCAAAGGACGGACUAAAAUCAUGUAAGGAUCUGGUUGACCUUCAAAUCAGGCCAGAGCUCCACCCGCAAGAACUUCUUAAUGGUAAGUAUUACCUUCCCUCGACUAGCUACAACUUAAUACCAGAUGAGAGAUUGGCUAUCUGUGCUGGCAGGUGAUGUAACCACCUGCCAGCAUAGAAAGCAUCUGUGCUAGCGGGUGGCUAACGUCGCCUACCAGUGCUGGUAGCCGAGCACCCACCAGCACAGGCGGCAUUUGUGCUGGCUCAAGGUUGCUAGCGGGUGCUCGGCCUGCCAGCCUAGACCCCUUCUAGCCGCCAGCAAAAACCUUUUGUGGCCAGUGCAUCUUCAUGUCAAUAAGAGUUCGGAUGUUUUUGUCGCAAUAAACCCAUAACCGCCUUACAAUUAAUCCACCCAACAUUAAUAUAAAAACGUGCAAGGGAGUUAAGUGUAUAUAUCCCAUGCAUGGCACGAAUCUCUACACUUAACAUAUACACGUCCUCUCAGUGGAUUACAUCUUAAACCAGAUACUAGAGUUUCUAUUAUUUAACCUAUCUAUAAAAAAAAUGACCGAGAGGACAUAAUCUAUACACUUAACAUACAUGUCUUCUCAGUGGAUCACAUCUCGAACCAGAUACUAGAGAUUCUACUGUUUAACCUAGGUAUAGAAAAAAAAAAUGAGUUCCACCGUUAGAUUUCAAGUAAAGAAAUUCAAAAAUAUAAAACAAAACUACUAUGGAAAAUGUAUGACACGUUAUUCUCUUUAGACAACAUUAUAUGAUUAUACAGUACAAGGCUAAAAGAGAAUUAUGAGCAACAAAGGUGAAAUUAAGUAAAUAUAUGAGAAUUACCAAAAUGUAGCAAUGCAAGAUAUUGUCACCAUAUAUGUAGGCGAUGCACGAUAACACAUUAGCACGCACAAUGACAGCCUGGAGAAAAUUGGAGAGGGGUCCACUAUAAAGGAAAUAUCCUUAGCAAACUUAGGCAUUUUUAGAUUAUUUCUCUUGUCCUGGAGAUUAGGGGGUUGGGGUGGGCUUGGCCCCUUAGUACGUAGUCAUAUACUCAUAUAUCAAAGGUUCUGGAGAUUAAGGAAAUAUCUAAUUUGUUUGAUUGACCAAUCAAGAAUAUGAAACUAAUAAAAGCCUCAUAAAUACUCUUGAGGUUUAGUGGAAGAAUAAAAAUAUAAUUAAGGAUAUUCUAACAAGAUGUAGCCUUCAAAAGGCACUUAUUACUUGGUAUGUUCAUCCUUAGUAGGUUCCACAACUAAAACACGGUCAAUAGAAGCAUACAAUUUAGCUUUAUCUAGUGGUAGAUUGGCAAGAAUCCUUAAGAUUGAGUUUUAAAAAAACUCCUGCUAUAUCUAGAUUGGAGUCCUGAACGAUUAAUGAUUAUUAUAUUAGCUACAAAAAUGAUACAUGGCCUCUAAUUCAUCACAUUUGCAGAACAUGCAUGACAUCUUGUUGUCCAUACAGUGAAUAUAUGGAUGCAACCAUGCCAAGUAUUAGCUUCUCUGACUCCAAAUUAUUGGUAUACGUCCUUUUCCCUUGUUGAUGUGUGGGCCAAAAACAUGUUGUUGUGCCCCCCUGUCAUGGUCACAAUGAGCCCCACAAAUAGGAGUUAUCAAAUCAAAUGCCACUUGUGUAUAGCCCAUUGUAUUAUUUCUCUAAAUAAACUACAGCUUUUAUUAAUAAACAUUGAUAUGAAAAUAUUCAUAACAAAUAUCAAAUGUGGUUCAAUUACCUAGGUUUAACUUGUUCUUUAUUUUAUUUAAUAUUAGGAAAUUAAUACUAAGGAUAUUUACAACAAAACAAAACAACACAUUUUGGGUUGGAAUAAUUCUGAAAUCCAGUUAAUACUGUCGGUCAGCAUCAUGAAUAUAUAAUAUUUUUUAUUACAAAACCACACAUGUUGGUGGCCUACACACCAUUCAAAAUCAAACAAGUCUGGAUCAUCACUAAUGCUACAUUGACAUUGAUUUUGAUAUGUGGGUUUCCAUGUCCUUGUAUUAGGCUAGUCUCAAUGGAGGGUUUCAUGAGAGUUUCAUGGCAUUAAUUAAAUUCAAUGACACAUCAGUAAAAUUGUUGACUUGGCAAGGUAAUUAAGAGGGGGAGUUUCAUCAGAUGAGAAAGGAGUUUCAUCCCCAUGAUACUCAGCUGACACAAUUACCUAAUUCUCAGCCUUGCUAACUGUGCAAUGAAUCUGUGCAUUGAGACUAGUCUUAAUGUGCUGGUUGAUGCGGAAAUACCAACUUCAAUUCCCUGUGAUGCUUGCAAGGCUCCUCUACAGCAGUAUGCUAGUACAAAGUUCUUGCAAUAAUUGCUUGUAUCCCCUAGAGAAAACUUGAUAGGAAGCAUUACGUUGUGCAUGGUUAAUGAUGUCUCACCAUAAGGGAUCAAACACUCAAUUGUCCCUCUUCAACAUAAGUAGUACUUGUGUUCAUUGAUGUGGAGUGCGUUUAUUUCCAAGAUUUUGUGUGUGCGUGUUCCUUUGGACUUGUAAUAAUCUAUUACGUAUUUUGCAAUAUAAUGGUGGUAUAUUAAUCAUUAGAGAGUAUGCAGACAAGUACUCAUUUUUAUUGGAAAAGAGAGCUCAUGAUCCCUGCAGGCAAACUAUAUUAAAAUAUUGAGAUUUUAAAUAUUAAACAGCAUUUGGAAUUUGUUAUGAAAUUGCUUCCAUAUUAUUAAUAGUUACUACAAUUAUGUUGCAGUAGAAGCUGAGGGUCUAAUUAAUUUGCCUUUUGUAUAAUCCGUCAAUGCCCAAGAUGACACACAUUCUUGUACGAUUAGAGCGAGCUGUUUUUUUAGAUUAAGGAAUAGAAUCCGGCCUCAACCAUUCACAAGUGAAUGUAGACCAACGGAAUUAUAUCACCCAAAUGACGCAGUUUAGCAGCACUAAGGCUGACAAAGGAGCACAAAACUCCACAAAAGUUGGAAAACAGAAAACUUAAAACGAGACUAAAAGGACGAUGCUUGAAGCCUGCUUCCGAGAUUCCAUCCAAACUUACUAAAAAUCUCCACGACCGUGACCUCUAGCAAACUACAGCUCUUUUUCAAGCUAAUUUUCUAUUCGUCUUUAGAUAGCAGUGACCAACACCUUGUUCAGUAAGUUUCUCUAAAAAUUAUCUAAAAAAAGAGUUAGGAACCUACUCAACUACAAGGCCCAGCAAAGGACAGCGACUCCCACUAGAAUUUGAUUAUGGUCUUUACUGAAAAAUUACUCAGUCAAGAACCCAACAUAUGUGAGACACUAGUCGGAGGUUGAAUACCAAAAGAAAUGAACAUAGCAUUCCAGAUAAACCUUGCCAUAUGACACUCAAAAAACAAAUGUUGUAUGGUCUCCAUAGAGUUAAGGAAACAACACUUUGUGCAUCCUUGCCAAUUUCGUUUAGCAAGAUUAUCUUUUGUAAGUAUGACCCCUUUCCAUAAAUAUCAUAAAAAAAUUUUGAUCUUAAGGGGGAUCCUUAACUUCCAGGAAGCAUAUCUUGUAGGUGUUCCUUCCUGUCUUACGAGGCCUGAAUACAUAGAGUUUGCUGUGAACAACUUAAUUGGAGCGAGCUGUAGGUAGGAAGAAUAAUCUAUACAACUUGAACAAUAACUCUAAUUAGAUUGACAAAAGUUUUGUCAAGUAGAAAAACGAAAGGGGUUCCUUUCUAAGCCAUCAUUACAAAGUUAAAUCAUGAUAAACCAUAAAUGCCUACAAACAUUAUGGCCCUAAAUAAACUCUAGACAUAUCACUGUCAUACUAUGUUCCACUAGCUCAUUAUAAUUAAGUUGCUCCCUAACCUCAAGAUCGAUCUAAUUCAACUCCCCUCGAAACCACCGUUAAAUUUGUUGGCUUAUAGCGGCAUUAAAAAUAAAGAUUGUCCCUUUACCACUUCAAUACUCCAUGCACCCUCACUUAUUGGCUGUCCACCAAGAUAUAAAUAUCACAGCAUUAACAUUGCAAAAUGUUCCUUUUGGUACAUACAUACAUGAUCCUCACUUAGUACCCAGCGAUAUAAAUUUGCAUUUAUACAAACAAGUGUACUGUAGGUGAUAAUGAAAGUUGCUGCUGUACUGACCUGUCUGUAACCUGAAGAAAUGACAACUGCUGCAUGAAAUUUGGGUAGUUUGGAUUAUUGGAUCUCCUGUUUGAGCAGUAUUUCUUUUGCUACCAUUGCUUCAUUCACAAGUCCAAGCGCCAAUGUAAGUACGGUUCUUAUCCAUCAAAUUAGUAAUUGUUGUAUAUGCAAAUUGAGGAUGCCUCCUAAGAUCUGAAAAAAAAUUCUGAAGGGGAAAAAGAUCUGACGAUGGGAGUACUCCGGUACUAAAAGUCCUCCGAGGAUCGAAAAUUUCUAUCCAGUACUAAUUUUGCGCGUUAGUACCGGACGGCUUAUUCGCGUGUUAGUACCAGACGGCUUACUAACAUUAAGGACGAAUGCUCAUAUUUCUAGUAGUGAGUGCAGAACGAUGCAUUCUUCAAUCUGAACUAAAUGGUUAGUUUUUCAUGCAUGCUCUGCAGCCUUGGUAUACAUGAUCAAAUGGUAGAAAAAAAGAACUAAUUAUGUGCCAUGUUAGGCAAAUCUGCUACCAAUAAUAAUGUGAUAGAGCUUUCAACACAGCUUGAUGAUGGGAGGAUUAGGUCGACUGCAGAAAGUCAUUUGGGAUAAAGAUGAUUAGGUCUGCAGUCAACUCUUGUCCUUGCCUCCUUGGUAUAUAGGGCAUCACACCAAUCUUGUUACAAUAGAGAAAAAUAAUUUCAUUUCCAAUGAAUAAAUAAAGAAUAAUACAGCUCUAAAAAUUGUGCAAGAGAGGGAGAAGGUGAGAACUAAAUAAAUAGACAUGCAAAAUGCGUACAGCAAUGAGCAGCGUGCAUUUAUUUUGGUAUCGAUGGUGCCUGUGUGGGGGCGUGGAUUUAUCCCUGAUCAUCAGCUGUUUCUACGACAUGGGUGCCCGCAUCGCAGAUACUACGCCUGUAGAAUACAGGAGGUGUAGCAGGUGCCAGCCUGCCAUGCAUACCCUACUACACUGCCAAGUAGCUUCUUCUAAUUACCUUGAUCAAUCGUUCACCUUGCGUGAGCAUGACUGCAUGAGAAACGACUUUUAUUUGACCAUAAACUUUGUGAGAAAAACGAUUUUUUGUUAGAAAUAAAGUUGAUUUUCCCAGCCGCGAAGAUGAUAAUAAUUGGCUCAUAUAUAGUAUAUAUAAUUGAAAAUAGGACGAGUAGUAGCAUGGGUGAUAGGCUGUAUCUGAUGCAUGCGUUGACAUUUUAUUUGCAAGGAGAGGAAAAUCUUUAACCAAAAGCUCAAAUCAAAGAUUGGAAGGCAAAGAAUUGAAUGUGAAUAGCUUACGAACAAUGUGGCACUGGGAUGCAUAGGAUCUGAGAUUUGGACCAUCAAGUACGGCAACUAGCUAGCUUGUACCAACACUGCAACAUCGAUGCAUCAUUUCCUCUAGCUGUGCAAUCGUGCAUGACGUAAUUGUGAUUCAAAAGUAAAGACUGCCACGAUGUAGGGUGUGCUUGUUCCCAGCAAAGCCACACCACACCACACCACAGGGCUGUGGCGUUAGAAAAGAGCCCUAUACCUGCCACGCUACAGUGUGAGGCUUUUGGUGGCGUGCAACCAGGCACGUCCAUAUGGUUUGGUGUUGAUUUUGAUGUCCAAUUAAUCUGACAAAUCUAUGCUUGAUAUAAAAGAUGUGGCAAGAGAUCUUCCUAAUGGCCAACCAUUUGGAGUGGGCCUGUUCGCUUCAGCUUAUAAGCCGACUGAAAAGCUAAAACGGCUGAUUUGUUGUGAGAGAAAAAUACUAUUUGGUGGCUGAUAAGCCAGCUGAAUAAGCUGAAGCGAACAGUGUCCCAAACUUAAGAAGUUAGUACAUCGCUGAUUGAUCUUAUAAAUGCACCUAUUUUUUUUAUUUUCCUUUGAACAAACAAAGACCAUCUUCUCUCUUACCUCUUUCUUCUCUGACACCCCACAAUAUGACGGUCGUUGUGCCACCCCUACCACCCGGCGGCCUUCACCGCCACCAGUGACUCUGCCGCAUCGCUCCCUCCAUCACUACUCCUCCUUCGCCCACGCUGACACUACCGGGGCAAUCAUGUUGAAAGGUCAUAGGAGUUGAAAAAUAAGAUUGUAAGGACAUGAGCGGCAACUUAUGCUCGUCGGAGUUUCUUGCCCAUGUUAGAGAAGAUAAUAAGCAGGUGAUCAAGGAGUUGCAGGGGAUACGGAGGAAUUGAAAAUAUGGUAUUUUAUGGAUAUUGGAUAGUCCAAGCUUGAGUGUGGGUAAAUGCUCAAGUGGCCACACACAACCUUUGUUUUUCUUUUGAGAGUUGAAGGUCAAACACCCACACACCAUACUGAAAUCCACGCACUAACCUAGGUACAUCCUAACACAUGUGUCUAGCAAGAUUUGAUGCCUAGCCUGAAGUAGCAAAUGCACGUGCUUUGACCCAUGUGUGCAUGCCGUUCUAUUUUUUUCUCAAAGUAAAUAUGAGAAAAUGCGAGCGUCCAGUAAUUGAGUUGAACAACGGUGGACAUGUUUCAUAACAAAAACCAUAACAAAACCGAAAGAGAGUGCCCUAUUUGGAUGCAUUGUAAGUUCUAGACUGUCGGUACAAAGGGUACAUCAGGCGUCUUUACUUUUUGAUGGAGUAUAUCUGAAUUCAUUAGCCAAGGAAUCAGGCCUUCUGGUGGGCUUCUGCCCCGGUAAGUUGGAUGCAGCCAGAAGCCAUAGAAGCCCAGAAAGAGAGAACAAGGGCCGAUAUGCAAAAGCAGGCUCAUCUGGGCUUUAUCUCAGCAGCCCCAUAGUUUUGGGCCUCGCCAGUUUGAGCCGCAUCCAAAAUCACGAGCCCAGAAAAAUAUGCUGGGCCUCUACAUACUUUUUUACUCUCACUCUUGGGCCACCGACCCAUCACGUGCUCGUCUUUCUCGUCGACGACGCGUCGAUAGAAAUACAAAAAAAGCCGGGUCUCCAAGGUCCAGACCGCAAAACGACCUCCUCCCUUCCCUCCCGAGAUAUUUGUGCCGCGCCGCAAAAGCGCAUACGGCAUAUCCCCCUUCUCGCUCCGCCGCCCCGUGCGCGUUCCCGCCCCCCCGCUGCCCCGUCAGCCAGCCUAGGUCACGCGCCGCGCGCCUCUCCUUCUCGCACCCGCGCCAGCGAAAGCUCCUAGGGUUAGGGUUCCCGGCGGCGGCGGAGAUGGGCGUGCCGGCGUUCUACCGGUGGCUGGCGGAGAAGUACCCGAUGGUGGUGGUGGAUGUGGUGGAGGAGGAGCCCGUCGAGAUCGAGGGCGUCCGCGUCCCCGUCGACACCUCCAAGCCCAACCCCAACGGCCUCGAGUUCGACAACCUCUACCUCGACAUGAACGGGAUCAUUCACCCCUGCUUCCACCCCGAGGACAGGGUACGUUACCACGCAGCGCCGCCCUCCCUUCCUUCCUCCCUCCCGCUCUGCCCUCCACCACCAGAUGUAUCCGGCUCAGGUUGGCCUGGGGUAUGUGAGGUGGAUUUGUGCUCGGCUUGUCGAUGUGUAAGAGCUGUGAGCUGCUGACAGAAAGAGGAGAGAUUUUAUUUGGGCGAAUUCGUGAGCUUGACCUUGUGCUGACAGAUAAAAGGGGCCGCUGAAUUGCCCCCGCGUUGUUUAAAUUUUUUGACCGAAGUCAGCAGGGGAAGCCUCUACCUAUUUUUUUUAUAAUUUUCUUUAUUCGAGACCCGAGCCUGCUGGGUGCUCAGGUGCUCUAACCACUAGGCUAGGCUAGAGGCCCUUUCACCCCGCGUUGUUUAAAUUAAUUCGGGGGAUUUAUUAUUCGAAUCCAUUCUUCUCUUGUCAUGCCGAAACUGCACUUCAAAUGGUGUGAUCUGCAGAUUUGCCACAUACCUACGAGGAGCUGAGGUUAUUUUCAUUAUUCAGCUUGUAGUGGAAUGCAUUGAGGGCUUAUGAAGAUGCUUAGGGGGGUGCCACAUCAUUAAGCAUCCAUCUAAAAGAUCAAGAUUCUAAUGCAAUAGUCUAUCUUGAUUGGGGUUAGAUAAUUUCAUAAUCGCAUAUAGCAAAAUAGCAACUAGGACCGAACAAUUCUAUGAUGAAGUUCCUCACCUGUCCUAUGUAGCCUGAAACAUCUAAUUUUAUUUAAGCACCUUCAUUUAACAUGCCCCUUGGAAGCUGUGUGAGCUAGCACACUGUAUGCUGUUGUACUGCCAGUAGUUUUUGAGGAAGCCUUUUCCUUUCUUCUGUUGGAACCUUUUAGUGUUCCCUUCAUCACUACUUAUUCUGUUACCUGUAUUGACUGCUGUCUGAUGUCAUAUUCCCUGCUACAGCCCUCCCCGACAACAUUUGCUGAGGUUUUCCAGUGCAUGUUUGAUUACAUCGAUAGACUCUUCGUCAUGGUUCGCCCUAGGAAACUUAUGUACAUGGCCAUUGGUACGUUUUUCCAUGAAUCUUUAUGCAGGUUACUCUGUUCCUACUUUUUUUUUUCUGUCAAUCUAUUCUAAUGCAAUUAGGAAUACACAGGAUAGUUACUCUUUUAAAUGUUAUUAGAAUUUGUGCCACUGCUGAAAUUGUUCUGAUGUGUAUGCUGAUUAUACAAUGGGUUUACAGAUGGUGUGGCUCCACGUGCUAAGAUGAAUCAGCAGCGUUCUAGGCGAUUCAGAGCUGCAAAAGAUGCAUCUGACGCGGUUAGUAUUCUAGUGGAAUUGUCUUCCUAUGUUCAGUGUAUGAUCAUAUGCUGUCAUUUCAAUUGUUGGUUUUGGACUGUAUCAACUGUUCAUAGUGGCACUCAUUUCUCAGCAUUGCUCUAUAUCCAGGCUGCAGAGGAGGAACGGCUACGCGAAGAGUUUGAGAGGGAAGGGAGAAGGCUUCCUGCGAAACAGCAAUCACAAACUUGUGAUUCCAAUGUUAUUACUCCAGGAACAGAGUUUAUGGCUGUUCUUUCAGUUGCUUUGCAGUACUACAUCCAUCUCAGGUUGAAUUACGAUCCUGGAUGGAAACAAAUUAAAGUAAGUGCUAUCUGUUGCUAGUUGAAGUCUGAUUUGCCAUGCCUUUUUUGUUAGCAUAUUCCAUCAUAUUUAUUCAAGUUGAAAAAGGAUAUGCACUGGAAAGAGAUUAAUUAUGAAUAAGUAGCACAUUCUGAUUUUUUACCAAAUCCUUUUGAAGGUUAUUCUAUCAGAUGCCAAUGUUCCUGGUGAAGGAGAACAUAAAAUAAUGUCAUAUAUUCGUGGUCAACGGAAUCUCCCUGGAUUUAACCCAAACACACGCCAUUGCUUGUAUGGCCUGGUAUGUUCUUUAAACUAAAUUCUAUAUUUUCCAUUUGAUUUCAUCUCUUCUGUUUUGCUGAUGCAUGGCCGCUUACAAAUGCAGGAUGCAGACCUCAUAAUGUUAGCUUUAGCAACCCAUGAAGUACACUUCUCUAUAUUGAGAGAGGUAAGUCUCCCUUCUCAAAUUUGAAAUUUACUCUUUUCUUCAUAAGCAGUGUUGAUGCCAUAAGCUAAGGAAAAACUUAUCGUCUGGUUUUCCUGUUGUCUUUGUCAUUAUUUCUUUUGUUUUACUCGAGAAAAUCAUAAGUUUUACCUUCUAUCCGUGGUUAUUCAUUACCAUAUCCUUUUAGGAUUUUCAAGUUAAAGAUUAGUUACAUGCAUCUUGUGUUUGCAGGUAGUUUAUACUCCUGGACAGCAGGACAAAUGUUUCCUAUGUGGUCAGGUGGGACAUCUUGCUGCUAACUGUGAAGGAAAAGGCAAAAGAAAAGCUGGGGAAUAUGAUGAGAAAGGUGAUCCUAUUGUUCCAAAGAAACCAUACCAGGUAAUGACACUGUUGCAAUUUGUAUCCCCCAAGGGUCUUAAUUUUUUGUUUUGUAUUGCUUCUUGACUUUGUGCCCUUGCAGUUCUUGAAUAUCUGGACCCUUCGGGAGUACUUAGAAUACGAGUUCAGAAUGCCAAAUCCUCCUUUCCAGAUAGAUUUUGAACGCAUUGUUGAUGAUUUCAUCUUCAUGUGCUUUUUUGUUGGCAAUGAUUUUCUUCCACAUAUGCCAACAUUAGAGAUCAGGGAGGUUAGUUUUCUAGUUUUUACUUAAUUUUUACUAAAUAUCUACCUUGGCAGCUAGUAGCUUUUAAGUUGUCACUUUCUUGCUAGCAGGCAUGCUCUUCAGUUUUUUUUCAAAGUUUACAAAAUUUGAUUUCUACUUCAUGUAACUGUUGUCAAAUUCCUGCCUUGUGUGUCUGCAGGGGGCUAUAAAUCUGUUAAUGGCUGUGUACAAGAAGGAAUUUCCUUCAAUGGGUGGCUAUUUAACGGAUUCUUGCACGGUAAUGGAAGUUAAAUUUUAUUGGGGUUGGUCCAUAACAUUUUCUCAAGAAACUUUACCUUUGAUAAUCAUAUACGCUUCAGUUAUAACUUGUAAUGUUUCUUUGAUAUUUUAGCCGGAUUUGGAUAGAGUUGAACACUUCAUUCAAGCAGUUGGCUCUUACGAGGAUAAAAUAUUUCAGAAAAGGGCUCGUUUGCAUCAGGUGCACAAGGAUUACUAAAUUUUAUCUUUUUCUUUUAAAACUUAUUGAAUUAUACCUGGAAAUAAUAUUAUAAAGAACUCAUAACUUAUUUGGUUACAUUUUUACUUUUUAUCAAUUUCCUGUUGUGUGCUCAUGUUGGCGAGUGGCAACUUAUAUUCUUGUUUGAAGAAAAGAAAAACAAAUAUGUCCCUGUCUGCAGUGGGUUCUAGGCUCUACCUGUAUUUGUUUUUUCCAUGUGGCUAGUGGUACAGCAAAGAGUUGUGUUUUUCAUGGGUUCAAGUCUCCAUCUCUGAUCAUGUUUGUAUUGGUUUCAUAUAGUUUCCAAACUUGCAUCUUAUUGCGUGCGAUAUAAUGGACGGCACAAUAAAAAAAUUACCAAUUCAAGGUCCUUUGUCCAGUAUUUACUUUCUUAUAAUUCUUGUAUGAAUGAAAUUUUCAUCUGUAGCUUAACACAUUCAUAAGUAUUAUAAAUACACCUCUCAAAUAUGCUGCUUGAAUUGGUUAAAGAUUUUGGAAGGAACAUCUUAAACAUUUGAACACAAUAUUUGGUAGCUUAAUUGUUAAAAAGUUGUUUAAUAUUGUACUCAGCGUCAAGCGGAAAGAAUAAAACGGGAAAAGGCCCAAGCAAAGCGUGGUGAUGAUCUGGAUCCCCAUGUCAGAGAGGAUCUUAUUGUUCCCGUUGCAAAUUUCCGAGGAUCUCGCCUUGCAUCUGGGGCAGUACCAUCACCGUAUGAACAAAAUGGAGCUCAUAGCCAAGCUCGGAAAGCUGCACGGGUAUCAUCACCAGGUUCCAGCAUUGCUGCUGCGAUUGUUGAGGCUGAAAAUGAUCUUGGAUCACAGGUAGUUCAUUUUAUCUGGCUUUGUCUUGGAAGAUGUUAUGAGCAUUUUGGAAGUAGUGCUUUCUUAAUCUUAUUUUCUUGCUUUUUGUAUCUUAGGAGCGUGAAAACAAAGAAGACUUGAAGUCAAGGCUUAAGGAUGCUCUUCGUGAGAAAUCAGAUGUCUUUAAUUCUGAAAAUCCAGAAGAGGACAAGGUAUGCACCGAACAUAUCCCAUUAUGCCCACUAUGUUGAUUUUAUAUGGUUAUAAUUGAUAGAUUGCAAAUAUUGUGGAACUUAACAUUUGAGUCUCUAGGUUUGAAUCAGCAUUCCUAUAUUUUGAAACUUAAAAACAAUCGAAACCUUGUAUUUAGUAGUUACUUUCUACUUGCCAUGGUUUGACAUCCAGUGUCUGUGCAGUUUAAAUUGUUUAAACAUAACACAUAAUUUCUGUUUCUUGCGGUCUAGCCUCUAGUAUCUGUGCACAUCAAAGGCUUAAAAUGACACACAAUUUUAUCAAUGUUCAGGUAAAGCUUGGAGAACCGGGAUGGAGGGAUAGGUAUUAUGAAGAGAAGUUUGGAGCAAGAACAUCUGACCAGAUGGAAGAAAUACGUAGGGAUGUUGUAAGUAUAUUGGAAGCAAUAUUGCCACACCUAAUUGUGCUUGGUAGAAUAUUCCAUUUGAUCUUUGUUAGAUAUGUAAAGUUUUCUAGUUUUUCAAUAUACUUAAUGUCCUCUAUCCAUCUUUAGGCUCUCAAAUAUGCUGAAGGUUUGUGUUGGGUAAUGCAUUACUACUAUGAAGGGGUCUGCUCAUGGCAAUGGUAAUUGCUUGCUCUAGUUAGCCAAUUAUGCAAAUAAUGAAUAGUUAUUUGUAAAGCAGCUGUAGAAUUUACUGAAUCAUUCUAAAUUUAUUAUCUUACUACAUGUAGGUUUUACCCUUAUCAUUAUGCUCCUUUUGCUUCGGAUUUAAAGAGUUUGAGUCAGCUCAAUAUAACUUUCGAACUUGGGUCACCAUUCAAGCCAUUUGAUCAACUUAUGGGGGUUUUCCCUGCUGCAAGGUGAAUAUGUGAAGAUUGCAUUUCUCCUGUCUUAGUUCAUUAAUCAUUGUGCUUUUUGUUUAUUGGUUUCUACCUUUCAUUUUCAGUGCUCAUGCACUCCCUCUUCAGUAUCGGCAACUGAUGACUGAUCCAAGUUCACCAAUAAUUGAUUUUUAUCCCACUGGUAUGCUGAUUUCGCAAACAUAAGAAUGACCCUCUCUUAAGCUAUAAGAUAUUUUUAAUCUCUGUUCUCCCAUUGACUAUGCAGAUUUUGAGGUAGAUAUGAAUGGCAAGAGAUUCUCUUGGCAGGUACUUAAGGGAGCAUAAUUAUAUGUCAUACAUCGGACAUGUCUAACUAAAUGUCCUAGGAUAACAUAUUUUUUUAAUCAGCCAUGACUAAAAACAAUGCAUACUUCACAGGGGAUAGCAAAACUGCCCUUUAUUGAUGAGGAUCGGUUGCUGGCUGAGAUUAAGAAGGUCGAGCAUACUUUGACGGUACGAAAAUGAAGCAGUUUCCUGUUCAUAUGUUCUUUUAAGCCAUAUAGCAUAAAAAAUAUUAUCUAAGAUUUGCAUCUCUUUCCUCAUCUUUUGUGCAGCCUGAAGAAGCAAUGAGAAACAGUACCAUGUGCAAUAUGCUUUUUGUGAAUGGCUCCCAUCCACUUUCGCCUUAUAUCUACUCUCUCAACAGCAAAUUUGGGAAUCUGCCAGACAAAGACCGCAAUGAAAUCAAAGAAAAGCUUGAUCCUUCUCAUAGGUUAGCUAAGCUUUUCAGCAUUCUUAAUCAAUUGACCAUGAGUUGAUGUAACGGAACCAAAUCUACCUGCUUCUUGUCUCUGGAAAUUAAGUCUGCCUACUGUAGGAGUUUCCUGAAAAGUUCAUGAGUGAUUUCUCUAACACUGCUUCUCUUGUCUUUCUGAUUUAGUGGAGGAAUGAACGGUUACAUUGCACUUUGUUCUGGGGAUCCAUCCCCUCCUGUAUUCAGAUCACCUGUAGAUGGGCUGGAGGAUAUUAUGGACAAUCAAGUGAUGUAAGCUUCAUUACUUUUGCCAAGCAUCACUGAUAAGAUUUUUAGCAAUCUAAUUAACGAGCAUAACAUUUCCCUUAACCAGAUGCUCAAUCUACAAACUUCCGGAUCCUCACAAGCACAUUGCCCGUCCACCUGCUGGUGUUAUCAUACCUAAGAAGGUAUACAACUUUGCACAAUCAACAUACUCCCUAUAGGAUUGCCCCCUAAUAGACCAAAAUAUGCAUAUUUCUUCUGAGUAAUUGAAUCUUUGUGUUUGAUCAAAUUUGCAGAGUGUUGAAGCUGGUGAUCUGAAACCACCACCAGUGCUGUGGCAUGAAGACAGUGGUAGGCGGCCUCAUGAUAACAACAACCGAAGGCCUUAUGAUAACAACAACCGGAGACCUUAUGAUAACAACAAUCGGAGGCCUUCUGAUAACAGCAGCAGGUACUGUACCACUUAUUUCCUUAAUUUUAUCAUAUCUUGCAGCCACAUUGAAAAUCCAUGUCUACUUAUGAAAUGGUUCAGGCAAAACCCAGCAGGAGCUCUAUCUGGCCACCAACUUGGGGAGGCUGCCCAUCGACUGGUUGUAAACAGCUUGAAUGUUCGAGGUGGUGGGCAACACAAUGCCCCGUCUAUGCCAUAUCAAACGAUAAUGAAUGGUACAAACUAUCCAAAUGGAAGGCACCAUAUGGGUAAUCAGGGAGUGCCACCAAGAAUGGAACAGCCUGCUGGACAAGGCUGGUAUGUUCCUGGUGAUAACUUGACCAAUGGUCAAGCAGCAUAUGGUCAUUAUCAGCAUGAAAGGCCAGGGCCUUCUCGGUAUGAACGAGAUAACCAUGGAAGGCAACACUACAGCCCAUAUGCGAGAGAUAAUCACCAUGACUCUAGAGGAAGAGUUCCACCUCCACCUGGAUGCCAUCAAAACCAUGGCAACUCGCAUUCUGCUGCUUCAUCAGCAGGUCCUGGGCGGUAUGGACAGCCCCCGCCAGCAUAUGGUGGGGGUUACCAGCCUGCACCAUAUGGAGCACAACAGUGGCAGCAGCGACCUUAUGGAGGUGGAGCACCUCCCACAAGGCCUAACUCACAGCAAUCACAGAACCGUUAUGGCACCUUAGAUAAAGGUUCUAACAAGAGGAGUCAUGGUCGACACUAGUCCCUAACCCGAUAGGGGCCUUAUUGAAUAGAGGGGUAAUAGGAUGGAUCUAAAUCCAAACAACCCCUUUGUUAUAGCCCUGUUCUUUUUUGAAUCGCCAAGCAAUGCCCUCUUCCAAACAACCCUGUACUGUUAUAGCCUGUUCUUGUUGUUAGUGAAACUUUCCAAGUAUCGUGAAGGACGUUGGCGUAGCCAUAUGCACUCAGCUUUAUGAGUGAAUGACUACGAGCUUCUAGGUAUUAUUAAGGAUUCCAAGGAGCAAAUGUUGUUGUAUACUAGCAUUAUUGCCAGACCACCCGCAACUGGUGGUUUCGGCUGUUCUUUCAUUUGGGAUUCUCAUUUAUUCAGAGUAAGCAUCCUAGGGGUUGGUUAGAUAGAUGAUCUAAAAGUUUUGAACUGCGGUGAUAGUGUAUGUACCAUAAGCUUAUACAGUUUUGAUGAUGGAUAUAUCCAUAAUCAUGUAUCUCGUUCUUAGAUGGCAGUAAUACAAGUGUGAUUUCUAUCUCAUCGCUGUGUCUUCUUGGAAGAUUGUCAUUAUGCUACAGCCAGAUUUAUCCUUGAAACGUGUACUAUUUUAGCAUACCAGACUUGACAAAUACUAUAUGCUGAGUUGUGUGGUACAGUAAGGGUGACUGUCUCUGAUCUCAUAUGUGUAUCAUUGUUUGUUCCCUUUGGUUACUAGGAACCUGGUGAACAAAUGGCCGGUUGAUUUGUCAUUUGUGCUUAACUUUUAUUCUGGAAUUUUACUUGCAUUUGUAUGGCAGCAUAUUAUGUCUGUGUUAGUCUCAAAAGAAAUCAAAUGGUUGUGUUUCUAUAUGUCGUAUAUUGCUUUUUAAUUCUUGGCAUUGUAACCUGUAUUUUGAACUCACUUAUGCAUCAAUCGACUUCACUAUGAGAAGAAUUUUCCCCCGACUUAUAUUAUAUUUGAGGAUCCAAAUGCUGCCUCGUCUGAAUUGUUUAUGCGGUGUUGGGAAUCCCAUGAAGGCUGGAGAGCACAAUGCCAUCAACAACAAUAAAUUUCUACUGCCGAUUUGCUUUAAACAGGAAAUAAUUGAAGAAUCCCUACAACUAAUCAGCCACUUAACAAAAAGAGUUAAAAAGAACCAGUCUUGCCUCAAUGUCCACAGAAUACCAAAGCAGAUAGCCUACUUAACCUUUCAUCUGCACUUGAAAUCAACAAAUAUAUGACAACUACCGACGGUGGAUCACAAGAAAGACCUAUACAGUCUGGAUUUCAGGUUGCCUAUCAUUGGCACCAAUAUUGUCAGCUGUAGAUGAAAAUGAGCUUUUGGACCUUGAUCUUGAUGACCUUGAAGAUCUUGCGGAUGCCCUCGGCGAAUCGUUCUUGGAUUUCUUCCUUCUUGACUUCCUGGGUGGCUUUGGUAUGUCAAGGUAUGGGGUUGCUUCUCGACUUGCAUUUUCUGGGAAUAUACCAAAGGGUGAUAUAUCACGAGGCUCGUCAAAAUCUGUGAAGGAAAAAAAGGAAGAAAUUUAGCAAAUAAGUUACAAACAUUGCAGCAGAAUAUAAAAAAGCUUUUAAAUACGUUUUUGCGUAUGAGGAAAUUAAGUUACCCUUUCCAAAUAUCUUGCUAUACCUUUUGUAAUUGAUUUUUAAUAGAGCCAUAUACUUAAUCAUGUGCUUACUUCAAUAAAUAUGUGGGUAUGAUAAUCAGAGUUAUUAUAGCCGCCUUAUUGGGAGGAGAACAUGAACGACACGAGUAUUAAGUUAGUAUCUCAUAAAUUUGGUCCAUGAUACACCUUCACUUGUUCUUAAUCUUUUAUUCACGAUUUCCCAUCAACUUGCAAUGGAUCUGUUAGUUGGGAACACUGGAAAAUCUCUUUGUUUACAUAGAGCAUAUGGGGUUUCAGACAGAAGACAACUUAGUGGAUGACAUGUUAUCAAGUUUGACCAGCUGCAGUUCAGCAGGAGCUUUAUUUGUAUUUUAAAGCAAGUUUGGUCACCCGCAAAGUAUGUUCUGAGUUAUUUUGGUUCAUUAAUUGCUGAAUGAUUUUAAGAAGGAAAAAUAUUUGAAUACUCUAAAUAUGUGUUUAUGGCAUUUCGUAAAAGGAUAAUCAGUAAGGCUGCUGUUCGUGUUGAGAACCUCAACUAGCCAAAAUUUUCACUGAAAGAAAGUGAUGCAAAUAUGAUGCCAGAGACAAACAUCUAGAGAAACUGUAUCAACAAUGCUCAUCAAAGGCAUUCUCUCAAGGGUAUAAUUUAGAUCCAUAUGGGCCAAAUCUUAUUGUUUAGUUAUCAUAAGUUGCAUUGGUCCCAGCUCCACCAAUCACACAAGAUGCUGUUGGCAGUUGAAAGACACACAAUUUUUUUCAAUAGCAUCAUGAAUGCCUGCUAACAACUCUGAUCCUUGAUGGAUCAUGACUCAAUUAUUCAUGAACCAGCAUAAGAUUGCUAUCUAAAAAUGGCAAUAUGAGAGCACAUUCCUGGGAUAAACAACUGCAGUUUCCUUCCCCAUACAUACAUCGUCACUAAAAUAAAUUAAAGGAAGAAUAUUCUUCACUAAAGAAAGGCAGAAGCAAUUGGAUCCAACAUGGGCACCACUACUGCAAGGACUCAUGAACGAAGAGAUCUGAAAAUCACCUUGAGAAGCCCAGGAGGUUCGUGCCGACGGUCCAAUACUGCUCAGCGAUGAGACGUCCGGUGACCCCUUCAUGCCAUUCAUCUGCAAAGAAAUUUGGAAGUUAUCAGCUCCUGAACUGGUCAUAAACUCCUACCUAGUGGAGCAACCUGGCAAUGGUAAGAAAAUAUGAGUUGCAGCAUUGUUCGGAAUUGUGAAUUUUGCAAUGUAUUAUGUACCCAGCUAGGAGAGGCUGCACUCCCUGUUGGGCUGUCCCAACCGAUGUGCGCAACAUGCUUCACAUCAGUCGGAUGACCGAUCUCCAUCUGAUGCUCCUUGACCACUGAAAGGAAGGAACUUGAACUUUCAAGAUCAUCUCGGAAAUCGUCACAAAUCCAUCCAUAUUUUCUUUUUUUAUGAAAACACGUCAAAAAGCCACACAUUUUGAUGCUGAUUACAUACCGAAGAUCUGAGAGAUGACCUUGAGGCCCUUGAAUACGCCUUUCAUCUUGUACGCCAUUGGUAGAUGUGAACAAGAACAGGUCCUUUGGACAGAAAUGCAAAGAAGGCAGCAAAUGUCAAUCAAAGAUAGCUAGUUUCAAUACUGCUUUUGUUUCUACAAGAUUUUUUUUCCCAAAACAAAAGAUAUGCACAGCUGAAGAAGUUUUAUAUAGCCAAAAGAGCAAUUUAUUGGUUGGGUAAUGCAUACCUGAAGGUAGAAGAUGGUGGUGUUGAUACCCUCGUUGAAUGUUUCUCAAUGAAAUUACUUGGAGUACGCAACAGUCCCAUCACCUCCCAUCCUCUCCUCUAAGGCAUCAGCAGCAACCAUGAGAAGACUGCAUCUAUAGGUACUUAUAUCGUUGCAUUGGCAGCAGGAAUGGAAUAAAGAAACCAGAAGAGUAGGUUUCUAUGAUUGCAACCGUCCUCUACGAUUAAAUAAUAAGUAAGUUAACCCUUUUCUUAGAUGUUGCCGGAAGGAUCAGAAUGGGUCGCUAGUCUUUUGACCUGAUAAAAAAAAAUAUUUGUAAAGAGUAAUGGCUAUUUCAUGGGAUCUGAGCUCGGAAAGCUGAAUUCCAAAUUUUCAUCACAGUACCUGGAAAACUAGAACUUCAAUUAUAUGCCAAAUAUCGUGGCAUAUUUGAUUUGUUGAAAAAAAGGAAAAAUAGAGUACUUAUCGGUCAAUUAUUUUGUCCUAACAAAAUGAAAUACGCUUUGUAAUUACUAAACAGAGAGAGUGGUUAGUAAUUAGCUUUCACUGCGAGGAAGUGGCAAAGACUGUCUAUGCAUGCCCUCCCUGCCAUUUAGAGAAAAUACAACAGCAAAUCCAAACAUUUCCUUGAAUAGAAUACAAUGUGUUUAUUUUUAACCCUGUUUUUGUUUAUAACAAUUUGGUUAGACUUGCCUUCAAGGAAGGGGGGAAAACGGCAUUGUCGGUAAUCUACGUCCCAUGCCGUGGCAUCCUGUUUCUGCAGGGGAAAUGCACUGUUUCUUCUUUCUUCGUUCUUCCCCUGUUUAUGGGCUAGCUGCUGUCUCACGGACACAGCUAAGAAUCUAACGGAGAAGUGGAUUGCAUUAAGCAUGAGAUGCAGCCACGUUGAGGAACAGGCCUGCGAAUGAAUCGGUCAAGAACCGCGUUUUCGGAUGUUCCCGGAUCUGAAGAAUCGACGAAAAAUGUUUCUGGCUUUUCAUUCUGUACGAACUGAUUGGCACGCAAACACAACUGGUUGUGUGGUAGUACAUGGUUUAACAUAGUUUUAGACUGAAGUAGGGAUAGUGUCGAUUAUUGUGGAAGACGAUCAUUCCUGUGUUACCAACGACUUCAAUAUAGCAAAAGAAUACUCCCUCCUGUAUUAACAUGGUGGCAAAUGCAAGGUCAGUUGGGCACGGUCGCAACGCCCUAUUCAUCGUGGCGGGCUGGGCAUUACCAACUGGAAUUCUUUAGCCGGGCACUAAGAUUGCGUUGGCUCUGGUUUCAAUGGAAGCACCUAGAUCGCCCAUGGGUCGGAAUGGAGCUACCUGUGGACAACAUUAAUAUGGCACGUUUUGCUGCAGCAACGAGAGUCACAGUUAACAGUAGCUAGGUUUUGGACAUCUAGCUGGCUGGAUGGGUGCUCACCAGUCCUUAUGUUUCCAAACCUCUACAAGCAUAGCAAGAGGAAGAACAGAACUGUUGCAGAAACCAGAAGCGCUUGUCAAUGACCAGUGGAUUCGCGACAUUGCUUAUGACCUCACAGUGAACCGCAUUGAUGAAUAUGUAAACUUGUGGGGGAUGAUCGAGGAGGUGAAGUUUGACAUAAGCAAUGCAGAUCAGGGCACCAUCAUUUGGACGAGAACAUCUUCAGGAGAACACACAGCCAAAUCAGCAUAUGGCAUGCAAUUUGAUGGAGGUCUGGCCUCACUGUUCCUGAAGAUGGUGUGGAAGGUUUUCCAAGCGCAAGUUUUUUAUGUGGUUGCUACUGCAAAACAGAGUCUGGACUGCAGAUAGGCUGCUGCAGCGUGAGCAGUGGUGUAGCCAGGAUUUUUGUACAGAGGGGGCCAUAAACAAUACUUAAUAGAUUACAUGUAGUAUAUGAGUGCCUGAUUUCAGUUUAAAUUUAACUUAAUAGACUACAUGUUUUUAUCAAGUGCACAAACAAAAAAAUAACCAAUAUUUAUUCAAUUAAUCACUGUUUUGUGUGCUUACUUACUUAGAAAUGUAUUAUUAAUUAGUAUAUAUUCACAUGUUUGCACAAACAUUUGGGGGGGGGGGGGGGGGGGGGGGGGGCUACGCCACUGAGCGUGAGUGGCCGAACUCCUAGUUCUGAAUUUGGAAACAGCUUUGCACCUCUUCUUUCAGUGCCCAACAUCGCAAACAGUUUGGCGGGAGAUCAGCAACUGGGCAAACUGUCCGAGUUUGGACCCAAUUCAGUGGAAUGCGGGAACAAUGCAGGACUGGUUUCAUCAAGUUCAAACUCGUCUACAGUGAAAGGCAUUCGCUUACUGUCCAUCCUUGUUGUUUGGAGCAUAUGGCGUGAGCGGAAUGAAAGAGUUUUCAACGACAAGGAAAAGUCCAUGUGCAGGAUCAUCAGCGAGAUCAAGGAUGAAGCACGUCUUUGGGGUGCAGCCGGUGCAAAGCAUCUAACUGGCAUUGUUGUUUCGAACUCUUGCGAGUAUUCCAAUUUUUUUUUCUUCCCUUCUUGUUGGGGGCUACUCCGAUACCCCGGCUGUGCCUGUAACGUUGUCUCCUUCUUAUUAAUUAAUGCCGGCAAUGUCUGGAUCUUUCGAAAAAAAUCCAUUUUUCUCAGAAGUAAAGAUGCAUGCAUGUUCGUUCACAAAACUCGGGUGUAUAGGAGCUUACGAGGGUGAGGACGGUUGCCUUUUUAGGAGUCUUGAAAUUCCAGCCCAAUUGCAGAGUUUGUUACCCUGUGGGAUCUGGUCCAGAAUGUGAAUUCCUCUGAUCCUCAGGAUAAAAUUACUUGGAGAUGGACAGGGCAUGAUUCUUAUACUUCCAAGUCUGUAUACCUUGCACAAUGCCAAGGAACAUACAACACUUUUGAUUGCAACGCAAUUUGGCAUGCUCAUGCGGAAGGGAAAUAUAAAUUUUUUGCAUGGUUGUUGGUACAAAGCUGACAAAAUGGCAGCGAGGAAUCGGGAAUGCAACCUUACAUAUCCUCUUUGUGAUCAAGAACCUGAAACAUCAACACAUCUUUCCCUGCAAUGCUAUUUUGCAAAGGAAGACUAGAUGUUGGUGAGCAACUAGACCGGAGGAAUGAUCAAGGUGUCGAAUAUUGAGGAUGUGUGUGUUGAAGAAUGGUGGUGGAAAUCGCUAGCAACUUUCACAACGAAGCAACGAAAGUUUGUCGCUGCAUUACUCAUGUUUACAGCAUGGAACAUCCGGAAGGAAUGGAAUCCCGUGUUUUUGAAGAAAAAUGCUUGAGGCCAUAGCAGGUCUUCCAGCUGAUCCAAGAAGAAGCCCGGUUGCGACAACGGGCAUGUGGUAACCUAGAAUUAGGUUAGAGUGCUUUGUAUCUUUAUAUUAUUGCUGAGUGAGUUAGUCAAUUUACGUAAUAUCGGACUCAAUUGACUUCAGCCCAAACUUUCGACCCAUAUUAGGUUCAAGUCUUGCAAUUCCAGCCCAUGAAAAAAAAACAGAAAAAGGCUUUAACCAGGCUAACCUGGCCCUGGCCCACGAGGCCACGCGCUGACGCAAGCUCAAGUACACACCACACCACACCACACCACAGUACAGUGAGCGAGCCACUGCACGUCGCUUCGUAAGUUCGUACCCUGCUGCUUCGGCUUCCUCGCCGGCGUCGGCCCCUCCGCCGCUGCCAUCACCCCCGCACCGCAACGCGCCACUGCCGCCGCACCUCUCCCACCCUGUCUAGUCAGCGGCGGGGCGCCACAUUCCCCUUCCACCACCGUCAUCCGCGGCGUCCCCCGGCCCCGCCGCCUCUUCCCGCUCGCGGCUAACCAGCGAUACCAGUCGCGGAGCUCCCUCUGAUCGCCUUUUCAAGGUAACCGCUCCUCCUAAUCUCGCCGUGCUCCAUCUCUUCGCAGGCAGGCACUGGUCGAGUACCAAUUUGUUCCGAGGCAUGUUGGCUUUUUGGCCCCAAUCAUCAAUCUUCAUCGGUAAGCCUAGUUUCUUUAAUCUUUCCCCUCACGGCUAGUUGAUUUGUGCGGUUGAGCGGCGCAUUCAACCUGUCUAUGUAUGAUAUCUCGGAAUUUCAUGGGCUUUCCGUGAGAUCUUGCGUUGGGUUAACAGGGGCUUGUACUGUAGGAUGCUUCGAAAUUCUGUUCUGAAGUCGAUGUUCAUUUGGUCUGCAAAUUUCGUUGAUCAAAUGUGGGGAUUAAAUUCUGCUCGGAUUGAUCGCUGGCAUGCUAAUUUCUACUCAUGCGAUUUGCAAUAGUUAUUUGUUUAGUCAGUUCGUGGCAUUACCUGUGUUUCUUCAGUUCUGAAUUCCAACCUUGCACACCCUUCAAUUUGCUGCCACUCAUGUGUCAGUGUGAUCAUUUCCCUGAUUGAUUCGCAUCUCUUGGAUUAAAUUACUAAUAGCACCUAAUCUAGCAUGCUUUGGGAUGAUCAUUUUGAAUGUCUGGUUACCAAUGCGUGUGGUGUGAUCAAUGAUUUUCCCAUGUAUCUUGGUAGAUUUUUACAUUUACUUCUACUGCUAUGAUGAUCAUACUUAGCCACUUAGGGGCAGCACAUUUGAACGAUUAUGUGUGCUACUUCAAGUGUGCUAGUAGUUCUUCAAGUAGCGUUCCUGCUGCUAUUUGGUUCUGAGGGUUUGCAUAUUGUCAGAGUCAUAAUCAUGAUAGGACUUGUUUUGCAAACUCCUGCUUGCUCCUACAAAUAUGACGCUAGAAUGUUGGCAUUGUAUAUCCUAGCAUAUUUGUUGCUUGCUUCAGAUGCAGAUCUUUGUGAAGACCCUCGCUGACAAGAUCAUUACGCUAGAGGUUGAGUCCUGUGACAAGAUCAGCAAUGUCAAGGCGAAGAUUCAGGAUAGGAUGGGCAUUCCCCCGUACCAGCAGCUGCUCAUCUUUGCACACAAGCAGCUUUCAGAUUGGCACACACUUGCCAGUUAUAACAUUCUUCAGGAAUCCACCGUGCACCUUGUCCUCCGUCGGCCACUUGAUGGCAUGCAGAUCUUUGCAAAGACACUAACUAAUCUAGCAUUAACUUAAACACGAUCUUAAUCUUAGCCUAAUCAUGAUCAGUAAUCAUAAUUAAUGCGGAAUACAUAGAUUAGACAAACCAGAGCCUUGAGUAUGUAGAUAUGUUACAACUUUAAUUUUCUUUCCCACUGAUUAAAUCUUGGACUCAAACAAAUUAAAGACGGACCCGUUAUUACAAACCAGAAUUCAGAAACUUCAAUCUGGUUAACACUUCAAGCUGCAUUAAUUGCAUCGAUCAAGCGGUAGAAACAUAAUCUAGAACUGGAUGUUGGAGUUGUAGACGGUGUUGGGCUGCCACUUCUCUGGGAUGACGUCGGUGGCGACGAGCGUCUUGCCGGACUCGCUGGUGAGGCGGAUGGAGAAGGGGCCCUUGAGCGGCCUGGGCGUGUCGGACCUCCAGAUGGCGCCCCAGGAGUGCCUCAUCGGCUGCCACUCCGGCGACGCCUGGUCCUUGAGGUCCAUCUGCACGAUGCUGCCAUCCACCGCCACGAACUUCACCAGCACCGCCAGGUAGAACGGGUUCGACCCUUCCUCCACGUGGAACACGAUUCUCUGCCCGGCCACGUACUUGCACGGCACCCUGCAUUAUGCAGCAGGCAGUUCAUGGUAUGUAAUCCAUGCCAUUGUUGGUGGUGACUGGUGAGCAAUUAAUAACGAUGGAUCGGAUCGGACCUCCUGAAGUCGAGGUCGAUGAUGCCGCGGCGGCGGAGCUGGUCGUUGAGGCCGGGCUUGGCCAUGGAGCCGAACGCGGUGCCGCUGAGGUCGAAGUAGUAGGGGGCGACGGGGCCGUAGUUCAUGUCGGUGAUGAACACCCUCACCGGCUGGAUCGAGCACUCAGGCACCUUGCAUUUGAUCUCGUAGCAGGAGCCGCAGCCCUUGCCGUCCUUGAAGAGCGGGAGGUUGCCGCAGGACGUCAUGGCGGCGUAGGGCGGCAGGUUCACGUCCUUGAUCCCGCACGCGCCGCCGUUGUCGUCGGGCCCGGCGCCGGUGGGCUGGCCGUACCAGGUGGCCCUCGCCGGGAGCCACCUGCCGUUGUAGUCCGUCGUGAUGUUGGGGCCCGGCGGCGCCCAGCACGACACGCCGGCCACGAGCACCGCCAGGACGGCGGCGGCAACGGCGACGACAACGACGACGUUGGGCAUCAGGGAUCCCAUCUUGCUACUAGCAUACUACACUGUUAUUCAGAUAUGUGUGUCAGGGUGUGCAGACGACGGUGCGGUGACCGGCCGGAGACGGGCCGGGCUACUUAUAGGGCGGAGACUGGAGAGCAUGCAUGGUGUACCGUACCGGCAGCGCCGGCGUCGCGGGCCGGGGUCAGCGCAGGCCCCGCGGCCGCGAGGGCCGCCGCUGGUUUCACGCACGUGUGCGUGGUUUUUGAGGUUUGGAAAAGGCAUGCAUGGGUCGAUGGACAGAUGAUGCAGGAUAUGCUGGGUUGCAUGAGACAUGAUUGUGAUCAAUGCUGGAAGUGUUUGCGGCGUCUGUGUUUAGUGGUUUCCAUCUCAUUGAUUUCACUAGCUGUUCUGGCGUCUGUGUUUAGUAUCUGGGGACUGCAGCAGCAAAUCCGUGUGGAUUUGAUGGUGCCAUGAGUAUAAUAGGAAUAUUCAUAUAUAGUAUCUCGUAGCUGUCUCGCGAAAAUGCUGCAUGGUGGCAAUAAUAAUGAUAGUAUCUGGUGAUGCUACCACAUUAAGUAGUUAGCAUCCGUCUAAGAAUAUCUAACCCCUUGUUUACUUCCCAAGUUGGGAGGUGACAAAUUGGCAUUUUGCCAUAAAUGCGACACUGUAGCGUUUCGUUUGUAUUUAUAAAUUAUUGUCCAAAUAUUAACUAAUUAGGCUCAAAAGAUUCGUCUCGCAAAGUACAACAAAACUGUGCAAUUAGUUUUUGAUUUCGUCUAUAUUUAGUACUCCAUGCAUGUACCGCAAGUUUGAUGUGAUGGGGAAUCUUCUUUUUGCAUAGUGUCAAAGUUGGGAGUUUGGAGGGAAGUAAACAAGGGCUAAGUUACGUUGAGAAUCCGUCUUAAAAAGGCCAUGCGGCGUUAAUGAUCGGCGGGAGAAGUGCUCACCUGUCUCCCAUGCACCGUCUCCCAGCCCAGCCCGAUUUGUUUUUUUUCCCUUUUCCAUUUACCUUCUCCUUCCUCCUACUCAGACCUAGUGGAGACUGGAGAGGAGGGCCGACGGGAGAGAGACUCGGCGGCAGCUUCCACGCGGUUGAGCUUGCUGCUCGCCAGGGUGAGUUGCGGCGCCCGCCCGCUCUCCCUAUGGGCCGGCGAAGCUCGGCGUUGGCUUUCGCACGGCUAGCUGUGCGACACGGUCGUGUUCUAAAAAAAUAAAGUAAAUAAGGUUUUAUGUUUAUAAAAUACUCUCUUUAUUUCAAACAAAAUCGUUAUGUUUAGAUAUAUAGUAAAAAUAAUAUACUUAGAAAAGUCAAAAAAAUUUACAUUUUAAAAUGUUGGAAGUACCUAAUAACAAUAUUUCUCUUCAUGAACUUCCAUUAAAACUAGUCUUAUCCUGGUGGAACACCUGUUCUAAAUCUUUAUUGUUUCUGGAGCAAUAUUUGACCAAUCAGUCGAGAGCAACAGAAAUUGACCAAUCAUUUUUUGCCCCCUCCUGCUACCGUCGAAUCCGUUCAGUUAAAGGGGAGAACUUCUCUAUCACAUGAGUCAGCGGCCAAAAGACGGUCGUCUAUCCUGUACCACGCAGUCGCCGCAGGUGGGCUGAAACCCUGGAAGCAGCUAGUCUAGGUCGGUGUACAGUAGUGGUAGUGCUGAUAGCAACUGAUAGUGAAACCAUACUGAGUAACACAAAGUGGUAGUACUCUGAUAGGAUAGGGCCAAUAACAAUUCGUAGUACCUCCGAUCAGAUAUAGUUGAUGGUUCAGACAACAAGAAGUAACUAAUUGCAGGUCAAAUUAGUUGUCCAAAACGUCAUCUUAUUCUGAACAGAGAGAGCACGUAGCAGAUUCUUAGUUGAUUAGCAUUUCCUAGGACAAGAAUAAUUUUAGGAAAAUUGCAAACAGAUACUCAAAACAUCACGCUUUUAUCAAACUAUGCACGUGAUCGCAUUUUAUCCGAUGCUCACAAACAGUAUUGUCUUACAUCAUCUAUCAGAAGAGAGAGUACUGCAUUACAUGACCAGAGGAAAGAAGAGAACACACACGCACACAUACCAGUUACUUAAGCCAACUAUUCGACAAGAAUCCCAACGCUGAUCAGGGAGAGGCCGAGGAGGAGCAGAGCAAACAUGCCGAAGCAGAGCACCUGGCUUGCUUCGCCGGAUACCGCCGUGACGGCGCAGGAAGCUAUCACGAGCCCCACGAAGGCGAGGAUGCGACGAAGGAACUCUGCGAGAGCACGUGCCUCGGCCAACACCGCCGGGACGACGGGCGCCAGGUCGGUGUCAGACAUCCGGAUGCCGACGACGACGAUGUUGGCGCCGGCGAGAACCCCCGCGAAGCAGAGUAGCAAGCCGAAUCCGCCGGCGCCGAAGUUGAAUCCGGCGCUGACGGAGAACAGCAUGAUGGCGAGGCCGAUCGCCGUGGUGCCCGGAGUGGUCAUCGUCGGCCGCGUGGCACCGCAGUCCCCUGCUUAAUUGGAGAGGGCCGUCGAGCGAGCAGGCGAGGCACCACCGCACCGGGGAGGGAAGCGUUGCCAAAGAGGCGAAGACCGUCGAGCGAGCAGGCGAGGCACCGCCGCACCGGGAGGGAAGCGUUGCCGAAGAGGUGAAGACCGUCGAGCGAGCAGGCGAGGCACCGCCGCACCGUGGAGGGAUCGUUGCUACGUCACAUUAUAUACCCUUAUCGUGUCUACGUCACACUGUUGCUUCUGGGCAGCUUCCCCCCACAGCGAGUAAGGUGCCCUGAUUAAGGAACAAGAACAGUGGCGACGCCUGCGGCGCGCGCGCGCGCGCGCGCGCCCCGCACGCCAGGCGCCGCAAGUCCGGAUUGACCAGCAGGAGUGACCAGCACGUAAAUUUUGUAAGCAGUCUUGUUCCAGGCCGGGGCCGCCUGGAACAGCAAGAAUGCAGGAGUAAUUUUUUUAAGCAGGAACAGGAGUACUCCGUGCUGGCAAAACAACCUGCAUAGUGAAAUUUCUGUAAAUAUUUUGCUUGCACAAAGAAACGUGCAACGUCGUAUUUUUUCUAUACUAUAUACAUUCUCAUAUAUUUGGUUUUGGAGAACAUUGGUCCAUACAAAAGUAUGUGUAUCAUAGAAAAUUUUGAAAAGCGAGUGGAAUUCCUUUGAGAUAUUGUCAAUCAUAUUUUAUUCAGAGUUUCAGAGAACGUGCUUCAUAUUGUGAGCAUAUUUGGAAGAAAGAGUGGAAUUCCUCCCCAGUCUUCGCUCAUGACAAGAGUACGGAAAGGCCAACCAUACGCCUACGCGUGACAGCGGUAUUGUCAAAUUGCUGACCAGACUGAACCUGACAGAACUCGUAUCACGUUGCCGCUGGAGCCUUGAUUGACCGGACUCGAGACGCACGUUUUGGUUCCUAGUACGUUAGAUUCGCUUCACAAUAUAUUGGUGCGUUGUCCUAGUCCUCUCUUUAGAAGAUAUUUGUGGAUGGUUUAAUGCUAUCUGUUUAUUACGUCGAACCCACACAUGAAACUCUUCCAACUCCGCAACCCCAUCUCGUUUCGACAACCCUAACUUCCGCAGAUCGAAUGGAAUUGAUACCUCUGGUUUAUCUGAUUGGAUGUUGGGGGCUUUAGUAGUAGUAGAGGGAACAGUCGGCUCUGAUGAGAAAAGCUUUGCAAGAAGCAGUUCAGUUAUCGUAAGUUCUUCCUGUGCUGCGGCCUUAAGUUCAACAGUUGGCUUAUUCACAUAAUGUCUCUGAAAUAGCAGCAGGACAAUAUGAAGGUGAUUACAAUGAAUGAAAUAAAAAAAUGCAUACAUUCUUUAAGUUAAUCCUUCAGCGAUGGACCAUGAUAUUACCAACACAGUGAAGCAUACCAAAGCAAUCAUUAAACAUAUAAAACCUGACAGAGUCAAAAGCAAUAUCAUUCUAGCUUUCAGUUUGGAAGAAGAUUUCAGAUUCAUCCAGUCUUUUAUUUUCAAAGAUUACAGAUAUGUGCAGGAAUGGUCCUGAUUAUACUUUGGGUUUCAACUUGGUAUUUCCUGAGGACUUACCAAUGCAAAAAUCGAAACACUGAAUCCGGAGGACUAUACCAGAAAUUUGUAGCACAAAUAUCAACUGUGGAAAACAAACACUGGAAUCUGAAAGAUUGAAGUGAUGUGUGCAGACCUUAAGCUCAGCCAAGACUACGCGCAAAUCAUGAACACGAAGCCAAACUUCUCCCUGUACUUGGCAUUCCACUCUGCCAGCUCCUGCAGCAGGUGGAGAAAGCAAAUUAAGUCCAGAGAUCAUAUACCAUAGUACAAGGAAACCAAAGAGCUGAUGUAAAAGGCACCUGGGAAGUCGAAUCUGUGGCCGUGGAGAUAGCUGCCGAUUGUUCUUCCUUGCUCCACCUAAACCAAAAGGCUAACAGAGAUUACCAACACAGACUGGUGCCAUUUUGUUUGUCCUUAGUCAUGUCGAGUGAAAGAAUCCAUCAGUUCAAUUUCCGCGUUUUAAUGCUUUGGAUUCAACAUAACGCGCAAGCAUGUCAUGUACUUGUUUUCAUGCCUUAUAUAGGAGUAGUUAUUAGUACGCCGGUUAAAAGAUACACACAACCACAGUUACUUGAGCUUCGAACGAUCAACAACAGAAAGACGAGAACUGAAAGUAAACAGUGGGAUUGCGUGGACAGGAGGGGGAGGAGGGAUGCACUCCACCGACUUGGAGAUGGAGGGGGAGGUGGUUCCGAUUGCCGGGUGCGCCGCAAAGGCCUCGAGCCAUCCAUUGACAUCGACCUGAUCCGAUUGAGCGAUGAGCCGCGCGCGCACAGGGGCAGCGAAGCAUCAUCAGUACACGGAGAGAAGAUGGCCUGGUGGGAAGAAUUUCAAGUAGGAAGGGGGUGGAGGCCAAGGCGAAGGCGAGUAGGCGAGCCACCUCGUUGAGCCAGAUGCGGUGGGCGGCGAGGAGGGCGUCGGCGAGGGAGGCGAAGGGGGAGGCCGCCGCCAUCGCGGCGGCGAAGCGGCAGCUGCCGUUGACGUGCAUGUCCUCCAUGGUGAGAGGCGUCGACGUCACCAUCUCGCCGGCGGCCAAUUCAAUAGAGCGUGGGGGCGUGAGGGGAUGCGGUGGAGGUGGUUCUGGUCGGUCUCGCCAGCUGCGCGCCGCCGUCGCUAGCCGCGCGCCGCCUAGGGUUGGACCAAACAAAAAAAAGUAAGUAGAAGCGUUCCUCACUUUAAUAAUACUAGCAAAAUGCCUGUGCAUUACUACGGUAAAAGAUUAAUUGUGUUUUCCAAACUAAUGAUAUUUUUUAUUUCCAUCACUAAAUUUUUAUUCCACUUAUUGGAUGUCUACACAUUUAAUAGAAAACCAAAAGAAUUUUUACUUAAUUAUUUCCUUCAACUCAAAUACCUAUUAAAUUAAAAUAUUUUUUUAUUCAAACAAGAGAGUUAAAUCAGCCUCCGCUGGUCACCGUGUGGGGCUCUUUAGCCCUUCUGGCCAUGUAAUAUCAUUUCACAUGCACCGUAUUUCAUCAAACAGGAGACGGCACGCUCAAACUAUUCCAUCGUGCACAUCCCAUUGUAGGUACAGUGGCUUAGGUUAAACCUUAUUUGGAUGGGCUAUAACUACCUUUUAAAUGGUUAAUUCGGGGGCUUUUGGCAGCACUCCACUUCAAUUUUUUUAGCUCCACUCCACCAACUUCACUCCACUUCAACUCCACUCUACCAACUCCGAUCAUCUCUCGAUCAAUACAACACAUCUACCUUUUCGGUUUCAAGCCGUCGCACUAGGAGUAGGAGUAAUGUAGGUUUUCUUCAAUGAGUUCUUUCUGACAAGCGGGGCGCAUCGACUUCGAUCUCCGACAAGCCGCAAGUUCCUACCACCAGGUAUCCUAGACUCCAACUUCCGGGCGCAUCAUUGUUGUUGGAUCUAGUUCUUACCUACAAGUUAUUGUGUAUCUUGGAUCUUGGACUUACGGCGCAUCGCUUCUGUCUCGAUCCACGGUAUUCACCAGUUAUCAGUUUUGUCAUAUCUUGUAAGGCUGCAUCGUUUGAUCUCUUGCUAGAUGUGGUAGAAUCACAGUUAUCCUGCCUUGAUUUAGCUUGGAUCGGCUGAUAUUUAUUUAAUCUAUCAUCUUGCUGUCUAGUUGACUUUAAUUAGCUUUAGAUCGUAUCAUCACAGAAGAUAGAUCGCUUAAUAGCCUGUUGCAUCUUAAUCUCGGUUACCCCUCGAGUGCUGUUGGAAUCGAGUUCCAUUGUGAUUAGAUUCAUCGGCUAGCGGGGUUUAGAUUGACGUCCUGCUGAGUGUUUCUAGGCUGCAACUACCGGGCGCAUCACUGUGGUUCCACCUAGAAAUAUUGGUAGUGACGUUAGUUCAAAUCUCAUCGACUUGUGGCUCUAGCAAUGGUGGGGCAAGAGCUCAACAGCGCUCCGUUUCCUAUCAACUUUCUAGCCGAUGGUUUGUAUGCUUCAUUAUCACCAACUGUGUUGAAUCGGCUGGAUAGCCGAUGAACCACUCACGCUCAUCAGGAUACUGGAAUCGGCUUCAUAGCCGAUAAUUUAUUCAUCAUGUAUUAUUCUGCUACACUAUCAUAACUGUUGGUGUCAGGAUCACAUCGGCCUGAUCGGUCGGUUGUCUCCAACUUCAAAAGGAUUAUCUUCACCUUGUCAGUUGAAUGGUCAAACUGACUGGCACGCCCGCGUACACCACGCGCUCCGAUCUACAGGAUCUGCACCGGAGUGAAGCAAAUCUCCCAAGACUUUCGUGUGUUAGGAUGUGAAGGUCACCGUCCGAUUUUUGUGUCAACACGCUUUUGGCACGACCGUGGGACCGAAUAAGAUCUCGAUUUUCCAUCGCUAAGACCGACGUCCGAUUCGCUUUUGGUUCGGCCGAAUAUUCGGCGCUGCUGAAGCAACUGAUAUUAUUUUAUUGAUAAGUACGACGAGUUAUUUUUGAAGACAAGCAUGCAUGUGGUGCAAGGAUCUACUCAUCUACGUGGCUGAAAGUCCAGUUCAGACAUUUUUAUCCCGCCGAGAGGAAAACCAAUCAGCUAAGGGCAAGUUUGGUCUACGACAUCAUACUCAGCCAGGACUCUAACUAUAGAAGCUUUUCUGAUGGCCGAUGGCGCUGAAACAACUCUUGAGCCGAUGGAGUUAUUUUAUAUAGCCAAUGAAUGAAAAGGAGCCGAUGAAGUCCUUUGCUGCGUCUUAGCCGAUGGAUGUUUAUUUAAAAAUCUGGGCAGCAAGAUUAAUGUUCAAAGAAGCUCCAGCGUCUCCUAUGAAUACAAUUAUUAAAUGAUUGCCGACGGAUGGAUUCCCUCUCAAUAUUUGGACGAUCUGUUUCAUGCAUCGGCUACUAGUGACAGAGUUGAGCCGAUGAAGAGAAGAGGCCCGCAUAGGAGAAUCGCUAGCUAAAUGAAGCUUAUGAUGCUCACAAAGUGCUCCACUCGAUCUUCAAAUAUAACUGGAGCUGCCAUAAGAACUCAGCCGAUGACCCAGUCGAUGUAUAAGUUGGGAGCCAAUGACAGUAAAGAAGAAGAAAUCCAUAUUCAUAGAGGGCAUCGGCAAAUCAAUUGGAUGAUAAAAUACUGGGUAGCUGCUAGUGAUGAUUAUAAUAUUCCGUCGGCAAUUGGAGAGCUACAUGUUAUUGAUCGGCAAUUGGAAAAGCUAACAAUAACAAAAGAUUGUUGGACUUAACUACUGCUGCGACUGCCGGCUCAUAGUUUUUCCUUGCUGCCGAUAUUGUUCAUCCGGAGUCUCCAUCGGCUAUGUACCCUCCUGUUAUAAGUACAUGGACAGCCGAUGGAAGGAAUAGAGGAAGAACCGAUUGCUACUUCCUAAUGGAGCCGAUGGAUGAGGCCAAUGCAACGGAUCUCAGUGUAUCAUUAACCCAUGGAGGCUCUGUUGCUGACCACGGAAGAAAAGCAGAGGAGAUCAUCGGACUGAAAUAGUUCGGAGCACGAAGAAAAUUGCAUCGGCUGACUGCUUGGCAAAUAAAAAAAAUAAUAGCAUCGGCUGACUGCCUGGAAAAUAAAGUAUAGCAUCAGCUGAUUGCUCGGUAAAUAAAGAAAAUUGCACCAGCUGAUUGGUUCAAGUGAAGUUGCAACGACUGAUUGUUUCAAGCAAAAUAGUAUGGGCUGCUUAUAAAAUAUAUUGGCUAUUAAUUUCGAAGCAUGAAAUAUUCAUAUUCCGAAAUUAGGGGGGCUACGUAUUGACAACAAAAGUUUGCUGGUUACUGCACCAAGUUUUGGUAUCAACAGACUGAUUUGUUGUUUCCACUGUCAGCAAAUUUAUCGGCUCAGAGUGGGAUCAAGGUAUCAAGCCGAUGGGUUCUUUAUAUUUCAAGAGGAGUCUAUGUGGCUUUGAAUGUUGCAAUCAGACAUCAUUGGCUCUAAAGACAAGCAUCGGACUUUUAUAAUUAGUUUUGGAAUAUGAAGCAUUCACACUCCGAAACUAGGAGGCUGUGUUGAUACCGGAUUUUGACUAGUAAAAUCCCAUAAGAAACAGAGUGAGAGAUGGCCGGCUGCGAGCAUCCAUGCAGACUGUGAUCGGCAGAAGACUAGAGAAUUAUGCAGCAACAAUUCAAAUAAUGGCCUAUCCAGAGAUAUUUUUUGCUAGUGGAUUGACUGUUCGUUCAAGAGAAGACCAAACCUCCGUUAUGUUUUUUGAUCCAACGUGGACAAAGUUGUCAGAUGUGGAGUCCAGGAUUAUGAUACAAGAAUUGGUUCUAUCGGAUUGGUCAGGCAAGGUAACUAGAAUAAAAAAGGCAAGAUGGAAGGAAAAAGCCUCCACAUAUAAGCAAAGGUGAUUAAAUAAAUAUGGAAGGAUACGACAUGUGUGUUUAUUUGUCUUGCAUACAUCACUUGGGAAUAGUCCAGAUUAAUCAUGCAGGUGGAUCUGUCUUGGUACGGAUGGAUUGGAGAAGGCUUCGAUAGCAAGGAUUCUAUAGAAAGGAAAUUAGAGUCCAUGUAUUUUAAUAUUUCUUUUUGUUUAGGUAUUUAGUAUUAGGCAAGUUUGUGUAUGGCUUAGUCACGAGUCAUUAGUCCAGGGUAUAAAUAUGUACCCCUGGCCAUUGUAAUUAUCAUCUCUCGAUCAAUACAACGCAUCUACCUUUUCGACUUCACGCCAUCGCAUUAGGAGUAGGAGUAAUGUAGAUUUUUCUUUUCGAUGAGUUCCUUCUAGUAAGCUGGGCUGCAUCGACUUCGAUCUCCGGCAAGCUGCAAGUUCCCAUCACCAGGUGUUUUAGGCUUUAACCACCGGGCGCAUCGCUGUGGUUUCGUUUAGUUUCAUCUACCAGUUAUCAGGUAUCCUAGACUUCAACUUCCAGGCACAUCGCUGUUGUUGGAUCUAGUUCUUACCUACAAGUUAUCGAGUAUCUUGGAUCUUUGUCUUAUGACGCAUCGUUUCUGUCUCGAUCUAUGGUAUUCACCGGUUAUCGGUUUUAUCAUAUCUUGUAAGGCUGCAUCAUUUGAUCUCUUGCUAGAUGUGGUAGAAUCAUAGUUACUCGUAUCGGCUCUCUAGCCGAUAGCCUGCAUCGGUUGUUUAGCCGAUUGCACGUGCUUCGAUGCCCAUGGCAUGUUUUCAUAGUUCUGUUGAAGUGUAGAUAAAUUUGUUUACUUUUAAGGUUUAAUCUGUUAUCCUUAUUAUGGCUGCCAUCGACCCAAUCGAACCCCACUGUUAAGGAUAAUAGGGAAGAUUUGAUGAGUCGUAGAUCUAUUUAUAUCAAGCAGUUGACUGUUAGCCUCUGUUUCUUAUCAGCUUUCUAGCUGAUAGCUUUUAUGCUCCAUUAUCAAAUCGUCUUGGAUAGUCGAUGAGCCAUUCACGCUCGUCAAGAUGCUGGAAUCGGCUUCAUGGCUGAUAAUUUAGUCAUCAUGAUUUAUUUUGCCACACUAUCAUCGCUACUGGUGUUAGGAUCACAUCAGCCUGAUCGGCCGGUUGCCUCGGACUUCAAAGGAUUAUUUUCACCUUGUCAGUUGAAUGAUCAAACUGACUGGCACGCCCGCGUAUACCACGCGCGCCGAUCUACAACCUAUACUUGAGCGAAGCAGAACUCUCAGGUUUCGUGUGUUUGUACGUGAAGGUCACCGCAUGAUUUUUGCGUCAGCACACUUUUGGUGUCAAUACAAAUAAGGUCGCAUUUAAAUUCGUAGGCAUUUAAUAAUCUUUGCACAAUUAAUUAAUCCAUCAUAGGAGUUCAUUGUGCAUUCAUGCUGGUGCAUAUCUUUGUGUUGCUUGAGUUUGAAUUUGAAUUUAAAUUUCAAAAUUCGAUUUCAUUUCAAAACCUUUCCCUCCCCUUUAGUUUCUUCUCUUUGCUUGGGCCAGUUCCUUCCCUUCCUAACCUUGCAGCCCAGCAGCACCAGCAGGUGGCCCGUUUUCCUUUCCAGCCCAGCAACUCUCCACCGACCCAGCUCCGCUCCCCUCCUCCCUCAGCCGCCGACAGGUGGGACCCACCUGUCAUCACCCACCUCCCAACCGCCGGCUGGAUUCUUCGCUCCCCUUCCAUGCCGAGCGCGGAGUCCGCCUCGAGCCCGAGCUCGAGUCCGAGCGGGACUCCCGCACUGCGUCCGCUCACCCGUGGGCCCGCACGCUGAGACGCCCCUAUAAAAGCUGAUGCCCCCGGCCCUUUUUCCCCAAACCCUAGCCACCUCCUCCAAGCUUGCAGCGCCACUGCCUCCGAGCUUGCAACGUUGCUGCCAUCGCCUCUCCGCCGUCUUGAGCUCCGCCCGAAGCUUCGCGCACCGGUGAGGCUCCCGGCCGAGUUACUCCCACGCAUCAUCUCACCGUCUUCGCCCGCAAGACCUCGCCGGAGAACUUCCCGCCGCCACGCGCUGCGCCGCCGCCUCCGCCACGUUUCGCCCAGCAUGGACCGCCUAAACGUGACCGCGGCGCUCCCCUCAUGCUCCCGGUGGUUUUCGCUCGCGAAACUGAGCCCUAGAGCGCCGUUUCAGCCAACUCCAGCCGGCCGCCGCCGCUCGCCGGCGAGUCCCCGCUGUGCGCCGCCGUCCCACCACCACAGACAGAUCCGUUCCGCGCACAGUCGCCCACGCCGCACCGCUUCUUUUGCAUUUAGGCUCUUGCCUUUUCCGCAAAUUGCUCCACUGGGCUUCUACCACCAGAACUGCCCUUGAGGAACUUACUAUCAUACUCUGCCUGGCUGCUGCUGGAUCAGGCGCGGACCACGGGUUUGAAGGAUCUGGUAAGUUUCCUUUUGUCCUACUUUUAAUAUAUAUCGAUCCUUUUGUCCUACUUUUAAUAUAUAUUGAUCCUAUUGUUUUCCGGCCAUAUUCAACCUCAAAACGUCAUGUCCCAGCCGCCAACGUCAUGUGCCCACCUAUAAGACCUUGGCCCAAGCCUCCAGCGUCGCUCCAGUUCCCUCCUGUCUUCCCGUCCAACUCUUGCCUUUCCCUGCUUCCCUCGUCUCCUGCUCCUCAACUGCUGCAGGAUACAGCGUGAGGUACGUCAAAGGGUCCGCAGUUUGUUUUCUUCUUGUGAAAACCUUUGGAUGUUUCAGUGGCUAUAAUGUCUUGUGAAAUUCCCCAAUUCUCUUGCGAGCAUGGAUGUAGUGACGCCAAUGAGCACUCGGGGCAGCAGGGCGAUGUACACCGGCCUGAUCAUCCUGUUGCUCGCUGUCGGCGCAGGCAUCAACUUCGGCGACUGCGACGGAUUAUCUGGCCCACUCCUCAGCUUCCUGGGGGUUGUCGCCGGCGCCAACAUGAUCGCCGCCGUCAUCAGGACGGCCGACGACCCAGCAGCACCCAUCGGCCCCGCGCCCGCAGCGUUCGCCGGUGCAAACACAAGCACCACCUCCUGAUCAGUUUACACACCUGAUCAGUUUACACACCUGAUCAGUUUCUUUAAAGCCAAUUGCGAAUCUGUAAGCACACAUUCCGGGGUCCUGUUUUUCCUACAGCUCAAUACACGUAACACUCAGUUCUGGGCACACAUCUACCAAAUAUCCUGAUGCCUAUGAAAUUGGAAUAGACAAGUUGAAAUGGAUGUACUCACAAGGUGAACAUAUGUCCAUCUCCCAAUCAAAUAUACCAAUAUCAACGCUAACACCGUAGGUGCUUGCUGAGUAACAGACUCAAAAACAGAUGGAGUGCAGUACUCAUCUUCUGCAGCAAAUCCAAGAUUCUUGUAGCCUUGUAGGAUCCCAAGUUGAGGCGUCUAGUGGUAUUUGAGGUACGCCUGCAAAAAUGGUGAGAGUAUUAACCACAGUUGAAACUUUUCUUUUUAUUCUAUUUACUUUGGGUCAAACUGCAGACCUGCAAACACAAGCAUCCCUAUGCAUAUGAAACAAACAGGGACCCAAUCACUCUCUAGUAUCGAUAUUCUUUUCUCUAAGACCAUUGCAUACGCUGAAGUACAAUUCCUGCAUUAGAAAGUCUAAGCAUAUUGUAGUUCAAUACGGAACAGAAAGAGAAGAAAUCAAUUUCAACCUGGAUGCAUCCCCCAUAAAGAUAUCAGUACGGCCGCAUGUCCACACCAUGCGAGCGCAACACAGUUCAUUAGGAGAACGAUAAAUAACUACACGAAAGCUAGUAGAUUGAUGGAGAACAUGUUUACCUGCUGGCAGCAUCCAGCUUACCUCUCUUUCAUAUUUAUCGUACAGAUUCUGAAACUCAUCUCCCCAGCAAUCAGCCAAGCCUGGAGCUUCAUUGGGACAAAACAGUGACCACUAUUCAUUGCGUUGUACCUUUUCAAUGAAUAGAUCAGGAACCCACAGAGCAUAGAAGAUCCCUUGCACGAUUCUCCUCCUAUAAAUAUCACAUAAAAAAACUUUUCACAGAUGAGGCAAUCUAAUGUAAUAGCAUGCCAAGCGCUUAUAGUGCAAUUCUUAUACAGUGUGCUACGAAGACAGUAAUCAACUGUCAAAAUGUAUUCAAUCGCAGCUGGCAAUUUUCAAGAAUGUGUGCUAUUGUUCAAGAGCUUUUACCUUUCCAUGGUUCUUUCUUCCAUCAAGAAACUCAAAGAUAUCAGGAUGCCAAGGCCCCAAAUAAAUAGCAAAUGCACCUAACAAAAGGUAUUUGUAAGAAAUCCUCAGCAAUCAUGUAAAUAGGACCGGGCUAACUUACUGAUGCUACUUACCUUUUCUCUUGCCUCCACCUUGAUCAACAUAACGGGCAGUAUCAUUGAAAACACGUAGCAUAGGAACAAUUCCAUUAGAAGUACCAUUUGUUCCUCAAAUGUAGCUCUAUGUUGUGAAUUGAGACACCAAUUCCUCCAGCGCAUUUGCUUAUCGCAGCACAUUCCGAGAGAGUAUCAUAAAUUCCCUCAAUACUAUCAUCUUUCAUGCAGAUAAGGAAGCAGCUACUUAGCUGCACAACAUUAAAUAGAAGGAUGAGAUUAAAUGCACAAGUUAACAGUCCACACUCCACACUGAACGCAUUUUUGGUUAAAUUUGGCACUGCAGUACCCGGGGCCUUGGAGUGCCAGCAUUGAAAAGGGUCGGGGAAGCAUGAGUGAACCAGCGCUGAGACAUCAUGUGGUAUGUUCUGACAGCCGAUUCAAUAUCAUCCUUAUGUAUGCCAACAAAAACUCUCAUCAACAUAUGCUGCGGCCUUUCCACGACCUUUCCACCAACUUUCAACAGAUAAGACCUCUCAAGUGUCUUAAAACCAAAAUAAUCAUAGUCGAAAUCUCAGUCAUAUUUUAUCUCAUUGUCCAAGCGAGCAGCAUUCUUAAGUUAUACAGAAGUCAAAAGUUGAGUGCUUAGUUGCAUGAGUCAGACUAUAUGAUAAGAGGAGUUAGUCGGAAAUAAAAUAAACUAAGUACACAGAUGCACCAAUGUAAAUUACAACCACAAAUAGUAUUCCAUCUAUUUCAUGGUUUUUUUUGCAUAAAAUUAAGCACCAAAAGAACCAUAUCGGAUCUUAAUUACACUACGGGAAACCUUAAAAUUGCCGAGUGUAUUUUUUUUGCCGAGUGUUUUUUUUCGAGCACUCGGCAAACAAGCUCUUCGACGAGUGCCAAGCCAAAAACACUCGGCAAAAAAAAAACACUCGGCAAUUUGGGGCUUUGCCGAGUGUCAAAUAAAAAACACUCGGCGAAGCCCCCUCUUUGCCGAGUGUCAAAAAAAAACACUCGGCAAAAAGGGGGGUUUGCUGAGUGUCAAAAAAAACACUCGGCAAAUAGGGGGGUUUGCCUAGUGUUUUUUUUGACACUCGGCAAAAAAAUAAUUUUUUUUCCUCUUUUCGCCAUGAAAUUUUUUCUACUCCCCACAUACAACAUGUGGUACUCCAUGUUAAAAUUUGGUAUAUUUUUGGAUUUAUUUGCUAUAUUUAUUUAAUUAAUUGCAUUUCAAGGGAAUUUUUGGUAUAAGUCAAAUUUGAACUGCAAGUGAUUCAAAUUAUGGACAAAAUGAGUAGAAAAAUUAUAUUCAUGUUUCUCGGCCCAAUUUGAGACCUGACCCAUGAAAUGACAAGAAAAUUUCGAACAUCUUGUUCAGGAAACACGACCACGAACGUGUGGCAGUGGUAUUUUUAAAUUAUAAAAAAAACAAGCAAAGUCUGAAAAUCAUGAGAUUUGUCAUGAUGUGAUGAUAUCAUAGGUGGAGGCUGUGGAAAAAAAAUUGAGAAUGUUUUGCACAUUUCGUCACGUACGAUGUUUACAAACCGAAGCAUCUCAGAAUAAAAAUAAGAACUUUGAGAGCAUUCGAUAAGAUUUAGAAUCGAAGUGACGGUCGAGUUUGGUUUGACCACAAAACUUUUUGUAUAGUCAAUAGAGAACAUAUAUUGGUUCGUGUGAAAAUUUGGUAUUUUUUUGAAACUGUUAGAUAUUUUUAAAUUUUUUUCAAAAACCGUUUGCCGACACUUGGCGAAGAUACCCUUUACCGAGUGUCCACAUAGGACACUCGGCAAAGGCCAAAAAAAAACCCGGGCCGCUCCUCAAAUCCCCGCACGCAAGCCCCGCACCCGGCCGUCGUCCUCCUCCCGGCCGCAAGCCCCGCAUCCGCCCCCUCCUCAGCUCCCUCCUCUCCUUCUUCCCCCUACCUGCACCCCUGCGCCGCCACCCCCUCCCUCCCUCCUCUCCCUCUUCCCCGUCGCCGGCCGGUCCCUCCCCUCCCUCCCCUUCUUCUUCCCCACCGGCGUCCGCCCCUCCCUCCCUCCUCUCUCUCAUUUCCGCCGCCGCCUACCCUUCCCCUCCCUAAUCCCGCCUCUGCCCCGGCCCCCUCCACUCCAUCUCCGCCGCCCCUCCCCGGAUCCGAUCGGAUCCGGCCGCCGGCCCGCCCCUCUCCCCGGAUCCGGCCACCGCCCCGCCCCUCUCCCCGGAUCCGGCCGCCACCCCGCCCCUCCUCCCCGGAUCCGGGGGGGACUCCGCCCCGGAUCCCUUCAACCGGUGUGGUGGUGGAGGUGGUGGCAGGCCAGGUGUGGUGGAGGUGGUGGUGGUGGUGGCCGGCGGGUGCGCUGGUGGAGGUGGUGGCCGGAAGGUGCGGUGGUGGAGGGUGGCCGGCAGGUGCGGUUUCCCCUUCCCUUCCCCUCCCCUCCCUCUCCGAUGGAUCCGGCGGCGUCAGCCCUCCCCUCGCCGGAUCCGGCGGCGCCGGCCUCCUCUACAGAUCCGCGGUGGUGCUGAGGUGGUGGCGGAGCAGGCGGUGGUGGCGGCAUGGGAGGUGGUGCUGGUGGAGCAGGCGGUGGUGGUGGCGGCGGCGGAGCAGGAUGUGGUGGCGGCGGCGGCGGAGCAGGAUGUGGUGGCGGCGGUGGCGGAGCAGGAUGUGGUGGCGGUGCUGGCGGUGGUGGCCGGUGGUGGCCGGUGGUGCUGGCGGUGGUGGCCGGUGGUGGCUGGUGGUGCUGGUGGUGGUGGCGGCGGCGGCGGAACAGGUUUUUUUUUUAUUUUUUUCAACAAUUGUAUGCCGAGUGUUUUCUGGCCACUCGGCAAAGUCUUUGCCGAGUGCGCGACAGAAAACACUCGGCAAAUCCUUGUUUGCCGUCACAGAGUUUGCCAUGUGCCGUUUGCCGAGUGUUACACUCGGCAAACGGCUCGCCGAGUGUAUUUUGCCCUUCGCCGAGUGCCAGGGCACUCGGCGAUUUUCUUGUUUCCCGUAGUGUUACAGCAUUCCAAUGAUAAGCUAUCACAGAAAGUUUAAACAGUAAAACACACAAACUAUCGAAAUGGCAAGAAAGAUGAUACAUGUUUUUUCUCUAAAUAAAUUGUUGGGCCCUUAGCCCAUGCAUCACACCUUCAUUAUGAUCUCGUACACAACAUCGGCAAUCAUGGGAGCCAUCAAGCCAGACCUCUCAUCGCAAUGCACAUACAGAACCUUUACCCUGCAUACAGAGAUUAAUAGAACCAAUCACGGCACGGAUAAUCAAACUCUCCUCCUAGAGUAGACAAGAAAAAUGAAGUCAUCGUACGUCUCUGAGAAGGGCUUCAUGGUGUUCUUGUGCAGGUUGGAGACAGCGAUCCUCCCUGCCAGCUUCAUAGAGCAAAGGAGGAAAAGGCAAAAGCAGUCAAUAAUUAUCCAAUCGAGUUGCUCUAGCAGCAGACCAAAAAAAUCUCGCAGACGAUUAAAUUAUGGGGCGAGCAGAUCAGUCACCGAUGCGUAGUCGGGGUGCGAGGCGGUCAUGGCGGCGGCGGUCUUGGUGGCAAGCUCACCGAUCUAGCUGGUAGUGACGCCCCUGUAGACGCCGGCGCAGACCUUCUGUGCGACGAGGUGGGCAGGAGGCGGCGGUGUGGAGACCUAGCAGGAGAGGAAGGUUGAUGUGUGCACGCAUGGAGGAGGACUGGAUCUCGGAGGGAGCCAGGGAUCCGAGGAAAGAAGAGUUCAUCGUCAGGGAGCACGUUGUGGCGGUCUCCUCGCCGCCCUAUUCGCCCGCGUGGAGGAGAGGCGCCCCGGCGUGGCCGGCGUGAUUGGAAGAGGAGCUCACGGAAGGGCCAGCGACGGACUGGGAGAGGAGCUCACGGAAGGGGAUGGGACACGGACGGUGGAUGGCACACGGACUUUUGUAAAAAUAUUAAGUCAAAACCCUCUCGGUUGAUUACGAAAAAGGUAAUAAAAAAGUUAAGAGGUGUUCAGGAUGGUGGGAACCCAACUUCAUAUUCUACGUAAUAUUAUAAGGACUUCUUUGGUAACUUGAAACCCUGAGGGGAUCCCAUUAUUUUUCACGGGUUGGAAGCCCACGCGGGCUACUCACCACGGGCCGAAUCACCUCGUCGUUUGGGAGCCCAUCGGACGGGGAGGCCUGACCACAUCCGCGAGUUUUCCCUAGGACGAGCCGUCCUCACCUCGAGGGUCCUGGCGGCGCAUCCCCGAGUGUUGUCACCGCCUGCGACGUGAGGAAGCUAGCGCCAACUCUUCAAGCCCCCACCACUCCAUCCAAGAGCCGCCAUCCAUCAGCUUUCCUAUCCGGCGCCGCUGCCCCUACGCCUUCCCGUCCGGCGCCGCCGCUCUGCCUCCCCCAUCAACGGCAACACUACCACUCACUCGCCGUCUCCGGUACUCUCCGCGACGAAUUUCUCGAUCUACACCGACACCACCUCGACUAGCGACCAAGCGCUGCCACCCCUCCGCAUCCCUGUCCAUGCGCUGUCGCCCCCCUCCGCAUCCCCGUGCCUGCCUAGGAGCAACUCCGCCAUCUCGAUCUGUUUCGACAAGACCCUCUUCCUCCUCGGCCAACAUAUGUAAAUUUUCUCCCUCACCCUCUCCUCCCCUUUCCUGAUUCCAUUUAGAUCUUGGUGUAUUAGCUCCAAGAUCCACUUCUUGCCCGUCAACAACCUUUGCAUCCAAGAUGUGCGAACCUGCUGAACGAAAUUGUGAUGCUAUAUGACUAUUCAGAGUAGCAUUUUCUUGUAGUCUGUAUUUAGUCACUAAAAUUGUGAUGCUGAACGAAAUUGUGAUGCUAUGCUGAAGCUUUAUCCGUCCUUUGGUUUAAUGAUUACUGAAAAAUAACUUUGUAAAUAGUGAUAAGAUUUUUGUUCUAUCAAACACGAUCCCGGUUUGUGAGCUUGCUUGCUGCUGCUUAGAUCAAUAUUGGCUUCUCACGUCAACUAUGCUAAUGUUGAGGUGAUAAUCAAUCCUUCACUAGCAUCAGGAUGUAUAUGCAGACUAACUUUUGUCUCUCUUGAUUCCUAGUUAGCAUCAAAAUAUUGUACAUCUUGUAAUUAAUGUGCCUUUUUUCUUAAACAACAUCUUUCUGAAUAAUGUGGCCAAAUAAAAAUAUUAAGAAUGAUGCCUACCACUAGUCCUGAUGUUUGUUUUAUGUUGGUGGAAAGACCGCUACGUAGUAAUUCAGCCAUAGAUUGAUAUGCUGGCUAUGUUUUAUGUUAGAUACUGCUGUCGAAUGAAUCAGUCUUGUUAUUUUGGUUGUCUGUUCAGAUAGCUUGCUUUGGUUAGUUGUAAUUAUUUCAUUCACAACAACAGAUUGGCAGAUUGCUUUGGCAGCAGCAGUGCAGGUUCUUGUUUAGUUCAGAACGUAAGCUAGCGGUGGCAGUAGCUUUUUUUAGUUCAGCUGCUCAGCUGGUUUGUUUCUCUAAAUUUCUAUCAGUUCGGUUCAGGACAGAUAAGAAGCUAAGCGCCCCUUGCUAACUGACUUAACCGAUACUAGAUGGAAUUAAUUGAAAGAGAGUACUCAACGUGGAUUCAUUCAUUCUCUGUUGCUUCAUUAAUAGUAGAUUCAGAACCUUUUUGUUUUGCUACUUGUGUAGUCCAAGAUAAGUAGGUCCGUCUUGCAGAAAUUUACUUUUUAAUCAAGCAUUCUCGGAUUUAUAUACGAGGAAAUAGAGCUAGAAUGUACCACAUACAGAGUAAAGUAUAAUGCCUUAGUUUACUUGCCUCACACAUAACUGGUCAACUAUAUAUUCACGUCAUAUCUCUUUGUUGCUUGAUCUUUCGCUUCCAUUGUUCAUGAGACAAAAUGUUUACAAUUUGGUGUUCCAAUUGAUAUUGCAAACAUGUGGCAUUAUGAGGCACCAUAUUGCAUAUGACUUGGCGGAAGCAACAUAUGAUCAGAGAAAUGUGAAGUGGCCUUCAUCAUUAGCAUCUGAGAAGUUCAAGAUCGUAGCUAGAUUUUGCUCCUCCUGUCUAUCAAUUUUUAUAUACAUGCAUCUACUAUUUAUCUAUUUUUUAUGUUACUAGCGUCUAUGUAAUAUAUUGGUGUCUGAGCUGGAUGACUAUAAUUUAAAUAUUGGUGCAGAUUUUAGCUUCCAGUUUAUAUUGCUGAGGUAGAUCACUUGUUUUAGCUUUUAGUUUAUAUUUCAGAGCGAUGUCAGUUUGAGUGUUUAUUUGGAGUUUCAGAAUAUUGGACAUGUGCAAUUUACAGCUUACAACGAGCUCAUAAUCAAUAUGUCAUGAUAUGCAAGUUUGUACAUACAUCCUGGGUAUCGUACCAACGAGGAAGCUCGUAAUCAAUAUAGGGGUGUUUGGAUACCUUUGCUAAACUUUAGCAGCUAAAAGUUGCUAAAUUUUAGCAAGGCUGUUUGGAUACCUUUGCUAAACAACAUUUAAUGAGGUGAAUAAAGACCUGUUUGCCAGACAAGCAAUAAUGAGGGGCAAAGGGUGUCCACCUCACCUUUUAGCAAAGUUUAGCAACUAACUUGCUAAAGAGCUAAAGUUUAGCAACCAUAGCUUAGCAAACUUUAGCAAGAGUGUUUGGCAAAUUUUUUGUUAAAAGUUGCUAAACUUUAGCUGCUAAAAUUUAGCAAGGGGUAUCCAAACACCCUGUAGUCAUAAUAUGCGUGGGCAUCGUGGGCAAUCUGAGUGAUUCCAAGGAAUAUCGGCUCCCGAGGAUUGUAGAGGCCUUGCUUCCAACAGGUAAGGGGACAGGGAAGCAACAGGUAAGGGGACAGGGAAGGGAGAACGGCUUCCAACAGGUAAUAUUUGCUACCCAGGGCAAAUCGGCGCACGUUCCAAUCAGGCGAACGUUCCGAAAGUGGCAUGGAUUGGGAAGUUUGACGGCCAACGCGUUUGUCUCCUACGGAGUACUUUCUUUGUCCUACUCGCUCCAGUCUAUAAACAAGACAUGCCCAAGCCUCCAGCCUAGACAAUCCCAAGCCUCCAGCCUCGCUCCAGUUCCCUCCUGUCUUCCGGUCCAACUCUUGCCUUUCCCUGCUUCCCUCGUCUCCUGCUCCUCAACUGCGUGAGGUACGUCAAAGGGUCCGCAGUUUGUUUUCUUCUUGUGAUUGUGAAAACCUUUGGAUUUUUCAGUGGCUAUAAUGUCUUGUGAAAUUCCCCAAUUUUCUUGCGAGCAUGGAUGUAGUGACGCCAAUGAGCACUCGGGGCAGCAGCAGGGCGAUGUACACCGGCCUGAUCAUCCUGUGGCUCGCUGUCGGCGCAGGCAUCAACUUCGGCGACUGCGACGGAUUAUCUGGCCCACUCCUCAGCUUCCUGGGGGUUGUGGCCGGCGCCAACAUGAUCGCCGCCGGCGUCCGGACGGCCGACGACCCAGCAGCACCCAUCGGCCCCGCGCCCGCAGCGUUCGCCGGUGCACAUGCGUUCAUGCGGCGCAACCUCGCCGUCGUGGGGCUCGUCAUGGUUUCCUCUGCUUCCACAGCGGUCGCGGGGGAGACAGGCCCGGCGUUCUCCUUCAUGAUGUUUGUCCUGCUGGUGUUCGGGGUCUCUCUGAUCAACAUCGGAGUUCAUGGCGCCUAGUCUGGUGUGUCAGCUCCGGUCCGUUGGUGCUCGCAUCGUUCUUCAUACGUUGUCAUUCCCCUCAACUAUCUGUCAGUAAUCGCCGUCUCUGUCCACGGAUGGUUUUCGAGUAACAGUAAUAAAGGAAAUGGAAUUGGAAUUGGAAUUGCAUUUUUUUUUGAACCGAUGGAGUACUAUUUCUCAAUAAUCAACCAGUAUGUUUUUCCUUAAUUACUACAUGCUUCUUUGUACUUGAGUUACGUUGGUGUCGACCUGCUAUGUUUGUGAGCUCAAGUACCUUUUCAUGGGAACAUGUCAUAUUCCAUCUCCAUGAUUCCACACUUGCUAUCCUAGUUGAGUAGCAGAAGAUCAUCCUGCCCCUACUUUUCAGCCGCUUUAUUUAAUUGCCGUUGGAGACUAAUUGACGCCAGGAGUCAAGACGUAUCCAUGUCGGUCAAGGCGCUGAUCUGCGAGAUCCGACGCCAUUUUUCGGGUUGGUUUCCGGUCAUGGGCGACCGCAGUACUACUAAGACCAUCCAGUACUACUAAGACCAUCCACCAGCUAAAUUUGGAUCCAAACAGGGCAGCGAUGGAGCUGACGUGCAUAUUGCGACGGACAACGACAGAGGCGGCGCGUUCGUAAGUCGUAACGGGGUGCGGGUGGGAAGAAAUUCUUUAGAGACCGGAUGCAAACCCCGCUCCCUGCAUACCCGACGCCGAUGUGCGCCACGUGCCACGUGGGCGUCCGAGGGAUUCAGGAGACGCGGCUCCAUGUCACGGACGCCGCUCCAGACGCAGACGCGGCUCCAGGUCACGGACUCGGCUCGGCAGUGCGUUGGGCGAGCGUGACGUGCGGACGCGAGCCGCUGCCUCCUCCAUCUGCACCCGUCGCCUCGCUAUGUUUUUCCUUAAAAUCUACGUGCUUCUUUAUACUUGAAUUACGUUGGUGUCGACCUGCUAUGUUUGUGAGCUCAAGUAUCUUUUCACGGGAACAUGUGAGGCCUUGUUUAGUUACCCAAUUUUGAGGUGCUCAAAUUACUGUAGCAACACUGUAACGUUUCGUUUGUAUUUGUGAAUUAUUGUCCAAAUAUUAACUAAUUAGGCUCAAAAGAUUCGUCUCGCAAAGUACAACAAAACUGUGCAAUUAGUUUUUGAUUUCAUCUACAUUCAGUACUCCAUGCAUGUACCGCAAGUUUGAUGUGAUGGGUUUUUGCAUGGCUUCACCUCCAAAUCCCAACUUUGACACUAUGCAAAAAGAAGAUUCCCCAUCACAUCAAACUUGCGGUACAUGCAUGGAGUACUGAAUGUAGACGAAAUCAAAAACUAAUUGCACAGUUUUGUUGUACUUUGCGAGACGAAUCUUUUGAGCCUAAUUAGUCAAUAUUUGGACAAUAAUUCACAAAUACAAACGAAACGCUACAGUUACGCUAUAGUAAUUUUGGUUGUCCCUAAACAAGCCCUGAUAUUCCAUCUUCGUGAUUCCACACGUGCCCCUACUUUUCAGCCGUUUUAUUCAAUUGCUUUUAUUUGACGCCACGAGUCGAGACACAACACGUAUCCAUGUGGGUCCCGGCGUUGACCUGCGAAACAUCAUCAGAACCAAAGCUUCGGAAACAUCGGUUUCGAAGCCGCUAAUGACUUGAGUCGCGAAACAAUAAAUAGGUCGAAAGUGAUGGCCUAUUUAUUGUUAACCUGAAAGACGUAUCCCACAUGGAUUUGCCAUCAACUCAAUCAGGGGGUGUUUGACAACGCACACGUGUCACAUCGGAUGUUUGGAUACUAAUUAGGAGUAUUAAAUAUAGUCUAAUUACAAAACUAAUUGCAUAGAUGGAGUCUAAUUCGCGAGACGAAUCUAUUAAGUCUAAUUAGUCAAUGAUUUGACAAUGUGGUGCUACAGUAACUAUUUGCUAAUGAUGGAUUAAUUAGCCUUAAUAGAUUCGUCUUGCGAAUUAUACUCCAUCUGUACAAGUAGUUUUUUAAUUAGCUCAUGUUUAGUCCUUCUAAUUAGCAUCCGAAUAUCCGAGGUGAUCCUACUAAAGUUUAGCACCUCGUAUCCAAACACACCCUCAGUUAACCGGCCUGUUAAUCAGGACCACCACCACCCCGUAUGCUUGUUAUUAUGGAGCAAGAGGAUCGUAACAGCUCAUAGUAAUGAUGAUGUGUUGUGCUCCUGCGCUUUAGGUGACCGCAAGAAUGCUCAUCUUACCGCUCUAGAAGAUGCCGGCGAGAGGUUGCAGUUGGUCAAGGCUGACAUGCUAGACUACAGCAGCGUCGCGUCGGCGGUCGCAGGUUGUGAGGGUGCCUUCCAUGUCGCCAGCCCUGUCCCCUCGGGCAAAUCCUCCAACCCUGAGGUGAUUUUGCACAAAAAGUUUUUUCUUUUUCUUAAAAUUUCAGGUUAUUUACUGGGUUGUGUAUUGCAAACUUUUAUUCACUUUUAGAAGAAGGGGCAUAAGUAGUUGAACACUGCGAUCCAGUAGGCUCUGACAUGCUGUUAAUAAUAUCUGCAUAGUACUCUAUGCAUCUGUAUAUUUAACAUGGCCUCAUGGAUUGUAUUUUCUCAAAAGAUUAUCUUUUUACUGUUCAGGAGACUUAUGUGUUCAUUGGCUGUCUGGUGAUCAUUCUCUUAAUGUUUCCACUUUUUGCUACUUUUGCUGAUAACAGAAGGCGUUAUGAUGUUCUGUACUUCUAUUCCUUUGGAGUUUAUGUGUUCAUUGGCUGUCUGGACAUCUUUUGCAGGCAGAUGUUAUAGCUCCUGCUAUAACUGGCACACUGAAUGUAUUGAAAGCUUGCAAGGAGGCAAAAGGGAAGCGAGUUGUUGUGGUGUCUUCAGUUUCUGCUGUAUUCAAUAAUCCUAACUGGCCUAAGGACAAGACCUUUACUGAGGACAGCUGGUCAGAUGAGGAGUACUGCAGAAAGAAUGAGGUAUACAUCAUAGCAUGUUUUCUCUUCAGGUCUGAACAUCUGAACAGCAUGAUGAAUUGAGAAAAUACAGACAAAUCUAUCAUGUGGCAGUUCACAUUUUACAUGGAAACUACAAUCUAGUGGCUCAGUGUAGAUACACCAAGCGAGUAUGGAGCCUCGUGGCCACUUGGACAUCGCAACCAAGCAUACAACCCUCGGAAUGGCCCCCAACCGAAACCGCUCUGGAAUGGUGGAUGAAUAUGACUACAAGGACUGAAGCACCUAGAAAGGGCACAUGUUCUGUGGCGCUGCUGCUAAUAUGGGAAAUCUGGAAGGAGCGAAAUAGGCGAAUUUUCAACCAUCAAGAGAUGGCAACAACCUCUCUGCUGGCUAAAGUCAAGGAGGAAGCAAGCACAUGGAUCUUAGCAGGGGCAAAAGCUUUAGCGACCUUUUUAUCUAGAGAGUAAUCAUGUAAGCGUACCAUAAUAUGAAACACUACUGUAAUAACCUACUCUAUCAAUGAAAUAGGCACCGUCUCGUGCCCAUUCAUUCAAAAAAAAAACAAUCUACUAUCCAACAAAGUUAUUAUCACAGGACCGUCCAGGAUUAUGCCCUUUGUUCUUACUGCCAGGCGUCCCCCCCGCCCCCCAAAGGCCAAACUGUUUUUGACAUGCUGACAUCCAGCCUUGAUUUAGUAUUUUGAUAAUAUAAGUUCUUUGUUAAACCUCACGGACUACUGCUUUUAAUGGGAUAAGUAAUAUUUAUGUCCUCAAGAACUCAUAAUAAAUCAUCUGAGCUUUUGUUCUUGCGGGAUUGGUAUUUCCUUUCUAAAACACUGGCAGAGCAUGAGGCUUUUGCUUAUGCAGCAAAAACUGGGCUGGACAUCGUCACUAUUUGCCCAUCAUUGGUAAUUGGACAGAUGAUGCAACCUACAGUGAAUACGAGUGUCAAAGUCUUCCUCAGUUAUAUCAAAGGUGGACAGUAUUUAACUUGUUACCAGUGAGUCUUUUUUAUUUGCAUCGAGUAGUACAAUGAUAAUGAUGGUUAAGUAGUUCACAUUUUCCUUUUUUUUUCUUUUGAAAUGCAAGGUAGAAGCAUUGCUUUUCAGCUACUCCUCUGAUCCCAAAUUAGGACAUCAGCACGGUCUUCAAUUUACACUUUUGCCAGCCAUAUUUAUAAGAAAGUAUUAUUUUUAAUAGAUAUAAUUGCAUAUUAUGGAAAUAUUUUUCAUGAUGAAUCACAUCAACCUCAAUUGUCAAUCUAUAUAAAUUUUUAGUUAUUCGUGGUCACAUAAAAAAAUGACUUUUCUUUAAACUUAAUAAAGUUUGACUUAGGACAAAGCCAAAUGGACUUGUAUUAGAUAUCAGAGGGAGUAAAUACAAAGAUAUUUGUUUCCUCUUAUGUACAGUGUUUCAAGAUUUAUUGGCAUCCACAACAACACUACCAUUAAUGAGCUUAUAGAUUUUCUAUUUGAGCAGGAGUGCAGAAAAAAUAUACUAAUGUAUCAUCUGUUGUGUGUUUCCAACAGAAAGCAAUGAAGCUUAUCAAUCAAUCCCAUAGUCUUUAACUCAUUUUUUUUCCAAAGAUCAAGCACCCUUAUUUAGCAUUUUAGUGUAUGCGUGAAGGAGUUGAAGUAUGCUGUCUAUGGAAGUAAACUCUGUUUCACAUUUCAUGCAGGAGACCAGGAGACAGUUCAAAAUGGAUUCAAGAAUCUAGUGGAUCGUUCGUGAUGUAGCUGAUGCCCUUAUGUUGGCUUACGAAAAUCCACAGGCGUCUGGACGGUACCUCUGCAGUUCAUCGCCAAUAAGAGUCUCUGAUAUUGUAAACAUAUUAAAGAGGUCAUUUCCAACACAUACUUAUCCUGAAAAGUAAGACCCUUUCUAAGCAAACAAUUUUGUUGUGUCUCUGGCAUGCGGCUCUGCAUGUGUGAUUGCUGAUUUUACUUUCUGCAUAGCUGGAAUUACCUAGAGUUGAAUUGGUGAAAAAUGAAACUGUCCCCAGUUUUUUCUCUUAACAUGUUAGCACUGUCCUAAUUUUUAGAUUAAGGAAAAGAUCCGGCCUCAACCAAGCACUGUCCUAAUUGGCUGCGCAAUAGUGCUAUAGGCCUACCAUUACGUAACUAGGGCAUUAUUCACGCUGUUUAGCAGGUAGUAAUGAAUUAUGCACUUUGGAACUUUGCAAAACUACUGUGUUUUGCCAGAACACUGAAUGCAUGUUCACCAUGUUCUUCCUUCCCUUCUGUUCUAGUCACUCAACCUUUUCUUUGAUGUGAAAGAAAGUUAGUCCCUGACAUUUGGGGUGCAAAUUAUCCGUCUCCAUUUCAAUGAAAUGGCUUGCAGCUCUGUGGAAGUGAUCACAUAUAACACAGAGAAGCUUCGGAAGCUAGGGUGGACCUACAGGCCUAUGGAGGAAACCAUCCGGGAGAGCGUCGAAUGCUACCGAGGUUUGGGCAUCCUGAACUGAGCAUCCAUCCAGGCUGGGACACCUUUGCCAGCUUUGGCUACUAGCAAACUGUUUGUGUUGACAUGCAAACAGGGAAACAGAAUAAGCUGGUCAUGGAACCGGUUAGUGCAACGACUGCACGGUGUGAGGUAGUGCACAUGUUGAGAUUCAGAACGCCAUCGUUUCAGAGUCGUCUCUAGGCUUUUAGGCUGCAGAGCAUGCAGUAUUCUAUGAGGGUUACUUGUUAUGCGUUGUAAAUUUGUGAGUACAGAGUUGAACUGCCAAUUCAGAGUUUUCAAGAACAAAUCCAAUUGGCAGGUCAGUUUCUUGGCCAAAUGUGCACUUCCUGAUUGCUGACAUGGGCUUUAUGGCCAGACACAAUAUAUUUGAUGAUACUCAUGCGCCCACAAACUUGCUAUCUGAAAAUAUUUCAGGUUAGCCUUCAGGCAGAAUGUUGUUCCCUUUUUUUUGGUGCUGAAUAGGAUUCAUUUUUUGGAGAUGGCUGAAAAUAACUUUUUCCUGAAAUUUGAGCUGUAAAAAUAAUGUCUCUGGCUCUCUGAUGCUACUGAAGGGAUUGAAGCAGGACUCAGUAGCUUGUACGGCAACACAUUUUCAAAGCUUUCUUUACUUUCAUCAUAGGGCCAAGGUUAAGCAAGGUGAGCGAGAGGUAACAUGGCAUCCGUAUUGGAUGGCUCUAGUACAUUUUUGGUUUGGAAUAUUUUCAAAGGAAUAAUGUAUUUGGAAGGUACCCCAGUACAUACGGCAGUACAUUACUGUGCAUGCCUAACUAUUUUAGCACCAUGUGCUAAGCAUGAUUUUGGCACGUACGUGACGUCUGCUUUAAUUUGAUGGCUGUACAUGCGCCUAAGCAGUUCGUUCAAAAAGAAUUACCAGAAACGAAGAGCGCUGAAGGCUAUUAUAAACCCAAAUACACAACGGCUGCAUCGCUCUUCAGCCUGGACGCAAGACGGCAGGAGUCAGCUGGGCAUUGAGACGGCCGGAGAGCAACGGACUGAGCAGAGGGAGAAAAAGCAUGGCGGCGCCGGCGAGGAGCACGGUGUGCGUGACCGGCGCGGGAGGGUUCGUGGCGUCGUGGCUCGUCAAGCUCCUCCUCUCCACCGGCCACUACGCCGUCCGCGGCACCGUGCGCGAUCCCAGUACGUAACGUAACCACACCCUCGCCGCCGGCCUUGCUCCCUGCCGGGAAGCUUCUGAUGGCAAACAGGGCCCUUGAUUCUGCAAGCAGUUGACAAUGCACUGGAUAUACUAAUUCCAGCAUGAAACAUUCGCGGUGUAGGUGGUGGCAAGAAUGCUCAUCUCAUGGCGCUGGAAGGUGCCGGGGAGAGGCUUCGGUUGGUCAAGGCUGACGUACUGGACCACAGCAGCGUGGCGUCGGCAAUCGCCGGCUGUGAUGGUGUCUUCCAUGUAGCCAGCCCUGUGCCGUCCGGCCCAUGUCCCGACCCUGAGGUGAAACAACUUAGGAGGUGUUUGGAAGACAGGAGCUAAACUUUAGCCCCUGUCACAUUGGAUGUUUGGACACUAAUUAGGAGUAUUAAACAUAGGCUAAUUACAAAACUAAUUGCACAACCCCUAGGCUAAAUCGCGAGAUGAAUCUAUUAAGCCUAAUUAGUCCAUGAUUUGAUAAUGUGGUGCUACAGUAACCAUUCGCUAAUGAUGGAUUAAUUAGGCUUAAUAGAUUCGUCUCGCGAUUUAGCCUAGGGGUUCUAAUAUUAGUUUUGUAAUUAGUUCAUGUUUAGUCCUCCUAAUUAGCAUCCGAACAUCCGAUGUGACAGGGCUAAAGUUUAGCCCCUGGUAUCCAAACGCCUUUAGCUGGCUUCGGUUUUGGCACUGUAGUGCAUCUAGCGCGGGCCGAGCUGGAGCGGGGGAAGCUAUUUUCUUUUUUGCUUCACCAGCUUCGGUUUGCAUUUUGACUUCAUACUACAGUGCAACACAGUAGUACUAUGUUUUCCUUUUUUUUUCUUAUUAGUUUCUGUACAUUGUUUCAUUCUUUCUUUUUUUUUUCCUGAUAAGUGUACAACAUCAUUAGCCGUCCUUUUUAGUAAGGACUUUUUUUAAGGCAGCGGGUGUAGAGCUAGCUUCGUAGAAACCUUUUCGGAUUCAAAUUUUUUGGAAAAAUAUGAUUUGAAAAUAAACUCCUACAAAACAAAUUAAGCUGAUUUUUUUCGACAUCAUCAAUUGGCACGCCAAGAGUAUGUAAUUUCUGCAGGAUCAUUUUGUUUUGAUAAACUUUCACCUUUAGAAUCGCUUGAAAUGGUCAUUUAGUUGUGUUUGAUUUGUUUGGUUCAUUUACUAGCCGCACAUAAGUGAGGAAGCGGAGCUGUCGUAGAAGCAGUAGCUUCCCCCGACAAUAUACAAUACUGAGAUUAUAUGAGCAAAUGCCUGAAUCAAAAUACGUACAUUACCUGCUGCACCGAGCAUUGAUUUGAACGAAUUAAUUACCAGAUUUAUUGAGGAGUGUGUACGACUUAGUGGAGUGUUUCCUUUUUAAUAGAAUCAGAGCAGAGGAUUGAAUCGCAUGAAUGGGUUGAGCAUUUUCAUAGAUAUACCCUUUUUCUUAGGCAUGGAUUCUAGGAUUGAAGAAAGGGGAGAUUUCCCACACUUUGAAAGAUUCACCUAUUGGGUGGGGCGUGUUUGAAUUACCUACCCGGGAUUUUUCGUGUAUAUGUUGUUCUUUUGAUGAUAUUUCCAUGUGUCUGCUGCUCCUUCCAAUGCAAAAUAUAUGAAAUAGGAUAUCAGUGUUGCUAAUCAAACCAGGCUUUCUGGCUCUUUGUGGGUGAUACCAGUCUUAUUCUCCCUCUAUUUAUUUUUACAAAACAUAUUUUAUUUCUUUAGGACAAAUAUUUUGCCAACAAUUACUCUGCUAAUAUGUAAUUUAUGUGAUAUAAACUUAUAACAUAAGUAAGUAUUUUAAUACAAAUCUAAUAACAUCAACUUGUGAUACAAAAUUAUGUAUUAAUAGAGUAAAUGUUGGUAAAAGUCUUUGUUCUAACAAAACGAAAAUACGUCUUAUAAAAGUAGACAGAGGAGCACCAGUUUUUGGCUUCUUCAAGUACACUAAGUACAUACUUAGUACUUCCUCUGUCUACCAAUAUAACGCAUAUUUUGAGUUUUUGACUAGGGAAAAGUCAAAGUUAACCAACAAUUUAUCAAAUUAUUUACAUUUUAGUGUAUAAAAACUAAAACAUCAGAUUUGCACUCAAAGUAGUUUUAAGAUGGUUAUAUUAUACCAGAAAUUAGGAGCCACCCUAUCAAAAUACAUCUUAUAUAUUGAUGGACGGGGGUAGUACUUGUCAAUUUGUUAGAAAUAACCAGUAGUUAUGGUAUUCUAUUACCUCCUGAGACUACCUUUUACAAUCCGCGUUGCAGGCAGAUGUCUUAGCUCCUACUAUAACUGGCACACUGAAUGUGUUGAAAGCUUGCUACGAGGCAAAAGUUAAGCGAGUUGUGGUGGUAUCUUCAUUUGUUGCCGUGGGUUUCAAUCCCAAGUGGCCCAAGGGCAUCGCCUUCAGCGAAGAUAGCUGGUCAGAUGAGGAGUAUUGCAGAAAGCAUCAGGUAUAUCAUAGUAGAUCAUUUAAGUAACGUAGCGCAGGAGUAGCUGCUGAAAUCUUUUUGUGCUAAUGUUCAGAUGGAACUGAGCAUGUUUUCUCUCUUCAUCAGGUGCUAAGAGCAUGUCCUCUUCAUGCAUUCUACAUUGAUUUGUUUCAGUUUGAUUUUUCUUUUCUGAAAUAUGAAUGCAUUAUCAACACUUGGUUUAUAGCUUUUGCAUGAUGUAAUAUCCUUCCAUCAAUGACUUGACUGCUUCUAUCCUGGAAGAAUAGGCAGAUUCGAUUUUUGUCUGGAUCAUAUAAAAAUAAUGUUGUCCUUGUUUUUGUUCUUGUAGGAAUUUGGAUGGUAUUUCCUUUCUAAAACAUUGGCGGAGCGUGAGGCCUUUGCUUAUGCAGCAAAAACUGGACUGGAUGUUGUAACUGUUUGCCCAACAUUGGUCAUCGGACCAUUGAUGCAAUCUUCAAUUAGCACAAGCGUUAAAAUAUUUCUUAAUUAUAUCAAAGGUGGAUAUGAUUCAAUUAUUUCUAUUUAGUCAUCUUGAUUUGCAUUUAGUAGCGAGCCGAGAAAAGAGAAAAAUGGGAUGACAUAAAACUUCUUAUUUACAACAACUAGACGAAAGGACUCUAAUCACUUGACUGAUGCAGUCAUGCCUCACUCGGCCAAAAACCAAUUGGUUGUAAGUUGUAACAAAUGGUUCGUGCAUAAAGUAUUUCGCUAAAGUUACAACAAUAGUUUGGGUUGAGAUUUUUCCUUUUCCUUUUCGAAAUGAUCAUAUAGCUUUUAUAUUUGAACUAAAAAGUGUAUAUAUUAAGCCAUUAAGGUAGUACCUCUCUGUUGCUUGUUUUGAAUAGAAAACAAUGAAGCAUAUCAAUCGAUCAUCCUAGUAUUUGAGUUUGGUGCUUUGUCUAUUGAAACAAACACUACCUUCUCUACUGCAACAGAUGAGGAGGAGUCUGUCGAACAUAAGUUUGAGCAUUUUGUGGAUGUUCGUGAUGUUGCUGAUGCUCUUCUGUUGGCUUAUGAAAACCCAAAGGCGUAUGGAAGGUACCUCUGCAGUUCAGCACUAAUAAGAGUCUCCGAUAUUGUAAACAUAUUAAAGAAUUCGUACCCAACGUACAACUAUCACAAAAAGUAAAUCCCUUUUCUCAGCAAGUGAUUUGGUCUGAUUUUAUCUCUGCAUAGAAAAAGUUAUGUUUUGAAACACUAUAUGUUUUGCUAGAUCAUUCAAAUGCUUGCUUACAAUAUCCUUGUCUGUUGCAAUGCGAUGGCUUGCAGCUUUGUGGAAGCAGAAUACAGCACCAGGUGUAACACGGAGAAGCUUGAGAAGCUAGGGUGGAGCUCCAGGCCUAUGGAGAAAACCCUCCAUGACAGCAUCGAAAGCUGCCGAGCACUUGGCAUCCUGAAUUAGCCUCCAACUUGGGGACCAUUUGGCCAUGGUGAGACUGAAUAAGCUAGAGAACCAAUGAGUAGCUCGGGUAAGAGUAGUACCCUCCAUUUGAGGGGCACUCCGUCUGGGGCACGGUUAUGCAUCACAGAAGAUGACAGAUAAAUCGUUGUCAUCUUCUGCGGCUAGCCUGCAGCCUGAUUGGUAGGCCACGUGAUGAUUAUUAGGCUGUACUGUUGAAAGAAUUGAGCGGAGUAACAACUCACUAGAGUUGAUAAUGUCAUCCCCGUGUAAGAGAGUCCGAAAACUAAAAAAGUCAUCACUCUUGAAUCGGACCUUCAAAUUAAAAAUUUUGAUUGUACCAUUAAAUUUUUUAUAGCAAGAUUUUCAAAACAAGACCCCACUUGACUGUGUUUGGAGAAUAUUUUUAAAAAAUAUUUUUUAGAUGCGGAUUAUUUAGUUAUGAAUACUCUCAAUACCACGAACAAAUAACUAUUUCUGUGAACAAAAAAUUAAAUAUGUUUUUUGAGUUCGUAUAUUUUGUUCUAUGCGUAUGAUUUUCUUUCCACGGGUUUGUAUAAUUUGUUCCACAUGUAUAUGUCUCAUAGAAAAUGCUACCUUGAUUAAAAAAUAUGAAUAAAAAAGUUCAUCCAAAUAUAGUCAAAUAGGAUCUUGUUGUAAAGCUUUUAUUGUUAGAAAUUCAAUAGUGCAAUCGGAAUUUAAUUUUGAUGCUCGGUGUAAGAUUUAUAGCUUACACGAUUGCGUUUCUUAUAAUAAAACCUUCACAGCAAGAUCCCACUUGACUAUAUUUUGAAGCAUUUUUUAUUCAUAUUUUUUAAUUAAGGUCGCAUAUUUUCUGCGAGACACGUACACGUGGAACAAAUUCUACGAAACUUAUGGAACAAAACAAUCAUACAUAUCAAACAAAUUAUACAAACUUGCAGAACAAAAACGGAUACCCACGUGCAUGAAAAUUUUUGAAAUUAAAAGAAUACACAAUCAUAAACCAAGCAUUCAUAUUUGAUUUCGAUUGCACCACUGUAUUUCUUUUGACAAAAUUUUCAAAACAGGAUCACAGUUGACUAUGUUUGGAUCAAAAAAUUUAAAACUAUUUUCUAAUAGAAAAUAUUAAUUUUGAUCAUAGCGAAUAAAUACUUGAAUAACUAGAAUAAAUGAUUGUCUAAUGCAAACAAAUAAAAUAACACGAUGAGCGAAUGAUUAUAAAUAAUGAAUGAAAGACUGAACAUCAGAAAAAUAACAUGAUGCAAAUAAAAGAGAUGUACAAAUAAUAAUAUACUCAAAUAAAAAAUUGAAAAUUUGAUAUUGUAAGAAAAAUAGUAGAAUAUGAGAGGAGUUGAUACUCCAAUCUCUUAAGACAAAUCUCAGUUUGUCUUCUCCUAAGAAUGGAGUAGUACUUAUGUGCCUUAUGAAAGCAAUUUCAAGCUAUCCUAAAAUAAGUAGACAUUUGUAUGAACUAGAACAAACAUAUAACUAGUGCGUAUUUCAAACAGCUCAUCCUUUGGAUUUAUUCAAAUCAUCAGCCUAGUGAAAAAAAAGUCUAGGCUAUCAAACAAACGAGCCUGCUUACAUUCUCGGACCAGUGGCUUUUGGAGAAGCUCUGAGUAAGAAACUGAGCAAUAACAACGAUGACAGUGGAACAGAAUUUCCAGAGCCGCCUAUCCUAGUCUCAGAGAAAACCGGCCAUCACCAUGGAGACGCCGGCGAACAUGACGACGGCCAGUCCGAAAGCCACCACCGGGGUGACGGUGCCAACGGCGACGGCGUGGACGGCUGAGGAUGCGGCCACGAUCCCCAGCAUAGAUGAGAGGCUGCCACGGCCGUGACGGUGCCCGUUCCCCCGACCGUUGUCUUCACCGGACGCCUUCUUGGCUCCUGGUGGAAUGGGAUCGCCGGUCUCAGCACCCCGCGGACUUUUCAACGCGAAUCUACACGAUCAGGAACACAAGUUAAAAAAGAUUCUCAAAAGACUUGGAGACAAUUUAAUUACUGCAUCUGCAAUAAACUGGGUGUUGGGUACAUUAAUUACCUGCAGCAGCAUGUCGCUGAUGCCGGUGAUCAGCGCGCCGGGGUGCGGGGCGCCGGGGUACUGCCCGUUGCUCAGCGCCUGCACGCAUCAUCCAACACAGAUUUUAAGCUUUGUUCUGCUGGAGUGAGUUCGUUCGCAGGCCUCAAGUCACUGAAAUGGAUGUUGAGGAGAUAAUUGAUCACCUGCAGCUGGUCGCCGAUGUUGAUGAUGAGCGCGCCGGACUGCGGGUUGACGGCGACCCACUUGCCGUCUUGGGGUGAAUUGAUGCCUGAAUGAUUCCCGAGUCCGCGGCGUACACCUGACUCUCUCAGCUUGCCGGUGAAGCCAGCAAUCAGACUUCACCGCCUUGGCACCUCUUGUGAAUCGUCUGGUGAACCAGUUGAAAGAUGAUGGAUAGUAGGAUAUCCAAGAGAGUACAACUGUGCUGACAACACUACUAUCCGAAGUUCCGAACAGCAUGGAAUCAACAGUACCAUCCGCAAAUGUGCUGACAACAGUACUGACAACUAUCCAAGAGAGUCAUGCCGGUGGAACAACGAGGAACCAAAAUCAGUUAAGAGUCCUGGCGCACGGCAGCCACCAGGUGGAAGCUGUUCAGUUCUCUCAUGCUACAUGACAAAUUAUUUGUCCAAAACGUCAUCUUAUUCUGAACAGAGGUAGCAUGUAGCAGAUUCUUAGUUGAUUAGCAUUUCCUAGGACAAGAAUAAUUUUAGGAAAAUUGCAAACAGAUACUCAAAACAUCACGCUUUCAUCAAACUAUGCACGUGAUUGCAUUUUAUCCAAUGCUGACACAUAGUUUUUUUUUGAAGAAACAGGAGGGGAGGGUCCCUACUGGUUAUACGAGAGCGAAGCAAAAGGGAAAACAGAAAAGAAAACAUACUACAAGGUGUGCAGCCUGUCAUGCUGGGAACUAAGACACGCAGUAUUGUCUUACAUCAUCUCUCAGAAGAGACAGUAUGGCAUUACAUGGCCAGAGGAAAGAAGGACACUUGAACUAUAGUAGCGCACAUUCAUUAUUUGAGCCCAUACGGCAUGAGAAUGACAGCAAGCAGGAGGCAGCAGCAGCAACAGAUACUCAAUGCAUCUGGGAGAGGCCAAGAAUCCCAACGCUGAUCAGGGAGAGGCCGAGGAGGAGCAGAGCAAACAUGCCGAAGCAGAGCACCUGGCCUGCUUCGCCGGAGAUUGCCGUGACGGCGCAGGAAGCCAUCACGAGCCCCACGACGGCGAGGUUGCGACCAAGGAACUCUGCGAGAGCACGCGCCUCGGCCAACACCGCCGGGACGACGGGCGCCAGGAUGCCGACUGCGAUGAUGUUGGCGCCGGCGAGAACCCCCGCGAAGCAGAGUAGCAAGCCGAAUCCGCCGGCGCCGGAGUUGAAUCCGGCGCUGACGGAGAACAGCAAGAUGGCGAGGCCGGCGAACAUCGCCGUGGUGCCCGGAGUGGUCAUCGUCGGCCGCGUGGCACCGCAGUCCCCUGCUUAAUCGGAGAGGGCCGUCGAGCGAGCAGGCGAGGCACCGCCGCACCGGGGACGGAAGCGUUGCCGAAGAGGCGAAGAAUGCAGCGGGAGGAGGAUGAUCUGGGCGGUGCGCAGCGGACGGGGAGAGCCGGAGGAGGCGAGGAGCGAGAUGGUUGGGGUCGGGGAGGCCCGGGGGUGCUAUAUACGCCACACUACGUUGGGAAUCACUUGGGCCACAUGCGUUCUCUGAAACUCUGAAUAAAAUAUGAUUAAACCAUCCGGCUGGAGCAGGUCCUGCAUGUGUGUCCCCAAGGCUCGGUUUUGUGCUGCUCCUCCCGAGCGCGUCGGUAGUAGGUAAGUUCAGAGAAAAUAAAGUGCCAAGAUACAGAUCAGGACGUGGCCGCGGCGUUCGUGUUCAUCGUCUCCCUCGCUGGUGCUUUGUGUUCGUGAGUGCGAGUGAAGGCGAAGCCAACACCGGCGACGCGCGCUGCCGUCGUGUCGUCGCCUGCAGCUCACUGGCGUCAAGGACAGCGCGUGGGCCCAGCCUCACGGAGUACAUCUGGAUGUUGACGCGCGAUGUUGCAGCGGCGGCCCGGCCCGAAGGCUGGACAACAUCGCAUGUCAACCGCGCUGCGCACCGCAUGACAACAUCGCAUGUCAACAUCGCAUUUCAAUUCAUUAAAGUAACAAAAACUUAUUUUCUACUCUCAAAACUUUUAGUCUAGCCACGCUAAACUUGCCAUACCAUAAUAUGAAGAUCCUCAAUAAAGAUGAAGAGAUUACGUAUUAUUUAACAUAUAUAGAAAGAAUGUGAAUAUAUAGAAAAGAAUGUGUUAUGAGUAAAUUGCACCGGACUUGAAGGUGAGUCCUAUGAAAAGUCCUUAUCCUUAUCACACUGUACCUACCUGAUAACUAGCUGCAACUCUGAUGUAUAUUACUUAUGUAGGCACAUGUCAUCUAAGUAAAUGCAAUCGCAUGGGACAAGAAGUCUCAGUAGUUAAUAUUGUUCUUCUCUUUUAGAUGCAGUUUAAAUAUUGUUAGUAGAGAAUAACCUUCCUAUGCGCAAGUUACUAUAGAUCUGGUUGAUCCACUGUUGCUUAUUAUCAGUAACUAUCAAUUAAGAAGAACAGAUGCUGUGACAGUCCAAUUGCUAGUAAUUGUCUAGAUAAUACUGAAUAAUAAUGCGGUGCAAGUGGUACAUUUCAAUUGUGCACUAUAAACAAACGUUGAUAAUUAAGAUGCAAAAUAUAGGCUGCCCGCCAAAAACACAAACACAUGAUUUACAACCUUAUAUAAGCAACUAAGGAAACCAAUAGCACAACCAAAAUGAAGACUUUACCAUUCUAUUUAAUCCAAUCUCGCAUACAUAUGAGAGCCUCAAUUGUUUUGAUAUUCAAUGUGCUCCAUUGCUUAUGAAUCACUGGUCCCUCGCUGCUUAAUGCUGCCUCACCAUGCAUAGCAGAAGCAGGAAUUGCCAGGACGUCACGUGCCACAAUUGAGAGGAUUGGAUAAUUUGUAGAAUUACUCAUCCACCAGUUCAGAACAUCAAAAUCAUCCUUCCUUGGAACAAGGCCAUCUUCAAGGUAGUUCUUAAGUUCUGUCAACGCUUGGGUCCUUGUCUGCUCAUAAAGGUAUUUAUCCCAAUCUUCCAAUGAAUCCCUGUAAAAUCCACCCACUUGAACAACAGAAUUUGAUGUCUCAACACUUGGUUUAUCUAACGCACUGCAAUAUUCAAGAAACAGCUCCCGGAUUGUAUCACGUACAGCAGACACAUACUUUACAACAGGUACUGACAACCACAAGUAUGAAUUCUGCCAAUACUCGUCGAAUGCUUCCUGCAUCUCCCAAACCAAGCCAGCAAGUUCAGUAUGAUUUGUAGAUGAUUCUUCUCCAAGGUUGUCCUAAUUAUCCACAGUUCAUUGAAGUACCUAUUUGCUGUGGAACAGACAGGACCCGAAACUACUUCAAUGGCAUGAUAAAAAGCCCUUAAUAUCUUGCAAGCAGACUCAACAGUUUUAGUGUCUUCUGCAGAUAAGAAAUCUUGAGAGGAAAAUGCUUUCUUGAAAUGCAACACAACUUCAAGCCCAAAGUAAAUUUUGUGCCACCACUUUGCAUCUUCUUGGGGGCAUUUCAAUCCCAUAUGCGUAACUACUUCUAUAAGUAGCUCUUGAGUAAGCGCUGUGGACAUUUGUGCCUGAAUAAAUCGCUCUAGUAUAUCAGCAACGAGAUGAAGCAUUGGUUGCUCCUUUGAAACAAUGCUGUUAAGCACAUCAUCCACGCAAGCAAUAUUGUAUAACUCACCUCCAAUAGGAAGGCAUUUCCUUUGGCCGAGGAAGUCCUUGAGCUUUGAGGUACGCUCAUCGUUUCUAAUUUCGCUGACACAUGUCAAGCUGAAAAGCUUCUGAUCAAGAUUCCAGUCUCUUAUAGCUUCCCAUAUGAUGUUAAAUGGCCCACUCUCAGAAUCUAGUACAGUAACCUCACUAAAUUGUAUCAUCCUAUCCAAAUUAGUGAGUGGCUGAAACAGACCAAACUUGAUGAUUCUCCUUUGAAGUUUCCAGUCUGAAUCAAUAAAAUGCACUGUCAAACAGAGAUACUUCACUGAGGCCUCAGCUCCAUGAGAAGUCCACAAGCAAGUUGAUAAGGAAACCCGAUGUGAUGCCCUUGAGGAACUUGCUAGCAUACUUUGCAAUCUGAACCAUACCAUCUGUCAAGGCAGGUGAAAGCUCAUCCUGAAGCCUAGACUUGGAACUUGGUUCACUGGACUGGGAAAAAACUCUAUUCUGAAGAUUUACGCUAGUUCUACCAUGGGCUGGACAAGUCUGACUAUGUCAGUUUAGUUGUCUUCUACUUUUAUCCACACUGAGUCGCUUGUGGCAAUGGACGCAUUCAGCUUCCUGGAUCCUCCCCUCAACAUAUAAUGGUAUAAAAUCUUUCCAUACCAUUGACCUGAUUUUUUUGUUGUCACUAUGAGCUACCAAGUUAAUGCCACCAUAUGAAUCUGUAAGAAUGUAGUCCAGAAGAUCUACAUCAUUCACCAGUAAUAUGCAUAAAGAUUGAAUAAUUCAUCCAGAAAAUUAUGCAUAUUAUAUGAAGGACAUAAAAUGUGCGAAUAGCACACCCAAAUUUACACCAUACAAACCGACCAACAGCAAAAAUUAGUAUAUCAAUCAUUGUAACUGAACCAUGAGCUGUGUAGAAUCUAAUGUAUGCCCCUCCACUUUGCAAUAAUUGUCCAAAUUUACCAUGUACGCAAACCAACUAAAUACCAAACACUUGAUCUCUUUUGCAACAUUAAUGUAGGGUUAAUAUGUCGAAACAUUGUACUUUCUAUAUUUUUAUUCCACCGUAUGACAGUCAUUGUGCAAAUAACUAAGUGCCGGGCAUAAUACAAACAAAUUAUACAAGGUUCAUAAUUUCCAUACUAAUUGCGAAUGAAGAGGAAAAUACUAGAAAUUCCCACCAAAGGAAACAAAAUCUAAAGAAAUCACAAGCAGGAUCAUAACUCUACAACUGUGGCUAUUUAAGUUCAAAUUUAUCCUAUUGCGUAAGAGUUACUCAGUAACUAAAAGCAUACCAUAUCGAAACUCUGCAUCCUGUUGCUGCUGGCUUGUAGCCAAUCUCUCCUUCCCUGGGCAGAUUUCUUGGUGUUGAUACAAAGAGUCACUUCGACAGCUCAAGUGAACAUGGCAGCAUCGGCAUUCCACUCUAUCAACCACUCCGUUUUCGCACACAAGCUUGUAAUCAUCCCACAGCUUAGCUAUCUUACUUCUGAAUCUGGAUUGACCAAUAGAAGCAGCUCCUCAAUAUUGGGAGCUAUGCUAAAAAAAUUUUCCCCAAAAAACAUAUCAGCUUAUUGAAGAACGCUAAAAAUUAGCCCCUCAAUAUUUCAAAACAGAUCAUGUCAUCGUAUUGUGCCCAUUAGUUGAGCUGCCCACCUGCCCACCUCCCCCUCGUGAUGUCCAGCAGCGCCGCCAGGAGCUCAUGUCGCCGAAGGAUUUUUCACGCCGGCAGGAACCCACGUCGCCAGGAGGUCACGAUCAGGUUUGUGCCAUGGAGCUCAUCCUCUACUGAAAUACAUACACCUAGCUCGCUGUUGCUGCUUCCGCUUCGCGCUCGUGCUGCUUCCGCUGCCUGCUGAAUUAUUUCUCUCUCCCUCCUCUUCUUGCGUUUGUGUACUGUUGGUGUGCAGCCGAAGCCGUCCGGGCGAGCCAAUAGUUGCGUCACGAUCAGGAAUACAUUAUACCUUGAAAACGUCCAAAAUGUACCCUAAAGAGAACCAUAGACUUGCAGUAGGCAGGUAUUGCUCUGCUCCAUAUUUUGGUUCCGGUAGUCUGCUACUGACUUGCAUGCAGAACCAAUCACUCUUCUAUAUCUCUGUCUGUAAGAGACCUCACAGAAAGUGAAGGAGAUGAAGCUUGGAGGGCCAACUGUGUCCACUAAAAAGUUGAGCCUUAAAAUGGACUAGGAACUAAUUCUUGUCGUUUUAUGCUCAAAUGAUGAAAAUUCUUAUUCACAGAAUCAGUUAAAUAUGUAAUAUUUUGAACCAAAGAUGAAGACUUAAACAUUAACUGUAAGUUAUGACUUAUGAGCCAAUUCAGGAAAAAGAGAUAGUAUAGCAUUUAUAAUCAGCACAUCAUGAACAAUAAGGUUGCAGGGAACAUGCCACUGCGUUAAGUGAAGAAUAAUGCACAUGGAUAGCAGGACGUAUGUGUCAUUGUUCCAAAUAAUAGUUCUAGGUACAUUGAGAACCUAAAUCUACACAUGCACUACAAUCUAGCAGAAACCAAGGGUAAGUAUAUUUGAUUAUUGCCCAUUCUCCCAUUUGUUAAGACUUAAGAACAUAAAGGUGAGGGUCACUUUUUCAGUAGAAAAUUCAAGAAGAACUUGUAUUGCAGUGAACAACAGUUUUCUGAUUGGCAUAAAAAAGAAAUAGUACUAAUAUUAAUCUCAGAUCAAGUAUAUGAAAACUUUCCUUGUUAUCAAUUAGCAUAACAGAUAAAAUUCCAGUACGAGCCUAAAGGCAGGAUGAUACAUUGAUACUAGAAGUCCCGAAGAUGUACAGCUCGAGGUUCGAAUUCUGGUGAAAUUGAGCUAGUAUGACUAACAAAAUUCCGGUGAAAUUGAGCUAUGAUGACUACAUGAUCCGAAUAUGGCUACAUCAAGACCUCAACUUGGUCCCUCUUUACCUACCUGCACACGGGACGCCACCGCCACUUCCGCCGCGGCGGCCGGCCAGCGGCAGCGGAAGAGGUGCUCCCAGACGCAGUCGGCGUCGCAGGUGGUGCGCCAGGAGCGCGAGCAGCCGCCGAGCGCGCACACGUCGGCCUCCUGCGCGCGGUUCGAACCAGCAGAGUCAACGGGAGAACCACGGAAAGCCACACGUCGGUUCCUACGCGCCAGGAGAGGAGGGGGUUGGAGAUGGCCGCCGCCGCCUCCUGGAACCGGCGUCGGGAGGAGAGGAGUGGGCCGGAAAGGUGCGAGCCGGAGUGGGGAGGGCCGCCGCCGGGAGAGGAGGGGGCUGGAGAUAGCCGCCGCCGCCUGGAACCGGCGCCGGGCCCGGGAGGAGAGGAAUGGGACGGAGGGGGUGCGCCAGAGUGGGGAGGGCCGCCACCCCUCGCCCGGCCGCCACCGCUGCGCGCGCGGGAAGAGGCCGCGCGGGAAGGUUGGUCUGCUCGCGCGCGGGAAAGGGCAGCUCAGCGCGCGGGAAUCGCGAUUGGGAAAGGUUUAGUCAAGAUCAAUAAGUUUCAUAUAAAGUUUAUCUCCAGUUGAUAUGAAUUAGUUAUAAUUUUUUAAAAUUGUAGCGCGGAGGUGUGUACCCCUUGGUGCCGGCUGGACUGACGGUAAGACCCUUCCGCCAGCCCAACUGCCACCUGGGCUGGCGAUGAGGCCCUUCCGCUGUCUCAGCCGAUGACAAUAGCCUAGUUUUGCAAUUUUUUUCGUCGGAUGGUAUAUUUCUGAGAAAUCGAAAAAAAUAUAUAUAAAAAUAAAAAAAGUUCUGCGUUUCCCGAGGAACUGGGUCCGAAUAGGCGGUGCGGCCCGUCGUCCCUUUGGGGCAACGGCACAACAUGGAUUCGGGCCGCACCGCGAUUCGGGCCCCGCGCAUACGACCGGCAAAUUAAUAAAUCCCCAUCGGCGAACGACUGGCAAAUUAAUAAAUCCCCAUCGGGGAUAUGCUACCAGGGUAAAUCUGGCGCACGUUCCCAAAGUGGGUCUAUAGAUGGGAAGUUUGACGGCCCACGCGUUUGUCUCCUUCUUUCUUUGUUUAGUCCUACUCGCUCCAGUCUCAUCAGGUUUCAGCGUCGUGUCCGCAGUUUGUUUUCUUCAUGUGAUUGUGAAAACCUUUGGAUUUUUCAGUGGCUAUAAUGUCUUGUGAAAUUCCCCAAUUCUCUUGCGAGCAUGGAUGUAGUGACGCCAAUGAGCACUCAGGGCAGCAGCAGGGCGAUGUACACCGGCCUGAUCAUCAUGUGUGCUCGCUGUCGGCGCAGGCAUCAACUUCGGCGACUGCGACGGAUUAUCUGGCCCAACAUGAUCGCCGCCGGCGUCAGGACGGCCGACGACCCAGCAGCACCCAUCGGCCCCACGUUCGCAGCGUUCGCCGGUGCACGUGCGUUCAUGCGGCGCAACCUCGCCGUUGUGGGGCUCGUCCUGGUAUCCUCUGCUUCCACAGCGGUUGCGGGGGAGACAGGCCCGACGUUCUCCUUCAUGAUAUUUGUCCUGCUGGUGUUCGGAGUCUCUGUGUAAGAAACUGAGCAAUAACAACGACGACAGUGGAACAGAAUUUCCAGAGCCCGCCUAUCCUAGACUUAGAGAAAACCGGCCAUCGCCAUGGAGACGCCGUCGAACAUGACGACGGCCAGUCCGAAAGCCACCACCGGGGUGACGGCGUGGACGGCUGAGGAUGCGGCCACGAUCCCCAGCAUAGAUGAGAGGCUGCCACGGCCGCGACGGUGCUCGUUCCCCCGCCCGUCGUCUUCACCGGACGCCUUCUUGGCUCCCGGUGAAGCCAGCAAUCAGACUUCACCGCCUUGGCACCUCUUGAGUCGUCUGGUGAACCAGUUGAAAGAUGAUGGAUAGUAGGAUGUCCAAGAGAGUUCAACUGUGCUGACAACACUACUAUCCAAGAGAGUCAUGCCGGUGGAACAACGAGGAACCAAAAUCAGUAAGAGUCCUGCCGCACGGCAGUCGGCAGCCACCCGGUGGAAGCUGUUCAGUUCUCUCAUGCUACAUGACAAAUUAUUUGUCCAAAACGUCAUCUUAUUCUGAACAGAGAUAGCAUGUAGCAGAUUCUUAGUUGAUUAGCAUUUCCUAGGACAAGAAUAAUUUUAGGAAACUUGCAAACAGAUACUCAAAACAUCACGCUUUCAUCAAACUAUGCACAUGAUUGCAUUUUAUCCAAUGCUGACACAUAGUUUUUUUUUUUUUUGAAGAAACAGGAGGGGAGGGUCCUACUGGUUAUAUAUUAAAAGCUAAAAGGAAAACCAAGUACACCAAGUACAGAAACAGGAAGAGCAAAACGAGAGCGAAGCAAAAGGGAAAACAGAAAAGAAAACAUACUACAUGGCCAGAGGGAAGAAGGACACUUGAACCAUAGUAGCGCACAUUCAUUAUUGAGCCCACGCGGCAUGAGAAUGACAGCAAGCAGGAGGCAGCAACAGAUACUCAAUGCAUCUGGGAGAGGCCAAGAAUCCCAACGCUGAUCAGGGAGAGGCCGAGGAGGAGCAGAGCAAACAUGCCGAAGCAGAGCACCUGGCCUGCUUCGCCGGAGAUCGCCGUGACGGCGCAGGAAGCCAUCACGAGCCCCACGACGGCGAGGUUGCGACGAAUGAACUCUGCGAGAGCACGCGCCUCGGCCAACACCGCCGGGACGACGGGCGCCAGGAUGCCGACGGCGACGAUGUUGGCGCCGGCGAGAACCCCCGUGAAGCAGAGUAGCAAGCCGAAUCCGCCGGCGCCGGAGUUGAAUCCGGCGCUGACGGAGAACAGCAAGAUGGCUAGGCCGGCGAACAUCGCCGUGGUGCCCGGAGUGGUCAUCGUCGGCCGCGUGGCACCGCAGUCCCCUGCUUAAUUGGAGAGGGCCGUCGAGCGAGCAGGCGAGGCACCGCCGCACCGGGGAGGGAAGCGUUACCGAAGAGGCAAAGAAUGCAGCGGGAGGAGGAGGAUGAUCUGGGCGGUGCGCAGCGGACGGGGAGAGCCGGAGGAGCGAGAUGGUUGGGGUUGGGGAGGCUGGGAUGGAAAGCGUUACCGAAGAGGGGAAGAAUGCGCCCGAUAUUUAACCUGCCGCCUGGGCGUAGGAAGUGUUAAGGAAGUAACCUGCCGCGGUGCCGCCUGGGCGUAGGAAGUAGGCGUGGGGUCCGCAGUGGAUAUUUAUAAUUCUCAAGAUUCCAUGUAUUUGAUGAUUCCAAGCGUUCAACGCAAUACAUUAAAUAUUGAAGACAGAAAAGUAUCAAGAUAGGAGUCUUCCAUGACAAAAAAGAACCAUACAUGUCUUUAUGAAUUAACACUAUUUUCACUUGUUCCGACGUCCUCAAUUCUACGUAAAAAUUUUCAACAUCUCAACCCUUUGUAAAGCAAGAUAACACUAUGCAUUGAAAUAGGCUAACACAACACAAGUCAACACGAAUCUUGAGGCAACGUAAUCCAAGGCAACGUAAUCCAAGGCAACGUAUACGGGGGCGUUUGGUUCCCUUUGCUUAUUUUUAAGCAAGUGUCACAUCAAUAUUUAGAUACUAAUUAGAAGUGUUAAAUGAAGGCUAUUUACAAAAACCCAUUACAUAAGUGGAGGCUAAACAGCGAGACGAACCUAUUAAGCCUAAUUAGCAAAUGUUUACUGUAGCAACACAUUGUCAAAUCAUGGACUAAUUAGGCUUAAUAGAUUCGUCUCGCCGUUUAGCCUCCACUUAUGUAAUGGAUUUUGUAAAUAGUCUAUGUUUAAUACUCCUAAUUAGUAUCUAAACAUUGAUGUGACACUUGCUUAAAAAUAAGCAAAUGGAACCAAACCUGAAUAAAAUAUGAUUAAACCAUCCGGCGGCGCGCGCUGAAUCGAUUAUUUGAGCAUCAAUAUAAUAUCAAAUGAAAAAAAACUUAACUACACAGUUGUAGAUAUCAUCGAGAUCUACAAGUUUCAUAUAAAGUUUAUCUCCAUCCGAGUUGAUAUGAAUUAGUUAUAAUUUUUUGAAAGUUAUAAUUAGUUAUAAUUUUCAUAUAAUUUUCCCUUGCCUAAUUUUGCAAUUUUUUCAUCCAACCGUAUAUUUAUGAGAAAUCGGAAAAAAAUAUAUAAAAAUAAAAAAAGUUCUGCGUUUCCCGGCGAACUGGGUCCGAAUAGGCUGUGCGGCCCGUCGUCCCUUUGGGGGCAACGGCACAACAUGGAUUCGGGCCGCACCGCGAUUCGGGCCCAGCUGGAUGUCGUUUAAAAUUCAAGUUGAGAUUUUGCAGGGGAACACACCCAGUACGCCACGAUAGACAGAAUAUCAAAUGACUUCUCAGGUUAAAGCAGCAGCACAUCAUUCGCACUGUACAAAUAAUCUGCACCAGAAGCCUAACAAAAUCCUAGGCAACAAUGCAUAAUACAUGUCAACACCUAGAAGCUCUCCUUUUUAGCUUCUGCAAUACACACUCCCGGGGAAAGAUUCGCUCAAAUAUACAAGCACAUACCAGUGGCUGCAAGAUGUUGGCCAGUGCACUCUUUUCUGAUAUCAUCCUAGGUUCCUGAGUUAGAAGCACCAUGGUCAUGAACUGCUUGUGAUCUUCUGUUGAUAAUUAAAAAAAAGGAAGCAUGCUACCAGCUGUCAGCUUAUUGGUAGUUAGCAGCAGCAUGAUAAAUGGGCUGUGCAAGGAACCACUUGCCCCCAGAGAGCGUCCAGUGUCACGAAUAUUUCUAUUCCACGCAAUACAAGCAAUUUAAUCCCCCCCCCCUCUAUUACUCGUAUUUGCAUGAUGCUAAAUUGACAAUACAAUUUUUCGAUAAGGAUAAAGUGCAUACUGUUUCAAAUUUUCCCUCCAUUACUUGUGUAUUUACAUACUGUUUCGUAAAGGGAAAUUCAUCAUGACUAAAUUGCAUCAUAGGCACGGUGACUAGCAAGGUAAGGUCUAUGACAAACCCCUGACAUCCUUGAUCUGCAAGCCUGCAAUGCAUAUUACUCUAUCUUUUCCAAGUUCAGAUAAUGCAUGCUCACCAUAACAGAAACACAGUUAUUCAUACUUUUAGUUGAGAACAAGGGUUUUGCUAAGGUACUCCCAAAUGACUGUGGACCGUUGAUCUAAUAACAUAUUACCUCAUAGGAAGUAAUAUUAUAUCUAUUUUUUAAAUCUGAAAAUAGGAAAAGUAUUUUUCUAUUAGAUCUAACUUCCACACAUGAUUGUACUAUAUCAUAUCUAAGUUUCUUUUUUUGCCUCCCACGUGAACAUGGAUGGCGGUUCUGGUUCAAAAAACAAGAGAGAGAAGAACAUGACACCUUUAUGUGACAUGGAUCUGUUCGAGAAAAAUGUGACAUAAGUCAAGUAAAUGUGUUACACGGAGAAAUGUGUCAUGGCCAUCUCUUUUUUCCCCCAUGCGGGUGCAGAUGUUUCGUUUCAAAGAAGAACUGCAGAUGCAGAUGUUUCGUUUCAAAGAAGAAAUGCAGAUGCAGAAGUUAAAUUGCAUGUCAUGUGGAGAUGUUCAAGUAAACAUGAAGAUGUUCAAGUAUUUUUUUUCUCCAUCCAGAUGCGGCCGUGUGUUCUGUUAAAAUGUUAUGACGUCGGUUGCAACUAAAAGAAAAGAAAUUGCAUGUUCACAUGCAGAUGUUGGACCUGUUCCUCCGAUCCUAAAUUGAAGGAAGCCGUGAUAAUGGGGAGCCGGUUGUUUCUUUUUUUUUGUUGCCUUUUUUAAUAUUUAAGGGCCUCAUUAAUUUGAACUCUUACCUCCUAGGAGGUAAUCGGUGUACUGUAGCACUGCCCUGAGAACAAACCUUUUUUCUGUAAGCUACUGCAGAUCCUACUGAUUUACUGGUGUUUAUCUUUCAGUAAUUAUUCUAGUGACGCAAUUUCAAUAUUGUUAGUUGAGAGCAAACCCCUUGUUUGACCUAAGGCAGAUCCUAUUGAUUUACUGAUGUUUUUCCAGUAACCAUCUAGUAAGAAAAAAUGGAUGCUGUGAGGGUCCUACUGCUACUAAUUGUCUAGCUAAUAAAAUAUGAUAAUGUGAAUGCUCCAACUCCAACAGUGCAAAAUUUUAUUGAGAACUGACAUGCCAAAUAUAAACAAAAAUUCCAAUAAAAAGGAGUAUCUUUAGAAAACUUAAAUAAGCAAAGAAGGAAACCAACAGAACGACCAAAGUGAAAAUAUUACCUUUCUAUUUAAUCCAAUCUCGAGUACAUACAAGAGCCUCAAUUGUUUUGAUAUUUAAUGUGCUCCAUUGCUUAUGAAUCAUAUUUCCCUCACUGCUCAACGCAGCUUCACAAUUAACAGCAGAAGCUGGCAUUGCCAGGACAUCACGUGCCAUAAUUGACAGAGUUGGAUACUUUGUAGAAUUAUUCAUCCACCAGUUCAGAAUAUCGAAAUCAUCCUUUCUCGGGACAAGACCAUCUUCAAGGUAGUUGUCAAGUUCUGUCAUUAGUUGGCUCCUUGUCUGUGCAUUAAGAUGCUCAUCCCAAUCUUCCAAUGAAUCACUAUCAAAUCCAUCAAACUCAACCAUACGAGCUUCACGAGUUGAUGUGUCAAGCCCCAACUUCUCUGAAGGACCACAAUAUUCAUGGAACAGCUCCCUUAUUGCAUCACGCACGGCAGAUACAUACUUCUCUGCAUCAGUACCAAAAGCUCGCUUUAGACGGAACUCAAUAAAAGUAAUUUUGAAUCUCGGAUCAAGAACAACAGGUAUUGACAGCCACACGUAUGAACUUUGCCAAUACUCAUUGAACGCUUCUUGCAUCACCCAAACCAUGUUAGCAAGUUCAGUGUGAUCAGAGGAUGCUUCUUCUUGCAAAGUUGUUCUAACUUUCCAUAGUUCAUUGAAGUAUAUAUUUGCUGUGGGGCAAACAGGACCAGAAAUUACUUCAACAGCACGAUAAAAAACCCUCAGUAUCCUGCAAACAGAUUCCACAGUUUUAGUAUCUUCUGCAGAUAACAAUUCUUCUGAGGGGAAUGCCUUCUUGAAAUGCAGAAAAACUUCAAGCCUGAAGUAAAUUUUAUGCCACCAUUUCGAAUCCUCCUGUGGGCACUUCAAUCCAAUAUGUGUAACAACUUCUAAAAGUUGCUGCCGAGUCAGCGAUGAGGACAUUUGUACCUGAAUAAAUUUCUCUAGUAUGUCACCAACAUGGUGAAGCACUGGUUGCCCUUUUGAAACAAUGCUGUUAAGCACAUCAUCCGCACAAGCAACAUUGUACAGUUCACCUCUAAUAGGAAGGCAUUUUCUUUGGAUGAGCAAGUCCAUCAGCUUUGAGGUACCCUCAUCCCUUCUAAUUGCAUUGACAGAUGUCAAGCUGAAAUGCUUCUGAUCAAGAUUCCAAUCUCUUAAAGCUUCCUGUAUGACAUUAAAUGGUCCACUAUCAGAAUCCAGUACGCAGGCCUCCUUAAAAUGUAUCAUCCUUUCUAUACUAGUAGGUGAGGACCAAAACACACCAAAUUUGAUGAUUUUCCUUUGAAGUUUCCAUUCAGAAUCAAUAAAAUGCACUGGCAGACAGAGAUACUUCACUGAGGCCUCAGCUCCAUGAGGAGCCCACACACUUGCUGAUAAGGAAACCCGAUGGGAUAAAAGAGCAAUCUUUUCCUUUAGAUCAGUCUUUUCUUUCUGAAAUAAAAGAGUUGAAUACUCUUCUAUAUCAAUGCUCGAAGCCAUGUUAAAUGCAGGGUUCAGGCUCUUUGCAAACCUUCUCAUUUCUUCAUGUUCCACAAUUGACAAGGGAUAGCCAUGUGAAAUAAUCAUUUUAGUUAGCUCUUGAUAAGAUGCUUCUUGGUCAAAUUUCCUGCUUAUAUCUGCAGCAGUCUGAGCUGAUGUGGUAUUUUGUUCUGUGGAAUUCGUCUCAUCCAUUGCUGGCAAAGCUAGAAUGUGACGUUCCACUGGGCUUCUAUUACCAGAACUGCCCUUGAGGAACUUACUAGCAUACUCUGCAAUCUGAACCUUACCAUUUGUCAAGGCUGGUGAAAGCUCAUCUUGAAGCCUAGAUUUAAAACUCGGUACACUGGACUGGAACAAAACGCCCUGCUGAUGAUUUAUGCUGUUUCCACUUCAUGCUGGACAAGUCUGAGUAUGUCGGCCCAUGUGCAAUCUGAACCUCCAAAAAAAUAGCAAAAUACAUUUAAUACACUAAGACAACAACUGAUAAUAUGUAAUACAUUUAAAUAAUAGAAAAACCGUGAAUAAUGACAAGCUUAACAUAAUAGAAGCCAGUCAUGAGUGCACACACCAAUAUAGCCUGAAUAUCAACAGCUUGAAGGUGCCAAACUUCAAUUCUGUAGCUCCAGGCUGUGUAGAACAAAAUCCACUCUCCCACCUGAUUAACAUGGCAACAAACAGCUACCAUGAGAGCAGCAAAAGAUGGAGUUCACUGAGUGGAUGUAAUGCCAGGGCAUCAGACCUUUGUUACUUAAAAAUGGAUGUAAUGCAAGACCCACAUUAUUAACAACAAGAAAGUAUACAUGGUAGGCCACCAAAAGAGUGGUCCUGGGGGUCAUCUUUAGCCACGGUGCAGGAAAUGCAGCAACAAAAGAGUGACAUGGAUAGAAGAGUGACAGAUCUCAACAGGCACAAGCUUAUGACAUUCGAAAGUACUCUCUUAGCAAUAAUAAAUGCUAGGCCACCAAUAUUUUACUAAAACUGCAUAGAAACAUGAUGCACAGGGGCAUUGGGAUUUCCAUACCUGCCUCAACUGAUGACACUCUGAUAGUCCUUCUCUUAGAAAUAAUAAAUGAUAGGACACCAAUAUUUUACUACGCACUGAGCAGCAACCUCUAAAGGGAAAAAAAGAAAUCAGUACUUAAAUUAAUCGGGAUGGUUAGCUAAUCAGCUUCAGUACAUAACAACAAUCAAAUUAGGAGGGAUGCCUAGCACAUAUAUCAAUUGGACACAGAAAGACAAAUAGGAGCAGGAGUGUUAAACCUGUCAGCUAUUCUCACAUAUACUCGCAAGGACUUUGGUGGAUUUAUUGUUGCUGGCCAUAACAUGUCGUGGCAGCGGUAAUCAGCAGUUGGAUCCUGGAUGAUGAUGGCACCUGCUACCUCAGUCUGAUGGCCAUCAAUGAAAGACCUUCAUGUAGUCCACUGCAGUUCAUGGUUCAGGCAUCAAUUACAUUAUGAUUCUCCCAUAUCAAUGAUAAGCGAUGCCAGUCAUCCACUGAAAUUAACUUUUGCCCUCUCUGAUCUGCACAUUGCAGGCAAAUUUUGGUUAGGAUUAGGAAUCAGUUAAAUCAUUCACAAAAUCCGAGGAAACCAUACCUUCAUGGCCUGGCCAAAUCCCAGAUCCGACAAUGGCCUGGAGGAGUGCGCUCGGGUGUCCACUCAUGCACGGUCGGCGAAGGGCCUGGGAAGGAGAACGAGCGGAGUGCACCGGGCGCAAAUGGCGUUGGGGAACGGGGCGACGCCCAAACCCUAGUCGCCGUCGCCUGUAAACAGUGCCACGACAACAAAGCUUAUGCAAGGGGCCGUCGUCAUGGAGUUGCUCCUCACUGUGGACGCGGAUCCGGCGGAGGCACCAUGGAUCUUGACCCUUCCCUACCCUUCCGGAGGUGGCGGCGGCGUGGGGGUCGUCAUCUGCGCAACCAGCGGCGGUGGUUAAGACCCGGCGGCGACGUCGAUGGAGAGGAGAUGAGGAGUCGGGCUCAGGGGUGGUGAGGCGGGCGGAUGCGGAGGUGGCGGCCGGUGGAUAUGGAUGGCGAGGGGGCCGGCGGCGGAUUGGAAGAGGAGGGCACGGAAGGAUGAGACACGGACGGGUGGAUGGCAAGGACCUUUGAGCAAAAACGACACAUUCUAUUAUUUUAAGGACUGCAGGUUGACUUUUGUGUAAAAUAAUAGGGGUUUGCUAGCGCCUGGACCUCCGGCGGAGCAACUCUGGUCGGACGUACGCUUCACCGUCCGUUUUAAAUCUGACGGUUACAGUAGUACCACAAUAAAUACCAUCAAAAUUAUCCGACGUUUCGUUACAACAUCAAAAUAAAAUAGCUACAACAUCAAAAAUACAUGGUUGUAACAUGAAAAAGAUGCGAAAAAAUAAAAUAAAAUAGCUACAACAUCAAAAAUAUAUGGUUGUAACAUGAAAAAGAUGCGAAAAAAUAGCUCAAUGUAAACAUAAUGUUCCCGUUGAUGAUGAUGUACCUAUUGCAACAUCCGAGAAUCCCUACUGCAACAUCGUGAGAUACCUAUUGCAACAUGGCAAUCGGGGGGCUAUCCGUUGAUGAUGAGGAAAAAAAACGCCGCAACAUCUGUUUCGUGUUGCAUGGAACAUUCAAAUCUUUUAUUGAAAAUGCAACAUCCAGAUAAAAUAUGUGUGAAACAUAUGCAACAUCUGGAUCUACUUUGGAACAUCCACAUGAAACACUUGCAACAUUCUUCUGAAAUACUUGAAACAUACGCUUGCAACAUGAAGCAAACCUUAGCAGAAGGAGCACUGCACAGCGGGAUCCGACGCUAGGAAACGGUGCUGGAGGAGGAUGGCGGCAGCCGGCGCGGCUCGUCCCUAGCCGCGGGGGAGCUACAACCCACGCCCGGCAACGCCCCGGCGCCCAACAGCCUUCCUCGUGAAUCUCCCAGGUGGCCAAGCUCAUUGUGGGCGGAGCAACUCCUUUAGCGGCCGGCGUGGCUCGCCCCCUGGCCACGGGGGAGCGGCGGCCCGCGCCCCGAUGCUCGAGCAGCACCCAACACCCUUCCCAGGCUCCGGCAGUGUGCGUAGAUCGGCCACGGUCUUGCCCCACAGAAUCCAUAAGCUCACGGGAAUCGGGUGAAAUCACGGCAAUCCGCUGCCUCGCUCGUCGGAGUGCCGCCCGUGUUGCUGUCGCGCUCACCACACUGACGCUGCUUCUCGCUGCCACGCUCGUCGAAGUGCCAUGGCAUGCUGCUUAUUCCUCGUCCGUCCGAGCGCUGCCCCGAUAUCGCUGCUCCCGUUCGGCCGUUGCGCUCGUUGAAGUCUCAUCGAGCUGAAUGGUUGGAAAUUGGAGAGAGAGCAGUUAGGAGAGAUAAAGAAUGAAAGUAGAAAAAUAUAUGGUGCAAAGUUAGGCCACAUCAUUUUAUACUGUUCUAACUACCAACAAAAAGUGACGGGAUUAGAGGUUCCGAUACGCGUAGGACAUCGGCACCUGAGCAUUACUGAAAAUAAUAUUUGGACGACGGUUCCAAGAAGCUACCGCCCACUCCGUCAUGUUCCCUCCAGUCCUCUUUUUUCUACUCGCUCCAGUCUCCGUCAUGUUCCCUCCAGUCGUCUUUUUUCUACUCGCUCCGGUCUCCGUCAUGUUCCCUCACAUAUAUAUGCAUACAUACCGAGGCCCAAGCCUCCAGCGUCACUCGCUCCAGUUUCCUCCUGUCUUCCGGUUCAACUCUUGCCUUUUCCCUGCUUCCAUCGUCUCCUGCUCCUCAACUGCUGCAGGAUACAGCGUGAGGUACGUCAAAGGGUCCGCAGGUUGUUUUCUUCUUGUGAAAACCUUUGGAUUUUUCAGUGGAUAUAAUGUCUUGUGAAAUUCCCCAGUUCUCUUGCGAGCAUGGAUGCAGUGACGCCAAUGAGCACUCGGGGCAGCAGCAGGGCGAUGUACACCGGCCUUAUCAUCCUGUUGCUCGCUGUCGGCGCAGGCAUCAACUUCGGCGACUGCGACGGAUUAUCUGGCCCACUCCUCAGCUUCCUGGGGGUUGUCGCCGGCGCCAAUAUGAUCGCCGCCGUCGUCAGGACGGCCGACGACCCAGCAGCACCCAUCGGCGCCGCUCCUGCAGCGUUCGCCGGUGCACGUGCGUUCAUGCGGCGCAACCUCGCCGUCGUGGGGCUCGUCAUGGUUUCCUCUGCUUCCACAGCGGCUGCGGGGGAGACAGGCCCGGCGUUCUCCUUCAUGAUGUUUGUCCUGCUGGUGUUCGGGGUCUCUCUGAUCAACAUCGGAGUUCAUAGCGCCUAGUCUGGUGUGUCAGCUCCAGUCCGUUGGUGCUCGCAUCGUUCUUCAUACGUUGAUGUUCCCCUCAACUAUCUGUGAGUAAUCGCCGUCUCUGUCCACGGAUGGUUUUCGAGUAACAGCAAUAAAGGAAAUGGAAUUGGAAUUGGAAUUGCAUUUUUUUAAACCGAGGGAGUACUAUUUCUCAAUAAUCAACCAGUAUGUUUUUCCUUAAUUACUACGUGCUUCUUUGUACUUGAAUUACGUUGGUGAGCUCAAGUACCUUUUCACGGGAACAUGUGAUAUUCCAUCUCCAUGAUUCCACACCUGCUAUCCAAGUUGAGUAGCAGAAGAUCAUCCUGCCCCUGCUUUUCAGCCGCUUUAUUCCAUUGCUUUUGACGCCAGGAGUCGAGACACAAGACCAUGUGGGUCCCGGCGCUGACCUGCGAGAUCCGACGCCACUUUUCGGUUGCAUCCCGAUCAUGACCACUGCAGUACUAAGACCAUAUCCAAACAGGACAGCGAUGGAGCUGACGUGGAUGUCUGUCUGGAGAACGGGGUGGGGUGGUGUGCCGAUCGCGCCGGCGCCGGCGACAGCGGACCGAAUGGACCACCUCGCCUCUUUUUUUCUCUCCCUUGUGCUUCAUAUGAGCAUCGAUUGUUAAGGAUUGUUCAGCGCAUAUUUUCGAGGUUGUGGAUCCAUCAAUCCCUUAAAUAUUGGCCCAAACUACGAAGAUGUUGGCCAGAUGUAUGCGCCAGCCAUUGACAUGGACCACUGAGAGUCAAAUCUGCAAACUUUUUCAUGCGUGGAUUUUUGUAUGCGCCAACCAUCGGAAUGGACGGCUCGGAACACAGCUCCACCACCUGGUCCCUCCCACUCCCCUCCACCUGGUCCGCUCCGGCCGCGGGCGGCGGCGGCAGCGCCGUCGGAGGCUGCACGGGCUCACCCCCUGCUCCGCCUGCGCCCCCGAAGUUGUAGGCCUGGCGCUCGCGCUCGCCGUAACCUAGCGCCGCCGCUAGGCCACCCCGCCGCCGCCAGCCCACGCUGCAGGAAGCCAAAUCAGACGAUUAAUCCAGCGAUGAGGACCUUCACCUGGAUGGAGAUUAAUUCCGCGGCGUCUGCGUCCGUGACGAGAGCUCGUGCGGGGCAUGCGGCUACCUGUGGCAGUCGCAGCAGUUCACAGUUUGAAGAUCCAUUUUCACUUGAUCCUGAACGUUGUGGGCGUCUCGAACGUCCUCUAUCCUAUCUCCUAUGAGGAUGCUGAAUUCGUAUGUGUAUGAGCCUAUGGAAUGGGGAUGAGUACGUGUCCUUUUAUAGUCCAAGGGGGCGUCCCUUACAGGUCGUAAGAAAGUCAGAAAGUUGGUAUACGAGCCAUGCCUAUCUUGUCGAAUCCUUUGCCCGACAAAUACGGUAUAGCCUCCAUCCUUGGUCCCUGUUUGCCGUGUCAGGUCAUCAUUUUGUUACGUCUGGCCAUCCCGCCGUAGGGGGUAGGUUUACGACGCUACUGUGCGGUCACGCGCGUGACCUGGCCUGGUAUGGUUUUGCGUAUGGGCCUACUGUCCGGGCUGCUUCACUUGCUCCUAGGGCCCACACAGGGUGGCCGUCCCUAGUCGGAAGUCAGCGUUGGCGAUACGACCGGGACCUGAUCGGGGCGCUAGGUCAGAGGCGCGGGCCUGGGUGCCCGCCCGAGCGAAACUGAUUGGACGUUCUAGGUUGGGGUCGGACCGUGAUCCCCUGCUCGGUGGGACCCACGUGGCUCGGCCCCUAGUUCAGGAGAGCCUAGUCGGAGACUGAGCCUCGACCUCUAGCCUAAUCGGGGCGAUCGAGUUGGCCCAAUCGUCUGCUACCGAGAUGUCCCUCGUUGGGUUGAGCGUCUCGGGAAAUGGUCCCAUUAGGGACCCGAGUCUAUGGACCCGUCACCUGGAGACCAAGAUGUUGCAGCAUAGACACGGAGACAGUGGUGACCAGAGGAGGAGGUGGAGCAGCCAUGUCGACGAUCCCGAAAUGCAAAUAGAAAUUAGUUUGAUCAAAGAGGGGCCAAGGUCGAAUGUACAUACAAAUCGAUAUAGUGACUAGUGAGAGAGCAUUGUACUUGCGUCGAGAGGAGAUGCGGAAAGAUUUCCUUACACCGAGAGGAGAUGAACAAAGGUUUUCCUAUGCUUGAGCCAGACUAAAGAAGAAGUGGAGGGUCGUUGCAUUUAGAACAAAAUCACCGCUCCUUCCUCCCAAAACAACCAUGCAGUGGUAAAAUCUUUGCUCGCUUAUUAUCUGGGCUCCAACAUUACACGUGGCAACGAAAUUUUUUUCUGUCCCCAGUUGCAUUGCCAAGUCUUGGCAAGCAAGGCUAGUAGGCAAGUUUGAACAAGACAACCAAGCAGACUUAGAAUUUCAUGAAUGGUUUUAUUUUUAUCCAUUGAUGUGACACUCUUGGAAACAACAAAUUCGUCGCUGAAAUGCUGAGUUUGGGCCUAUGGUUACGUAUGGCUCAUUUGGCCCAACUAUGCCAGCGCGCGAACGGUUUUGCCGCCGGCCGGUGCGUGUGGCCCAGCUGGCGGUGACGGUUUCGACUUUGGUGCUGGAGGAGCGCGCCAAGUCCGAGGACCCCAACACCGAGGGCGGGAAGAAGCCCUCCAAGUCCGAGGCGGCCGGCGUGACGGUAAGCCGCGUCGGCGUCACCGUGGAUUUGGGGUUUGCUCGGGUAGUCGGGUGAAGCUCAGUCCAAGGAGGAGGGCGGCGGCGUCGACAUCACCAUGGAUAAGGAGGCCAUGCACCCCAACGCCGCGCUGGGCAGCGGCAGGUCGAAGAAGCCAGCAGCGGGGGGCGGGAAGAGGAAGAAGCUGGUGAGGCUCAGCAAGGAGUACAUCGAGAUGAAGAUGAGCGAGCCUCCUCCCAUGGGCUACCGGCGCAUGCCCGUUGUCCGACGACAAGCUGGGCGAUCCCGCCCGCCGCGCCCAGGAAGACGAACUCGCCCGCCUACUCUCAGAAGCAAAUUGACAUGUACGCGCUCCAGGGGUACGCCGACAUCGAGUUCAGUGGCGGCCGUGGGCCUACCUCAAGGCAGCAGGGCUGGUUGAUUAGUGUCUUCUUGAGUCGUAAUUACAGGAACUUAGUUCGUCACAUGUGCAUUGGAUUCCAGUUGUUAAUUCCGUGCUACACUCUGCAUUGUUGAAAAAUGGCUAUUGGAUUUUAGUUGUUUAUAUGAUUUACAUAUAAUGAAUGCAUAAAUUGCUCGCACGCUCACCUUUCCGUGCUACUUGGGGGCAAAUUGUAUUAUCUGGCUAACUGAAUCUGCUGGUUAUGCUAUGGAUGGAUCAAACUUGGCAGUUUUUUAUAAUCUCUGAAUCACUUUCUUUUAAAAAUUUUAGAGAAACUUAAGUUUUAUGCAACCUGUGCGCAGAAAAUUGAUCAAGAGACCAGUCAGCUCCUAAUGACCAGCACCACAGAAGCAAACUUAUAAUGGAAGAAGAAACCUAUACCAAGAUGAGCACAUCUGUACCACAAACAGCAUAAAAAGGUACCAUCACAAAGGAAGACCGAACUGUUACCACACAACACAAAUUAGUAGCAUCAGAUCAGCAAUUUGUAUUUUUUUUUUCAUUAUUGCCUUCAUAAGGGAAACUUCCUGCCACCGCCAGUUAAUUUGCACUGUAUGCAUAAUCUAUGCCAGAGGCCUAAACCCUAGUACGUGGAUUGACGACGAUUGGAGGUACAUCUGAAACUCCAACAACCAGAAGCACGUGUUAUCGUAGCUUCCGUGAAUCAAAAGGCUCCUGAUAAUAGUAUCAUAUCCAAAGAGAAUAUUCAGACAUACUGGCAGAUGCAAGAUGUCUGACACAACAAGCCAACUAGGAAAUGUAGUGUUUGUGAUACCAUCCUAGAAUCCUAGAUUCGAAGCACCAAGGGUGUAUACUGCCAGUAAUCUUCUGCUGAUAAAAAAAAAACCAUUAGUAGUGUUGGUAGUUUCUGCAGUUACCAUUACAUGUAGCAUGCAAAAUUAAAUGUUGAUGGGAACCUCCCAAACUAGAAGAUUACCCCAACAGAACUGUGAAAUAUUUCAAUUCAUUAAAGUAACAAAAACUUAUAGUCUAGCCAUCAUGCUAAACUUGCCAUACCAUAAUAUGAAGAUCCUCAAUAAGGAUGAAGAGAUUAUGUAUUAUUUAAUAUAUAUAGAAAAGAAAUCAUCAAGCAGGAUCAUAACUCUACAACUGUGGCUAUUUAAGUUCAAAUUUAUCCUAUUGCGUAAGAGUUACUCGGUAACUAAAAGCAUACCCUAUCGAAACUCUGCAUCCUGUUGCUGCUGGCUUGUAGCCAAUCUCUCCUUCCCUGGGCAGAUUUCCUGGUGUUGAUACAAAGAGUCACUUCGACGGCUCAAGUGAACAUGGCAGUAUCGGCAUUCCACUCUAUCAACCACUCCGUUUUCGCACACAGGCUUGUAAUCAUCCCACAGCUUAGCUAUCUUAUUUCUGAAUCUGGAUUGACCAAUAGAAGCAGCCCCUGAUUGCGUAUCAUCACUGACAUGCUCAUCCAACAGGUCCAUAACUGCAGAUAACAAUACGACAUUAUCAGCUUUCUUGACAGGGCGUAGUUAAACUGCAUCCUUGAUUCCAACCAGAAAAGGAAAUGCUUCACACAAUGCAGGAGCGGCAAUAAUCUCUACAGAUGGCUGGAGUGCUGGACAUAUCAGAAAAACAAUUCGCACAGACAAACAAACAGUAGGUGCAGCCGUGCAGGCAUUGAUCAUUAAGAGAAAGACCCAAAAAAAAAAGCUUUUAGUUCUCCCCACAUUGCUGGGUCCGAGAAUCGAUCCCACGACCUCUUGCUUGGUAACGAAAGGUAACACCUGUUCUCCACAACACUAACGCGCGCCCUGCCGCUCCAAUUUCUUGCAACUUCUAAGCCCGCAGAGCCGCAGGCAACUAACGGUAGCCAAUAUCUAGCAUUCCCCGCCGACUUUUUUAUUUUUUAGCCCUUUUUACGAAAGAUUCUCACAAAUAGGUCCCUGGCGGAACCAAUUUCAAAAAUGGAUCCUUAGCUUGGCGCCAUCCACGCUGGCGCCAAGCUAUAACGUCUCGGUGCCAGCCAUCCUGGCGCCAAGGUCUAUACAUAGCUGCUCACGCGGAUGCUGACGUGGCGGGGGCUUGGCGCCAUCCAUGAUGGCGCCAAGCCUUGGCGUGAUGGAUCUUGGCGCCAAGCUUGGCGCCGUAGAUCUUGGCGCCGAGCUAUCUACCCCGUACUUCUACGCGUUUCGAACUAAACAAGUAUAAUUAUUCCGAGGAGCAUGCAACAAACUAAGUUGUGGUUUAACUGGUUAGGAGGUGGACUUCUUAUCCUGAAGAACUGAGUUCUUAGGUUGUUGCAUACUCCUCGGAAUAAUUAUACUUGUUCAGUUCGAAACGCGUAGGGGUACGGGGUAGAUAGCUCGGCGCCAAGAUCUACGGCGCCAAGCUUGACGCCAAGAUUCAUGGCGUCAAGGCUUGGCGCCAUCAUAGAUGGCGCCAAGCCCCCGCCACGUCGGCAUCCGUGUGAGCAGCUAUGUAUAGACCUUGGCGCCAGGAUGGCUGGUGCCGAGACGUUGUAGCUUGGCGCCAGCGUGGAUGGCGCCAAGCUAAGGGUCCAUUUUUGGAAUUGGUUCCGCCAGGGGUCUAUUUGUGAGAAUCUUUCGCAAAAAGGGCUAAAAAAACAAAAAAGUCGGGCAUUCCCCGCACCACUUCGACUCCCCAAGCUCCCAGCUCGCCAAAAGACUGCAACUUUCCGGCCCAAAACGAACAAGAACACCAGUUACGGCAGUGCCCGCCCAUUCGCAGACACGAACAGCACCAGGCAAGCAAUUCGUUCCCCCCCCCCCCCCAAAAAAAAUUCGGGAAAUAAAAAGCAAUAGUAGCGAGAGGAGGAUCGCAUCACUUACCGGUUACUGCUCGCCGGGAACUCGGCAAAGGAACAUCAUCGAAGAAAUGGGACGCGCAAUGGCACUCGGGAAGUUGGCCCUCACUGCUCAACGUAGCUUCACAAUUAACAGCAGAAGCUGGCAUUGCCAGGACAUCACGUGCCAUAAUUGACAGGGUUAGAUACUUUGUAGAAUUACUCAUCCAUCAGUUCAGAAUAUCGAAACCAUCCUUUCUCGGGACAAGACCAUCUUCAAGGUAGUUAUCAAGUUCUGUCAUUAGUUGGCUCCUUGUCUGUGCAUUAAGAUGCUCAUCCCAAUCUUCCAAUCAAUCACUAUCAAAUCCAUCAAACUCAACAAUACGAGCUUCACGAGUUGAUGUGUCAAGCCCCGACUUCUCUAAAGGACCACAAUAUUCAUGGAACAGCUCCCUUAUUGCAUCACGCACGGCAGAUACAUACUUCUCUGCAUCUGUACCAAAAGCUCGCUUUAGAUGGAACUCAAUAAAAGUAAUUUUGAAUCUCGGAUCAAGAACAACAGGUAUUGACAGCCACACGUAUGAACUUUGCCAAUACUCAUUGAACGCUUCUUGCAUCACCCAAACCAUGUUAGCAAGUUCAGUGUGAUCAGAGGAUGCUUCUUCUUGCAAAGUUGUUCUAACUUUCCAUAGUUCAUUGAAGUAUAUAUUUGCUGUGGAGCAAACAGGACCAGAAAUUACUUCAACAGCACGAUAAAAAGCCCUCAGUAUCCUGCAAACAGAUUCCACAGUUUUAGUAUCUUCUGCAGAUAACAAUUCUUCCGAGGGGAAUGCCUUCUUGAAAUGCAGAAAAACUUCAAGCCUGAAGUAAAUUUUAUGCCACCAUUUCGCAUCCUCCUGUGGGCACUUCAAUCCAAUAUGUGUAACAACUUCUAAUAUCUCUUACCAUGGAGAAAUAGUUGCGGAGAAGGAUCUGGGAAGUUUCCUUUUGUCAUAGUUUCAUUAUAUAUUGAUCCUAUUGUUUUCCGGCCGUAUCCAACCGCCCAACGUCAUGUCCCAGCCGAACAACGUCAUGUGCCACCUAGAAGGCCUUGGCCCCGUAGGCCCGUAGACAAAGGGCAAGCCUCCAGCGUCUUCGCAUCCCCCUUUGUCGUUGCAUCUUCGCAUCCCCCUUUAUUUAUUCAAGGACGGUCCACAGUCAAACUGCAUCCCCCUUUGUCGUUGCAUCUUUGCAUCCCCCUUUUGUUUUGUACACCCAUAAGACCAAGGGCAAGCGGCAAGCCUCCAGCGUCGCUCCAGUUCCCUCCUGUCUUCCGGUCCAACUCAACUCUUGCCUUUCCCUGCUUCCCUCGUCUCCUGCUCCGUGAGGUACGUCAAAAGGUCAAAACCUUUGGAUUUCUCGAAAUUCCCAAUUCUCUUGCGAGCAUGGAUGUAGUGAUAAGCGUCAUGUUCGUUGCUGCUGCUCUAUUUAACAGGGAGUCGCGCAGCGCCGACGCCAAUGCUAAUGAGCCUUACUCGGGGCAGCAGCAGGGCGAUGUACACCGGCCUGAUCAUCCUGUUGCUCGCUGUCGGCGCAGGCAUCAACUUGGGCGACUGCGACGGAUUAUCUGGCCCACUCCUCAGCUUCCUGGGGGUUGUUGCCGGCGCCAACAUGAUCGCCGGCGGCGUCCGGACGGCCGACGACCCAGCAGCACCCAUCGGCCCCGCGCCCGCAGCGUUCGCCGGUGCACGUGCGUUCAUGCGGCGCAACCUCGCCGUCGUGGGGCUCGUCAUGGUUUCCUCUGCUUCCACAGCGGUUGCGGGGGAGACAGGCCCGGCGUUCUCCUUCAUGAUGUUUGUCCUGCUGGUGUUCGGGGUCUCUCUGAUCAACAUCGGAGUUCAUGGCGUCUAGUCUGGUGUGUCAGCUCCGGUCCGUUGGUGCUCGCAUCGUUCUUCAUACGUUGACGUUCCCCUCAACUAUCUGUCAGUAAUCGCCGCCUCUGUCCACGGAUAGUUUUCGAGUAACAGCAAUAAAGGAAAUGGAAUUAGAAUUGGAAUUGCAUUUUUUUUAACCGAGGGAGUACUAUUUCUGAAUAAUCAACCAGUAUGUUUUUCCUUAAUUACUACGUGCUUCUUUGUACUUGAAUUACGUUUGUGAGCUCAAGUACCUUUUCACGGGAACAUGUGAUAUUCCACCUCCAUGAUUCCACACCUGCUAUCCAAGUUGAGUAGCAGAAGAUCAUCCUGCCCCUGCUUUUGACGCCAGGAGUCGAGACACAAGACUUAUCCAUGUGGGUCCCGGCGCUGACCUGCGAGAUCCGACGCCACUUUUCGGUUACAUCCCGAUCAUGGCCACUGCAGUACUAAAGACCAUCCAAACAGGACAGCGAUGGAGCUGACGUGGAUGUCUGUCGGGAGAACGGGGUGGGUGGCGUGCAGAUUGCGACGGACCACGACAGAGGCGGCGCGUUCGUAACGGGGUGGGGGGGGUGUGCCGAUCGCGCCGGCGACGGCGACAGCGGACCGAAUGGACCACCUUACCUUUUUUUUUCUCCCUUGUGCUUCAUAUAAGCUAUCGAUCCAUUGUCAAGGAUUGUUCAGCGCAUAUUUUUGAGGAUGUGGAUCCAUCAAUCACUUAAAUAUUGGCCCAAACUACAAAGAUGUUGGCCAGAUGUAUGCGCCAGCUAUUGGAAUGGACCACCGAGAGUCAAAUCUGCAAACUUUUUUCAUGCGUGGAUUUUUGUAUGCGCCAACCAUUGUAUGCGUGGAUUUAGGGGGUGUUUGAUACUAAUUAAGAGUAUUAAAUAUAGUUUAAUUAUAAAACUAAUUGCACAGAUGGAGUCUAAUUCGCGAGAUGAAUCUAUUAAGCCUAAUUAGUCCAUGAUUUGAUAAUGUGGUGCUACAGUAACCAUUUGCUAAUGAUGGAUUAAUUAGGCUUAAUAGAUUCACCUCGCGAAUUAGUACAGGAGUUCUGCAGUUAGUUUUAUAAUUAGCUCAUGUUUAGUCCUUCUAAUUAGCGUCCGAACAUCCGAUGUGACCCUCCUAAAGUUUAGCACCUCGUAUCCAAACACCCCCUUAGUUGGUGGAUCCAGACACAUCUAGCUAAAAUUUAGCUAGCUAAGGUAAACUAGCUAAAAAGGAUACACUAAAUUUUAACCAGCUAAAGUUUAGAUGGGUGGAUCCAAACAUGAUCUUGUUGGAAAAUUAGGCAAUUGUAUGAUUAAAUUCCGAACUAUAUUUCAUAAAAAGAAUUAAACAUGCAAGACUCUAACAUACUAGGCAACAACAAGAACGACAUCAUGUUCUCAUAAAAUAUGCUAAAAUAAUAGAUCAAAUCACAUCAUACAUACUGAGCGGGCGCAGCCGUGAUGGGAAGCGGUGCCGACGGAACAACGACGGUGUUGCGGAUGGAGCGCAGCAGACGACGCUGAAGACGACGAGCCGCCGCAGCGCCGGACUUGGACAAAAGACGAGUCGUGGUGAAGACCUUGAGCAGUCGCGUUGAGCGCUUCCCAAAAACUUUAUUCACCCUCUCCCGAUGCAGGAUCACAAGAGCAAGAGGUUUCGGAGACCUGCACUCCCGUUCACCGGUGCACGCCGACACUCAGGAUGGAGUAGAUUAUGGUGACGGCGUAACUCGUACAGACCACCUUGGGGAUACCCUAACUUGGGGUCUUCCCGUAUAGUAGUCUAUAUUGCGUCUAUUCCAUGAGGGAGGUGGUCCAUAUAUAUAGGGAGGAAAAGCCCCAACACCCUCGUUUAUUAGCAAUAUGGGACUAAUAGAUGGUGUACCCCCUCUUACGCUAAUGUGCCUUUGAGAUUUAUUCAGAAUUAUCAUUUAUAUGGGCCUGGCCCAUAUAUCUAAUAGAUCUAAGGGGGUGUUUGGGAGACAGGGGCUAAACUUUAGCCCCUAUCACAUCGGAUAUUUGAUACUAAUUAGGAGUAUUAAAUAUAGGUUAAUUAUAAAACUAAUUGUACAAUCCCUAGGCUAAAUCACGAGACGAAUCGAUUAAACCUAAGUAGUUCAUGAUUUGACAAUGUGGUGCUACAGUAACUAUUCGCUAAUAAUGAAUUAAUUAGGUUUAAUAGAUUCGUCUCGCGAUUUAGCCUAGGGGUUCUGCUAUUAGUUUUGUAAUUAGCUCAUAUUUAGUCCUCCUAAUUAGCAUCCGAAGAUCCAAUAUGAUAGGGCUAAAGUUUAGCCCUCCUUCCCAGAUAAAGCCUAAAUUGAUUGCCGCGGUCAGUUGUACCUCGCUGAACUCCGCCUGCGCGAGCACCAAGUGAUGGCAGAUUUUACCCUAUCAGUAGAUCGGUCGUAGACUCAUGGAGUCGUAGUGACUGCGGCAGCGGCGAAACUGGAGCUAGCCACAAUUCAGCAUAACUUGCAUGAGCAAAUGAGGUACACGGUAACGUGCUGCUGCAGGACAGCAGGAGGAAGAACAGUGAACAUGGAAGAACAUCCAGCUGCUUGUUACUGCUGACGCCGGACCGGGGUCGCCGGCCAGCAGGCCUGGGCUUCGGCUGGCUUUGCCGAACGGACCGGAGCCCGAGCCCGUCACGUUGCGCCCAGCCGUCCACCCCGGGGCCGGUUUCGGACGUGGCUAGGGACUCGCCACAAGAUAGGAAAAACUCGAAGGCAGUGGUCCCGUGCCACGGAACGUACCGCCAGCCCCUUGCUCCGAUUCCCUGCCUCCCAGAGCCUGCAUCUGCCGUGAAUGGAUCGAAGCAGCUAAAGAGGAAAUGGAUUUUUCAUUUUCUUGGGUUCCUCGUGUCCCCAUCCACUGAAGUUCUCUGAAUAUUUGGAUCCUGCCUCUGAAUCUCUGAUGCUCUAAAAGUUUUCUGGGACGCCUCCAAAAAAGAAUUCGAUUAUGGUAAAUUUGAAAUCCGUUCCUGACUUCCUGUUGCACAAAAAGGAUCACAGGAACCAACGGUCCUUGCAAUUGCAGUUCUAGAAGUUCAUCGCUAAUAAGAGUCUCUGAUAUUGUAAACAUAUUAAAGAGCUCAUUUCCAACACAUACUUAUCCUGAAAAGUAAGACCCUUUCUCAGAAAACAAUUUUGUUGUGUCUCUGGCAUGCGGCUCUGCAUGUGUGAUUGCUGAUUUUACCCUGCAUAGCUGGAAUUAUCUAGAGUUGAAUUGGUGAAAAAUGAAACUGUCCCCAGUUUUUUCUCUUAACAUGUUAGCACUGUCCUAAGUUUUAGAUUAAGGAAAAGAUCCGCCUCAACCAAGCACUGUCCUAAUUGGCUGCGCAAUAGUGCUAUAAGCCUACCAUUACGUAACUAGGGCAUUAUUCACGCUGUUUAGCAGGUAUUGAUGAAUUAUGCACUUUGGAACUUUGCAAAACUACUGUUUUGCCAGAACACUGAAUGCAUGUUCACCAUGUUCUUCCUUCCCUUCUGUUCUAGUCACUCAACCUUUUCUUUUGAUGUGAAAGAAAGUUAGUCCCUCACAUUUGGGGUGCAAAUUAUCCGUCUCCAUUUCAAUGAAAUGGCUUGCAGCUUUGUGGAAGUGAUCACAUAUAACACAGAGAAGCUUCGGAAGCUAGGGUGGACCUACAGGCCUAUGGAGGAAACCAUCCGGGAGAGCGUCGAAUGCUACCGAGGUUUGGGCAUCCUGAACUGAGCAUCCAUCCAGGCUGGGACACCUUUGCCAGCUUUCGCUACUAGCAAACUGUUUGUGUUGACAGGCAAACAUGCAAACUGUUUGUGUCUACUGCACGGUGCGAGGUGAUGCACAUGUUGAGAUUCAGAACGCCAUCGUUUCAGAGUCGUCUCUAGGCUUUUAGGCUGCAGAGCAUGCAGUAUUCUAUGAGGAUUACUUGUUAUGUGUUGUAAAUUUGUGAGUACAGAGUUGAACUGCCAAUUCAGAGUUUUCAAGAACAAAUCCAAUUGGCAGGUCAGUUUCCAGGCCAAAUGUGCACUUCCUGAUUGCUGACAUGGGCUUUAUGGCCAGACACAACAUAUUUGAUGAUACUUAUGUGGCCACAAACUUGCUAUCUGAAAAUAUUUCAGGUUAGCCUUCAGGCUUUUUUUGGGUGCUGAGUAGGAUUCAUUUUUUGGAGAUGGCUGAAAAGAACUUUUUCAUGAAAUUUGAGCUGUAAAAAAAGAGCUUUUUUACGGUACACAAUACUACCUUAUACUACUGUUCAAAAAGAACUCAUAUGUAAGGAUCCGACGGUUGAGAUUAAUUGUAUACUACUGAAACCUUAAACUGUAGUAUAGAUAGUAUGCAUGAGUAGUAUGAAUAGUAUAGUGGUAUGAUUGGAAAUAUGUAAAAUGAUAUUGUUGGGAGAUCGACAGGCGCCACAGCGUGCGGGUGGCGGCGGCGGUCGAGCGCUGUCAGAUGGACGGGCUCUGUGUGCGGGCGGUGGCAGCAGCCGAGUGAGAAAAUGCCGUGUAGAAAAAAAAUCCCCGAAUAAUAUAUGUUAUGCUAAUUACAAUUUUACUCAUACUAAAAAUAAGUUAUACUUUAUACUGGUAAUAUUAUGCACUAAAAAAGCUCGUAAAAAUAAUGUCUGUGGCUCUCUGAUGCUGCUGAAGGGAUUGAAGCAGUCAAGCAGGACUCAGUAGCUUGUACAGCAACACAUUUUCAAAUCUUUCUUUACUUUCAUCAUAGGGCCAAGGUUAAGCAAGGUGAGCGAGAGGUAACAGGGCAUCCGUAUUGAAUGGAAUAUUUUCAAGGAAUAAUGUAUUUGGAAGUACCCCAGUACAUACGGCAGUACAUUACUGCCCAUGCCUAACUAUUUUAGCACCAUGUGCUAAGCAUGAUUUUGGCACGUAUGUGACGUCUGCUUUAAUUUGAUGGCUGUACAUGCGCCUAAGCAGUUCGUUCAAAUUAAUUACCAGAAACGAAGAGUGCUGAAGGCUAUUCUAAACCCAAAUACACAACGGCUGCAUCGCUCUUCAGUCUGGAAGCAAGACGGCAGGAGUCAGCCGGGCAUUGAGACGGCCGGAGAGCAACGGACUGAGCAGAGGGAGAAAAAGCAUGGCGGCGCCGGCGAGGAGCACGGUGUGCGUGACCGGCGCGGGAGGGUUCGUGGCGUCGUGGCUCGUCAAGCUCCUCCUCUCCACCGGCCGCUACGCCGUCCGCGGCACCGUGCGCGAUCCCAGUACGUAACGUAACCACACCCUCGCCGCCGGCCUUGCUCCCUGCCGGGAAGCUUCUGAUGGCAAACAGGGCCCUUGAUUCUGCAAGCAGUUGACAAGGCACUGGAUAUACUAAUUCCAGCAUGAAACAUUCGCGGUGUAGGUGGUGGCAAGAAUGCUCAUCUCAUGGCGCUGGAAGGUGCCGGGGAGAGGCUUCGGUUGGUCAAGGCUGAUGUACUGGACCACAGCAGCGUGGCGUCGGCAAUCGCCGGCUGUGAUGGUGUCUUCCAUGUAGCCAGCCCUGUGCCGUCCGGCCCAUGUCCCGACCUGAGGUGAAACAACUUAAGGCUCGUUUGGCACAGCUUUAGCUGACUUCGGUUUCGGCACUGUAGUGCAUCUAGCGCGUGCCGAGCUGGAGCCGGGGAAGCUAUUUUCUUUUUUGCUUCACCAGCUUCCUCUAGUUCAUUUUGUGCCUCGGUUUGCGUUUUGACUUCAUACUACAGUGCAAUACAGUAGUACUAUGUUUUUCUUUUUUUUUCUUAUUAGUUUCUGUACAUUGUUUCAUUCUUUCUUUUUUUUCCCUGAUAAGUGUACAACAUCAUUAGCCGUCCUUUUUAGUAAGGACUUUUUUUAAGGCAGGGGUGUAGAGCUAGCUUCGUAGAAACCUUUUCGGAUUCAAAUUUUUUGGAAAAAUAUGAUUUGAAAAUAAACUCCUACAAAACAAAUUAAGCUGAUUUUUUUCGACAUCAUCAAUUGGCACGCCAAGAGUAUGUAAUUUCUGCAGGAUCAUUUUGUUUUGAUAAACUAGGUGAAAGCUUUAGAAUCGCUUGAAAUGGUCAUUUAAUUGUGUUUGAUUUGUUUGGUUCAUUUACUAGCCGCACAUAAGUGAGGAAGCGGAGCUGUCGUAGAAGCAGUAGCUUCCCCCGACAAUAUACAAUACUGAGAUUAUAUGAGCAAAUGCCUGAAUCAAAAUACGUACAUUACCUGCUGCACCGAGCAUUGAUUUGAACGAAUUAAUUACCAGACUUAUUGAGGAGUGUGUACGACUUAGUGGAGUGUUUCCUUUUUAAUAGAAUCAGAGCAGAGGAUUGAAUCGCAUGAAUGGGUUGAGCAUUUUCAUAGAUAUACCCUUUUUCUUAGGCAUCGAUUCUAGGAUUGAAGAAAGGGGAGAUUUCCCACACUUUGAAAGAUUCACCUAUUGGGUGGGGCGUGAAUUACCUACCCGGGAUUUUUCGUGUAUAUGUUGUUCUUUUGAUGAUAUUUCCAUGUGUCUGCUGCUCCUUCCAAUGCAAAAUAUAUGAAAUAGGAUAUCAGUGUUGCUAAUCCAACCAGGCUUUCUGGCUCUUUGUGGGUGAUACCAGUCUUAUUCUCCCUCUAUUUAUUUUUACAAAACAUAUUUUAUUUCUUUAGGACAAAUAUUUUGCCAACAAUUACUCUGCUAAUAUGUAACUUAUGUGAUAUAAACUUAUAACAUAAGUAAGUAUUUUAAUACAAAUCUAAUAACAUCAACUUGUGAUACAAAAUUAUGUAUUAAUAGAGUAAAUGUUGGUAAAAGUCUUUGUUCUAACAAAAUGAAAAUACGUCCUAUAAAAGUAGACAGAGGAGCACCAGUUUUUGGCUUCUUCAAGUACACUAAGUACAUACUUAGUACUUCCUCUGUCUACCAAUAUAACGCAUAUUUUGAGUUUUUGACUAGGGAAAAGUCAAAGUUAACCAACAAUUUAUCAAAUUAUUUACAUUUUAGUGUAUAAAAACUAAAACAUCAGAUUUGCACUCAAAGUAGUUUUAAGAUGGUUAUAUUAUACCAGAAAUUAGGAGCCACCCUAUCAAAAUACAUCUUAUAUAUUGAUGGACGGGGGUAGCACUUGUCAAUUUGUUAGAAAUAACCAGUAGUUAUGGUAUUCUAUUACCUCCUGAGACUACCUUUUACAAUCCGCGUUGCAGGCAGAUGUCUUAGCUCCUACUGUAACUGGCACACUGAAUGUGUUGAAAGCUUGCUACGAGGCAAAAGUUAAGCGAGUUGUGGUGGUAUCUUCAUUUGUUGCCGUGGGUUUCAAUCCCAAGUGGCCCAAGGGCAUCGCCUUCAGCGAAGAUAGCUGGUCAGAUGAGGAGUAUUGCAGAAAGCAUCAGGUAUAUCAUAGUAGAUCAUUUAAGUAACGUAGCGCAGGAGUAGCUGCUGAAAUCUUUUUGUGCUAAUGUUCAGAUGGAACUGAGCAUGUUUUCUCUCUUCAUCAGGUGCUAAGAGCAUGUCCUCUUCAUGCAUUCUACAUUGAUUUGUUUCAGUUUGAUUUUUCUUUUCUGAAAUAUGAAUGCAUUAUCAACACUUGGUUUAUAGCUUUUGCAUGAUGUAAUAUCCUUCCAUCAAUGACUUGACUGCUUCUAUCCUGGAAGAAUAGGCAGAUUCGAUUUUUGUCUGGAUCAUAUAAAAAUAAUGUUGUCCUUGUUUUUGUUCUUGUAGGAAUUUGGAUGGUAUUUCCUUUCUAAAACAUUGGCGGAGCGUGAGGCCUUUGCUUAUGCAGCAAAAACUGGACUGGAUGUUGUAACUGUUUGCCCAACAUUGGUCAUCGGACCAUUGAUGCAAUCUUCAAUUAGCACAAGCGUUAAAAUAUUUCUUAAUUAUAUCAAAGGUGGAUAUGAUUAAAUUAUUUCUAUUUAGUCAUCUUGAUUUGCAUUUAGUAGCGAGCCGAGAAAAGAGAAAAAUGGGAUGACAUAAAACUUAUUAUUUACAACAACUAGACGAAAGGACUCUAAUCACUUGACUGAUGCAGUCAUGCCUCACUCGGCCAAAAACCAAUUGGUUGUAAGUUGUAACAAAUGGUUCGUGCAUAAAGUAUUUCGCUAAAGUUACAGCAAUAGUUUGGGUUGAGAUUUUUCCUUUUCCUUUUCGAAAUGAUCAUAUAGCUUUUAUAUUUGAACUAAAAAGUGUAUAUAUUAAGCCAUUAAGGUAGUACCUCUCUGUUGCUUGUUUUGAAUAGAAAACAAUGAAGCAUAUCAAUCGAUCAUCCUAGUAUUUGAGUUUGGUGCUUUGUCUAUUGAAACAAACACUACCUUCUCUACUGCAACAGAUGAGGAGGAGUCCGUCGAACAUAAGUUUGAGCAUUUUGUGGAUGUUCGUGAUGUUGCUGAUGCUCUUCUGUUGGCUUAUGAAAACCCAAAGGCGUCUGGAAGGUACCUCUGCAGUUCAGCACUAAUAAGAGUCUCCGAUAUUGUAAACAUAUUAAAGAAUUCGUACCCAACGUACAACUAUCACAAAAAGUAAAUCCCUUUUCUCAGCAAGUGAUUUGGUCUGAUUUUAUCUCUGCAUAGAAAAAGUUAUGUUUUGAAACACUAUAUGUUUUGCUAGAUCAUUCAAAUGCUUGCUUACAAUAUCCUUGUCUGUUGCAAUGCGAUGGCUUGCAGCUUUGUGGAAGCAGAAAACAGCACCAGGUGUAACACGGAGAAGCUUGAGAAGCUAGGGUGGAGCUCCAGGCCUAUGGAGAAAACCCUCCAUGACAGCAUCGAAAGCUGCCGAGCACUUGGCAUCCUGAAUUAGCCUCCAACUUGGGGACCAUUUGGCCAUGGUGAGACUGAAUAAGCUAGAGAACCAAUGAGCAGCUCGGGUAAGAGUAGUACCCUCCAUUUGAGGGGCACUCCGUCUAGGGCACGGUUAUGCAUCACAGAAGAUGACAGAUAAAUCAUUGUUAUCUUCUGCGGCUGGCCUGCAGCCUGAUUGGUAGGUCACGUGAUGAUUAUUAGGCUGUGCCGUUGAAAGAAUUGAGCGGAGUAACAACUCACUAGAGUUGAUAAUGUCAUCCCCGUGUAAGAGAGUCCGAAAACUAAAAAAGUCAUCACUCUUGAAUCGGACCUUCAAAUUAAAUUUCGAUUGUACCAUUAAAUUUUUUAUAGCAAGAUUUUCAAAACAAGACCCCACUUGACUGUGUUUGGAGAAUAUUUUUAAAAAAUAUUUUUUAGAUGCGGAUUAUUUAGUUAUGAAUACUGCGAACAAAUGCUUCAAUACCACGAACAAAUAACUAUUUCUGUGAACAAAAAAUUAAAUAUGUUUUUUGAGUUCGUAUAUUUUGUUCUAUGCGUAUGAUUUUUUUUCACGGAUUUGUAUAAUUUGUUCCACAUGUAUAUGUCUCAUAGAAAAUGCUACCUUGAUUAAAAAAAUAUGAAUAAAAAAGUUCAUCCAAAUAUAGUCAAAUAGGAUCUUGUUGUAAAGCUUUUAUUGUUAGAAAUUCAAUAGUGCAAUCGGAAUUUAAUUUUGAUGCUCGGUGUAAGAUUUAUAGCUUACACGAUUGCGUUUCUUAUAAUAAAACCUUCACAGCAAGAUCCCACUUGACUAUAUUUUGAAGCAUUUUUUAUUCAUAUUUUUUAAUUAAGGUCGCAUAUUUUCUGCGAGACACGUACACGUGGAACAAAUUCUACGAAACUUAUGGAACAAAAUAAUCAUACACAUCAAACAAAUUAUACAAACUUGCAGAACAAAAACGGAUACCCACAUGCAUGAAAAUUUUUGAAAUUAAAAAAAUAAACAAUCAUAAACCAAGCAUUCAUAUUUGAUUUCGAUUGCACCACUGUAUUUCUUUUGACAAAAUUUUCAAAACAGGAUCACAGUUGACUAUGUUUGGAUCAAAAAAUUUAAAACUAUUUUCUAAUAGAAAAUAUUAAUUUUGAUCAUAGCGAAUAAAUACUUGAAUAACUAGAAUAAAUGAUUGUCUAAUGCAAACAAAUAAAAUAACACGAUGAGCAAAUGAUUAUAAAUAAUGAAUGAAAGACUGAACAUCAGAAAAAUAACAUGAUGUAAAUAAAAGAGAUGUACAAAUAAUAAUAUACUCAAAUAAAAAAUUGAAAAUUUGAUAUUGUAAGAAAAAUAGUAGAAUAUGAGAGGAGUUGAUACUCCAAUCUCUUAAGACAAAUCUCAGUUUGUCUUCUCCUAAGAAUGGAGUAGUACUUAUGUGCCUUAUGAAAGCAAUUUCAAGCUAUCCUAAAAUAAGUAGACAUUUGUAUGAACUAGAACAAACAUAUAACUAGUGCGUAUUUCAAACAGCUCAUCCUUUGGAUUUAUUCAAAUCAUCAGCCUAGCGAAAAAAAAGUCUAGGCUAUCAAACAGACGAGCCUGCUUACAUUCUCGGACCAGUGGCUUUUGGAGAAGCUCUGAGUAAGAAACUGAGCAAUAACAACGACGACAGUGGAACAGAAUUUCCAGAGCCGCCUAUCCUAGUCUCAGAGAAAACCGGCCAUCACCAUGGAGACGCCGGCGAACAUGACGACAGCCAGUCCGAAAGCCACCACCGGGGUGACGGCGCCAACGGCGACGGCGUGGACGGCUGAGGAUGCGGCCACGAUCCCCAGCAUAAAUGAGAGGCUGCCACGGCCGUGACGGUGCCCGUUCCCCCGCCCGUUGUCUUCACCGGACGCCUUCUUGGCUCCUGGUGGAAUGGAUCGCCGGCCUCAGCACCCGCGGACUUUUCAAUGCGAAUCUACACGAUCAGGAACACAAGUUAAAAAAGAUUAUCAAAAGACUUGGAGACAAUUUAAUUACUUCAUCUGCAAUAAACUGGGUGUUGGGUACAUUAAUUACCUGCAGCAGCAUGUCGCUGAUGCCGAUGAUCAGCGCGCCGGGGUGCGGGUUCACCACUUCCCGCUGCCAACACAGAUUUUAAGCUUUGUUCUGCUGGAAUGAGUUCGUUCGCAGGUGAAAUUUUGCGAGGUGGGGGGCGGGGGCUGUUAUAUAGAAGAGAGGUAGGGGAGGAAGGGCAGUUGCUCAAGGAAGACGAAGCUAGUUGCCCAGGGCAAGCCACGUCGGAUGAGAUUAUUUGUUUUUUUAGCUGCACAUUGGAUUUUUCGUCUGCCGUUGGAUGCAGCAGCCGACGGCGGGAAUUCGAGGGACGCCGGCGGUCGGUGCCGUGCACGCGUGACGACAGCGAUGACCGAUGCAUGCAUAUGGGGCCGCACGUGUCGAUGGAUUGAUCGUGUAGUGCGACUCGAUCGGCCGGUAGGCGAUAGCGCUAUCAGCAUCAGAUGAUGCUACAUGCAACGUACGCGUCGGUCUCGUGCAUGUUCAAUCGUGCAGUGUGCGUAGUACUCCCUCCAUCCGAAAUUAUAAAUCUAUAAUUUAGAACGGAAGAAGUGCUAUUUGUUGAAAUAAACCAGACAGGAGAGUUGCCAACUUGUAAUACUAUCAUGUGUUAUCACUAACCAAAGUUUUAGAGCACGUCAAGAGCCCACUCAAGUGUUUUAGACCAAUUGGAACUUGAUUUUUACCAUCCUUGGAUCUUGAAUCAAGGGUUAACAUCUUCUCCAUCAGUAAUCCAUUAGUAGAUUUAAACCAUUUCCCGAGUAUUUUUCCAAAUGGCCGGCGUUUAUUGUUUUGUUUAGGAUUUUUAGUAUUUUUUCUUAAAUAGCCAAGGGAGUUUUUUAGUCUAAUUAAGAUAUAUCCUGCAGCUGGUCGCCGAGUUCCCGCUGCCAACACAGAUUUUAAGCUUUGUUCUGAAAUGGAUGUUGAGGAGAUAAUUGAUCACCUGCAGCUGGUCGCCGAUGUUGAUGAUGAGCGCGCCGGACUGCGGGUUGACGGCGACCCACUUGCCGUCUUGGGGUGAAUUGAUGCCUGAAUGAUUCCCGAGUCCGCGGCGUACACCUGACUCUCUCAGCUUGCCGGUGAAGCCAGCAAUCAGACUUCACCGCCUUGGCACCUCUUGUGAGUCGUCUGGUGAACCAGUUGAAAGAUGAUGGAUAGUAGGAUAUCCAAGAGUGUUCAACUGUGCUGACAACACUACUAUCCAAGAGAGUCAUGCCGGUGGAACAACGAGGAACCAAAAUCAGUAAAGAGUCAUGCCACCCGGUGGAAGCUGUUCAGUUCUCUCAUGCUACAUGACAAAUUAUUUGUCCAAAACGUCAUCUUAUUCUGAACAGAGAUAGCAUGUAGCAGAUUCUUAGUUGAUUAGCAUUUCCUAGGACAAGAAUAAUUUUAGGAAAAUUGCAAACAGAUACUCAAAACAUCACGCUUUCAUCAAACUAUGCACGUGAUUGCAUUUUAUCCAAUGCUGACACAUAGUUUUUUUUUUUGAAGAAACAGGAGGGGAGGGUCCCUACUGGUUAUAUAUUAAAAGCUAAAAGGAAAACCAAGUACAGAAACAGGAAGAGCAAAACGAGAGCGAAGCAAAAGGGAAAACAGAAAAGAAAACAUACUACAAGGUGUGCAGCCUGUCAUGCUGCGAACUAAGACACACAGUAUUGUCUUACAUCAUCUCUCAGAAGAGACAGUAUGGCAUUACAUGGCCAAACUAUACUGAACACAAAGUGGUAUUAGAGAGAGUAUUGUCAUCAUCUCUCAGAAGAGACAGUAUUAUUGUAUUACAUGGCCAGAGGGAAGAAGGACACUUGAACUAUAGUAGCUCACAUUCAUUAUUGAGCCCACGCGGCAUGAGAAUGACAGCAAGCAGGAGGCAGCAGCAGCAACAGAUACUCAAUGCAUCUGGGAGAGGCCAAGGAUCCCAACGCUGAUCAGGGAGAGGCCGAGGAGGAGCAGAGCAAACAUGCCGAAGCAGAGCACCUGGCCUGCUUCGCCGGAGACCGCCGUGACGGCGCAGGAAGCCAUCACGAGCCCCACGACGGCGACGUUGCGACGAAGGAACUCUGCGAGAGCACGCACCUCAGCCAACACUGCCGGGACGACGGGUGCCAGGUCGGCGUCGGACAUCUGGAUGCCGACGGCGACGAUGUUGGCGCCGGCGAGAACCCCCGCGAAGCAGAGUAGUAAGCCGAAUCCGCCGGCGCCGGAGUUGAAUCCGGCGCUGACGGAGAACAGCAAGAUGGCGAGGCCGGCGAACAUCGCCGUGGUGCCCGGAGUGGUCAUCGUCGGCCGCGUGGCACCGCAGUCCCCUGCUUAAUUGGAGAGGGCCGUCGAGCGAGCAGGCGAGGCACCGCCGCACCGGGGAGGGAAGCGUUGCCAAAGAGGCAAAGAAUGCAGCGGGAGGAGGAGGAGGAGGAUCUGGGCGGUGCGCAGCGGACGGGGAGAGCCGGAGGAGCGAGAUGGUUGGGGUAGGGGAGGCCGGGGUGGCAUACUGGCAUUUAUACCGGGGAAGAAGGAGGUUGCCGAAGAGGAGAAAAAGGCAACGGACAUUUAUAGUUUUAUACCGAGAGGUGACCGGGCCGCCGACCCGCCGGGUGCACAGUCUGAUAAAUGAUGCGUGGGGUCCGCCGUGGUGUCGACACCCCUCACCUGCCGCCUGGGCGUAGGAAGUGUUAAGGAAGUAAGCAGUGCCGGAUUCAGACACGGGCCCGUACCAAACUAACCCGAACGAACUGAAGGUUUAAAAUCUUAUUAGCCAUACACUAUUAGACAUAACAUAUUUUUUUAAUAUUUUUUUAAAGAGCACAAAUAAUUAUAUAAUUCUUUAGAUUCCAAGUGUUCAACAAAUAGGCUCAAACAAUAUGUAGAACAUUGAAUGUAGAAAAGUAUCAAAUUAAGAGUCUUCCAUGACAAAAAAAACCAUACAUGUUUUCAUAAAUUAACACCACUUCCACUUGUUCUGAUGGGCUCAAUUCUACAUAAAAAUUUCCAAUACCUCAACCCUUUAUAAAGUAAGAUAACAUUAUGUAUUGAAAUAGACUAAUACAACACAAAGUAAACAACACGCGCUCUCGUUUCUUGAAAACCUUGAAAGCGCUUUUGAAAGCGGCAGGAGAUUCCCACCGUCAUGUCAUGCCGUCGUGUCGUGUCGUGUCGGCCGGCCCUCCGGCGUGAUCCAACCGAUGAGAUUGGAUUCAUAUCAUAUUGUUAUUGAUGCCAUUUGGGAGACGGGUGCUAAACUUUAAUCCUGUCAUAUCGGAUAUUCGGAUGCUAAUUAGAAGGACUAAAUAUAAACUAAUUACAAAACUAAUAGCAGAAUCACUAGGCUAAAUCACGAGACGAAUCUAUUGAGCCUAAUUAAUCCAUCAUUAAUGAAUGGUUACUGUAGCACCACAUUAUCAAAUUAUGAACUAAUUAGACUUAAUAGAUUCGUCUCGCGAUUUAGCCUAGGAGUUGUGUAAUUAAUUUUAUAAUUAAUUUAGAUUUAAUACUCCCAGGACCCUCCUCCCAAACACCCCCAGGAAACUCUGGGCAUCUCACAUGCGUUCUCUGAAACUCUGAAUAAAAUAUGAUUAAACCAUCCGGCGGCGCGCGCUGCCGUCGUGUCGUAGCCUGCAGCUCACUGGCGUCAAGGACAGCGCGUGGGCCCAGCCUCACGGAGUACAUCUGGAUGUUGACGCGCGAUGUUGCAGCUCAAGUGAACAUGGCAGUAUCGGCAUUCCACUCUAUCGACCACUUCAUUUUCGCACACAGGCUUGUAAUCAUCCCACAGCUUAGCUAUCUUAUUUCUGAAUCUGGAUUGACCAAUAGAAGCAGCCCCUGCUUGCGUAUCAUCACUGGCAUGCUCAUCCAACAGGUCCAUAACUGCAGAUAACAAUACGACAUUAUCAGCUUUCUUGACAGGGCGUAGUUAAACUGCAACCUUGAUUCCAACCAGAAAAGGAAAUGCUUCACACAAUGCAGGAGCGGCAAUAAUCUCUACAGAUGGCUGGAGUGCUGGACAUAUCAGAAAACCAAUUCGCACAGACAAACAAACAGUAGGUGCAGAUGUGCAUGCAUUGAUCAUUAAGAGAAAGACCCAAAAAAAACUUUUAGUUCUCCCAAAAUUGCUGGGUCCGAAAAUCGAUCCCACGACCUCUUGCUUGCUAUCAAAAGGUAACACCUGUUCUCCACAACACUAACACGCGCCCUGCCGCUCCAAUUUCUUGCAACUUCUAAGCCCGCAGAGCUGCAGCAACUAAAACGGUAGCCAAUACCUAGCAUUCCCCGCACCACUACUCCCCAAGCGAAGACUGCAACUUUCCGGCCCAAAACGAACAAGAACACCAGCUACGGCAGUGCCCGCCCAUUCGCAGACACAAACAGCAGCAGGCAAGCAAUUCGUUCCCCCCAAAAAUUCGGGAAAUAAAAAGCAACAGUAGCGAGAGGAGGAUCGCAUCACUUACUGGUUACUGCUCACCGGGAACUCGGAAAAGGAACAUCAUCGAAUUAAUGGAACGUGCAAUGGCACUCGGAAGUCGGAAUGCUUCCGAGGGGGGAGUCGGAGGAGGGAGGAGACGGGGAGCAGAAUGGAGGGUGGAUUCGGGGUGGGUUCGGUGGUGCAGCAACUCCAAUAGUUCCCCAAAAAUUCUUCCCCAAAACGAGGUAUUGGAAGCUAUGCUAAAAUUUUUUUCCCCCAAAAACUAUAUUAGCCCACAGAAGAACGCUAAAAACUAGCCCUCAAUAUUUCAAAACAAAUUAUGUCAUCGUAUUGAACCCAUUAGUUGAGCUGCCCACCUCCCCCUCGUGAUCUCCAGCGGCGCCGCCAGGAGCUCACGUCGCCGAAGGAUUUUUCACGCCGGCAGGAACCCACGUCGCCAGGAUGUCACGAUCAGGUUUGUGCCAUGGAGCUCAUCCUCUACUGAAAUACAUACACCUCGUUCGCUGUUGCUGCUUCCACUUCGCGCUCGUGCUGCUUCUGCUGCCUGCUGAAUUAUUUCUCUCUCCCUCCUCUUCUUGCGUUUGUGUACUGUUGGUGUGUUUGUGUACUGUUGGUGUGCAGCCGAAGCCGUCCGGGCGAGCCAAUAGUUGCGUCACGAUCAGGAAUACAUUAAACCUUGAAAACAUCCAAAAUGUACCCUAAAGAGAACCAUAGACUUGCAGUAGGCAGGUAUUGCUCUGCUCCAUAUUUUGGUUCCGGUAGCCUGCUACUGACUUGCAUGCAGAACCAAUCACUCUUCUAUAUCUCUGUCUCUAAGAGACCUCACAGAAAGUGAAGGAGAUGAAGCUUGGAAGGCCAACUGUGUCCACUAAAAAGUUGAGCCUUAAAAUGGACUAGGAACUAAUUCUUGUAGUUUUAUGCUCAAAUGAUGAAAAUUCUUAUUCACAGAAUCAGUUAAAUAUGUAAUAUUUUGAACCAAAGAUGAAGACUUAAACAUUAACUGUAAGUUAUGACUUAUGAGCCAAUUCAGGAAAAAGAUGGUAUAGCAUUUAUAAUCAGCACAUCAUGAACAAUAAGGUUGGAGGGAACAUGCCACUGCGUUAAGUGAAGAAUAAUGCACAUGUAUAGCAGGACGUACGUAUCAUUGUUCCAAAUAAUAGUUCUAGGUACAUUGAGAACCUAAAUCUACACAUGCCCUACAAUCUAGCAGAAACCAAGGGUAAGUAUAUUUGAUUACUGCCCAUUCUCCCAUUUGUUAAGACUUAAGAACAUAAAGGUGAGGGUCACUUUUUCAGUAGAAAAUUCAAGAAGAACUUGUAUUGCAGUGAACAACAGUUUUCUGAUUGGCAUAAAAAAGAAAUAGUACUAAUAUUAAUCUCAGAUCAAGUAUAUGAAAACUUUCCUUGUUAUCAAUUAGCAUGACAGAUAAAAUUCCAGUACGAGCCUAAAGGCAGGAUGAUACAUUGAUACUAGAAGUCCCGAAGAUGUACACCUCGAGGUUCGAAUUCUGAUGAAAUUGAGCUAGUAUGACUAACAAAAUUCCGGUGAAAUUGAGCUAUGAUGACUACAUGAUCCGAAUGUGGCUACAUCAAGAGCUCAACUUGGUCCCUCUUUACCUACCUGCACACGGGACGCCACCGCCACUUCCGCCGCGGCGGCCGGCCAGCGGCAGCGGAAGAGGUGCUCCCAGACGCAGUCGGCGUCACAGGUGGUGCGCCAGGAGCGCGAGCAGACGCCGAGCGCGCACACGUAGGCCUCCUGCGAAAAAAUUAAGAUAAGAUUAAUUAUCUGAAAAAAUUAGGGAAGGUUUAGGGAACUGUUGAAUUGGUUUUUUUUCAUUUUUCCUCUAAAAAAAUAUUAAAAUAAGAUUAGCAGUCUUUUGACUUUUGAAGUGACUUGAUCUUGAUGGACCAGCUGGUGGGGUCAGGUCGCGAGGAGCCCGACCCAGUUCAUGAUCUGGGCUGAAACGGGCUCUUUAUGUGCUACUCCACUUACUGGGCCUUCGGCGCAUUAGAAAUUGGGCUGUGUUUCCCCACGAACUGGGUCCGAAUAGCGGUGCGGCCCAUCGUCCCUUUGGGGCGAAUUUUUUUAUUUUUAUAUUUUUUUUUCGAUUUUGCAGAAAUAUAUAGUCCGAUGAAAAAAAUUGCAAAACUAGUCUACUAUCGCCGGUCCAGGCGGCGGUUGGGCCAGCGGAAGCGCUUACCGCUGGUCCAGCCGGCGACAAGGGGUACACCUCCGCGCCACAUUUUCAAAAAAUCAUAACUAAUUCAUAUCAACUCGGAUGGAGAUAAACUUUAUAUGAAACUUGUAGAUCUACAACUUUGUAGUUAAAGUUUUUUCAUUUCAUGUCAUAUUGGUGCUCAAAUAAUCGACACAAGUUUCAGAUCUAAAAUUCAAUUCAUGUCAUAUUGGCCCAAUCCUCCAGCGUCGCUCCAGUUCCCUCCUGUCUUCCCGUCCAACGCUUGCCUUUCCCUGCUUCCCUCGUCUCCUGCUCCUCAACUGCUGCAGGAUACAGCGUGAGGUAUGUCAAAGGGUCCGCAGUUUGUUUUCUUCUUGUGAAAACCUUUGGAUGUUUCAGUGGCUAUAAUGUCUUGUGAAAUUCCCCAAUUCUCUUGCGAGCAUGGCUAUGGUGACGCCAAUGAGCACUCGGGGCAGCAGCAGGGCCAUGUACACAGGCCUGAUCAUCCUGCUGCUUGCUGUCGGCGCAGGCAUCAACUGCGACGGAUUAUCUGGCCCACUCCAAAGCUUCGUGGGGGUUGUCGCCAGCGCCAACAUAUGAUCGCCGCCGUCGUCAGGACGGCCGACGACCCAGCAGCACCCAUCGGCCCCACGCCCGCAGCGUUCGCCGGUGCAAACACAAGCACCACAUCUUGAUCAGUUUACACACCUGGGGUCCUGUUUUUCCUACAGCUCAAUACACGUAACACUCAGUUCUGGGCACACAUCUACCAAAUAUCCUGAUGCCUAUGAAAUUGGAAUAGACAAGUUGAAAUGGAUGUACUCACAAGGUGAACACAUGUCCAUCUCCCAAUCAAAUAUACUAAUAUCAACGCGAACACCGUAGGUGCUUGCUGAGUAAUAGACUCAAAAACAGAUGGAGUGCACUACUCAUCUUCUGCAGCAAAUCCAAGAUUCUUGUAGCCUUGUAGGAUCCCAAGUUGAGGCGUCUAGUGGUAUUUGAGGUACGCCUGCAAAAAUGGUGAGAGUAUUAGCCACAGUUGAAACUUUUCUUUUUAUUCUAUUUACUUUGGGUCAAACUGCAGACCUGCAAACACAAGCAUCCCUAUGCAUAUGAAACAAACAGGGACCCAAUCACUCUCUAGUAUCGAUAUUCUUUUCUCUAAGACCAUUGCAUUCGCUGAAGUACAAUUCCUGCAUUAGAAAGUCUAAGCAUAUUGUAGUUCAAUACGGAACAGAAAGAGAAGAAAUCAAUUUCAACCUGGAUGCAUCCCCAAUAAAGAUAUCAGUACGGACGCAUGUCCACACCAUGCGAGCGCAACACAGUUCAUUAGGAAAACGAUAAAUAACUAGAUGAAAGCUAGUAGAUUGAUGGAGAACAUGUUUACCUGCUGGCAGCAUCCAGCUUACCUCUGUUUCAUAUUUAUCGUACAGAUUCUGAAACUCAUCUCCCCAGCAAUCAGCCAAACCUGGAGCUUCAUUGGGACAAAACAGUGACCACUGUUCAUUGCGUUGUACCUUUUCCAUGAAUAGAUCAGGAACCCACAGAGCAUAGAAAAGAUCCCUUGCACGAUUCUCCUCCUAUAAAUAUCACAUAAAAAAACUUUUCACAGAUGAGGCAAUCUAAUGUAAUAGCAUGCCAAGCACUUAUAGUGCAAUUCUUAUACAGUGUGCUACGAAGACAGUAAUCAAUUGUCAAAAUGUAUUCAAUCGCAGCUGGCAAUUUUCAAGAAUGUGUGCUAUUGCUCAAGAGCUUUUACCUUUCCAUGGUUCUUUCUUAGAUCAAGAAACUCAAAGAUAUCAGGAUCCAAGGCCCCAAAUAAACAGCAAAUGCACCUAACAAAAGGUAUUUGUAAGAAAUCCUCAGCAAUCAUGUAAAUAGGACCGGGCUAACUUACUGAUGCUACUUACCUUUUCUCUUGCCUCCACCUUGAUCAACAUAACGGGCAGUAUCAUUGAAAACACGUAGCAUAGGAACAAUUCCAUUAGAAGUACCAUUUGUUCCUCAAAUGUAGCUCCCAGUAGCUCGAAUGUUGUGAAUUGAGACACCAAUUCCUACAGCGCAUUUGCUUAUCGCAGCACAUUCCAAGAGAGUAUCAUAAAUUCCCUCAAUACUAUCAUCUUUCAUGCAGAUAAGGAAGCAGCUAGUUAGCUGCGCAACAUUAAUAGAAGGAUGAGAUUAAAUGCACAAGUUAACAGUCCACACUCCACACUGAACACAUUUUUGGUUGAAGGUGGCAAUGCAAUACCUGGGGCCUUGGAGUGCCAGCAUUGAAAAGGGACGGGGAAGCAUGAGUGAACCAGCGCUGAGACAUCAUGUGGUAUGUUCUGACAGCCGAUUCAAUAUCAUCCUUAUGUAUGCCAACAGAAACUCUCAUCAACAUAUGAUGCGGCCUUUCCACGACCUUUCCACCAACUUUCAACAGAUAAGACCUCUCAAGUGUCUUAAAACCAAAAUAAUCAUAGUCGAAAUCUCAGUCAUAUUUUAUCUCAUUGUCCACGCGAGCAGCAUUCUUAAGUUAUACAGAAGUCAAAAGUUGAGUGCUUAGUUCCAUGAGUCAGACUAUAUGAUAAGAGGAGUUAGUCAGAAAUAAAAUAAACUAAGUACACGGAUGCACCAGUGUAAAUUACAACCACAAAUAGUAUUCCAUCUAUUUCAUGGUUUUUUUUUCAUAAAAUUAAGCACCAAAAGAACCAUAUCGGAUCUUAAUUACAGCAUUCCAAUGAUAAGCUAUCACAGAAAGUUUGAACAGUAAAACACACAAACUAUCGAAAUGGCAAGAAAGAAGAUACAUGUUUUUUGCUCUAAAUAAAUUGUUGGGCCCUUGGCCCAUGCAUCACACUGUAACACCCAAAUUUUUAAAGAAUUUAAAUUCACUAAAAUUUGAUUAAUUAGGAUGUCAUUUAAAUUUCUAGGCAUUUAAUUUCAUUUUCUCUAAAUUAAAUUAAACCAUCAUAGGAGUUCUUUGUGCAUUGCAUGCUGGUGCAUUUAUUUUGAUUGCUUGUGUUUGAAUCAAAUUUGAAUCUCAAAUUCAAUUUCAAUUUUCAAAACCAAUCCUUUUCUCAUUUUCUCUUCCAUCUCUUGGGCUGCAUUUUUCUCCUCCUCCUUUUUUUUUCCUUCGGCCCGCUCCACCUUUUCCCCAACUCCUUGCGGCCCAGCUCGCUUGCUCGGCCUGUUUCGCCGGCCUGGCCAGCACACCGGCCUCCCUCCCUUUUCGGCCCUGCCUCCCCUCAGCUCCACCGGCCCACUCCACUCUUUCCUCGGCUCGCGACGCUCGCUAGCCCAACAGCUGCGCCGGCCGUCUUCCGCCCAUGGACACCGACAGGUGGGCCCCACCAUUGUCUCCCACCUUCGGCCAGGACUCCUACUCCGCCCCGUAAUAGCCGCGCGAGAUCUCCGCUUGGGGGCCACCUCCCGGCCGAUUUGAACGCGCCCCGCCCCUAUCCCUUGACGCGCAAGCCACCGCCUAUCCACCCUAUAUAAGCCCCCCCCCCGCCCCCCGGCCUCAAGCACCCAACUGUCGCCCCUCCAAACCCUAGCCAACGCUAGCUGCCCGAGCUCCUCCUCCGCGCUGCCGCAAAUCCCCACCAAAGGUGAGCACCGUCGCGCACUCGGACCUCCCCAUCAACUCAAACGAGUUCGCGUCGUCUCCCUUUUGGGGGUCUCCGCGGGCCAAACCGCCCUCGGACACGCCGUCUUCGCAUUUCUCCGGCGAACCGCCGCUGCUCGCCACCGCUAGCCGCCGGUUCCGCCGCCGCCGCGCUAUCGCCAGCGGUCGCAACCAACCAACCGGUCCACAUACCGGUCAACCGCGCCGGUCGCUGCUCUUUUGCACUUAAGCCCUCGCCUUUUUUGUAAAUCAACCCGCAGUCCAAUCUAGUUCAAAAAUAAUUGUGUUUUGAUCCUAUUUUCUUUUGGUUUAGACCCUGAGUUUCUCUAAAAUCAACCUGCCAUCCUAAGUUGCAUUUUUGCGCGUUAAACCUUCGGUUUAUAUGUGUAAUUAUGUAUAAGCCCUCGGUUUUUUGCAGUUUGACCCUCGAAGUUUUGUUUUUCUCGCAGAAAAGCUCCUGGAUCUUAUUUUAAUCAUAUCUUUUGCAUCUUAACUCCGUUUUUCACGUUCUAUAUAUCCAUGUUUUCGUUUUAAAGCGUAGAUUAAUCUUUAAAACUUGUUUUCUCUAAUUAAUUGUGAAUGGUGUACUAUUUUCUUACUUUGUUCCCUUGUUUGCUUGUAUGUGCUCGUGUGACGCGUGUAGACGUUCAGCAGUUCGAGGGAUUUGAAGAUCAAGCCUUCGAGGAGUGCGAACAGCAGGAGCAAGGCCAAGAAGGCAAGUCGUGUCCUUGAUCACUACUUCUCAGUCCUAUACACUUUUACUUUCUCGUACUCAACAAUUAUGCUACGCACAUGUUAAGAUUAAAUUGAUGGGUCCCAAUUAAGGUUCGCCUAGAUUUACUUCACCUUUGCCUUGACCAACCGGGUUUACCUUUUAUCUUGGGUAGCUCAUGUUUAGUGCAUACUUGGGAUAUGGUGGUUUAACUGAACUCAAUGAUUAAUCUUGCUUUACUUUUGUUAUACCUUGCAUUAAUACAAGAUCACAAAUGUUUAAUCGGAACAUGGAGAACCACCCAGGAAAACAGUGCUACCACAAGACUAAAUGGCUCUAGUCUUGGCUGAAUAAUUAGAAACUCUAGUCUGGAGUAAUCUUACCGAAAGGGUAAGAGGGGAGGCGUUGAUGGGGCAUAGCACUCGCUCUCUUGGGAAGUGGGCUUUGCUAAGACACUAUGCCCACUAGGGGACUGUUAUGCUCUGCUUCGACCUGAAACCUUAGCGGGUUACCACUUACUAGCGAAUCUUUGUAAAAGUCUUGUAGCGUCCCUAUGCAAUCACACCUCGAAAGUGUGGUAUGGUGCCUUGCAAACACUGCAUGGUUGUGUCCAAAGUUCUUUAGAACUUUUACGUGACUUGUGGGUAAAGAUGUGCCACCUCUGCAGAGUGUAAAACUGAUCGAUCAGCCGUGCUCACGGUUAAGAGCGUCCUGGACCCUCACAUGAUAAUACUAUUGAAAGAUGGACUUAAAUUGUUGUCAAUUUAUGCUUAUAUUGUUUAAUUUAUUUAUGCUCAUGUUUAAUUUUGGGUGGUCUUAGUUAAUUGCUAAUAAAAUUUGACCAACCUAAUUAAAAGCUGAUGCUGUUUAGCCUUAGACAAACCUUGAUUAGCCUUACACUACUCUAUUCCCCACAACUUGUUGAGUCCCAACCAUAAGUGUACUCAACCUUGCAACUCGCUGUUCAGACCAAGAUAAUCUGGUGGAGUACCUUGACGACUUUGAGGAGUUCUAGGCGUACGGUUCUUCAGUCAGCUGCCUGUGGUGUCGUCGUCAUCUUUGGAGUUUCGCUGCGUAAUAAUUUAGGCUUGGGUUUUAUUGAAACCUUCGGUUAUGUAAUAAAGUUUAAUACUCUCUUUAUUCGCUUUGACACUGUCUUUGUUAUUCAGUUAUGUCAUGCAUGUGUGUAACUUGAUCCUGGCACACAUGUAUUGAAUGCACUCAGUUUUGUCCUUAAAAUCGGGUGUGACACACACCUUCAUUAUGAUCUCGUACACAUCAUCGGCAAUCAUGGGAGCCAUCAAGCCAGACCUCUCAUCGCAAUGCACAUACAGAACCUUUACCCUGCAUACAGAGAUUAAUAGAACCAAUCACAACACGGAUAAUCAAACUCUCCUCCUAGAGUAGACAAGAAAAAUGAAGUCAUCGUACGUCUCUGAAAAGGACUUCAUGGUGUUCUUGUGCAGAUUGGAGACGGCGAUCCUCUCCACCAGCUUCACAGAGCAAAGGAGGAAAAGGCAAAAACAGUCAAUAAUUAUCCAAUCGAGUUUCUCUAGCAGCAGACCAAAAAAAUCUCGCAGACGAUUAAAUUAUGGGGAGAGCAGAUCAGUCACCGAUGCAUAGUCGGGGUGCGAGGCGGUCAUGGCGGCAAGCUCACCGAUCUGGCUGGUAGUGAUGCCCCUGUAGACACCGGCACAGACCUUCUGUGCGAUGAGGUGGGCAGGAGGCGGCGGUGUGGAGACCUAGCAGGAGAGGAAGGUUGAUGUGUGCACGUGUGGAGGAGGACUGGAUCUCGGAGGGAGCCACGGAUCCGAGGAAAGAAGAGUUCGUUAGGGAGCACGUUGUGGCGGUCUCCUCGCCACCCUAUUCGCCCGUGCGAAGGAGAGGCGCCCCGGCGUGGCCGGCGUGACCGGAAGAGGAGCUCACGGAAGGGCCGGUGGCGGACUGGGAGAGGAGCUCACGGAAGGGGAUGGGACACGGGCGGUGGAUGGCACAUAGACUUUUGUAAAAAUAAUAAGUCCACACACCGACGGUUGAUUACGAAAAAGUGGAGAGGUUUUCAGAACGGUUGAAACCCAACUUCAUAUUCUACGUAAUAUUAUAAGGAUUCCUUUGGUAACUUGAAACCCCGAGGGGAUCCCAUCAUUUUUCACGGGCUGGAAACCCACGCGGGCUACUCACCACGAGCCGAAUCGCCUUGUCGUUUGGGAGCCAAUCGGAUGGGGAGGCCUGACCGCAUCUGCAAGUUUUCCCCGGGGCGAGCCGUCCUCACCUUGAGGGUCCUGGCGGUGCAUCCCCGAGUGUUGUCACCGCCUGCGACAUGAGGAAGCUAGCACCAACUCUCCAAGCCCCCACCACUCCAUCCAAGAGUCGCCGUCCAUCGACUUUCCUGUCCGACGCCGCUGCCCCUACGCCUUCCUGUCCGGUGCCACCGCUCUGCCUCCCCAUCAAUGGCAACACUGCCGCUCACUCGCCGUUUCCGGUGCUCUCCGUGACGAAUUUCUCGAUCUACACCGACACCACCUCGACCAGCGACCAAGCGCUGCCGCCCCUCCGCAUCCCUGUCUAGGUGCUGCCGCCCCCCUCCGUGUCCCCAUCCCUGCUGCCCAGGAGCAACUCCGCCAUCUCGAUCUGUUUCAACAAGACCCUCUUCCUCCUCAGCCAACAUAUGUAAGUUUUCUCCCUCACCCUCUCCUCCCCUUUCCUGAUUCCGUUUAGAUCUUAGUGUAUUAGCUCCAAGAUCCACUCCUUGCCUGUCAACAGCCUUUGCAUCCAAGAUGUGCGAACCUGCUGAACGAAAUUGUGAUGCUAUAUGACUAUUCAGAGUAGCAUUUUCUUGUAGUCUGUAUUUAGUCAUUAAAAUUGUGAUGCUGAACGAAAUUGUGAUGCUAUGCUGAAGCUUUAUCCGUCCUUUGGUUCAAUGAUUACUAAAAAACAACUUUGUAAAUAGUGAUAAGAUUUUUGUUCUGUCAAACACGAUCCAGGUUUGUGAGCUUGCUUGCUGCUGCUUAGAUCAAUAUUGGCUUCUCACGUCAACUAUGCUAAUGUUGAGGUGAUAAUCAGUCCUUCACUAGCAUCAGGAUGUAUAUGCAAACUAAUUUUUGUCUCUCCUGAUUCCUAGUUAGCAUCAAGAUAUUGUACAUCUUGUAAUUAAUGUGCCUUUUUUUCUUAAAUAGCAUCUUCCUGAAUAAUGUGGCCAAAUAAAAAUAUUAAGAAUGAUGCCUAAUACUAGUCCUGAUGUUUGUUUUAUGUUGGUGGAAAGACAGCUACGUAGUAAUUCAGCCAUAGAUUGCUAUGCUGGCUAUGUUUUAAUUCAGCCAUAGAUUGCUAUGCUGGCUAUGUUUUAUGUUAGAUACUGUUUUUGAAUGAAUCAGUCUUGUUAUUUUGGUUGUCUGUUCAGAUAGCUUGCUUUGGUUAGUUGUAAUUAUCUCAUUCACAGCAACAGAUUGGCAGAUUGCUUUGGCAGCAACAGUGCAGGUUCUUGUUUAGUUCAGAACGUAAGCGGUGGCAGUAGCUUUAUUUAGUUCAGCUGCUCAGCUGGUUUGUUUCUCUAAAUUUCUAUACGUUCGGUUCAGGACAGAUAAGAAGCUAAGCGCCCUUGCUAACUGACUUAACCGAUACUAGAUGGAAUUAAUUGAAAGAGAGUACUUAAUGUGGAUUCAUUCAUUCUUUGUUGCUUCAUUAAUAGUAGAUCCAGAACCUUUUUGUUUUGCUACUUGUGUAGUCCAAGAUAAGUAGGUCAGUCUUGCAGAGAUUUACUUUUUAAUCAAGCAUUCUCAGAUUUAAAUAGAGCUAGAAUGUCUAUAUGUACCACAUACAAAGUAAUCAAGUAUAAUGCCGUAGUUUACUUGCCUUACACAUAACUGGUCAACUAUAUAUCCAUGUCAUGUCUCUUUGUUGCUUGAUCUUUCGCUUCCAUUGUUCAUGAGACAAAAUGUUUACAAUUUGGUGUUCCAACUGAUAUUGCAAACAUGUGGCAUUAUGAGGCACCAUAUUGCAUAUGACUUGGCGGAAGCAACAUAUGAUCACAGAAAUGUGAAGUGGCCUUCAUCAUUAGCAUCUGAGAAACGUUCAAGAUCGUAGCUAGAUUUUGCUCCUCCUGUCUGUCAAUUUUUAUAUACAUGCACCUACUAUUUAUCCAUUUUUUAUGUUACUAGCAUCUAUGUAAUAUAUUGGUGUCUGAGCUGGAGGACUAUAAUUUAAAUAUUGAUGCAGAUUUUAGCUUUCGGUUUAUAUUGCUGAGGCAAAUCACUUGUUUUAGCUUUUAGUUUAUAUUUUAGAGUGCGAUGUCAGUUUGAGUGUUUAUUUGGAGUUUCAGAAUAUUGGACAUGUGCAAUUUACAGCUUACAACGAGCAAGCUCAUAAUCAGUAUGUCAUGAUAUGCAAGUUGUGCAAUUUACAGCUUACAACGAGCAAGCUCAUAAUCAAUAUGUCAUGAUAUGCAAGUUUGUACAUACAUCCUGGAUAUCGUACCAACGAGCAAGCUCGUAAUCAAUAUAGGGCGUGUUUGUUUCAGCUUCUCUGUGAAUCGAUUUUCCAGGAACCUUGAUGGCACAAGAAUCAGUUGCCUCAAGAAUCGUUGGUAGGAGAAGCAAAGCAUUUGGUAUUGUCGAUUUUUUUUCACAAAGCUCCCGAUGCGGCCGGCAACGGGGCCUCCGGCGGGGCGGGGAGGGGCUGGUGGCGCGGCCUCCGGCAGGGCGCGGAGCCGGCGGUGGGGCCGGAGGCCGGGGCGCGGAGGGGCCAGCAGUGCUGCCUUUGGCGGGGCGCGGAGCUGACGGCGGGGCGCGGAGGGGCCGGCGGCGCGGCCUUUGGUGGGGCGCGGAGCCGACGGCGGGGCCGGAGGUCGGGGAGCGGAGGGGCUGGCGGCGCAGCCUCGCCGGAGGUCAGGGCGUGGAGGGGCCGGCGGCGGGGCCGGAGGCCGGGGCGCGGAGCCGGAGGCCGGCGCAGAAGGGACGGCGGCGCGGCCUCGGGCUGGAAUCCGCGGGAUUUUCUCGCAAGCGCCCCCGGCGCCCGAUUCUUCCGAUUCUCCAGUUCACGUUGUAACUCUCACUCAGGAGAAAAUCGGAUUGCUGGAGAAUCCACCGAGAAUCGUGGUGUUUGGGAGGCUUGUCCGAUUUUUUCCACCAGAAUCGGCCUAGAAUCCAAAACAAACACGCCCUUUGCCUUUCCAUCCAAGAAACUGAGUCGCGACGCCUUUUACUGCCACGUGUCCCACCCAGAACUGAACCCCCAUUAAUAUACAAGUGCUGUUCGCAUCUAGUGCACAUCUAUGAUGCAAUCGAUGGGUGCAAGCAAUGCAGCAUCAUGCAUGUUUACUAGGACUUCUCAAACAACCCCAAUUUAGCUAGCUCAUAAGAAUCCACCUCACCACUUGCUUACAUGAAAGAGAGAGUGCACUGUCUUUUCUUCAAAAAUUAGCUCAUAUAGAGAAAAUGGGCUGUACACUUUAUUGAUGGCAGAAGUGUUGUGGGACCUAAUACUUUGAGCGAUGUGCUACUCCCUCUAUUCUCGUUUCUUAGGCGUGCGGAGGGUUACUCCAGAGAUCAAGACGCAAUUAAAGCCAACACAGAUCAAGAACGAGUGAGUAGCUUUCAGUGUUGGCUUUCAGCCAUGCAUAAUUUCUCGUUUCAUAUCAUGUUCAUAACUUCUUUUAUUUAAGAUAAUAUAUUAUUAUAGUAUUGGUUGUCGAAGUAAGUAUAUUGGAAACCGUGUCAAUGUCCUGACGAACUUGCAUUUGUACGUGAUUGAAGUAGUUUUUAACGGCUGAUCGAGUGAUCGGAUAGGCUCUCCAGCUAUCUCUUGCAUGCAUCCCAGUGAUCUGCUGACAUCUGGAUGGACAGAGAGAAGAGAUUGAUGCCGAUCACCGAGCUAGAAAGCUACGGCCAGGACGAGCUGGGGUUUCCAUCUUAUUCCAUUCCGUUGGUGGUGAUGCUACCUUAGUUGCCUAUGACGAUAACAUGGGUUAUUAAUUUGACCAGCCAAUGCUCGGCCCUUCUCAUGCAAAGCGUCCGAGGUCACUAAACGGCCACCUUAGCUAGUCAUCUUAGCAUGUUCACAAAUAUCGCAUAUACUAAUAUACAUAUACAACAUAUACUUUAGUGUUUCAAAGACGGAUGCAGGCCUAUCUGGCUAGAGCCUGCCACGUACAACUGUGACGACAAUGCCUUUCACUACUGCUGCAAAAUUUGACAAGCAAAUGAAGCCACGAUAAAUGGUAUGUUGAAUAAAAAAGCAUGAUAUAGGAAAACUAUGGCAAAUAACCAAACCCUUAUGGUACUAAAAGAGUACUGGUUCAAAUUCCUACCUAAAGUGUGAAAAAUUUGGUUCGGCAGCUACUUACUCGGAAUGUUAGGGUGUGUUUGGUUGGUUGUAUCAUUUGAUUCCUAUGUGAAAUUUUUCAAAAUAAUAAUGGUCCUUUUGUUUGGUUGGUUCACUGAUAGAAAAUUGAGCAUUAGUCCCGGUUGGUAGGUCUUAAAGAUCUCAAAAAUCCAUUCGGGAUAAAAUUUUCGAGACGAAAGAGGGGGUUCUUUAGUCCCAGGUCGUUCAACCGGGACUAAAGACCCCCUUUAGUCCCGGUUGGUAAAACCAACAGGACUAAAGGGGCGGCCACGCCAUACACAGCCCCCCCCCCGGAUUUGAUUUACCAACUGGAACUAAAGUGGAUACGUGCAUACACGUACCCCUUUAGUACUUAAGAUUUUUUAAAAAAAUUCUUUUCCAUAUUAAUAUUGUAUGCAAGUCGUAUAUAUAUUUCAUGGCAGUAGUAUAUAUAUAUAUAUAUACAUAUAUAUAUAUAUAAUUCUCAGUGUAUUAUACAAAUCAAACUAGUAUUUGUACAAUUACUAUAUAUAUAAUAAUAAUAAUUUGUCCACUUCAUUCCUAGAAUCCUCUCGUCAUGGGGUUUCUCGGUGCGUCUAUUGAACGUCCGUCGUAAUAAAAUUCUCCCUCUGGAUUUAUCACCUCGUCUACCAGGAAUCCUAUGAGACCUUCACAUAUUGCCCUUAUUCUCUCCUUUUCCAAGAAUUUUAUUUCAAUUUUAUACAUCUGCAUUUUUGAAAACAUGUGAAUGUUACACGAACAAUUAGAUAUAAGGAGCUAGAAAACAAUUAAUUAUUGAUAGUUUUAUUUUACGUACAUUUAUAUCAUGCAACGACAUCACCUUGGGUCCCACAAAACUGUUCAUGUGCGCACAGACGUAGUAUCCACAUAGAUUAUUGCCUUGUUCCUGUCUCAAGCACUUUAGUGGGGAAAAAACAAGUUAUGAAAUAUUCGUGUUAUAAAUUGUACAAAAUGUGCAAACUUCAUACAUACCGGGAAGUCCGUUUUGAAUGUAAGUUUUUCUUUGAAUGGACCACGGUGCUUCUUAAGGAAUAUUUUCCAUGCGCUGUGGAUUAAAAUGAUGAUACAGUGUUAAUUAGGUAAAAAUUUAUGAAACAAACUUUUGCAUAGAGAUAAAGGUCCAAAAUUAUUAUGAGUUCAGCAUGUCUUGGUACUCCUCCGGUGGUUUCCUCAACGAAUCGAACACAACGACGUGGCUUCUACCAAUCAUGAUUAUUAUGAGGAUCCAGUGUAAAUGGCAUACAUAAAUGUUCAUAUUAGAGCUAACUAACAUUAAUUAGGUAAGGAAAAUAAAAAUAAAAAUAGACGGUACCCACACUUACUCAAAGUUGUAUGGCAGUAGUAUGUAACUCUUGUAAUGUUGUUUGUCCAAGAAAUUGUAUACCGCCUCCAAUGUUUUCUUUGGCUGAUCCCGUAUCUGCUUCUGGUUAACCAGCGAUGGAUCCAUGAAGCCAACAUUGAAGUAUGAUUCUCCGUGGUACCUCUAAAUUAGCAUCCUAUAUAAAAUAGAAGACAAAGUUAGUAGGGCAACGCACACACAAAAAUAAUAAUACGAGCUAAAAUUUAUAUAUAGAUAAACAGACACUUACAUAACCCAGACGCUGAUGAGAGAGACAUCAAGGGCAUCAUCCUGAUGGUACACUUCAUAUAUAUAUCCUUGAAUUGCAUCCAUAGGACUUUCUCACCAUAGCCGAAAAAAUCUAUCGGUUUAACCCGAAGACCGAACAUGAGCCUCUUAUUGGCAGACUGCUUCAUGUACCAUUCAUGGAAUUCGUACAUCUUCGUGGAUAGCUUCCGUAUCAACUUAGACCUUACUAGAGGCUUCCCUACCUCAAAGGUCCAUUUAGGUACAACUGGCUCUGGAGCUGGCAGUUCGCCCUAGAACUUUUGCAAGAGACAUACCUGUAUCUUGCAUAAAUCCAAUGACAUGUAUUUGUUGUUCUAAGGACAUUGCUGCUAUAGUUUGAGCAUCUUUAUCUGGUAGAUCCCCGAGCUGGGGAUAGUAUGACUUGAAGACGACUUUCCUUUCCAUUUUUUCUUCUCAUCAGCAUUAACUAACACCGGGUCGUAGUUCGAUAGUAGAGUCCUCUUGUUUUCUUUUGACAUGCCAAUAAAAAAUUUUAAUUUUGCUGGAUCUACUAGCUUUGGCUCCACCUCCUUUGUUUUUCUUUCUUCGGCACAUUUAGCAAAGAACUCCUUGCAAGUUGCUUUUGAUAUUUCCCGCAAUUCCUCAUCAGUCAUAUCAGCCGGUAGCUUCUCAAGGGGUUCAGGCUUCUUUGUUUUCUUCUUUUGCUGCCUUGGCUUCAAAGGUGGUGGUCGCGACUUCUUUAGAGGUGCUGCAGGUUCCUUGCUCGAUGCAGGUCUUAGUCCCAGCGAUGGUGAUCCGGGAGGGGUGUUGUUGUCAUCAUCGCUCGCACCACCAGGAUUCGAUGGAGAUGGAGACAGUUAUCGAGCAGGAUGCGAUGGUCCCGGUGGUGACGAUGGUCCUGCAGCAUGUGCUGGAGAUGACGGUCUUGAGCUUUGAGGAGAUGGUCGCUGCGGGGGAUCUAUGAGGAGCAAUGAUGCCUCUGUGCUGGGGAUGAUGAUGUAGUGUUCAUGGCAUAAAAUGAUCCUGUGAAGCGCAUCUCCUAGUGUCCUUUUCCCAUCACCUCCCGGAAGGUCGAGCUCUAGGCCUUCAUAUUGACUAUCAACAAUCUGCUCUAAGCCGACGCUGGGUAUCGUACCAACGAGCAAGCUCGUAAUCAAUCUGAGUGAUUCCAAGGAAUAUCGGCUCCCGAGGAUUGUAGAGGCCUUGCUUCCAAAUAGCAACAGGUAAGGGGACAGGGAAGAAGGGAGAACGGCUCCCGGGAUACCACCGGCCAAUCCCCUGCGGGAGUUUGCUACCCAGGGCAAAUCAGGCGCACGUUCCCAAAGUGGCCUAUGGAUAGAUCUGGGAAGUUUGACGGCCAACGCGUUUGUCUCCUACUUUCUUUGUCCUACUCGCUCCAGUCUCCUCAUGUUCCAGCGUCUUGUCCUAUAAAGACAUGUCCUACUCGCUCCAGUCUCAUCAUGUUCCAGCGUCGUGUCCUAUAUAGACAAGCCCAAGCCUCCAGCCUCGCUCCAGUUCCCUCCUGUCUUCCGGUCCAACUCUUGCCUUUCCCUGCUUCCCUCGUCUCCUGCUGCUCAACUGCUGCAGGAUACAGCGUGAGGUACGUCAAAGGGUCCGCAGUUUGUUUUAUUCUUGUGAUUGUGAAAACCUUUGGAUUUUUCAGUGGCUAUAAUGUCUUGUGAAAUUCCCCAAUUUUCUUGCGAGCAUGGAUGUAGUGACGCCAAUGAGCACUCGGGGCAGCAGCAGGGCGAUGUACACCGGCCUGAUCAUCCUGUUGCUCGCUGUCGGCGCAGGCAUCAACUUCGGCGACUGCGACGGAUUAUCUGGCCCACUCCUCAGCUUCGUGGGGGUUGUCGCCGGCGCCAACAUGAUCGCCGCCGGCGUCCGGACGGCAGACGACCCAGCAGCACCCAUCGGCCCCGCGCCCGCAGCGUUUGCCGGUGCACGUGCGUUCAUGCGGCGCAACCUCGCCGUCGUGGGGCUCGUCAUGAUUUCCUCUGCUUCCACAGCGGUUGCGGGGGAGACAGGCCCGGCGUUCUCCUUCAUGAUGUUUGUCCUGCUGGUGUUCGGGGUCCCUCUGAUCAACAUCGGAGUUCAUAGCGCCUAGUCUGGUGUGUCAGCUCCAGUCCGUUGGGCUCGCAUCGUUGGGCUCGCAUCGUUCUUCAUACGUUGACGUUCCCCUCAACUAUCUGUCAGUAAUCGCCACCUCUGUCCACGGAUGGUUUUCGAGUAACAGCAAUAAAGGAAAUGGAAUUGGAAUUGGAAUUGCAUUUUUUUUAACCGAGGGAGUACUAUUUCUGAAUAAUCAACCAGUAUAUUUUUCCUUAAUUACUACGUGCUUCUUUGUACUUGAAUUACGUUGGUGUCGACCUGCUAUGUUUGUGAGCUCAAGUACCUUUUCACGGGAACAUGUGAUAUUCCAUCUCCAUGAUUCCACACCUGCUAUCCAAGUUGAGUAGCAGAAGAUCAUCCUGCCCCUGCUUUUGACGCCAGGAGUCGAGACACAAGACGUAUCCAUGUGGGUCCCGGCGCUGACCUGCGAGAUCCGACGCCACUUUUCGGUUGCAUCCCGAUCAUGGCCACUGCAGUACUAAGACCAGCCAAACAGGACAGCGAUGGAGCUGACAUGGAUGUCUGUCUGGAGAACGGGGUGGGUGGCGUGCAGAUUGCGACGGACCACGACAGAGGCGGCGCGUUCGUAACGGGGUGGGGCCGAUCGCGCCGGCGACGGCGACAGCGGACCGAAUGGACCACCUCGCCUUUUUUUUCUCCCUUGUGCUUCAUAUAAGCCAUCGAUCCAUUGUUAAGGAUUGUUCAUAUAAGCCAUCGAUCCAUUGUUAAGGAUUGUUCAUAUAAGCCAUCGAUCCAUUGUUAAGGAUUGUUCAGCGCAUAUUUUCGAGAUUAUGGAUCCAUCAGUCCCUUAAAUAUUGGCCCAAACUACGAAGAUGUUGGCUAGAUGUACUCCCUCCGUAUACAAAUUUGAAGUCGUUCUGGACGACGCUUCAUCAAUGCGAAAGGGAGUCGUUCUAGCUUGAGGGGCCGGUUUGCUCCACAGACCCAUGCAAAAUCGUGUUAAAACAAAAAAUGCCGGUCAAGGGAGUCGAACCCUGCCCACAAGCCUCAAGUCCACCCCACCUGACCAGUCCAAUUACAAAUCAUUCUCAUCUAGGAGUCACCCACAGACGUAUUUAAUAAGGACAAACAUGGAAAAAUACCACUUAAUUAAUAACUUCUUGGUAAGCACAAUCAUGUCCUAAACGACUUUUAUUUCCUAUAUGAAGGGAGUAUGCGUCAGCCAUUGGAAUGGACCACCGAGAGUCAAAUCUGCAAACUUUUUCAUGUGUGGAUUUUUGUAUGCGCCAACCAUCGGAAUGGACGGCUCGGAACACAGCUCCACCACCUGGUCCCUCCCACUCCCCUCCGCCUGGUCCGCUCCGGCCGCGGGCUGCGGCGGCGGCGCCGGAGGCUGCACGGUCGGCCACGAGCCGCCCCCUGCUCCGCCUCCGGCCCCGAAGUUGUAGGCCUGGCGCUCGCGCUCGCCGUAACCUAGCGCCGCCGCUAGGCCACCCCGCCGCCGCCAGCCCACGCUGCAGGAAGCAAAUCAGACAAUUAAUCUAGCGAUGAGGACCUUCACUUGGAUGGAUAUUAAUUCCGCGGCGUCUGCGUCCGUGACGAGAGCUCGUGCGGGGGAUGCGGCUACCCGUGGCAGUCGCAGCAGUUCACAGUUUGAAGAUCCAUUUUCAUCUGAUCCUAACAGGACAAAUGAUCGGUAUGAAUUUACCGGGGAUGAGAUCAGGACAAGCAAGUAUACUUUGAUUACUUUCCUGCCUAAGAACUGCUUCUCUUUUCCCGUUGCCUUUUGUGUUGUUUGUGACUGCUAUGGGUGUUUGAUACACCCCACUAAAGUUUAGCAUCUGUCACAUCGGAUGUUUGGAUACUAAUUAGGAGUAUUAAACAUAGGCUAAUUACAAAACUAAUUGCACAGAUGGAGUCUAAUUUGCAAGACAAAUCUAUUAAGCCUAAUUAGUCCAUGAUUUGACAAUGUGGUGCUACAGUAAUCAUUUGCCAAUGACGGGUUAAUUAGGUUUAAUAGAUUCAUCUCGCGAAUUAAUACAGGAUUCUGCAAUUAGUUUUAUAAUUAGCUCAUGUUUAGUCCUCCUAAUUAGCAUUCGAAUAUCCGAUGUGACAUUGCUAACGUUUAGCACAUAGUAUCCAAACACCCCUUAUAAAAGAUGGAUAUGAGGAUUGGUGGCGUCAUAGAUCUGACAGAAAUGAAAAUAACCGAGAGGCACUUGUCCUUCGACAUGGUGAUUUUCGGUUGAGAAAAGGAAAAACAUUUGUGCAUGGGAGGCGGGGAAGGGAUCUCGGGAGGAGGAUGAGGGAAGAUAGAUGAGAGGUGGAAGGGGUAGGUAAGAUAGAUAGAUACUCCUCAACUACCAUUUAGCUGGUGGAUACAAACACACCUAGCUAAAAUUUAGUUAGCUAAGAGCAACUCCAAAAGAAUCUGUAUCAUAUCCCUAAUACUUUGUUUAGGGAGAAAAAAAACUCCAACAACUCCCAAAACUUCCCCAAGCUAUUUGCAACGUUAAAACAAAGCCGGUCGCCGUGCAUAUUUUCGCGAGCAGCCUCCUCCCCUAAUGACUCCUUCCCGUGCGCGCGGCGGUGGCAGUGGGGCAAGGUGCGUCUGGGUUGACGGUCGUCGGAACUCCACACCGGAGCUCCCCCCGGCCCGCGCAGCAGGGCGCGCGUCUCCACCACAAUGCCGUCGCGCGCCUGCAUUGUGGAGUGGGCCGGCAGCGAUUGGCAGCAGGGUAGACCAGGGCAUAUGUUAAAUUGCAUAAAUAUUAACAUAAAUGUUUCUUUUGUAACAUAAAAAAGUAAAAAAGUAGUACUAAUAAUAUGUAUUCUGGUGCAAAAUAAUGUCAACACUACGAUCUUGUCCUCCUUUUUUUUCUUUUUUGAGAACUCGGCAAAUACUUCGUAGGUAAGAUUGGAAUUUAGAAGUUCAAAAUCCUAGAAAUUUAAGACAUCAAGUUAAUAACAUGCUAGGUGCUAACUGCUAAGUAAGUAAGUAAAGACGCACUCCCUGAUUGGAGGAACUUAUCGAUCUGAUUUGCUAAUCUCAUUUAGAUUACGCGGAACCGCGGACAAGUAUCAGGUGCGGUGCGGAUAGGACGACAGGGGUGUGCACCGUACCGAGCGCGUCACUUCAGGUUUCGCGGUGUCAGGGAUGGACGGGCGCUGACGUCAGCGAUCAAACGACAAUUGCCUCUGUCCGUACAGGCUAGCUGUGCCUCAAAUGAAGAUAUAUACAUGUAAUAUUUUAUACGUUGCCAAUUCGUCGCUUGACAUCUUGCUAGAUGCAUGUUUAGGCCUUGUUUGGGAGGAAGGGGCUAAAGUUUAGUCCUGUCACAUCGGAUAUUCGGAUGCUAAUUAGGAGUACUAAAUAUGAGCUAAUUAUAAAACUAAUUGCAGAACUCCUAGGCUAAUUCACGAGACGAAUCUAUUAAGCCUAAUUAAUCCAUCAUUAGCAAAUGGUUACUGUAGCACCACAUUGUCAAAUCAGGAACUAAUUAGACUUAAUAGAUUCGUCUCGCGAAUUAACCUAGAGGUUGUGCAAUUAGUUUCGUAAUUAGACUAUAUUUAAUACUCCUAAUUAGUAUCUAAACAUCCAAUAUGACACGGGCUAAUUUGUAGGAUGCAUGUUCCUGGGACUAGGGGUCCUGAAAGUAAGAAGAGUUUCUCAUGAUUGUACUGCAAUUGAUCAUGAGAAUGGUGCAGCGAGAUCUGAUGUUAGCGUUUAUGAUUCAUCAGUUUUGCUAUAGAUAGUCUCUGCAAUACUAUACUUUGUGAAACGACGAUCCUGCUAAUUAUUUUAUUGCUUUUUUCACGUUAUUCCCAUAAGUCACGGAAGUGAUUAGCUGGGCUUGGAACCAAAAGAACAUGCAUCCGGCUGAUAUGGAACCAUGGUCCAGUGGAUCCAACAGCAUUUCUUUGUUUUCACACACAAGGUGUAUGACUGUAUAAGCGAUCAAAGAUAUGCACUUUCGUAGCUGGAAAUUUUAGGGGGUGUUUGGCUCCGGUGCUGCACCUGUCACAUCGGAUGUUUGGAUACUAAUUAGAAGUAUUAAAUAUAGUCUAAUUAUAAAAUUAAUUACACAGAUGGAGUCUAAUUCAUGAGAUGAAUCUAUUAAGCCUAAUUAGUCCAUGAUUUGACAAUGUGGUGCUACAAUAACCAUUUGCUAACGGUGGAUUAAUUAGGCUUAAUAGAUUCAUCUCGUGAAUUAGCCUAGGGGUUUUGCAAUUAGUUUUAUAAUUAGCUCAUGUUUAGUCCUCCUAAUUAGCAUCCGAACAUCCGAUGUGACCUUGCUAAAGUUUAGCACCUCGUAUCCAAACACCCCCUUAGUAGAAGAUGUGUGAAUCGCGCAAUGUCAUGUGUAGGGAAGGUAAAUUAACGGUGGAGUAACUGUACACGUGAUCAACCGAACAUUUUCAAUUGAUUACAAAAAAUGGCUUCAUCUGCGGCCAAUACUUCGCAGUUCACCCAUACAAAAUUCAAUUCUCCAUCCAGAUGCAGACAUAUAGAGUUGACUGAAGAACAUUUGCACCUAAAUGGAGCUGACUAAGGGUCUGUUUGGUUAGGCUAUGGCUGUGAAAAAACUAUUGUGAGCUGUGAGAAAGCUGAAAGCCAUUUGGUUGGAAUAGCCAUGAAAACAUAGGUUCGCUGGGAAAUGUCUGUAAUACCCUGAAGUGCUGAGAGACCGUUGAUAUUCAAAAUGAUUAUAAAACAUUGUUUUGUUCACUAAUUCACAUGCAAAUUACCAUUUUAGGAAGGGAAUCUUAAUUUUUUUAACUUUGGCAUUCACCAUUAACAUAUGGUCCACAUAAAUACAAUGAUAGAAUUUUACAAAAGACAUAUGGUUCAUAUAACAAUGUCCAUCCUUAACAUAACUAUCUCCCUCUCACACUAACCAAAGCAUCAACUAUCCUACUGCGAAUUGUAUUCAUGGUAUCCUCGUUCUCUCCAUCUGGAUUGUCAUCGGAGGAAAUAUCAUCAGGACAUGAUGCACUAGCACCGCUAAUAUGUAUCUUAUCAAACAAUAUAUGCAGAUCUUCAAGGUGCUUCGGUUCUUGUUUCCUAAACCUCACAUGGUUGCAUUUGAUACCUUUAUCAGGAUUGUUGCAUCUCUGAAAUUAAAUGAUAAAAGUUAGCUGAAUGAUGAAUAAUGAACAAGCCCACUAUUCCUUAGAGCAUUCAAUAGUUUACUUUGUCUCAUUCCAUCCAAGCCCAGUGGCAUAAUUCUUCAACUCUAUAAAACAAGUACAUUUCUUUUUUCAUAUUGUCCAACUUAUUCUUCAAUUGUUUCUUUGUUUGCUUCAGAUUUGUUUUUUCUUCCUACUUAGUUGUUAGAUUUUUCCAACCAGUCCUAGUGAAAAUUCCCAAUAACCUAUUUCCAGCUUCUAUCUCUUCUUUGCAUAUAUCAAUGAAAUACUUCACAUUAGCAUCAUACCAAUCUACCUUAUGAGCCAUUCUUCAAUCAAGCAUAAAAAAAUAUUUCAUUCAAUUCAGUCCAAAUCAUGCAACAAGUAAUUUGUCAUUCAUUUUUAUUUAAUAAUCAAGUAUGCUAAUCAUUUGUGUACCAAUCUGACUUCAUCCAUUACUGAUGUUCAACAUGUAGAGCCACUCGGGCACAAGAACCACUAGUUGCUACACAAAUGGAACAAGUGUUACACAAAUCGAAUGAUUCCUAAACGAAUCCAAUGAUUACUACUCAAAUCCAAUUGGUUUUGGUCACUAAUAGCAAAGGAGGAAUUGAUUUGGGUCACUUACAAAUCUCGUAGGAGGAGGGCAGAGGGAGGAUGACAAGGGCACCGGCAUGGGGGUGUGGGUGCCGUCGAAAUCUGCGUCGGGGAUGACUGGGGGCCGGCGGCAAGGGGCGUCGCCGGGCAAGAGCCUCACCGCCGGCUGUACCUAGUCCUGCUCGGGGAGGAGGGCAGAAGGAGGUGGACAGGGGCGAUGGCGGGGGGGGAGGGAGGGUCGUUGGCGCUUAGGAGGAGGAUUCCGAUGUGGGCAACAGCCGCCGCCGCCCAGGGGCAACGCCAGCUAAACCCUAGGGCACGUCAGACCCAAGCGUCCCGACGUGAACAGAAACGAGAGACAGAGAAGGCGGAACGGCGGGGGAGAGGUGAAGAUAGAAGAAAAAUCGAAGGGGUGUGCUCAUAAUCGAUGGCACGUGGGUAAUUUCGUGGAAAAGUUGCCCUCACAACUAGAAAAAAAACAAGGGAGGAAGUGUUUUGAGAUUUCUAUAGAGGAAAAGCUGCUUUUCUUGAAGCCACUUGUACGAGGUUACCCCAUUUGGUUGGCUUUUAGCUUUUUUUUUAAGCCAAAGCACCUAAAAAGCCAAAUCAAAGGGACCCUAAAAGCACAUAAAUGGCAUUACUUUUGUCAAAAGCAAAAGAAAGUUAUUGAGUCUACUCCUCUAUCCCAAGCUAUGGCAAGACAAAAGGAAAAUAGAAGCAUUCCAACUAUCUGAGACUAUCUAGUAGCCAACACACACUCUUCAAUUAAUUGUGGAUGUCUCACAUCGUCGAUCUUUAAAUACACUCUUCGAUCAAUUGUGGAUGUCUCAGAUCGUCGAUCUUUAAAUACUCUUACAUAUAUACUGCCCCUCAUAGAUAACUAAAAGGAAAGGCACCUCGCCUUUUUUUUUCUCCCUUGUGCUUCGUAUAAGCCAUCGAUCCAUUGUCAAGGAUUGUUCAGCGCAUAUUUUUUAGGUUGUGGGUCCAUCAAUCACUUGAAUAUUGUCCCAAACCAACAUGGAACAAGGUUCAGCGUAUAUUAUUUUAGGUUGUGGGUCCAUCAAUUACUUGAAUAUUAUCCCAAACUGUCAACAUGGUACAAGGUUCAGCGCAUAUUUUCGUUGUGGGUCCAUCAAUCACUUAAAUAUUGUCCAAACUGCCAAGAUGUUGGCAAAAUGUAUGCGCCAGCCAUCGGAAUGGACACACCAAGAGUGAAAUCUGCAAACUUUUUCAUGCGUGGAUUUUUGUAUGCGCCAGCCAUCGGAAUGGACGGCUCGGAACACAGCCGGGCCGCCGCGUGGGGUCCGCCGUCUCGUUUUGCAUGCGUAUGCCGCGUCUUGCAUGCGUCAUCCACUGCCCUGCCAUCUCUCGGUGCCUAUAAAUCUCACCCCGUCCGCUGCGCACCGCCCAGAUCCUCCUCCUCCUCCUCCUCCUCCCGCUGCAUUCUUCACCUGCUCGCUCGACGGCUCUCUCCAAUUAAGCAGGGACUGCGGUGCCACGCGGCCAACGAUGACCACUCCGGGCACCACGGCGAUGUUCGCCGGCCUCGCCAUCUUGCUGUUCUCCGUCAGCGCCGGAUUCAACUCCGGCGCCGGCGGAUUCGGCUUGCUACUCUACUUCGCGGGGGUUCUCGCCGGCGCCAACAUCGUCGCCGUCGCCAUCCGUAUGUCCGACGCCGACCCGGCGGUGUUGGCCGAGGCGCGAGCUCUCGCAGAGUUUCUUGGUCACAACCUCGCCGUCGUGGGGCUCGUGAUGGCUUCCUGCGCCGUCACGGCGGUCUCCGGCGAAGCAGGCCAGGUGCUGUGCUUCGGCAUGUUUGCUCUGCUCCUCCUCGGCCUCUCCCUGAUCAGCGUUGGGAUUCUUGGCCUCUCCCAGAUGCAUUGAUGCAGGUAACUACUACUGCUACUGUGUGCUUGCUGAUGUAGAAUCAUUCUCAUGCCGUGUGCGCUCAAAUAAUGAAGCUGCGCUACUAUAGUCCAGAUGUCCUUCUUUCCUCUGGCCAUGUAAUGCAAUACUCUCUCUUCUGAGAGAUGAUGUAAUGCAAUCACGUGCAUAGUUUGUUUGAUGAAAGCGUGAUGUUUUGAGUAUCUGUUUGCAAUUUUCCUAAAAUUAUUGUUGUCCAUGAGCUCGUCGCGCAUGCGGGGGAAGGGCAUGGGAGGGCCCAUCCGCAGGAUGUGCUCGGUGUACUCCCGUCGAACCUGACCAGCUUCUUCCUUUUCUCUGUCCCCGCCGGCUUGUCGGCCAUCGCCGCGUCGUCUCCGGCCACGUCCUGCUCGGCAUUGGCGAUCACCAAAGCGGCCAUCGCCUGGGCCGUCCUCUCCUCCUCAGCUUCCUCCAUCUCCAAGUCCAUAUCCGUCGCCGUCGCUGCCAUCUCUGAUCUGUCUCGAAUCCCGAUAGUCGUUGUAACCCUAACUUCUCCGACUAGUCUUAUGCUGUCGUCUCUCACCAACGCCAGGUCCGAGUCCGAUGCGGAUACGUAUCCAUAUCCUGUAUCCAUACAGCACCGCAAGAGUAUUGGGCCAGUCUCGGCCAUAAGCCCAACUCGGCCUCGCUCGUACAGUUGGGCUUUCACCUGGCCAUUGGUGUGCUCUUGGCCCACGCACGCAUGAUGCUUCUUUCUCUUAAUGGUUAGAAUUCUAAAUUAACCCAACAUGCAAAGUUAGCAAUUUGGGCCGUAAUACAGAAAUGACAAACGAACCCACAAAGAACAGCGCAGGGUCCAUUUCCCUCCACCCACAAGGAAUAGCCCACAGCCCAUUAGACCAUACAGAGGUCACGGAAGCCCAGAUCAAGAACUGGAGCUUCCAUGCCCAACUCCAAAAGUUUUCCCCAAAACCAUUGAAAGCUCUACUAAAAUUUUUUCCCUAAAAUCAUAUUCCAAUAAUAAAUUUUCCAAUACUUCAAAACUGUCUACGUCAACGUGACCCACCACCAUCAACUUCCACCGUGGUAGGAUCCACCUGUCAUUCUCAUUUUCUUUAUUUUUUCCCCUCGGCCUUAUCUUCUUCACCAUGUGUUUCGGCCAUUGUUGCUCCACCGGAGCUUUCCACUCGAUCUCUCCAUCCGUUCUUCGAGCUGCUCCCUUCUCUCCGCUCGAUCUCUCCCUCUAUUUUCCAAUUGGCAAAGCAAGGCAACUGAAGCUUCUCCACUCUUCUUCCACCGAUCAAAUCCAACCAAGCAAUCUCCUUUUCCUCACAAAUCAGUAGACAACUCAAUAUCCACACCAUGACCGCAGGCCCUGAACUAUAGAUGUACAUUCGAGCCGCUCGGCCUGGUCCGGCACGGGCCUGGCAUGGCCCACUAUUUUUCAUGCUGGGACUGGCCCGUCACGACGACUCCGUUGUGCCGGGCCAGGCUAGCUCAUGGGCCUCACCGGUGGCCCAAGCAUGGACCCGUAAGGACUUUUUCGUGUCAGGCCAGCCCGAAGAGUUUGGCCGGCUUCGGGCCACGCGAGGCAAGGUGGGCCACCGGCCUCCCGCGCUGUCGCUGCCAUCCCCUGGCCAGGCUCCCGUGCCGCCGACCUCCUGCACCGUUGCUGCCAUCCCCCCGCGCCGCCGUCCCAUCACACUGUCGCUCCCCUGCCCCCGUGCUGCCGCCGGCCUCCCACACCGUCGCUGCCACCCUCUCGCGCCGCCAUCCCAUCGUGCCGUCCCUCCCCUGCCCCCGCGCUACCGCCGGCCUCCCACACAGUCGCUGCCACCCUCCCGCGCCGCCGUCCCAUCGCGCCGUCCCUCCCCUGCCCCCGCGCUGCCGCCGGCCUCCCACACCGUCGCUGCCACCCUCCCGCGCCGCCGUCCCCUCGCGCCGUCGCUCCCCUGCCCCCGCGCUGCCGCCGGCCUCCCACACCGUCGCUGCCACCCUCCCGCGCCGCCGUCCCAUCGCGCCGUCCCUCCCCUGCCCCCGCGCUGCCGCCGGCCUCCCACACAGUCCGCCACUGUUGUCCCCCCCGCUGCCGCUCCCGGCCCCACGCUGCCGAUGGGGAAGAUGGAGAGAUGGGUGGAGGACUGGAGCCUGGAGGUUGGAGAUGCCGGAGAGAUGCGGUGGGCAGUAGAUAGGAGAGGAAGGGGUGACGGGUGGAAGUUAAAUGACAGAUAGUUGUUGGGUUGGUAGGGAGGAGGUUAACGGGCCAUUUCGUACCGACAAGCUAAAAUCGUGCCGGGUCGAGGCGUCAGCCCACGCCCGGCACGAGCCAUCGAGCCGGGCCAGCCCAAGCCCAAAGAGUUACAGGCCAGGCUGGGCUUGGGAUGGGUCAAAAAACCGGGCUUCGUGGCGGGCUAUCAGGCUACGGACUGCAUGUACAUCCAUACCCUGAACGGCUCCUUUCUUGCUUCUUAUGAACAGCACAGCACCACACCACCCCCCGAACUCCUUCCAGUCAAGAACUAGGUGUUGCUCCUCUCCGAGGCCCCACGCAUUGCCUCACAGUGGCGCCCUCGAGGCUCGAGCAUGCACAACGGCGCGCCGCUGCCUUCCCCGUCCUCACCCCGCCCGUGGAGUUGACCUGGCUAAAUUUUAGCUAGUGGAUGGUCUUAGUAGUACUGCAGUGGCUAACCUAAUAAAAGAUCGAAAUACCCAUCCAUCCGCGGAAUCAGAUCCUCUAAAGUCAGUCUCGACGACUGCUUCCGGCAGUGACUCCAUCGCUGUCGUUCACUGCCAUCCAACGGAGCAGCAGAGCCUAGGCACUCUAGCUCUGAGUAAGAAACAGAGCAAUAACAACGACAAUAGAACAGAAUUUCCAGAGCUGCCUAUCCUAGGCUCAGAGAAAACCGGCCAUCACCAUGGAGACGCCAGCGAGCAUGACGACGGCCAGUCCGAAAGCCACCACCGGGGUGACGGCGCCAACAGCGACGGCGUGGACGGCUGAGGAUGCGGCCACGAUCCCCAGCAUAGAUGAGAGGCUGCCACGGCUGCCACGGUGCCUGUUCCCCCGCCCGUCGUCUUCAUCGGACGCCUUCUUGGCUCCCGGUGGAAUGGGAUCCCUGGCCUUAGCACCCGCGGACUUUUCAACGCGAAUCUACACGAUCAGGAACACGAGUUAAAAAAGAUUCUCAAAAGACUUGGAGACAAAUUAAGGGAGUGUUUGGAUCCUGGAGCUAAAGUUUAGUCCGUGUCACAUCGGAUAUUCGGAUGCUAAUUAGGAGGACUAAACAUGAGCUAAUUACAAAACUAAUUGCAGAACCCCUAGGCUAAAUCAUGAGACGAAUCUAUUAAGCCUAAUUAAUCCAUAAUUAGUGAAUGUUUACUGUAGCACCAUAUUGUCAAAUCAUGGACUAAUUAGGCUUAAUGGAUUCGUCUCGCGAUUUAGCUUAGGGGUUAUGAAAUUGGUUUUGUAAUUAACCUAUGUUUAAUACAUCUAAUUAGUCAAACAUGGGAUGUGGCAGGGGUUAAAGUUUAGCUUGGGGAUCAAACACCCCUAAUUACUACAUCUGCGAUAAACUGGAUGUUGGGUACAUUAAUUACCUGAAGCAGCAUGUCGCUGAUGCCGAUGAUCAGCGCGCCGGGGUGCGGGUUCACCACUUCCCGCUGCCAACACAGAUUUUAAGCUUUGUUCUGCUGGAGUGAGUUCGUUCGCAGGCCUCAAGUCACUGAGGGCCUGUUUAGUUUUCAAAUUUGAAGUGGUAAAAUUUGCAUUUUGCCAUAAAUGCGCAAUUGUAGCAUUUCGUUUAUAUUUGUGAAUUCUUGUCCAAACAUUGACUAAUUAGGCUCAAAAGAUUCGUCUCGCAAAGUACAACAAAACUGUGCAAUUAGUUUUUAAUUUCGUCUACAUUUAGUACUCCAUGCAUGUACCGCAAGUUCGAUGUGAUGGGGAAUCUUCUUUUGCAAUUAGUUUUUAAUUUCGUCUACAUUUAGUACUCCAUGCAUGUACCGCAAGUUUGAUGUGAUGGGGAAUCUUCUUUUUGCAUAGUGCCAAAGUUGGGAAUUUGAGGUAACUAAACAAGGCCUGAAAUGGAUGUUGAGGAGAUUAUUGAUCACCUGCAGCUGGUCGCCGAUGUUGAUGAUGAGCGCGCCGGACUUGCCGUCUUGGGGUGAAUUGAUGCCUGAAUGGUUCCCGAGUCCGCGGCGUACACCUGACUCUCUCAGCUUGCCGGUGAAGCCAGCAAUCAGACUUCACCGCCUUGGCACCUCUUGUGAGUCGUCUGGUGAACCAGUUGAAAGAUGAUGGAUAGUAGGAUAUCCAAGAGAGUUCAACUGUGCUGACAACACUACUAUCCGAAGUUCCGAACAUCAUGGAAUCAACAGUACUAUCCGCAGGCGUAUAAAUGUGAUGCCAACACUACUAUCCAGGAGAGUUCAUGUGCUGACACCUGUGCUGACAACAGUACUAUCCAAGAGAGUCAUACCGGUGGAACAACGAGGAACCAAAAUCAGUAAAGAGUCAUGCCACCCGGUGGAAGCUGUUCAGUUCUCUCAUGCUACAUGACGAAAAAUGGUAGUACUGAUAGCCAAAAAAGUGGUAGUACUCUGAUAGGAUUGCAUUACAUGGCCAGAAGAGAGAGUAUUGCUCACAGACAGUAUUGUCUUACAUCAUCUCUCGGAAGAGAGAGUAUUGCAUUACAUGGCCAGGGGAAAGGAGGACACUUGGACUAUACUAGCGCAGCUUUUCAUUAUUUGAGCCCACACGGCAUGACAAUGAUUCUACAUCAUCAAGCACACAGUAGCAGUAGUAGUAAGUGUACGAGAGACAGGGUGUGGUGAUUGUGAUUCUUCCAUUGGAGGUCGUUACCUGCAUCAAUGCAUCUGGGAGAGGCCAAGAAUCCCAACACUGAUCAGGGAGAGGCCGAGGAGGAGCAGAGCAAACAUGCCGAAGCAGAGCACCUGGCCUGCUUCGCCGGAGACCGCCGUGACGGCGCAGGAAGCCAUCACGAGCCCCACGACGGCGAGGUUGCGACCAAGGAACUCUGCGAGAGCACGCGCCUCGGCCAACACCGCCGGGACGACGGGCGCCAGGAUGCCGACGGCGAUGGUGUUGGCGCCGGCGAGAACCCCCGCGAAGCAGAGUAGCAAGCCGAAUCCGCCGGCGCCGGAGUUGAAUCCGGCGCUGACGGAGAACAGCAAGAUGGCGAGGCCGGCGAACAUCGCCGUGGUGCCCGGAGUGGUCAUCGUCGGCCGCGUGGCACCGCAGUCCCCUGCUUAACUGGAGAGGGCCGUCGAGCGAGCAGGCGAGGCACCGCCGCACCGGGGAGGGAAGCGUUGCCGAAGAGGCGAAGAAUGCAGCGGGAGGAGGAGGAGAAGGAUCUGGGCGGUGCGCGGCGGACGGGGAGAGCCGGAGGAGGCGAGGAGCGAGAUGGUUGGCGUCGGGGAGGCGGAGGGCCAUUUAUACGCCUGCGCGGCCCGAGAUUUCCACCGUCAUGUCAUGCCGUCGUGUGUGUCGUGUCGUGUCGGCCGGCCCUCCGGCGUGAUCCAACGUGAUCCAACGGAUGAGAUUGGAUUCGUAUUGACGCGAUUCGUAUGGUGAGAUCGGAAGUUUGGUUACUCGAGCUAAAGUUUAAAAUUUAAUCCGUAUCAUAUUAAAUAUUCGAAGACUAAUUAGAAGGAUUAAAUAUAAGUUAAUUAUAAAAUUAAUUGUACAGAUGGAGGCUAAACGGCAAGACGAAUCUAUUAAGCCUAAUUAAUCCAUCAUUAGCAAAUAUUUACUGUAGCAGCACAUUGUCAAAUCAUGGACUAAUUAGGCUUAAUAGAUUCGUCUCGCCGUUUAGCCUCCAUCUAUGUAAUGAAUUUUGUAAAUAAUCAACGUUUAAUACUUCUAAUUAGUAUCUAAACAUUCGAUAUGACAGGUGCUAAAAAUAAGCACCUGAAACCAAACGCCCCCCAUGUCGACGCAUAUCAUAUGUAGUUGAAGCGAGGAAUCCUUAAGCAUUUCAUAUGUAGUUAAGCAUUUCAUAUGUAGUUAAAGCGAAGACAUUUUAAUGUAAUUAAAGCGAGGAAUCCUUAAGCAUUUCAUAUGUAGUUAAGCAUUUCAUAUGUAGUUAAAGCGAGGACAUUUCAAUGUAGUUAAAGCGAGGAAUCCUGAAGCAUUUCAUAUGUAGUUGAAGCGAGGAAUCCUUAAGCAUUUCAUAUGUUGUAGUUAAGCAUUUCAUAUGUAGUUAAAGCGAGGAAUCAAGAAGAUAAACGCCCUCUCGUAUUGACGCAUAUUAUAUGUAGUUGAAGGCAGGAAUCAGGAAGAUAAGUAUCCACACUUGGUGGGAAACUGGGGAUCCCACUCUUCAAAAUAUGAAGCAAUGCGUUCUCUGAAACUCUGAAUAAAAUAUGAUUAAACCAUCGCUGGCGUCAGGAACAGCGGGUGGGCCCAGCCUCACGGAGUACAUCUGGAUGUUGACGCGCGAUGUUGCAGCGGCGGCCCGGCCCGAAGGCUGGACAACAUCGCAUGUCAACCGCGCUGCGCACCGCAUGACAACAUCGCAUGUCAACAUCGCAUUUCAAUUCAUUAAAGUAACAAAAACUUAUUUUCUACUCUCAAAACUUUUAGUCUAGCCACGCUAAACUUGCCAUACCAUAAUAUGAAGAUCCUCAAUAAAGAUGAAGAGAUUACGUAUUAUUUAACAUAUAUAGAAAAGAAUGUGUUAUGAGUAAAUUGCACCACAGUUACAACGACUUGAAGGUGAGUCCUAUGAGAAGUCCUCAUCCUUAUCACACUGUACCUACCUCAUAACUAACUGCAACUUUGAUGUAUAUACUUAUGUAGGCACAUGUCAUCUAAGUAAAUGCAAUCGCAUGGGACAAGAAGUCUAAGUAGUCAAUAUUGUUCUUCUCUUUUAGAUGCAGUUUAAAUAUUGUUAGUAGACAAUAACCUUCCUAUGCGCAAGUUACUAUAGAUCUGGUUGAUCCACUGUUGCUUAUUAUCAGUAACUAUCAAUUAAGAAGAACAGAUGCUGUGACAGUCCAAUUGCUAGUAAUUGCCUAGAUAAUACUGAAUAAUAAUGCGGUGCAAGUGGUACAUUUCAAUUGUGCACUAUAAAGCAACGUUGAUAAUUAAGAUGCAAAAUAUAGGCUGCUCGCCAAAAACACAAACACAUGAUUUACAACCUUAUAUAAGCAAUUAAGGAAACCAAUAGAACAACCAAAAUGAAGACUUUACCAUUCUAUUUAAUCCAAUCUCGCAUACAUACGAGAGCCUCAAUUGUUUUGAUAUUCAAUGUGCUCCAUUGCUUAUGAAUCACUGGUUCCUCGCUGCUCAAUGCUGCCUCACCAUGCAUAGCAGAAGCAGGAAUUGCCAGGACGUCACGUGCCACAAUUGAGAGGAUUGGAUAAUUUGUAGAAUUACUCAUCCACCAGUUCAGAAUAUCAAAAUCAUCCUUCCUUGGAACAAGGCCAUCUUCAAGGUAGUUCUUAAGUUCUGUCAACGCUUGGGUCCUUGUCUGCUCAUAACGGUAUUUAUCCCAAUCUUCCAAUGAAUCCCUGUAAAAUCCACCCACUUGAACAACAGAAUUUGAUGUCUCGACACUUGGUUUAUCUAACGCACUGCAAUAUUCAAGAAACAGCUCCCGGAUUGUAUCACGUACAGCAGACACAUACUUUGCUGCGUCAGUGCCAAAAGCUUGUUUCAGACGGAACUCGAUAAGAGUAAGUUUGAAUCUGGGAUCAAGAACAACAGGUACUGACAACCACAAGUAUGAAUUCUGCCAAUACUCGUCGAAUGCUUCCUGCAUCUCCCAAACCAAGCCAGCAAGUUCAGUAUGAUUUGUAGAUGAUUCUUCUUCCAAGGUUGUCCUAAUUAUCCACAGUUCAUUGAAGUACCUAUUUGCUGUGGAACAGACAGGACCCGAAACUACUUCAAUGGCAUGAUAAAAAGCCCUUAAUAUCUUGCAAGCAGACUCAACAGUUUUAGUGUCUUCUGCAGAUAAGAAAUCUUGAGAGGAAAAUGCUUUCUUGAAAUGCAACACAACUUCAAGCCCAAAGUAAAUUUUGUGCCACCACUUUGCAUCUUCUUGGGGGCAUUUCAAUCCCAUAUUCGUAACUACUUCUAUAAGUAGCUCUUGAGUAAGCGCUGUGGACAUAUGUGCCUGAAUAAAUCUCUAGUAUAUCAGCAACGAGAUGAAGCAUUGGUUGCCCCUUUGAAACAAUGCUGUUAAGCACAUCAUCCACGCAAGCAAUAUUGUGUAACUCACCUCCAAUAGGAAGGCAUUUCCUUUGGCCGAGGAAGUCCUUGAGCUUUGAGGUACGCUUAUCGUUUCUAAUUUCGCUGACACAUGUCAAGCUGAAAAGCUUCUGAUCAAGAUUCCAGUCUCUUAUAGCUUCCCAUAUGAUGUUAAAUGGCCCACUCUCAGAAUCUAGUACAGUAACCUCACUAAAUUGUAUCAUCCUAUCAAAAUUAGUGAGUGGCUGAAACAGACCAAACUUGAUGAUUCUCCUUUGAAGUUUCCAGUCUGAAUCAAUAAAAUGCACUGUCAAACAGAGAUACUUCACUGAGGCCUCAGCUCCAUGAGGAGUCCACGAACAAGCUGAUAAGGAAACCCGAUGUGAUGCAAGAGCAAUUUUCUUCUGAAGUUCAUCCUUUUCUUUCUCGAACAGAAUAGUUGAACACUCUUCUAUACCAAUCCUUGAAGCCAUGUUAAAUGCUGGAUUGAGGCUCUUUGCAAAACUUAUCAUUUCUUCAUGCUCAACAAUAGAUAGGGGAUAGCCAUGCAAAAUAACCAUUCUAGUUAGCUCUCGAUAAGAUGCUUCUUGGUCAAAUUUCCUGCUUAUGACUGGCGCAGUCUGACCUGGUGAGGUAAUUUGUUCUCUAGGGUCCAUUUUUUCUAGUGAUGCUGAAGUUAGAACGUGCAGAUCCACAGGAACUCUAUCACCAGAGCUGCCCUUGAGGAACUUGCUAGCAUACUUUGCAAUCUGAACCAUACCAUUUGUCAAGGCAGGUGAAAGCUCAUCCUGAAGCCUAGACUUGGAACUUGGUUCACUGGACUGGGAAAAAACUCUUUUCUGAAGAUUUACGCUAGUUCUACCAUGGGCUGGACAAGUCUGACUAUGUCAGUUUAGUUGUCUUCUACUUUUAUCCACACUGAGUCGCUUGUGGCAAUGGACGCAUUCAGCUUCCUGGAUCCUCCCCUCAACAUAUAAUGGUAUAAAAUCUUUCCAUACCAUUGACCUGAUUUUUUUGUUGUCACUAUGAGCUACCAAGUUAAUGCCACCAUAUGAAUCUGUAAGAAUGUAGUCCAGAAGAUCUACAUCAUUCACCAGUAAUAUGCAUAAAGAUUGAAUAAUUCAUCCAGAAAAUUAUGCAUAUUAUAUGAAGGACAUAAAAUGUGCGAAUAGCACACCCAAAUUUACACCAUACAAACCGACCAACAGCAAAAAUUAGUAUAUCAAUCAUUGUAACUGAACCAUGAGCUGUGUAGAAUCUAAUGUAUGCCCCUCCACUUUGCAAUAAUUGUCCAAAUUUACCAUGUACGCAAACCAACUAAAUACCAAACACUUGAUCUCUUUUGCAACAUUAAUGUAGGGUUAAUAUGUUGAAACAUUGUACUUUCUAUAUUUUUAUUCCACCAUAUGACAGUCAUUGUGCAAAUAACUAAGUGCCGGGCAUAAUACAAACAAAUUAUACAAGGUUCAUAAUUUCCAUACUAAUUGCGAAUAGAAAUCCCCACCAAAGGAAACAAAAAUCUAAAGAAAUCAUCAAGCAGGAUCAUAACUCUACAACUGUGGCUAUUUAAGUUCAAAUUUAUCCUAUUGCGUAAGAGUUACUCAGUAACUAAAAGCAUACCAUAUCGAAACUCUGCAUCCUGUUGCUGCUGGCUUGUAGCCAAUCUCUCCUUCCCUGGGCAGAUUUCCUGGUGUUGAUACAAAGAGUCACUUCGACAGCUCAAGUGAACAUGGCAGUAUCGGCAUUCCACUCUAUCAACCACUCCGUUUUCGCACACAGGCUUGUAAUCAUCCCACAGCUUAGCUAUCUUAUUUCUGAAUCUGGAUUGACCAAUAGAAGCAGCCCCUGCUUGCGUAUCAUCACUGAUAUGCUCAUCCAACAGGUCCAUAACUGCAGAUAACAAUACGACAUUAUCAGCUUUCUUGACAGGGCGUAGUUAAGAUGCAACCUUGAUUCCAACCAGAAAAGGAAAUGCUUCACACAAUGCAGGAGCGGCAAUAAUCUCUACAGACGGCUGGAGUGCUGGACAUAUCAGAAAAACAAUUCGCACAGACAAACAAACAGUAGGUGCAGAUGUGCAUGCAUUGAUCAUUAAGAGAAAGACCCAAAAAAAAACUUUUAGUUCUCCCAAAAUUGCUGGGUCCGAGAAUCGAUCCCACGACCUCUUGCUUGCUAUCAAAAGGUAACACCUGUUCUCCACAACACUAACACGCGCCCUGCCGCUCCAAUUUCUUGCAACUUCUAAGCCCGCAGAGCCGCAAGCAACUAAAACGGUAGCCAAUACCUAGCAUUCCCCGCACCACUACUCCCCAAGCGAAGACUGCAACUUUCCGGCCCAAAACUAAUAAGAACACCAGCUACGGCAGUGCCCGCCCAUUCGCAGACACAAACAGCACCAGGCAAGCAAUUCGUUCCCCCCAAAAAUUCGGGAAAUAAAAAGCAACUGUAGCGAGAGGAGGAUCGCAUCACUUACUGGUUACUGCUCGCCGGAACUCAGAAAAGGAACAUCAUCGAAGGAAUGGGAUGCGCAAUGGCACUCGGGAAGUCGGAAUGCUUCCGAGGAAGUGCGCUGGGGAAUCGGAGGAGGGAGGAGACGGGGAGCAGAGUGGAGGGCUUAUUCGGGGUGGGUUCGGUGGUGCAGCAACUCCAAUAGUUCCCAAAAAAAUUCUUCCCCAAAACGAGGUAUUGAGAGCUAUGCUAAAAAAAUUUUCCCCAAAAAACAUAUCAGCCCACAGAAGAACGCUAAAAACUAGCUCAAUAUUUCAAAACAGAUCAUGUCAUCGUAUUGGGCCCAUUAGUUGAGCUGCCCACCUGCCCACCUCCCCCUCGUGAUCUCCAGCGGCGCUGCCAGGAGCUCACGUCGCCAAAGGAUUUUUCACGCCGGCAGGAACCCACGUCGCCAGGAGGUCACGAUCAGGUUUGUGCCAUGGAGCUCAUCCUCUACUGAAAUACAUACACCUCGCUCGCUGUUGCUGCUUCCGCUUCGCGCUCGUGCUGCUUCCGCUUCGCGCUCGUGCUGCUUCUGCUGCCUGCUGAAUUAUUUCUCUCUCCCUCCUCUUCUUGCGUUUGUGUACUGUUGGUGUGUUUGUGUACUGUUGGUGUGCAGCCGAAGCCGUCCGGGCGAGCCAAUAGUUGCGUCACGAUCAGGAAUACAUUAAACCUUGAAAACAUCCAAAAUGUACCCUAAAGAGAACCAUAGACUUGCAGUAGGCAGGUAUUGCUCUGCUCCAUAUUUUGGUUCCGGUAGCCUGCUACUGACUUGCAUGCAGAACCAAUCACUCUUCUAUAUCUCUGUCUCUAAGAGACCUCACAGAAAGUGAAGGAGAUGAAGCUUGGAAGGCCAACUGUGUCCACUAAAAAGUUGAGCCUUAAAAUGGACUAGGAACUAAUUCUUGUAGUUUUAUGCUCAAAUGAUGAAAAUUCUUAUUCACAGAAUCAGUUAAAUAUGUAAUAUUUUGAACCAAAGAUGAAGACUUAAACAUUAACUGUAAGUUAUGACUUAUGAGCCAAUUCAGGAAAAAGAUGGUAUAGCAUUUAUAAUCAGCACAUCAUGAACAAUAAGGUUGGAGGGAACAUGCCACUGCGUUAAGUGAAGAAUAAUGCACAUGUAUAGCAGGACGUACGUAUCAUUGUUCCAAAUAAUAGUUCUAGGUACAUUGAGAACCUAAAUCUACACAUGCCCUACAAUCUAGCAGAAACCAAGGGUAAGUAUAUUUGAUUACUGCCCAUUCUCCCAUUUGUUAAGACUUAAGAACAUAAAGGUGAGGGUCACUUUUUCAGUAGAAAAUUCAAGAAGAACUUGUAUUGCAGUGAACAACAGUUUUCUGAUUGGCAUAAAAAAGAAAUAGUACUAAUAUUAAUCUCAGAUCAAGUAUAUGAAAACUUUCCUUGUUAUCAAUUAGCAUGACAGAUAAAAUUCCAGUACGAGCCUAAAGGCAGGAUGAUACAUUGAUACUAGAAGUCCCGAAGAUGUACACCUCGAGGUUCGAAUUCUGAUGAAAUUGAGCUAGUAUGACUAACAAAUUUCCGGUGAAAUUGAGCUAUGAUGACUACAUGAUCCGAAUAUGGCUACAUCAAGAGCUCAACUUGGUCCCUCUUUACCUACCUGCGCACGGGACGCCACCGCCACUUCCGCCGCGGCGGCCGGCCAGCGGCAGCGGAAGAGGUGCUCCCAGACGCAGUCGGCGUCGCAGGUGGUGCGCCAGAAGCGCGAGCAGACGCCGAGCGCGCACACGUCGGCCUCCUGGAACCGGCGUCGGGAGGAGAGGAAUGGGCCGGAAAGGGGCGCGCCGGAGUGGGGAGGGCCGCCGCCGGGAGAGGAGGGGACUGGAGAUAGCCGCCGCUGCUUGGAACCGGCGCCGGGCCCGGGAGGAGAGGAAUGGGCCGGAGUGGGUGCGCCGGAGUGGGGAGGGCCGCCGCGCGGGAAGGUUGGUCUGCUCGCGCGCGCGGGAAAGGGCAGCUCAGCGCGCGGGAAUAGCGAUUGGGGGAGGAAGCGGUGGAAUCGCGAUGGGUGGAGAAAGGCGAAGGCGAAAAUAUAUGCGGUGACCGAUUGUUUUUUUUUCGCGAAAAAAUUAGGGGAGGUUUAGUUUUUUUUAUUUUCCCUCUGCAAAAGAUAUUAGGGUAAGAUUAGCAGUCUUUUGGAGGGAGUUGACCUUCAUGGACCGGCUGGUGGGGUCAGGUCGCGAGGAGCCCGACCCAGUUCAUGAUCUGGGCUGAAACGGGCUCUUUAUGUGCUACUGGCCACUUACUGGGCCUUCGGCGCAUUAGAAAUUGGGCUGCGUUUCCCGACGAACUGGGUCCGAAUAGGCGGUGCGGCCCGUCGUCCCUUUGGGGCAACGGCACAACAUGGAUUCGGGCCGCACCGCGAUUCGGGCCCAGCUGGAUGUCGUUUAAAUUCAAGUUGAGAUUUUGCAGGGGAACACACCCAGUACGCCACGAUAACAUAGACAGAAUAUCAAAUGACUUCUCAGGUUAAAGCAGCAGCACAUCAUUCGCACUGUACAAAUAAUCUGCACCAGAAGCCUAACAAAAUCCUAGGCAACAAUGCAUAAUACAUGUCAACACCUAGAAGCUCUCCCUUUUAGCUUCUGCAAUACACACUCCCGGGGAAAGAUUCGCUCAAAUAUACAAGCACAUACCAGUGGCUGCAAGAUGUUGGCCAGUGCACUCUUUUCUGAUAUCAUCCUAGGUUCCUGAGUUAGAAGCACCAUGGUUAUGAACUGCUUGUAAUCUUCUGUUGAUAAUUAAAAAAAAAGGAAGCAUGCUAUCAGCUGUCAGCUUAUUGGUAGUUAGCAGCAGCAUGAUAAAUGGGCUGUGCAAGGAACCACUUGCCCCCAGAGAGCGUCCAGUGUCACGAAUAUUUCUAUUCCACGCAAUACAAGCAAUUUAAUCCCCCCCCCUCUAUUACUCGUAUUUGCAUGAUGCUAAAUUGACAAUACAAUUUUUCGAUAAGGAUAAAGUGCAUACUGUUUCAAAUUUUCCCUCCAUUACUUGUAUUUACUUUUUGUUUCGUAAAGGGAAAUUCAUCAUGACUAAAUUGCAUCAUAGGCACAGUGACUAGCAAGGUAAGGUCUAUGACAAACCCCUGACAUCCUUGAUCUGCCAGCCUGCAAUGCAUAUUACUCUAUCUUUUCCAAGUUCAGAGAAUGCAUGCUCACCAUAACAGAAACACAGUAUUCAUACUUUUAGUUGAGAACAAGGGUUUUGCUAAGGUACUCCCAAAUGACUGUGGACCGUUGAUCUAAUAACAUAUUACCUCAUAGGAAGUAAUAUUAUAUCUAUUUUUUAAAUCUGAAAAUAGGAAAAGUAUUUUUCUAUUAGAUCUAACUUCCACACAUGAUUGUACUAUAUCAUAUCUAAGUUUCUUUUUUGCCUCCCACGUGAACAUGGAUGGCGGUUCUGGUUCAAAAAACAAGAGAGAAGAACAUGACACCUUUAUGUGACAUGGAUCCGUUCGAAAAAAAUGAGACAUAAGUCAAGUAAAUGUGUUGCACGGAGAAAUGUGUCAUGGCCAUCUCUUUUUUUCCCCAUGCAGGUGCAGAUGUUUCGUUUCAAAGAAGAAAUGCAGAUGCAGAUGUUUCGUUUCAAAUAAGAAAUGCAGAUGCAGAUGUUAAAUUGCAUGUCAUGUGGAGAUGUUCAAGUAAACAUGAAGAUGUUCAAGUAUUUUUUUUCUCCAUCCAGAUGCGGACGUGUGUUCUGUUAAAAUGUUAUGAUGUCAGUUGCAACUAAAAGAAAAGAAAUUGCAUGUUCACAUGCAGAUGUUGGACCUGUUCCUCCGAUCCUAAAUUGAAGGAAGCCGUGAUAAUGGGGAGCCGGUUGUUUCUUUUUUUUUUUUGUUGCCUUUUUUAAUAUUUAAGGGCCUCAUUAAUUUGAACUCUUACCUCCUAGGAGGUAAUCGGUGUACUGUAGCAUUGCCCUGAGAACAAACCUUUUUUCUGUAAGCUACUGCAGAUCCUACUGAUUUACUGGUGUUUAUCUUUUCAGUAAUUAUUCUAGUGAUGCAGUUUCAAUAUCGUUAGUUGAGAGCAAACCCCUUGUUUGACCUAAGGCAGAUCCUAUUGAUUUACUGAUGUUUUUCCAGUAACCAUCUAGCAAGAAAAAAUGGAUGCUGUGAUGGUCCUAUUGCUACUAAUUGUCUAGCUAAUAAAAUAUGAUAAUGUGAAUGCUCCAACUCCAACAGUGCAAAAUUUUAUUGAGAACUGACAUGCCAAAUAUAAACAAAAAUUCCAAUAAAAAGGAGUAUCUUUAGAAAACUUAAAUAAGCAAAGAAGGAAACCAACAGAACGACCAAAGUGAAAAUAUUACCUUUCUAUUUAAUCCAAUCUCGAGUACAUACAAGAGCCUCAAUUGUUUUGAUAUUUAAUGUGCUCCAUUGCUUAUGAAUCAUAUUUCCCUCACUGCUCAACGCAGCUUCACAAUUAACAGCAGAAGCUGGCAUUGCCAGGACAUCACGUGCCAUAAUUGACAGAGUUGGAUACUUUGUAGAAUUAUUCAUCCACCAGUUCAGAAUAUCGAAAUCAUCCUUUCUCGGGACAAGACCAUCUUCAAGGUAGUUGUCAAGUUCUGUCAUUAGUUGGCUCCUUGUCUGUGCAUUAAGAUGCUCAUCCCAAUCUUCCAACGAAUCACUAUCAAAUCCAUCAAACUCAACAAUACGAGCUUCACGAGUUGAUGUGUCAAGCCCCGACUUCUCUGAAGGACCACAAUAUUCAUGGAACAGCUCCCUUAUUGCAUCACGCACGGCAGAUACAUACUUCUCUGCAUCAGUACCAAAAGCUCGCUUUAGACGGAACUCAAUAAAAGUAAUUUUGAAUCUCGGAUCAAGAACAACAGGUAUUGACAGCCACACGUAUGAACUUUGCCAAUACUCAUUGAACGCUUCUUGCAUCACCCAAACCAUGUUAGCAAGUUCAGUGUGAUCAGAGGAUGCUUCUUCUUGCAAAGUUGUUCUAACUUUCCAUAGUUCAUUGAAGUAUAUAUUUGCUGUGGGGCAAACAGGACCAGAAAUUACUUCAACAGCACGAUAAAAAGCCCUCAGUAUCCUGCAAACAGAUUCCACAGUUUUAGUAUCUUCUGCAGAUAACAAUUCUUCCGAGGGGAAUGCCUUCUUGAAAUGCAGAAAAACUUCAAGCCUGAAGUAAAUUUUAUGCCACCAUUUCGCAUCCUCCUGUGGGCACUUCAAUCCAAUAUGUGUAACAACUUCUAAAAGUUGCUGCCGAGUCAGCGAUGAGGACAUUUGUACCUGAAUAAAUUUCUCUAGUAUGUCACCAACAUGGUGAAGCACUGGUUGCCCUUUUGAAACAAUGCUGUUAAGCACAUCAUCCACACAAGCAACAUUGUACAGUUCACCUCUAAUAGGAAGGCAUUUUCUUUGGAUGAGCAAGUCCAUCAGCUUUGAGGUACCCUCAUCGCUUCUAAUUGCAUUGACAGAUGUCAAGCUGAAAUGCUUCUGAUCAAGAUUCCAAUCUCUUAAAGCUUCCUGUAUGACAUUAAAUGGUCCACUAUCAGAAUCCAGUACGCAGGCCUCCUUAAAAUGUAUCAUCCUUUCUAAACUAGUAGGUGAGGACCAAAACACACCAAAUUUGAUGAUUUUCCUUUGAAGUUUCCAUUCAGAAUCAAUAAAAUGCACUGCCAGACAGAGAUACUUCACUGAGGCCUCAGCUCCAUGAGGAGCCCACACACUUGCUGAUAAGGAAACCCGAUGGGAUAAAAGAGCAAUCUUUUCCUUUAGAUCAGUCUUUUCUUUCUGAAAUAAAAGAGUUGAAUACUCUUCUAUAUCAAUGCUCGAAGCCAUGUUAAAUGCAGGGUUCAGGCUCUUUGCAAACCUUCUCAUUUCUUCAUGUUCCACAAUUGACAAGGGAUAGCCAUGUGAAAUAAUCAUUUUAGUUAGCUCUUGAUAAGAUGCUUCUUGGUCAAAUUUCCUGCUUAUAUCUGCAGCAGUCUGAGCUGAUGUGGUAUUUUGUUCUGUGGAAUUCAUCUCAUCCAUUGCUGGCAAAGCUAGAAUGUGACGUUCCACUGGGCUUCUAUUACCAGAACUGCCCUUGAGGAACUUACUAGCAUACUCUGCAAUCUGAACCUUACCAUUUGUCAAGGCUGGUGAAAGCUCAUCUUGAAGCCUAGAUUUAAAACUUGGUGCACUGGACUGGAACAACACACCCUGCUGAUGAUUUAUGCUAUUUCCACUUCGUGCUGGACAAGUCUGAGUAUGUCGGGUCAAAUGGCUUCUACCUUUAUCCGCACUGAGUCGCUUGUGGCAAUGGACACAGUCAGCACCCUGGACUCUCCCUUCAACAUAGAAUGGUAUAAAAUCCUUCCAUACCUUUGACCUGAAUUUGCUAUUCUCACUACGGGUCACCAAGUUUACUCCAUCAAGUGAAUCUGGAAGAAUUUGGUCCACAGGAUCUACUUCACUCACCACUAUAUGCAAAGAGGUUGAACAGUUCAGUCAGAAUAUGCACAAAGCCACAAAAUAUAAAAGGCAUACAAUUUUCCAUGAAGAAACAGGAACAUUUAUACAACAUACAAACUAGCAAACAACGAAAUUUAUGAGAAAGAAAAAUAAGUGACCAAAGAGCUGCAUAGAAUCUAUUGUAUGCGCAUCUGUUUCGCAGUGUUUCUUUCAGACUAGGGAGACAGAGACACUAGCCACUCAAUACCCUUCACAACACUAAUGUCAGGGUAGAGAAUUAAAAGUCAGAAAAAAUAUAAAAAUUCUUGACCCAUCAAACGGUAAUAAUCAUCAUGAAAUGACAGCUCCCAUGAACAAACAUUGUUAAACAGACAAGUGCAGAGAGUAAUACAUACUAAUGAUAAAGGCCUAAAAGCUCCCAUACUAGUUAAGAAUGCAGAGAGAAGUACUAUAAACUUCCACAAAAAUGAUAACAUCUGAUGCUCAAUCUGGCACAGCUUACCGAAUACAUAAGUGCAGCUUACAAAAUACAUAAGAAUACAGAGAACUGUUAUGCAGAGUCUACAGUUGUAUUAGUUGGUUCGAAAAAAAAUUUAGCAUCCAUCUUAAGUGCUAGUCAGUAGCUAAAGCAUACCGUAUGGCAAAUCGGCAUCCUGCUGCAGUGGGCUUGGACCGAACCCAUCUUUUGCUCGGCAAAUUUUCUGGUGUCGCCACAAAUGGCUUGUUCCGUUGGACUGCCCAUCAGCACCUCUGCAACUCAUGUGAAUAUGGCAGUAGAGGCAUUCCGCGCUCUGAAUCGCUCCAUCUACAACGAUGGGCCUGUACUGUUCCCAAAUCUUAGACCUCUUCUUUCUCAAUCUGGUGGCAGUGCCAUCAGAGGCUGCCCCUACUUUCAUGUCAUCACUGUCAUGCUCAUCCAAGUGAUCCAUUUCUGCAGAUAACAGUGGGACAUUAUUCACUUUCUCAACGGCAUGUGGUUAAGCGGCAGAACCGAUAGACACCCAGAUAGACUCUUAAAACAUGCAGCCAUGACAAAAAAAAAAAAAAAAAAAGGAAA
rnacentral:lncRNA from 1 species